GAUGAUAGGCCGGGGCAUGCUAUAUGGAGAAAAUAAUUUUUGUAUAACAUAAACCACACCGAUGAACUAAAUCUUGGUCAAUCAAGCAACAUAUAUAUUUGGAGUGCUUGCUAGACAUCACAAUUAGAAUGGGCAAACUUACCCCAAAUCCUGAUAAAUCAAGCAACAUAUGUAUUUUGAGUGCUAGCUAGCUGCAACAAAAUACUACUACACUAAAUUGCUGCAUACGCCCAUUGGCAUUGCAACUGAAAACCAUCAUUCCUUGGCAAAAAAGUACUAGUCCAGUUCAAACUGACUUAAGAGGUCAACAUAGGACAAUCAGUAUGUUACGAUCAUGAUCACAUCUUGUCAAUGCAAACGUCAAGAGACACCUCCUUGGAUGCCCCAGAACCAACCAGAUAAGUAGGUGGCACCAUCAAGAAAGACGGCAGCUCCUCCACGGUCACCUCCCCAGGCCUCGUGCUGCUCGUCACUGGCUUCAUGGCCAACAAAAUGCUGCCUUCUACGCUGCUCGGUGGUGGCGGACCAUUCGCCUGAAGCUUGAUAGCGUACUGCGGCCAUGAGGAUGCCUCAGCUCUGAUGCACACCACAGACACGACGCCGAGCACGCCCAUGACCAAGAGGAACACGCUGUCGUCCCCUUGCCCAUGGAGCAGGCACCGCGGCCGCGGCACCGACAGCCGGAGCUGGUGAACUUGGCCAUAAUGGACCUUGUGCACUGGCAUUGCGUGCAUGGUGAUCAAGUGGCUGAGGAGCGCCUGUGGUGAACCGACGAAGCCACAGCCAAGCUCUGUGCAGAAGCACGGCACAUGGGAGCACACACUUUGAUGGUCGUCAAGCUCGUAGUAGGGGACGUAGCUCCCGCAGCCAUCAUGGUGGCACUUGACUGUCAAGGAAGAGAUGAGGGCGUCCAAUGACCGGACGUGGCCAAAGCCACUGCCGUGCUCACACGUCUGGCACAGUUUAUAGGGGAGCCCGAUGAGGCAUUUGUAGCAAGCCAAGUGCCCGGCAUUGCACUGCACAAAAUUUUAACGAUUAUGAACAUCCUCAGACCUCGAACAAAUAGAACAAUAAAUUGAUGGAGCACCUAUCUAUUAUCUUAUAAUAUUAAAUACUAAAAUCACAAUACAUGUCAAAAAUAGAGAAAUAUGCUAGAAAAAAAGUGCAGCCAAGGGAUCUCGACAAUUAACUAUUAACAUGAUAGAUGAAAGAAAUUACCCAUCUGUGCCCUAAUUAUUUUUCCAAACAAUAAACAAAGAAAGUUGCGGUCCAUAAAAAAACGGUCAGAGCAUGACUACUCUGCUCUAAAGGUUACUGGUAUCAUUAACGCUUCUUGGAUGCAAGUACUGUUGUCUAUCAUGCAAUGAAAGGAUAAACAGAAGUAAAAAUAUAUUAUAUAAGAUUAAAAAAAUAACAUGGUCGGCAGGCUGAAGCAUGAUGCCCUCGCAUUUGCGAGGGCCACCUUGCUAGUUGGUGAAAGAAAGUAACCUCGAAGACAGGGGGCUUGAUGGGGCGGGAGCACACGCUGCAAUUAAGCAAACUCAUGUCCAUCGUUAUGGUAACUUCUCUGGCUUGCUUCACUUGGCCACUCCUGGAUAGCUCCACCUGCGCCUUCUUGGCACUCCAAUCGUCCUUCUCCAUCAUCAACAGCAAACCCCUGCGCCUUUCCACGGUGGUAUCCGGAGGAAUCUGCACACUGUCCAUAAUCUGCAUAGAAUUCAUGGAGGCAAACACAUCACAAGUGGGACCCACAACGACAUAGAGAUGUUUCUUCCAUGUAAUUAAAAGAAUACAGCCGUGGAAGUGAAAUGAAGUGCGGGAACAAACUUGUGCUGAAUGCGGUUCAUCAGAAGGACCAGCAGACUGCAAUUGCUCGCCACUUGUUGGAAAAAUUAUGUGUUCUGUCAAGGAACUGGGCGCUGCAACUGUAAAAUCAAUGUUAAAAGGGAAUUGUUUUCAAUUCACGAAUCAUUUACAUGUAUGCUGUAGAUAUUUGUACAAGGAUAACAAAUUCAUGAUAAUACAAUACCGAGUUCAUAUCAUGUUACGUACAUGUUGAUCGGGACAAAUCGUGCGAAUUAAAGGGUGAAAAUGUUUAUGUAAAAUCUGUAUAUAACCUGCGAUAUAUAGAGAAGGAUUAUGUACCUGAUGAUUGAGCUGGUGUAUCAAACACUAGAUUGUCAACAAUGGGCGAGCUUGAUGUAUUAUGGGUUGUUCUGGCAUUGCCAAGCUCUGCUAAAAUGGGAUGCUUGUUGUUAUUCUGAUCGGUGUCGGUGAUUGCAAACUGAUCGACCAGAGCAUCAGUAUUUGAAUCAGAAUCAGAGCAUUUUACUCCUUCAACAGUGUUACCAUUUGGCAUGUUAUUAAGCACCGGAGCAUAGACAGACUCUUCUAGACAACGUACCUAUUUGAAUCAGAACACACAUAUUAAUUGUAGCAAACAAAAUCGCAACUUAGGAAAAAGAAAAAAACACGUCUGAAAAAAGUAACUCGAAUAUAAAUUUGCACACGUAGUAAACUUGAUUGGUCAUUAGGUUGGUUAAAUAAAUGCUACAUAAAUAAUUCAUUGGCAGAAUGUUGUUAUGGGUCUUUUAUUGCAUGUAGCAGUAUAGACUAUAUAGCAUGACAUUCUUUUGAAACAAGGCAUACGUUCAUAUAAUAACACAUAUUGUGUUUCAAAUAAAUAGUAUAUCACAAUUUGCUUACGGAAUUUAGUGGUGCACAAGUAAUUACCGGCAGGAAGCUACCAAAGGGAUGUGCAACUACCCAUUUGGAUCUGAAGCAACCCAUUUCCGUAGUGACAACACUCAAGCGUGGAAAGCCAUCUGGAACUAUGAGUGUAGGGUGUUUCACAAGAUCGAUAAAAAUGACCUGCAUCUCAAUGACAAUUAUGGAAAUAAAUUUUGUAAAUUAACAUGUGACAUCAGCUGAAUCAACCAGUUUAUUAUAGCAUAAUAAUGAUAAUAGUUUCCCUAAGUGUGGUUGGAAUGUUCUUACACUCAGAAUGUGCACACAGCCCUUCACAUGGACAUACAAUCUAUCCGAUUUUUUUGUAGUCCUUGAUUCCUUUGAAUAGGCAAUCAGCAACCAAAUUGCACCAAUCCAUCUGUUUGAGAUUACCAACCUGUUGAGCAGCUCCCAGAAAUGACCUGCUGACAUUCACAGAUGUAUUUGGUGCUAGAUAAAUUGCAAAUAUCGCCAUCAUAAAGGCUAUGCAGAAUGGUUCCUCCUCAGUUAUGCUGCACAUUUCUUCCGCCACUUCCUUCGCGUUCUUCCCUCUCGUAUCCCAAGUGUAGUGUUCAUAGAGAGCAUCGUCGACAUGGAGACCCUCUAUAACUUUGAUGGGUCCUGAAGGAAUUACAAGGACAAACUUCACAAGGGGCCUCACUGGAAUUGAUAUGCCUCCGUCAAAUUCUAGCUUCUCGGUGUCACAAUUGAACUUAUCCACCAGCCAUAGGGUUAGAUCUUUAUCCAUCUUAAAAUCUUGCAUUGACAAGAUGCUCUCAAACCCAAUUUUCAUGACAAAACCUAUCUGCUUGUCACUAAGACAUUUCAUAAAUGGCGGAAGUUGGUCAGGUGAACAUCUAUAAUGCACAUUGGUUUUGUCCUAAAAAACAAGGAACAAGUGGAUUAUCCAAAAAUAUUUAUUAUAUUAUUAAAAAAAGACAAACUACUCAUCAUUUUCAUCCGCAUAAGCUAAAAAUAUUGAAGUCAUUGAUUUUGAUUGUAAUGGUUGAUUUAAUUUCCAAUUAAGGUUACACAAAACUAUUGGCACGUGCAAAAUUUGUCAUAGGACAUGAUGACGUGAGCAGAUAGACCGUACUAUAACGACAUAUAGGAAAGUUAGAAACUCUCAAUUUACCUCAAAAAAUGUAGGAAGUCUAUCUCCUACUGAAAGGUACAACCAUUGUCAAACAGAUUGCAUGCAAGGAAAAAAUACGUUGGCUUCCAGAAACGACUCUGACGGGAGAACAAGAGGCAUAUACGGAUUCUUCCAUCGAAAACAUAGGCAGACUAUUCCAUGCUAGAAAAACACAUGGGCUCACAUGGUCGUAAAAAUUCGCAGAAUUCUUUGGUCGGCAAGGCCGAAAACAAUCCCAGUAUUGAAAAGGCUGGAAUCUCAAGACCCCACAUGCCAACCCAAGCUGCACCUAAAUAAGCUUCACUUUGUUCUAAUAAAAAAAACUAAAGGACCUUCACUUUAUUGGUAUAGAUCAGAUUAGGAAUAAAUUUGUGAUAACCAGUCAGGUACCUCUAUUCUUGAAUUGAUAUCACUCUGUCUUAUUAUCCUACUUCGAUUUUUUAUCUCGAUGUCUACUGUGUAUUUGCCUUAUAUAUUAUGGAAAUGGUACAAUUUAGACUGGAAAUAGUCUUUUAAAAUUCAUAUAGGUUCAACAUAAAUCAAUCAAGUGAGCUAAAUUCUGGAUUAUUUUUACAGAAUGAUCAUUUAUAUUUAUACAAGGAAAACCAACCUGAAACUAAACUGUGAGAAUAACUAUAGUAAAAUAAAAUCUGUGAAUAAAGUUGGCCCAAGAAAAACAUAUACGAGCCUAUAUGGAUAACGACCAGCGGUGGACAAAAGUGGCAGAGAACCCAUGGAAAUAAUAGCAAGGGAAUGAAUGAAGUGGACCGGAAAUAUAUAAACUUCACAUGCAGGUGAUCUAAGAAAAAAUCUUACAUGCAAGACAUGCAUGGAAACAGAUAAGAAUAUGAUACAUAUCGAUUUCAAUGUGAUUUGUGUGCGAUUGGAAACAAACAUGUCAUACGAGAAACGAGAAGGAACCGCACAAUGAUAAACAUAGAGGAAAAAAUAUGUCAAAUAUGCAAUUUGUCAUUUUCUGUUAUUCUACAUAUAUAUGUUGAUGCAAAACAGCACCGAUGAAUACAAAAUCAGUUAUAAGCAUGAGAUGAUGUUUUUACAAUUCAUAUGAAUUUAGACUGAUAAUUAAUUUUGCUUAGAUGGCCAAGUGGCAUGGUAAGACCAUGAGAUGAUGUUUUUACAAUUCCACAUGGGCUAAAUAAUUAUCUAAUCUGUGAAUUAUAUGCUAGGUCCGAGAUUAAAUAAUGUAUGCUCAUGAGAUCCUGACAUACUGAUUGCGAUUAAAUUCGCAUGACAAUCGGGCACGACAGACCACUAAUCCGGAGCUGCCCAAGUAUAUACGUGAACAGAAAAGGAGUUGGCAUGCAUGUGAUGACAUAACUGCCAAUGUAAAAAGGAAACUUAUACUGCUGCUUUGCUUUGUGCUUGCUUUCCCAGAUCAUGUAUUAAGUUAGCAUUUGAUGGAUUUCAACGUAUCAAAUCUAUAGUCAUAAAUACAUCAAUUUUUAUUCUGUAGACAACGAUUUGCAUGUCUAAUUUAAUUAUGAAAAUCAACAUAAAAAGUAAAGUUAUUUCCAUAGCAUGCUUUUAAAUUUACAAAACUAGACUUCAGAAUAUAUGAAAAUUCAAAUGAAACUUAAAUCCUAAAUGUAGAAACAAAAUACAAUGAAAUGAAAUGUUUGACGAGUAGGACACGUAGGUCAAUUAUUCAUUUGGCAGUCAUACCUAUAGUGCUAAUAAAAUGGUAAAUAUGGAGAAAAUAAAUGUAUAUAUGCAAAACCAAAUUAGAUGCAAGGCAGGCAUGUUCCGGGCUAGCAAGAUAGCAAAUCGAUUCCAGUAUGAUUCGUGUAUGAGUUUUUAUUUUGCAGGUUAAUAUGUGUACGAAGUUGUAUCCUACAAGAAAACACAACCAUGUUUAAUACAUGCAUCAUGUAAACUAUGCAAGAGUAUUUUAGUUGUGCCAAAAUAUACAAGUCUUAAAAAAAUAACAUGGGCACAACAAACAGUGCUAUGAGAGGAGCGAGUUAAAGGCGUGCGCUUUUAAAACUAUUGAUUGAUGUAUAUAUAUCUGUAAUUAUAAUUUUCAUGAAUGAAGUAUUUACGAAAGGUCUAAUAAUAAUUGUACACUAUAUAUGAAUCCCUAAUUGUUUGGCUUGAAUAAUAUAGGUGCUAAGACUAUACAUCCACUCUCCAAUUAAGUGAGCUAAGCUCCAUUUCUCUCUCAGAGUUAUAUUUCCAUAGAAUGCCAAGUAGAAAAAACACGUGAAGCACGAGAAGAAAGUGACAUAAAUUGGGAGUGAUGGAGAGAAUGUUUCAUCACAAAGUGAUAGAAAAAUAUAUAUUAUAUAAGGUAUGUAAUUAGAAAUUUAAUUGUGAUAAGAUUAUGGAAGUAAAUUAAAAAGAACAUAGACACAAUCACAGAGAACAGUACAGAUGGUGCGAGGGAUUUUUUUUUCAUAUAUAUACUAACAAUAAGACUUCUUAUUCAAUAGCCAUGCAAUACAUUCGGAUGCUAUAGAGUGUCGAGAUAUAUGUGGAUGCAUAUAAUUCUAUAUAUACAAAACACCACUGCAGCACGUACACCGAGAAGGUGAGUGGACAACGUAGGUCUCCUAAUUCAGAUGCAAACUAUCUAUGCUUUUAUUUUAAUUAUAGAUGAACAAUUUUAAAAAUAUUAAUGGUAGGAAGAGGACACCAGUCACCAGGGAACAAGGACUGAAAGAUGAGAACUUGGAGCACUGUAUAUACGUCUGUUCUCACAUACCAAGCAGCGACUUGAGUGUUGUCUGUAAUUUGUCAUUACUUGCCCUUAAUUAAAUAUUUGCAAUCAAAGUGCAAUCGUGUUUUUACAAGAUGUAUACAUUGACUAUAUUGAGACAUUAUGUGAUGCCAUAUUUUUGAAAGAAAAAAUCUUAAACAUAAAAGUAUAUAUGAAACCGAGCCGUGCAAAGGCUCGGUCUCCCUGAUAGUUUUGAACUGAAUAAAACAUGAUGAUAAUGGAGGGAUGCCAACCCCUCGCAAAAAAAGAAGGGGAGGGGGGAUUCCAGCAAUGUACCCUCCCGGAAGAUCCAAUUGGUAGAUUACUAUAAGCAUCCAUGACACUCCCCCGUCUUUGGAUCUGUUCCUACUUGGAUUAGCAGCCCUGGAACAGGAAACCGUGAAGCUGUUAGUAAUCUUCGAAAGAUAGUCGAAAGUAACACUGGGAACUCAUAAAGAUUAAUUGAAGGCACGGUAGACAGAUCCCAAAACAUUGUAUAUGAGAGAGAUCGAAGCAGUUUUGAAAGAUCUCUCUCAUAUAAAAUGCUUUAUAGUACUCGAUGUUCUAUAUUCAUAUAUGAGAGAGAUCUCUCACGUGCACGGCCCGAAGCAGCUUUGACCAAGAAGGUGGGUGGACAACGGAGGUCUCCUGAUUCAGAUGCAAACUAUAUAUGUAUGCUUCUAUUUCAAUUAUUGAUGAACAAAUUUACAAAUAUUAAUGGUAGGAAGAGGACACGAGGGAACAAGGACUGCAAGAGAACUUGGAGAACUGUAUAUAAGUCUAUGUUCUCACAUACCAAGCAGCGACUUGAGUGUUGUCUGUAAUUUGUCAAUACUUGCCCUUAAUUAAAUAUUUGCAAUCAAAGUGAAAUCAAGUUUUCACAAGAUGUAUACAUUGACUAUAUUGAGAAUUUAUGUGAUACCGUAUUUUCAAAAGAAAAAAAAUACUAAAUAUAACAACAUGUAUGAAACCUAGCCGCGCAAGCGCGGUCUCCCUGGUAGUUUUGAACUGAAUAAAACAUGAUGAUAAUGGAGGGAUGCCAAGCCCUCGCAACAAAAGAAGGGGAGGGGGGAUUCCAGCAAUGUACCUUCCCGGAUGAUCCAAUUGGUAGAUUACUAUAACUAUCCAUGACACUGCCCCUCUUCGGAUCGGUUCCUACUGGAAUUAGCAAGCCUGGAACGGGAAACCGUGAAACUGUUAGUAAUCUUGGGAAGAUAGCCACAAGUAAAACUGGGUACUGAUACAGAUUAAUUGAAGGCACGGUAGACAGAUCUCAAAACAUCGUGUAUGAGAGAUCCGAAAACAAGCAAGAUCCGAAGAGGGGAAACAAGCAAGAUCCAAAAACUGAUAAAGUAAAACUGGGUAUUGAUACAGAUUAAUUGAAGGCGCGGUAGACAGAUCCCAAAACAUCGUGUUUGAGAUAGAUCGAAGCCCAUAAACAGCGAUUCAAGUUUCAAAGCAGUGAAACAAGCAAGAUCCGAAAACAGAUAAAGUAAAACUGGGUAUUGAUACAGAUUAAUUGAAGACGCGGUGGACAGAUCCCAAAACAUCGUGUAUGAUAGAGAUCGAAGCAAAUAAACAGCGAUUCAAGUUUCAAAGCAGUGAAACAAGCAAGAUCCGAAAACAGAUACUGAAACUAGACGAAAUCCUCUGCUUACCGGCUGUGGAUGAGCCCGAGUUAGGGUUUGAGACUCGGACCAGAUGAUAACAAGGGGAAAUCAAUCGGGAAGAGAACUGAAUUUCUCUGCAAAUCACGAGAAAUCAACAAGUAGGGCGAGUGAUGGUGCCGCUCGCCCUACCCGCAUGAUAUGUACUGGACUGGAGUGGAGGAGCGGGGGGAAGAGGAGCUGUGUUUUCCUUUCCUUAAUAGCGAAGCCAAAGAUGAAGGGCGGCGGCUCGGGUUUGGUACUCCAGCGUUCGUUCGGAGAGGAAAAGCCUUUGGGCAUCGAUCGAACGACUUUCCUAGGCUGAGCGUUUCUCCACACGUUUCCUAGGCUGAGUGUGUGUGCGUGCGGGUGUGUGUUAGUUGGCGUCGUCCGCGAGGGUGUGACCGCGUAGGGCGCUGGAUCCGGCCGCUCGAGCGCGUGUGUCGUGGAGCGCGGGAUGUGGCGAGUGAGCGAGUGGGUGCAUCGGGAGCGCGUCGUGGAGCGUCCGCGUGCGCAUGCAUAAAACCCCUCUCCCUCCUGUACAUUGUGGCGCGGUGUGUUGAGUUCGAGCUCAAGAAAAUUUGCCGCAGCUGCGGCGGGCGCUCGUAAGCCAGGAAUCCACCGUGUGCUCCAUUUCUUCAUCCUCCUUUCGAUUUGUGCCAGAGAGAGGGUGAGUGCGGCGAGGGAGGGCUAGGGCAUGGGCUCAGCCCCGACACUAAUCUUUGUAUUGCCAUGGAUUAUUUACUUAAUAGAGCACGUUGUUUGGCUAAAACAGGGAUUGACAACGUACAUUGUUUCAUAAUAGUUGUUACUAUCCUAGGGUUUUUAUAACUGGGUAACUCGUACAUCGUUGAGGUUAUUCGUCUUCGAUCAUCCCCGAUCCACAAUGAGCACUGGGAUCUAGCACGCACUUGGGCUGAAUCAGUGGCUCGCCUUCCACCCGGCCAUGGCAUUACCGCUUUUCUUGGGCUCCCUCGGUGGUAGAUCUGUUUGAUGGCGACAUCAUCAUCAAGGGGUUCCAGUAGCUUGGCAACAAGGAAAAAGAAGGGGAAAGACGGGAUCAAUCUGGAGACAACUAUAAGGAAUAUGAAACUGAAGGAAUAUGAGCUGGAUGUCAUCUUCGUCAGGGAAGGAGGAAAUUUUAGAACUCUCGAAUGCAGGAAGGUGGUUGGCAGGACAAGGGUGAACACCAUAAAACCAUUCAGCAUGGAUGCGUUCAAGGACAUAAUGAGAAGUAUGCAUUGCGGCUCUCCUAUGAUCCGGAUUCCGCGAGAUGGACGACAAUCUGUUCGUGGUGCAACACAUUUGCCUACGAGAUUGCAACUGGGUAAUGCAUCAGGGUCCCUUGAUCUUUUGAGGGUUGAUGGUUAUGAUAGAAGUAUAUGAUGGCAAGGGUCGUCCAGAUACCAUCAAGCUAGACCGGGCCUCUAUGUGGCCACAGAUUCACAACCUCCCAAACCUUUACAGAUCCCAAACAAUUGAUGAGCAGCUGGUGACGAGCAUUUGGGCAGGUCAAGAGUCGGGAUAUGAACCUAUCAAGGGUAUAUGAGGGGACCUAUGUGCGAGUCAAGGCCAAAAUUAUAGUUGCAGAUCCAAUACCACGAUUUGCACCACUGAUUUUGAAUGAGAAUGAGAGAAUACUUCUGCCCAUAAAAUAUGAAAAUAUAGACUUCUAUGAAGUUUGUGGCAUCAUGGGACACAUCAAGGAGGAAUGUGGUCAUGCACCAGAGAAUAUUGAGUAUGGUUCAUGGAUGGUGGCAAAACACAUAGGAACUUGUCAGGUAGCCAGGGCUUUGGUCAUGGGUAUUCAUUUUCUCAGGCUGGGAGGGCCCCGAUGAGGGAUGGGCGAGGUAGGGGACGGGGUGCAGGCCGGGGAAUCAAUCCUCACGUCCCUAGGAAGCACACAUCUGGAUAGGCUGGCAAUUAAAGUGAAGGAUCAAAAUGCUUGUGUAAAUCUAUUGUUAACAUAUAGCUAUAGAUAAUAUUAACAUAUCUCUGCAAAAAAAAGAUAAUAUUAACAUAUACCUGCAUCGAGCUGACGCUAGAUGUUCAACAAUGGCCGAGCUUGUUGGGAUAGGAGUUGUUAUGGCAGUGCCAUGCUCUGCUGAAAUAGAAUUAUUUGUUGUUACUCUUAUCAGUAUCAGUGGUAGCGAAAUGAUUAGCAAGAGCAUCAGCAUUUCUCUCAGAAUCAGCACAUUUUCCAUCUUCGGUUAUGUUGUCAUUCAGCCUUUUAACAGGCACAGAAGCAUAGACCAAUUCUUCCAGGCGACGAAACUGUUGAAGAUUAUACUUGUGAAGACGUUGCUGCUUAGAUGUAAUUUCACAAAAGUAAUAAGCUUGACCGGUCAUUAGAUUUGGUAAAUAAAUGCUAGAUCCACAACAUGUAGAAAUUACUUUUGCAUGAGUAUGUGAUACAUGACUGAAAUGCCUGUUAAGUAGCAGUAUGGAGCAUGCCAAUAUUUUGAAACAAGGUAUACAUCUAUAUGAUAGCUUCUUGAAUAGAAAACCACAGGAAAUCACAACAUGUUGAUCAUGCAAAUUAAAUUCUUUUUUCUUACCAAAUCAUCCAAAUUAACAGAAUUGAACUCAAUUAUCUAUGUAUGAUGUUGACAACUUCAAAGAUGACUAAAGGUCAGUACUAGCUUAGUGUUGGUAACAAGGAAAAGGGAGACCACAGUUAAGCACGAAGGCACAUGUGGAUCUAUCAUUCUCACCUCGGAUCUCCCCUGUUCGUCCAUGGAGUCCCCCUCGAUCUGGACGCCUGCCACCGCGCCCCCAAAUACAUGUCCCUUGCUGUUGUCAGCCGCAGGUUCCUGGGAGAACCACUGAGGAGGCGGAGACGAUAGCCCAGCAGCCGCAGGAACGUGCACGCGGCUGUGUAGAGGGCUGUGGUCGCCCACAGAGGAGGGAGCUCGACCUCAUCGUUGGAGUCGGUGUUGCCGGCCGGCCAACGAGGCCAUGAGGGGGACGUGAAUGGCUGCGGAGACGAAGGGGUAGAAGCGCGGCUUGCGGGGGAACAUCGCCUCGCCUGUAAUCAGCAAGCUAGUGUGAAUCUGGAUAAAAAUGAUCCAGCCAACCUUGCGGCGAAGAAGUAGGGCAGCGUACUUGUUUUUGAGAUGGCUGGAUUGGAGUUCCUUCCUCAGGAAGCCAACCUACAAGAGCGGAGCAAUGGCUGACUUUUGUGUUCAGACAGCCGGUCACUCACUCAUAAUCUCCACUGCAGGAGCAUGUCCGCUGGUCAGAAUCUCUUCUCAACGAAACCGGCAGGAACUCUAUGACUAUGAUGAUUAUUAUUAGCUAGUGUUGGUGGUGAUUAGAUAGCUACACUAUGACUAUGAUGAUUAUAUAGUGUUGGUGGUAAUGGUUAUGAUGAUUAUUAGCUAGUGUUGUUGGUGAUGAUAUGAUGCAAGAGUUUUCAUAUUAAUAUGAUGAUUAGAUAGCUACACAAUGACUAUGAUGAUUAUCAUGAUGAUUUGUUAUUAUGGUCAUGAUUAGUUAUUAUAUCAUAGGUAGAAGGAACGUGGAUUAGAUUCAUGUGGAUGGAUCAAAAGUGACCAAAAGUUGAAUUAGUAGGAUCGUCAUCCUAAUUCAACUUUUGAUUCAUCCAAAUCUUAUAUCUUAUAUUUACUAAUUGGAGGCACCAUACUGAAAGAAUAAUGAAGCGUCUCAACUCCCGUAACAUGGGAGCCCGCGGUUAUUUAUUGAUUGGACGAGAAGUAUCUUGCGAUCAUGUACAUGGUGCGGUUGAGGAAGAUCUCCAACCGUGGAGAUAGAUUACAACGAGAGAGGUAGAGAUAGAAAGAUAAACAUGAACGGAUACAAGCGUGUAGCACAAGGCUAUCUCUAACUAUUAUGUUAUAGUAUUUCUAACACUCCCCCUUAAUCACAACUGCACCAAGUUGAGAUUACGACAAAAUUCUUCAAAACCUUUUGUAGGUAAGGCCUUUGUAAACCCAUCUACAAGCUGAUCCUUUGAAGGAAUGAAUCGGACAUCCAAUUGCUUGUUCGCAACUCGUUCUCUGACAAAGUGAAAAUCUAUCUCAAUAUGCUUUGUCCUGGCAUGAAAAACUGGGUUAGCAGUAAGAUACGUUGCACCAAGGUUGUCACACCAUAAACAAGGAGGGUGCACUUCUGGAAUAUGGAGUUCUUUCAACAUAGACUGAACCCAAAUAACUUCAGCCGUUGCAUUUGCCAAAGCUUUAUAUUCUGCUUCUGUACUUGACCUGGAGACUGUUGCCUGUUUCUUUGCACACCACGAGAUUAAAUUUGGACCAUAAAAUAUAGCAAACCCACCAGUCGACCUUCUAUCAUCUAGGCAGCCAGCCCAAUCCGCAUCAGAAAAUGCACUUAUAAGGGUAGACGAUGACUUUCUGAAUGUGAGCCCAACAGUCAACGUAUUCUUGACAUACCUCAAGAUUCUCUUAGCUGACGUCCAAUGAGUGGUAGUAGGUGCAUGAAGAAACUGACAAACUUUGUUAACUGCAAAGGAGAUGUCAGGUCGAGUAAGAGUCAAGUACUGAAGACCACCAACUAAACUUCUGUAACUAGUGAUAUCCUCAUGAUACAAAGGUUCUCCAUCUGUCAGGGACAAACAUUCCGAACUGGAAACUGGUGUUGGUGAGGGUUUGCAGUUUUGCAUGCCAAUUCUAUUCAACAACUCAGUUGCAUACUUAUCCCGAGAUAGAUGAAGACCAUCACUGUUUUUCUUUACUUCAAUACCCAAGAAGAAAUGUAAGUCUCCCAAAUCCUUGAGAGCAAACUUAGAACUCAAAUUCUUGAGCAGUCUGGUUAUUGCCUCAUCAGAUGAGCUAGUGACAAUAAUAUAAUCCACAUAUAUAAGAACAAACACAGAUAUUUGUGACUUGGUAAAGAUAAACAGUGAGGUGUCAGAUUUUGAUGGAACAAACCCAAGUGCUUGAGGCUUCAUACUGAGCCUGAAGUACCAUGCUCUGGGGGCUUGCUCCAGACCAUAUAAUGCUUUAUCCAGCUUGCAUGUGUGAAAGGGUUUAUUUUUGUCUUCAAAACAAGGAGGUUGUUUCAUGUAUACCUCUUCUUCCAGAACACCAUGGAGAUAUGCGUUCUCUACAUCUAACUGUCUAAGGCUACAUCCCCUAGACACAGCAAUUGACAACACAAGGAGAAUGGUUGCAACUUUAACAACAUGACUAAAUGUGUCCUCAUAGUCUAACCCAUACCUUUGCUAGAAACCUUUUGCAACGAGUCUGGCCUUGUAGCGAUCUACAGUGCCAUCAGAUUUCCUUUUAAUCUGAUACACCCACUUGCAAUCAAUUAAGUUUCUGCCUUGUUGUGGUGGAACCAAAUGCCACGUCUUAUUUUUCUGCAAAGCCAUGAAUUCAUCAUUCAUAGCCACCUUCCACCUAUCAUCACCAAGGGCAUCCAUUAGAGUUUUAGGUUCACCUGUCAUACAAGAUACUCCGUAUUUGGAGAAGUUUUUAUAAUUAACUCGGGUAGAAACCCCCUUUUGUAGACGUGUGCGGAGUUCCACAAGAUGUGCUGCAUGUUGGUCGGGCCCAGAGGAUCCUGGCGUGGAAGAAUCACCCGUUUCCCCCACAGCGUCCGUGCCAAGAGAUGCCACGCCCGAUCCCGAGGCGGUCAGGGAACGCGUAGGCAAGGCAGCCACGCCCGAUCCCGAGGCGGUCGGGGAACGCGUAGGUGAGGCAGUGUCGGGCACAUGCGAUGUAGUGGCGGGCCCUGAUGAGGCAGGCGUGGGCCCUGGUGAGACAGGCGCGCUCACCCGCCCCGAGGAUUGGUGCGGCGCGCUGUCACCUGCUGGGUGCGCGCGGUCACUGUCACCUGCCGGGUGCGCGCCAGGGACCGAUCCCGAGGUGGAUUGGGAUGCCGCCUGCAGCGGAACAGAUCCCGAGGGGGAUCUACCUCGUGACGCGUGGUUUCCUGGAGGGGGGGCACAUAAAAUGACCUCCCAUUGUGGUGUUUUGCACUCUGUUUUGAUCAUCAUUAAUUGUUCCUGCAGCAAUAGACUUUGGCAUAAUAUAAUGAUUAGUCACAAAAGAGUCAGAACUAUUAUUUGUACCCUCGUGAUCAAUACCGGUAAGGGAUGGAGGUAAGAGAAGUAUCUCUUCACGAAGGAGAGCACCGACAUUGGGAUGAAGAUUUUCGAACGGAAAUUUGGUCUCAUCAAAAACAACAUCUCUUGAGAUGUAGACACGACCAUUAGCAACAUCAAGGCACUUAACAUCUUUGUGUUGAGCGCUGUAGCCAAUAAAGACGCAUUGCUUGGAGCGGAACAUUAGCUUGUGGUUAUUGUAAGGGCGUAGGUUUGGCCAGCAUGCGUAACCAAAAACACAAAGAGGAGCAUAGUCUGGUUUGAUAUGAAGAAGACAUUCUGUAGGGGUUUCAUUGUUGAUGAUACGACUUGGUAAGAUAUUGAUGAGGUGAACUGCGGUUAAGAAGGCUUCACCCCAGAAUUUUAGCGGCAUAGAUGCAGCGGCAAGGAGUGAGAGACCAACAUCAACGAUGUGGCGAUGCUUGCGUUCAGCGAACCCAUUUUGUUAGUGUGCGUGAGGACAUGAGACAUGGUGAGAAAUUCCUAUCUUUUGAAAGAAAGAGUUGAGUUUCUCAUACUCACCACCCCAGUCUGAUUGCAUGGCUAUAAUUUUACCAUCAAAUUUUCUUUCAACAAGAGCUUGAAAGUAAUGAAAAACUUGGAAGACAUCAGAUCGCUUUUUAAGAAGAUAGAUCCAAGUAUAUUUACUGUAAUCAUCAAUGAAGCUCACAUAGUAAGUGUGUCUACCAACAGAGGAAGGGGCUGGCCCCCAUACAUCAGAAAAUAUUAAUUGCAAUGGUUUAACAGACACACUGGUUGAAACAGGAUAUGGCAACUGAUGACUUUUUGCUCUUUGGCAAGAGUCACAAAUAGUUUCACAAUUACGCUCACCAACAAACAUGAGAUUAUUCUUACUAAGAACUUGAGAAACAAUAGAAAACGAAGGGUGGCCUAGGCGAUUAUGCCACCUUUCUGAAGAGACUCUAAUGGCUCUGAAGGCUCGUUUAUUGAACUUGCAAAGUGUAGGAAUUAAUGGGUAGAGACCGUCCACGCAUCUACCGCGAUAGAGAACCCUCCUCAUGGCUUGAUCCUUUAUCAAAAAGAAAAAAAGGAUGAAACUCAAUGAAGAGACCCUUGUCAAGAGUAAUUCUAUGAACUGAAGCAAGAUAUUUUGGUGCAUGAGGAACAAGUAGAACAUCAUUGAGACGAAUAUCACGAUGAGGGGUUUUAAUAAUAGAUUGACCAAUGUGACUUAUCAUCAUACCUUGACCAUUUGCCGCGGUGUAGAUUUGAUCAUGGCCAUGAUACUUCUCUUGCAUGGUCAUCCUCUCCAUGUCCGGGGUGAUAUACUCGGUGGCGCCCGUAUCUGCAUACCAAUUUGUGUCCACUCCAUAGGACAUAUCUGCAGCUGCUGCAACUUUCUUCUUCUUUUCUUCAUAGCGCCAGCGACAAUCUUUUGCUAUGUGGUUAGUUUUUUUUACAAAUUUGACAUUUUCCCUCAUACUCAUCAUAACCUUGAAAGUUGUUGCCGCCGCCAUAGUUUCCACCAUAGCCACCACGCUGACGCCCCUGAUUGUUGUUGUAGAAGGGACAUCCGUGGUUGUUGUUGUUGUUGUUGUAGAAGAAACUGCCGCCGCCAUUGUUGUAGUUGCCGUUGGCGUUGCCGCCACCGCCAUUGCUGUUGCUGCCACCACCGCGAUACCUGCCACCACCACCAUUGGUGGGUUUGGGCGAGCCACGGUUAUUGCCCUUGCCGCCGCCACCACGAUUCCUCGCAGCCAUAUUGGCCGAGGACUUGAAGCCUCCUGCUCCAGAGCCGUGGAAGAGCUUGACUCGCUGGUCGAAGUUCGCCACCAUGGCAAAUAGCUCAUCAACGGAGAUCGGGUCGGUGCGGACGUCGAGGGCUGAUAGUCCAUAUCUAGCCCUGCGACGAUGAAGGAAAGCAGCUCUUCUUCUCUGAUGCCCCUCCCUACAGCUGCAAGUUCAUCUGAAAGCGAUCUCAUGUAGCCAAAAUAAUCAGCAACAGAUUGGGAACCUUUGUGGGCAUUGGUCAGGGAGAUUCUGAGGUUGUUUGCGCGGGAUUUGGAUUGGGAGGCAAACAUGGUGGAGAGUGAUGUCUAGAUCGCACGGGAUGUCUCCAUCGAGGCGACUUGCACAAAGAUUUCUUUGGAAAGGUUUCUCAGCAGAUAGGCUACAAUCUGCUGGUCUUGGAUCAACCAAGAGGUGUAGGCAGGAUUCGGAACAAUCUGUUCCUUACCUUCGAAAUUUUUUGCUGUGAUUGUUUUGGAGGGCUUGGGGGUUGUUUCAUCAAGGUAUCCAUACAGGACAGCCCCCAUGAUCUGAGAGCGAGCCUGGGCACGCCAUAGGAUGUAGUUGGUGCGGCUCAAAGGUUCAGAAGUGUUGUUGUUUAGGCCAGAGAGGGAAGUCGAGCUGGAGGAGGACAUGGUUGCGGCUUGUUUUUGAUCUGGAGAGGUUUGUUUGAUGGCGGCUAGGGUUGAUCUUAUAGAGAGCUAGAUGUAGAGGAAGAAGAAGGCUCUGACUACCAUGAAAGAAUAAUGAAGCGUCUCAACUCCCGUAACAUGGGAGCCCGCGGUUAUUUAUUGACUGGGCAAGAAGGAUCUCGCGAUCAUGUACAUGGUGUGGUUGAGGAAGAUCUCUAACCGUGGAGAUAGAUUACAACGAGAGAGGUAGAUAUAGAAAGAUAAACAUGAAGGGAUACAAGCGUGUAGCACAAGGCUAUCUCUAACUAUUCUGUUAUAGUAUUUCUAACACAUAGGAAUCACCAUAUUAAUUCUAGAAAUUAAACAAAACUGUACAUUAGAUCUCCUAAUUAGUUAUUUACGACCAUCGGAUGAUAUAUCUCAUAGUCCUACCUCUUUUCCCACCUCCCAAGCGAACAACCCUUAAAAAAUACAUGGUACGAAAGAAAAAAAACUGCCUCCCCACGUCCUGCACUCCUGAUCCUCCAUAUCUCACGUGUAGUUAUGGCACCAUGCCUCCCUCCUGUUCUUUCAUGGUCCCAAGGAAGAUUUGGUCCUGCCCUCCUAUCCAUCUCGCCUAGGCUGCUCGAGUGCUUCNNNNNNNNNNNNNNNNNNNNNNNNNNNNNNNNNNNNNNNNNNNNNNNNNNNNNNNNNNNNNNNNNNNNNNNNNNNNNNNNNNNNNNNNNNNNNNNNNNNNNNNNNNNNNNNNNNNNNNNNNNNNNNNNNNNNNNNNNNNNNNNNNNNNNNNNNNNNNNNNNNNNNNNNNNNNNNNNNNNNNNNNNNNNNNNNNNNNNNNNNNNNNNNNNNNNNNNNNNNNNNNNNNNNNNNNNNNNNNNNNNNNNNNNNNNNNNNNNNNNNNNNNNNNNNNNNNNNNNNNNNNNNNNNNUGGACAAGUGUGUGGUAACGGGUAAGCAAUGCAGAGACUGCUUGACGUAAGAAGGAGAAGGACAGAGAAGAACCCAACUUUGAUCCUAAUGGAUCGGUCGUCAUUAGUGGUUAGACGCCUAUGGAAACUCUCCCACAUCUUCCUCUUUAUCGGACACAGAAGGUAGAAAAUUUCGUCAGCGACAACUUAAGUUCCUGAUCGCUAAAGUUCCAGUGCUUCACCCCUUCAUUUCUCUCACCUAAUCAGGCCAUCUUCCAAUAUAACAGAUCCUUUUGGAGUCAUGCACAAUCAGAAAGCUAGGUACGUCAUCAUCGAAUAAUAAUUAUAGCUAAAUAAUGUAGGAGACAUGGGACUCCAUCUUUUAAUUUUGUAUCUCCCAGUCCUUCUUCAAUGUCAGGUAGUAAAAUAUAUUAGCUACAUGCCCUAUAAUAUCUCCAUGGAAAGAAAAUAGAAAAGUUGAAGGCUAUAUGUUAAAUCCAUCUAUUUUCUAAUGGUUUAUAAAGAUAGAUGAAGCAGUUUGACGAUCUGAAGAAUCAUCGCUCUGACCCAUGAACCAUUCAGCAGCAGAUAAAUGUGAUCAAUAUAUACGCAUACACUAGUAGAAAAGGGGGCAACGGUUCAGGCCGGGUCAGCCCAUUAGUCCCGAUUCAGUCUAGAACCGGGAUCCCUGGGGCAUUGAACCCGGUUCGUGAGCCCAGGGGGGCGGCCGGGCCACGUGGGCCAUUGGUCCUGGUUCGUCUGGACCUUUUGGUCCCGGUUGGUGGGAUGAACCGGGACCAAUGGCCUCGCUCCUGGCCCACCACCAUUGGUCCCGGUUGGUGGCAUGAACCGGGUCGAAAGGCUCCCCUUUGGACCCGGUUCAUGCCACCAACCGGGACCAAUGAGGUGCCUAUAUAUACCCCCUCGCGUAAGAGCAGAGAACACUGCUCUGUUUUUUUCUGGCCGAGGGGGAGAGGGCUUGGUGGUGCUCUAGCUCACCUCCUAUGCACACAAGGUGUUCGAUGGAAUGCCCAAGCCACACUACUUAAGCUUUCUCCUCUCCAAGCUCGACCUUCAAGCUCCAUUUUCCUCAAUAUUUGUCUAGGUUUAGCGGUCCGUCACGCCCCGUCCCCGUCUUCACCGCCGUCGAUCACCCGCGCCGAGCUCAUCGCCGGCACCACCGUGGUGAGCCUCUUGUUCUUAUCUUCUUUUUGAAAGGAAAAAAAUAUUCUUACUUGUAUGUUUACAUAGAUACUUGUAUUAUUUUCUUACUUUUAUUAUUGCAUCUUAUAUAGUGCCAUGGUUUUGGUAUCCGCCCCCGUCGGCCCUCGUCUUGUCUAUGAUUCGGAUGUGGUAUAUAUAUAUUAUCUUUAUAACUAUUGGUUCAUUUAUUGUUUAUGAAAAUUAUCCCGACCAACGUGACAUAGAUUUUAUUUAUGUAGGAUGUAUGUGAAUUGGAAAUUCCAACUGACCCUAUUGUCGAGAGGUUAAAUUUAGUUGAAGAAGAAAACAAUUUGUUGAAGGAAAAAAUAAAAAAAUUGAGGAGGAGAAGAUGAUAUUGGAGUUGCAUGUUGCGGAUGUCGUCGAUGAUCACAAGAUCAAGAUGGAUGCAAUGCACUUGAAGAUUAGAAAGAUUAGAAAAUAUGCCAUUCAUACCGAGGCUUGGUAUCAUUAUGCCGUUGGAUCAAUUGUUAUCUUGGUUGCGAUUAUGAUCGCAUUUGUUUUCGCAUUGAAAUGUUUUACAUAGUUUCAAUGUAUGGUUUAAUUAAUUAGAUGCUCUAGAGAGCUAUAUGUUGUUAGAUGAGAACUAUGUAUGUACUUUGGUUUUAAUGUGAUGAUGAACUUCUAUUAAUUUGGACACUUAAUUAUAUAUAACACACGCAGAUGAACCGGCAAUGGAUGUACAGUGACAGACACACCUCCGAGUACAUUAAGGGCGUGCAUGUGUUUCUCGAUGCGGCUGAGGCAAACAAGUAGAAUGGUUUUAUGUGUUGUCCAUGCACUGAAUGUGGGAAUACGAGGUCUUACUCUAACCGGAAAAUCCUUGACUCCCACCUUCUUUACAAGGGUUUCAUGCCACACUAUAAUGUUUGGACGAGGCACGGAGAAAUAGGGGUUAUGAUGAAAGACGGUGAAGAAGAAGAGUACGAUGACAACUAUGUGCCCCCUAAAUACGGUGAUGCUGCAACGGGGGGAGAUGGUGAAGAUUAAGAGGAACCAGAUGAUGUGCCCAAUGAUGCUGCAACAGGUGAAGCUGCUGAAGAUCAAGAGGAACCAGACGAUGUGCCCGAUAAUGAUGAUCUCCGCCGGGUCAUUGUCGAUGCAAGGACACAAUGCGAAAGUCAAAAGGAGAAGCUGAAGUUCGAUCGCAUGUUAGAGGAUCACAAAAAAGGGUUGUACCCCAAUUGCGAAGAUGGCAACACAAAGCUCGGUACCGUACUGGAAUUGCUGCAGUGGAAGGCAGAGAAUGCUGUGGCUGACAAAGGAUUUGAGAAGCUACUGAAAAUAUUGAAGAAGAAGCUUCCAAAGGAUAAGGAAUUGCCCGACAGUACAUACGCAGCAAAGAAGGUCGUAUGCCCUCUAGGAUUGGAGGUAAAAGAUACAUGCAUGCCCUAAUGACUGCAUCCUCUACCGCGGUGCAGGCAAGGAUUUGAACGCAUGCCCAGUAUGCAGUGCAUUGCGGUAUAAGAUCAGACAAGAUGACCCUGGUGAUGUUGACGGCGAGCCCCCCAGGAAGAGGGUUCCUGCGAAGGUGAUGUGGUAUGCUCCUAUAAUACCACGGUUGAAAUGUCUGUUCAGAAACGAAGAGCAUGCCAAGUUGAUGCGAUGGCACAGUGAGGACCGGAAGAAAGACGGGAAGUUGAGAGCACCCGCUGACGGGUCCCAGUGGAGAAAAAUCGAGAGAAAGUACUGGGAUGAGUUUGCAAAGGACCUAAGGAAUGUAUGGUUUGCUUUAAGCGCGGAUGGCAUUAAUCCUUUCGGGGAGCAGAGCAGCAAUCACAGCACCUGGCCCGUGACUCUAUGUAUGUAUAACCUUCCUCCUUGGAUGUGCAUGAAGCGGAAGUUCAUUAUGAUGCCAGUUCUCAUCCAAGGCCCUAAGCAACCCGGCAACGACAUUGAUGUGUACCUAAGGCCAUUAGUUGAAGAACUUUUACAGAUGUGGAAUGGAAACGGUGUACGUACGUGGGAUGUGUUGGGGAACGUAGUAAUUUUAAAAAAAAUCCUACGCACACGCAAGAUCAUGGGGAUGCAUAGCAACGAGAGGGGAGAGUGUGAUCUACGUACCCUUGUAGACCGACAGCGGAAGCGUUAGCACAACGCGGUUGAUGUAGUCGUACGUCUUCACGGCCCGACCGAUCAAGCACCGAAACUACGGCACCUCCGAGUUCUAGCACACAUUCAGCUCGAUGACGAUCCCCGGACUCCGAUCCAGCAAAGUAUCGGGGAGGAGUUCCAUCAGCACGACGGUGUGGUGACGAUCUUGAUGUACUACCGUUGCAGGGCUUCGCCUAAGCACCGCUACAAUAUUAUCGAGGAUUAUGGUGGAAGGGGGCACCGCACACGGCUAAGAAUAUGAUCACGUGGAUCAACUUGUGUCUAUGGGGUGCCCCUGCCCCCGUAUAUAAAGGAGUGGAGGAGGGGAGGGCCGGCCCUCUCUAUGGCGCUCCCUAGGGGAGUCCUACUCCCACUGGGAGUAGGAUUCCCCCUUUCCUAGUCCAACUAGGAGUCCUUCCAUGUAGUAGGAGUAGGAGACAAGGAAGGGGGAGAGGGAAGAAAAGGAAGGAGGGGGCGCAGCCCCUCCCCCUAGUCCAAUUCGGACAAGGCCUUGGGGGGGGGGGCCUGCCUCUCCCUCUCCCCUAAAGCCCAAUAAGGCCCAUAUACUUCUUCUCCCGUAUUCCCGUAACUCCCCGGUACUCCGAAAAAUACCCGAACCACUCGGAACCUUUCCGAUGUCCGAAUAUAGUCGUCCAAUAUAUCGAUUUUUACGUCUCGACCAUUUCGAGACUCCUCGUCAUGUCCCCGAUCUCAUCCGGGACUCGGAACUCCUUCGGUACAUCAAAACUCAUAAACUCAUAAUAUAACUGUCAUCGAAACCUUAAGCGUGCGGACCCUACGGGUUCGAGAACAAUGUAGACAUGACCGAGACACGUCUCCGGUCAAUAACCAAUAGAGGAACCUGGAUGCUCAUAUUGGCUCCUAAAUAUUCUAUGAAGAUCUUUAUCGGUCAGACCGCAUAACAACAUAUGUUGUUCCCUUUGUCAUCGGUACGUUACUUGCCCGAGAUUCGAUCGUCGGUAUCUCAAUACCUAGUUCAAUCUCGUUACCGGCAAGUCUCUUUACUCGUUUCAUAAUACAUCAUCUCGCAACUAACUCAUUAGUUGCAAUGCUUGCAAGGCUUAGGUGAUGUGCAUUACCGAGGGGGCCCAGAGAUACCUCUCCGAUAAUCGGAGUGACAAAUCCUAAUCUCGAAAUACGCCAACCCAACAUGUACCUUUGGAGACACCUGUAGAGCUCCUUUAUAAUCACCCAGUUACGUUGUGACGUUUGGUAGCACACAAAGUGUUCCUCCGGUAAACGGGAGUUGCAUAAUCUCAUAGUCAUAGGAACAUGUAUAAGUCAUGAAGAAAGCAAUAACAACAUACUAAAUGAUCGGGUGCUAAGCUAAUGGGAUGGGUCAUGUCAAUCACAUCAUUCUCCUAAUAAUGUGACCCCGUUAAUCAAAUGACAACACAUGUCUAUGGUUAGGAAACAUAACCAUCUUUGAUUAAUGAGCUAGUCAAGUAUAGGCAUACUAGUGAUGUUUAGUUUGUCUAUGUAUUCACACAAGUAUUAUGUUUCCGGAUAAUACAAUUCUAGCAUGAAUAAUAAACAUUUAUCAUGAAAUAAGGAAAUAAAUAAUAACUUUAUUAUUGCCUCUAGGGCAUAUUUCCUUCAGGAUGAGCACAGACAGGAGGAAUUUAACCUAAAGGCGUUGCUGUUCGUGACCAUCAACGAUUGGCCCGCUCUCAGUAACCUUUCAGGACAGACAAACAAAGGAUACCACGCAUGCACGCAUUAUUUAGAUGACACUGAAGUAUAUACCUGGACAAAUGCAGGAAGAAUGUGUACCUGGGCCAUCAUCGAUUUCUUCCGACCAACCAUCAAUGUUGAAAGAAAGGCAAGCAUUUCAAAGGCGAGGCAGAUCACCGGAAGAAGCUCGCCAUGCGUACCGGUGAUCACAUACUUGCUAUGGUCAAUGAUUUACACGUAAUCUUUGGAAAGGGUCCCGACGGACUAGCUAUUCCGAAUGACACUGAGGGACACGCACCCAUGUGGAAGAAGAAAUCUAUAUUUUGGGACCUACCCUACUGGAAAGACCUAGAGGUUCGCUCUUCAAUCGACGUGAUGCACGUGACGAAGAACCUUUGCGUGAACCUGCUAGGCUUCUUGGGCGUGUAUGGGAAGACAAAAGAUACACCUGAGGCAUGGGAGGACCUGCAAUGUUUGCACGAAAAAGAUGGCAUGCCUCCGAAGCAGUAUAAAGGUCCUGCCGGCUACGCUCUUAUGAAAGAAGAGAAAGAAAUCUUCUUUGAAUGCCUGCUCAGUAUGAAGGUCAUGACUGGCUUCUCGUCGAAUAUAAAGGGAAUAAUAAAUAUGCCAGAGAAAAAGUUUCAGAACCUAAAGUCUCAUGACUGCCACGUGAUUAUGACGCAACUGCUUCCGGUUGCAUUGAGGGGGCUUCUACCGUAAAACGUCCGAUUAGCCAUUAUGAAGCUAAGUGCAUUCCUUAAUGCAAUCUCUCAGAAGGUGAUCGAUCCAGAAAUCGUACCAAGGCUAAGGAGUGAUGUGGCGCAAUGUCUUGUCAGUUUCGAGCUGGUGUUCCCACCAUCCUUCUUCAAUAUCAUGACGCACGUCCUAGUUCAUCUAGUCGACGAGAUUGUCAUCCUGGGGCCCGUAUUUCUACACAAUAUGUUCCCCUUUGAGAGGUUCGUGGGAGUCCUAAAGAAAUAUGUCCAUAACCGUGCUAGGCCAGAAGGAAGCAUCUCCAUGGGCCAUCAAAUAGAGGAUGUUAUCGGGUUUUGUGUUGACUUCAUUCCUGGCCUUAAGAAGAUAGGUCUCCCUAAAUCGCGGUAUGAGGGGAGACUUACUGGAAAAGGCACUCUUGGAAGUAACUCAAUAAUAUGCAGGGAUAGAUAUUCUUGGUCACAAGCACACUACACAGUUCUACAGAACUCUAUCAUGGUGACCCCGUAUGUCGAUGAACACAAGAACAGUCUGCGCUCCAAACACCCAGAGCAGUGCGACGACUGGAUUACAUGUGAACACAUCAGGACUUUCAGCAGUUGGUUGGAAACAUGUCUCAGAGGUGACAACACUGUUUGUGAUGAGUUGUACUUGUUGUCCAGGGGACCUUCUUUGACUGUAUUGACUUACAAAGAAUACGAGAUAAAUGAGAAUACAUUUUACACGAUCGCCCAAGAUCAAAAGAGCACCAACCAAAACAGCGGUGUCCUCUUUGAUGCAGCAACCGAGAGCGGAAAGGACACAUAUUAUGGUUACAUAGUGGACAUAUGGGAACUUGACUACGAACAUGAUUUUAAGGUCCCUUUGUUUAAGUGCAAAUGGGUCAAUCUGUCAGGAGGCGGGGUACAGGUAGACCCACAGUACGGAAUAACAACAGUGGAUCUGAAAAAUCUUGGGUACAUUGAUGAACCGUUCGUCCUAGCCAAUGAUGUGGCACAGGUUAUCUAUGUGAAGGACAUGUCUACCAAACCGAGAAAAAGAAAAGAUAAGGAAGCGAAUACAUCAUACGAUGAGCCAAAGCGCCACAUAGUUCUUUCAGGAAAAAGGGAUAUCCUGGGAGUGGAGGGCACGACAGACAUGUCUGAAGAUUAUGAAAAGUUUCAUGAAAUUCCUCCCUUCAAUGUCAAGGCUGACCCAAGCAUCCUGAUAAACGAUGAAGAUUAUCCAUGGUUACGGCGCAAUAAGCAAAUGACACAAGCAAAGAAAAAGUGAAGACUUUCUCCCGCAACUAUUAUGAUGAUACCAUGCCAACUUUGUAACACACGAGUAUGCUAUGCCAACUUUUUCAGAGUUUAUUUGAAAACUAUGAACUUAGGUCGAAUUUUCUCUAUAGGUGCAUCUAUGUUCAUUUUUUCAAUAAAGUUAAUCACAAACUUGUGAUUCACACAAAUUUCAAAGAAUUCAAAUUUUAACUAUUCAAAUUUGAAAACAAAUGGCACUAACAGAAAGUUUAUAAUUUUUCUAAAACUAAUGGCACUAACAGAAAGUUUAUAAUUUUGCUGACCUAAAAGCAAAAUGAAUUAAAAAAUAAAGCAAAAAAAUAAAAUAAAUAAUACAGAAAAUAAAACAAAAAAACUGAAAAAAAUAAAAAUAGCAACAAUAAGUAUUUUGUUGUAAGUAGAAACAAAAUAAAAUAAAUAAAGCAACAAAGAAAACAAAAAAAACUAAAAAAGUGUUUUCAAAUUUGAAAACUAAUGGCACUAACAGAAAGNNNNNNNNNNNNNNNNNNNNNNNNNNNNNNNNNNNNNNNNNNNNNNNNNNNNNNNNNNNNNNNNNNNNNNNNNNNNNNNNNNNNNNNNNNNNNNNNNNNNNNNNNNNNNNNNNNNNNNNNNNNNNNNNNNNNNNNNNNNNNNNNNNNNNNNNNNNNNNNNNNNNNNNNNNNNNNNNNNNNNNNNNNNNNNNNNNNNNNNNNNNNNNNNNNNNNNNNNNNNNNNNNNNNNNNNNNNNNNNNNNNNNNNNNNNNNNNNNNNNNNNNNNNNNNNNNNNNNNNNNNNNNNNNNNNNNNNNNNNNNNNNNNNNNNNNNNNNNNNNNNNNNNNNNNNNNNNNNNNNNNNNNNNNNNNNNNNNNNNNNNNNNNNNNNNNNNNNNNNNNNNNNNNNNNNNNNNNNNNNNNNNNNNNNNNNNNNNNNNNNNNNNNNNNNNNNNNNNNNNNNNNNNNNNNNNNNNNNNNNNNNNNNNNNNNNNNNNNNNNNNNNNNNNNNNNNNNNNNNNNNNNNNNNNNNNNNNNNNNNNNNNNNNNNNNNNNNNNNNNNNNNNNNNNNNNNNNNNNNNNNNNNNNNNNNNNNNNNNNNNNNNNNNNNNNNNNNNNNNNNNNNNNNNNNNNNNNNNNNNNNNNNNNNNNNNNNNNNNNNNNNNNNNNNNNNNNNNNNNNNNNNNNNNNNNNNNNNNNNNNNNNNNNNNNNNNNNNNNNNNNNNNNNNNNNNNNNNNNNNNNNNNNNNNNNNNNNNNNNNNNNNNNNNNNNNNNNNNNNNNNNNNNNNNNNNNNNNNNNNNNNNNNNNNNNNNNNNNNNNNNNNNNNNNNNNNNNNNNNNNNNNNNNNNNNNNNNNNNNNNNNNNNNNNNNNNNNNNNNNNNNNNNNNNNNNNNNNNNNNNNNNNNNNNNNNNNNNNNNNNNNNNNNNNNNNNNNNNNNNNNNNNNNNNNNNNNNNNNNNNNNNNNNNNNNNNNNNNNNNNNNNNNNNNNNNNNNNNNNNNNNNNNNNNNNNNNNNNNNNNNNNNNNNNNNNNNNNNNNNNNNNNNNNNNNNNNNNNNNNNNNNNNNNNNNNNNNNNNNNNNNNNNNNNNNNNNNNNNNNNNNNNNNNNNNNNNNNNNNNNNNNNNNNNNNNNNNNNNNNNNNNNNNNNNNNNNNNNNNNNNNNNNNNNNNNNNNNNNNNNNNNNNNNNNNNNNNNNNNNNNNNNNNNNNNNNNNNNNNNNNNNNNNNNNNNNNNNNNNNNNNNNNNNNNNNNNNNNNNNNNNNNNNNNNNNNNNNNNNNNNNNNNNNNNNNNNNNNNNNNNNNNNNNNNNNNNNNNNNNNNNNNNNNNNNNNNNNNNNNNNNNNNNNNNNNNNNNNNNNNNNNNNNNNNNNNNNNNNNNNNNNNNNNNNNNNNNNNNNNNNNNNNNNNNNNNNNNNNNNNNNNNNNNNNNNNNNNNNNNNNNNNNNNNNNNNNNNNNNNNNNNNNNNNNNNNNNNNNNNNNNNNNNNNNNNNNNNNNNNNNNNNNNNNNNNNNNNNNNNNNNNNNNNNNNNNNNNNNNNNNNNNNNNNNNNNNNNNNNNNNNNNNNNNNNNNNNNNNNNNNNNNNNNNNNNNNNNNNNNNNNNNNNNGUAGAGGAAACCCUAAAUAGCAAGUAUCGUUGGUGUGAGAUACAUGUGGCUGUCGGUGUCGGACACUACGUCCACGUCUUGUGGGACGUGCAUGUAGUGUCCGACACCGACGGCCACAUGUAUCUCACACCCACGAUACUUGCUAUUUAGGGUUUCCUCUACCGCUCGGCAACCCUCGAUGACCCUCGUUCCCGAUAAAAAAAGAGGAAGAAGAAGAAAAAAAAGAGGAGAAGAAAGAAUAGAGGAGAACUCCUCUAUUCUUUCUUCUCCUCUUUUUUUUCUUCUUCCUCUUAUUUUUUUAUCCUUGAAGCAUUGUCGAGGCCACCCCAAACCCUAGAGAAGCAGCGUCGAGGCCACUAAUUAAUAUUAGUUCUACGUUUGCCACUAAUAUAUCCAUCUGUCAUGUUUGAAUAAUAAUUACCAUGUUGUAAAUAUUUGAAGAAACUAUGGACACCGCCCGAGACGAAGUACAAGAAGAGUUGUUGGGGGACAUAAUCGCACGAGGAAGUGAUGCCGUCUGCUCAUUGUUUCUCAAUGACACCGAUGGUCUGGAAGCAGCUGCUAUGAUAAUGAUGGCUCCGGUGACCUAAUGCCGGUGCAAGAAGGAGACCGUGAGGACAGCUCCGGUGACCCAAUGCCGGUGCAAGAUGGAGACCGUGAUGACGUCUCCGGUGACCGAACCGAGUCCGGCCAGGUAUAUAUAUUAGUUAAGCUUGUGCUGACUAGCUAAUUGAUGCAUUCAUUGUUUUGGUAUGUACACAUAUUAGUUAAGUCUUUGUUCUUUUUUCUAGCCCUCCGGAUCGAGCACAACUUCGGUAAAGAGACGAGGCCCGAAGAAAAAGUUGAGCUCGGAUGAAUAGUUUGAGAUCAUAGCAAUCGCGCCCGAUGGCCAACCGAUUGAACCCCUCCGGACAAAGAGCGCAUUUGUUGCUCAGUGCGGGGUUCUGGUUAGGGACAAGAUCCCGAUCAGCAUUCAGCAAUGGUUAAAGCCGGCUACAGAAGACCCUAAGGUGUCUUAUGUCAAUGAUAUGCAGAAAAAUGAUCUUUGGACUGAGCUGAAGUCAAAUUUCACCCUACCGCCAGAGGAUGAUCCGAAGAAGCCAGUUAAAGAGCAAUUAAUCAAGUCUUUUGCUCUUAAGAGGAUGGCAGAACUAUUCAGGAGGUGGAAGAAAGAGCUAAAUAAGUUUGUCGAAAAUAAAGAGACACCAGAAUUCAAGGGAAGAUAUGAGAAGAUCAGAGAUCACUGGCCCGCAUUUGUGGCCCACAAGACAUCGGAAAAGAGUAAGAAGAUGUCGGUGACAAACAAGCAAAAUGCUGCGAAGAAGAAGCAUCACCAUCGCACGGGGUCAGGUGGCUACCUCGUGGCCCGGCCUAAGUGGGCCAAGACUGAGAAUGAUCUGGUUGAUAAAGGGAUCAAACCAGAGACAAUUAACUGGCCAGACCGUUGCCGGACUUGGUUCUUCGGGGCUGGCAGAACCUUGGACCCUGUAUCAGGGAAGUGUAUUUGGACGAAUGAUCAAAUGGACAUACCAGUCAGGAAGCUUCAAUAGUAUAUCGAAGCAGCGCAGUAAGGGACGUUCUUUCCAGACAGAGAGAACGACGAGCUCACAAUGGCCCUCGGGAAUCCUGAGCACCGUGGACGGACACGAGGCACGCCAAGCUCCAUUCCGUGGAAGGUUAGGUUUCCGGACGCAGGCGGUUACAAAUGCCACGAGAGGAGGAAGAAAGUGGAGCAGACCCAACUGCAGGCGCUGCAUGCUAGGGUACAAGCGAUCGAGGAACGAGAAGCAAAUCACAGCAAACGAACUGCCGAAGCUUCCCCCGAAGCUACCCCGCCAUCUUAGCGGAGAAGCAUCAUGACUUCCACCGAGCUGCUUCAGCCGGAGCAUGUCUUGACGGCUCCUGCCAGCUAUCCCGUGGAUGCUAUCACGGAGUUUCAAAAUUGCCACCUUAUGACGCAAUGGAUUAAUAUGAAGGUCAAGGAGGCUGUUGGCUCUGUUUUUCCUACUGAACCCGACGCAACUUUUCACUGCCGGCCGAUUCCAUAAGGAUAUGCUAGGGUGAUGGUGGAUGAAAUAACGGAGGGAUUUGAGGACCUCCAGCUUGACCACCCUACCGGUGAAGGGGAGACUCGGCUGGGUUUUGCUCUGAAGACUCCAUGCCUAUGGCGGAAGGAGCUCAUCAACCUUCCGAACUGGACGCCUCCGCCCGCUCCUCCUCCUCCGGCGAGUCAGGGCACUCCGCCUCCUCCACCGCCUCCUCCUCCGGCGAGUGACGAUCAGGGCACUCGGCCGACUCCUUGUCCGGCGCGUGGCGGCACUCCGCCUCCUUCUCCGCCUGCGCCGGCGUGCCCGAGCAGCCAGCCUCCUCAUUCUCCGCCUCGUCAGCAAGGGCGGAAGAGACCUGCCGCCGCUCCGGCUGCUCCGACGCGUCGUAGUCCUUCUCCUCCGCCUCGUAAGAAAGUAAACAAGACAACCGCUCCGUCUGCUCUAUCGGCGUCUAGCAGUACAACCAGAGGUGGGAGGACAUACACAUUCGGUCCUUCUCUGAAGACUCCAGAGAAGUUACCAUACGAGAGGACCCCGGAGGAGAACGCUGAGAUCGCGUGAGAAGAAGUGAGGAACUUCUUUGAAGGGGUGAAAGCAAAGAAACAUCCACCUCCGGAGGAGAAGGUAGAUCCGGUGAAAGCGAAGCGCACUCUGGCUGCCCUGACAAAACCACCCAAGACUCUGUCGAAAGGCAACUAUGAGCGCAUUAUUGGAAAGGAAUUUGUCGAAGCGGAGCGGUCGGGAAGUACUGUUAGUGAUCAAAGGCUGAAAGAACGACGAGCUGGGAAACAAAUUGCCCAGCUCGGCGAACAAGCGAAGCAAUCAUGCCCCCCGCUCAAGGUGCCUAGCGACAUCGAUGCUAAUGAUCCGAGGAUGGUGCCCGGUUAUAGCAAUCUUGGAGAUUACCUGCCCGACGAUGUACAUUAUGAUUUCAUGGAGGUGCAGAUACAAAGAUAUGAGUACGGGAAGCCUCUCGUUAAAGAUGAAAGGUCUCUAUCAACGAUGAUGCGAAGAUUGCAUGAUUGGUACUUGAAAAUCUACAGAGAGUCUGGGGGGAGGAGUACUUUGUAUGUGAGAGUUAAAAAGGAGCAUGACCUCGUUGGAAUUGAACUGUUGCCUAUUCUAUUUGAGGAGUUCUUUCAGUUUUUCAAUCAAUUGGCCCUCGAUAAAGCAACGGUCACCUGCUACUGCCUGUAAGUAGUUCUACUUCUGUCAUAAAGUGUCUCUAUAUAGCUCAGCUCUUUCAUUGCAUGUAUUUAUAAUUAUCCUCACUAUAUUAUGCAGAUUGAAGAUCGCCGAAUUGAAGGAAAGACAAAUCGGUGAUAUUGGGUUCAUUAACACAAAUCUCAUAGAUGCAACUCAGGUUAAAUUUCAUGCUGCAGAUACCGAGGCCAACUUGCUACGAUCGUUGGUAAUAAAUGAAAACAAAGAUAUAAUACUCUUUCCUUACAACUUCAAGUGAGUGUUACUGUCUUGUGCAUAUUCGGUUUCCCUUACAGUCAAGGUUAUAGUAAUGUAAUUGAUGAGUUAUGCAUGCGUGUGCAGUUUCCACUAUAUUCUCCUAGAGAUUAAGCUUGAGCAGGGACUAGUAACCGUCUUAGACUCAAGACGAAAAGAUCCCCAGGACUAUGCGGACAUGACUCAAAUGCUCGAGGAGUAAGUUAAAUCGAUCAUUAUCCACCAUAUCAGCAACUUUGUUCAUUUCCUGAUAUAUCAAGUAAUUGUUUUCUUUGUCUGUCAGGGUUUGGAGAAAAUUCACCAAAAGAGCUCCGGGACUGCCGAAGAAGCUGGAAUUUAGACACCCGGAAGUAAGUACUACAGUAGCAUGUUCCGCGCAUCUCCUAGUGAUUCAAGUGCUAGUUUCAUCAAUACCAUUUGGCAUUCUUGCUUAUCAGUUUGAUUGACCUUUAUUUCUUGUAAAGUGGUUGUGGCAGGAACAAGGGAAUGAUUUCUGUGUAUACUACGUUUGCGAGUCCAUCCGCCACACGACCUGUGAGCGGGGCUACUCUGACGAACAAUAUGAAGUGCGUAAAUAACAAUAUUCACAAUUUUAUUUUAUUACCAUCAUUUAUGUUGAGUUUCAUUCAUUCAUACAUAUAUAUAUUGACCCCCUUCUUCAAAUUAGAUGUUUCGGAAGUGGGAUGAACUCCUAGCACCAGCUCGCAUGCGAGCAAUUUAAGAGGAAUUGGUGGCAUUCUUUCUUGACCACGUGAUCGCUGAAGACGGAGAAUACUAUGUGGACCGUGCGUCUGUAUGUUAGGAGAUUAUAUUUGUAAGAGAUAAUUAUUGUAUAUAUGUAGCCGGUAGUGUCGGAUAGAUAUACGAGAACUUGUUGUUCGACCAAUCUCUUGGAGAAGGAGAGGUGGUCGAUAUCGCUUCUCUCUGUAUGCAUAUAUGUUCAUGACGAUCUUUUGUUUCCUUCGUUUGCUUACUAGCUAGCUAGCGUGUCUAGUCCUCUCUAUACGUAUGUAUAGUACGUAGCGUCGACCAAGCACGGACAUAAGAGAGGACACUUCUCUCUAUUAAUUAUAGCUAGCUAACACAAUAUAUGAAACACCUAAAUUAACCCCCCAAAACCCCCAAAACCCCCCUCCCCCCCGCCCCUUAAAAAAAUAAAAAUCCCAGCCACAGAAAUGCUGACGCGUGGAUGCCUAUUGGUCUCGGUUGGUGCCACCAACCGGGACCAAAGACCCUCCUGCCUGGGCUCCGCGCACAGGCCACGAGGAGGCCCAUCUGUCNNNNNNNNNNNNNNNNNNNNNNNNNNNNNNNNNNNNNNNNNNNNNNNNNNNNNNNNNNNNNNNNNNNNNNNNNNNNNNNNNNNNNNNNNNNNNNNNNNNNNNNNNNNNNNNNNNNNNNNNNNNNNNNNNNNNNNNNNNNNNNNNNNNNNNNNNNNNNNNNNNNNNNNNNNNNNNNNNNNNNNNNNNNNNNNNNNNNNNNNNNNNNNNNNNNNNNNNNNNNNNNNNNNNNNNNNNAUAUGAAUCGUCCAGCAGGGAAACAACAAGAGUCACCAGCCCUUCCUCAAUUUUAAGAACAUCGAUGUAUGUACCAAUUCAUCUCUUCUGCUUUCUUUAUGCAUCAUGAUGAAACAUCCAUAGUUCGUUUCUUAUUUCUUUCUUAGAUUGAUCCCGACAUGUUCCAUAUGGUAGCCAUUGUUUGUUUCUUUGUCACUGAAAACACCAUGCUCGAGCAUCAACAUGCAUAUCUGUGUACUGGCUGUAUUCACAUGUGUCUUGACCGCGCCUCCAUUCCCAAUGGUCCAAGGAGACAUCUCACCUCCUCAACUCCUAUUAGUAGUGGCCCGAUUAACUUUUGCUGCCUCCGGUUCUUAGAUUAUGCAAUAAACAUAGUCUGUACAUCAGGUGAAUAUAGUUUCUUAUCUGAUUGUGUUUGGGAUACCUCCUUAUUGAUAUACUGGUGAUCCACGUUCCCAUAUUGCAGCAUUAUAUUUUCUAAGAUAAGCUUGCAACUUCUGUUCCGUGUACAACUGAACAGAGAAGCAUAUGAUAUCUGAUAUUGUGGUCUCAAGCUAUAUGUUUCUUUAUUUGUUUGGUACAUACUCGAAAAAUGUCCGCCAGAUCAGAGGAAGCAAUUUAUUUUUGUACAAGAGAACAGAGAUUCAAAUUAAAUGUGGAGGAGAGUAUAUUCACCGGCCAUAGAUUCUGUGAUAAAUUUGUUUGCCGGAGAGAAUGGUGUGUAGUCAGCAGUAACAGGACAUGAUCAUCAGGUCUGAGAGAGAGAGGGAGAUGUCAGGAGUAUGUGGUAUCUACUUCUCCACAAGCACCAACAAGACGCAUUGACUAUUUAUGUUGAUUUGCAGUUGAGGUUUCAUGGGUUGUUGAUAUUCCAUUUUAACUGUUGCUUUGAUAAAAAUGGUUGCUGCAAAAUCAUGCAUUAUAUAACAAAAAGGUUAAGGAUUUGAGGUAAUGUUCUUUCUUUACACUUAUAUGGUGACAUAUCUUAUAUCUUAUAAUUGGAGGCUCCAGGUCUAAUCAUGCAAAACCAAAUUAUACCUGUUCGAUAUCCUGAGUAUUGUCUGACCAUAUAUCAUUAUCUGAAGGAGUGCCACGUCCAACUAAAAAAAUUUAAAAAGUUUGGUAAAAAAAUAGAGGGUCAUAAAAAAAUAGGAGUCCCACGUCCAAGUAAAAAAGUAGGACAAAAUAGAGUCUGAAGGAGUCCCACGUCCAACUAAAAAUAUAGAGGAGUCUGGUAAAGAAAUAGAGGAGUCCAGUCAUAAAAAAAAACAUGAGUCCCACGUCAUGUCUUCCUCUGCCCUUUUCCUCGCACGAAUUGGACCCUCCUUAAACGCAUCCUUCUAUCUUCAUCUAUCUCUCAUGCUGCUCCACAGCCUCCCGUUAAACGUGAUGGUUUUAUCUUUCAGGCCGCAGUACUCCUGAUCAUGGUAUUCUUCAUGGUCGCAUUAUCUCAAGGCUAGGUAUGACCAGCUCCCACCAUCUCGUGUUUUUCAAUAUGCGUCUCCACAUCUGAGGUUCUGGUCUCAACGAGGAGGCUCAUCUCCGAGGUAGUUAUGUAUUUGAUUACAAUUAUUAUCUCAGGUAGGAAGAGAAUUUGUUCUUUCGAUAAUUAAAAGAGGAACAAAGGAUGUAAUGUAAUCAUCCAUAGAUUUCUCAUUUUUUUAUCCUACACACACCUUCAAUAGCUGUCCACCUCCAUGUAGUUGCCACCACUCUUUGAGGUCUGUUUGACACGGGAAAGAUAUCUAGGUCUCCGUGAGAAGGGGAGAGGGAGUGUAUUUCUCUCAUACACCGGGGAAAGAAAAAAACAUGCAGGCGUGCCAGUGUAUACACAAAGAAAAGGGUACGGGAAACGAGUAUUUCAUUAAUCUUAUUGGCAAAACAAAAUUACAAGAUCCCAUAAACAAAUAGUGUGCUCGGUGGCCUACUAGCGCGGCUAGCCUGACUGUGGUGAUUGCGGUCUCCUGGUUCCCGGGGCCUCGGAAGACUCCCGGUUAAUUACUCCCGCAGGAUACCUCCGAUUAAGCCGUGUGGUCAUCUUUGUCGUCUUCGCUUCGCGUUCUCCAUGCAUGAUGAUGGUGAUGUGUGUGUCGGCGGUGGCAAAGCCCGUUUCCUCAUUGGUACACGCGCCGCAUGUAGCGUGGCCUGGUGGUCGUGCCCGCCCUCACCGUCGUGCCUCGUCGGUCUUGGCGGCGUUGGAGUAGUUGGUGUUGGGGUAGCAUGGGUCGCGCUCGGCUUAGACUUCUCGACGUCCGGUUACUUCAUCAGGGUGUGCAAGGGGCUACACCUUGCGGGAGUAAUGGUUUGGGGAGGCCAGCGUCAGUGUACAAACUAACGCACGCUCACAUGGGCGUGGCCGGGGUGGUCGGCGAGCUACGGUUCCGCCACACCGUCUCCUUCAAGAACGUAGUGCAAAAGCUAUACGCCUAUGAUCUGUUCGCCAUUGAACUAUCUGUCGGGGACGUGCGCCUCAUGAAGGAGGGGCCGGUCGUGAGCCGCGUCGCUGUGGACACUGGUUCCGUUGAGAAUAUGUACGUCAUGAAGGUAAAGGCGCGUCUCGGGCUGCAUCGUCGGCGAGCUCCGGUUUCACCACGCCGUCUCCGGCAAAGAACAUGAUACCUGAAACGAAAGUCUUGGGUAGGCAAAGCUUCGACGGCGUCGGUGCGGCUUUCUUGGUUGGUGAUGACUUUGUGCUCGAUGCAUGCUGAUGCAAAGGUGAGAGAGGAGAAAAAGAAAUAAGACGAUCGCCUCACCAUCCGGGAACGUGAGCCCCGCCUCCAUGCAUGUCACGGUCGGCUAGUUCCUCCUGGCGCUUGUACGGGACGGUCGUCGGUGUUGGUGUCGCACGCGUGGUGACUUGAUGUGCGGUGCUCCGAGAACUCCCUCGCCGCCGAGCGCCUCCGCGAGAUGCGAUCUCCGCCUCCGGGUCUCUGGUUGCUGCGUUCCUCCUGUGAUGGAUGGGUGUGGGCGCUGGUGAAUGGAUGGAUGUUGGAGGUGCGCAUGAUGGAUGUUUGCGAGCGUGGGUUCUCCCCUCACUGGCCGUGCAUGAACCCUGGGGCGCGCAGAUGUGAAAGGCGGCGGCCUUGCGGCGUCUAUGCGUGCAUGCCUCUCUUAGGUCUUCCUCGAUGCGUACCUCUCUCCAGCGAAACCUAAUAAAACAAUGAAACAAAACAAAACACGUAUUGCGGGAACAAGAGAAAGAUAAGGGCGUGCUACCCAGCACCUCCUUGUGUCUGGCCAUCAUCAUCGACGUUUGAUCUUGCUUGAGGUCAGAGUGGCGCGGUUGCCACAGCCGACGUGCCGGCCAGCCUUGCGCCAUCUCGACGGCUGUCAUUUCUGGUCAUUUGAUCGGCAGCGGGGCUGCCAUGUUCAUCGACGCUGCCGCCACAGGCGCGUCUUCUCCUUGCUCUGGUGUGCCCCGAUGCGAUCUCACGGUGGCCUUCCUCCGGGUCUUCCCUCGGCUGUUCUUUCUUGAUGUUUCUCUUGAUGCGAUCUGAUGUAUUAAGAGCAGAAAAAAAAAGGAACGAGUCAUUGAAGAGAAGAGCACCAUACGUGCCCUUGCAUGUAUGUGUCAUGCAUCUCGAGAUGUCUCCACGCUUUCUGAAGAGCAAGCCUGACUUGACACGCAACGGCAUUGUGUGUGUUGCCGUCACCGUCGUCGGGCUUGGACAGGUGCCACUGCCGCUGCCGCGGCGUCCUCUCACCGGUCUUCUUGCAUGGGUCAUGGGUACUUGCAUCGUUGCGACGGAGCCGCCGGCCGUACGCGCCGCCGCCAUAGACGCGUCAUCUCCGUCCCGAUCUUGCCGAUGCUGCCGCCAGGGGCGCAUCUCCUCCUGGCCCUCUCCCCUGUUGUUGCAGAAAUGGAACCACCGGAGCACGACGAACACUGGAGACAAGAAAGAAACCAGGGGGAGGCAACACACAAGAUUUCCAGGCGCUCGAACACCUCGCCGCACGGACGGCUCCUGUGUAUUUCCGGAGAGCUCGAACUCGACUCCCCACUGUUACAAUGACCAACACAUGGGUUUUAUACCCAGGCACACGAUAGACACGUUCUUCACGCCCCUGCCUGCUCGCGCCCACGACCCAGCUCGCUCUGGCCGCGUCCUCCGCGUGCGCCCGCAACGCACACGACGCGCCGAGCCUUCCCGAUCGCCACGCUCACCCUGGACCUGGUCUCUAACAGCCCCAUACACACACGCAUCCUAUGCACCACACGUGAACACACACACGCACACACACCACGGCCAGCAUGCGGCCAGAACCACACCUGGCACAUCCAGUGCACGCACACACGCACGGUUUAUUGGCUAACAUCCCCGGCUGUUCUUCUCGUGUAGUAUCUGAUAGAUGAAAACACAUAGUAACGAAAUAAAAUUAGUGCUCCCGUUUCUUCAUCUCCUUGGGCGCCUGUGUGCUUGUCGUGGGCAGGCCGCUGCCCGCUGCAUGGUCUGCGAUAGCGCGGCCGCGGGUGCGCGGUCGCCUCCUAGGUUGCCUUCCUUCUGGAGUAUUCAGUUGGCAGUAAGUUAGAACCCAAAUAUAUGUGUGAAAUCAAGACUUGGCUCAUGACCAGAUUAUCAGUUGGGAGCAGCCGAGAACCAGCAGGGGUAUUCGACAUCUCCAGCGGCAGCACGUAAUUAGUCCUGACAGUGGCAUUUGGAUUCCCAGCAUGGAUCAAUCAAACAACUGUGUUAGUACACUUUGAGUUUAGUGGAGGACUUAUAGAUGGUUUCCCUAUGUUAGCCAAUGUAAUAAGUUGACAUUUUGGCAUGGACAUGAUUCGAUCACUUCUAUUGUUUCUUUUGAAUACAUCCUAAUGAAACCUCCGAUUGUCUAUACUUCCGCCUUGCAGCAUUAAUUAAGCAAAGGUAUGAUGCCCAGACUUUUAAUAGUUUGUAUAUAUAUUGACAUUAAAGUUAUAUAUUGACAUUAAAGUUAUUAUGUCUCGGAUUUGUACAUAUAUUGACAACUUCUCGGAUUUGUCGAUAUUAUGUCUAUAGUGUAAUAUUUAUUUCGAAGAUCAUCAUCCAUGCAAAUGAUUAGGCUAACUUCCUGGAUUUGUCGACCGUCCAUCCACAAGGUUUGGCUUUCAUCUCAUCCAACGGCACUAUGUAGUCCCUGAAUUGGCAUUGUUACAUGGAGGAAUCAAAUAACUUAGUCGGAUCACACUAAGAUAUAUACAUGGCUUUACAGAUGUGUAAAUGAGAUCCAGAAGGAUAUGCAUCGCCUCCAGCAGAUUAAUGUAAUCCCUGCAGUGGCACUACUACAAUAAUACAUAAACACCAGAGUGCUAUUAUCAAGUUUCAGUACUUUGAGGUUUCGAGCAGGCUUUACAGAUGUGUUUAUAUAUAUUUCACCCAUGUUAGCCAAUGGAAUCAGUUGAAUACUCUAUUUUUCUGUCUGUAAGGGUUGUGUGUAUGGCACAUGUUAGAAAUUGGGAAAUUUUGGCUUUCAUGAUACUAAUUACACCCUUCCUUUGAUCGAAUUUGUAUACAGUCUGUCCUUUUCGUCCCUAACAAUCAGCCCUAUAUUUUACUGCAUAUUCAUGCUCUAAUGUCAUGUUUUUGAUGCCUUGCAUAGGGAAACAAUCAUGGAGUAACAUUCAGGUUGUACAUAUGGAGUAAUGAUUUUUGAAAAUAGUUAAAAUGGCUUAGUAUUGGUACAGUUUGUGCCGUCUGUUUGACAUGUUUCAGAACUUCUCUUUCCAUAGGAAUAUUUGCAGCUUUUUAUUUCUUCAGCAGGAUUACACACUGACAAUGAUUAUUGCAUCUUCAUAAACAAUCUCACAUGAUUUAGGUUGCUUUUGUUAUUGUGAUGAAUUCUGCUAAUCCGGCUGCACAAACCCAGUUUUCCCCGUUUUAGUAUUUGUUCGAUUCUAUUUUUUCUACUUUUGUGCCUAAUUUUUCAGAGAAGACUAUAAAAUAAUCACAGCACAGUUCAGUGACUGUGGAUCCUAAAAAACUAAGCGCUUCGAGUUUCUUUGUUCCCUGAUAUUGCUCAUAUUUUCCUUGAAUUUCCACAGUACAGGUUUCGAUUUACCUAUAAUUAUUUUAAUUUAUUGUUUGAGAUGUAUUGCGAAAUUCUGAAGGAUAAUAAAUUAAUGACAGGGGCUUAAAGAAAACAAAUGUCAAUGCAAUAUAGUAAUUUCAACCUAACUAAGUGUAAAACAUAUGGGUAGGACGUUGUGCAAUGUAGUAAUUUUUUAAUAUUGUUCUGAGACAAUCCUUAGUGGAGUACAUAUUGAACAGCAACACUACCUUUGACACUGGCUAAAAAACUUUGUGUGACACAAUUAUGAAAAUAUUUGAUGGUAACAGAUUAACAUAGGAGUCACAAAGAAUGCAUCUUCACACAACUAUAAUUAAGAAACAAUAUUACAUGUUUCUAAAUGAUCAUUUUCAAAAAGUUUAUAAUACCUUAUUUCAUUUGCAAUUUUUCUUCUUCUGUUUAUCAUGUAAAAUCCUAGCCCGUGCUGCUGCACGGGUUGAUGACUAGUGAAUAUGCUCCAUGUUUUUUCUCACAAUGAUAUAUUAAUUCAUCAUGGACAUAAUGAUAUAACAACCUCUUAAUUGGUACUGUAUCAAAAUUUGCAUAACGGCGUAUAAAUACACUAAAAAAUGAAAAACAGAAUAGUGGUAGCGCGGGGCAUGAAAAACGCUACUACUAGUUAGAUUAGCAGUAGCGCUUGUACGGAAGGCGCUACCACUAAGUGGCUAUAACAGUAGCGCGUGUAGGAACGCGCUACUGCUAAGUGUUAGCCGUACUGCCGUAUCAGUAGCGCGGUACCCCGCGCUACUAAUAGCCCUCAGACCCGCGCUACUGCUAGGCUUUUCCCUAGUAGUGUAAGGGUCCCUCGCUGUUGUCGAACGCAUGGUCCUGGGAGAAGAAUGGAGGAGGCGGAGACUACGACCCAGCAGCCGCGGGACGCGCUUGUCGCCACCGCACUGCGCGUCAUUGUGUAGAGGGUUGUGGUCGCCCGACGGAGGCGAGGGGCCCGGGAGCUUGAUACGCCUCCAACGUAUCUAUAUUUUUUAAUUGUUCCAUGCUAUUAUAUUAUCUAUUUUGGAUGUUAAUGGGCUUAUUUAUACAUUUUAUAUUAUUUUUGGGACUAACCUACUAACCCAAGGCCCAGUGCAAAUUGCUUUUUCCCUAUUUCAGUAUUUCGCAGAAAAGGAAUAUCAAACGGAAUCCAAACGGAAUAAAACCUUCGGGGGGCUUAUUUUUGGAACAAAUGUAAUCCAGGGGACUUGGAGUGGACGUCAAGCAACCAACAAGGAGGCCAUGAGGCAGGGGGCGUGCCUACCCCCUUGGGCGCGCCCUCCCCCCUCGUGGACCCCUCGUGGCUCCAUCGACCUACUUCUUCCUCCUAUAUAUAUUCAUAUACCCUAAAACAUCCAGGAGCAUCAGAAAACCCUAUUUCCACCACCGCAACCUUCUGUACCCAAGAGAUCCCAUCUUGGGGCCUUUUCCAGAGCUCCGCCGGAGGGAGAAUCGAUCACGGAGGGCCUCUGCAUCAACUCCAUGGCCCCUCCGGUGAUGUGUGAGUAGUUUACCUCAGACCUUCGGGUCCAUAGUUAUUAGCUAGAUGGCUUCUUCUCUCUCUUUGGAUCUCAAUACAAUGUUCUCCUUGAUCUUCUUGGAGAUCUAUUUGAUGUAACUCUUUUUGUGGUGUGUUUGUCGAGAUCCGAUGAAUUGUGUGUUUAUGAUCAAGUUUAUCUAUGAACAAUAUUUGAUUCUUUUCUGAAAUCAUUUAUGUAUGAUUGGUUAUCUUUGCAAGUAUCUUCGAAUUAUCAGUUUGGUUUGGCCUACUAGAUUGAUCUUUCUUGCAAUGGGAGAAGUUCUUAGCUUUGGAUUCAAUCUUGCGGUGUCCUUUUCCAAGUGACAGCAGGGGCAGCAAGGCACGUAUUGUAUUGUUGCCAUCGAGGAUAAAAAUAUGGGGUUUAUAUCAUAUUGCUUGAGUUUAUCCCUCUACAUCAUGUCAUCUUGCCUAAUGCAUUACUCUAUUCUUAUGAACUUAAUACUCUAGAUGCAUGCUGGAUAGCAGUCGAUGUGUGAAGUAAUAGUAGUAGAUGCAGAAUCGUUUCGGUCUACUUGUCGUGGACGUGAUGUCUAUAUACAUGAUCAUGCCUAGAUAAUCUCAUAACUAUGCACUUUUCUAUCAAUUGCUCGACAGUAAUUUGUUCACCCACCAUAAUACUUAUGCUAUCUUGAGAGAAGCCACUAGUGAAACCUAUGGCCCCCGGGUCUAUCUUUUAUCAUAUAAGUUUCCAAUCUAUUUUAUUUAUCAAUCUAUAUAAUAAAAAUACCAAAAAUAUUGAUCUUAUUAUUAUUAUCUCUAUCACAUCUCACUUUCGUAAGUGACCGUGAAGGGCUUGACAACCUCUUUAUCGCUUUUGUUGCGAGGUUCUUAUUUGUUUGUGUAGGUACGAUGGACUUGCGUGUAGUCUCCUACUGGAUUGAUACCUUGGUUCUAAAAAACUGAGGGAAAUACAUAUGCCGCUUGAUACGUCUCCAUCGUAUCUACUUUUCCAAACACUUUUGCCCUUGUUUUAGACACUAACUUGCAUGAUUUGAAUGGAACUAACUCGGACUGACGCUGUUUUCAGCAGAAUUUCUAUGGUGUUAUUUUUGUGCAGAAAUAAAAGUUCUCAGAAUGACCUGAAAAUCAAUGGAGAAUUAUUUUGGAAUAUAUAAAAAAUACUGGAAGGAAGAUCCACGUCAAGGGGGCCUCCACCUGUCCACGAGGGUGGGGGGCUCACCCUACCCCCCUGGGCGCGCCCCCCGCCUCGUGGGCCCACCCGACGCUCCACCGACCUCAACCCUGACUCCAUAUAUUCACUUUCGGGGAGAAAAAAACCAGGGAGAAGGAUUCAUCAUGUUUUACGAUACGGAGCCGCCGCCAAGCCCUAAACUCUCUCGGGAGGGCUGAUCUGGAGUCCGUUCGGGGCUCCGGAGAGGGGAAUCUGUUGCCAUCGUCAUCAUCAACCAUCCUCCAUCACCAAUUUCAUGAUGCUCACCGCCGUGUGUGAGUAACUCAAUCGUAAGCUUGCUGGAAGGUGAUGGGUUGGAUGAGAUUUAUCAUGUAAUCGAGUUAGUUUUGUUAGGGUUUGAUCCCUAGUAUCCACUAUGUUCUGAGAUUGAUGUUGCUAUGACUUUGCUAUGCUUAAUUCUUGUCACCAGGGCCCGAGUGCCAUGAUUUCAGAUCUGAAUCUACUAUGUUUUCAUCAAUAUAUGAGAGUUCUUGAUCCUAUCUUGCAAGUCUAUAGUCACCUACUAUGUGUUAUGAUCCGGCAACCCCGAAGUGACAAUAAUCGGGACCACUCCCGGUGAUGACCGUAGUUUGAGGAGUUCAUGGAUUCACUAUGUGUUAAUGCUUUGGUCCGGUACUCUAUUAAAAGGAGGCCUUAAUAUCCCUUAGUUUCCAAUAGGACCCCGCUGCCACGGGACGGUAGGACAAAAGAUGUCAUGCAAGUUCUUUUCCAUAAGCAUGUAUGACUAUAUUCGGAAUACAUGCCUACAUUACAUUGAUGAAUUGGAGCUAGUUCAUGUCACCCUAGGUUAUGACUAUUACAUGAUUGAUCGCAUCCGGCAUAAUUCUCUAUCACCGAUCCAUUGCCUACGAGCUUUCCAUAUAUUGUUCUUCGCUUAUUUACGUUUUCAUUGCUAUUGUUGUUAUCACUACAAAACACCAAAAAUAUUACUUUUGCCACUGUUACCUUUUACCACCAUUACCACUACUAUCAUAUUAUUUGCUACUAAACACUUUGCUGCAGAUAUUAAGUUUCCAUGUGUGGUUGAAUUGACAACUCAGCUGCUAAUACUUGAGAAUAUUCUUUGGCUCCCCUUGUGUCGAAUCAAUAAAUUUGGGUUGAAUACUCUACCCUCCAAAACUGUUGCGAUCCCCUAUACUUGUGGGUUAUCAAGACUAUUUUCUGGCGCCGUUGCCGGGGAGCAUAGCUCUAUUCUUUGAGUCACUUGGGAUUUAUAUCUUCUUAUCAUUAUGAAGAACUUGAAAGAUCCAAGAACCAAGAUUUAUCCCUCAACUAUGAGGGGAGGUAAGGAACUGCCAUCUAGCUCUGCACUUGAUUCACCUUUUGUUUUGAGUAAGCUUGUGACACCUAAACCUGCUUCUGCUAUUAAUUCUGAUAUGCCGCAUGUUAUUGAUGACGCCACUUCUGCUAUGCAUGAUACUUAUGAUGAAACUACUUCUAUGCUUGAUACUACUUUGCCACUUGGUGAAUUUUCUUGAUGAACAACUUGCUAGGGCUAGAGAGAAUGAAAUUAUUGAAACUGAUAAUAUUGAUGAAAGUGAUGAUGAAGAUUCUCCCCCUAGAUAUGAAUUGACUGUUGUUCCUGAGGGUUAUGUUAUGGAUGAAGAAACUGCUAGAGACUUUCUUGCUUGCAAUGAUAGGAGUGAUCUUAAGAAACUAUUAGCUAAGCUGAAACAAAAAACUCUGAAUGCUAGAAUGAAAUAUGAUCCUGCUUAUGCUACUUCACCUAUCUUUGUUACUGAUAAGGAUUAUGAUUUCUCUGUUGAUCCUGAGAUAAUUACUUUAGUUGAAUCUGAUCCUUUCUAUGGUUAUGAAUCUGAAACUGUUGUGGCACAUCUUACUAAAUUAAAUGAUAUAGCUACCCUGUUCACUAAUGAUGAUAAAACUCACUAUUAUUAUAUCCUUAAAUUAUUUCCGUUCUCAUUAAAGGGUGAUGCUAAGAUAUGGUUUAAUUCUCCUGAUCCUGGUUGUGUGCGUAGUCACCAGGAUAUGAUUUAUUACCUCUCUGCUAAAUAUUUCCCUGCUCAUAAGAAACAAGCUGCUUUAAGGGAAAUAUAUAAUUUGUGCAAAUUGAAGAAGAGAGUCACCCACAAGAUUGGGGGAGGCUUCUCCAAUUACUUAAUGCUUUCCCUGAUCAUCCUCUUAUGAAAAAUGAAAUACUUGAUAUCUUUUAUAAUGGACUAACCGAUGCUUCAAGAGACCACCUGGAUAGUUGUGCUGGUUGUGUUUUCAGGGAAAGAACACCAGAUGAAGCUGGAAUUCUAUUGAAUAAUAUGUUGACUAAUGAAAAUAAUUGGACACUUCCUGAUCCAAUCCCUGAUUCAAUUCCUGAACCAACUCCUGAGCCAACUCCAAAGAAGAGGGGUAUUCUAUUUCUCAGUCCUGAAGAUAUGCGAGAGGCAAAGAAAUCUAUGAAAGAAAAAGGUAUCAAAGCUGAAGAUGUUAAGAAUUUACCUCCUAUUGAAGAAAUACAUGGUCUUAAUUUACUGCUUGUUGAAGAAAUACAUGCUUUUGAUAACCCGACACAGGUAGUAAAGGUAAAUUCUCUCUAUUGAUAUGAUAAAGCUGAAAUCCCAUCCUAUAUACCUAAGAGAUUCAUCCCUACUAUCAUAUUUAUCUCCACAUGCAAGCUAUCCACAUCAGCCAUGCAGCCAUGUCAGCCCGUCUAAUGCUUUUCAUUUGAGGUUCAUGCCACAUCAUUCCUUUGCUGCCGCCUCCACAAGGUGGAGAGUGGCUACCUUCCCCCACAACGCAUGGGUUGUACGAAUCCAUUCCUGGCCAAUUAACUGCCCCAACCAUUAAUUUAAUCUCUAUAUUCUACUAUUCAUCUUCUCUCCCAUAUGCAUUGGAGUACUAUUCAUCUUCUCUGCCGAAUUAAAGGCAGCCCUUUCCUUUUCUGUUAUAAUGAACUAUGUCAUUUGACUGUUUUAUCUCCCAUACAGUACGUGAUUGUUCCUUUUCGUCUUCCAUCCAUCGAUCAUAAAUAGAUGCGCAUUGGUUCCUGCACAAAGCAAAGCACCGCCACCUCCUGCCUCGCCACUCCUACCCUCCCUCAUGAUACCCUGAUCCAUCCCCUCUCCUUUGUCCAGCCCCUGCACAAGUCACUCAGGAGGCCUUCGUCCCACUUCCCCCCAUCCCCUCUUCUCCCGAUCCAACCCCCUGCGUGAGCUGGAGGAGGAGGAUUGCGCGAGCUAGAGAACUCCAGUACCCUCCAACCCCACCAUCGUGAGGCCUUCUUUCCCGAUCCGUAGGUAGGUAGACGACCAGAUGGCGAGGACGGGGCCCUGCUCACUGUCGCCUCAUCCCCACCAAUAUUGAGGCUGAUCCGCUCCUACACGCCGUCGGAGAACUCCGCGAGGAUAUGUCCGCCCGAGCCAGAGGUAGAUGGCGAGGACGAGGGGCUGCUCGUCACCGCCUCAUCUCCUAGUGUUCGAGUCUGAUCCGCUCCUGCAUGUCGUUGGGAAUCCCAUGCCAAGGUCAAUCUGCUCCAACACAUGCGUUUGCCAUGACAUGGUGAUAGCUACGAGCAUCUUAUCCACAACUCUCUUUUCUUCCUAUUCAUUUCUUUCUGUGGAUUUAUCUGGUGGAUGCAUCAGCUGAGUGGAUUCUUCUUAAAUUGUUUCAGCUAGACUGCUGCUGUUAUCCAUCGGGGGAUAUUAUAUUUAUACCAAGUGCCGCUCUGAUUCGUCACACAUACAACAUCAGAGGUGUAUUCAUCUUUAAGCUGGAUGAUCAUGUUUCCAUUUCAAUCGAACCUAUUCUGAUAUUGUUAGUUUACUUGGUACAAAUAAAUUCUUGUCCAUUUUGUGCACCGAACCAAGCAGCUAGCUACUGGUGUGUCAACGAUUAAAGGUAAAUUCCUCAUUAUGGCCCAGUUAGAAUUAUACAAAUAUUUAACAUGUAUUGGGUUAUUAACGUAUAGCUGUUUUGAGUGCUCUUAACUCAUCUGAUGCUGGGAAUUUGUAGACUGCAACUAAGGAUCAACUUACCUAGAAAGACAACACAGAAGGACCGGAUGCAUUAUGCACUGCUUGGGUGCACCAUUGGCGCCGAGGAAUGCAGCUGACAAGUUUUCAUGCAUAAUUACUUUGUGUUGCAAACAAAUUCUGACUUCAAUGCGAUAAUUCGGACCUCAAUCCUUAUGAUAAGUACUCAUGCUCUUUUAAGACAAAUGCAUCGCGACAAAGAAAUUGGUACUCACUUUGCAAAAAUGAGAGAGAACGGAAUUUGUUCUUUUGGUUGAUACUAGAGCUCCACCACUUCACUGGCACAUAUUAUUGUAAGCAGCUAUGAUGGCCAAUCUUUUUUAUAGUUAGCAUUCUUUGUGUAGAUCGCAAGCAUGCAGAUACGAAGAUUGAUUUACUACAAUAAUUACUAUAACUAUCUCAAAAAGGCAUUUGUAUAUAACCUUUCAUAUUGUGCGCAUUUCAGAAACUCCUUUAGCGUGUUGAUAUACAUUAAUAUAAAUAUGAGUCACACAAGAUGGCUUAUGUCCUAUAUUUAGUCAAGAAAUGAUCGCAUAAUUCACAUUUUGCAGUAUUUAUAUUUGUACCAAGUAUUGUGUCCAUUGCAAAAAAUAUCUUAAGUAUGUAAAUACACUAUGCAAAGAGUUGUUCAAAUUAUCUACCAUCAUGUUUAUAGACUAAUAAUUGCCGCAGCAACACGCGGGGUAUCAUCUAGUUUACUAAGUUUGCUAGCCCAUGCUUGGAUGAGUUUGAUGACUUUAUGGUCAAACAAGAAAACUUCAAUGCUUAUUUUUGGUAGAGAAUUAAAACACAAUGCUGAUAUGCUUGAGCACUUGGGUGAUUAUAUGGCUAAUAUUAAAGGUGAACUUAAACUUAUUAGUAAACAUGCUUCUAUGGUUACCACUCAAGUAGAACAAGUACUCAAAGCUCAGAAUGAUUUGCUCAAUGAAUUGAAUAGUAAGAAAAAUGAUAAUGUUGUUAGAGUUAUGACUAGAGGUGGUAAAAUGACUCAGGAACCCUUGUAUCCUGAGGGCCAUCCUAAGAGAAUUGAGCAAGAUUCUUAGAGAAAUAAUAUUGACGCACCUAGUCCUUCUAAAAGGAAGAAAAAGAAAAAUGAUAGGACUUUGCAUGCUUGUAGUGAACCUGUUGUUGACACACCUGAGAAUCCAAAUGAUAUUUCUAUUUCUGAUGCUGAAACACAAUCUGGUAAUGAGCAUGAACCUAGUGAAAAUGUUAAUAAUGAUGCUCAUGUUGAUGCUCAAACUAGUAAUGACAAUGAAGUAGAGAUUGAACUUGCUGUUGAUCUUGAUAACCCACAAUCGAAGAAUCAACGUUAUGAUAGGAGAGACUUUGUUGCUAGGAAGCACGGUAAAGAAAGAGAACCAUGGGUUCAGGAACCCAUGCCUUUUCCUCCUAAACCAUUCAAGAAAAAGGAUGAUGAGGAUUUUGAGCGCUUUGCUGAAAUGAUUAGACCUAUCUUCUUGCUUAUGCGUUUGACUGAUAUGCUGAAAAUGAAUCCUUAUGCUAAAUAUAUGAAAGAUAUUGUUACUAAUAAAAGAAAGAUACUGGAAGCUGAAAUUUCCACCAUGCUUGCUAAUUACACUUUUAAAGGUGGAAUACCUAAGAAACUAGGAGAUCCCGGAGUACCAACUAUACCAUGCUCCAUUAAAAGGAACUAUGUUAAAACUGCUUUAAUCUUGGAGCCGGUGUUAGUGUUAUGCUCUCUCUUUAUAUCGUAGACUUGAUUUGAAUAAGUUGGCACCUACUAAAAUAUCUUUGCAAAUGGCUGAUAAAUCAACUGCUAUACCUGUCGGUAUUUGUGAGGAUGUGCCUGUUGUGGUUGCAAACGUUACUAUUUUAACGGACUUUGUUAUUCUUGAUAUUCCUGAGGACGAUAGUAUGUCUAUUAUUCUUGGAAGACCCUUUUUGAAUACCGCAAGGGCUGUUAUUGAUUGCACCAAAGGCAAUGUCACUUUUCAUGUUAAUGGUAAUGAGCAUACGGUACACUUUCCGAGGAAACUACCUCAAGUCCAUAGUAUCAAUUCUACUGGAAAAAUUUCAACAAUUACUAUUGGAGGUUUUGAAUUUCCUCUCCCUACUGUCAAGAAGAAAUAUGAUAUUCUUAUUGUUGGGGAUGUGCAUAUCCCCGUUGAGGUAACCUAGUGUUAUUCGAAAAUUCUCCGGUUCCAUGUUACUCGGAAUGAGUUUGUUAACAAGACCUGAUCAACCUUGUUAGUGGAUUCCUUUUGAUGAGCAUGAGAUGGAUGAAUUUAGGAAACACAAAUAUCUAUACCCUCUUUUCACUUUCUGUUAUUUAUAUUAAAUAAAGAAAAAAUAAUAAUUUCUGUUUGUUCUCUGAAUUAUCCAUGCAAUAAAAAAUACCCCAAAAAUAAAAGUUCUCCAAAUGCCCUGAAAAUUAAAUAUGAUUUUUGCUAGAAUAUUUGAGAAUAUCUAGCACUGAAAACACAGCAAGGGGAGAAAGCACCUGGCCACGAGGGUGGAGGGCGCGCCCUACCCCCUGGGCGCCCCCUGCCUCGUGGGCCCAUGGUGGCUCCCCUCCACUUAUUCCAGCUACCACACACUCCUUCUUCCUCCCACAAACAUCACUAACCAACUCAAACCUGAGUCCAAGCUCAUCUUGCUGCCAUUUUUGAUCUCCUUGCUCAAAGCUCCAUUCACAAAACUGCUUUGGGGGAUUGUUCUUUGGUAUGUGACUCCUCCAAUGGUUCAAUUAGUUUUUGUUCUAGUGCUUUAUUCAUUGCAUAUUUUUUCUGCUUAGGUGACCCCGUUCUUGAGCUCGCAUGUCAAAUUUAUAUGGUCAAAAGUAGUUUUGAUGCAUGAUAUUGCCUCUAGGCACUUGUAGGAGUAGUUGCUAUCAAUUUUGUUGAGUUUGGUUCACUUUUAUUUUGAAGUUACUAAAAAUUUCAGAAAUUUUCAGAGAAAGAUGAAGAGAUUUUUGAGGGGCACAUCGAGCCGAAGCUCGAAGGAUAAGCAAAGUGAGGAGCAUAAGAGGCCCAAAUAUAAUCUUCCUCGCACCGCGGAGGUUCAGCCAUGUGAAUGGCCUUGUGAUGAUUUCUUGAGAGCAGCUGGGAUUUAUGAUGAUGUCUAUGAAUUGGCUGAGAAUGCAGGCCUCACCGCCUUCCUCCACGACCAACGCGAACAGUAUCUCUUACUCACCAAUAUCUUUGUGCAGAACUUUCAUUUCCAUGCUAGGAGCUCACCACCUACGGUGGAAUUUUAUUUAUAUGAUGAGCAUAAGGAGAUGUCACUCCGUGAUUUUUGUCAGGUUUGUUUGAUCCCUUUUGAGGGCAGCGUAGAGGAACCACAUCGUGACGAGGUGGAUGGGUUUAUUGAUACCAUUGCUAUAGGGGAAACGAGGAAGGUUUCCGACGCACGAAUUACUAGCAUACACUUUCCUGUUCUAUGUUACUUUGCUAUAUUUGCUAGUAGAUGCUUAAUUAGGUGCCGAAACUGUGGAAACCUGAGUGCCCCUGAUAUUAUUAUUUUGUGCCAUGCCUUAUUUCAUGAUGACACAUUCAGUAUGGGCGCUAUUGUUGCAAAGCGGUUAAAUCUUAACCGUACUAAGGGCCCCGUCCUUGGAGGCAUCUUAGCCUCGCGCCUCGCUGCACACUUUAACAUACCUAUUAGGCAUUAUGAGAAGGAAGAGAAGUUGCUGCCUCAUGUUUAUCUAGAUUAUAAGAGUAUGGUAGCACAUGAUUUUAUUGUUAAGAAUAGGGAAAAGGCGCUUAAGUACAAAUUAAUAUUUGGUAAAAAUCUUCCUGAGACUAUUACCUUGCCUGCUCCUUCCUUCUUUGAUUUAUCUGCAGGCAAGUACCUUGUUUCGUUGGAGGCCAUUCAUGCCUACCGGAACCCUACAUCAGCUACAGAGCCAGAGCCAGAACCACAAUUUGAUCCUCCACGAUAGUCUGAUUACCAGUGGGAUCCGGAGGUGGUUGCCAACCAGUGGAAAUCCGAGGCUUCUUCACAGUACGACCCAACUAUUACUUUGGAUAUCCGCCAGGCCAGCCGUGGCCAUAGACCAACUUAGGCCAAAAGCCUAAGCUUGGGGGAGUACGUAUUGCUCACCGACAUUACAUUCAUGUUCACACACUCAUGCUAGUUGUUGGUGCUCAUACUUUUUCAUUGUAUCAUCGAUGCUAGUUUAUUUUCAUUUUUAUGAUUUCUUCUUGUGUGUUUAAUAAACCUUAAUAGAAAAUAAAAAAAAUUAGUUGUAGCUUUUAGUUAGCUUCUGUUUCAUGCUGUAGUAGUAAUAAUUAAAAAGAAAACCCAAAAAUAUUUCUCGUUCUUCUUUUGCUUGUUGGGAGCUUUCCCGUGUAAAUAGUUUUAUUUCUUUUCUUUCCUUUGGGGGUCGAGAGGAGAAGACCAUAAUUAAAAUGUUAAAGUGGCUCUUAUAUGCAUUAUUGUUGAUCUAACAAAGAGCCCAUAUUACCUUGUCUUCUCUCUUGAAUUGAAUGAUGGCAGAUUCCAGCUUAGUCCAAUGCACGUGCACUAUUAUUAUUAUCCACACUAUUCGGUCGUGCAAGUGAAAGGCAAUAAUGAUGAUUAUAUGAUGAACUUAUUGAGAUGAGAAAAGCUGGUAUGAACUCGACCUCUCUUGUUUUUGUAAAUGUGAUUAGUUCAUCAUUCCUAAUCCAUCCUAUUAUGAAUAAACAUGUUUGCAAUGACAAUUAUAGAUUAUAGUUGCUUAUGCCAUGCUUAAUUAGCUAGGAGCUUAUAAUGGUUUACCUUGCGUGCCAACAUGCUAUUAAAAUUGUUGUGAUGUGGUAUGAUAGGGUGGCAUCCUCUUUUGAACAAUUCGAGUGGCUUGACUUGGCACAUGUUCACGCAUGUAGUUGAAACAAAAUCAACAUAGCCCCUACGAUAUUUAUGUUCAUGGUGCAUUAUAUCCUACUCAUGCUUGCAUUCGGUGUUGAUUAAUUUUAAUGCACGUUCAUGACUGUUGUCGCUCUCUAGCUGGUCGCUUCCCAGUCUUUUGCUAGCAUUCACUUGUACUAAGCGGGAAUACUUCUUGUGCAUCCAAUCCCAUAAACCCCAAAGUUGUUCCAUAUGAGUGCACCAUACCUACCUAUAUACGGUAUCUACCUGCCGUUCCAAGUAAAUUUGUAUGUGCCAAACUCUAAAACUUCAAAUAAACAUUCUAUUUUGUAUGCUCGAAUAGUUCAUUUAUCAACUAGGGUUGUCCAUAUCUUCCAUGUUAGCCGGGUUAUUCUCAAGAGGAGUGGACUCCGCUCCUCACUCACGAGAAAAUGGCUGGUCACUGGGAUGCCCAGUCCCAUGCUUUAUGCAAAUCAAAUCAAAAUAACUACAAACAAAACACCCCCGGGAUUGUUGUUAGUUGGAGGCACUCGUUGUUUCGAGCAAGCCAUGGAUUGAUGCUUGUUGGUGGAGGGGGUAUAAACUUUACCAUUCUGUUUGGGAACCGCCUAUAAUGUGUGUAGCAUGGAAGAUAUCGACAUCUCUCGGUUGUUAUGUUGACAAUGAAAGUAUACCACUCAAAAUAUUAUUCAUAUCUAUUUCAAAACCGAGCUCUGGCACCUCUACAAAUCCCUGCUUCCCUCUGCGAAGGGCCUAUCUAUUUACUUUUAUGCUAAGUCAUCAUCCUCUUAUUAAAAAGCACCAGCUGGAGAGCACUGCUGUCAUUUGCAUUCAUUACUGUUAGUUUACAUUGAGUAUGACUUGAUUGGAUCUCUUUUACCUUGAAUUGCAAUAUCUAGUAAGUCCUUGAUCUUUAAAGGUGCUCUGCAUUUAUGUUUUGCGGUAUCAGAAAGGGCUAGCGAGAUACCAUCAUGUUAUAUCAUAUCAUGAUAGUUUUGAGAAAGUGUUGUCAUCCGAGAUUUAUUAUUAUUGCUCGCUAUUUUAUUAUGUCAUUGAUAUGAGUAAACAUGAGACCUAAAUGUUAUUGUGAAUAUGGUUAGUUCAUAAUCUUUGCUGAAAACUUGAAUGAUGCCCUUACAUAUUUACAACAACAAGAACAAACAGAGUUUGUAAAAGUUUUUCUUUAUCACUUUCAGUUUAUCAACUGAAUUGCUUCAGGACAAGCAAAGGUUUAAGCUUGGGGAGUUGAUACGUCUCCGUCGUAUCUACUUUUCCAAACACUUUUGCCCUUGUUUUGGACUCUAACUUGCAUGAUUUGAAUGGAACUAACCCGGACUAACGCUAUUUUCAGCAGAAUUGCCAUGGUGUUAUUUUUGUGCAGAAAUAAAAGUUCUCAGAAUGACCUAAAAAUCAACGGAGAAUUAGUUUGGAAUAUAUAAAAAAAUACUGGAAGGAAGAUCCACGUCAGGGGGGCUUCCACCUGUCCACGAGGGUGGGAGCACGCCUUACCCCCUGGGCGCGCCCCCUGCCUCGUGGGCCCCCCGACGCUCCACCGACCUCAACCCUGACUCCAUAUAUUCACUUUCGGGGAGAAAAAAACCAGGGAGAAGGAUUCAUCGUGUUUUACAAUACGGAGCCGCCGCCAAGCCCUAAACUCUCUCGGGAGGGCUGAUCUAGAGUCCGUUCGGGGCGCUGGAGAGGGCAAUCCGUCGCCAUCAUCAUCAUCAACCAUCCUCCAUCACCAAUUUCAUGAUGCUCACCAUCGUGCGUGAGUAAUUUCAUCAUAGGCUUGCUGGACGGUGAUGGGUUGGAUGGGAUUUAUCAUGUAAUGAGUUAGUUUUGGUAGGGUUUGAUCCCUAGUAUCCACUAUGUUCUGAGAUUAAUGUUGCUAUGACUUUGCUAUGCUUAAUGCUUGUCACUAGGGCCCGAGUGCCAUGAUUUCACUGAACCUAUUAUGUUUUCAUCAAUAUAUGAGAGUUCUUGAUCCUAUCUUGCAAGUCUAUAGUCACCUACUAUGUGUUAUGAUCCGGCAACCCCGAAGUGACAAUAAUCGGGACCACUCUCGGUGAUGACCGUAGUUUGAGGAGUUCAUGUAUUCACUAUGUGUUCAUGCUUUGGUACAGUACUCUAUUCAAAGGAGGCCUUAAUAUCCCUUAGUUUCCAAUAGGACCCCGUUGUCACGGGAGGGUAGGACAAAAUAUGUCAUGCAAGUUUUUUCCAUAAGCAUGUAUGACUAUAUUCGGAAUACAUGCCUACAUUACAUUGAUUAAUUGGAGCUAGUUCUGUGUCACCCUAGGUUAUGAUUGUUACAUGAUCGAUCGCAUCCGGCAUAAUUCUCUAUCACCGAUCCAUUGCCUACGAGCUUUCCAUAUAUUGUUCUUUGCUUAUUUACUUUUUCAUUGCUAUUGUUAUCAUCACUACAAAACACCAAAAAUAUUACUUUUGCUACCGUUACCUUUUACCACCGUUACCACUAUGAUAUGUCUCCAACGUAUCUAUAAUUUUUGAUUGUUCCAUGCUAUAUUAUAUCCUGUUUUGGACAUUAUUGGGCUUUAUUAUACACUUUUAUAUUAUUUUUGGGACUAACCUAUUAACCGGAGGCCCAGCCCAGAAUUGUUGUUUUUUUGCCUAUUUCAGAGUUUCUGGAAAAAGAAUAUCAAACGGAGUCCAAACAGAAUAAAACCUUCGGGAACGUGAUUUUCGGAACGAACAUGAUCUAGAGGACUUGGACCCUACGUCAAGAAAUCAACAGGGAAGUCACGAGGUAGGGGGCGUGCCUACCCCCCAGGCGCGCCCUCCACCCUCGUGGGGCCCACGUUGCUCCACCGAUGUACUCCUUCCUCCUAUAUAUACCUACAUACCCCAAACUACCACAUAUGGAGCCAAAAACCUAAUUCCACCAUCGUAACUUUCUGUAUCCACGAGAUCCCAUCUUGGGGCCUUUUCCGGAGCUCCGCCGGAGGGGGUAUCAAUCACGGAGGGCUUCUACAUCAACACCAAAGCCUCUCCGACGAAGUCUGAGUAGUUUACUUCAGACCUACAGGUCCAUAGUUAUUAGCUAGAUGGCUUCUUCUCUCUUUUUGGAUCUCAAUACAAAGUUCUCCCCCUCUCUUGUGGAGAUCGAUUCGAUGUAAUCUUCUUUUGAGGUGUGUUUGUUGAGACCGAUGAAUUGUGGGUUUAUGAUCAAGUUUAUCUAUGAACAAUAUUUGAAUCUUCUCUGAAUUCUUUUAUUUAUGAUUAGUUAUCUUUGCAAGUCUCUUCGAAUUAUUAGUUUGGUUUGUCCUACUAGAUUUAUCUUUCUUGCAAUGGGAGAAGUGCUUAGCUUUGGGUUCAAUCUUGCGGUGUCCUUUCCCAGUGACAGUAGGGGCAGCAAGGCACGUAUUGUAUUGUUGCCAUUGAGGAUAACAAGAUGGGGUUUAUAUCAUAUUGCAUGAGUUUAUCCCUCUACAUCAUGUCAUCUUGCUUAAAGCGUUACUCUAUUCUCUUGAACUUAAUACUCUAGAUGCAUGCUGGAUAGCGGUUGAUGUGUGGAGUAAUAGUAGGAGAUGCAGGCAUGAGUCGGUCUACUUGUCUUGGACGUGAUGCCUAUAUACAUGAGCAUACCUAGAUAUUCUCAUAACUAUGCUCAAUUCUGUCAAUUGCUCAACAUUAAUUUUUUCACCGACCAUAAUACUUAUGCUCUCGAGAAACCUAUGGCCCCAUGUUUAUUUUCCAUCAUAUUAAUCUUCCUAUACUUAGUUAUUUCCUUUGCCAUUUAUUUUACUUGCAUCUUUAUUUAUAUUUAUCAUAAAAAUACCAAAAAUAUUAUCUUAUCAUAUCUAUCAGAUCUCACUCUCGUAGGUGACCGUGAAGGGAUUGACAACCCCUUUAUCGCGUUGGUUGCGAGGAGUUUAUUUGUUUAUGUAGGUGCGAGGGACUCGUGCGUGGCCUCCUACUGGUUUGAUACCUUGGUUCUGAAAAACUGAGGAAAAUACUUAUGCUGCUCUACUGCAUCACCCUUUCCUCUUUAAGGGAAAACCAACGCAGUGCUCAAGAGGUAGCAAGAAGGAAUUCUGGCGCCAUUGUCGGGGAGUCUACGCAAAAGUCAACAUACCAAGUACCCAUCACAAACCCUUAUCUCCCGCAUUACAUUAUUUGCCAUUUGCCUCUUGUUUUCCUCUCCCCCACUUCACCCUUGCCGUUUUAUUCGCCCUCUCUCUCUCUCCAUCCUCCCUCUCUUUCUCUAUUCGCCUCUUUUUACCCGUUUCUUGUUUUCUUGUGUGCCGGAUUGCUUGCUUCUCGUUAUGGCUUGUCCCCUAUCUUCUCCGUUGUCUCCUGAAAAUUAAGUUCUUAAUUUUAAGAAAAGGGAAGGAGAAAACCUAAAAGACGCUUGGUAUAGAAUUUGCAAUGCUCAAAAUAGGUCUACCAGGAAGCAAUCUAGUUCUAUUCUUCUUCGCAAUUUUUAUGUUGGUGCUAUUCCUUGGCACAGAUAUGUCCUUGAUACCAUUACCGGAGGGAACUUCUUGGGUAGCCACACUUUUGAUUCCUAUAAUGCUAUGAUAUAUUUGUUUGGCUCACCCCCUCUUUUGGUUAAUGGAACUAUGUUAACUUUGGAGCAUGUAAUGCAAAAACUUGAAAUUGUUGAAAAUAAAGUUGCUACCGUAGAGUUAAUUGAAAAUUUCGAUAAAAAGAUCCACAACCAAAUUACUCAAUAUGUAUCUAAAGUAGGAGUCACUCUGGAAAAUAUUAAGGAGAAGGAACCCAUAGUUAAUGAAAGAAUAAAUCAUGAUUCCAUUAGAAUCGAUAAACUUGAGGGUAUCGUUACCAACUUGGGAACCCCUUUUUCUUCCGUAAAGAAUACCCCAAGUCCUCCAACUAAAAUUUCCAAGCUUAUGUAUAUUCCUAAAAAUAAGGGUGAAUCCUCUAGCAAAGAAACUGCGGAUCUCAAAUCUAUAAGUAUUCAUCCUAAUAUUUUUACUAUCAUUAAGGAACCAUUUGCUACUAAUGAUUUUUUCGAUUUUGUGCCUAGAAGUUUGAUUAUUUAUAAAAGGAAAGAAACUCCUAAAGGUGAUAGAUGUCUCAUUAAAGAAUUACCAACUAAAGAUACCUAGAUCUAUCUUCGCUUUUAUGCCUAGCUAAGGGCGUUAAAUGAUAGCGCUUGUUGGGAGGCAACCCAAUUUUAUUUUUAUUCCUUGCCUUUUGCUCAUGUUUAGUAAUAAAUAAUUUCUCUAGCCUCUGUUUUGGUUGUGUUUUUUGUGUUUAAUUAGUGUUUCUUCCAAGUAGAACCGUUGGGAAGACUUGGGGAAAGUCUUUUUAAUCUUGCUGUAAAAAACAGAAACUUUAGCGCUCACGAGAACUGCUGCCAUUUUUAUUUUGAAAGUGCUAUUUAGUUAAUUCUUUUUGAAGAUGAUUAAUAGAUCAAUUACUCACGUCAAGCAAUUUAGUUUAGAAUUGUUUGGGUUCCAGAUCUUGCGUUAGCUACAGAUUACUACAGACUGUUCUGUUUUUGACAGAUUCUGUUUUUCGUGUGUUGUUUGCUUAUUUUAAUGAGUCUAUGGCUAGUAAAAUAGUUUAUAAACCAUAGAGAAGUUGGAAUACAGUAGUUUUAAUACAAAUAUAAAUAAUGAAUGAGUUCAUUACAGUACCUUGAAGUGGUGUUUUGUUUUCUUUCGCUAACGGAGCUCACGAGAUUUUCUACUUUAAGUUUUGUGUUGUGAAGUUUUCAAGUUUUGGGUAAAAGAUUUUAUGGAUUAUGGAACAAGGAGUGGAAAGAGCCUAAGCUUGGGGAUACUCAUGGAACCCCAAGAUAAUCUAAGGACACCUGAAAGCCAAAGCUUGGGGAUGAUCCGGAAGGCAUCUCCUCUUUCGUCUACUUCUAUCGGUAACUUUACUUGGAGCUAUAUUUUUAUUUACCACAUGAUAUGUGUUUUGCUUGGAGCGUCUUGUAUUAUUUGAGUCUUUAUUUGUUAUUUUUCCACAAUCAUCAUUGCUUCACACACCUUUUUGAGAGAGACACUCAUGAUUCGGAAAUUGUUAGAAUACUCUAUGUGCUUCACUUAUAUCUUUUGAGUUAUAUAGUUUUUGCUCUAGUGCUUCACUUAUAUCUUUUAGAGUAUGUUGGUAGAUUUUUUUAUAGAAACCAUAGUUCUCUCAUGCUUCACUUAGAUUAUUUUGUGAGUCCUACAAAACAGCAUGGUAAUUCGCUUUAAUUAUGUUAGGCAUUCAAGAUUAAUAAUAAAAUUUUCUUAUGAGUGUGUGGAAUACUAUGAGAAGUUUGAAACUUGAUAAUUGUUUUGAGAUAUGGAGAUGGUGAUAUUAGAGUCGUGCUAGUUGAGUAGUUGUGAAUUUGAGAAAUGCUUGUGUUGAAGUUUGUGAUUCCCGUAGCAUGCACGUAUGGUGAACCGUUAUGUUAAGAAGUCAGAGCAUGAUGUAUUUAUUGAUUGUCUUCCUUAUGAGUGGCGGUCGGGGAUGAGUGAUGGUCUUUUCCUACCAAUAUAUCCCCCUAGGAGCAUGCGUGUAAUACUUUGCUUUGAUAACUUGUAGAUUUUUGCAAUAAGUAUAUGAGUUCUUUAUGACUAAUGUUGAGUCCAUGGAUCAUACGCACUCUCACCCUUCCACCAUUGCUAGCCUCUCUAAUACCGCGCACCUUUCGCCGGUAUCAUACACCCACCAUAUACCUUCCUCAAAACAUUCACCAUACCUACCUAUCAUGGCAUUUCCAUAGCCAUUCCGAGAUAUAUUGGCAUGCAACUUACCACCGUUCCGUUUACUAUGACACGCUCCAUCAUUGUCAUAUUGCUUUGCGUGAUCAUGUAGUUGACAUUGUAUUCAUGGCAAAGCCACCGUUCAUAAUUAUUUCAUACAUGUCACUCUUGAUUCAUUGCAUAUCCCGGUACACCGCCGGAGGCAUUCACAUAGAGUCGUAUUUUGUUCUAAGUAUUGAGUUGUAAUUGUUGAGUUGUAAGUAAAUAAAAAAGUAUGAUGAUCAUCAUUUUUAGAGCAUUGUCCCAAGUGAGGAAAGGAUGAUGGAGACUAUGAUUCCCCCACAAGUCGGUAUGAGACUCCCGACUAAAAAAAGAGGCCAUAAAAAAUAGAAAAUGCCCAAAUAAAAAAAUGAGAGAAAAAGAGAGAAGGGACAAUGCUACUAUCCUUUUACCACACUUGUGCUUCAAAGUAGCUAUGUUAUCACUUUCAUAUACUAGUGGGAAUUUUUCAUUAUAGAACUUUGCUUGUAUAUUCCAAUGAUGGGCUUCCUCAAAAUGCCCUAGGUCUUCGUGAGCAAGCGAGUUGGAUGCACGCCCACUUAGUUCUUUUUGUUGAGAUUUCAUAUACUUAUAGCUCUAGUGCAUCUGUUGCAUGGCAAUCCCUACUCACUCACCUUGAUAUCUAUUAAUGGGCAUCUCCAUAGCCCGUUGAUACGCCUAGUUGAUGUGAGACUAUCUUCCCCCUUUUGUCUUCUCCACAACCACCAUUCUAUUCCACCUAUAGUGCUAUGUGCAUGGCUCACGCUCAUGUAUUGCGUGAAGAUCGAAAAAGUUUGAGAACACUAAAAGUAUGAAAAAAUUGCUUGGCUUGUCAUCGGGGUUGUGCAUGAUUUAAAUACUUUAUGUGGUGAAGAUGGAGCAUAGCCAGACUAUAUGAUUUUGUAGGGAUAAUUUUCUUUGGCCAUGUUAUUUUGAAGAAACAUAAUUGCUUAGUUAGUAUGCUCGAAGUAUUAUUAUUUCUAUGUCAAUAUUGAACUUUUGUCUUGAAUCUUUCGGAUCUGAAUAUUCAUACCACAAUUAAGAGAAUUUCAUUGAAAUUAUGCCAAGUAGCAUUCCACAUCAAAAAUUAUGUUUUUAUCAAUUACCUACUCGAGGACGAGCAGGAAUUAAGCUUGGGGAUGCUUGAUACGUCUCCAACAUAUCUAUAAUUUUUGAUUGUUCCAUGCUAUAUUAUAUCUUGUUUUGGACAUUAUUGGGCUUUAUUAUACACUUUUAUAUUAUAUUUGGGACUAACCUAUUAACCGGAGGCCCAGCCCAGAAUUGUUUUUUUGCCUAUUUCAGAGUUUCGCAGAAAAAGAAUAUCAAACGGAGUCCAAACGGAAUGAAACCUUCGGGAACGUGAUUUUUGGAACAAACAUGAUCCAGAGUACUUGGACCCUACGUCAAGCAAUCAACGAGGAAGGCACGAGGUAGGGGGCGCGCCUACCCCCCCCCCCCAGGCGCGCCCUCCACCCUCGUGGCGCCAGCGUUGCUCAACCGACAUACUCCUUCCUCCUAUAUAUACCUACGUACCCCCAAACUACUAGAUACGGAGCCAAACCCCUAAUUCCACCGCUAUAACUUUCUGUAUCCACGAGAUCCCAUCUUGGGGCCUUUUCCGGAGCUCCACCGGAGGGGGUAUCGAUCACGGAGGGCUUAUACAUCAACACCAUAGCCUCUCCGAUGAAGUGUGAGUAGUUUACUUCAGACCUACGGGUCCAUAGUUAUUAGCUAGAUGGCUUCUUCUCUCUUUUUGGAUCUCAAUACAAAGUUCUCCCCCUCUCUUGUGGAGAUCUAUUCGAUGUAAUCUUCUUUUGCGGUGUGUUUAUUGAGACCGAUGAAUUGUGGGUUUAUGAUCAAGUUUAUCUAUGAACAAUAUUUGAAUCUUCUCUGAAUUAUUUUAUGUAUGAUUGGUUACGUUUGCAAGUCGCUUCGAAUUAUCAGUUUGGUUUGGCCUACUAGAUUGAUCUUUGUUGCAAUGACAGAAGUGCUUAGCUUUGGGUUCAAUCUUGCGGUGUCCUUUCCCAGUGACAGUAGGGGUAGCAAGGCACGUAUUGUAUUGUUGCCAUCGAGGAUAACGAGAUGGGGUUUAUAUCAUAUUGCAUGAGUUUAUCCCUCUACAUCGUGUCAUCUUGCUUAAAGCGUUACUCUGUUCUCUUGAACUUAAUACUCUAGAUGCAUGCUGGAUAGCGGUCGAUGUGUGGAGUAAUAGUAGUAGAUGCAGGCAGGAGUCGGUCUACUUGUCUUGGACGUGAUGCCUAUAUACAUGAUCAUACCUAGAUAUUCUCAUAACUAUGCUCAAUUCUGUCAAUUGCUCAACAGUAAUUUGUUCACCCACCAUAAUACUUAUGCUUUCGAGAGAAGCCUCUAGUGAAACCUAUGGCCCCCGAGUCUAUUUUACAUCAUAUUAAUCUUCUUAUACUUAGUUAUUUCCUUUGCCAUUUAUUUAACUUGCAUCCUUAUUUAUAUUUAUCAUAAAAAUACCAAAAAUAUUAUCUUAUCAUAUCUAUCACAUCUCACUCUCGUAGGUUACGUGAAGGGAUUGACAACCCCUUUAUCGCGUUGGUUGCGAGGAGUUUAUUUGUUUGUGUAGGUGCGAGGACUCGUGCGUGGCCUCCUACUGGAUUGAUACCUUGGUUCUCAAAAACUGAGGGAAAUACUUACGUUGCUCUACUGCAUCACCCUUUCCUGUUCAAGGGAAAACCAACUCAGUGCUCAAGAGGUAGCACACUACUAUCAUAUUACUUUGCUACUAAACACUUUGCUGUAGAUAUUAAGUUUCCAGGUGUGGUUGAAUUGACAACUCAGCUGCUAAUACUUGAGAAUAUUCUUUGGCUCCCCUUGUGUUGAAUCAAUAAAUUUGGGUUGAAUACUCUACCCUCAAAAACUGUUGUGAUCCCCUAUACUUGUGGGUUAUCACCUCUUGUGUUCUUGUGUGUUGGAUUGUUUGUCACGAUGGCUCAAGAUAAUACUAAAGUGUGUGAUUUUUCAAUACCAACAAUAAUGAUUUUAUUAGCAAUCCGAUUGCUCCUCUUACCGAUUCUGAAUCUUGUGAAAUUAAUGCCGCUUUGCUGAAUCUUGUUAUGAAAGAUCCGUUUUCCGGCCUUCCUAGUGAAGUUGCCGCUACCCAUCUGAACAACUUUGUUGAUUUGUGUGAUAUGCAAAAGAAGAAAGAUGUGGAUAAUGAUAUUGUUAAAUUGAAGCUAUUCCCGUUUUCACUUAGAGAUCGUGCUAAAACUUUGUUUUCGUCUUUGCCUAAAAAUAGUAUCGAUUCAAAUAAGUGCAAAGAUGCUUUUAUCUCUAAGUAUUUUCCUCCUGCUAAGAUCAUCUCUCUUAGAAACGAUAUUAUGAAUUUUAAGCAACUUGAUCUUGAACAUGUUGCACAAGCUUGGGAGAGGAUGAAAUUAAUGAUAUGUAACCUACUCAUGGUUUGAAUCUUUGGAUGAUUAUACAAAAAAAUUAUGCUGGAUUGAAUUUUGCUUCUAGAAAUCUUUUAGAUUUGGCCGCGGGAGGCACUUUUAUGGAAAUCACCUUAGGAGAAGCUAUUAAACUCCUAGAUAAUAUUAUGGUUAAUUAUUCUCAAUGGCACACUGAAAGAUCUACUAGUAAAAAGGUGCAUGCUAUAGAAGAAAUUAAUGUUUUGAGUGGAAAGAUGGAUGAACUUAUGAAAUUGUUUGCUAAUAAGAGUGUUUCUUCUGAUCCUGAUGAUAUGCCUUUGUCUACUUUGAUUGAGAAUAAUAAUGAAUCUAUGGAUGUGAAUUUUGUUGGUAGGAACAAUUUUGGUAAUAAUGCGUAUAGAGGUAAUUUUAAUCCUAGGCCAUUUCCUAGUAAUUCCUCUAAUAAUUAUGGUAAUUCCUACAACAAUUCUUAUGGAAAUUAUAAUAAGAUGCCCUCUGAUUUUGAAUCUAAUAUCAAAGAAUUUAUUAGUUCGCAAAAGAGUUUCAAUACCUUGAUUGAAGAAAAAUUGUCUAAGAUUGAUGAGUUGGCUAGGAACGUGGAUAGAAUUUCUCUUGAUGUUGAUUCUUUGAAACUUAGAUCUAUUCCACCUAAGCAUGAUAUCAAUGAGUCUAUCAAAGUUAUGAGAAUUUCCAUUAAUGAGUGCAAAGAAAGAACCGCUAGGAUGCAUGCUAAAAAAGGUUGCUUUGUGAAAGCGUGUUCUUCUAGUUUUGAUGAUAAUAAGGAUGAAGAUCUAAAAGUGAUUGAUGUUUCUCCUAUUAAAUCUUUGCUUUGGAAUAUGAAUCUUGAUAAUGAUGGGACUGGAGAUGAGUCAACUUUAGUUAAAAGGCAUCCCAAUGAUUCAGAGUUUUUAGAUCUUGAUGCAAAAAUUGAUAAAAGUGGGAUUGAAGAGGUCAAAAAUUUACAUAGCAAUGAACCCACUAUUUUUGAUUUCUAGGAAUUUAAUUAGGAUAAUUUUUCUUUAAUAGAUUGAAUUUCCUUGUUGCAAUCCGUGCUAAAUUGUCCACAUGCUUAUAAUCAAAAUAAAGCUUUUACUAAACAUAUCGUUGAUGCUUUAAUGCAAUCUUAUGAAGAAAAACUUGAAUUGGAAGUUUCUAUCCCUAGAAAACUUUAUGGUGAGUGGGAAUCCACUAUUAAAAUGAAAAUUAAAGAUCAUGAAUGCUAUGCUUUAUGUGAUUUGGGUUCUAGCAUUUCCACGAUUCCAAAAACUUUGUGUGAUGUGUUAGGUUUCCGUUAGUUUGAUGAUUGUUCUUUAAACUUGCACCUUGCGGAUUCCACUAUUAAAAAACCUAUGGGAAGGAUUAAUGAUGUUCUUAUUGUUGAAAAUAGGAAUUAUGUCCCUGUAGAUUUCAUUGUUCUUGAUACUGAUUGCAAUCCUACAUGUCCUAUUAUUCUUGGUAGGCCUUUCCUUAGAACGAUUGGUGCAAUUAUUGAUAUGAAGCAAGGGAAUAUUAUAUUCCAAAUUCUGUUAAGGAAAGGCAUGGAACACUUUCCUAGAAAUAAAAUUAAAUUACCUUAUGAAUCUAUUAUGAGAGCCACUUAUGGAUUGCAUACCAAAGAUUAUAAUACCUAGAUCUAUUCUUGCUUUUAUGCCUAGCUAGGGGCGUUAAACGAUAGCGCUUGUUGGGAGGCAACCCAAUUUUAUUUUUGUUCCUUGCUUUUUGGUUCUGUUUAGUAAUAAAUAAUUAGUCUAGCGUAUGUUUAGAUGUGGUUUUAUGCUUUUAAUUAGUGUUUGUUCCAAGUAGAACCUUUGGGAAGACUUGGGGAAAGUCUUUGCGAUCUUGCUGUAAAAAACAGAAACUUUAGCGCUCACGAUAUUUGGUGCCAUCUUUUACUGGGGAGUGCGAUUAAGUUUAUUCUGUUUGCAGAUGUUUAACAUAUAAAUUCCUCACGUCCAUAAAUUUAUUUUAGAAUUUUUGGGGUUACACAAGUAUUCGAAACCUACAGAUUACUACAGGUUGUUCUGUUUUUGACAGAUUCUGUUUUUUGCGUGUUGUUUGCUUAUUUUGAUGAAUCUAUGGCUAGUAUCGGAGGUUAUGUACCAUAGAGAAGUUGGAAUAGAGUAGGUUUAACACCAAAAUAAAUAAAGAAUGAUUUCAUAACAGUACCUUAAGUGGUGGUUUGUUUUCUUUUACUAACGGAGCUCAUGAGAUUUUCUAUUUAAGUUUUGUGUUGUGAAGUUUUCAAGUUUUGGGUAAAGAUUUGAUGUAUAAAGGAACAAGGAGUGGCAAGAGCCUAAGCUUGGGGAUGCCCAUGGUACCCCAAGGUAAAAUUCAAGGACAACCAAAAGCCUAAGCUUGGGGAUGCCCCGGAAGGCAUCCCCUCUUUCGUCUUCUUCUAUCGGUAACUUUAGUUGAGGCUAUAUUUUUAUUCACCACAUGAUAUGUGUUUUGCUUGGAGCGUCUUGUAUGAUUUGAGUCUUUGCUUUUUGGUUUAGCACAAUCAUCCUUGCUGUACACACCUUUUUGGAGAUACACACAUGAAUUAGAAUUUAUUAGAAUACUCUAUGUGCUUCACUUAUAUCUUUUCAGCUAGAUAAUUUUGCUCUAGUGCUUCACUUAUAUCUUUUAGAGCACGGUGGUGGUUUUUUAUAGAAAUUAUUGAUCUCUCAUGCUUCACUUAUAUCAUUUUGAGAGUCCCUUAGAACAGCAUGGUAAUUUUCUUUGGUUAUGAAACUAGUCCUAAUAUGAUAGGCAUCCAAGUUGGGUAUAAUAAAAAUUAUCAUAGAAAGUGCAUUGAAUACUAUGAGAAGUUUGAUACUUGAUAAUUUAUUUGAGAUAUAAAGGUGGUGAUAUUACAGUUGUGCUAGUUGAGUAUUUGUGAAUUUGAGAAAUACUUGUGUUGAAGUUUGCAAGUCCAGUAGCAUGCAUGUAUGGUAACCGUUGUGUAACAAAUUUGAAACAUGAGGUGUUCUUAGAUUGUCUUCCUUAUGAGUGGCGGUCGGGGACGAGCGAUGGUCUUUUCCUACCAAUCUAUCCCCCUAGGAGUAUGCGUGUAGUGCUUGGUUUUUGAUGACUUGUAGAUUUUUUCAAUAAGUAUGUGAAUUCUUUAUGACUAAUGUUGAGUCCAUGGAUUAUACGCAAUCUCACCCUUCCAUCAUUGCUAGCCUCUUCAGUACCGUGCAUUGCCCUUUCUCACCUUGAGAGUUGGUGCAAACUUCGCCGGUGCAUCCAAACCCCGUGAUAUGAUACGCUCUAUCACACAUAAACCUCCUUAUAUCUUCCUCAAAACAGCCACCAUACCUACCUAUUAUGGCAUUUCCAUAGCCAUUCCGAGAUAUAUUGCCAUGCAACUUUCCACUGUUUCAUUUAUGACACGCUUCAUCGUUGUCAUAUUGCUUUGCAUGACCAUGUAGUUGACAUCGUAUUUGUCGCAAAGCCACCAUGCAUAAUUUAUCAUACAUGUCACUCUUGAUUCAUUACCCUUCCCGGUACACCGCCGGAGGCAUUCAUAUAGAGUCAUACUUUGUUCUAGUAUCGAGUUGUAAUCACUGAGUUGUAAAUAAAUAGAAGUGUGAUUAUCAUCAUUAAUUGUCGGGGGACUAAUCCACAAGCACCUAUGGGACCGGCGGACCGAGUCCCUUUCGGUUCGGCGGGGCGAGGGUCGCACGAAGAGCGGAUCGAGGCGAAGCACACGAGCAGUUUACCCAGGUUCGGGACGCACGGAUGCGUAAAACCCUACUCCUGCUUUGUGGUUUGUAUUGAGUUCUUGCUCGGGAGCGCGGAGUGCUACAGUACACCCCAGCAGCCAACGAGACCGAGCGUGAGUGUUCUCUUCCUCCCGCCUCCUCCCCUCUAUGUUGCACAUGGGCCUCCUUUUAUAUGCUCAAGGGGUCACCGACAGGUGGCAACAUAGACAAGGGUAAAAAUGGAAAGGUGUUGCGGUUGGUACAGCUACCUGCUACAGUGUAUCAUACCUAACCCUGACGGCAGGGGACCAGGGCAUUAAAUGCCCAUCUGCGUCGCCUAAAUAGUGCAAAAGGGACCGUCAGGGACGCCACCGCUCGCCACGAUGGCAAUCUUGUCAGUGCCGCUUGCCACCGCGCACCGCUGGCUGCACAGCCUCCCACCACGUACGCCUGGAAGGGUCCCAGAGCGACACGUUGGUGGAUGUGCUGGAGCGCGGGCACAGAGUGGUGGCUUGCCGCGGUAAGCGCCUUGCCGCGGUCGUUGUCUUGUCGCGUCCGGGAGCUUGUCGCUCACCGAGCCUUGCCGGGACGCGUGGCGCGUCGCGGCAAGUUCCUUGAGAUGCCUUGGUUGGCCUUCCCGGCAAGCUCCUCUUGCCGGGGUCUUGUCUCCUUGGCUUGGAUACUUUGUCCUUGAAUGGCUCCAAAGGAACCACGGAGGACCUUGGCGGUCACCCAGCAAGCCUUGCCGCGGGAUGCUGCGACUGCCCGUGCACAAGUUCGGGAUACUAGGGUACCCCUACUCUAGUACACCGACAGGAGCCCCCAGGCCUGGGCCAUACACGGUGCCAAGCGCUGUUGGGCCAGGCCCAAAACAGGGCACGGGCACGCGCGGCCUGGGUUAUGCCGUAUUUGUCCUCUUUAUAAGCAUGGGAAACAGGGGUAGUUCGCCCAUUCGCCGGUUGCUACUCCAAUCUCGGAAAUCUCCGCCGCUCCCUCGUCUUCCCAAAGCUGAAAGAGAGCAGCGCCCCGCCCCCCAUCGCCACCAGCACCACCAACGCCAUCGACCUCCUCCACCACUUCCGCCAUGGCUCCGAGAGCCGACAAAGGGAAGGUUGUGAAGUCGACCGAGGCGCAGCGGCUUGCGGCGCUGCGAAAGGAGCGGGAAAUCUUCCUCCCCAAGCUCGCCGCGAGGGAGCUGAGGGAGAAUUACUACCUCUUCUGGUCGACGGAGACGCGAGCGCAUCCGCGCACGAAGGUACUUCCAGCCGCCGCUUGGAAAAUGGCUCCAAAUGGAUAUCCUUUCUUCGCCUUGUUCUUCUACUACGGGCUCUGCCCGCCUUUCUCUGAGUUUUUCUGCGAUAUUAUGAACACCUACGGGUUCCGCCUCCUUGACUUCACCCCCAAUGUUGUUCUGACCAUGGCAGUUUUCGCACAUCUCUGCGAAAACUUUGUCGGAGUCUAUCCCAAUGUAGCCCUUUUUCGCCACUUCUUUAUGCCCCGAGUAGAGAGAGGAGAGCCUUUAUCCGGCGGAAUCGCCUGGAUCUUGAGGGCCGGCAAGAAGGAGACUUAUCUGGAGGGAGAGUUCCGCGGCAAGUGGGAUGAAUGGAGAGCAGACUGGUACUGGAUUGUCGAGGAGAACCCGCAGCCGUUUACCGCCCGGCGCCAAGCCCCAGUAGCACGCGGCAGCGAUUGGAGUGACGUGGCCCCGGAAGAUGAUAGGCUGAAGAUUGCCGUCACCCGGAUCCAACGCCUCAGGCUUGCCGGGCUCACUGUAGGCGUUGUUGGCGCAGAUUUUCUUUGCCGCCGCAUCGCCCCCUGCAGGAACGAAGGAGACCCGCCUGGGAAUUCAAGAAUGCGGCGGAUAUCAUGAGGCUGCGUCCGGGCCUCAACUUCAACUUCACUAUUCAGGAGCUUAACGCGAUUCUCCAGGAGCUGUUCAAGUACGACCCUCAACAUCCCGAAGUGUUCAGGUUGCCGAAGGGUGUCGUUCCGCUGUGCAACAACUCCGCGCUCGACCGCAUCCGUGCAAUGAUGCCGCUGUGCGAUUCGCAUGGAAUUGUCCCAACUUGGCAAGAGCCUGCAGACGACGUCGUGCAGGAGUUCUUUGACGGCUUGGUAGAAGUGCCGGUCCAAUCCGACGAAAAGAAUAGCCUCACCCACGACACCACCGAUGCAGAGAUGACACGCAUCGCCACUAGGCUGGAAGAGGCGGCGGCAGCCGCAGCCGCGGGCGAAUUUGGAUUCACCGUGGAGGAGGCAGAGGCAGCAGAGGCGGCAAGCCGUGCCGAGCGAGAGGAGCUCGUCGGCGAGAAAGAGCUUGCCGGGCAUGACGUCGAGUCAAGCGAGCCCGCCAAGGAUACGAGCGGCUCACUAGAGAUCAACUCCUCUUCCUCCUCAUCUUCAGGCAGCUCGCCGCAAGCAGAGCCUCCAUCCCCACCAAGAAGGCGUCUAUGCAAGGCCGGGGAUGUAGCGGGGCGGCGGGCGAGUCAACGGUCGCCGCGCCGCGCGACACGCUCCACAGCGGCAAGCACUGUUGCCGCGGGAGCACCUCAUGCUGCUGCGGCAACUGGAGCGGGGUCCACCCGGACCACCGCUUCUGCUCCUGCCGCUUCUCACGCCGCGGCGGCAGCCGAAGUGGGGUCGUCUCAGACCACCGCCACUGUUCCCGCCAAGCGGCCAAGGGAAACUACUCCUCCACCUCCUCGCGCCGGACGUGAGCCGGACUUCGACUUCUCCGCGUUCAGCUCCGACGAGGAAGAAGAAGAGUAAGAUUCUAUUGUUGUACUUGUAGUUCUUCAAUUCUUGUUGUUUUGUCUUGUAUCUCAUUUGCUUUACUCUGAACUUAUUCCUUUUUAGGACUCUGGCCCAGAAGCAGCGAAGAGAGCCAAGGUCCCGGUGAUUGUCAUCGAGGACGAACCCACCGCGACAGCAGGGGGUGCGUCCGAGACAACCUUGCCGGAACCGGCAACUGUUCUCCAGAGCAGCCCCCAGCGUAUGUAUAUGGAUCGCUUUCCGCUGUUAGGCGCGCAUGGGUACUCUUUCUUUGCUGACAUCUGACUGUUGGUUUGUGUAGGAGCAGAGCAGCCCCACCAGGAGCGCCCGGAGGCUGCCCCCGAAAUGCCAAGGGAGAGUCCUCCGGCAAGGGACAGCAAUAGCGUCCCCCCGGCGGCGGAGACUACGACUGCCGAACCCAGUACAGGUAAUCUUCUCUUCAAAGCUUCCCUUGGGUUCUUCUUCUUUUUGGGUAUUUGCUUGACUUUUCUCACUUUUCCGGCCAUCAGACCCAUCUGCUGCGGAGCCGAUGGAGACCGAGGUUGUUGCCGACGACGCCGCUGCCACUGAAGAAGCAGCCGGCGCUGAUGAUCCCGCCGGCGACGAGGCCGCCAAAGCUGCUGCCGCAGCAGCUGGCGAGGGGUCUGGCGAUUGCACUGACGGCCCUGAGGCCGCAGGAGCGCCAGGCGCUUCGUCGACCGCCGACCUGUCCGCCGCUGCCGCAGCGCCAGGCUCCGAAGAGCCCUAGCCAGGCGUCUACUUGAAGGCCGGCGAUGGCAUCUUCAUCAACCUCCCUUGGGCGUCAAGCUCCAGGGCGCCGGUCGAGGGAGAGAGCUUUGAUGGAGAGGUGCUCACCUCCGCUGGGCUGACGCUAGUUGAUGCGCCGAGCAGCAGCAGCGGCGAGCCUGAGGAGGAGCGGCUGCUGCGGAAGCUGUUGUCGCUCUACCACGCGCGGCAAGCCAAGCUGGAAUCCCGCGAGGCGCUUGUCGCGAAGGCGGGAGCGAACAUCGAGAAGCGUGCGGAGGAGCUCCGGGAUCUCAACCAGGAAGCUCUCCGGUCCCUAGCAGAGGAGCGGGAGCAACUCACCGAAGAGCAGAAGGCCUUCUUCCUCGAGAAGGCCGAAGUUGAAGAGCAACAGCGGCUUGCCGCUGAGAAGCUGUCUGCGCAGGAGGGCGAGCUGGUGCAGCGGAAAGUUAACCUCGACAGCCACGAGGAGGAGCUUGCCGCGCGUGAGCAAAAAUUUGGCGGAGCCCUUAAGCAAGAAGAGGAUGCUGCCGCAGUUGCCGAGGCCGCCAAGAAGGAGCUGGAGACGAAGGUGGCGCAGCUGGAGGCCGAUCUCAAGGCGAGUGGUGAAGAGCUUGCCGCGCUCAAGCGUGAGCGGGAGAAGGACACCCACAGCAACUCAGAGCUGGAGGUUCGUCUCGCCGAGAAGGGCAAAGAACUUAGCGCCCCCAAGGACUCCAACACAGAUCUUGAGUUGAAGCUGACCACUUUGACCAAGACGCUGGACGGCGCCAGGGAGCAGGAGGUGGCCUUGAAGGAGGAGAUCAAGGCCGACAAGGCGCUGCUGGCGAGUGCUGCCGCCGCCCAGAAUGCUUUUAGGGAGAAUGUGGAGCACUGGACGGAGGGUCUCGUGAAAGCUGCCGCAGAUAUCGAUAGGGAGCUGGCGCAGCUAGGGGUGGAGGAUCUCGGGUAUCCCUCUGAUGAGAACCUCCAACCCAGCGCCAAGCUCACCUUGUUCUUCAAAGGCGUGGCGACGGCCCUCCAGCGGCUCCGGGAGAAGAUCCCAAAGCAGCUGGCCGACGAGUCGCGCAAGAUCUGCGCGGGAGCUCUUCAAAAGGUGUUGGUGAAGGUGGCCUUCCGCAACCCGAGCCUCAACCUCACCAACGUCCUCAAGACCCUGCCCCGGAUGCUGAUCUGGAGGCGCUCAAGACCCUUGUCGCACCCAUUGUGGACAUGGUGAGCAGGAUCAAGAGGAUUGACGGCGAUCGCGUAGACUAGGCCGCCCGUUUUCUUCUUUUCUUGUCGCUGCUGGUCAUGUUAUGAGAACAAUCUGUUAGAGCCGCGACAAGCUACCUUGUAAUAUAACUCUAUUCCGGGUAAUGAUUGCAAUGUUAUUCCCUUUACUUGAUUCCUCCCUUUGUAUGUUUUUGCCCUAUGCUUUUAGGGAACUUGCCGGUGCAGGCACCUUAGCCGCGAGCGCUGAGUGCGGGACGUCAGCAGCCUGCUGGCGGUGCCGCUACCGACAAGAAACCUUGUCGCAACUAGUCGCAGCUCACUUAAGUUGUUGAGCGGACUCGAAACAAAGUAAGGGCGCAACUAGCUACGAGUUGGUUCCUCCGCGCAUUGUUUUUCCAUACAAAGUGCGGUCGUUCAAGGGAGAUAACUUAAAAAUUUAAAAAAUCUGAUUGCUCAAACUUUAGCAACUUAGCUUUUCUGUUGCUUGCUUCCCGGUAAGGCGAAACUUUCUUGAACGACGCCUGGUCCAUACUAUUAUCUUCUCCUUUCCCCCCGGCAAACUUGUGGGCGAGGGAACCUUCCUUUCUUUGAGAAAAAAGAAAGAGGAGAAAAUAAAGAUAAGGAGCCUUACGGCUCGUUAUUGGUUACCAGGGAGUAGGUGCUACACAAAGUGUCAGAUCACAUAUGCAAAAAAUAGAAAGCAUGAAAUUGACAAGAUGUGCGGAGCAUAUGAGCUUUACUUAUGCACGGGGUCUGCGCCCGGCUUUGUACAAAGGAUUACAUGCAACAGCGGCAAGACUUGUACAAAAGGUGGUUGCCGGAACAGGUUCCGGCAACCGCGCCUUACGGGUAAAACUUACGAAGAUGCUCAAUGUUCCAGGAAUUGCUCACCGGAAAGCUAUCUUCGGUCUCAAGGUGGACAGCGCCAGGCCUUGUGACUCGUUUCACCCGGUAAGGGCCUUCCCACUUUGGCGUCAACUUGUUGGAAUUCUUGGCGGACUGAACACGCCGAAGAACAAGGUCGCCUUCCUCGAGACUUCUGGCGUUAACUUUGCGGCUAUGGUAGCGGCGCAAAGCUUGCUGGUAGCGAGCAGCUCGUACAACAGCCUGAAGACGGUCUUCCUCAAGGAUUAGCGCGUCAUCUUGUCGCAGCUCCUCUUGCUCAAGCUCAUCAUAAGCGAGCACUCGAGGUGACCCGUAUACGAGUUCCAUGGGGAGAACUACCUCUGCUCCAUAGACUAGAGCGAAAGGUGUCUGGCCAGUGGCUCGAUUUGGCGUCGUCUUGAUCGACCAAAGAACCACCGGCAGCUCCUCGAUCCAGUUUCUUCCGCACUUGUGCAGCCUGUCGAAAGUCCUGGUCUUGAGCCCACGCAGCACUUCAGCAUUUGCCCUCUUCGCUUGACCGUUGCUUCUCGGGUGAGCAACAGAAGCGAAGCAGACCUUGGCGCCAAGAUCUUGGACGUACUGCAUGAAGGUGCGGCUCGUGAAUUGCGUACCGUUGUCGGUGAUUAUCCUGUUAGGGAUCCCAAAGCGGCAAACAAUCGACCUGAAGAACUUGACUGCUGAUUGUGCUGUCACCUUCCUCACUGCUUCCACUUCCGGCCACUUUGUGAACUUGUCGAUUGCAACAUACAAGUACUCAAAGCCCCCGACUGCUCGGGGAAAGGGGCCGAGGAUGUCGAGCCCCCAGACCAAAAAUGGCCAGGAUAAAGGGAUCGUCUGGAGAGCUUGAGUUGGUUGGUGUAUCUGCUUGGAAUGGAACUGACACGCUUCACACUUGGUUACUUGUGCAGUUGCAUCUUGGAGGGCUGUCGGCCAAAAGAAACCUUGCCGGAAUGCUUUGCCGGCAAGUGCUCUUGCACCAAUGUGGUGACCACAUAUGCCUCCAUGUAUCUCUGCCAACAGCUUUUGUCCGUCUUCCCGGUAAAUACACUUCAAUUUCACACCGUUGAGCCUUCUUCUGUACAGUGUGUUGUCGACAAACUGGUACAUACUUGACCGCCGGGCUACUCUUUCCGCUUCUUCUUGCUCUUCGGGAAGUUCUCCUGUCUGAAGGAAACAGACAAUCUGCUGUGUCCAUGCUGGAGCUUGUGGCUCGACAACAAGGACUAAAGGCAAAUCUGCUGCUGCGGGAACAUCCGCUUCUACGGCGAGAACCUGCGGCACUACCGGAGCUUGACGUUCCCCGGCAAGCUUGCCGGAGCAAAACUUGUCGGGAGCUUCUACUUCAACGGAACAAACCCUUGGCCUUGCUGGAGCAGACUGCUCCUCAGCGCUCUUAGCGUUGAUCUUGGGGACCUUCUUGGCGGCGGCUUCGGGAAGCUCUGCCGAAAAAUAGUCACCAGAAAUCAACUUCCUCUUCUUGCUCUGUCCAGUUGAUGGUGUUACAGACGGUUGAGUCAGCUUGAGCACAAAGAUCCCUGGUUCCACAGGUAACUUAAGUGCGGCGCACUUUGAUAGGCCAUCGGCAAUGGUGUUCUGAGCUCUUGGAACAUGCUCCAUCUGUAGGCCGUCAAAGUGCUCUUCUAGCUUUCUCACUUCGUUGACGUAGGCUUCCAUCAACGGACUCUGAUAGCUCUUGUUCACUUGGCGGACGACAAGCUGCAAGUCACCCCUGACAAUGAGCUUCUUGAUCCCAAGGUCUGCCGCGAUCCUGAGACCGGCAAGCAAGCCUUCAUACUCUGCAGUAUUGUUUGUUGCUUGCUCCUUGGGAAAGUGCAUCUGGACUACGCACUUGAGGUGCUCUCCGGUGGGUGCGACAAGCAGCACGCCAGCGCCGGCGCCUUGCAACGAAAAGGCACCAUCAAAGUACAUCAGCCACUCUUUGCUUGCUUCCUCGACGGGGAUGCUCGUUUCUGUAAUUUCUUCAUCUGGUGUUGGCGUCCAUUCUGCUACGAAUUCUGCCAAUGCUCUGCCUUGGAUAGUUGAACUACUCUCAAACUUGAGGCCAAAGCUUGACAGUUCCAGUGCCCACUCAACAAUCCUGCCUGUCGCUUCUGGAUUCUGUAGUAUCCUCUUCAGCGGAAAACUAGUGACAACUGUGAUCUCAUGUGCUUGGAAGUAAUGGCGCAGCUUUCUCGAGGCCAUGAGAAGGCCGAAAAGCAAUUUCUGCACGCCAGAGUACCUUGACCUAGCCCCCUGCAGAAGGGAACUGACAAAGUAAACUGGGCGCUGUACCAUUCUCUUCUGUAUCUCCUCGCGCGUCUGCGCAGAUCCAUCCUUGUCGGGACCAGAGCUUGUCGGGGAAGCCCCCUGCUUGUCGCUGGAUGCGCCUGCCGUGGCUGCUGGCUCGUCAUCUGCCUCCCUCUCUGCUACUAACGCAGCACUAACCACUUGAUUGGUUGCCGCUAUAUACAGCAGCAACUUCUCUUGUGGCUUAGGUGCGGCAAGUGUUGGAGUGGAGGACAUGUAUCUCUUCAAGUCUUGUAGCGCAGCCUCCGCUUCUGGAGUUCAUUUCAUUGGACCUGCCUUUUUCAAUAUUUUAAAAAAUGGCAGGGCACGCUCAGCAGACCUAGAGAUAAACCUGCUGAGAGCAGCCACGCAACCGGCAAGUCUUUGUACAUCCUUGACGCGCUUUGGUGCUUCAAUUUGCUCAAUGGCCUUGAUCUUGUCGGGAUUGGUUUCGAUUCCCCGCUGAGACACGAAGAGCUCGAGAAGCUUGCCGGAGGGGACUCCAAGCACACACUUCUCGGGGUUGAGCUUGAGGCUGAUCUUGCGCAGAUUUGCAAAGGUCUCGUCUAAAUCUUGAAUCAGAGUUGCCUUGUCCUUGCUCUUGACCACUAUGUCAUCCAUGUAGGCUUCCACAUUUCUGUGUAUUUGUGGCUCAAGAGCGACAUGGACUACCCUUGCAAAUGUUGAACCAGCAUUUUUUAAACCGAAAGGCAUCCGUAUGAAACAGUACGUGCCACAUGGAGUGAUGAAUGCGGUCUUCUCCUCAUCCUCUUCUGCCAUGAAGAUCUGAUGGUAUCCUGAGUAUGCGUCAAGAAAUGAAAGCAAGUCACAUCCGGCCAUGGAGUCAACAAUCUGGUCAAUGCGCGGCAAAGGAAAUGGGUCUUUGGGACAAGCUUUGUUAACAUCGGUAAAGUCGAUACAAAGUCUCCAUUUCCCGUUUGCCUUGCGCACGACUACAGGAUUGGCCAACCACAUAGGAUGGAGCACUCCUCUGACAAGGCCUGCUGCUUCCAACUUCUUGAUCUCUUCUGCGAUGAAUUCUUGGCGCUCCACUGCUUGCUUCCUGACCUUCUGCUUGACGGGCCGCACAUGAGGACAAACGGCAAGAUGGUGCUCAAUUACUUUCCUGGGUACACCGGGGAUGUCAGACGGUUGCCACGCAAACACGUCGACGUUCGCCCGCAGGAAAGCAAUGAGCGCGCUUUCCUAUUUAGGGUCGAGAGUGGCACUGAUGGUGAAGGUACCACCAGUGCCGUCCUCCUUGGCGGACACCUUCUUGGUCUCUGGCGGAGCUGCCAUUGUCUUCUUACACUUGCCGGUGGAGCUCGAUGGUGCGUCCUCGACGGCAGCGCAGCACUCCGAAGAGGUGCACUUGCCGGAGUGGGCAUCAGAACUCUUGCCGGACUUGGUCUUCUUCUUCCCCCUGGGAGCUUCAAUGGCAGGUGACUUGCGAUCUGUUGCGGCUGCCGCUUCUCGGUAGAUCUUGUCGGCGCAGAUAAGAGCAUCCUUCUUGUCGCCAGGGACAAAGAUGACGCUUAUCGGGCCUGGCAUCUUCAGCAUGUUGAAUGCGUAGUGAGAGGCUGCCAUGAACUUGGCGAGUGCUGGACGGCCGAGUAUCCCAUUGUAAGGCAAUGGAAAAUCGGCAACGUCAAAAGUGACCCUCUCAGUCCUGAAGUUCACCUUGCUGCCAAAUGUUACUGGCAACGUGACCUUCCCCUUCGGCUUGCUCCUUCCUGGGUUGAUUCCUUGGAAUGUGCCGGUCUCUUCAAGCUCGCUGUCAGUGAUCUGGAGUUUCUGGAGUACAGCGGAGGAGAUCAGGUUCAAGCCGGCCCCGCCGUCAACUAGCAUCUUAGUGACCUUGAGGUUGCGGAUAGUUGGUGAAACCAACAUCGGCAAGCACCCGACCGCAGUUGUGCGAUCAGGGUGGUCCUUAAUAUCAAAGAUGAUAGGCGUGCUGGACCAUUUCAGAAGCUUGCGUGACUCGACAGGUGGUUCCACCGCAUUGACUUCCCGCACCCACUGCUUGAGUUGGCGGUGCGAAGUAUGCAGAGAAGCACCGCCGUCAACGCACCAGACCUCUGUGACUUUCUGGAACUCCUGCUCACUGGUCUCGACACCAUCCAUGUCUUCGUCGUCGUCGUCAUCUUCAUCCUUGUCGCGGCAGCGGGGAGGUCUGUCUCCUUGCCGCUGCUUGGCCUUGCCGCGGCGUCCUCCCCGGCCGGCGCGCUUAUUGCCGGAUUCUCCAGCGCCUCCUUGGGCCCUCUCCUUGUCGCGUCGCUCGUAUUCAGCCUUUUGCUGUUGGACAAGCUGCUCGACCUUCUUGCAGCUCUGGAGGUCAUGGCCCUUGGUGCGGUGGAUCUUGCAGUACUGCUUGUCGGUGCCGUCCUGCUUGUCGGCGACCGCCACAGUCUGGCAGUUGGUGCAUGCAGCAAUCUCCUUGCCGGAGCUACCAGCUUUGGCUUUCUUGGUGCCACCUUCGUUGCCGGACUGCUCAAUGACUAGCACAUCUUUGCCUUUCUUCUUCCUGUUGUUCCGCCGCCGGUUUUUCUUUGCCGGGUAGCAUCCUCGCUGUCAGAUCCUCCUGCUCCUGUAUUCUCUCCCGGGAGUUUCCUCCCUUCCUCAGCAUGUGCACACUUGUCGACCAGGGCAUACAGCUCACUGACGUCUCUGAUCUUGCACAUCGCCAUCUCCUCCCGCAUCCUGCGGUUACGCACGUUCUGAUGGAACGCGCUGAUGACCGCGGCAGGGUGGACAUCUGGGAUGUUGUGCUGUACACGGCUGAAUCUCUGAAUGUACUUGCGCAGGGGCUCUCCUUCCUUCUGGGCGAGCAGAUGAAGGUCACUCUCUUGGCCAUGAGGUAUGUGGCCGCCUGUAAAGGCGCCGACAAACUGAUGGCAUAGGUCUGCCCAGGAGGAUAUGGAGUUGUCCGGCAAGUGCAUGAGCCAGGACCUGACGUUGGGCUUGAGCACCAGCGGGAAGUAGUUGGCAAGGAUCUUGUCGUCCCGCCCCCCGGCAGCCUGCACUACGAUGGUGUAGAUGCUGAGGAACUCCGACGGAUGCGACUUGCCGUCGUACUUCUCUGGUACGUCUGGCUUGAAAUUCUUCGUGCUAGGCCACUGGACUUGCCGCAGCUCACGAAUAAACGUAGGGCAACCUACCGCGUAAGGCAAGUCGCCUGGUUCCCCUGGCGCAUGCAUGUCGACAGAGGGCCCAGCGCGCUGGUCCGAUUGACGUCGCGCUUCUCUUCGGCGCUCGAUGCGAGUACGGUCGUCUUCUUGCUGUCGUUCGUGAAGAACUUGGCGCUGAUCGCGACGAGCUCGUGGAUCUGAUGACGCGGUGGAGUCGCUGUCGAGGUGGAUCCGGCGAGUCGGCGAUCUUGGCCUUCGGGGCGGAGAGUGCACAGUGGUUGCACCUCCACCGGUCUUGUCGCCACCGGCUCGUGCCUGGCUGACUUGUCGCGGCUGCGACGUGCUCGGUUGCCGUUGAGUGUCGCCGUUGGCGAAGCCGAUGAGACUCUGAAUGGUGGCCCUCCAGUCGUCAAUCUUGUCUGCCGUUGGAGGGUAGUCCAGGAGCAGUUGAGCUCGCGCCAAAGCUUCGGCUGUAGUGGCGGGUGGCGGUGGCGAACGGUGCGAAGAGCGGGAUAUGCUCGGACUUCUAACUAUGUUAGAAGGAGCAGUAUCCCGUCCAGGCGACCGUGCCUCGCUCGUGCCAGCAUGUUAGCGUGCAUGCUGGUCUUGAGCACUCCGAGAUCCACCAGCUCGAUCUUGGUCCAGCAAAUGCAUGGUACCGUGAGUACCAUGACGCUGCCGGUCCCGCGCCUCCUGAGAUGGGCGCGGUGCAUGUACGGACGCCGAGGUCUUGGAGUGCGCCCGGUCAUUGUGGGAGCCGGCUACGCCGCCGAUGGGCAGCGCAGCCUUGUCCUUGGACCUGGCAGCACCGUGAGCUCCCUCGUCGACGCCCGUUCUUCCGCCGGCGUCUGCCCCAUCAGCCGUUUGCUCCGGUGGUGGUGGGUUCGGCGCGGACGGAGCAGCCGCCUCCGAAGCCUUCUUCUUCGGCGGCAUGUCGAUGAAGAUGAUGAACAUCUAGCUCGUGUGAACGCCGGAUCUGGUUCACACAACCUCGACGCCCCUACCUGGCGCGCCAAAGAUGUCGGGGGACUAAUCCACGAGCACCUAUGGGACCGGCGGACCGAGUCCCUUUCGGUUCGGCGGGGGCGAGGGUCGCACGAAGAGCGGAUCGAGGCGAAGCACACGAGCAGUUUACCCAGGUUCGGGCCGCACAGAUGCAUAAAACCCUACUCCUGCUUUGUGGUUUGUAUUGAGUUCUUGCUCGGGAGCGCGGAGUGCUACAGUACACCCCAGCAGCCAACGAGACCGAGCGUGAGUGUUCUCUUCCUCCCGCCUCCUCCCCUCUACAAUGCGCAUGGGCCUCCUUUUAUAUGCUCAAGGGGUCACCGACAGGUGGCAACGUAGACAAGGGUAAAAAUGGAAAGGUGUUGCGGUUGGUACAGCUACCUGCUACAGUGUAUCAUACCUAACCCUGACGGCAGGGGACCAGGGCAUUAAAUGCCCGUCUGCGUCGCCUAAAUAGUGCAAAAGGGACCGUCAGGGACGCCACCGCUCGCCACGAUGGCAAUCUUGUCAGUGCCGCUUGCCACCGCGCACCGCUAGCUGCACAGCCUCCCGCCACGUACACCUGGAAGGGUCCCAGAGUGACACGUUGGUGGAUGUGCUGGAGCGCGGGCACAGAGUGGUGGCUUGCCGCGGUAAGCGCCUUGCCGCGGUCGUUGUCUUGUCGUGUCCGGGAGCUUGUCGCUCACCGGGCCUUGCCGGGACGCGUGGCGCGUCGCGGCAAGUUCCUUGAGAUGCCUUGGUUGGCCUUCCCGGCAAGCUCCUCUUGCCGGGGUCUUGUCUCCUUGGCUUGGAUACUUUGUCCUUGAAUGGCUCCAAAGGAACCACGGAGGACCUUGGCGGUCACCCGGCAAGCCUUGCCGCGGGAUGCUGCGACUGCCCAUGCACAAGUUCGGGAUACUAGGGUACCCCUACUCUAGUACACCGACAUUAAUAGAGCAUUGUCCCAAAUAAAAAAAAGGAAAGAAAAAAGAAGAAGAAAGGCCAAAUAAAAAAGGCCCAAAAAAGAAAAUAAAUAAAAAGGGACAAUGCUACUAUCCUUUUUUCCACACUUGUGCUUCAAAAUAGCACCAUGUUCUUCAUGAUAGAGAGUCUCUUUUUUUGUCACUUUCAUAUACUAGUAGGAAUUUUUCAUUAUAGAACUUGGCUUGUACAUUCCAACAAUGGGCUUCCUCAAAUGCCCUAGAUCUUCAUGAGCAAGCAAGUUGGAUGCACACCGACUUAAUUUCUUUUGUUGAGAUUUCAUACAUUUAUAGCUCUAGUGCAUCCGUUGCAUGGCAAUGCCUACUCCUUGCAUUGACAUCAAUUGAUGGGCAUCUCCCUAGCCUGUUGAUUAGUCUUGUCGAUGUGAGACUUUCUCCUUUUUUGUCUUCUCCACAUAACCCCCUAUCAUUAUUCUGUUCCACCCAUAGUGCUAUAUCCAUGGCUCACGCUCAUGUAUUGCGUGAAAGUUGAAAAAGUUUGAGAUUACUAAAGUAUUAAACAAUUGCUUGGCUUGUCAUCAGGGUUGUGCAAGAUGAGACCAUUCUUGUGUGACGAAAGUGGAGCAUGACCAAACUAUAUGAUUUUGUAGGGAUGAACUUUCUUUUUCCAUGUUAUUUUGAGAAGACAUGAUUGCUUAGUUAGUAUGCUUGAACUAUUAUUAUUUUUAUGUCAAUAUUAAACUUUUGUCUUGAAUAUCUCGGAUCUAAACAUUCAUGCCACAAUAAAGAAAAUUACAUUGAGAAUUAUGCUAGGUAGCAUUCCACAUCAAAAAUUCUUUUUUUAUCAUUUACCUACUCGAGGACGAGCGGGAAUUAAGCUUGGGGAUGCUUGAUAUGUCUCCAACGUAUCUAUAAUUUUUAUUGUUCCAUGCUAUUAUAUUAUCUGUUUUGCAUCUUAAUGGGCUUAUUAAUACACUUUUAUAUUAUUUUUGGGACUAACCAGCUAACCCAAGGCCCAGUGCAAAUUACAGUUUUUUUGCCUAUUUCAGUGUUUCGCAGAAAAGGAAUAUCAAAUGGAAUCCAAACGGAAUAAAACCUUAGGGAGAGUUAUUUUUGGAACAAACGUGAUCCAGGGGACUUGGAGUGGACGUCAAGCAACCAACGAGGAGGCCACGAGGCAGGGGGGCGCGCCUACCCCCCUGGUCGCGCCCUCCCCCCUCGUGGGCCCCUCAUGGAUCCACCGACCUACUUCUUCCUCCUAUAUAUAUUCAUAUACCCCGAAAACAUCCAGGAGCACCACGAAACCCUAUUUCCACCGCCGCAACCUUGUGUCCCCAAGAGAUCCCAUCUUGGGGCCUUUUCCGGAGCUCCGUCGGAGGGGGAAUCGAUCACGGCGGUGUUGGGGAACGUAAUAAUUUCAAAAAAAUUCCUACGCACACGCAAGAUCAUGGUGAUGCAUAGCAACGAGAGGGGAGAGUGUGUCCACGUACCCUCGUAGACCGAAAGCGGAAGCGUUAACACAACACGGUUGAUGUAGUCAUACGUCUUCAUGAUCCGACCGAUCAAGUACCAAAAGCACGGCACCUCCGAGUUCUGCACACGUUCAACUCGAUGAGGUCCCUCAAACUCCGAUCCAGCUGAGCUUUGAGGGAGAGUUCCAUCAUCACGAUGGUGUGGUGACGAUGAUGAUAUUCUACUAACGCAGGGCUUCGCCUAAGCACCGCUACGAUAUUAUCGAGGUGGAUUAUGGUGGAGGGGGGCACCGCACAAGGCUAAGAGAUCCAAGAGAUCAAUUGUUGUAUCUCUAGGGGGUGCCUCCCUCCCCGUAUAUAAAGGAGUGGAGGAGGGGGAGGGGGCCGGCCACCCUUGGCGCGCCCCAUGAGGAGUCCUACUCCCAUCGGGAGUAGGACUUCCCCCUUCCAUGUUGGAGUAGGAGAGGAGAGGGUAGGAGAAAUAGGAAGAAAGGAAAGGGGGCCCGCCCCCCUUCCUUGUCCAAUUCGGACUUGGGAGGGGAGGGGCGCGCAGCUGCCCCUUGGCCACCUCUCAUCUUCCACCAAUUGGGCCCAUGAGGCCCAAUAACCUCUGGGGGGGUUCUGGUAACCCUCGAUACUUGAUAACCCACAAGUAUAGGGGAUCGCAACAGUUUUUAAGGGUACAGUAUUCAACCCAAAUUUAUUGAGUCGACACAAGGGGAGCCAAAGAAUACUCUCAAGUAUUAGCAGCUGAGUUGUCAAUUCAACCACACCUGGAAACUUAAUAUCUGCAACAAAGUGUUUAGUAGCAUAGUAAUAUGAUAGUAGUGGUAACGGUAGCAAAAGGUAGUGAUAGUAAAAGUAAUGUUUUUGGUAUUUUGUAGUGAUGAUAGCAAUAGCAAUGGAAAAGUAAAUAAGCGAAGAACAAUAUAUGGAAAGCUCGUAGGCAAUGGAUCAGUGAUGGAGAAUUAUGUCGGAUGCGGUUCAUCAUGUAACAAUCAUAACCUAGGGUGACACAGAACUAGCUCCAGUUCAUUGAUGUAAUGUAGGCAUGUAUUCUGAAUAUAGUCAUACGUGCUUAUGUGAAAGAACUUGCAUGACAUCUUUUGUCCUACCCUCCCGUGGCAGCGGGGUCCUUACGGAAACUAAGGGAUAUUAAGGCCUCCUUUUAAUAGAGUACCAGAACAAAGCAUUAACACAUAGUGAAUACAUGAACUCCUCAAAGUACGGUCAUCACCGGUAAGUAUCCCGAUUAUUGUCACUUCGGGGUUAACGGAUCAUAACACAUAAUAGGUGAUUAUAGACUUGCAAGAUAGGAUCCAGAACUCUCAUAUAUUGAUGAAAACAUAAUAGGUUCAGAUCUAAAAUCAUAGCAACAUCGAUCUCAGAACAUAGUGGAUACUAGGGAUCAAUCCCUAAAAAAACUAACUCGAUUACAUGAUAGAUCCCAUCCAACCCAUCACCGUCCAGCAAGCCUACGAUGGAAUUACUCACGCAUGGCGGUGAGCGUCAUAAAAUUGGUGAUGGAGGAUGAUUGAUGAUGACGAUGGCGAUGGAUUCCCCUCUCUGGAGCCCCGAACGGACUCCAGAUCAGCCCUCCCGAGAGGUUUUAGGGCUUGGCGGUGGCUCCGUAUUGUAAAACGCGAUGAAUUCUUCUCUCUGAUUUUUUCUCCCUGAAACAUAAUAUAUAGAGUUGGAGUUGGAGUUGGAGUCGGAGGAGCUCCAGGGGGCCCACGAGGAAGGGGGGCGCGCCCCCACCCUCGUGGACAGGUGGUGGGCCCCUGGCCUUCAUCUUUUGCAGGUUUUUUUAUAUUUUCCAAAAAUUUGCUCCAUGAAGUUUUAGGUCAUUCCGAGAACUUUUGUUUCUGCACAUAAAUAACACUAUGGUAAUUCUGCUGAAAACAGCGCCAGUCCGGGUUAGUUCCAUUCAAAUCAUGCAAGUUAGAGUCCAAAACAAGGGCAAAAGUGUUUGGAAAAGUAGAUACGACGGAGACAUAUCAACUCCCCCAAGCUUAAACCUUUGCUUGUCCUCAAGCAAUUCAGUUGAUAAACUGAAAGUGAUAAAGAAAAACUUUUACAAACUCUGUUUGCUCUUGUUGUUGUAAAUAUGUAAAGCCAGCAUUCAAGUUUUCAGCAAAGAUUAUAACUAACCACAUCCGCAAUAACGCUUAGGUCUCAAGUUUACUCAUAUCAAUGGCAUAACCAACUAGCGAGCAAUAAUAAUAAAUCUCAAAUGACAACACUUUCUCAAAACAAUCAUAAUAUGAUAUAACAAGAUGGCAUCUCGCUAGCCCUUUCUGAGACUGCAAAACAUAAAUGCAGAGCACCUUUAAAGACCAAGGACUGACUAGACAUUGUAAUUCAUAGUAAAAGAGAUCCAGUCAAGUCAUACUCAAUGUAAACUAACAGUAAUGAAUGCAAAUGACACCGGUGCUCUCCAACUGGUGCUUUUUAAUAAGAGGAUGAUGACUCAGCAUAAAAGUAAAUAGAUAGGCCCUUCGCAGAGGGAAGCGGGGAUUUGUAGAGGUGCCAGAGCUCGGUUUUGAAAUAGAGAUGAAUAAUAUUUUGAGCGGUAUACUUUCAUUGUCAACAUAACAACCAAGAGAUGACGAUAUCUUCCAUGCUACACACAUUAUAGGUGGUUCCCAAACAGAAUGGUAAAGUUUAUACUCCCCCUUCCACCAAGAAGCAUCAAUCCAUGGCUUGCUCGAAACAACGAGUGCCUCCAACUAACAAGAGUCCCAGGGGGAGUUUUGUUCACAAUUAUUUUGAUUUAGUUUGCAUAAAGCAUGGGACUAGGCAUCCCGGUGACCAGCCACUUUCUCAUGAGUGAGGAGCGGAGUCCACUCCUCUUGAGAAUAACCCACCUAACAUGGAAGAUACGGACAACCCUAGUUGAUACAUGAGCUAUUCGAGCAUACAAAACAAGAUAUUUAUUUGAAGGUUUAGAGUUUGGCACAUACAAAUUUACUUGGAACAACAGGUAGAUACCGUAUAUAGGUAGGUAUAGUGGACUCAUGUGGAAUAACUUUGGGGUUUAAGGGGUUGGAUGCACAAGCAGUAUUCCCGCUUAGUACAGGUGAAGGCUAGCAGAAGACUGGGAAGCGACCAGCUAGAGAGCGACAACAAUCAUGAACAUGCAUUAAAAUUAAUCAACACCGAAUGCAAGCAUGAGUAGGAUAUAAUCCACCAUGAACAUAAAUAUCGUGAAGGCUACGUUGAUUUUGUUUCAACUACAUGCGUGAACAUGUGCCAAGUCAAGUCACUUAAAUCAUUCAGAGAAGGAUACCACCCUAUCAUACCACAUCAUAACCAUUUCAAUAGCAUGUUGGCACGCAAGGUAAACCAUUAUCACUCAUAGCUAAUCAAGCAUGGCACAAGAAACUAUGAUCUCUAGUUGUCAUUGCAAACAUGUUUAUUCAUAAUAGGCUGAAUCAGGAACGAUGAACUAAUAAUAUUUACAAAAACAAAAGAGGUCGAGUUCAUACCAGCCUUUCUCAUCUCAGUCAGUCCAUCAUAUAUCGUCAUAAUUGCCUUUCACUUGCACGACCGAACGAUGUGAAUAAUAAUAAUUGCGCAUGUGCAUUGGACUAAGCUGGAAUCUGCAAGCAUUCAAUAAACAGGAGAAGACAAGGCAAUAUGGGCUCUUUUGUCAGAUCAAUAAUUAUGCAUAUAAGAGCCACUUCAACAAUUUAAUUAUGGUCUUCUCCGAUCGACCCCAAAAGAAAAGAAAAGAAAUAAAACUAUUUACACGGGAGAGCAACCAACAAGUAAAAGAAGAACAUGAAAUCUUUUUGGGUUUUCUUUUUAAUUACUGCUACAAGCAUGGAAAGUAAACUAUUUUUUUGGUUUUUCUUAAGGUUUAUUAAACACACAAGAAGAAAGCAUAAAAGGAAAGUGACUAGCAUGGAUGAUACAAGGAAAAAGUGUGAGCACCGACAUCUGGCAAUGAGUGUGUGAACAUAAACGUAAUGUCGGUGGGAAAUACGUACUCCCCCAAGCUUAGGCUUUUGGCCUAAGUUGGUUUAUGGCCACGGUUAGCCUGGCGGAUAUCCAUAAUAGUAGUUAGGGUCAUACUAAGAUGCAGCGGCUAUCGCCUCCUGCGCUGCAGCGUGGCGACGAGCGGCCUCCGCUCUCCUCUCGUACUCAUCUGCCUCCUCUCUGGUAAUAACAUAUCUUCCUUUUGCCUGAUGAUCAAAGGAGGCAGGAGCAGGGAGAGUAAUAUGGACAGCACAACGUCUGUCAAAGAUUAGUCGAUACUGGAGAGGUGAUUCAUUCCUCUCGACAAACUGGUGGUGAACCAUAGCAUUAAAGUCUAGGUAAGCAGGGGUAAUUCAAUAUCAUCUUCGAGUAUGGCUAUACCAAGAAAAUUAGCUAUGCGGGUUGCAUAAAUGCCUCCAAAGAAAUCUCCAUUAAAUCUGUUAAGAUGCAACCUACGUGCAACAAUGGCUCCCAAAUUAUAAGAUUUAUGUCCUAACAUAGCACUCCUAAGAAUACUGAGGUCAGGACACACAUGUGACAUGCCUCAUCUUUACCAUUAAUGCAUCUACCUAUGAAGAGAGCAAAAUAAUGUAUAGCAGGAAAGUGAAUACUCCCUAUGGUAGCUUGUGUUAUAUCUCUAGAUUCUCCCACAGCUAUGCUAGCAAGAAAAUCUCUAAAUUCAGAUUUGCGAGGAUCCCUUAUACUAGCCCAUUGUGGAAGUUUGCAAGCAGUGGUUAAAUCCUCUAAGUCCAUAGUGUAAUUUUUUUCAUAAAGAUCAAAGAGGACAGUUGGAGAAUUACGUGAAGAUGAAAAUUCAAACCUCCUCACAAAGGAACUAGUGAGAUUGUGAUACUGGCUGCACUUCUCUUCCUCGAAGCUUAGAAGAUCAGCGUUACGAAAAUAUGCGUUAAAUUCUUCCUUAAUUCCCGCUCGAUCCAUAAAGUUCUCAGAAGGCCAUUCACAAGGACGCACUGGAGCGUCUCUUGGUGGCUCAUCAUCAGCAUCACACAUUGCAAGCCUGGGUCCUUGCUUCCUUGAAGAACCACCCUGAAACAUUUUCCUAAGCAUAUUUCUUCCUCAAGGAACAAUCUCCCCAAGCAGUUUUGUGAGAGGUGCUUUGAGCAAGGAGAUCGAAAAUGGCAGCAAAACGAGCUUGGACUCUGGUUUGAGCUGGUUGUUCGUGUUUGUGGGAGGAAGGAGUGUGUGGGUGAAAGGAUAAGUGGAGGAGGGCCAUCGUGGGCCCACGAGGCAGGGGGCGCGCCCAGGGGGGUAGGGCGCGCCCCCCACCCUCGUGGCCAGGUGGAUGGCCCCCUGCUGUGUUCUCAGUGCCAAAUAUUCUCAAAUAUUCUAGAAAAAAUCAUAUUUAAAUUUCAGGGCAUUUGGAGAAAUUUUAUUUUCAGGGUAUUUUUAUAUUGCACGGAUAAUCAGAUAACAGACAGAAAACACUAUUUUUAUUUUAUUUAAUAUAAUUAUCAGAAAGUAAAAGGAGGGUACAGAAGGUUGUGCCUUCUAGUUUCAUCCAUCUCAUGCUCAUCAAAAGGAAUCCACUAACAAGGUUGAUCAAGUCUUGUUAAAGAACUCAUUCAGAAUAACAUGGAACCGGAGAAAUUUCGAAUCACACUAUGUUACCUCAGCGGGGAUAUGCACAUCCCCAAUAAUAAGAAUAUCAUAAUUCUUCUUGAUAGUAGGAAGGGGAAAUUCAAAACCUCCCAAUAUAAUCGAUGGAAAUUUUCCAAUAGAGUUGAUACUAUGAACUUGAGGUUGUUUCCUCGGAAAGUGUACCGUGUGCUCAUUACCAUUAACAUGAAAAGUGACAUUGCCUUUAGUGCAAUCAAUAACAGCCCCUGCAGUAUUCAAAAAGGGUCUUCCAAGCAUAAUAGACAUACUAUCGUCCUCGGGAAUAUCAAGAAUAACAAAGUCUGUUAAAAUAGUAACGUUUGCAACUACAACAGGCACAUCCUCACAAAUACCGACAAGUAUAGUAGUUGAUUUAUCAGCCAUUUGCAAAGAUAUUUCAGUAGGUGUCAACUUAUUCAAAUCAAGUCUACGAUAUAAAGAGAGAGGCAUAACACCAACACCGGCUCCAAGAUCACAUAAAGCAGUUUUAGCAUAGUUUCCUUUAAUGGAGCAUGGUAUAGUGGGUACUCCUGGAUCUCCAAGUUUCUUUGGUAUUCCACCCUUAAAAGUAUAAUUAGCAAGCAUGGUGGAAAUUUCAGCUUCCGAUAUCUUUCUUUUAUUAGUAACAAUUUCUUUCAUAUACUUAGCAUAAGGAUUCAUUUUGAGCAUAUCAGUUAAUCGCAUACGCAAAAAGAUAUGUCUAAUCAUUUCAGCAAAGCGCUCAAAAUCCUCAUCAUCCUUUUUCUUGAAUGGUUUAGGAGGAAAAGGCAUGGGUUCCUGAACCCAUGGUUCUCUUUCUUUACCGUGCUUCCUAGAAACAAAGUCUCUCCUAUCAUAACGUUGAUUCUUCGAUUGUGGGUUAUCAAGAUCAACAGCAAGUUCAAUCUCUACUUCAUUGUCAUUACUAGUUUGAGCAUCAACAUGAGCAUCAUUAUUAACAUUUUCACUAGGUUCAUGCUCAUUACCAGAUUGUGUUUCAGCAUCAGAAAUAGAAAUAUCAUUUGGAUUCUCAGGUGUGUCAACAAUAGGUUCACUACAAGCAUGCAAAGUCCUAUCAUUUUUCUUUUUCUUCCUUUUAGAAGGACUAGGUGCGUCAAUAUUAUUUCUCUGAGAAUCUUGCUCAAUUCUCUUAGGAUGGCCCUCAGGAUACAAGGGUUCCUGAGUCAUUUUACCACCUCUAGUCAUAACUCUAACAACAUUAUCAUUUUUCUUACUAUUCAAUUCAUUGAGCAAAUCAUUCUGAGCUUUGAGUACUUGUUCUACUUGAGUGGUAACCAUAGAAGCAUGUUUACUAAUAAGUUUAAGCUCACCUUUGACAUUACCCAUAUAAUCACCCAAGUGUUAAAGCAUAUUUGAAUUCUAUUUCAAUUGUCUACCAAAAUAAGCAUUAAAGUCUUCUUGCUUAGCCAUAAAAUUUACCAAACUUAUCUAAGCAUGGGCUAGCAAACUUAGUAAAUGGGAUUUCAGCUUUAUCAUAUCUAUAGAGAGAAUUUACCUUUACUACCUGUGUCGGGUUAUCAAGACCAUGAGUUUCUUCAAUAGGUAAAGGAUUAAGACCAUAUGUUUCUUUAACAGGCGGUAAAUUAAGACCAUGUAUUUCUUCAAUAGGAGGUAAAUUCUUAACAUCUUCAGCUUUGUUACCUUUUACUUUCAAAGAUUUCUUUGCCUCUUUUAUAUCUUCAGGACUGAGAAAUAGAAUACCCCUCUUCUUUGGAGUUGGUUUAGGAAUAGGCUCAGGAAUUGGCUCCGGAGGUGUCCAAUUAUUUUCAUUUGUCAGCAUAUUAUUCAAUAGAAUUUCAGCUUCAUUCGGUGUUCUUUCCCUGAAAACAGAACCAGCACAACUAUCCAGGUAAUCUCUGGAGGCAUCGGUUAGUCCAUUAUAAAAGAUAUCAAGUAUUUCAUUUUUCUUAAGAGGAUGAUCAGGCAAAGCAUUAAGUAAUUGGAGAAGCCUCCCCCAAGCUUGUGGGAGACUCUCUUCUUCAAUUUGCACAAAGUUAUAUAUAUCCCUUAAAGCAGCUUGUUUCUUAUGAGCAGGGAAAUAUUUAGCAGAGAAGUAAUAAAUCAUAUCCUGGGGACUACGCACACAACCAGGAUCAAGAGAAUUAAACCAUAUCUUAGCAUCACCCUUUAAUGAGAACGGGAAUAUUUUAAGGAUAUAAAAGUAACGAGUUAUCUCAUCAUUAGUAAACAGGGUAGCUAUAUCAUUUAAUUUAGUAAGAUGUGAUACAACAGUUUCAGAUUCAUAGCCAUGGAAAGGAUCAGAUUCAACGAAAGUAAUUAUAUCAGGAUCAAUAGAGAAUUCAUAAUCCUUAUCGGUAACACAGAUAGGUGAAGUAGCAAAAGCAGGGUCAGGUUUCAUCCUAUCAUUUAGAGAUUGCUUAUUCCAUUUAGCUAACCUCUUGAGUUCGUAUCUAUCUUUGCAAGCUAAAAUAGCUAAAGAAGGUUCUUUAUCAAAAACAUAACCCUCAGGAAUAACAGGCAAGUCUUCAUCAUCAAUUUCAUCAGUAUUAUCAGAUUCAAUAUUUUCAAUCUCUCUAGCCCUAGCAAGUUGUUCGUCAAGAAAUUCACUAAGUGGCACAGUAGUAUCAAGCAUAGAAGUAGUUUCAUCAUAAGUAUCAUGUAUAGCAGAAGUAGCAUCAUCAAUAACAUGCGACAUAUCAGAACGAAUAGCAGAAGCAAGUUUAGGUGUCGCAAGCUUACUCAUAACAGAAGGUGAAUCAAGUGCAGAGCUAGAUGGCAGUUCCUUACCUCCCCUCGUAGUUGAGGGACAAAUAUUGGUUUUUGGAUCUCCCAAGUUCUUCAUAAUGAUAAGAAGAUAUAAAUCCCAAGUGACUCAAAGAAUAGAGCUAUGCUCCCCGGCAACGGCGCCAGAAAAUAGUCUUGAUAACCCACAAGUAUAGGGGAUCGCAACAGUUUUCGAGGGUAGAGUAUUCAACCCAAAUUUAUUGAUUCGACACAAGGGGAGCCAAAGAAUAUUCUCAAGUAUUAGCAGCUGAGUUGUCAAUUCAACCACACCUGGAAACUUAAUAUCUACAGCAAAGUGUUUAGUAGCAAAGUAACACUACAAGAAAUGUGUUAAUACAUGAUGGAUUUGCGGUGACAGAUUCAGAAACCGUCACGGACAGACUGGUACAGCCCGCAAGCCCACCUAAGCCCGCCUGAAGCCCUAAACCAUUCCCCAUAUAUAAAACCUAACCCUAGGGACACUCCCAAUCUUUCUCCUCCUCCACCGCCGCCCCCAUCUUGGCCCUUUCCAGUUAGCGACUUCCUGCCCUCCCUGCACCGCGUCACCGUAUCCUCCUCCUUUCCACGGCCGCCGUGCUGCUCCUGCCUGUCGUCCAGCUCCUGCUCCUCCACCAGAACCAACCGGAGCACGUCUGGAAGUGGAGGAAAUUCCCGUCCCUCUCUGUACUGUAUCUGGAUCGGCUCCCAUGAUUCUUCCUCCCUCUGCCGGUAAGGACGCACUAGCACAUCUACUAUCUUUUGCGGCGAAGAAUCGAACUAAAUCCAAUUCAUUUCAGGCAGACCUCUUAUCUUUGCAAACUUUUGUGCUGAUCCGGCAUGGAGGUCAAACCCGACGACGGCUUGUUGGAGCAGAGUGGCCAUGCGGUGGCCUAUGGCACGACUCAGUAGAGGGAGCCGCGCAGCGGCAUCGCCGUUUCCUUCCCCGUCCAUGAGGUCUGAUCUCCCGCCCGCCCCAUACACCGAACUCAAGAUCCACUUGUUCUUGUUUUUUCUUUUUUCUUUGGACUAAUCUCAUAGCUUCUUGGUCAGUUCGUUUUUUACCCCAAGAUAAUUUCCACGAAUCAGUAUCUUCAUUGAUUUUGGUCUGUGGCUACCUAAUUCUACAACUAGAAUAGAAUAGAAUAGGUUGAGAGGAUCGAUCCGAAACUAAGUAGGCAAACAUUUCAGUCUAGGUUAGUCGGUGUCUUUGGAGCAAAAUUGAACGCCCCCAAAAAAAAUAUCUGCACACAGGACAAAAAACAAAAUGGUAUUUUGAAACAUCUAAAUAAAAUUUCAAUGCAACGAGAGUGCCAUAUCGGUAGACUGCUAGAGUUGUACUUGUUUUCAUUUCUUCCCAUUCGAUUUGCUAUUAAUCUUACUUUCUCAAUGUAGAGAUGUGCUACACAAAUGUUAAAAAAUCUUGAUGGUUAACACUUUAACUUAAGGAGAUAUUUCCAUAAGCAAGUUUAGUUUCUCGCUGUGCUGGGUUCUAUUAGCUUAUUCUGAAUCUGAACAUGACAUGACAAACCACUGAAACAUGAUCAGAUUUUUGUGUGUGUAUUUAACAAGUUUCUUUGAUUGAUUGUCAUACAUCUCACGCACACAUACUGGAUCGCAGCAGUGCGGCCAACCUCUGGCCUUUGCUUCUUCCUCCCUGAUGGCGGCGUGGAACAAUAGUGGGUUCCACUAACCCCGACCGCGGCCUAACAUGCAUGGACUGAAGCAUUGGACAGGCGCACACUACUCGGCUCUACAUAUCUGGGUCAUCUGAGAUAAGUUAUUAUGUUUCUUCUUUAAAGUGAGAUCGUGUGCUUCUUUGAUCCAGUUGUAGUAAGUUGUACAAGGCCUUAGCUGGUUUUCAGGGAGGAACUUCAUCUCAUGGCUAAAACUUGGGUAAAACUAUGGGCAUACAAAAUAUAUCUUUGUUUUUGUUGCCUUACAAACAUGGUUGUGAACGAACUGAAUGUUGGCAAACAACUGUAUAUCCAUCCUCACUUAUUUUGAUAUUUUUGGAAGUGAAAGGGAGUAAGGAUAGGGCAGAGAGCAGAGAGCACACCGGUUAUGUUGGAAAAAUUGGUCGAAGUUACAGUCCAGUAUCUGGCAUAAAUACAGGACAACUAGAAUGCCUAAAUGCACACAACGUUGAUGGUAAGACAUGCUUGAUAACUACCUAACACAGUCAAAUUAUUCAUUUCAUAAAUUUAGACAAAAAAUAGUAUUGUCUUCACAAUGUCCACCAAUGAAUAUCUUUGUGCAUUUCUAGACCUUGAAGUUACAUAAAAAAUGCAGUUUAUCUUCUUGCUUGUGUCCUGGAAGGUUUCAGCAUCUGUACCUAUAUCAGUGAUUUCUUUUACAUGUGUUCUGAUUCAGCUUGUACCUUCAUUAACGUGAAGUAAUUUUAAAGAUAUAUAUAGACUAAAUUUGUAGUCUAAUUCUUGCAAGCCUUGUUCCUACUGCUGCCACUUUGUAUAAAUAUAUACUGGUUCGUGCAAGCCUUGCUCCUACUUCAAAUUUGUAGUCUGAAUGUACCUAUAUAUCCGUGCAUCAGACUAAAUUUGUAGUCUAAUUCGUGAAGUAGGAGCAAUGCGUCCUACUGCUGCCACCUUGUAUAAAUAUAUACUGGUUCAUUUCGUUUCAUUAUUGUUUUUCCUUAUAAAUAAUAGUACUAUGUUGGUCAAGUGGGCAGCACAUAAAAUUGUUAUGCACAGAAGUAACAGGAUAAUAAAAUCAAUGGGUUUAUGAUAGAAAAGCUUUUCUGUAUAUCCUGAAUGAAUAUAAACGAUGCAUGAUCAUGUCAAGCUGCACUUUCCUAUCUAUAAUUUCAUUGUUUAUCAAGUAUUUUCAAGUUUCAUAGUCCAUUACAUUACAAAUUUUGAUUUUUCAUCUAAUAACAAAUACAUAGCUUAAUGUUCCAGAAUAAAACUAAGUGUGGGAGAUCUCUCAAGCUGUAUCAUAUUCUUUGGUGAAAUUUUCCAUGCCAUUUGAAGUUCACUUGGCAUGAAAGUAUUCUUUACUAUUUCUUAGCCCUCUGAGAUGUAGUUGCAACAUAAACAUUGCCGCUGCUCGUUGACCCGGAUGACAUAAACUUCAAAUGUUCAUGUGUCAACAAGUUUACACAUCAUGGGGGGAUAUUGUUUGUUAGUGAUAUGCCAUUUCGUUGGCGGGUUUAUAUGGCCUCAACUACUGCUGCUAUAGUACUUGGAGCUCUGUGAUGUGUAUUUUUUCACUUUGUCAUUUGAAUUUCAUUUGGCACACUUUUCUUUGUCUUAAUUUUAAGAAACCACAUGUUUACUCUUGUUUUAUACUCCAUUUAUAGGCACUAUAAGAUUUAGGAAUUCUGGACAUCAUGUAAUUCAUUUUUUAUUUUUGUUGCAAUUCUCUUAUUUCUACCAUCCAUUCAUAUAUCCAAAUAUCUAAUAUUUGUGUAAAUAUGCUAGGUAAUAUUGGAUAGAGUGCUACUUGGUGCUUCCCAUCACAAUCAUCCACAGCAUGAUAGUUGCCAUCAAGAGCGUCGACGGCAAGAGCCUGAAUAACAACAUACUCAAUAGUUUAUGUGUUCUGUUGAUGUAAAAUGGAUUGUAUUGGUUCAUAUAUAACUCUGUUGUGUGAUAUAUUUUCUCAACCUAUGUUGUAUGUUAUCAUUUUGUAGAGGAUUUUUUAAACCGCUAUGUUGUAGAUAUGUACGGAUGGAUGUGAUAAACUUUGUAAUGUUUCACACCAUGCAAAUAAUUUUUGUUGGGCCAAAAUUGGCAUUAGGAUUUGUGUAUCGCAUUAUGUUAAAAACAUACUGGGUCAAACUUUGGCCAAAAUAAAUGGGCUAAUGGGCUCAAGCAAAUUUAAACUACCUUUUAAAUUUUGCCUAAAUCCAUGACGGAUUUCGUGACGAAAAAUAGUAUCCACGUAGGCAGCCACAUCAUUCGAAAUAGUCAAUUGAAAAUCCUACGUGGCGUUAGUCCAUGACGGAUUAUUCCGUCACAAAGGCUUGGGCCCGGGCGGGCCUGGGGCAGAUCCAUGACGGCCAAGAACCAUCAUGACUGGUACGAUAUUACAUUAUGACGCGAUAUACAUGACGGAUUUCAAAUCUGUCAAGGAUGGGCACCCAUGACAGUUUUUCACUAAUCUGUGAUGGACUAGAUCCGUCACGUAUUAACAGAUUUCUUAUAGUGUAAUAUGAUAGUAGUGGUAACGGUAGCAAAAGGAAGUGAUAGUAAAAGUAAUGUUUUUGGUAUUUUGUAGUGAUGAUAGCAAUACCAACGGAAAAGUAAACAAGCAAAGAACAAUAUAUGGAAAGCUCGUAGGCAAUCGAUCGGUGAUGGAGAAUUAUGCCGGAUGCGGUUCAUCAUGUAACAAUCAUAACCUAGGGUGACACAGAACUAGCUCCAGGUCAUUGAUAUAAUGUAGGCAUGUAUUGCGAAUAUAGUCAUACGUGCUUAUGGAAAAGAACUUGCAUGACAUCUUUUGUCCUACCCUCCCGUGGUAGCGGGGUCCUUAUGGAAACUAAGGGAUGUUAAGGCCUCCUUUUAAUAGAGUACCGGAACAAAGCAUUAAUAUAGUGAAUACAUGAACUCCUCAAACUACGGUCAUCACCGGUAAGUAUCCCGAUUAUUGUCACUUCGGGGUUAAUGGAUCAUAACACAUAAUAGGUGACUAUAGACUUGCAAGAUAGGAUCCAGAACUCUCAUAUAUUGAUGGAAACAUAAUAGGUUCAUAUAUGAAAUCAUGGCACUCGGGCCCUAGUGACAAGCAUUAAGCAUAGCAAAGUCAUAGCAACAUCAAUCUCAGAACAUAGUGGAUACUAGGGAUCAAACCCUAACAAAACUAACUCGAUUACAUGAUAGAUCCCAUCCAACCCAUCACCAUCCAGCAAGCCUACGAUGGAAUUACUCACGCACGGCGGUGAGCAUCAUGAAAUUGGUGAUGGAGGCUGGUUGAUGAUGACGAUGGCAACGGAUUCCCCUCUCCGGAGCCCCGAACGGACUCCAGAUCGGCCCUCCCGAGAGGUUUUAGGGCUUGGCGGCAGCUCCGUACCGUAAAACGCGAUGAAUUCUUCUCUCUGAUUUUUCUCCCCGAAACACAAUAUAUAGAGUUGGAGUUGGAGUCGGAGGAGCUCCAGGGGGCACGAGGUAGGGGGCGCGCGCCCCACCCUCGUGGACAGGUGGUGGGGCCCCUGGCCUUCAUCUUUUGAAGGUAUUUUUAUAUUUUCCAAAAAGUUUCUCCGUAAAGUUUCAGGUCAUUCCGAGAAAUUUUGUUUGUGCACAUAAAUAACACCAUGGUAAUUUUGCUGAAAACAGCGUUAGUCCGGGUUAGUUCCAUUCAAAUCAUGCAAGUUAGAGUCCAAAACAAGGGCAAAAGUGUUUGAAAAAGUAGAUACGACGGAGACGUAUCAGUACUCCGGUAUAUAUCCGAUAACCCCCGGAACCAUUCCGGUGUCCGAAUAUAGUCGUCCAAUAUAUCAAUCUUCAUGUCUCAACCAUUUCGAGACUCCUUGUCAUGUCCGUGAUCACAUCCGGGACUCCGAACUACCUUCGGUACAUCAAAACACAUAAACUCAUAAUAUAACCGUCAUCGAACUUUAAGUGUGCGGACCCUACGGGUUCGAGAACUAUGUAGACAUGACCGAGACACAUCUUCGGUCAGUAACCAAUAGAGGAACCUGGAUGCUCAUAUUGGCUCCUACAUAUUCUACGAAGAUCUUUGUUGGUCAAACCACAUAACAACAUAUGUUGUUCCCUUUGUCAUCGGUAUGUUACUUGCCCGAGAUUCGAUCGUCGGUAUCUCAAUACCUAGUUCAAUCUCGUUACCGGCAAGUAUCUUUACUCGUUCCGUAAUAAAUCAUCCCGCAACUAACUCAUUAGUUGCAAUGCUUGCAAGGCUUAAGUGAUGUGUAUUACCGAGUGGUCCCAGAGAUACCUCUCCGACAAUUGGAGUGACAAAUCCUAAUCUCGAAAUACGCCAAUCCAACAAGUACCUUCGGAGACACCUGUAGAGCACCUUUAUAAUCACCCAGUUACGUUGUGACGUUUGGUGGCACACAAAGUGUUCCUCCGGUAGACAGGAGUUGCAUAAUCUCAUAGUCAUAGGAACAUGUAUAAGUCAUGAAGAAAGCAAUAGCAACAAACUAAACGAUCAAGUGCUAAGCUAAUGGAAUAGGUCAAGUCAAUCGCAUCAUUCUCCUAAUGAUGUGAUCCCAUUAAUCAAAUGACAACUCUUUGUCUAUGGCUAGGAAACAUAACCAUCUUUGGUCAACGAGCUAGUCAAGUAGAGGCAAACUAGUGACACUCUGUUUAUCUAUGUAUUACACAUGUAUCAUGUUUCUGGUUAAUACAAUUCUAGCAUGAAUAAUAAACAUUUAUCAUGAUAUAAGGAAAUAAAUAAUAACUUUAUUAUUGCCUCUAGGGCAUAUUUUCUUCAGUCUCCCACUUGCACUAGAGUCAAUAAUCUAGUUAACAUCUUUAUGUGAUUAGUUCACAUCUCCAUGUGACUAAUACCCAAAGGGUUUACUAGAGUCUAUAAUCUAGUUCACAUCGCUAUGUGAUUAACACCCAAAGAGUGAUCAUGUUUUGCUUGUGAGAGAAGUUUAGUCUACGGGUCUGCAACAUUCAGAUCCGUAUGUAUUUCGCAAAUUUAUAUGUCUACAAUGCUCUGCGCGGAGCUACUCUAGCUAAUUGCUUCCACUUUCAAUAUGUAUCCAGAUUGAGACUUAGAGUCAUCUAGAUCGAUGUAAAAAGCUUGCAUCGAUGUAACUCUUUACGACGAACUCUUUUAUCACCUCCAUAACCGAGAAAUAUUUCCUUAGUCCUCUUAGGAUAAUUUUGACCGUUGUCCAGUGAUCUACUCCUAGAUCAUUACUGUACUCCCUUGCCAGAAAGAUGCUAAAGUAUACAAUAGGACUGAUAAACAGCAUAGCAUACUUUAUAGAACCUAUGACUGAGGCAUAGGGAAUGACUUAUCAUUCUCUUUCUAUUUUCUUCUAUGGUCGGGUUUUGAGUCUUUACUCAACUUCACACCUUGCAACACAGGCAAGAACUCCUUUGACUGUUCCAUUUUGAACUACUUCAAAAUCUUGUCAAGGUAUGUACUCAUUGAAAUAACUUAUCAAGCAUCUUGAUCUAUCUCUAUAGAUCUUGAUGCUUAAUGUGUAAGCAGCUUCAUCGAGGUCUUUCUUUGAAAAACUCCUUUCAAAUACUCCUUUAUGCUUUCCAGAAAAUUCUACAUUCUUUCCGAUCAACAAUAUGUCAUUCACAUAUACUUAUCAGAAAUGUUGUAGUGCUCCCACUCACUUCCCUGUAAAUACAGGAUUCACCGCAAGUCUGUAUAAGACCAUAUACUUUGAUCACUUUAUCAAAGCAUAUAUUCCAACUCUAAGAUGCUUGCACCAGUCCAUAGAUGGAUCGCUGGAGAUUUCUCACUUUGUUAGCACCUUUAGGGUCGACAAAACCUUCUGGUUGCAUCAUAUACAACUCUUCUUUUUAAGAAAUCCAUGAAGGAAUACAGUUUUAACAUCCAUUUGCCAGAUUUCAUAAAAUGUGGCAACUGCUAACAUGAUUUGGAUAGACUUUUAAGCAUCGAUAUGAGUGAGAAAAUCUCAUCGUAGUCAACAUCUUGAACUUGUCGAAAACACUUUGCGACAAUUCGAGCUUUGUAGAUAGUAAUGUUGGAAAUGUGCCCUAGAGGCAAUAAUAAAAUGGUUAUUAUUAUAUUUCCUUGUUCAUGAUAAUUGUCUAUUGUUCAUGCUAUAAUUGUGUUAUCCAGAAAUCGUAAUACAUGUGUGAAUACAUAGACCACAACAUGUCCCUAGUGAGCCUCUAGUUGACUAGCUCGUUGAUCAAAAGAUAGUCAUGGUUUCCUGACUAUGGACAUUGGAUGUCAUUGAUAACGGGAUCACAUCAUUAGGAGAAUGAUGUGAUGGACAAGACCCAAUCCUAAGCAUAGCUCAAAGAUCGUGUAGUUCGUUUGCUAGAGCUUUUCCGAAUGUCAAGUAUCAUUUCCAUAGACCAUGAGAUUGUGCAACUCCCGGAUACCGUAGGAGUGCUUUGGGUGUGCCAAACGCCACAACGUAACUGGGUGACUAUAAAGGUGCACUACGGGUAUCUCCGAAAGUGUCUGUUGGGUUGGCACGAAUCAAGACUGGCAUUUGUCACUCCGUAUGACGGAGAGGUAUCUCUGGGCCCACUCGGUAAUGCAUCAUCAUAAAGAGCUCAAUGUGACCAAGUGGUUGAUCACGGGAUCAUGCAUUAUGCUACGAGUAAAGUGACUUGCCAGUAACGAGGUUGAACGAGGUAUUGGGAUACCGACGAUCGAGUCUCGGGCAAGUAACGUACCGAUUGACAAAGGGAAUUGUAUACGGGAUUGAUUGAAUCCUUGACAUCGUGGUUCAUCCGAUGAGAUCAUCGAGGAGCAUGUGGGAGCCAACAUGGGUAUCCAGAUCCCACUGUUGGUUAUUGACCGGAGAGUUGUCUCGGUCAUGUCUGCGUGUCUCCCGAACCCGUAGGGUCUACACACUUAAGGUUCGGUGACGCUAGGGUUGUUGAGAUAUUAGCAUACGGUAACCCGAAAGUUGUUCGGAGUCCCGGAUGAGAUCCCGGACGUCACGAGGAGUUCUGGGAUGGUCCGGAGGUGAAGAAUUAUAUAUAGAAAGUCCAGUUUCGCCCAUCGGGAAAGUUUCGGGGGUCACCGGUAUUGUAUGGGGACCACCGGAAGGGUCCCGGGGGUCCACCGGGUGGGGCCACCUAUCUCGGAGGGCCCCAUGGGAUGAAGUGGGGUAGGGAACUAGCCCCUGGUGGGCUGGUGCGCCCCCCUUAGGCCUCCCCCUGCGCCUAGGGUUGGAAACCCUAGGGGUGGGGGGCGCCCCACGUGGCUUGGGGGGCAAGCCACCCCCUUUGGCCGCCGCCCCCUUGGAGAUCCCAUCUCCUAGGGCCGGCGCCCCCUAGGGAUCCUAUAUAUAGUGGGGGGAGGGAGGGCAGCCGCACCCUAGCCCCUGGCGCCUCCCUCUCCCUCCCGUGACACCUCUCCCUCUCGCUAAGCUUGGCGAAGCCCUGCCGAGAUCGUCGUUGCUUCCACCACCACGCCGUCGUGCUGCUAGAUCUCCAUCAACCUCUCCUUCCCCCUUGCUGGAUCAAGUUGGAGGAGACAUCUUCCCAACCGUACGUGUGUUGAACGCGGAGGUGCCGUCCGUUCGGCGCUAGGUCAUCGGUGAUUUGGAUCACGACGAGUACGACUCCAUCAACCCCGUUCUCUUGAACGCUUCUGCUCGCGAUCUACAAGGGUAUGUAGAUGCACUGCCCUCUCCCUCAUUGCUAGAUGACUCCAUAGAUUGAUCUUGGUGAUGCAUAGAAAAUUUUAAAAUUCUGCAACGUUCCCCAACAGUGGUAUCAGAGCUAGGUCUAUGCGUACUUUCUAAGCACGAGUAGAACACAAAGAUGUUGUGGGCGUCGAUAUUGUCAAUUUACUUGCCGUUACUAGUCUUAUCUUGAUUCGGCGGCAUCGUGGGAUGAAGCGGCCCAGACCGACCUUACACGUACGCUUACGUGAGACUGGUUCCACCGACUGACAUGCACUAGUUGCAUAAGGUGGCUAGCGGGUGUCUGUCUCUCCCACUUUAGUCGGAUCGGAUUCGAUGAAAAGGGUCCUUCUGAAGGGUAAAUAGAAAUUGGCAUAUCACAUUGUGGUUUUGGCGUAGGUAAGAAACAUUCUUGCUAGAAACCUAUAGCAGCCAUGUAAAAACUUGCAACAACAAUUAGAGGACGUCUAACUUGUUUUUGCAGCAUGUGCCGUGUGAUGUGAUAUGGCCAAAAGGAUGUGAUGAAUGAUAUAUGUGAUGUAUGAGAUUGAUCAUGUUCUUGUAAUAGGAAUCACGACUUGCAUGUCGAUGAGUAUGACAACUGGCAGGAGCCAUAGGAGUUGUCUUAAUUUAUUUAUGACCUGCGUGUCAACAUAGAUGUCAUGUAAUUACUUUACUUUAUUGCUAAAGUGUUAGCCAUAGUAGUAGAAGUAAUAGAUGACGAGACAACUUCAAGAAGACACAAUGAUGGAGAUCAUGAUGAUGGAGAUCAUGGUGUCAUGCCGGUGACAAUGAUGAUCAUGGAGCCCCGAAGAUGGAGAUCAAAAGGAGCAAAUGAUAUUGGCCAUAUCAUGUCACUAUUUGAUUGCAUGUGAUGUUUAUCAUGUUUUACAUCUUAUUUGCUUAGAACGACGGUAGCUUAAAUAAGAUGAUCGCUCGUAAUAAUUUCAAGAAAGUGUUCCCCCUAACUGUGCACCGUUGCGAAGGUUCGUUGUUUCGAAGCACCACGUGAUGAUCGGGUGUGAUAGAUUCUAACGUUCGAAUACAACGGGUGUAAGCCAGAUUUACACAGGCAAUACACUUAGGUUGACUUGACGAGCCUAGCAUGUACAGACAUGGCCUCGGAACACGGAAGACCGAAAAGUCGAGCAUGAGUCGUAUAGAAGAUACAAUCAACAUGAAGAUGUUCACCGAUGUUGACUAGUCCGUCUCACGUGAUGAUCGGACACGGCCUAGUUGACUCGGAUCAUGUUUCACUUAGAUGACUAGAGGGAUGUCUAUCUGAGUGGGAGUACAUUGAAUAAUUUGAUUAGAUGAACUUAAUUAUCAUGAACUUAGUCUAAAAUCUUUACAAUGUGUCUUGUAGAUCAAAUGGCCCACGCUAAUGUUGCCCUCAACUUCAACGCGUUCCUAGAGAAAACCAAGCUAAAAGAUGAUGGCAGCAACUAUACAGACUGGGUCCGGAACCUGAGGAUCAUCCUCAUAGCUGCCAAGAAAGAUUAUGUCCUAGAAGCACCGCUAGGUGAUGCACCCAUCCCAGAGAACCAAGACGUUAUGAACGCUUGGCAGUCAUGUGCUGAUGAUUACUCCCUCGUUCAGUGCGGCAUGCUUUACAGCCUAGAACCGGGGCUCCAAAAGCGUUUUGAGCAACACGGAGCAUAUGAGAUGUUCGAAGAGCUAAAAAUGGUUUUCCAAGCUCAUGCCCGGGUCGAGAGAUAUGAAGUCUCCGACAAGUUCUUCAGUUGUAAGAUGGAGGAAAAUAGUUCUGUCAGUGAGCACAUACUCAAAAUGUCUGGGUUGCAUAACCGCUUGACUCAUAUGGGAGUUAAUCUCCCGGAUGACGCGGUCAUUGACAGAAUCCUUCAGUCGCUUCCAUCGAGCUACAAGAGCUUUGUGAUGAACUUCAAUAUGCAGGGGAUGGAAAAGACCAUUCCUGAGGUAUAAUCAAUGCUGAAAUCAGCGGAGGUGGAAAUCAAAAAGGAACAUCAAGUGUUGAUGGUGAAUAAAACCACUAAGUUCAAGAAAGGCAAGGGUAAAAAGAACUUCAAGAAGGACGGGAAGGGAGUUGCCGCGCCCAGUAAGCAAGCUGCCGGGAAGAAGUCAAAGAAUGGACCCAAGCCUGAUACUGAGUGUUUUUAUUACAAGGGAAGUGGUCACUGGAAGUGGAACUGCCCCAAAUACUUAGAGGACAAGAAGGCCGGCAACACUAAAGGUAUAUGUGAUAUACAUGUAAUUGAUGUGUACCUUACCAGUACUCGUAAUAGCUCCUGGGUAUGUGAUACCGGUGCGGUUGCUCACAUUUGUAACUCAAAGCAGGAGCUGCGGAAUAAGAGGAGACUGGCGAAGGACGAGGUGACGAUGCACGUCGGGAAUGGUUCCAAGGUCAAUGUGAUCGCCGUCGGCACACUGCCUCUACAUUUACCUACGGGAUUAGUUUUAAACCUCAAUAAUCGUUAUUUAGUGCCAGCUUUGAGCAUGAACAUUGUAUCAGGAUCUCGUUUAAUUCGAGAUGGCUACUCAUUUAAAUUCGAGAAUAAUGGUUGUUCUAUUUAUAUGAGAGAUAUGUUUUAUGGUCAUGCCCCGCUGGUGAAUGGUUUAUUCUUAAUGAAUCUCGAGCGUAAUGUUACACAUAUUCAUAGUGUUAAUACCAAAAGAUGUAAGGUUGAUAAUGAUAGUCCCACAUACUUGUGGCACUGCCACCUUGGUCACAUAGGUGUCAAACGCAUGAAGAAGCUCCAUGCAGAUGGACUUUUGGAGUCUCUUGAUUACGAAUCAUUUGACACGUGCGAACCAUGCCUCAUGGGUAAAAUGACCAAGACUCCGUUCUCAAGAACAAUGGAGCAAGCAACCAACUUAUUGGAAAUCAUACAUACUGAUGUGUGCGGUCCAAUGAGUGUUGAGGCUCGCGGUGGCUAUCAUUAUGUUCUCACCCUCACUGAUGACUUGAGUAGAUAUGGGUGUGUCUACUUAAUGAAACACAAGUAUGAGACCUUUGAAAAGUUCAAGGAAUUUCAGAGUGAGGUUGAGAAUCAACGUGACAAGAAAAUCAAGUUCUUGUGAUCAGAUCGUGGGGGAGAAUACUUGAGUCACGAAUUUGGCACGCACUUAAGGAAAUGUGGAAUAGUUUCACAACUCACGCCGCCUGGAACACCUCAGCGUAAUGGUGUGUCUGAACGUCGUAAUCGCACUCUAUUGGAUAUGGUGCGAUCUAUGAUGUCUCUUACCGAUCUACCGCUGUCAUUUUGGGGCUAUGCUUUAGAGACUGCCGCAUUCACUUUAAAUAGGGCUCCGUCGAAAUCCGUUGAGACGACACCGUAUGAAUUAUGGUUUGGGAAGAAACCUAAGCUGUCAUUUCUAAAAGUUUGGGGAUGCGAUGCUUAUGUCAAGAAACUUCAACCUGAAAAGCUCGAGCCCAAAUCAGAAAAAUGCGUCUUCAUAGGAUACCCUAAAGAAACUAUUGGGUAUACCUUCUACCUCAGAUCCGAAGGCAAGAUCUUUGUUGCCAAGAAUGGAUCCUUUCUACAGAAAGAGUUUCUCUCGAAAGAAGUAAGUGGGAGGAAAGUAGAACUUCAUGAAGUAUUGCCUCUUGAACCGGAGAGUGGCGCAGCUCAGGAAAUUGUUCCUGAGGUGCCUGCACCGACUAGAGAGGAAGUUAAUGAUGAUGAUCACGAAACUUCAGAUCAAGUUGCUACUGAACUUCGUAGGUCCACAAGGACACGUUCCGCACCAGAGUGGUACGGCAACCCUGUCUUGGAAAUCAUGUUGUUAGACAACGGUGAACCUUCGAACUAUGAAGAAGCGAUGGCGGGCCCAGAUUCCGACAAAUGGCUGGAAGCCAUGAAAUCCGAGAUAGGAUCCAUGUAUGAAAAUGAAGUAUGGACUUUGACUGACUUGCACGAUGAUCGGCGAGCCAUAUAAAAUAAAUGGAUCUUUAAGAAGAAGACAGACGCGGAUGGUAAUGUAACCAUCUAUAAAGCUCGGCUUGUCACUAAGGGUUAUCGACAAGUUCAAGGGGUUGACUGCGAUGAGACUUUCUCACCCGUAGCAAAGCUGAAGUCCGUCCGAAUCAUGUUAGCAAUUGCCGCAUUCUAUGAUUAUGAGAUAUGGCAAAUGGACAUCAAAAUGGCAUUCCUUAAUGGUUUCCUUAAGGAAGAAUUGUAUAUGAUGCAGCCGGAAGGUUUUGUCGAUCCUAAGAAUGCUGACAAGGUGUGCAAGCUCCAAUGCUCGAUAUAUGGGCUGGUGCAAGCAUCUCGGAGUUGGAACAUUCGUUUUGAUGAGAUGAUCAAAGCGUUUGGGUUUACGCAGACUUAUGGAGAAGCCUGCAUUUACAAGAAAGUGAGUGGGAGCUCUGUAGCAUUUCUCAUAUUGUAUUUGGAUGACAUACUGUUGAUGGGAAAUGAUAUAGAAUUCUUGGAAAGCAUAAAGGCCUACUUGAACAAGUGUUUUUCAAUGAAGGAUCUUGGUGAAGCUGCUUACAUAUUAGGCAUCAAGAUUUAUAGAGAUUGAUCGAGACGACUCAUUGGUCUUUCAUAGAGUACGUACCUUGACAAGAUAUUGAAGAAGUUCAAUAUGGAUUAGUCAAAGAACACUACUAGAAAAAAGGCUAUAGAUGGGAUUGACACUAAUGGCGCACCAGACAAGUGGUGCGCCAUUAAUAUAUACUAAUGGCGCACCUGGCUGACGGUGCGCCAUUAGUAUCAAAAAAAAAAUUUAACUAGUGCGCCUGUCCAAACGUACUAAUGGCGCAUCCACAGGCAGUGCGCCAUUACUAGUUGUAACUAGUAAUGGCGCACCUUCGGGUGCACCCAAACCCUAGCAACCCAAUCCGGAUCUGUCUCCCCCUCUCCCCCUCUACUCGCCCUGUCGCCGCCCUUCCUCCCCCUCCCAGUCACUCCCCUUUGCCCUCCCGCAGCAGAUCGGGCGCGCCGGCGCUGGUGUUCGCCGCCUCCUUCCUUAGGCUGCCGCCCCGCAUGUCCAAGCAGCAGAAGCGCAACAGGGUGGACGCCAUCACCACCUCCCUGUCCCGGGCCUCCUUCCGCGACGCAUCCCGCAGCGGCGCCCACCGCGGCCCCUGCCGACCGCCCUCGCGGCUGGCUGCUUGUGCGGCGACGACGGCAGCCUCGUCUUCCCCGAAGGCCGCGAUGCCUCAAGGCCGACCUGGCGCCCCCUCCUCGCCCUUCCUCCACCUCUGAGCCGGGGUUCGGUUUGCGUGCAACGGCGGUGGCGUACGAGGCGAACAAGCCGCUGGUGGUCGAGGACGUGUAGGUGGCGCAGCCGCUGGCCGGCGAGUCUGCAUCAAGGUCCUCUCCACUUUGCUCUGCCACACUGACUACUACACCUGGAGCGGCAAGGUACGUCACCCCCCCAUCCUCCUCGCCCUGCGCUUCCUUGAAUCUAGGUUUCAAUGGCCGCGGUUGCCUAGGGCCUGUAGCCAGCGCUGGCAGCCUGGCACUGCUGCUAGUCACCACCUCCCCCAACCCCAGCAACUUAUCCUUGGAUUUUCCCUACCGCCAGUGCUAUUCCACUGUGUCAAUGGUUGCGAUGAGACUGAGUAAUUGGGGAUUAAUUGACUUCCAUGUAGCAUUGUACGAGUUGUUCCUCAUAGUGUCGGGUUGGGUGUAGAGUGAAUUGACAUGAUGUACAGUAGAAAAUGUUUGUGCAAAUCUGAAAGCCUACUGCAUGCCGUAGAGAUUUACUAGAAUUUGUGUUCGUGUCAUGAAAGGAUUUCUUUUGCUAUGCAGGAUCCCGAGGGCCUCUUUCCUUGCAUUCUUGGUGACAAGGCUGCUGGGUAAGCCCACAAAUUUGUGUGAUUUCAGGUAUUAUCAUCCAUAGCUAAAGAUAACUGUGCACUGAUAAGUUUGCUUCCAUAGCUUCUGAUAGAAUUGUUGAGAGUGUCGGCGAAGGAGUGACCGACGUGCAGCCAGGGGGACUGCAAGAUGUGCACUAAGUAAGGAUCCGAUCUGAUUGGGCUCUGCUCGCGCUCGUGGUAGAUCGUAUGGUCUGCCACAUGCCUGGUAAGAUGCUCUUGUUGAUUCAUCUUUUAUAGGUUAGUUUAUUUCCAUAUUUCUAUGAAUGCCACCUUGUUGUGAUUAAAUAGGUUAGUUUAUUUCCAGAUUUCUAAAAUAUACUCUACUUACUAUUCGGAGUUGAUUGCAAAUUAGUUCUGGUGCCUCCGCAGUGGAGUAGAGUGUGGGGAGCCAAGUAGAAAAUAAGAUUUAUCUCUUUCAAUUCAUUUAAUUUGCUUACUAAAAUUAGGUGGCUGCCUUGAUACAGUAUUGUACAGUUGGUCUGCCCCAACUCUGUUGAACUGAACCUUAUAGAUUGGGAGUUAGUUUUUAGCUGCCAUCUAGCUCUUUAAAUUGAGUUAAUUUGCUUACGGAUGUACUGUUUUUCUUGAUAUGUUUGAUGUUCAUCCAUCGUCCAGAUUUACUAGCACACCAGCUAGAAAUCGUGAUCGAUGCCACUCAACAGAAUUUCCUAGACAUUUUAUUGGAUCGUCAGAUCGUUAGGGUGGCAGGGUGUGUUUGGCUAACAUAUUGCAUUGGAAUUAUAUUCUUCAUCGCCUAAUGUUCUUGUUGCAGAUAAUAGGGCGUGUAGAUAGCAAUUUAUUUUCCUAGUGGUUACUUAUGCUUAUUGUGUCUCACGCUGAAAGAAAAUGCGCAAUGAGCUUGUUUGACUUUUUUUAUGCUUGUAGUAUACUUGAUCAGGGUAGUGCUGUUUCCUGUGAUCUUUCCUAUCAUUUGCUAGUGUUAUGCUUCAAGAUGAAACAUUUUAAAACCCAAACUACUGUAAAUAAGCGUUCUGCAUCUUGAGGAUUAAGUAUUCAUGAUAUGUCAAUAGUGUAGUUGAUCCUCACUGUUGCUCAAUGGCAUUGCUUGAUAUGAUAUAAGUAUGAGCACUUAACCAUUGUACAACUGUUUGCAUAUUUUUUUGUAUUUUUUUAUAAAUGAUGAUAGUUUGCGUAAGAUGUACACAUGUUAAUUUUUUUGACUUGAAUCUGUUAUGCCCUUGAUCUUUUACUUAGCUUGACCAAGAACAACAGCAUCCUUGAUGCUUACUAACCCCACCUCACUCUUGCUCUCUCAGACCCGAAGGAGCCCGUAUGGAAUGCACCUCCUCUCCGGGUGGUGAGAGCGUUGAGGGGUCGUGGGUGCUGCUAAUGGCCAUGUCCGUGGCCGUGCCUGCCAUUACCCUCUCUACAAGGGCACAGCCAGGAAGACGCUCAUCAACCAAAUCGUCGUCCACUCCAAGUGGAGGGGACAACUCAAGCGAUAGUAAGUUUCUAGUAUUCUCUAAUGUGUUGAUGUGGCUUGUUUACCUCAUCCUUGUUACACUUGAUUUCCUUAUAUGAUUUCUGCUCAACGGAUCUGAUAGAGAUGAUUCGUUCAAAGUAGUACAGUAUGUGAUUCUUGUUUUAUUAUAGUUUUUUGUUUGUCCCCGUCCUCUGUUGCAUGGCUGCUAUUUUCCCUUUCCUAAUCGCAUUGCACAUUCAUUUUUGGUACUGGAAAUGUGAUAGUAUACAUGCAAUUUCAGUUCCUAUAGUAGUCCAGCAGGAAUUGCUUCGUCGUUGGACACUGGUAAUUAAGAGAGGGUGUUGUAUGCUCUUCGAUUAAUUGUCUAGUGAUUGCCUGAAGCAUCUAUCUUCCCAGCUUUCAGAAUGGAGAAACUCGUGUCAUUUCAUAUAUGAUCGGAAUGAAAUGUCUAGGACUUGCGGCAGUUUAUCUGAUAAUGUAUACUGUACUAAUAAAGAAACAACAUAUGUGCUCCUGAAACGCGUACUAAGUUCUUCUCUGUUCCAUGUUCCCAUUUAAGCUAUGUGCUCGAUUUAAAUUUCAACAAUGGGUUGUUUCGCAUUCUUACCUGUUUAGUAAACCUUGUGCCAUGCUUAUUUCAUGUAGCUAACAGUAACUUGCAAACAAAUAAUUAGCAAGAUUUGUUCUGCUUGUCUGCUACAAAGUUUUCAAAUAACUACUGCUUAAUUAGUAGCAUGUAGUCUAGAUAUACAAAAGCAUGUGUUGUCCAGCCCAUGUAGCAAUCACUGCUAGUCUGUAUUGAGCAAACAGUGCACCGUGCUGUAGCUAGCCGCGCGAGGUAGCCGCCGCAUGAGACGUUGUUGUGCGUCGUGUGAAGUAUAUAUUUUCCCAUCUUUUUUUUAAAUGUCAGGUGUUGUAUUAGUAUUAUGAUGUUAUCUUCUUAAAUUGCUGCUACUGUUGCUCAACUGCAAUAUAUUAUUGGACAUAGUACUCUGCUCAUAAAGUUUUCUUAUAAAGUUUCAUAGUCAUUCAAAACCAACUGCAAUAUAUUGAUGGGCAUAGUACUCUGCUCAUGUGUACAUCUUUCUUUAAAUGUCAGGUUGACAUGGAAAGUGCUAUGGAACAAGAGAUACCAAGAGGUGGAGAACCAAAGAGUGAUGCUGCUAUUGUUGCUGACAUUCUCACUAAAGAAUGUCCCUCCAGCACAUUCCUUCACUGGUUGUGUUGUUUUGGUUGGUGCCAUCUUAUGUUACUGGUUACUAGUGCACAAUAUGGACAUGGUCAUAUUAUGAACAUUCAUUUUGUUAUUUUGUUUGGUGCAUCUUAUGAACCUGUGGUGUAAAGAUAAUGUUGGGCCUAAGUUAUUGAAAUCCUGGAGAAUUAUGUUAUUAUUGUCAUUAUAUUCUCCUGUGUUGGUUGACUGCCAAAUUGUGCAAUGUAUUUUUCUUUUUUAGAUACUGAAAAUACUAAAUUGUGUUAGUGGGCUGUUGUUGGUGACCCUUCAAUAAGGGUUGGACUGAAAAUACUAAAUUGUGUUAGUGGGCUGGACCGUUGAUGUAUUCGAUGAAUCUUCUAUUGUAUUCGAUGAAUCUGUUGUUGAUGUGUGCUGGCUAUAUUUUGUCAAAUUAUACAUUUUGUAACCUGUGCAAAAAACAGAAAAUAAAAAAAUAAAAAAACCCUAAUAUUCAUACUAAUGGCGCAUCACAUGACAGUGCGCCAUUAGUAUGACAAAGCAUACUAAUGGCACAUCACUGGUCAGUGCGCCAUUAGUAUGCCAUGGUUACUAAUGGCGCAUCUCGUGGUCGUGCGCCAUUAGUAUGCCAAAGCACCUGGGUAUACAUGGCCCCUGGGAGGCAUACUAAUGGUGCACCGUAGCCUAUACUAAUGGCGCACCAGUGGUGCGCCAUUAGUAUACCAGAUACUANNNNNNNNNNNNNNNNNNNNNNNNNNNNNNNNNNNNNNNNNNNNNNNNNNNNNNNNNNNNNNNNNNNNNNNNNNNNNNNNNNNNGCGCCAUUAGUAUGACAAAGCAUACUAAUGGCGCAUCACUGGACAGUGCGCCAUUAGUAUGCCGCGGUUACUAAUGGCGCAUCUCGUGGUCGUGCGCCAUUAGUAUGCCAAAGCACCUGGGUAUACAUGGCCCCUGGGAGGCAUACUAAUGGCGCACCGUAGCCUAUACUAAUGGCGUGCUAGUAAUGGCGCACCAGUGAUGCGCCAUUAAUGGCCAAAUUAGGUGCGCCAUUAGUAGCGGUUUUUCUAGUAGUGUGCCAUUUUGAACAUUCCUAUCAGGCAAGGGGGAGGUGAGGACUCAUUUGCGUGGGCAUUCGAGAAAUCAGGCAACUACACGGUGAAGACAGCGUACCGUGCNNNNNNNNNNNNNNNNNNNNNNNNNNNNNNNNNNNNNNNNNNNNNNNNNNNNNNNNNNNNNNNNNNNNNNNNNNNNNNNNNNNNNNNNNNNNNNAAGAAGUUCAAAAUGGAUCAGUCAAAGAAGGGGUUCUUGCCUGUAUUGCAAGGUAUGAGAUUGAGCACGGCUCAAUGCCCGACCACGGCAGAAGAUAGAGAAAAGAUGAGUGUCGUCCCCUAUGCCUCGGCCAUAGGGUCUAUCAUGUAUGCUAUGCUGUGUACCAGACCUGAUGUAAACCUUGCCGUAAGUUUGGUAGGAAGGUACCAAAGUAAUCCCGGCAUGGAACACUGGACAGCGGUCAAGAAUAUCCUGAAGUACCUGAAGAGGACUAGGGAUAUGUUUCUCGUUUAUGGAGGUGACGAAGAGCUCGUCGUAAAGGGUUACGUCGAUGCUAGCUUCGACACAGAUCUGGAUGACUCUAAGUCACAAACCGGAUACGUGUAUAUUUUGAAUGGUGGGGCAGUAAGCUGGUGCAGUUGCAAGCAAAGCGUUGUGGUGGGAUCUACAUGUGAAGCGGAGUACAUGGCAGCCCCGGAGGCAUCACAAGAAGCAAUCUGGGUGAAGGAGUUCAUUACCGACCUAGGGGUCAUUCCCAAUGCGUCGGGCCCGAUGAUUCUCUUCUGUGACAACACUGGAGCUAUUGCCCUUGCCAAGGAGCCCAGGUUUCACAGGAAGACCAGGCAUAUCAAGCGUCGCUUCAACUCCAUUCGUGAAAGUGUUCAAAAUGGAGACAUGGAUAUUUGUAAAGUAUAUACAGACCUGAAUGUGGCAGAUCCAUUGACUAAACCUCUCCCUAGAGCAAAACAUGAUCAACACCAGAACUCUAUGGGUGUUCGAUUCAUCACAAUGUAACUAGACUAUUGACUCUAGUGCAAGUGGGAGACUGUUGGAAAUGUGCCCUAGAGGCAAUAAUAAAAUGGUUAUUAUUAUAUUUCCUUGUUCAUGAUAAUUGUCUAUUGUUCAUGCUAUAAUUGUGUUACCCGGAAAUCGUAAUACAUGUGUGAAUACAUAGACCACAACAUGUCCCUAGUGAGCCUCUAGUUGACUAGCUCGUUGAUCAAAAGAUAGUCAUGGUUUCCUGACUAUGGACAUUGGAUGUCAUUGAUAACGGGAUCACAUCAUUAGGAGAAUGAUGUGAUGGACAAGACCCAAUCCUAAGCAUAGCUCAAAGAUCGUGUAGUUCAUUUGCUAGAGCUUUUCCGAAUGUCAAGUAUCAUUUCCUUAGACCAUGAGAUUGUGCAACUUCCGGAUACCGUAGGAGUGCUUUGGGUGUGCCAAACGUCACAACGUAACUGGGUGACUAUAAAGGUGCACUACGGGUAUCUCCGAAAGUGUCUGUUGGGUUGGCACGAAUCAAGACUGGGAUUUGUCACUCCGUAUGAUGGAGAGGUACCUCUGGGCCCACUCGGUAAUGCAUCAUCAUAAUGAGCUCAAUGUGACCAAGUGGUUGAUCACAGGAUCAUGCAUUACAGUACGAGUAAAGUGACUUGCCGGUAACGAGAUUGAACGAGGUAUUGGGAUACCGACGAUCGAGUCUCGGGCAAGUAACGUACCGAUUGACAAAGGGAAUUGUAUACGGGAUUGAUUGAAUCCUCGACAUCGUGGUUCAUCCGAUGAGAUCAUCGAGGAGCAUGUGGGAGCCAACAUGGGUAUCCAGAUCCCGCUGUUGGUUAUUGACUGGAGAGUUGUCUCGGUCAUGUCUGCGUGUCUCCCGAACCCGUAGGGUCUACACACUUAAGGUUCGAUGAUGCUAGGGUUGUUGAGAUAUUAGUAUACGGUAACCCGAAAGUUGUUCGGAGUCCCGGAUGAGAUCCGGGACGUCACGAGGAGUUCCGGAAUGGUCCGGAGGUGAAGAAUUAUAUAUAGGAAGUCCAGUUUCGGCCAUCGGGAAAGUUUUGGGGGUCACCGGUAUUGUACGGGGACCACCGGAAGGGUCCCGGGGGUCCACCGGGUGGGGCCACCUAUCCCGGAGGGCCCCAUGGGCUGAAGUGGGGUAGGGAACCAGCCCCUGGUGGGCUGGUGCGCCCCCCUUAGGCCUCCCCCUGCGCCUAGGGCUGGAAACCCUAGGGGUGGGGGGCGCCCCACGUGGCUUGGGGGGCAAGCCACCCCCUUUGGCCGCCGCCCCCCUUGGAGAUCCCAUCUCCUAGGGCUGGCGCCCCCUAGGGAUCCUAUAUAUAGUGGGGGGAGGGAGGGUAGCUGCACCCUAGCCCCUGGCGCCUCCCUCUCCCUCCCGUGACACCUCUCCCUCUCGCUAAGCUUGGCGAAGCCCUGCCGAGAUCGUCGUUGCUUCCACCACCACGCCGUCGUGAUGCUGAAUCUCCAUCAACCUCUCCUUCCCCCUUGCUGGAUCAAGUUGGAGGAGACGUCUUCCCAACCGUACGUGUGUUGAACGCGGAGGUGCCAUCCGUUCGGCGGUAGGUCAUCGGUGAUUUGGAUCACGACGUGUAUGACUCCAUCAACCCCGUUCUCUUGAACGCUUCCGCUCGUGAUCUACAAGGGUAUGUAGAUGCACUGCCCUCUCCCUCGUUGCUAGAAGACUCCAUAGAUUGAUCUUGGUGAUGCGUAGAAAAUUUUAAAAUUCUACUACGUUCCCCAACAGUGGUAUCAGAGCUAGGUCUAUGCGUAGUUUCUAAGCACGAGUAGAACACAAAGAAGUUGUGGGCGUCGAUAUUGUCAAUUUACUUGCCGUUACUAGUCUUAUCUUGAUUCGGCGGCAUCAUGGGAUGAAGCGGCCUAGACCGACCUUACACGUACGCUUACGUGAGACUGGUCCCACCGACUGACAUGCACUAGUUGCAUAAGGUGGCUAGCGGGUGUCUGCCUCUCCCACUUUAGUCGGAUUGGAUUCGAUGAAAAGGGUCCUUCUGAAGGGUAAAUAGAAAUUGGCAUAUCACAUUGUGGUUUUGGCGUAGGUAAGAAACAUUCUUGCUAGAAACCUAUAGCAGCCAUGUAAAAACUUGCAACAACAAUUAGAGGACGUCUAACUUGUUUUUGCAGCAUGUGCCGUGUGAUGUGAUAUGGCCAAAAGGAUGUGAUGAAUGAUAUAUGUGAUGUAUGAGAUUGAUCAUGUUCUUGUAAUAGGAAUCACGACUUGCAUGUCGAUGAGUAUGACAACCGGCAGGAGCCAUAGGAGUUGUCUUAAUUUAUUUAUGACCUGCGUGUCAACAUAAAUGUCAUGUAAUUACUUUACUUUAUUGCUAAAGCGUUAGCCAUAGUAUUAGAAGUAAUAGAUGACGAGACAACUUCAAGAAGACACGAUGAUGGAGAUCAUGAUGAUGGAGAUCAUGGUGUCAUGCCGGUGACAAUGAUGAUCAUGGAGCCCCGAAGAUGGAGAUCAAAAGGAGCAAAUGAUAUUGGCCAUAUCAUGUCACUAUUUGAUUGCAUGUGAUGUUUAUCAUGUUUUACAUCUUAUUUGCUUAGAACGACGGUAGCUUAAAUAAGAUGAUCGCUCGUAAUAAUUUCAAGAAAGUGUUCCCCCUAACUGUGCACCGUUGCGAAGGUUCGUUGUUUCGAAGCACCACGUGAUGAUCGGGUGUGAUAGAUUCUAACGUUCGAAUACAAUGGGUGUAAGCCAGAUUUACACAGGCAAUACACUUAGGUUGACUUGAUGAGCUUAGCAUGUACAGACAUGGCCUCGGAACACGGAAGACCGAAAAGUCGAGCAAGAGUCGUAUAGAAGAUACGAUCAACAUGAAGAUGUUCACCGAUGUUGACUAGUCCGUCUCACGUGAUGAUCGGACACGGCCUAGUUGACUCGGAUCAUGUUUCACUUAGAUGACUAGAGGGAUGUAUAUCUGAGUGGGAGUUCAUUGAAUAAUUUGAUUAGAUGACCUUAAUUAUCAUGAACUUAGUCUAAAAUCUUUACAAUGUGUCUUGUAGAUCAAAUGGCCCACGCUAAUGUUGCCCUCAACUUCAACGCGUUCCUAGAGAAAACCAAGCUGAAAGAUGAUGGCAGCAACUAUACAGACUGGGUCCGGAACCUGAGGAUCAUCCUCAUAGCUGCCAAGAAAGAUUAUGUCCUAGAAGCACCGCUAGGUGAUGCACCCAUCCCAGAGAACCAAGACGUUAUGAACGCUUGGCAGUUAUGUGCUGAUGAUUACUCCCUCGUUCAGUGUGGCAUGCUUUACAGCCUAGAACCGGGGCUCCAAAAGCGGUUUGAGCAACACGAAGCAUAUGAGAUGUUCGAAGAGCUAAAAAUGAUUUUUUAAGCUCAUGCCCGGGUCGAGAGAUAUGAAGUCUCCGACAAGUUCUUCAGUUGUAAGAUGGAGGAAAAUAGUUCUGUCAGUGAGCACAUACUCAAAAUGUCUGGGUUGCAUAACCGCUUGACUCAUAUGGGAGUUAAUCUCCCGGAUGACGCGGUCAUUGACAGAAUCCUUCAGUCGCUUCCAUCGAGCUACAAGAGCUUUGUGAUGAACUUCAAUAUGCAGGGGAUGGAAAAGACCAUUCCUGAGGUAUAUUCAAUGCUGAAAUCAGCAGAGGUGGAAAUCAAAAAGGAACAUCAAGUGUUGAUGGUGAAUAAAACCACUAAGUUCAAGAAAGGCAAGGGUAAAAAGAACUUCAAGAAGGACGGGAAGGGAGUUGCCGCGCCCAGUAAGCAAGCUGCCGGGAAGAAGUCAAAGAAUGGACCCAAGCCUGAUACUGAGUGUUUUUAUUGCAAGGGAAGUGGUCACUGGAAGCGGAACUGCCCCAAAUACUUAGAGGACAAGAAGGCCGGCAACACUAAAGGUAUAUGUGAUAUACAUGUAAUUGAUGUGUACCUUACCAGUACUCGUAAUAGCUCCUGGGUAUUUGAUACCGGUGCGGUUGCUCACAUUUGUAACUCAAAGCAGGAGCUGCGAAUAAGAGGAGACUGGCGAAGGACGAGGUGACGAUGCACGUCGGGAAUGGUUCCAAGGUCAAUGUGAUCGCCGUCGACACGCUGCCUCUACAUUUACCUACGGGAUUAGUUUUAAACCUCAAUAAUUGUUUUUUAGUGCCAGCUUUGAGCAUGAACAUUGUAUCAGGAUCUCGUUUAAUUCGAGAUGGCUACUCAUUUAAAUCCGAGAAUAAUGGUUGUUCUAUUUAUAUGAGAGAUAUGUUUUAUGGUCAUGCCCCGCUGGUGAAUGGUUUAUUCUUAAUGAAUCUCGAGCGUAAUGUUACACAUAUUCAUAGUGUUAAUACCAAAAGAUGUAAGGUUGAUAAUGAUAGUCCCACAUACUUGUGGCACUGCCACCUUGGUCACAUUGGUGUCAAACGCAUGAAGAAGCUCCAUGCAGAUGGACUUUUGGAGUCUCUUGAUUACGAAUCAUUUGACACGUGCGAACCAUGCCUCAUGGGUAAAAUGACCAAGACUCCGUUCUCAAGAACAAUGGAUCGAGCAACCAACUUAUUGGAAAUCAUACAUACUGAUGUGUGCGGUCCAAUGAGUGUUGAGGCUCGCGGUGGCUAUCAUUAUGUUCUCACCCUCACUGAUGACUCGAGUAGAUAUGGGUGUGUCUACUUAAUGAAACACAAGUAUGAGACCUUUGAAAAGUUCAAGGAAUUUCAGAGUGAGGUUGAGAAUCAACGUGACAAGAAAAUCAAGUUCUUGUGAUCAGAUCGUGGGGGAGAAUACUUGAGUCACGAAUUUGGCACGCACUUAAGGAAAUGUGGAAUAGUUUCACAACUCACGCCGCCUGGAACACCUCAGCGUAAUGGUGUGUCUGAACGUCGUAAUCGCACUCUAUUGGAUAUGGUGCGAUCUAUGAUGUCUCUUACCGAUCUACCGUUGUCAUUUUGGGGCUAUGCUUUAGAGACUGCCGCAUUCACUUUAAAUAGGGCUCCGUCGAAAUCCGUUGAGACGACACCGUAUGAAUUAUGGUUUGGGAAGAAACCUAAGCUGUCAUUUCUAAAAGUUUGGGGAUGCGAUGCUUAUGUCAAGAAACUUCAACCUGAAAAGCUCGAGCCCAAAUCGGAAAAAUGCAUCUUCAUAGGAUACCCUAAAGAAACUAUUGGGUAUACCUUCUACCUCAGAUCCGAAGGCAAGAUCUUUGUUGCCAAGAAUGGAUCCUUUCUACAGAAAGAGUUUCUCUCGAAAGAAGUAAGUGGGAGGAAAGUAGAACUUCAUGAAGUAUUGCCUCUUGAACCGGAGAGUGGCGCAGCUCAGGAAAUUGUUCCUGAGGUGCCUGCACCGACUAGAGAGGAAGUUAAUGAUGAUGAUCAUGAAACUUCAGAUCAAGUUGCUACUGAACUUCGUAGGUCCACAAGGACAUGUUCCGCACCAGAGUGGUACGACAACCCUGUCUUGGAAAUCAUGUUGUUAGACAACGGUGAACCUUCGAACUAUGAAAAAGCGAUGGCGGGCCCAGAUUCCGACCAAUGGCUGGAAGCCAUGAAAUCCGAGAUAGGAUCCAUGUAUGAAAACGAAGUAUGGACUUUGAAUGACUUGCCCGAUGAUCGGCGAGCCAUAGAAAAUAAAUGGAUCUUUAAGAAGAAGACAGACGCGGAUGGUAAUGUAACCAUCUAUAAAGCUCGGCUUGUCGCUAAGGGUUAUCGACAAGUUCAAGGGGUUGACUGCGAUGAGACUUUCUCACCCGUAGCGAAGCUGAAGUCCGUCUGAAUCAUGUUAGCAAUUGCCGCAUUCUAUGAUUAUGAGAUAUGGAAAAUGGACGUCAAAAUGGCAUUCCUUAAUGGUUUCCUUAAGGAAGAAUUGUAUAUGAUGCAGCCGGAAGGUUUUGUCGAUCCUAAGAAUGCUGACAAGGUGUGCAAGCUCCAACGCUCGAUAUAUGGGCUGGUGCAAGCAUCUCGGAGUUGGAACAUUCGUUUUGAUGAGAUGAUCAAAGCGUUUGGGUUUACGCAGACUUAUGGAGAAGCCUGCGUUUACAAGAAAGUGAGUGGGAGCUCUGUAGCAUUUCUCAUAUUGUAUGUGGAUGACAUACUGUUGAUGGGAAAUGAUAUAGAAUUCUUGGAAAGCAUAAAGGCCUACUUGAACAAGUGUUUUUCAAUGAAGGAUCUUGGUGAAGCUGCUUACAUAUUAGGCAUCAAGAUUUAUAGAGAUAGAUCGAGACGCCUCAUUGGUCUUUCAUAGAGUACGUACCUUGACAAGAUAUUGAAGAAGUUCAAUAUGGAUUAGUCAAAGAAGGGGUUCUUGCCUGUAUUGCAAGGUAUGAGAUUGAGCACGGCUCAAUGCCCGACCACGGCAGAAGAUAGAGAAAAGAUGAGUGUCGUCCCCUAUGCCUCGGCCAUAGGGUCUAUCAUGUAUGCUAUGCUGUGUACCAGACCUGAUGUAAACCUUGCCGUAAGUUUGGUAGGAAGGUACCAAAGUAAUCCCGGCAUGGAACACUGGAUAGCGGUCAAGAAUAUCCUGAAGUACCUGAAGAGGACUAGGGAUAUGUUUCUCGUUUAUGGAGGUGACGAAGAGCUCGUCGUAAAGGGUUACGUCGAUGCUAGCUUCGACACAGAUCUGGAUGACUCUAAGUCACAAACCGGAUACGUGUAUAUUUUGAAUGGUGGGGCAGUAAGCUGGUGCAGUUGCAAGCAAAGCGUUGUGGUGGGAUCUACAUGUGAGCGGAGUACAUGGCAGCCUCGGAGGCAGCACAAGAAGCAAUCUGGGUGAAGGAGUUCAUUACCGAGCUAGGGGUCAUUCCCAAUGCAUCGGGCCCGAUGAUUCUCUUCUGUGACAACACUGGAGCUAUUGCCCUUGCCAAGGAGCCCAGGUUUCACAGGAAGACCAGGCAUAUCAAGCGUCGCUUCAACUCCAUUCGUGAAAGUGUUCAAAAUGGAGACAUGAAUAUUUGUAAAGUAUAUACAGACCUAAAUGUGGCAGAUCCGUUAACUAAACCUCUCCCUAGAGCAAAACAUGAUCAACACAAGAACUCUAUGGGUGUUCGAUUCAUCACAAUGUAACUAGACUAUUGAAUCUAGUGCAAGUGGGAGACUGUUGGAAAUGUGCCCUAGAGGCAAUAACAAAAUGGUUAUUAUUAUAUUUCCUUGUUCAUGAUAAUUGUCUAUUGUUCAUGCUAUAAUUGUGUUAUCUGGAAAUCGUAAUACAUGUGUGAAUACAUAGACCACAACAUGUCCCUAGUGAGCCUCUAGUUGACUAUCUCGUUGAUCAAAAGAUAGUCAUGGUUUCCUGACUAUGGACAUUGGAUGUCAUUGAUAACGGGAUCACAUCAUUAGGAGAAUGAUGUGAUGGACAAGACCCAAUCCUAAGCAUAGCUCAAAGAUCGUGUAGUUCAUUUGCUAGAGCUUUUCCGAAUGUCAAGUAUCAUUUCCUUAGACCAUGAGAUUGUGCAACUCCCGGAUACCGUAGGAGUGCUUUGGGUGUGCCAAACGUCACAACGUAACUGGGUGACUAUAAAGGUGCACUACGGGUAUCUCCGAAAGUGUCUGUUGGGUUGGCACGAAACAAGACUGGGAUUUGUCACUCCGUAUGACGGAGAGGUAUCUCUGGGCCCACUCAGUAAUGCAUCAUCAUAAUGAGCUCAAUGUGACCAAGUGGUUGAUCACGGGAUCUUGCAUUACGGUACGAGUAAAGUGACUUGCCGGUAACGAGAUUGAACGAGGUAUUGGGAUACCGACGAUCGAGUCUCGGGCAAGUAACGUACCGACUGACAAUGGGAAUUGUAUACGGGAUUGAUUGAAUCCUCGACAUCGUAGUUCAUCCGAUGAGAUCAUCGAGGAGCAUGUGGGAGCCAACAUGGUAUCUAGAUCCCGCUGUUGGUUAUUGACCGGAGAGUUGUCUCGGUCAUGUCUGCGUGUCUCCCAAACCCGUAGGGUCUACACACUUAAGGUUCGGUGACGCUAGGGUUGUUGAGAUAUUAGUAUACGGUAACCCGAAAGUUGUUCGGAGUCCCGGAUGAGAUCCCGGACGUCACGAGGGGAUCUGGAAUGGUCCGGAGGUGAAGAAUUAUAUAUAGAAAGUCCAGUUUCGGCUAUCGAGAAAGUUUCGGGGGUCACCGGUAUUGUACGGGGACCACCGGAAGGGUCCCGGGGGUCCGCCGGGUGGGGCCACCUAUCCCAGAGGGCCCCAUGGGCUGAAGUGGGGUAGGGAACCAGCCCCUAGUGGGCUUGUGCGCCCCCCUUAGGCCUCCCCCUGCGCCUAGGGUUGGAAACCCUAGGGGUGGGGGCGCCCCACGUGGCUUGGGGGGCAAGCCACCCCCUUUGGCCGUCGCCCCCCUUGGAGAUCCCAUCUCCUAGGGCCGGCGCCCCCCUAGGGAUCCUAUAUAUAGUGGGGGAGGGAGGGCAGCCGCACCCUAGCCCCUGGCGCCUCCCUCUCCCUCCCGUGACACCUCUCCCUCUCGCUAAGCUUGGCGAAGCCCUGCCGAGAUCGUCGUUGCUUCCACCACCACGCCGUCGUGCUGUUGGAUCUCCAUCAACCUCUCCUUCCCCCUUGCUGGAUCAAGUUGGAGGAGACGUCUUCCCAACCGUACGUGUGUUGAACGCGGAGGUGCCGUCCGUUCGGCGCUAGGUCAUCGGCGAUUUGGAUCACGACGAGUUCGACUCCAUCAACCUCGUUCUCUUGAACGCUUCCGCUCGCGAUCUACAAGGGUAUGUAGAUGCACUCCCCUCUCCCUCGUUUCUAGAUGACUCCAUAGAUUAAUCUUGGUGAUGCGUAGAAAAUUUUAAAAUUCUGCUACGUUCCCCAACAAGUAACACUACUAUCAGUGUCCGUCUUCCUCUUGAAGAUCCAUUUAUUCUUAAUGACUCACCGAUCAUCAGGCAAGUCAAUCAAAGUCCAUACUUUGUUCUCGUACAUGGAUCCAAUCUCAGAUUUCAUGGCCUCAAGCCAUUUCGCGGAAUCUGGGCUCAUCAUCGCUUCCUCGUAGUUCGUAAGUUCAUCAUGGUCAAUUAACAUGACCUCUAGAACAUGAUUAACGUACCACUCUGGUGCGGAUCUCACUCUGGUUGACCUAUGAGGUUCGUUAGUAACUUGAUCUGAAGUUACAUGAUCAUCAUCAUUAGCUUCCUCACUAAUUGGUGUAGGAGUCACAGAAACAGAUUUCUGUGAUGAUCUACUUUCCAAUAAGGGAGCAUCUACAGUUACCUCAUCAAGUUCUACUUUCCUCCCACUCACUUAUUUCGAGAGAAACUCCUUCUCUAGAAAGGAUCCAUUCUCAGCAACAAAUGUCUUGCCUUCGGAUCUGUGAUAGAAGGUGUACCCAACUGUCUCCUUUGGGUAUCCUAUGAAGACACAUUUCUCCGAUUUGGGUUUGAACUUAUUAGGAUGAAACUUUUUCUGAUAAGCAUCACAACCCCAAACUUUAAGAAACGACAACUUUGGUUUCUUGCCAAACCACAGUUCAUACGGUGUCGUCUCAACGGAUUUAAAUGGUUCCCUUUUUAACGCGAAUGCAGCUGUCUCUAAUUCAUAACCCCAAAACUAUAGUGGUUAAUCGGUAAGAAACAACAUAGAUUGCACUAUAUCCAAUAAUAGUACGGUUAUGACGUUCGGACACACCAUUAUGCUGUGGUGUUCCAGGUGGCACGAUUUUGUGAAACUAUUCCACAUUGUUUUAAUUGAAGACCAAACUCGUAAAUCAAAUAUUUGUCUCUGCGAUCAGAUCGUAGAAACUUUAUUUUCUUGUCAUGAUGAUUUUCCACUUCACUCUGAAGUUCUUUGAACUUUUCAAAUAUUUUAGACUUAUGUUUCAUCAAGCAGAUAUACCCAUAUCUGCUCAAAUCAUCUGUGAAGGUCAGAAAAUAACGAUACCCGCCGCGAGCCUCAACACUCAUCGGACUGCAUACAUCAGUAUGUAUUAUUUCCAAUAAGCCAGUUGCUCGCUCCAUUGUUCCGGAGAACGGAGUCUUAGUCAUCUUGCCCAUGAGGCAUGGUUCGCAAGCAUCAAAAUGAUUCAUAAUCAAGUGAUUCCAAAAGCCCAUCAACAUGGAGUUUCUUCAUGCGCUUUACACCAAUAUGACCUAAACGGCAGUGCCACAAAUAAGUUGCACUAUCAUUAUUAACUUUGCAUCUUUUGGCUUCAAUAUUAUGAAUAUGUGUAUCACUAUGAUCAAGAUCCAACGAACCAUUUUCAUUGGGUGUAUAACCAUAGAAGGUUUUAUUCAUGUAAACAGAACAACAAUUAUUCUCUAACUUAAAUGAAUAACCGUAUUGCAAUAAACAUGAUCAAAUCAUAUUCAUGCUCAAUGCAAACACCAAAUAACAUUUAUUUAGGUUUAACACUAAUCCCGAAAGUAUAGGGAGUGUGCGAUGAUGAUCAUAUCAAUCUUGUAACCACUUCCAACACACAUCGUCACUUCACCCUUAACUAGUCUCUGUUCAUUUUGCAACUCCCGUUUCGAGUUACUACUCUUAGAAACCAAACUAGUAUCAAAUACCGAGGGGUUGCUAUAAACACUAGUAAAUUACACAUAAAUAGCAUGUAUAUCAAAUAUAGCAUUGUUCACUUUGCCAUCCUUCUUAUCCGCCAAAUACUUGGGGCAGUUCUGCUUCCAGUGACAAGUCCCUUUGCAGUAGAAGCACUCAGUCUCAGGCUUAGGUCCAGACUUUGGGUUUCUUCACUUGAGCAACAACUUGCUUGCCAUUCUUCUUGAAGUUCCCCUUCUUCCCUUUGCCCCUUUCUUGAAACUGGUGGUCUUGUCAACCAUCAACACUUGAUGCUCUUUCUUGAUUUCUACCUUCACUGAUUUUAGCAUCACGAAGAGCUCAGGAAUUACUUUCGUCAUCCCUUGCAUAUUAUAGUUCAUCACGAAGUUCUAGUAACUUGAUGAUAGUGACUAGAGAACCUUUUCAAUUACUAUCUUCUCUAGAAGAUGAACUCCCACUUGAUUCAAGCAAUUGUAGUCAAGGUUGUCAGAAUCGUGAUUUUGAAUCGGAUCGGAGCUCUGAUGGUAGAAUCGUAAAUUGUAGAAUCUUCACUACCAGGAUCGUAGAAACGUAGAUUUUAUGAACUAAAAUCGUAGAAUCAGAUGGGUAAGUUUGGAUCGUAAAGUCGUAGAAUCGUAUAACAGAAUCGCGAUUCUAACAACCCUGAUUGUAGUACUCAGAUAAUCUGAGCACAUGCUCACUGGUUGAGCUAUUCUCCUCCAUCUUAUAGGCAAAGUACUGUCAGAGGUAUCAUACCUCUCGACACGGACAUGAGUAUGAAAUACCAAUUUCAACUCUUGGAACAUCUUAUAUGCUCUGUGGUGUUCAAAACAUUUUUGAAGUCCCAGUUCUAAGCCGUAAAGCAUGGUGCACUAAACUAUCAAGUAGUCAUCAUAUCGAGCUUGCCAAACGUUCAUAAUGUCUACAUCUCCUCCUGCAAUUGGUCUGUCACCUAGCGGUGCAUCAAGGACAUAAUUCUUCUGUGCAGCAAUGAGGAUAAUCCUCAGAUCAUGGAUCCAAUCCGCAUCAUUGGUACAAACAUCUUUCAACUUAGUUUUCUCUAGGAACAUAUCAAAAUAUACAGGGGAGCUAAACGCGAGCUAUUGAUCUACAACAUAGAUAUGCUAAUACUACCAGGACUAAGUUCAUGAUAAAAUUAAAGCUCAGUUAAUCAUAUUACUUAAGAACUCCCACUUAGAUAGACAUCCCUCUAAUCAUCUAAGUGAUCACAUGAUCGAAAUCAACUAAACCAUGUCCGAUCAUCACGUGAGAUGGAGUAGUUUGCAAUGGUGAACAUCACUAUGUUGAUCAUAUCUUCUAUAUGAUUCACGCUCGACCUUUCGGUCUCAGUGUUCCUAAGCCAUAUCUGCAUAUGCUAGGCUCGUCAAGUUUAACCCAAGUAUUCUACAUGUGCAAAAACUGGCUUGCACCCGUUGUAGAUGAACAUAGAGCUUAUCACACCCGACCAUCACGUGGUGUCUCGGCACGACUAACUUUGGCAAUGGUGCAUACUCAGGAAGAACACUUUUAUCUUGAAAUUUAGUGAGAGAUCAUCUUAUAAUGCUACCGUCGAUCUAAGCAAAAUAAGAUGCAUAAAAGAUAAACAUCACAUGCAAUCAAUAUAAGUGAUAUGAUAUGGCCAUCAUCACCUUAUGCUUGUGAUCUCCAUCUCCGAAGCACCGUCAUGAUCACCAUCGUUACCGGCAUGACACCUUGAUCUCCAUCAUAGCAUCGUUGUCGUCUCGCCAUCUAUUUCUUCUACGACUAUCGCUACCGCUUAGUGAUAAAGUAAAGCAAUUACAGGGCGAUUGCAUUUCAUACAAUAAAGCGACAACCAUAUGGCUCCUGCCAGUUGCCGAUAACUCCGUUAAAAAACAUGAUCAUCUCAUACAAUAAAUAUAGCAUCAUGUCUUGACCAUAUCACAUCACAACAUGCCCUGCAAAAACAAUUUAGACGUCCUAUACUUUGUUGUUGCAAGAUUUAUAUGGCUGCUACGGGCUGAGCAAGAACCGUUCUUACCUACGCAUCAAAACCACAACGAUAGUUGGUCAAGUUAGUGUUGUUUUAACCUUCACAAGGACCGGGCGUAGCGACACUCGGUUCAACUAAAGUUGGAGAAACUGACACCCGCCAGCCACCUGUGUGCAAAGCACGUUGGUAGAACCAGUCUCGCAUAAGCGUACGCGUAAUGUCGGUCCGGGCCGCGUCAUCCAACAAUACCGCCGAACCAAAGUAUGACAUGCUGGUAAGCAGUAUGACUUGUAUUGCCCACAACUCACUUGUGUUCUACUCGUGCAUGUAACAUCUACGCAUAAAACCUAGCUCGGAUGCCACUGUUGGGGAACGUAGUAAUUUCAAAAAAAAUCCUACGCACACGGAAGAUCAUGGUGAUGCAUAGCAACGAGAGGGGAGAGUGUGUCCACAUACCCUCGUAGACCGAAAGCAGAAGCGUUAGCACAACGCGGUUGAUGUAGUCGUACGUCUUCAAGAUCCGACCGAUCAAGUACCGAACGCACGGCACCUCCGAGUUCUGCACAUGUUCAACUCGAUGACGUCCCUCGAACUCCGAUCCAGCCGAGUUUUGAGGGAGAGUUCCGUCAGCACGAUGGCGUGGUGACGAUGAUGAUAUUCUACCGACACAGGGCUUCGCCUAAGCACCGCUACAAUAUUAUCGAGGUGGAUUAUGGUGGAGGGGGGCAUCGCACACGGCUAAGAGAUCCAAGAGAUCAAUUGUUGUGUCUCUACGGGGUGCCUCCCUCCCCGUAUAUAAAGGAGUGGAGGAGGGGAAGGGGGCCGGCCACCCUUGGCGUGCCCCAUGAGGAGUCUUACUCCCACCGGGAGUAGGACUUCCCCCCUUCCAUGUUGGAGUAGGAGAGGAGAGGGAAGGAGAAAGAGGAAGAAAGGAAAGGGGGGGGGCGCCGCCCCCCUUCCUUGUCCAAUUCGGACUUGGGAGGGGAGGGGCGCGCGGCUGCCCCUUGGCCGCCUCUCCUCUUCCACCAAUUGGGCCCAUGAGGCCCAAUAACCUCCGGGGGAAGGGUUCCGGUAACCCCCGGUACUCCGGUAUAUAUCCGAUAACCCCCGGAACCAUUCCGGGUCCGAAUAUAGUCGUCCAAUAUAUCAAUCUUCAUGUCUCGACCAUUUCGAUACUCCUUAUCAUGUCCGAGAUGACAUCCGGGACUCCGAACUACCUUCGGUACAUCAAAACACAUAAACUCAUAAUAUAACCGUCAUCGAACUUUAAGCGUACGGACCCUACGGGUUCGAGAAUUAUAUAGACAUGACCGAUACACGUUUCCGGUCAAUAACCAAUAGCGGAACCUGGAUGCUCAUAUUUGCUUCUACAUAUUCUACGGAGAUCUUUAAUGGUCAAACCGCAUAACAACAUACAUUGUUCCCUUUGUCAUCGGUAUGUUACUUGCCUGAGAUUCGAUCGUCGGUAUCUCAAUACCUAGUUCAAUCUCGUUACCGGCAAGUCUCUUUACUCGUUCCGUAAUACAUCAUCCCGCAACUAACUCAUUAGUUGCAAUGCUUGCAAGGCUUAAGUGAUGUGUACUACCGAGUGGGCCCAGAGAUACCUCUCCGACAAUCGGAGUGACAAAUCCUAAUCUCGAAAUACGCCAACCCAACAAGUGCCUUCAGAGACACCUGUGGAGCACCUUUAUAAUCAUCCAGUUACGUUGUGAUGUUUGGUAGCACACAAAGUGUUCCUCCGGUAAACGGGAGUUGCAUAAUAUCAUAGUCAUAGGAACAUGUAUAAGUCAUGAAGAAAGCAAUAGCAACAAACUAAACGAUCAAGUGCUAAGCUAACAGAAUGGGUCAAGUCAAUCACAUCAUUCUCCUAAUGAUGUGAUCCCGUUAAUCAAAUGACAACUCUUUGUCUAUGGCUAGGAAACAUAACCAUCUUUGAUCAACAAGCUAGUCAAGUAGAGGCAUACUAGUGACACUCUGUAUGUCUAUGUAUUCACACAUGUAUCAUGUUUCCGGUUAAUACAAUUCUAGCAUGAAUAAUAAAAAUUUAGCAUGAUAUAAGGAAAUAAAUAAUAACUUUAUUAUUGCCUCUAGGGCAUAUUUCCUUUAGUAGGGACUCUACAUCAACUCCAUGGCCCGUCCGAUGAUGUGUGAGUAGUUUACCUCAGACCUCCGGGUCCAUAGUUAUUAGCUAGAUGGCUUAUUCUCUCUCUUUGGAUCUCAAUACAAUGUUCUCCUUGAUCUUCUUGGGGAUCUAUUUGAUGUAACUCUUUUUGCGGUUUGUUUGUCGAGAUCUGAUGAAUUGUGGGUUUAUGAUCAAGUUUAUCUAUGAACAAUAUUUGAUUCUUCUUUGAAAUCAUUUAUGUAUGAUUGGUUAUUUUUGCAAGUCUCUUCGAAUUAUCAGUUUAGUUUGGCCUACUAGGUUGAUCUUUCUUGCAAUGAGAGAAGUGCUUAGAUUUGGGUUCAAUCUUGCGGUGGCCUUUCCCAGUGACAGUAGGGGCAGCAAGGCAUGUAUUAUACUAUUGUCGUUGAGGAUAAAAAGAUGGGGUUUAUAUCAUAUUGCUUGAGUUUAUCCCUCUACAUCAUGUCAUCUUGCCUAAUGCAUUACUAUGUUCUUAUGAACUUAAUACUCUAGAUGCAUGUUGGAUAGCAAUCGAUGUGUGGAGUAAUAGUAGUAGAUGCAGAAUCGUUUCGGUCUACUUGUCGCGGACGUGAUGCCUAUAUACAUGAUCAUUCCUAGAUAUUCUCAUAAUUAUGCACUUUUCUAUCAAUUGCUCGACAGUAAUUUGUUCACCCACCGUAAUACGUAUGCUAUCUUGAGAGAAGCCACUAGUGAAACCUAUGGCCCCCCGGUCUAUCAUUUAUCAUAUAAGUUUCCAAUCUAUUUUAUUUCGCAAUCUUUACUUUCAAUCUAUAUCAUAAAAAUACCAAAAAUAUUGAUCUUAUUAUUAUUAUCUCUAUCACAUCUCACUCUUGUAAGUGACCAUGAAGGGCUUGACAACCCCUUUAUCGUGUUGGUUGCGAGGUUCUUAUUUGUUUGUGUAGGUACGAGGGACUUGCGUGUAGUCUCCUACUGGAUAGAUACCUUGGUUCUCAAAAACUGAGGGAAAUACUUAAGCUACUUUGCUGCAUCACCCUUUCCUCUUCAAGGGAAAACCAACGCAGUGCUCAAGAGGUAGCAGAGCUCGACCUCUCGCAGCUCUCUUGUUCUAAUAACCUGGCUAUAGAAAAUGCUUAUGUACCUGGCCCAUAGACAUUGUUGUUGCCGUCUAGCCCUAGCUCUCGCCUACCUCUCGCAGCUCUCUUGUUCUGCAGCGGACUGAGGUAGAAGAAGAAAGGAAGAAGAAGACACAGGUGGACACAGGAGGUUUCCGGCGCUCGAACGCCACUACCACGAGCACGAACUCGUUCCGAGCCUCUGGUUACAACACGCAGGGGACGGGGUUUAUACGCGUACGCUACAACGCUCACGUCCGCUCCUGCCGCAGCUCCGCUGCCCACUUGGCCACUCUCCCACGCACGCAUGCACUCACCAGCUCGCUCACGAUCUGCACGCUCUGCCGCACGCACAGCGCGCUCCUACGCGCAUGACGCGGCCAACGUCCAACAGAUCACAACGGCUCCCGCUACCCUCGCCAACGACUCGACUCGGCCGCACACGCAUGCAUCACGGUUUACUGGCUAACAGACAUGAGUUGUCAUUUGAUUAAUGGGAUCACACCAUUAGAGAAUGAUGUGAUUGACUUGACCCAUUCCAUUAGCAUAGCACUUGAUCGUUUAGUUUGUUGCUAUUGCUUUCUUCAUGACUUAUACAUGUUCCUAUGACUAUGAGAUUAUGCAACUCCCAUUUACCGGAGGAACACUUUGUGUGCUACCAAACGUCACAACGUAACUGGGUGAUUAUAAAGAUGCUCUACAGGUGUCUCCGAAGGUACUUGUUGGGUUGGCGUAUUUCGAGAUUAGGAUUUGUCACUCCGAUUGUCGGAGAGGUAUCUCUAGGCCCACUCGGUAAUGCACAUCAAUAUAAGCCUUGCAAGCAUUGCAACUAAUGAGUUAGUUGUGGGAUGAUGGGUUACAAAACGAGUAAAGAGACUUGCCGGUAACGAGAUUGAACUAGGUAUUGAGAUACCGACGAUCGAAUCUCGGACAAGUAACAUACCGAUGACAAAGGGAACAACGUAUGUUGUUAUGCGGUUUGACCGAUAAAGAUCUUCAUAGAAUAUGUAGGAGCCAAUAUGAGCAUCCAGGUUCCACUAUUGGUUAUUGACCGGAGACGUGUCUCGGUCAUGUCUAUAUAGUUCUCGAACCCAUAGGGUCCGCACGCUUAAAGUUCGAUGACGGUUAUAUUAUGAGUUUAUGUGUUUUGAUGUACCAAAGGAGUUCGGAGUCCCGGAUGAGAUCGAGGACAUGACGAGGAGUCUCGAAAUGGUCGAUACGUAAAGAUUGAUAUAUUGGACGACUAUAUUCGUACAUCGGAAAGGUUCCGAGUGAUUCGGAUAUUUCCGGAAGUACCGAGGAGUUACGGGAAUUCGUAUUGGGCCUUAAUGGGUCAUACGGGAAAGGAGAGAAAGGCCUCAAAGGGUGGCUGCACCCCUCCCCAUGGGCUGGUCCGAAUUGUACUAGGGAGGGGGGCGCCCCCUUCCUUCCUUCUCCUUUUCCCUUCCCUUUCCUUCCCUCCUACUCCUACUACUUGGAAGGGCUCCUAGUUCUACUAGGAAAGGGGGAAUCCUACUCCUGGUGGGAGUAGGACUCCCCUAGGUCGCGCCAUAGAGAGGGCCGGCACUCCCCCUCCUCCACUCCUUUAUAUACGGGGGCAGGGGGCACCCCAAAGACACAAGUUGAUUAGUUGAUCUCUCCCAGCCGUGUGCGGUGCCCCCCUCCACCAUAUUCCACCUCGAUCAUACCGUAGCGGUGCUUAGGCAAAGCCCUGCGUCGGUAGCAACAUCAUCACCGUCACCAUGCCGUUGUGCUGACGGAACUCUCCCGUGAAGCUCUGCUGGAUCGGAGUUCGCGGGACGUCAUCGAGCUGAACGUGUGCUGAACUCGGAGGUGCCGUACGUUCGGCACUUGGAUCGGUCGGACGUGAAGACGUACGACUACAUCAACCGCUUGUGUUAACGCUUCCGCUUUCGGUCUAUGAGGGUACGUAGACAACACUCUCCCCUCUCGUUGCUAUGCAUCACCAUGAUCUUGCGUGUGCGUAGGAAUUUUUUUGAAAUUACUACGUUCCCCAACAACAAGUCCAGCAUGAUAUUAUUCUUAAACAAGGUGUAUGAACUAUAAAACAAUGGAUAGUGUGUUUCAAACAAAUAAGAGUAUCACAAGUAGUUUGCAGAAUUUAGUGCAAAAGUAGUUACCAUCAAGCUACCAAAGGGAUGUGAAGCUACCCAUUUGCUAUGUUCCUUGGUGACAAUGCUCAAGCGUGGAAAACCAAUAAACAGUGGUAUAUACAUUAUUCUGCAAGCACUUCUAAACCUUCAGCAGAAAGCAAAUGAACUGUAACACCAAAAAAAACUACACACAAUUUUGGUAUUGUUUUCAAUCCAAUUUUUAAACAGUUUGACAGAACAAGGCGUGCGAUAUACCAUUAGAACGCUAUGAAUUAGGCGAUUUUUUUUCAUGUAGAACACUUUUCAAGAUUUCUUAUAGUCUAAGAGCAGUUUAAAAAACGGCGCGCCACCCGACGAGUGGCAGCAAGUGUAUUUUCAUGAAAUUUUUCAAAACCCUCGUCAAAACAUUGCAAAUGAUAUAAUGUUGGAAAGAUAUUGACGAGGCAGAACUUUUUCAUGUAUAACACUUUAUCUAAUUAAUCAUGGUUUAAGUGGUUUUGAAUUUACUGAAAUGCGGACACUACUUUUUGCGGAUCCAUCGAUGAAGUGAACUGCAUCAAACGGGCAACCACAUUAAAUUGCAACAGAGAGAACUGCACACUAAUUUUUUUUACCAUUUUCGCUGCAAUUUUGGAUGCAGUUCACAUGGUCGGACACCAUGUGAACUUCAUUCGACGACCAAGCGCACUAGAGGUGCUGAUGCGUUUGACUUAUUCUGGAACAUGCUUGUACAGAUUUGAGUGAGCUGCAUUUUUUUCUUAGGCGGUUUGUUAGAUAGAAUAAGGUCUUAAGGGUGUUUGUAGAAUAGUCCCACACACUAUAUGAAAAAGUAGUAACAUCUAAAGCAGAUGUGGAAACUAGAGAGAUUUGAAAACAUACUAGAUAGCAUGAGUGGAUCAAUCAAAGAGGGCUUUAAAAAGUGAAUCGAAGCACUUGCGAUGGUGGGAUUCCAGCAUGGUAUUGUACCUUCCUCUUCCUAGUUGAUCUUCUUGGUAGGUUAUCACCGUCCAUGGCGAUCCACUGCUUACUGCAGAUUACAACCCAACUAAUCAGUUGCAACACACCAAAACUUUGAGUAGUGAGGAUGUAUGGCGGCGAUUGACAACGAAAGAAGCGGGAUUUCAUCCUUACCAGUUAAGAGAAGGUUAGCAGCAGCGCGAGCGAACAAGUGGUGGUGUGUGGAUGGGUGACGGCGAAGGUGGCGGCUGGCGCAGAAUUUGAGGGGGAUAUCUCACUCCUCUCUAGGGUUUGCCCCAAAUGGAAGGGGGUGACCUGCCUUAUAUAGGAACAGGGGGUUAUUGGGCUAUUUGGGCUAGAAUUUAGGGGGGGGGCUUUAGGUGGGGUGUUGGGCUGAAAGGAGAGAGGGAAAUAGCAGCCCACUUUGAUAGUUUUAUUGCAAACUUUAUUUAUUUGUUUGUAUUACUAUCACACCUCCAUAUUAAUCCGUUCGAGUAUCAAACGAACUCUGGUUGACAAAAAAAAGUUAAGUAGCCUUCGUAUACUAUAACAAGGUCACUUGUGUGGCUCUCGUCUUUCAUCCUUAGUUCGGCGUGGUCUUCUUCGAUCCGUCUCCAGCGGGGUUGCCAUAGAAAUUAUGAUUAUUUUCUCAUAAAAAUAGUUUUCCAUUUUCCAAGUCCCACAAAUCACUUUUUUGUGAAUGAAGUGUCUCAAAUAAGUUUAAAAAUUGGGCCUUUUCAUUUUUCAUCAAAAGUAGGCCACAUUGGAUAUCCAUUUACCAAGUUUCAAUAAUUUCAGAGUAGUAUUGCUAUAUUCCAUCCAUUUAGUGUACUCAUACUGAAUUAUGAGAACUUGCUCAAAUUUGAACUACAAGCGUGAUGUACUUUGGUCUGAAAAUAAAUAAAAAAUCAUUUUAUGCUCAAAUGUUGGUGGUGCAUGCACUUGGCACAAACCAAAGUUGAAAUUUCAAACCAUUUGGUAUGAAUGAUCAACAUUGCAAGUUUGACCCCAUUUUGAAAACAAAAAACAAAAAAUGCCUCAAAAAUUAAAUUGCCUUUGCAUUGAGUCAUCUUAUGUGCACUAGUUUGUGGGAAAAUCAUAAAAUUACAAUACAACAAGUUUGAAAAAACAUUCACAAAAUGACCUAUCUAGUAUGUACUUGCAUCGAUUUCAAGCCAUAUGCCCAUGGCCAUGGCCACAUCCAUGGCAUAGUCCAUGAUAACAUGCCCAAAUUUGGCACAACUAUGCCAUUACCAUUGUGAACAAUCUUGCCAUUGGAAUUAUGAAUUAUUUUUCUAAUAAAAAUAAUAAUUUUCCACUUUUCAAGUCCCACAAAUGACUUUUUGUGAAGGAAGUGCUUCAAAUAAGUUUGAAAAUUGGGCAUUUUCAUUGUUCAUCAAAAGUAGGCCACAUUGGAUGCCCACUGACCAAGUUUCAAUAAUUUCAGAGUAUUAUUGCUCUAUUCCAUCCAUUUAGUUGACUUAUAAUGAAUUAUCAGAACUUGCUCAAAUUUGAACUACAAGUGUGAUGUACUUUGAUCCUAAAAUUUGAGGAAAAAAAAUUAUGCUCUAAAGUUGAUGGUGCAUGCACUUGGGAUAACUAAAGUUGAAAUUCCAAAUCAUUUGGUAUGAAUGGUGUUUGACACGAGAAAAAUCAUCUGGGACUCCGCGAGAAGGGAAGGGGAGCGUAUUUCUCUCUUGCGCCAGGAAAGGGAAAAGUAAAUAUGUGGGCGUGCCAGUGUACCAUAGUACACAAAGAAAAGGAUGCGGGAAAGGAGUAUUUCAUUAAUCUCAUUGGAGAAACAAAAGUACAAGAUCCCGUAAACAAAAAGUGUGCUCCGUGGCCUACUAGCGCGGCCAGCCUAACUGUGGCGAUUGCGGUCUCCUGGUUCCCGGGGCCUCGGAAGGCUCCCGAUUAAUUACUCCUGCGGGUUGCUCCGCGGGAUACCUCCGAUUAAGCCAUGUGGUCGUCUUCAUCAUCUUCGCUUCGCGUUCUCCAUGCAUGAUGAUGGUGUGUGUAUGGGCGAUGGCAGAGCCUGUGUCCUCAUCGGUACAUGCGCCGCAUGUAGCGUGGCCUUAGCGGUGGCCGCGCCCACUCUCGCCGUCGUGCCUCGUCGGUCUUGGCGGCCUUGGAGUAGUUGGUGUUGGGGUAGCAUGGGUCGUGCUUGGCUUAGACUUCUCGAUGACCAAUUACUUCAUCAGGGUGUUCAAGGGGCUACGCCUUGCAGGAGUAAUAGUUUGGAGAGACCGGCGUCAACAUAAAAACUGACGCGCGCUCACAUUGGCGUGGCCGGGGUGGUUGGCACCUCGUCUCGGCUAGACGCCAAGUAUUCGGCGGUCCGCCAAGGCAAAGGUGCCGCAUCACGAGGCCGUGGAAGGUGGCGUUGUAGAGGCCGCAUCGCCUUGGGCUGGUGCUACGCCAAAGGGUGACCUGUACGCCACCGACGUCGUGGACCUGUACGCCAAGGACCUGUUUGCCAUGGUAGGUGCACCUCUCGAAGCAGGGACCGGUCUUGUACAGCAUCGCUUCAAUCUUCGGUUCGACCAAAGAUCUUUUACGCCAUAAAGGGGGAAGCGAGUCCGGGGCCGCGUCAUCAUCGAGCUCUGGCUCCACCCCGCCGUCUCCUCCAAGAACGUGGUGCAAAACUUGUACGCUUGUGAUCUAUUCAUCAUUGACCUAUCUGUCGGGGACGUGCUCCUCAUGAAGGAGGAGCCAGUCGUGGGCCGAGUCGUUCCAGUCACGGGUUCCGUCGAGAAUCUGUACACCAUGAAGGGAAAGGCGAGUCUCGGGCUGCGUCGUCUUCUCCGGGAAGCAAAAUGCUAGAUCCAUUCACCGCGAUUGGGACGCCAUGGACCUGGACACCGGAGACCUGUACGCCGCGACCUGUCUACCGCGAUGGGUGUGCCUCUCGGAGGAGGGAACGGUUUUGGGCUGCAUCAUCGUGAGCUCCGGUUCCGUCUCGCUGUCUCAUCCGCGAAGCAAGACACCAAACCUGUGCACCGUGAUCGGAACGCCAUGGUAGGGCAUCGGGGCUAGCGGUUGGGCUAUGUCGUUGGCGAGCUCCGGCAGCUCCCGAGUCAUCUCGGGCCAAGAACAUGACACCUGAAAAUGAAAAGCUUGGCGUAGACAAACUCCGACAUGUCGGUGCAGUUUUCCGUUCUGGUACAGUCAUCUCCGGCGGUGGCGACGGGAUCACGCGAGUGUUGUCUCCGGUGACCGGCAUGUAGUCUCUGUUGGAAAUAUGCCCUAGAGGCAAUAAUAAAUUAGUUAUUAUUAUAUUUCCUUGUUCAUGAUAAUCGUUUAUCAUCCAUGCUAGAAUUGUAUUGAUAGGAAACUCAGAUACAUGUGUGGAUACAUAGACAACACCAUGUCCCUAGUAAGCCUCUAGUUGACUAGCUCGUUGAUCAAUAGAUGGUUACGGUUUCCUGACCAUGGACAUUGGAUGUCGUUGAUAACGGGAUCACAUCAUUAGGAGAAUGAUGUGAUGGACAAGACCCAAUCCUAAGCCUAGCACAAAGAUCGUGUAGUUCGUAUGCUAAAGCUUUUCUAAUGUCAAGUAUCAUUUCCUUAGGCCAUGAGAUUGUGCAACUCCCAGAUACCGUAGGAAUACUUUGGGUGUGCCAAACGUCACAACGUAACUUGGUGGCUAUAAAGGUACACUACAGGUAUCUCCGAAAGUGUCUGUUGGGUUGGCACGAAUCGAGACUGGGAUUUGUCACUCCGUGUAAACGGAGAGGUAUCUCUGGGCCCACUCGGUAGGACAUCAUCAUAAUGUGCACAAAGUGACCAAGGAGUUGAUCACGGGAUGAUGUGUUACGGAACGAGUCAAGAGACUUGCCAGUAACGAGAUUGAACAAGGUAUCGGGAUACCAACGAUCGAAUCUCGGGCAAGUACAAUACCGCUAGACAAAGGGAAUUGAAUACGAGAUUGAUCGAAUCCUUGACAUCGUGGUUCAUCCGAUGAGAUCAUCGUGGAACAUGUGGGAACCAACAUGGGUAUCCAGAUCCCGCUGUUGGUUAUUGACCGGAGAACAUCUCGGUCAUGUCUGCAUGGUUCCCGAACUCGUAGGGUCUACACACUUAAGGUUCGAUGACGCUAGGGUUAUAAAGGAAGUUUGUAUGUGGUUACCGAAUGUUGUUUAGAGUCCCGGAUGAGAUCCUGGACGUCAUGAGGAAUUCCGGAAUGGUCCGGAGGUAAAGAUUUAUAUAUGGGAAGUCCUGUUUUGGUCAUCGGAAAAGUUUCGGGUUUUACCGGUAGUGUACCGGGACCACCGGAGGGGUCCGGGGGUCCACCAAGUGGGGCCACCAGCCCCGGAGGGCUGCAUGGGCCAAGUGUGGGAGGGUACCAUCCCCAUGUGGGCUGGUGCGCCCCCCCACCAAGGCCCAAGGGGCCUCCAAGAGGGAAGGGGGGCAAACCCUAGGGCAGAUGGGCCCUAAGGCCCACCCCAGGUGCGCCUCCCCCUCUCCCCCUUGUGGCCGCCACCCAGAUGGGAUCUGGGGGGCUACCGCCACCCCUAGGGAGGGAACCCUAGGUGGGGGAGCAGCCCCUCCCCUCCCCCUAUAUAUACUUGAGGUUUGGGCUGCCCAUACACAUGAAUUCUUCCUUUGUUGGUGCAGCCCUACCCCUCUCCCUCCUCGUCUCUUGCGGUGCUUGGCGAAGCCCUGCUGGAGUACGACGCUCCUCCACCACAACCACGCUGUUGUGCUACUGCUGGAUGGAGUCUUCCUCAACCUCUCCCUCUCUCCUUGCUGGAUCAAGGCAUGGGAGACGUCACCGGGUUGUACGUGUGUUGAACGCAGAGGUGCCGUCCGUUCGGCACUAGGAUCAUCGGUGAUUUAAAUCACGACGAGUACGACUCCAUCAACCCCGUUCACUUGAAUGCUUCCGCUUAGCGAUCUACAAGGGUAUGUAGAUGCACUCUCCUUCCCCUCGUUGCUGGUUUCUCCAUAGAUAGAUCUUGGUGACACGUAGGAAAAUUUUGAAUUUCUGCUACGUUCCCCAACAGUGGCAUCAUGAGCUAGGUCUAUUGCGUAGAUUCUAUGCACGAGUAGAACACAAAGUAGUUGUGGGCGUUGAUUUUGUUCAAUAUUCUUAGCGUUACUAGUCCAAUCUUGAUUCGGCGGCAUUGUGGGAUGAAGCGGCCCGGACCGACCUUACACGUACUCUUACGUGAGACUGGUUCCACCGACUGACAUGCACUAGUUGCAUAAGGUGGCUAGCGGGUGUCUGUCUCUCCCACUUUAGUCAGAUCAGAUUCGAUGAAAAGGGUCUUUAUGAAGGGUAAAUAGCAAUUGGCAUAUCACGUUGUGGUUUUUGCGUAGGUAAGAAACGUUCUUGCUAGAAACCCAUAGCAGCCACGUAAAACAUGCAAACAACAAUUAGAGGACGUCUAACUUGUUUUUGCAGGGUAUGCUAUGUGAUGUGAUAUGUCCAAGAAGAAUGUGAUGAAUGAUAUGUGAUGUAUGAGAUUGAUCAUGUUCUUGUAAUAGGAAUCACGACUUGCAUGUCGAUGAGUAUGACAACCGGCAGGAGCCAUAGGAGUUGUCUUUAUUAAUUGUAUGACCUGCGUGUCAUUGAACAACGCCAUGUAAUUACUUUACUUUGUUGCUAACCGGUAGCCAUAGUAGUAGAAGUAAUAGUUGGCGAGCAACUUCAUGGAGACACGAUAAUGGAGAUCAUGGUGUCAUGCCGGUGACAAGAUGAUCAUGGAGCCCCAAGAUGGAGAUCAAAGGAGCUAUAUGAUAUUGGCCAUAUCAUGUCACUAUUAUUUGAUUGCAUGUGAUGUUUAUCAUGUUUUUGCAUCUUGUUUACUUAGAACGACGGUAGUAAAUAAGAUGAUCCCUCAUAAUAAUUUCAAGAAGGUGUUCCCCCUAACUGUGCACCGUUGUGACAGUUCGUUGUUUUGAAGCACCACGUGAUGAUCGGGUGUGAUAGAUUCUAACGUUCACAUACAAUGGGUGUAAGACAGAUUUACACACGUGAAACACUUAGGUUGACUUGACGAGCCUAGCAUGUACAGACAUGGCCUCAGAACACAAGAGACCGAAAGGUCGAGCAUGAGUCGUAUGGUAGAUACGAUCAACAUGAAGAUGUUCACCGAUGAUGACUAGUCCGUAUCACGUGAUGAUCGGACACGGCCUAGUUGACUCGGAUCAUGUAAUCACUUAGAUGACUAGAGGGAUGUCUAUCUGAGUGGGAGUUCAUAAGAUGAACUUAAUUGUCCUGAACAUAGUCAAAAGGUCUUCGCAAAUUAUGUCGUGGCUCGCGCUAUAGUUCUACUGUUUAGAUAUGUUCCUAGAGAAAAUAUAGUUGAAAGUUGACAGUAGCAAUUAUGCGGACAGUAGAAAGCUUAUGUCCUUAAUGCACCGCUCAGUGUGCUGAACCCCAAACGUCAUUUGUGGAUGUUACGAACAUCGGACAUACACGUUUAGAUAACUACAUGAUAGUUCAGUUAAACGGUUUAGAGUUGAGGCACCAAAGACGUUUUUCGAAACGUCGCGGAACAUAUGAGAUGUUUCGAGGGCUGAAAUUGGGAUUUCAAGCUCGUGCCCACGUCAGGAAGUAUGAGACCUCCGACGAUUUUUCUUAGCCUGCAAACUAAGGGAGAAAAGCUCAAUCGUUGAGCUUAUGCUCAGAUUGUCUGAGUGCCACAAUCACUCGAAUCGAGUGGGAGUUGAUCUUCCAGAGAUAGUGAUGUUUCUCCAAAGUCAUUGCCACCAAGCUGCUAGAGCUUCGUGAUGAACUAUAACAUAUCAGGGAUAGAUAUGAUGAUCCUUGAAAUACUCGUGAUGUUUGACACCGCGAAAGUAGAAAUCAAGAAGGAGCAUCAAUUGUUGAUGAUUAGUGAAACCACUAGUUUCAAGAAGGGCAAGGGCAAGAAGGGAUACUUCAUGAAACGGCAAAUCAGCUGCUGCUCUAGUGAAGAAACCCAAGGUUGGACCGAAACCCGAGACUAAGUGCUUCUGUAAUAAGGGGAACAGCCACUGGAGCAGAAUUACCCUAGAUACUUGGUAGAUGAGAAGGCUGUCGAUAGAAAUAUAUUGGAUAUACAUUAUGUUAAUGUGUACUUUACUAGUACUCCUAGUAGCACCAGGGUAUUAGAUACCGGUUCGGUUGCUAAGUGUUAAUAACUCGAAAUAAAAGCUACGGAAUAAACGGAGACUAGCUAAAGGUGAGAUGAUGAUAUGUGUUGGAAGUAUUUCCAAGGUUGAUCAAAUAUCGUACGCUCCCUCUACCAUCAAGAUUGGUGUUUGCGUUGAGCAUAGAUAUGAUUGGAUUAUGUCUAUCGCAAUACGGUUAUUCAUUUAAGGAGAAUAGUGGUUACUCUGUUUAUUUGAAUAAUACCUUCAAUGGUCUUGCACCUAAAAUGAAUGGUUUAUUGAAUCUCGAUCGUAGUGAUACACAUGUUCAUGCCAAAAGAUAUAAGAUAGUAAUGAUAGUACCACCUACUUGUGGCACUACCACGUAAGUCAUAUCGGUAUAAAACGCAUGAAAAAGCUCCAUGUUGAUGGAUCUUUGGACUCACUCGUUUUUUGAAAAGUUUGAGACAUGCGAACCAUGUCUAUUGGUGUAUAUGCAUGAAGAAACUCCAUGCAAAUGGACCGUUUGGACUCACUUGAUUUUGAAUCACUUGAGACAUGCAAAUCAUACCACAUGGGCAAGAUGACUGAAAGCCUCGUUUUCAGUAAAAUGGAACUAGAAAGCAACUUGUUGGAAGUAAUACAUUUUGAUGUGUGCAGUCCAAUGAGUGUUGGGGCGUGUAGUGGAUAUCGUUAUGUUCUUACUUCACAAAUGAUUUGAGUAGAUGUUGAGUACAUUUACUUGAUGAAUCACGAGUCUGAAUUAUUGAAAGGUUCAAGUAAUUUUAGGGUGAAGUUGAAAGAUCGUCGUGACAAGAGGAUAAAAUAUCUAUGAUAUGAUCAUAGAGAUGAAUAUCUAAAUUACGAGUUUGGCACGGAAUUAAGACAUUGUGGAAAUUGUUUCACAACUAAUACAGCCUGGAACACCAUAGUGUGAUGGUGUGUCCGAACAUCAUAACUGCACCCUAUUGGAUAUGAUGCAUACCAUGAUGUCUCUUAUCGAAUUACCACGAUAGUUUAUGGGUUAGGCAUUAGAGACAACCACAUUCACUUUAAAUAGGGCACCACGUAAUUCCGAUGAGAUGACACCGUAUGAACUAUGGUUUAGAGAAACCUAAGCUAUCAUUUCUUAAAAGUUUGGGGCUGCGACGCUUAUGUGAAAAAGUUUCAGGCUGAUAAGCUCGAACCCAAAGCAGAUAAAUGCAUCUUCAUAGGACACCCAAAACAGUUGGGUAUACCUCAUGCCUCAGAUCCGAAAGCAAUAAGGGAUUGUUUCUAGAAUCGGGUCCUUUCUCGAGGAAAAGUUUCUCUCGAAAGAAUUGAGUGGGAGGAUGAUGGAGACUUGAUGAGGUUAUUGAACCGUCUCUUCAACUAGUGUGUGGCAGGGCACGGGAAGUUGUUCCUGUGGCACCUACACCAAUUGAAGUGGAAGCUUAUGAUAGUGAUCAUGAAACUUCAGAUCAAGUCACUAACAAACCUCGUGGGAUGACAAGGAUGCGUACUACUUCAGAAUGGUACGUAAUCCUGUCUUGGAAGCCAUGUUGCUAGACAACAAUGAACCUACGAGCUAUGGAGAAGCAAUGGUGGGCCUGAAUUCCGAUAAAUGGCUCAAGGCCAUCAAAUCCGAGAAAGGAUCCAUGUAUGAAAACAAAGUGUAGACUUUGGAAGAACUACUUGAUGGUCAUAAGGUUGUUAGGUACAUAUGGAUUUUAAAAGGAAGACAGACAAUGAUGAUAAGUAUCACCACUAAGAAAGCUCGACUUGUCGUUAAGAUGUUUUCUGACAAGUUCAAGGAGUUGACUACGAUGAGACUUUCUCACUCGUAGCGAUGCUAAGAGUCUUUUGGAAUUAUAUUAGUGAUUACUGCAUUAUUUAUGAAAUCUUGCAGAUAGGAUGUCAAAACAUUAUUUCCUCGACGAUUUUCUUGAAGAAAGGUUGUAUGUGAUACAACCGGAAGAUUUUGUCAAUCCUGAAAGAUGCUAAUAAGUAUGCAAAGCUCCAGUAAUCCUUCUAAGGACUGGAGUAAGCAUCUCGGAGUUGGAAUGUAUGCUUUGAUGAGAUGAUCAAAGAUUUUGGGUGUAUACAAAGUUUAUGAGAAACUUGUAUUUCCAAAGAAGUGAGUGGGAGCACUAUAGAAUUUCUGAUGAAUAUAUGUUGUUGACAUAUUGUGGAUCAGAAAUGACGUAGAAUUUCUGGAAAGCAUAUAGGGUCAUUUGAAAGGUGCUUUCAAUGGAAAACCUGGAUUAAGCUACUUGAACAUUAAGCAUCAAGAUCUAUAAGGAUAGAUCAAAAACGCUUAAUGGUACUUUCAAAUGAGCACAUACCUUGACAUGAUCUUGAAGGUGUUCAAGAUGGAUCAGCCAAAGAAGGAGUUCUUGCCUGAGUUGUAAGGUAUGAAGUUAAGACUUAAAGCUCGACCACAGCAGAAGAAAGAGGAAGGACGAAGGUCGUCCCCUAUGCUUUUGUCAUAGGCUCUAUACGGUAUGCCAUGCUAAGUACCGCACCUGAUGUGUGCCUUGCCACAUGUCUGGCAAAAGGGUACAAAGGUGAUCCAGGAGUGGAUCACUAGAUAGCGGUCAAAAAUUGUCCUUGGAGUAAUAAGGACAAGUUUCUCGAUUAUGGAGGUGAUAAAGAGUUCGGCGUAAAGGGUUACAUCGAUGCAAGCUUUAACACCUAUCCAAAUGACUCUGAGUAGCAAACCGGAUACGUAUAGUGGAGCAACCAUUUGGAAUAGCUCCAAGUGGAGCGUGGAAGCAGCAUUUAUAAUAUGACCUAGAGAUUUGCGAAGUACAUACGGAUCUGAAUGUUGCAGACCCGUUAACUAAAACCUCUCUCACAAGCAAAACAUGAUCAAACCCAGAACUCAUUGAGUUUUAAUCACAUGAUGAUGUGAACUAGUUUAGUGACACUAGUAAACUCUUUGGAUGUUGGUCACAUGGCGAUGUGACCUGUGAGUGUUAAUCACAUGACGAUGUGAACUAGAUUAUUGACUCUAGUGCAAGUGGGAGACUGUUGGAAAUAUGCCCUAGAGGCAAUAAUAAAUUAGUUAUUAUUAUAUUUCCUUGUUCAUGAUAAUCGUUUAUUAUCCAUGCUAGAAUUGUAUUGAUAGGAAACUCAGAUACAUGUGUGGAUACAUAGACAACACCAUGUCCCUAGUAAGCCUUUAGUUGACUAGCUCGUUGAUCAAUAGAUGGUUACGGUUUCCUGACCAUGGACAUUGGAUGUCGUUGAUAACGGGAUCAUAUCAUUAGGAGAAUGAUGUGAUGGACAAGACCCAAUCCUAAGCCUAGCACAAAGAUCGUGUAGUUCGUAUGCUAAAGCUUUUCUAAUGUCAAGUAUCAUUUCCUUAGACCAUGAGAUUGUGCAACUCCCGGAUACCGUAGGAAUACUUUGGGUGUGCCAAACGUCACAACGUAAUUGGGUGGCUAUAAAGGUACACUACAGGUAUUUCCGAAAGUGUCUGUUGGGUUGGCACGAAUCGAGACUGGGAUUUGUCACUCCGUGUAAACGGAGAGGUAUCUCUGGGCCCACUCGGUAGGACAUCAUCAUAAUGUGUACAAAGUGACCAAGGAGUUGAUCAUGGGAUGAUGUGUUACGGAACGAGUAAAGAGACUUGCCAGUAACGAGAUUGAACAAGGUAUCGGGAUACCGACGAUCGAAUCUUGGGCAAGUACAAUACCGCUAGACAAAGGGAAUUGAAUACGAGAUUGAUCGAAUCCUCGACAUCGUGGUUCAUCCGAUGAGAUCAUCGUGGUACAUGUGGGAACCAACAUGGGUAUACAGAUCCCGUUGUUGGUUAUUGACCAGAGAACGUCUCGGUCAUGUCUGCAUGGUUUGCCGAACCCGUAGGGUCUACACACUUAAGGUUUGAUGACGCUAGGGUUAUAAAUAAAGUUUGUAUGUGGUUACCGAAUGUUGUUCGGAGUCCUGAAUGAGAUCCCGGACGUCAUGAGGAGUUCCGGAAUGGUCCGGAGGUAAAGAUUUAUAUAUGGGAAGUCCUGUUUUGGUCACCGGAAAAGUUUCGGGUUUUAUCGGUAGUGUACCGGGACCACCGGAGGGGUCCGGGGGUCCACCAAGUGGGGCCACCAACCCCGGAGGGCUGCAUGGGCCAAGUGUGGGAGGGGACCAGCCCCAGGUGGGCUGGUGCGCCCCCCCCCCCCCCACCAAGGCCCAAGGCGCCUCCAAGAGGGAAGGGGGGCAAACCCUAGGGCAGAUGGGCCCUAAGGCCCACCCCAGGUGCGCCUCCCCCUCUCCCCCUUGUGGCCGCCACCCAGAUGGGAUCUGGGGGGCUGCCGCCACCCCUAGGGAGGGAACCCUAGGUGGGGGCGCAGCCCCUCCCCUCCCCCUAUAUAUACUUGAGGUUUGGGCUGCCCAUACACACGAAUUCUUCCCCUGUUGGUGCAGCCCUACCCCUCUCCCUCCUCGUCUCUUGCGGUGCUUGGCGAAGCCCUGCUGGAGUGCCACGCUCCUCCACCACCACCACACCGUUGUGCUGCUGCUGGAUGGAGUCUUCCUCAACCUCUCCCUCUCUCCUUGCUGGAUCAAGGCAUGGGAGACGUCAUCGGGCUGUACGUGUGUUGAACGCGGAGGUGUCGUCCGUUCGGCACUAGGAUGAUGAUUUGAAUCACGACGAGUACGACUCCAUCAACCCCGUUCACUUGAACGCUUUCGCUUAGCGAUCUACAAGGGUAUGUAGAUGCACUCUCCUUCCCCUCGUUGCUGGUUUCUCCAUAGAUAAAUCUUGGUGAUACGUAGGAAAAUUUUGAAUUUCUGCUACGUUUCCCACACUCUCCGUGUGGCGCAUGCAUGCUGGAUGUGAAGGAGAAAGAAGGAAAUAUAUGUAUUAGAUCAAAAUUUCACCUUUCGGGAAUGUGAGCUUGGUGUCCAUGUCGCUGGCGCCGGUGUUCUCGCCCGGCUGCGUUCGCCCGUCAAUGCGAUCUGGACUUGUCUGCGUGGCUGCCUGCACUGUACCUGUAUCUUGGGUGCGUAGAUGGAUGAUGGAUGAGAUGCGAUGGCUGGAUGCUGGAGGUGUGCGGGUGUGAGUUAUGGGUGCGUAGAUGGAUGAUGGAUGGAUGUGUGCUACGUAAUGGAUAGAUCUCCUGAUAAAUGGAUAUGUGCGUUGGUGAAUGGAUGGAUCUCCUGAUAGAUGGAUGUGUGCGUUGGCGAAUGGCGGCGGCCUUGCGGCGUCUCUCUUUCCGUGCGUGCGUGCCCCGUGCAAAUGGCUUUGUGCCUCUUUAUAUAGGCAGCGGGAGGAUAGAUGGAUGGCGACGACGUUCGUGAUCUUCGGCAGUAGUUACAACGGCGGAUCUUAUCCAGCCGGCCGGUUUGCUACGCGUGAUCUUGGUACUGGUUGCGCUUAUCUUCUCCUUCGGCUUCUUGACUCCCACGCCUGCAAAACAAAGUAUAGCUUACCCAUAUCUUAGUUUUAAGUCGCCGGCAAGUGGGUCGAUCCAUCUGCCAAACGCGUGACUAACCCUAUCUCCAAAGUUCAUCAAUUUCUAUUUUAUUUUCAAGUGGUUGUGCGGGUAUUCGGGUAUGUACGCGCACUUGCCGGCCAGCGUACGGGCAUUUGUACGUAGCUGUACGUGCCGGUCGCGACGGCCGCCGCAUACAGGCAAAGAGGUGCACGUUGCUGCUAUAUACCUGGUCUUCAAUGCAUGCUUGUAGUACGUAGGCACUCCUUUUACUUUUGCCACCAAUGCAUGCUUGUAGUACGUAGGCACUCCUUUUACUUUUGCCAUGCAUCACGUACAAGGAUAGGCAUGCAUGCAUGCAUGCUCUAGUCCAUGUCCAUGUGUGCAUAUUCACUCUUUCGUGGGUAUCCUGCACUAAUAAUAAAAACCUUGUACAAAUAAUAAAUCAGUCAAAUGGGUUAGUUAUGUAGAAGCAGAAAAAAAAGAUAUCAAGUACUACAAAACAUAUUUAACUUCUUUGGUACAAAAACGCGUCGAACAAAUGGUCAACAUUGCAAGUUUGACCCUAUUUUGAAAAAAAAUCAAAGAAAAUGAAAAAAGCCUUUGUGUUGAGCCAUCUUAUUGCACUAGUUUGUGGGAAAAAAUAUAAAGCCGCUUCUGGACUGUUUGGGUGAAAAUUUGGCAUUGUUUAAAUGAAAACACCCAAUUAUUUUAACAAAAGUAAUGAAAUGCGGGUCACCACUUGUCACGUUGUGCAAUAAGUAACUAAAAGGGCAAAUAUUGGACAUUCAAACAUGUGAACAGCACAAAUUUUAUUUAAAGUUUAUAAAUUUUACAGGCAUAACCCCUAAACAUAGCUAGUGACAAAAUAAUACCGGUGCAUAAACCUAAUCUAUUGAUCGACAUCGUCCAUGUCGGAGCCGCUAUGAUGCCGAAGGAGCCAUCCUCUUCCUCCUCCUUAUUGCCAUCACCGUCCUUGCCAACAAUCUUUACCAACGGUCGACGUGCUUCAGCACCGUCAUAUGUCAUACCUUCGCAACUGCGGUAUUUGUGUGAGCAACGAUUCAUAGAGACACUCGCUUUUGGAAUAGAACAUUCUGUGUUGUGUUUGAGCACUCGAGGAGACGGACUUGGUUGAUGUUCUAAUGGCAAAUAUGGAACCUGAUGCAAGAUGAUGGAUAUUGAAAGCUUUGCGGAAACAGUUCUUUCAAAGCCCGCGGGCGACCCACCAAUUUAUCAAGAAAUACAUCAGUGAAGUUGAUAGUUGCAAACCCCAAAAGCUCCAACUCGAGCAGCUAGGGGGAUAUCUGCGCCUAGCACAUGUUGGAUACCUCCUCCACCUGGUGUUGAGAAAAUAUGGGUCGAUGGGGCUGUUGUGAGGGGAACAAUGAAGGAUCUUCUUGUACCAUUUGUAGGGAUUUGUCGGGGAAUUAUGUUGGGUCAUGUGCUCUAAAAAUUCUUGGGUGUCAUUUACCCUGCAUGUCUGGAAAUAAUCGCAUGUCGCGAGACACUGGCUCUAUUUUCUGAUCUAAAUAUCUCCCAUAUGGUCAUUGCUUCAGUCUGCAAAGAGGUUGUUGAAGACAUCGGGAAUGAUACUGGCAGCUUGCAUGGAAACAUCAUUAAGGAUAUUAUAGCUACGACUGCUCUUUUUGGAUCUUGUUCUUUCAUCUUUGAAAGUAGGGAGUCCAACAUUGAGGCACACAGUCUCGUUGGACACGCUUUGGGUCUGUCUCAAGGCCGUCAUUUAUGGCUUCUACUGUCUCUAGAUUUGCAUUCUAUUCACAAGAACAUUUUGGUCAAUGAAUAAAGCUGAGCGUGUUUAGCCUUAAAAAAGGUAGAUAUGACUCAUUUCGGAUGGAGAGGGAUGCAACAGGGUCGGUUAGGCACCCGUGAGUAGGAGGAAUCAAUGAGAGGAAGAUGAUGGUUGGUGUANNNNNNNNNNNNNNNNNNNNNNNNNNNNNNNNNNNNNNNNNNNNNNNNNNNNNNNNNNNNNNNNNNNNNNNNNNNNNNNNNNNNNNNNNNNNNNNNNNNNNNNNNNNNNNNNNNNNNNNNNNNNNNNNNNNNNNNNNNNNNNNNNNNNNNNNNNNNNNNNNNNNNNNNNNNNNNNNNNNNNNNNNNNNNNNNNNNNNNNNNNNNNAAAAGAAACAAAUUCAUUCUUCAUGCUGCACAGUUUAAGCUAUACUUCAUGCUCCUGGCGGCAUGACUGCUCGAUCUGAGGCAACUCGGUUCGGCAGAUCCAUUGGCAGUGGCUGCGGGUGCACACACAUCGGACUUUCUUGCUUAAGGGGAGAUGAAGGCGGCGAAGUGGCAAUUGGGCUUGCCGAAGUGGCGCCCGAGAGGAGAGAGAGGAGGGGUGGUGGCCGGGCAUCGGAGGGGUUGGCAACACGAUGAUCACACACACCUCUAGUUCACAGAUGAUGAUGCGAAGUUGAAUUUUCUUUCGUUGGAACUAUCAAAUUUGUUUACAAGCCGCAAUCACCCCCUAAAAAAUGUUUUGGAGUACUUUGUGUUUUUAUUCUAUCGGUGAACAGAACCCGUGAUAUAUAUGUUGUGCCAUGGGAUUGAGAAGAUAUAAUUACUGUUUGUAUAGCAUAAACCACACCAUUGGAGAAAAUAUUGGUCAAAUUGAAAUCCCAGAAAACAUGCACGCCUACCAACUACGAUAGUGGGAGUAUAAUGAAAUGUUGGUAAUAAUAAUGGCAUGAAUAUCAUAGGAUACAUGCCUCUUAAUAGCACUACCUUGCAUGAAGGGUUUUUUAUGCAGCUAGACAUCACAUUUAGGAUGAGCACAAGGUUCCCAAAUUCGGGAUCAAUCAAGCAACAUAUUUGGAGUGCUAGCUGCAACAAAAUACUAUAAUAGUAUUGCUGCGUAUGGCCAUAGAUUGGCAGCAUUCCGUAGCAACCACGUACUGGAACAGUACCAACUAAUUCCCAUCUGAACUUAAGAGCACCAUCUUCGAUCACAUCCUGUCAAUGCGAAGGCCCGGCGGGCAGCGUACCGUGGGCAUGGGGACGCUCCUGCACAGCGACCUCGCCGGGCCUAGUGCUGCUCGUCACCGCCUUCAUGUCCAGUAGAAUGCUGCCCGCCGCGCUGCUCGGUAGUGGUGGACCAUUUGCCCAAACCUUGACAGCGUACCGUGGGCAUGGGGACGCUCCUGCUCUGAUGCACACUGCAGACACGACGGUGGCCAUGUCUAGGGCGCCAACGGCCAGGAGGCACACGCUGUCGUCCCCUUGCCCGUGGAGCAGGCACUGCGGCUCCGACACCCGGAACCGGUGAACCUUCCCAUAGUGGACCUUGUGCACUGGCAUUGUAUGCAGGGCACCCAGGUGGCUGAGGAGCGCCAGCGGUGCACCGACGAAGCCGCAGCCAGGCUCCAUGCAGAAGCAGGGCGCAUGCAGGCACGUGCUCUGGUGGUCCUCGAGCUCGUUGUAGGGGACGUCGCUCCCGCAGCCGUCGUGGCGACACUUGACCGUCGAGGAGACGACGGCGUCCAUCGCAGGGCAGCGGCUAAAGCCACCGCCGUGCUCGCACGUCUGGCACUGUUCGCCAGGGAGCUCGGCGAGGCAUCUGCCGCAUGCCAAAUGCCCGGCAUUGCACUGCACAAAAAAUUGUAUCGGUUACUGACAGUGACAUACCUCAGGGUGAAUGGAACAAGAGAUUGAUCAAGCAUUGUAUAGAAUGAAAAAUAACCUGGAAGACAGGGGGCUUGAUGGGGCGGGAGCAGACGCGGCAAUUAAGCAAACUCAUGUCCAUCUUUAUGGUAACUUCUCCGGCUGGCUUCACUUGGCCACUGCUGGGCAGCUCCGCCCUCGCUUUCUUGGCGCUCCGAUUGUCCUUCUCCAUCGUUGACGGCGAACCCCUGUUCCUUCCCACAUCCACUUCUGGAGGAGCCUGCACCCCGUCUGUAAUCUGGCAAGAAAUCAUGGAGGGGAACACAAUUACAUCAUGAACUGGAACCCACAACGACGUAGAGAUAUUUUUUCUGUGUAAGUCAAUAAUACAGUCAGGGUAGUGAAGUGAAGAGCGUUGACAAACUUGUACAGAAUACGGUUCAGAAGAAGGACCAGCAGACUGCAAUUGCUCACCGCUUGUUGGAAAAAUUAUGCUUUCUUCUGUCAAGGAGUCUGGUGCUGCAACUGUAAAUGUAACAUUAAUACACGCUAGAAUUUUGCCUGAGAUAUAUAAAACCAAUCUUAAAAUAAAAGAUUUGUUUCAAAUUCAUCAUGAGAGUGGAAAUGCCAGUGCACAAGGUCCACGCUGGCUACAUGCAUCUCAACAGGGACAAGUCAUGUUAAUAAGUUUAUUAAAGAGUGCAAAUGUUUAUGAAAAAUCUGUUAUAAGAUAUAACCUGGCUAUGGAAAAUGCUUAUGUACCUGAUGAUCGAGCUGAUGUACUAUGUAAUACUACAGGUUCAACAAUGAUCGAGCUUGCCAUGUUAUGGGUUGUUCUAGCAUUGCCAAGCUCUGCUGAUACAGGAUGCUUGUUAUUCUCAUCAGUGUCGGUGAUAGCAAACUGAUCGGCCUGAGCAUCAGUAUUUGUCUCAGAAUCAGCACAUUUUCCCCCUUCAACAAUGUUACCAUGUCCCAUGUUGUUAAGCACAGGAGCAUAAACAGAGUCUUCUAGACGAUGUACCUAGUUGAAUCAGAGCGCGCUUAAAGUUAUCAUCUGUUGCAAAAGUAAUAUGCAACUUCAGAAAAAGAAAAGUAAGUACUUUGAAAGAGGUCGGCCAGAUAUGAUUUCAUCUACUCUUUCGGUCCCCAUUUACAUGGUACAAACGUAUUUCAACGGCCAACUUUGACAAACGAAAUGUUGGUCACGUGUCAUAAAAAUUAUAACAUCAAUUCAUAUUGAAAUGUAGAUUCCAUUGGUAUACUUUUUAUGUAAAUAUUAUAUAUUUCUGGUGAAGGUUAUGGUCUAAGUUUAAUCGUGGAAACUGAGGUUGAAAUUUAGGGACAGAGGGAGAGUAAUAAACCUGGCCAGUCAUUAACAUUUGGUAAAAAAAAUAAGCCUACGCAUGGGAUAAAUGUUACAGGACUAAAAAUACGUUUAUAGAGCACGGCAUUAUUUUGAAACAAGACACGAGACUGGAAAUAGUGUAUUUCAAAUAAAUAGAGUAUCACAAUUUGCUUUCAAAGUUCAGAGCAUAAGUCGCAAUUACCUGCAAGCUACCAAAGGGAUGUGAAGCUACCCAUUUGUUAUGUUCCGUAGUGACAACACUCAAGCGUGGAAAGCCAUUUGGUACUUCGAACGCAGCAUGUUUCACAAGAUCGAUAAAAAUGACCUGCAUUUCAAAGAAAAUUAUGGAAAUAAAUUUUGUAAAUAAAGAAGUGACAUUAGCACAUUCAAGCAAUUUGUUAUCCCGUAAUAAUGAAUAAGUCUGUUAGUGUGGUGAAAAUGUUUCUUACACUCAGUAUGUGCACGCAACCCUUUACAUGGACAAACAAUGCAUCAGACUCUUUAUAUUCCCUGAUUCCUUUGAUUAGGCAGUCAGCAACCAAAUUGCACCAAUCCAUCUGUUUGAGCUUAUCAAGCUGUUGAGCAGCUCCCAGAAAGGACCUGUUGACAGCCACGGAUGUAUUUGGUGCUAGAUAAAUCGCAAGUAUCGCCAUCAUGAAGGCUAUACAGAAUGGUUCCUCCUCAGUCAUGGCACACAUUUCUGUUGCCACCAUCUUCGCAUUCUUUGCUCUAUUAUUGUGAGAAUACUGAUUGUAAAGAGCGUCAUCAACAUACACAUGUAAAGACCAGUUGGGAGCUCAACCGUACCACCGUUAAUUACAUGGGAUGGCCCACUUAGGACCAUCGCUAGUGGAGACUACUAUACGUGCCACCAACAGAAGUACUAAGACUACCACAAUGAAGAGUAACAUACAUUAGUAAUAUACACAUAUCCCUAGACUAUAUUACUACCUUUAUAGUGGGUAGUAACAUAGGUGUGGUGUCAUGCAAAGCUCCAUUUAUUAGGUUAUAGACUCAUAUUACAUUGGGACAUGUGAUGUUACAGUAACUAGCUAAGUUACUAUGAGGAUGCUUGGAUACGUUUUUAGUCUCAUGACUAAAAGUAGUGGGACUAAAACUUGCUAGCCUCACCCAUGCUUGGAUCCAAAUACUAAAGAGACUAAAAUCAAGUUAUUGAGCAUUUAUUAUCCUCCAAACCCUCCAAUCCAAAACUCGCAUGUAUUAAAGGAGAGGGAUUAAAUAAUGAGAGAGAGGGCUAAUACAUAUUUUAGUAGAUUUCCUAUGACUAAAAAAUUUUAGCCUCAAGACUAGUCCUAGCCUCUCUUUAGUCAGGGGUGCUUGGAACUUUAGCCUCUAAAAGAGACUAUUUUUAGUCAGACUAACCCUUGGAUCCAAGCACCCUUGUAGCGACCUGACCCGAAUGGGUCAAGUCUCUGUGCUUAAGUGUCAUCCCUGUAUCGGUAUGCUGACACACUCAGUACUCGAGGAUUUAUAACAGAGGUAAAUCACAUAUAAAAGUAACGUAAAUACUAUUACCUCAAUCCAAAUAGCAGAAGUAACAAGGUUGUGGAUUCCCAACACCAACGGCAAAGUUGAGUGUAGAAAUCGUAACCCUAACGUAUCACUUACUCGUCGUAAGAUAAUCCUGCAACAUGAAAUGUUGCAGCCACAAAGGGUCAGUACAUUGAAUGUACUGGCAAAUUCACACCAUAGAGAAUGAUGAAUAAAGGCUAUCACUACAUGCAUAUUUGGCUGGUGGAAAGGCUAUAUAGUUUAGUUUUGCGAAAAGCCAAUUUUUCCUUACUGCAAAGGAAUAAAUUUUAUUUAACUAUCAUGGUGGUUGUUAAACAUUGAGAAUGGUUGACAGCAUUCUCAAUCCCAAUUAAAAAUAAUCAUUAACAAUCCAACAAAAUUAAUUAAAGUAACAUGAUGAGAUUCACAUGAUAAUCCAAGUAUUAGAUACUCAAGACGUCCAUAAUAGGGGACACGGCUAACCAUGAUUAGUUUAUACACUCUGCAGAGGUUUGCGCACUUUUCCCCACAAGGCUCGAUCGCCUCCGUUGGAUUUCUCGCACUACAUGGUGUUUGAGAAAUGGAUGACUGAGACAUAGUCUUUCAGAAGCGCUAGCACCUUACGAUGGAUAGACCGUUACAGCUACUUUCCCCUACAUCUGCUAGUCUACCCUGUAAGAGUUCGCACGACUUAGUCAACUAUGCUAGAGCCCAUAGUAGCUUGUGGCUGCACACGGAAGUUUCUAGUAUGAAUAAUCUCAUGAUUCCUUUGAGUCUGGGUGGCGGUCCAUAAAAAAACAGGCAAUCCUGGUCUAUCCAGGUGCCUAGAUAGGCAAUCCUGGAAUACCCAGGUGCCUCAAUCCACCCAGAUGUGUGUUUAAGUUGCCACCUUAAGUAAACCAUUAAUUAACAAUCUCACAUCUGUCAUGAAUACUCUCAAAACCCAAUCCACGUCUACGAGCAUAGCAUGGCAAUGUAAGCAUAACGUAAUAGUAACUCCCAAGGGUUUGAUAAUAAACAGGUAAUAGGUACUACCUCAACUACUUCCCAUGCCAUAAUUUAGUUAGAUCCUAAUCAUGCAAUGUUUGAGGUUUGAUCUAAUGCAAUAAAAACUGGGUAUGAAAGGAAUAUGAUCAAAGUGUGAACUUGCCUGCAAUGUUGAUGAAGAUGAUUCGCACUCAUAACUCUUGAUAAUUCUACUCGUCACACUCCGAUCAAUCUAUCGUAAGCAAGCAAUAGUAACCACACAUAAGCAAUCACUCAAAAGAUCAGAAAGAUCGAAGAAGUCGAUUCGGAAAACAUCAAAACCAAGCAAAUAGCUCUUGCAACAUAAAACAAUUUCUAACAGUACCAAAAUUAUGUGAAUUUGGCCUUAUCAGAAAGUUUAGGUCAAGAGCUUCGAUUUGCAAAAAGAAUCAACUCAAACGGAGCUACGAAACUCAAGUUAUGAUCAAACGAAGUUUGAAUUCAAAUCUGAUAUAAUUCAAAUUUUAAACUUUUCAAAAACAUGUUUGAGUUGGAUUACUGGAUAGAGGAGAUCAUAGCGAAGACGUGGGCGUUGGUUUCAUUGGAUUUAGACUAACGAGUAAAAAGUAAUGAUCGUUUGAAGUUCAGGGACUAAACUAUAAAUAAAAUCAUCACAAAUAGAUCCCUGGCCGAAAUUAAAAAGAAAAAGAAAAAAAAAACUAAAUAACGAACAUUCGCUGUCGAACGCUAACUAACGAAUACGUUCGCUGUGAAAACCUAACCAGCGAACGUUCUCGAAAUAACUAGGCAAAAGAAAAACCGAUCUAAUAAAAUAAAACCGAACUAAAGAAAAACCUAAAAAAAAACCGGGUCGGUUUGUACCGGUUCAGGGCGGUUUUCCAUCGAAAACCGCCGGCAAUAGUUAGCGAGUCCGGCGGCGGCGAUGUUUGCCGCGGCGAGGCGGACAGCGGCGGCUUCGGCGUCGGCAGCCAACUCCGGCGAGGCGGGGUGGUGGCGACGGCGGUCGAGCGGGCGGCGGGGAGCGGAGCAGGCGACGGCAGCGAGCGGCGCGGGUGGCGGCGAGCGGCGCGGCGCGCGGCGGCUCCGGCGAGAUGCAGGGGCAGGCAGCAGCGGCGGGCAGAGAGAAGGGGCCUGGGGCCGCGCUAUUUAAGGGGGGAGGAGGCCUCGGGAGGCGUGGAGGAGGGGCGAGGGCAGAGGCGGCGGGGCGCGGUGUCCGCGAUGGACACGGCGGCGGCGGCGCUGUCGUGGUGGCGGCGGUCUCUUGCUCGGGCGGUUGGGGCGACGGGGCACUGGGCCGCGGCCUGGCUGAGCUGGGCCGGCCCAGUUCGGCGACGGAGGGUUUUUUUUAAACAUUUCCAGACAAAUAAAAAAUAAUAAAAGCAAAAUAAAUAAAAAUAUUAUAUAGGCAUAUAAUAUAUCAGAAUUUUCAGAAAAAGAUUUUCUACGACAUGGGCAUUUUUAUAAUGCCAAAUAAAAUCCACGCAAAUUUAGAUAAUUGAAAGAGUGCUACUGGUCUAAUAAAAUCCAAUGAAAAUCAUUUUAAAAAUACCGAAAUGAUUUCAAAUUAAUUUUUCUCCAAUUUUCUAUUGUAGGGAAUCAUGUUACCCUAUUUUCCAUGUAUUUUGUUUCUGGAGAAAAGUAAUUUGAAUAAAACUCAAAUAAUCCAAAUUGAAAAAUAAUUUCAAAUGGAUUUUGAAUUUGAGUUUCUUUGAAACUCCCAACUCAUAUUUCAUAUAAUUUGAAGAAGUCAUUUUAUCUUCUCUCGUGAAAAUCAUUGAGUUGCAUAAAGUUUCAGAAUUGGAAAUGUUCUCAAAUGAAAUUCAAAUAUUUUCAACACCCCUUGUCAUUUAAAUAAAUGGAAGAAGUCAUGUCAUCUUCUCUCGGGGUUUUGUAUUUGAAUUCACGGAGAGCACGAAUGAAAAAUGAAAGUUUGGAAAAGUCCUUUUAUUCCCUCUCAUUUAACUUUCAAAAAGGUUUCGAAUUUCACUCAAUUUCACACAAUCAAUCAAAUCUAUCUAUUUAUUAUAACAUUCCAAAAUUUAUUAUAACAUUCCAAAAUUUAGAAUUUUGGGAUGUUACAACCCUUUAUAAUUAUCUUUCUCUUCAUUAACUCAUUGCCACAUAAACAAAUUUACUGAGUUGGACUUGAAGUUACUGCUGAAAUUACUCCCACUGUGGCUAGUCUAAGUGGCAAAUAGGAAAGCCGACCUUUGUUGGAUGGCUAGCGAUAACCAUUCAAAGUUUCUCGAGGUGGACGUCAAAAAAAAGUUCCUUGAGGUGGGACCAGACACCUCGUCAACACAUUUUUCGUUGACCUUCAAAAGCUUUCUAUGACCCUUAGUACGGAGCACUCAAAGUUGCUCACACUGUCGAGCAAGACUUCGAUAUCGAUUUAAGAGAGCAAACACAUCUCAGACGUUUCUCCAAUGAUCGGUCACUUUUGGGCCCGCCGGUGGAAGUCCUAGUUUCGGCUCGGCAGCGAUCGACCAUGCAUUGACCAACAAAGCAUAUAUGCAACAAUAAUACACCACUAAAAAUUUAUUUCGAAUAAAACUUCAAUGAUAUAUUUUGUGACCUGCAAUUUACAUUUUAUUGCUCCCUUCGCUUUUAUUUACUCUGCAUAUUAGAGUUGACUGAAGUCAAAUUUUAUGAAGUUUGACCAAGUUUAUAAAAAAAUAUAACCAUUUACCAUAGCAAAUCUAUAUGAUGUGAAAGUAUAUUUAAUAAUAAAAUCUAAUGGUAUUGAUUUACUAUUGUAUAUGUUUAUAUUUUGGGAAUUUGUAAAUUCCAAACGUUUGGAAUUAGGCAAUAGAUCCGAACGAUCUAAUUGGCGUUCGAUCCUGAUUCCCCGCGCGAUAAUUUCUCGCUCGCUCGCAGCCAGAUCCGAUUCUCGCGUGGGCCCAACCGCCCGUUCUACUUCUCGAGCGUGAAAAGAUAUCGAAGAGAAAAAACUGCGCCUGUAGGGAUUUAAACACACGAGCUGCUCCAUGGGAUACCAGUGCACCACCACCCGGGCUAAGCCUGCCUCUUGUGUUCCAGAUUCAGGUUAGCCGAUAUUUAUACUUUAUUUGAAAACGGGAAAAUAACAAUGCUUUCCACAAUGAGAAGAACCAUCUGGAUCAAGUUUUUUAAGGAACGAUGUGCUGUGUUUGUACUCAUCUCCUUUUUGUACAGAUGAUCAAUUUUUAGAGAAAUAAAUAUUUCGCCUCCUAGACUUACAUAACUUCUUUUUGUAAAUAUGAUGAUAGUUUACGCACAGCAAGACUGAUAACUUAGGUACAAAUAUUGUGAUAACUUUGAGCGAGGGAGGGGAUGUUGUUGAAAUAGAGUUGAUAACUCAUAUGUGCUAGCAUGGUAAUAUACGCACAUCAGAGCUGAUAACUUACUUAGUAGGGGUGUUCCUAACUAAAGCUUCCUACCAUAAGUCAGACAUUCCGUGGAGGAGCCCGAGGAGAGAACUGUUCCCCCUUUCCUUUUGGGAGUAGCCCAAGCGUGGUAACUAUUUUUGACUCAUGGAAAAAAUUAUUGAAAAAAACCCCAUGACUCAUGUGUACUAGCACGGUAAUAUAUGCACAACAGAGCUGAUAAUUUAUUUAGCCCGGAUGUGGUAACUAUUUCAUUCGAAAAAUUUAUUGAAAAACAUCCUCGAUAACUCAUGUGUACUAGCAUGAUAAUAUAAGCAUAGAAGAGUUGAUAACUUACUUAGCCAAGGUGUGGUAACUUUUGAUCUGAUAAAAAGUUGUUAAAAACACCAUGAUAGCUUAUGUGUAAAUAACAUGGUAAUAUACGCAUAACAAAGCUGAUAAACUACUUAAACCCAAGCCUGGUAAAUUUUUGACCAUAAAAACUCAUCGGGGAUAUACCACCAUGGGACCUACCUUUGAAUUUUUCGUCGCGUCAGAUUUUUUAUGUUGAACAAUUUUUUGAUCUGACCAACGGUUUUGAGGUAAAAAAAAUUGAGUUUCGAAAUAGCAGAAUGUAGGACGACAUUAGCUUUUUAUGUCCUCUAGUAUAUGCAUGCAUGUGGGGAGAAGGUAAGAGAAAUCAUUUUUAUGCCCCGGUAGUUUUUGUGGAAACAAACUGAUAACUUAUGUACCACAUAUGUGAUAAUUUGCGUAGUAUAUGCAUGGUAACUUUUUGUCCGAAAAAAAGUCGUCGGAAUAUACCAGGGAAAAUGUUGUUAAAAAAUACCUCCCAAUAACUCAUGUGUAAGCAACAUGUUAAUACACGCACAAGAGAGCUGAUAACUCACACACAAAUGUCACGGGAAUUUUAACCGAGGGAAUGAAAAUUGUACCCCGAAUAACUUUUAUGCAACAUAGUAAUAUACACAAUAAAGUUGAUAACUCACUGCAAACAUCAUAUUCACUUUUUGACCCUGGGAUAAAAGUUUGUUGAAAACAUACCCCAAAAACUAUUGUGUAAAUGACACGGUAACUUAUGUAUGACAGACGUGAUAACUAGUCCAGAUGUGAUAACUUUUGGUCCGAAAAAAGUCAUCAGAACAUAUAAAUAUGAGAUCUAGUUUUGAAGGUCUCGUCGAGACGAAUUUUUUAUGAAGACGUUUUUUCAGUCGGAGCAACGGUUUGAGCUACAAAACAUUUUGAAGUUUGAAAAAAGAAAAAAUCUAGAAUGACAUCAGCUUUUCGUCCUUUAGUGUGUAUAUAUGCAUAUAAUUAGAGUGAGUAAUGCACGUGAAAAAAAAUUAAUCAUUCUAAUACAUGCAUGUAUGUAAUUAUAGUGAAGUAAGAAUCGUUCUUGCUUAUUACUAAAAUCCGAACGUUGGUAGUUAUAAAAAUUCAAAUAUUUUUGUUUGUUGUCAAAGUUUAUAAAGCUUGACUAACUAAAGCUAAUACGCGGAUCAAAUAAAAACGAAGGAAGGACUAGCAAGUUGAGGACCAAGUGUGACCGUGGGUGUGUGAUAUACUUUGCGCAGCUGUACUUUUUGACACGUGUUAGCAAAAACCAAAACCAGCAUGCACGAUGCGCCGUCGCCAACUUGAAUCAUGCACCAUCCGCAAAAAAAAAAAAGCUUGAAUCAUGCACGCCACCGCGCAGACAAUCAUGUUAGAGUUGUGUCGAAUAUUAUUGUACAAGGUAGGUUACAGUUGGACUUGGUUUUGGACUGUGUGUAGACAGGGUAGGAGUUGUGUCCUAAUAGGACACUUGUAUUCUAGGCCUCUCAUAUAUAUCGGGGGUAGACAUACGAUGUAAGCUAUGCCAACAUAAUAGCACAGGCGCGCAAGGGGGAGCCGGCGGCGUGUGCCGGUGCCCGGGUGGCCGGAUGCGGUAUUGUGACGGUAUCACGGAAAGGAGCGCCCGUAGUCAAGCCCCGGGAUGUAGCCAUAUCGGUGAACCUUGUUAGCAAAUCUCGGUGUCGUGCUCAUGUGAUUGCUUGAUCCUCGAAUAAUUGACGGAGUGCCUCGAAUUUGUUCUAACAAAACAUGGUUGAGCUCCUCAUGGAUCGUCUUAUUCCGCACGUACAGUAGGCUCGUGCUCCUUACGUCGUGAGGUGCAUACAUGCAGGAGAUGAGAUCCCGUGUUCCUUCCGGGUGAAGACGAAGACGGGGGUAGUCGGCGCGCGGCAACGUGGCCAUUCGACGACCACCUACGAGGCUUGGAAGAAUUCGGGGCGACCGCUGCUGCUGGAGCUAGCUGGCCUUCUGGGGGUACGUGCGUGCAGCUGGUGCGGCCGGUGGAACGCACCUUCGUGUUCCCCGUCCACGUGCAUCAUCCCGCUGGCCCGCCACUUGCCAGGAAGAUCGAUCAGCCGCGCGCGCGUAUAUAUAGUACAUGAGCUCGCUGCGAUGAGCAUCAUAUUCAAAGCUGAUAUCAUUGCCACUUCCAGGAGAGUACUCUGUCGAGGUUCAUGGCGUCCAUGGAGAACAUCCAUGUCCGGACGGACGGCGAGCCGGGGUGCGCUCUGCCGCCGGAAGCACACUCUUUCUCGGGGGAUAUCGGCGGCGGUACGACGAUCGAGACGCCUUUCUCUGUGUCGUUGAGCGUUCCGGCCUCACCGAUGGAGACGAAGAUCGGUGUCCACCACCCCGCCAUGCCCCUGAGGCAAGCCCGUCAACACUCGCUGCCGUCCCCGGUAGUCAGAGGUAAUGCCGACGCGCCGGCCGUGCCGCGGAGCGACACCAUGCGGAAGCGGGACCGGCGAUUCGACCGCUUAAGGACCUUCUCCGGCCGCCUCGACCGCCAGCUCUCCACCCUCCGCGGCUUGUCACAGGAACUGCCGGCUGCUGACCCCGAGCGUGGCAGCGCCAAUAUCUCCGAGGAGGACACUGAUGAGGACCACGACGUCCCCACCGCCGGCCGCUACUUCGCCGCACUCGAAGGCGCCGAGCUCGACACCCUUCGUGUAUGUAGUAUAUUAUCACAUUUUACCAUUUCCCGCAAGCAAAACCAGGGGGCGUUGCUUUGUUUUUUAACAACAUGCUGAAUGUUUGCAGUCGACGGAGGUGGCGGUGCUGCCCAAGGACGACCUGUGGCCUUUCUUGCUUCGGUUCCCCAUCAGCGCCUUCGGGAUGUGCCUCGGCGUCAGUAGCCAAGCGAUGCUAUGGAAGACGCUCGAGUCAGAGCCCUCCAUGGCGUUCCUCCGCGUGCGCCCCGCCGCCAACCAUGUCCUCUGGUGGGUCUCCGUUGCCCUCACCGCCGUUGUCUCCAUCGUCUACCUUCUCAAGGUCGUCUUCUACUUCGAGGCCGUCCGCCGCGAGUUCCACCAUCCGGUCCGCGUCAACUUCUUCUUCGCUCCCUGGGUCGCCUGCCUCUUCCUCGUCAAGGGAGUGCCCCUCCCAGAGUGGGAGAUCCACCAUGUCUUCUGGUACCUUCUCAUGGCGCCCAUCUUAUGCCUCGACCUCAAGAUCCACGGCCAGUGGAUGUCCAGCGGCGAGCGGCGCCUCUCGAAGGUGGCCAACCCAUCCAACCACCUCGCUGUUGUUGGCAACUUUGUUGGUGCGCUACUCGGUGCCAGGAUGGGCCUCCGGGAGCUGCCCAUCUUCUUCUUUGCUGUUGGGUUGGCCCACUAUGCGGUGCUCUUCGUCACCCUCUACCAACGGCUCCCCACUAACAUGCAGCUCCCCAAGGAGCUCCACCCGGUCUUCUUUCUCUUGGUUGCCACACCUAGUGUCGCGUCCAUGGCAUGGGCGAGGAUCUCCGGCGAGUUCAACAACAGCGCCAAGCUCCUAUACUUCAUCUCGCUCUUCCUCUAUGUAUCGUUGGUGGUGCGUGUCAACCUGUUCCGGGGGUUAAGGUUCUCGUUGGCUUGGUGGGCCUACACGUUCCCGAUGACGAGUGUUGCCCUAGCGACGGUGUUGUAUGCGUCAGAGGUGAACAACAUGGUAACACAAAUGCUUACGGUCGGGCUAUCAGGAAUUGCCGUUGUCACCGUCAUCGGCGUGUUGGCCACCACCGUGUACCACGCCUUUGUGCGUGGGGACCUGUUCCCCAACGACGUUUCCAUCGCCAUCACGCAAAAGAGGCCCAAAUUUAGCAACAUACUUGCACACCUCCGCUCGCCCACUCCGGCGUCAAGUAGCUCAUCCUCUUCAUCCUAAUUUCAUUUCCAAGCAUGACACCUACUUUGAUGAGUCUAUCUCCAACUCUAGGACAACGUGCAGCGCCGGUGAGACUCCGGUGGUGCAUGGGCAUGGAAGAGCAGAGUGUUAUAUGGUCGGUGAACAGAAGGAUGCAUGUUGUGAAUGCACACAAGAGUUGAUAUUGAUUAGUACUCCCACUGUAAACUAAUAUAAGAGCGUUUAGAUCACUAUCUAAACGCUCUUGUAUUAGUUUACGGAGGGAGUGCCAACUUAUUUGUACAAAGUUCCUUCUCUUUGUUUUCUUUUGUUCUUUUUCCAUCAUUUGCCAACUGACUACACGUAGUGGCAGGUGGCAGUGAUAUCCUUGAGUAAUUUGCAUUGCCAUGGACCAUGGUACGAUAUAUAAUUUCUAGAAUUAACAUUUGUGUUUGCAAAUUGAGUGGGUUCUUGAGAAGUUUAAAUUAGUACAAUAUCGAAUUUUCAAGUAUUGGUCGCCUUUCUAACGCAAUUGCAACUGCAAUUCUUCAACGCAAUUGCAACUCUAUAUUGUUUUGUCGGGGAGGGACAAUUGCAUGUCUAAUACUAACCAUGCAAUUGUAAGUAUUGCCUCGUAAUGCAACUAUGUGUUGUUUUGUGUGUGGGGGGUGUGGAGUUGCAUGUAUGCAACCAGGCACGCAACUCUGAUUGUCGUGCCCCAUCUGCAACUGCAUGUCUUGUAACCUGAACGCAAGUGGAAUUUUUUGUUCUGUCGGAGGGGGCGGGCCAGUUGCAAGCCCGACAACAGCCCCGCAACUGCAAGCACCGCACCCGACCGCAACUGCAUGUCCUCCAACAUAGUUGCAACUGGACCUUUGUUUUGACGGAGGGGGCGGGCCAGUUGCAUGUCUGACACUAGGCAUGCAACUGCAAGUGUCGCACUCGACCACAACUGCAUGUCUUCUAGCUCGACGGCAACUGGACUUUUUUAUUCUGUUGGAGGGGGUGCCGGUAGAGGGGGCGGACCAGUUGCAAGCCCGACAGCAUCCCCGCAACUGCAAGCGCCGCACCCAACCAAAUUUGCAUGUCCCCCAACGUGGUUGCAACUAGACCUUNNNNNNNNNNNNNNNNNNNNNNNNNNNNNNNNNNNNNNNNNNNNNNNNNNNNNNNNNNNNNNNNNNNNNNNNNNNNNNNNNNNNNNNNNNNNNNNNNNNNNNNNNNNNNNNNNNNNNNNNNNNNNNNNNNNNNNNNNNNNNNNNNNNNNNNNNNNNNNNNNNNNNNNNNNNNNNNNNNNNNNNNNNNNNNNNNNNNNNNNNNNNNNNNNNNNNNNNNNNNNNNNNNNNNNNNNNNNNNNNNNNNNNNNNNNNNNNNNNNNNNNNNNNNNNNNNNNNNNNNNNNNNNNNNNNNNNNNNNNNNNNNNNNNNNNNNNNNNNNNNNNNNNNNNNNNNNNNNNNNNNNNNNNNNNNNNNNNNNNNNNNNNNNNNNNNGGCCGCACCUGACCCGAACUACAUGUCCCCCAACAUAGUUGCAACUGGACCUUUUGUUUGCCGAAGGGGGAGGCGGGAGCGGGGACGGGCCAGUUGCAUGUCCGACACUAGUUGCACGUCCUCCCAUGCGCAACCACAUAUGUUGUAGUCUGCAUGCAAUUGCAAGUGACACCACCUGAGCAAAACUAGGGUGUGUGUGUUGGGGGGGGGGAGGGGGUUGGUUGCUUGGGCAGACCGAUAUGACAUGUUUAUUUUUAGCUUUUUCGUUUUCUACUUUUUUUGUGUUUUUGUGUUUUGGAUUUUGUGUUUUUCCUUUUCUUAUUAGCGAUGUCUAGGAUUUUUAUUUUAAAUAACGCCACUCGACUUGCAUACCCAUGGGCCGAACAGUCACCUGUACUCUGGCCUUGCCCAUCCAUGUACAACUUAAUAUAUUUUUAUUUUUAUAAGAUAGUGCCACUAGUUAUGCACGUGCCACCCACAUGUCAAUCGUCCACGCGCAAUUGCAUGCUCGUUAUUUCUAUGCAACCUUUUUUCUCAAAAUAUUGUCAUCUGAUCGCUCACACGUUGAUCACACGCAAUUGCAUGUCCGUCAUCUGCGUGUAACUUAUUAUUUUAUUUUAAAUAUAUUUUAUUUUCCCACGGAUCACCUAAAACUAGUGAUAUACACUAAGAGAGAAGUAGAUGGUCCCAGACUAGGCAUAUGCAACAUUAGUCUUGUUUCAAAUUACAUUUUUGUUGAUCAGAGAGUGACCUUUAGUUUUCUGCUAUCUGCUUCCCCUUUUUAGCAGUUUUUACGACAGGCACCAGGAAGCUCAUUUUUAGUUCCACCAAAGAUGUUCUCUAAUGAUCUUAAAAAAAUAUGUUCUCUAAUUUAUUUUUCUAUUUCUUGUGUCAAAAGUAUGUGCUCAAGUAAUACAAACACACAUUUUUUAUGCAUUAUGUUAUGUUUCAUGGAGACACACUCCACACCUGGCAGCGUUGACACAGACACUGAUAUAUUUGUCAGGCCAAAUACAAAAAAAUAACCAACCAAGUAGGAGACUAGACAGCCCAGUACACUUCAGAAAAGUAGGCACCGGAAAAGAAGACAGCCCAGCACGAGACAAGCUUUUGGGAGGACAAAAUAAAGGAAAAGCAGCCCACUUAAGAAAAGAGUCGUACACACAGCCCACAUGAACGAAGAGGAAAAUCAAUCGUCUGGGUCAAGCCUAUACAUACGAUCCUGACGUCAGUCGACUGAGACUUCACGAAGUCUCAAUCGGAAGUCUCAGUCGACUAAGUCCUAGCUAAACCCUAAUUCCAUACAUAACUAACAAACUGAAAAUGGCACGACAGGGUGUUCCUACAAUUUCAUAUAGAUAGGAAAAAGAAAGAAAAUACAAAGUGGCCUGGUUUUUUAAGAGGGAAACAAGGCCAAAGACCGAAAGAGAACAAACAAUGAGAAACAAGUAAAAACGACUAAGCGGUCACCAGACGAACAAGAACAGCACCACCAGCAUAUCCACCAACUGAAGAGAACUGAGUGGUUUCUUGGAAGACGCCUUCAAAAAGGAAACAUUGCACCCACAGGCACCGUUGCCGCUGGCAUCGACCCUUGUCGAAGACUAAGGUUUCGCCCAGAAUCACCCAUGACCAAAUCGCUGAAACCAUUUGAAAGGGUCCGGACACGUCAUCUUCAAAUUCAAGAGCCUCGGUAAAUUGAUGUGCACUAGUAGAAAACGGAGCUUUAAAACCGGUUCGUAAGGGCCUUUAGUGCCGGUUUCAUAACCGGCACUAAUUGGUGGGCACUAAAGCCCCCCCCCCUUUAGUACCGGUUCGGCACGAACCGGCACUAAAGUGCCACCACGUGGCGUGAGCUCGCGCCCUGGUAUGGGGGACCUUUACCAACCGGUACUAAAGGUUUUUUUUUGAAAAUUUUGGAAAAAAAUUUGAUUAUUUUUUUUAUUUUUAAUUUUUCUAAAUUAUUUGGUGAUUUAGUCUUUAAUCACCUCUCUUAACUGCUCAAGUGUGGAUCACUCAUUCCAAAUCAUCUAACUUCCCGACCGGUCACCCAUCCCUCUCACUACUCCAGCCCGAGCACGUUUAACUUUCAGGUUCUAUUCUCCUUCGUUUCCAAGUCUGCACUUGUUGUUUUCCUAACAAUAGUAAGAUGUCAAUCCUAUUAACCCUCAGGAGUUUAGCUUGAGCAUGAAGUCACACAUUUCAAUGUUUGAGUUUUUGAAACUAUUAUUCUAAAAAACAGUAAUUAUUUAGUAACACUAAUAUUUCUUGAAUAAGUUUGACCAUAGUUUGACCACAGUUUGACCAUAGUUUGACCAAAUUUGACCAAAAUUCAAAAAAUUGAAAUAAUUAUUUAGUAACACUAAUAUUCUUGAAUAAUUAUGUAGUAAAAUUAAUACUUCUAGAAUAAGUAGUUUGACCAGAUUUAACAAAAAAAAUUAAAAAACUGAAAUUUGACCAUAUUUUUUUCCUUUUGGAAUUUGAGGAUUCUAAAAAAUUUCAAACAGGCCAUAGGCGGUCUCCAUCGGAUGCGGAUUUUCGUGCUGAAUUUUUUGAUAUAUUAUACGUUUUUUUCCGACAUCGUAUGCAAAAGUUAUAGCCGUUUUACAUUUUCCCUACACUUUUUGCGAAACAUGUCCAAAUUUAAGUUUUCAAAUUUUCCUAACUAGUAGAUGUAGUAAUAUAACUACCUCUCGAAGGAUUUUACUUUUUGAAGUUUUUAUCAUUUUCUUUUGAUUUUUUCAGAACUGAAANNNNNNNNNNNNNNNNNNNNNNNNNNNNNNNNNNNNNNNNNNNNNNNNNNNNNNNNNNNNNNNNNNNNNNNNNNNNNNNNNNNNNNNNNNNNNNNNNNNNNNNNNNNNNNNNNNNNNNNNNNNNNNNNNNNNNNNNNNNNNNNNNNNNNNNNNNNNNNNNNNNNNNNNNNNNNNNNNNNNNNNNNNNNNNNNNNNNNNNNNNNNNNNNNNNNNNNNNNNNNNNNNNNNNNNNNNNNNNNNNNNNNNNNNNNNNNNNNNNNNNNNNNNNNNNNNNNNNNNNNNNNNNNNNNNNNNNNNNNNNNNNNNNNNNNNNNNNNNNNNNNNNNNNNNNNNNNNNNNNNNNNNNGGUUUGUGCCACGAACCGGUACUAAAGGUGAUCGUGGGGCCCCAGCCUGACGCCAGCCUGCCAUCACCCAUUUAGUACCGGUUCGUGGCACGAACCGGUACUAAAGGUUCAACACGAACCGGCAUUAAUGCAUAGUCGUUCGAACCGGCAUUAAUGGUAUCAUUAGUGCCGGCUCAAAUUCAAACCGGCACUAAUGUGCUUCACGUUUAACCCCUUUUCUACUAGUGGUGUCACCUUAAAAUUCAAGAACCUCGUGAAACUUAUGAACCAAAUAAAGAACUUAUCAAUCAACCUGUCCAUGGGGUCAAGAGGCCGACUUAUUUUGGCUCUAUGCGCCGUGUUAAUUAUUGCCAGGCGCCAAAGCUGAUGGACCCAAACAUACGGAGAUAUUUACGGGACAACAGCAGCGCACAGAUUCAGAUUCCAUCUCGAAUUUUAUGGGGGAGCAAUCCGAAAAUGGAGAAGCAGCCAAUUACCGUGCAGUAUGCACGAUGGCUUGGUCGGCAGGGCGCCAGGUGGCACCAGGAUAGGGUACUGCUCUCGCUCGCCACGUCGGCCAUGGCGCACAACAAAACCCUGGAAGGAGAGAGGGAGAGGGAGAGGGAGCAGUGCAGAGCAGAGCAAUGGAGGCCGACAUGGACGCGAGCUUGGACUUCUUGGAGCUGGAGGCCCAUCUGGUGUUCGAUCUCGGAGACGCCGAUAGGUACGUACGUGAUGAGAUGAGAUGAAUUCAAAAUAUUGCAUUGCUUCUCAAUCUCGCGUCAAACUAUUGCAUUGCUGACGACGUCUGUUUCGCUCUGCCCUGCCUAGCAAACGUUGGAUGAGCCUGGCUGACUGCUGCAGCUCGUACCUGCCGGCCGAGGACUCGCUCUCCGGCCUCGACUCCUGCUACAACGACUCCACCGGCUCGCCGUCCACGGCGUCGGCGAGGGCCACCAGGGCCAGCAAGAACAUCGUUGAGGAGAGGGACCGGCGCAGGCGGCUCAACGAGAAGCUCUACGCCAUCCGCGGCGUCGUCCCAAACAUCACCAAGGUCUACUUCAUACUAGCUAGUACAGUUUGAUUUGAUAGGGUUUUCUCUUAAUUUGUGCGGCGUUAGAUGGACAAGGCGUCCAUCAUCCAGGACGCCGUCGCAUACAUCGAGGAGCUGCAGGAGCAGGAGCGCCGGAUCCUCGCCGAGGUGUCCGACCUCGAGGCCGGCGGCUGCACCGCCGUGGUGGUCAAGUCGGAGGCCUCCACCGGUAGCGAGGGGGUGGAGGACGCCGGCGUUGGCUUCUCGCCGCCGAAGAAGACGAGGAGGACUGCCUCCUCCUCCAUCAACGACCCCGUCACUUCUCCUGCAACGCAUCCGGUCCUCCUUGAGGUAAAGAUUGCUCGCCGGAGAAGUUGAGUAGCAUUUUUCGGGUCUUUGUAUAUAAAAUGAUCGAGAAGUCCAAAUGUAAAUCUAGUGAGAAUGUUUCUGACCAAAAGAAUAAAAAAAACUUGUGUAACAACUAAAAUGUUAGCAAAGAGAAAUACUCUAUGAAACAUUUUAUAGACAACAAAACGCUUCCAAGAUAACAUGGCAAAUGUGAAACAUUUUGGGGCAACUCUAUGAAACAAGACCAGGAUGUCAAAACACACCAUUGAAUAACCGCGUGGUUUAUCAUUUCUACAGCUGGAGGUGAUGCCCAUAGCGGAGAAGCUGGCGGUGGUGAGCAUGAGGCAUGACAACGCGCAACACGUCAUGGCGAAGAUGUACAAGGCGCUCGAUCCGCUCCGUCUCAAGGUCAUCACCUCAAGUGUCACCUUCGUGGACGGCCGCACAGUCCACACAAUGUUCAUCGAGGUAGCCAUCCGUGAUUUGCUGCAUUUCUCGUCCAAUUAGUUUCCUCUAGUUCUCCUCCUGAUUUCAUGAACGAAAAGCUUGCUUCCAUCUCUUUCGCUCGGUCGCUCUCGAAUUCUUUGAGUGAUGUCACAUGAAUGACAUCAUAAGGAAUGUCACUGUUGGUUAUGGGAGUUCAUCUAUACUAAUAUAAAAAGACCUAAAUGGGCAGAUCCAAUUAAUCUCGGCCAUCAAAACAUGCAAUCCAACGACCUAGACUGCUUCAAUGUCGAGCGCUCAACACGUUUAGCGUGCAGUUAAUUUCAUGUCAAAUAUAGUCUAAUCACAUAAUAACACGCAAAUAAUAUCAUACUUAAUAUCCGCAUGCACUUAAUAUACUUUCAAAUUAACGUGCAUUGCACGUACACAUUGACUAGUAAAUUUAGGAGUCAUGUUUUACUUCACAAGGGAACCAAGUCCCUAUUUGGUUUCAAAGGAAAAUUACGGCAAUAGUGGGGAAACACAAUUCAUACAGAAAGUUUUCUNNNNNNNNNNNNNNNNNNNNNNNNNNNNNNNNNNNNNNNNNNNNNNNNNNNNNNNNNNNNNNNNNNNNNNNNNNNNNNNNNNNNNNNNNNNNNNNNNNNNNNNNNNNNNNNNNNNNNNNNNNNNNNNNNNNNNNNNNNNNNNNNNNNNNNNNNNNNNNNNNNNNNNNNNNNNNNNNNNNNNNNNNNNNNNNNNNNNNNNNNNNNNNNNNNNNNNNNNNNNNNNNNNNNNNNNNNNNNNNNNNNNNNNUGCUCCAAACGAGGCCUAAGAGGGUUGCCAUCAUCUCUUGUUCUUCAACCCUGUCCAAUUUUUGUAUGUUCUGCAUUUUUUGCUUUUAUCAUUGGAUAACUGAGACGAUUUUGCACAUGCUCGAAAUCCAGCCCACAGGUGGGAGAUAUUUGAAAAAGCAUUGUGAAAAAAAGUAAAUGUAUAGGCAUGAUUUGAAGGUUUGGAUACAAUUUUUCUUGUCUAUUAUUUAGUUUCAUGGAUAUGAUUAUGAAAAAUAUUAUUGAAAAAAUAACCAUAAAAGAAUGUAUCAUCUAACAAAUUUUCAUCUAACAUGUCAUCCUAAUGGAAGACGACAAAGAAAUAAUGGGCACCAGUAGAGAAUCAUUCACCAUUUCAAUCUCCCCAAGUUCCCCACAUCACCGACACCUCAUUAGUCAGUGAGAGGCAAGGGAACCACUUAUCAAUGCUUGGUGUUCAUUUCUUAUACGUUCUUUGUUAGGUUUGUGUGCUUUCGGCGGUUGAGAUGGUGUCAUGCCGAACAUAGAUAUUUUGGCUCCAUCACUUCCCUGGCAUUGUUAUCAUGGUCUAGGUCUACCAUAUAGAGCCAAUGGUUCUCAUUAGUAGUCGCUUCAUACUUUUUAUAUUCUUCCUCCUCAAUGCUGACUAGGCAUCAUUUUGACAAGUUUUCCAUGUGAGACGUUCGACCCGUACAUGGCUCAUUUAAAAAAAAUCUUGAGGUGUGCAACUAUUAAGUCUCUUUAAACGUUAUGAGGUUGGCUCUUUAGACCUUAUGAAGUUAGUCCAGCUUGUAUGGAAUUUGUAACUUCAUCAUCAGGUACAUGGGGAAACAUCAAGAUGGGAUCUAAAGAUGUCCGCUUCGAAGGACCUUGACAUGAUCUUUGGUCUUGUUGUUGGUUUUCAUUUCAGGUCUUCUGAUCUACUGGACUUUAUUUCAUGAAUCAAUAGAGCCAUGCCGCUGUUCUGAAAAAGGGAUUGCCAGCAAACUUAUUGCAUAACAUAAUUUUUCCAAUUACGUUGAUCAAUGACCGUGUUGCCAGUUCAUAUGACUAUGUAUUUUAGUCACACUUUCUUUCAUACGACUCAUUAGACAUGCGUUGGCUUGACUUAAGCUUGUGACCACAUGGAUUACACAUAUGCAUUUGCUAGCAUGCACAUAAUUUCACUACAUUUUGUGCAAAUAUCUGCAGCCAUUUAUAUUCUUUGAAAAUCUAGUUAUUAUAUUUUUCAGAUGGAAGAAACGGAUAGUGUUGAGACGAUCAAGGAGAUGGUACAGGCUGCACUCAGCCAUCUCGAAUUCUUGAUGUGAGAAGAAGCCCAAAAAAGUCCAUGAGUCACUGAUGAAGAUUAAGUGUCUCAAAGAAUGCGUAAUGGGCACCCCAACUACUGAUGCUCCAUCAUGAUCAAUAUCAUGGAGGAGAGCGCGUGGUUUGGUCCAAUCUGGUACUACAACAUUCUAAUAAAAGUGACUACAACUGCAAUCACUUGUAUGGCCCAAAAAAUAGUAAUUGUGCCUAGAAUUUAUGUAAGCUCAUAGUAUUAGUACUCCCUCCCUUGGGAUUUGUGAGGACAUCUCCAUACAUAAUUAUAGAACUUCAGUUCAGUUUACAUCUUUGUGCACCCAACUACUGGUAUGAAAUCUGCACUUUAACUUUACCAUGGUCGGCAUUGCAGAUUCUUUUUACAUAUUGAUCAGGGUAAAAGGUAAUAUAAUCUCGAAAGGCGAUGGUGUGACCCUCGUCAUCACGAUCAUAGUGAGUUGCAACGUGCAGGUCCAGGUAGAGUAUCAGGAGCGGCUCCAUGUAUAUCGGAACAGCCACACACUUCCGCGAUAGCGGGAGCUCGCCAUCGAUGACCUCCUCCUUGUUCUCUUCUCCACGAGAAAAGAGCACGACACUCUCACCGUCGUAGAGUUCGUGGUGCGCGGUGAUCUCGCCAUAGACAUGGUAGACGGUGCCAGUCCCAGUGGCACCGGCCGGGAGGCGCGAGAUCAAGGUUGACGUACACGUUGGCCUAUAUAGCCUUGUGCAGCGCCAUGAAGGUCAUGUCUAUCUUGCGGCCGUGUCUAUGACUUUGUUGCACGCGUACAGGUUCACCGUGAACGAGAAGUUUCCAUUGUCGUGAUCAUUGGUUUCGCCGUUGUCCCCCGGGAUCUUGAUUUUGACCCAGAAGGUGUCCGUCAGGGCGCUCCUCGACUCGAGUAUCAGAUUGUUCUGUGGAUCGACGAUGUCUCCUCUUUGCGAGGACCAGAUGUGGCAACCAAAGCCGUCGGUGGCGGCAAAGGACCCCGUGAAGUGGAAACGAGGGCGCACGGUGAAGAGCUCCACCCGGUACUUAGAAAAGGAGUAGGCUAAGUUCAGGUUUUUGCUGUCUCCGUUGUAGUCGAUCAUGUGACCGGGUGGUGGAUAGUCCCUCUCGUCACAGCUAUCGCCGUCUCCUCGCUGAUGUAGUUGGCCAUGUCCUGCGGUCUGUAGAACCCCCCAUUGUCGACAUCAUCAUACUCGCUAGCUGCUCCUGCGGUCGUCGUCGUCAUCAUCAUCGCCGCUGUCGUUCACGAUGACGCCGUCAUUGCCGAUGCGAUGGAGCCCGCUUCGAUCAUUGUCGCCCCCGACGCCUUCAUCGCCGAUGCCAUGGUACCCAUCGCCGGCAUUGUCGUCAACCUCUUUCUGGUUGAACUCGGCAGCAGAGUCUUUCGUCUCUGCCGUUCCUGUUCCGAUAGCGGGCUCAGUGGUGCAUGUCUGCAGGUCGCCCAAGAUGGCCCUCGGGGAUGGUCUUUCCGGCGGCCCUCCGGCGGCAGCCAUACCGCGCACGCCCUUGCCAAGAGUCGCCGGCGGUGAUGAAAACCUAGAGCGAUCGAUCUGGUUGAUUAACUACUUCGGUCUCCUGAGACGGACCUUCUAAUUUAUCCACGUCAGCCAUCAAACCUGGGCCGGGCCUGGUUCUGUGUACAGUUCCUGGCCCAGUCGAGGAGGGAGACACAAACCUGGACCGAAACUGGUUCGGCGCAUUAACUUCCCUGGACCAAGACCACCGUCCGAAGGGGAAAAACGAGAGAAUACAGCGAGAACGGCGGCGGCGGCGGCGGCGCCACACUUGCCGGCGAUGUACGCGGAAACGGAGCCCGGCGGCGCCGCGGAGCGCACGGCGUUCCGGCGGGCCGAGAAGCAGUACAAGCUCUACAAGCCACCCAGUCGCAAGGGCAGGUCGAAAUCCAGGUCUCUCUCUCUCCCUGUCUCUCUGCCAUCUCUGUGCGGAAACAGCAUAGCAGAACCCUGACUUUUCAAGCGCUACAGGGGCAAGCAAGCCGGUGGUGGUGGGUUUGGCGGCGGCGGGGACCUGUCCGCGGUGGUCGACUUCCACGCGCUGCUUGCUGCCGGAGAAGGCGAGCUGCCCGCCGGGAUCCGGAGGUGCGACCGCGCCGGCUUCCACCUGCCCGUGUUCUGCUUCCUCGACCGGCCGGGUAACUCCACAAUUUCUCCCAAUAUUGCUUUGUUUUCGAUACUUACGAUUAUUCUUGAUCCAGUUUGGAUUUCUGUUCUUACAAAUUUGCAAGUCAGGACAUUGCAUUUGAACAGCGGCAACUUACAAAAUUUCUUCCUGAUUCUGGUUUUGGGUCAUAAAAUUAUUUCUUACUCCCUCCGUCCCGUAAUAUAACAACUAUAUUAUGGGACGGAGGGAGUAAUUGUUUAUUCCAGUGCUUGUGCAAUUUUCACAUUAAUGCUAACUUUGUCCCAAACAUGAGCGGCAGAGAAUGUCAAAUUUUCAUAUGGAACUCAUGAUUUCCCUUAACCCCUCCUAUGUGGAACAUAUGCUAUGCCUGAACUAUUAUGUCAGCAAGUUCUUCAUCAUGAGUAUAUCUGUAUAUGUGUAUCCAAAAAGGAGGACGAAUGGCAUCAUAACUUUUGAGUAAUUAGGGUUUUGCUUGCCUAUUUAUGUCAACAUUUCAGGUUCCAACACUUGAUCGUCACACCUAAUAUCCAUCAAUCAUCGUAAUCUCAUUAUAAUGUUCGUUUGUGAAAUAGUACUGAUAAUACCCUUCGCGCCUCAAUUUUUGUAGGAUUCUAUUUCAUCCCUGGUGCUCUAUCAACUGAGGAACAAUGCUAUUGGAUCAGGGAAAGCUUGAAAACAUUCCCACAGCCUCCUAAUAGAACUAACUUGACUGCUACAUACGGUCCAAUUUCUGACUUGUUCAUCGCUGCUAAAAACCAAAAGAUUUUGGUUGAAGUGCAAAGUUCCAAUGGCCAAGAAAGAAUUGAGCAGAAUAAUGUUGGGGAAAAUGCACAUCCGGGUAAAUUCAAAUUUGUGGAUGGCUCAGAGAUCCAAAAGGAGGAAAGACCUAAGUCGACCAUGGCAGCUGCUCUUGUGCGCAAGCUCCGGUGGAGCACCCUUGGCUUGCAAUUUGAUUGGUCAAAAGUAUGUAUGUACAAUGAAUGUGUCUUUAUUUUCAUUUUUCUUGAAUUUAAUUCUUUUAGCUUGUGAUGGUAUUAAAAUUUGAUGCUUUACAUAUGAAUAUGAAUAAACCAGCAGGCAUAAUUUUCUUCAAAUUUUUCUGCAGUUGUGACAAACAAGCCCAAUUCAUUAUAAUCAUAUUAUGAUGAUGAUGAAUUCAUAAUUCCAUGUUAGCGCAUAACAAGUUUUAUUACUUAAGGAGCUUUGUUUGCUUAUGAUAGUUCUUCCUUGAAAGCUAUUUUUAAGCAUGAUGAUCUCUGAAAUCAUUAUGCAACUAAUCCCAGUGUGCAUACAUCAUACGCUAAUAUCAUGAUGUAACUUAUUCUCGUACUCAGCCAUGAAACUUGAUAGCUGCAAUCUCUUGCGCGGUGCUCGCAGUUAAUUAAAAUCAUGUACUUAUUGCACUGUAAGAUACGCUUUUGGUCGCAACUGCAUAUUAACCAGUUCCUGUUUCUGUCAGCGUAACUAUGAUGUAUCGCUUCCACACAACAAGAUUCCAGAUGACCUUGCUACUCUAGCAAAAAAGAUGGCUGUUCCAGCAAUGCCUUCUGGAGAAGAAUUCACUGCAGAAGCGGCCAUCGUUAACUAUUAUGGUCCAAGUAUGUAGCUUGUCUUUUCAAACAGUGAAUAACCUAACCUCGUAGAUAUACUGAUAUACACCAUGGCACAUUACCUCGAAGUUGCAUGCUUGCCUCUCUGUCCAUACAACAAUAAGCUUUGACUUCUGUAGGCGACAUGCUUGGUGGCCAUGUUGAUGACAUGGAAGCAGAUUGGACAAAACCUAUUGUGAGCAUAAGGUACUACGGUUCAGUUGCUUAUAUAAUGAUCUUCAUUUGAGUGUAGUCUCUUACUUUUUUGUUGUUUUAGUUUGGGUUGCAAGUGUAUUUUUCUGCUUGGAGGGAAGACAAGGGAUGAAGCUCCAACGCCAAUGUUCCUGCGAAGUGGUGAUAUUGUACUGAUGGCUGGGGAAGCACGAGAGCGCUUCCAUGGUAAUUUAUUUAUUUUUAAUGGGAAAAAUUUAUGUCUUAAUAAGAAAGUAAACUGAAAUACCAUGGAUCAUCAGCUUUGUAGAAUAACCCAUGGCCUCUAUUCUACAGGUGUCCCACGGAUCUUCACAGAGGGUGACCAGCAAGAUAUCUCUGGGCUGGUAUCAGAACUAUCUGAUGAUGAUGACCGCUUUAUAUUGGACUACAUUCAUAAUUCAAGGAUAAAUAUCAACAUAAGACAAGUAUACUGAAGCUACUUUAGUUAUUAUUGAAAGUUUGCUCUCCUGCUGCCUCUCGGGCCUACACUAGAUGAGCAAUUGUUUGAUUAACUGUGUCUGGAGUUUGUUUCUGAAAUGUUGCUGGAAGAUGGGGUAAUUUAUUGAUCGGGGGAAGCGUUCAUCUUCUUUCAAAGGGUAGGCCUUCCAUGGACAGGGCAUUUUUGAUAGUUUCGUACCCUCAGCAAGACCCCAGUUAUCAUUAAAAAAAUCCAGCUAAUGCGAGAGAAUGUAAAUCACUUAAUGGCUUACUGCCUGAUGUGUGAGAAGUUGUUCAUCUUGAGUAUUCUUUUCCAGGAAAUUUACUUGCCAAUAUCUCUAUCUGUUGAUUCGUUGAACAAAAACGUACCUUCUGCAGUGCAGAUGGACAAGCUACAUGUAAAUUGGUCAGAUGGGUUCAUAUUUUUUUCAGCCAGUGUCCUAUCAAAUAUAGAAAUGUUUGGGCACAAUUCAAAGUCACGGAGAAGUCAGCAAUUUGACAUGUGAUCUUCUUGUGUUGGCUCUUAGUCUUACCAUAGGUCAUUAUGUCAAUAUUCAGUCGUCUCCUUAACUGCCUUCGUUUUCGUCCCUUUGUCGAUCGAUAAUGGCAACUCAUUGUCUCCAUGGAAAAUAAGAAAUAAAAUUGUAUUUGCUUAAACUGGAUGUUUUGACAAGGUUGUGUCAUCAAGGUUAAUUGUAUGCAUUUGGGGUUAAGUGAAUGUAUGGCAAGAAGCUGUGUACACUAUUUGUAGCCUUUCCGGUGGCAAAAUGCAGAUAAUAUAAGUAGAACAGCUGUAGUCUUUUCACUUAGCAAAGUGCAGAUUACAUGAAGUAAAGCUGGAUGGCAAUUAUAUGCUUCUUGUAUGGGCAGAAUACAACCAUCGGCUAUAGUAGAGGGAGAAGACUGGAUGGGAUGUAAAUCUCUCAUCUCAUCAAACAUGUGAACUAUUUCUCAACAAUCUCUUGGAUCUGCUCCGGAGUCGAGAUUGACGCACUGGUAUCGAAAUCAGCACUCUCCAACUGCUUGCGCAACUGCAUUGGCAAUAAUGUCAAGGUAAGCGUUAUGCAUUGCUUCUUCUGCUGAUAAACGGUCAAAACAAAACUCUGUUUGUGUAUGUUUUACUGAAAGGGGACGAGCAUAGAGAACAUACAGUCUCAAGUAUGACAGAUUGGCUCUCGGGGCUGUAUUUUCUAAUUUGAACCAACAUCUCCAGUUGCUGCAACAGCAAUUAAAAGGAUCUAAUUACCAUCUUCAAUACAGUUAAGAUGGAUGUUUUGAAGAAGGCACUAUAAAAACAUCUUUGCCUCACCUGUUGUUGCAAUUCCUGUUGAGUGUGCAUUUUCUCGGCAAACUCUAGAGGCUCAAGCUCGGCCUCGUCAAUAGCCAUCUCUUCUCUAUCAAAUUAAAUGGGGAAAUAAUCAGAACAUGGCUUUUAGACAAUAGUUCAGGUGAAGUUUGUAAACCACAAACUAUUCUUGCCAGAGAGCAGAGGGCAGGUAACUGUGGCUUUAUAUUCAUUUUACUUGUUCCGUUUUAUAGCUGGUGGAUUAACUGAUACAGCUCUUUUCCUUGAAAAUAAAUAAAUAAAAGAACACACCACUACACAGAUCAAUGUGGACUAUAUUCAAACUUGCACUACCAUAUAAGUUGUUUUAAUUAGAAAAAUUAAUAUGUCACUGAAUUAUGUAAAGGCCAUGCAACAUUAGAACUAAUAUAUGAAUCUAUGGGGUGUAACAUACACAAAUGAGAUCAGAAAACUGCUAAAUCCAAAAUAGUGAAUAAAUAAAUUAAGGUUUACUGGCAGGUCUCUUAGCCCACUACUAACUCCGUCCGGCUUUAUUAGGCCCCCUCUUAUUUUGGGCUAAAGUUUGACAAUAAAUUUCACUAAUAAAUUGUAUAAUAUGUGUCACAAAAAACUAUACUAUGAGAAAGCUCUUUCAAAUACAAAGCUAACAAUAUGCUUUUUGUAUCAUAUAAUUUAUAUUUUAUUAGUUUGAUAGAUGAUCAAAGUUUGACCCAAAAUAUACAAGAAAAAAAAUCAGUAGGCUCUCACUUGGCAACAAACUGGUAGAAUUUAAUCAUCAAAUCCAUGUCAUUCUCAUACACGACGUUCACCUUUCCCAGGCAGCUAAUACCAAAACCUGGAUCUGAUGUUCAGAAAUUACAUGUCAGCGUAAGUCAUGCAUGAAACAUUACUGUAUAUAUCAAGUCAAAGAAAAUCAUGAUUCAUUCAGAACCCUUCUAUAAGAAAAAUAAAUUAGCAAUCUUACUUAGCGUACAAGUGAUAAGUAGAAGUUUGAUUUUUUUUUUUACAUCUACAAAGCAUUUUAUAGACUUGACGCAACAAGGACUCCAUGGCAGACGGCGAAUUGAUUCCAAAGCGCUGAAGAUUACAACAUGAUGCAUUUGGACACAGUUGAAGCAGAAACUACAAACAUUUGGUGAUGUCUUUGCGUUGGUCAGCUAUGAGCAAUUGGUUGUUCAGAUUUUUGACUUGCAUCCAAGAUCACUACACUGUUGCUGCUGUGGACUCAUAGUUUUCUACCAGACCAAACUCACGAUCGAUUUAUCACAUAACAAAAGAUUGAUUUCCUUCAUUAUUCAGCACAAAUAUUUUUCAAUCGGCAUCGUGUAUUCUACGUACCUGAAGCUGCGUUGUGUUGCAACCCAUCAUAUGAAGAGAGAUUUAAUUUAAGAAGUAAAAUUCCUAGUAAAUGAAUACACUGAUCAUGGCUGUAAGGCAGUGGCAGCAACAGUGGGCUAUUGGCUAAACAGUAACUCCAUGUAUGGCACAUGUACUCACUGUCAAUACCUAGCAUUUGACAGGAAGUAUGGACCUCUUCAAUAAACUAAAUUUCCAUACAUCAGGAUAUGUUACAUAGCUUAACAAAUAUGCUACUCCCUCCGAUUCAUAUUAAUUGUCACUCACUUAGUACAAGGUACAAAGUUGUACUAAGUGAGCGACAAUUAAUAUGGAUCGGCGGGAGUACCAAUCGUUGAAAUCUUUCUAGUUUCUACAUGACUAAAUUCUGCAUUUGGGCAUCACUACUAACAUAGACAUGGUAGGCCAUUGUCAAUUCGAACCUCACAUCUGCACAAGAAUCGCUGGAGCAAAGCAAGCCAGAAAAGACAUGGAGCUAAGAAUGCAGUUAGGAACAUAUACCGAUCCCCAUCUCGCGAAGGAUCUCCUCUUGCACCUCGGUGGUCACCGCCACGGCCUCCUGUGGAACAAGAAGAACACACGGAUACUGUAAGAGGGAGGCUCCACACGAACUAAACCAUCUACCAUCCAAUCCAAGUCGGUCACAUUUCAAGAAUUGUCCAAACUGAAUGAAAUUACAGAGGACCGAGUCAAUUCACUUCAAUUGCAUCUGCACAAAUUACAGAUACUACUACUGCUGCUAGCAAAGGAAUGCGGGGGAAAGAACAGAGAAAGAUUUCCAACCUGCUUGUCGCUGACGGCGUCGGCGAUUCGGUCCUUGAACUCUGGAACUCCGCGGCAAAGACCACGAUUAGGAAGGGGAGGAAAGUGACGGGGGAUCAGUGUUGAAGGAAAAUAAGUCGGCGGGAUGGGAUGGGAGACCUGGGAGCGAGGUGAGGAAGGAGAAGCGGGAGAAGAGGUGGAGCAGCUGCUCCCUCGUCAUCAUGCUCCCGCCGCCGGCCGCCGUCGCCAUGGCAGCUCCCCACACUCUCUCCUCGAGUCCUACGGUCCUACCAACCUUUGUGUGGCUCGUGCUGCUCCUCCUGAGCGAAUCCGGAUCUCUUAUGGGCCUGGGCCAUGCCGGGCCGUACAGGGCUCAUCUAGUUCCGCUCUAAGUUUCUCAAUCUGAACAAAAAUGAAACAAGUUUCCUGAAAAAACAAACGAGAUCUCACUAACUUGAGGAAUUCAGACCCAAUUUCUCCAUACCUGUUUUUGCUAGUAGCAGAGGGCCCUUCGUGCCUUUUAAAAACCCAAGAUGAAUCACCUCACCUCAGUGGAUUUCGAGUAGCUCCGUCGGCUCCAUCGAUAAGCCACUUGCUUUUUGCAGAUGAUAGCCUGCUGUUUGUUAAAGCCAGUUCUUUCGAAGCAAAUGAGUUGUCUUCCUUGAUGGAUAAUUAUUGCAAUGCCUCGGGCCAGAGAAUAAACUUAUCAAAAUCCUCGGUGUUUUUCAGUAAGGGCUGCCCAACUUCUCUCAAAAUCGAGGUAAAGAAUGCAGUGAAUAUUACAAAUGAAUCGCUUACAGAUAGAUAUCUGGGAAUGCCAUCUGAUGUGGGUAAUUGUAAGAAUGGAGCUUUCAAAUUUUUAAAAGACAGAGUCUGGAACAAGGUAAAAGGGUGGACGGAGAAGCUUCCGUCAGCGGGAGGCAAAGAAGUUUUGAUUAAAUCUGUUGCACAGGCGGUCACUGCAUAUUCCAUGUCUUACUUCAAACUUCCCCGUGGCCUUUAUGAGCACAUUAACUCAUUGAUCGGAAAAUUUUGGUGGGGCAGCAAAGAAGGGCAGAGGAAGCCAAGUUGGGUCUCCUGGAGUACGAUGACUAGGCCGAAAUAUUGUGGAGGGCUUGGAUUUCAUGCCAUAGAGCUUUUCAAUCUAGCCCUCCUAGCCAGACAGGCGUGGAGAAUCUUAACGGGUCCAGUCUCCCUCAACGCUCGAGUACUGAAGGCCAAGUACCACCUUGGUGUUGAUUUUUUUAACUCUAAGUUGGGCUCGGCUCCUUCACAAAUCUGGCAGGCCACUAUGGAUGGCCUGGAUGUUCGCACCCAAGGGCUGAUCAGGCGCAUCGGUGAUGGACUCACCAGACACAUAUGGGAACGGAACUAGCUGCCAAGACUAGCCAACAUGAGACCUAUAUUAAGCAGGGUUGCAGACCCACCUCAGUGGGUCGGUCAACUGAUUCUGUCGAGUGCGGAUUGGGACCGAGUUGUUGUCUCGGAGAUCUUUCUACCAACGGAUGUGCGGGCAAUCAUGUCCAUACCCUUGUGCACUAGACACAUUGAUGAGUUUCGUCCUAGGUACAUAAAAAGAACAUAGCUUCCUCUGUUCGAUCUGCCUACCGCAUGCUUGUUGACACCAAAAUGAGGAGAGAAGCAUGGCUUGAGGGUCGUGCUAAUUCUUUAGACACCAGCAGAGAAACCAAGGCUUGGGAGAAUCUAUGGAAAGUUGAUGUUCCGUCCAAAGUAAAAAUCUUCUUAUGGAGUCUCGCCCAACAGUCAAUUCCCAUAGCGGAUGUGCUAAACCAUCGGAAUAUGUUGACCAGCACAACGUGCAGUUUAUGCGGGGCUGAAGAUUCAUGUCAACACUCUUUGCUUCAUUGCACAGUAGCUCGGUAUGAUUGGGCGCUACUGAAGGAAAUAUGCCCUGGAGGCAAUAAUAAAGUUGUUAUUUUAUAUUUCCUUAUUCAUGAUAAAGUUUUAUUAUUCAUGCUAGAAUUGUAUUAAUCGGAAACUUAAAUACAUGUGUGAAUAUAUAAACAAAUACCGUGUCCCUAGUAAGCCUCUACUAGACUAGCUCGUUGAUCAAAGAUGGUUAAGGUUUCCUAACCAUAGACAUGUGUUGUCAUUUGAUAACGGGAUCACAUCAUUAGGAGAAUGAUGUGAUGGACAAGACCAUCUGUUAGCUUAGCAUAUUGAUCGUUCAGUUUAUCGCUAUUGCUUUCUUCAUGUCAAAUACAUAUUCCUUUGACUAUGAGAUUUUGCAACUCCCGGACACCGGAGGAAUACCUUGUGUGCUAUCAAACGUCAAUGUAACUGGGUGAUCAUAAAGAUGCUCUACAGGUAUCUCCGAAGGUGUUUAUUGAGUUGGCAUAGAUCGAUAUUAGGAUUUGUCACUCCGUGUAUCGGAGAGGUAUCUCUGGGCCCUCUCGGUAAUACACAUCAUAAGCUUGCAAGUAAAUGACUAAGGAGUUAGUCACGAGGUGAUGUAUUACAGAACGAGUAAAAAGACUUGCUGGUAACGAGAUUGAACUAGGUAUAGAGAUACCGACGAUCGAAUCUUGGGCAAGUAACAUACCGAUAGAAAAGGGGAAUUACGUAUGUUGUCAUAACAGUUCGACCGAUAAAGAUCUUCGUAGAAUAUGUAGGAGCCGAUAUGGGCAUCCAGUUUCCGCUAUUGGUUAUUGACCGGAGAGGAGUCUCGGUCAUGUCUACAUAGUUCUCGAACCCGUAGGGUCCGCAAGCUUAACGUUCGUUGACGAUAUAGUAUUACAUGAGUUAUGUGAUUUGGUGACCGAAUGUUGUUUGGAGUCCCGGAUGAGAUCAAGGACAUGACGAGGAGUCUCGAAAUGGUCGAGAGGUAAAUAUUGAUAUAUAGGACGAUGGUAUUUGGACACCGGAAGUGAUUCGGAGGGUACCGGGUACUUAUCGAGUCACCGGAAAGGAGUUUCGGGCACCCCCGGCAAAGAUAUGGGCCUUAUGGGCCAAGAGAGGGAACACACUAGCCCACAAGGGGCUGGUGCGCCCCUAUAGUGGCCGACCAUAUGAGCAAGAUAAGGAAAGAGGGGAGGGAAAGGAAAGUGUGGAGUAGGACUCCCCCUUCUUUCCCUCCCCCCUCUUUCCUUCCCCCUUGUUGAUACAAGGAAGGGGGCGUAGGGCAAGGCAGUAGCCCUAGGGCUGCCUCCAUGUCUCUUGGGGCGCCCUAGGGGCUGCCUCCUCCCCUCCCACCUAUAUAUACAUGGGUAGGGAGCGCAACACAAAGAACACAACAUUGUCUUAGCCAUGUGCGGCGCCCCGUCCAUCGUUUACUCCCUCGGUCAUAUUUUCGUAGUGCUUAGUCAAAACCCCGCGGAGAUCACAUCACCGUCACCAUCACCACGCCGUCGUGCUACCGGAACUCAUCUACUACUUCGACCAUCUUGCUGGAUCAAGAAGGCGAGGACGUCACCGAGAUGAACGUGUGCUGAACGCGGAGGUGUCGUACGUUCGGUACUUGAUCGGUUGGAUCGCGAAGAAGUUUAUGCAUAGAUGAUAUGCACGAGUAGAACACAAAGAGUUGUGGGCGGUAAUAGUCAUACUUCUUACCACCAAUGUCUUAUUUUGAUUCGGCGGUAUUGUGGGAUGAAGCGACCCGAACCAACCUUACAUGUCCACGCACAUGAGACCGGUUUCACCGACAGGCGUGCAACUAGUUUUGCAUAAAGGUGGCUCGCAGGUGUAUGUUUCUCCUACUUUAGUUGAAUCGAAUUUGACUAUGGACGGUCCUUGAAGAAGGUUAAAACAACAAACUUGGUGAAACACCAUUGUGGUUUUAUGCGUAGGUAAGAAUGGUUCUUGCUAGAAGCCCAUAGCAGCCACGUAAAACUUGCAACAACAAAGUAGAGGAUGUCUAACUUGUUUUUGCAGGGCAUGUUGUGGUGUGGUAUGGUCAAGACAUGAUGUGAUAAAUGUUAUUGUAUGAGAUGAUCAUGUUUUGUACGUUAUCGACAACCGGCAGGAGCCUUAUGGUUGUCUCUUUAUUGUAUGAAAUGCAAACGUCAUGUAAUUGCUUUACUUUAUCACUAUGCAUCAGCGAUAGUUGUAGAAGCAAUAGUUGGCGAGACGACCACGACGCUAUGAUGGAUAUCAAGGUGUCGAGCCAGUGACGAUGGAGAUCAUGACGAUGCUUUGGAGGUGGAGAUAAAAAACACAAGAUGAUGAUGGCCAUAUCAUGUCACAUAUUUUGAUUGUAUGUGAUGUUUAUCUUUUAUGCAUCUUAUUUUGCUUAGAACGACAGUAGCAUUAUAAGAUGAUCCCUUCACUAAAUUUCAAGAUAUAAGUGUUCUAUCUGAGUAUGCAGCGUUGCGAAAGUUCAUCGUUUCGAGACACUACGUGAUGAUCGGGUGUGAUAGACUCUACGUUCACAUACAACGGGUGUAAGCCAGAUUUACACACGCGGAAUACUUGGGUUAAACUUGAUGAGCCUAGCAUGUACAAACAUGGUCUCGGAACACUAGAGACCGAAAGGCCGAACAUGAGUCAUAUAGUAGAUAUGAUCAACAUGGAGAUGGUUCACCAUUGAUGACUACCCCAUCUCACGUGAUGAUCGAAAAUGGGUUAGUUGAUUUGGAUCAUGUAUAACUUAGGCAACUUGAGGGAUGUUGAUUUAAGUGGGAAGUAAUUUGAUUAAUUGAACUUAAUUUAUCAUGAACUUAGUCUUAAUAAUUUUGCAUAUAUAUGUUGUAGAUUGAUUGCGGCUUGAACUACGUCGGUAUUUCCCCAAAGAGGAAGGGGUAAUGCAGCACAACAACGGUAGGUAUUUCCCUCGGUGAUGAGACCAAGGUUAUCGAACCAGUAGGAGAAUCACGCAACACUACGUAAACAGCACCUGCAGACAAAGAACAAAUACUUGCAACCCGACAUGUUAAAGGUGUUGUCAAUCCCUUUCAGGUAACGGUGUCAGAAAUUGUCGAGUUGACGGGAUAAAAACAUGAUAGAUUGGAUAAAUAGAUCUCGAAUAAAUUCAAAAUAAAAUAAAGUGCAGCAAGGUAUUUUUGGGUUUUUGGAAAUAUAAAUCUGAAAAUAAAAGCGAAUAAAAAUAGAUCUCAAAGGCAAAUAUAAUAAAGAAGAGACCCGGGGGACGUAGAUUUCACUAGUGGCUUCUCUCGAGAAGAUAGCAUAUGGUGGGUAAACAAAUUACCGUUGACAAUUGAUAGAACUUCAAAUAAUUAUGACGAUAUCCAGGCAAUGAUCAUUAUAUAGGCAUCACGUCCAAGAUUAGUAGACCGACUCCUGCCUGCAUCUACUACUAUUACUCCACACAUCGACCGCUAUCCAACAUGCAUCUAGUGUAUUAAGUUCAUGGAGAAAUGGAGUAAUGCAAUAAGAAUGAUGACGUGAUGUAGACAAGAUCUAUUUAUGUAGAAAUAGACCCCAUCUUCUUAUCCUUAAUAGCAACAAUACAUACGUGUCGGUUCCCCUUCUGUCACUGGGAUCAAGCACCGUAAGAUCGAACCCAUCACAAAGCACAUCUUCCCAUGGCAAGAAAAAUCGAUCUAGUUGGCCGAACUAAACCGAAGAUUCGAAGAAGAAAUACAAGGCUAUAAGUAAUCAUGCAUAUGAGAGAUCAAAAGACUCAAAUAACUUUCAUGGAUAAAAACAUAGAUCUGAUCAUAAACUCAAAGUUCAUCGGAUCCCAACAAACACACCGCAAAAAGAGUUACAUCAAAUAGAUCUCCAAGAGACCAUUGUAUUAAGAAUCAAAAGAGAGAGGAAGCCAUCUAGCUACUAACUAUGGACCCCUAGGUCUACAAUGAACUACUCACGCAUAAUCGGAGAGGCACCAAUGAGGAUGAUGAGCCCCUCCGUGAUGGUGUCUAGAUUGGGUAUCUGGUUUCUGGAACUUGCGGCGGAUGGAAUUGAUUUUCGUCGACUCCCCUAGGGUUUUUGGAAUAUUGGGGUAUUUAUAGAGCAAAGAGGUGGUGCGGGGGGUCACCGAGGUGGGCACAACCCACCUGGGCGCGCUUGGGCCCCCAGGCGCGCCCUGGUGGGUUGUGCUCCCCUCGGUGACCCCCUCUGGUACUUCUUGCGCCCAAUAGGUGUCUUCUGGUCCAGAAAAAAUCUCCAAAAAGUUUCGUUGGGUUUGGACUCCGUUUGGUAUUGAUUUUCUGCAAAGUAAAAAACAAGGAAAAAACAGCAACUGGCACUAGGCACUAUGUCAAUAGGUUGGUCCCAAAAAAAUGAUAUAAAGUUGAUAUAAAAUGAUUGUAAAACAUCCAAGAAUGAUACAAUAACAUCAUGGAACAAUAAAAAAUUAUAGAUACAUUGGAGACGUAUCUCGUCCUUGAGUAGGUAAAUGGUAAAAACAGAAUUUUUGAUGUGGAAUGCUGCCUAACAUGUUCAUCACAUAUUCUUUUCUUUGUAGCAUGGACAUUUGGACUUUUAUAUGAUUCAAAGCAAUAGUCUAGUUUUGACAUGAAGAUUUCAAUACUCAAGCAUAUCAACAAGCAACCAUGUCUUUCAAAAUAUCAACACUAAAGCAAGUUAUCCCUACCCCAUUAUGCUCAAUCAUUGAUCCAUUCAUGAAACUCACUCACAUAUUAGCUACACCCAAUGCUCAAGUACGGUCAUAGUGCCCCUUAGUUGGUGCUUUAUAAGACAAGAUGGAGACUUAAGUAAAAAUAAAAAUUGCAUAAAGUAAAAGAAAGGCCCUUCGCAGAGGGAGGUAGGGAUUUGUAGAGGUGCCAGAGCUCAAAGCGAAAAAGAUGGAGAUAAAACAUUUUGGGUGGCAUGCUUUUCCUGUCAACAAAAACGAUCGAGUAGUUCCCAAUACUUUCCAUGCUAGAUAUAUCAUGGGCGGUUCCCAAACAGAAAAUGAAGUUUAUUCCUUUUUCCACCAUACUUUCACUUUCCAUGGCUAGCUGUAUCCACGGGUGCCUUCCAUACCAACACUUUCCUAGGAAUUUAUUAUUUGACAACAUAAAGUAAAUUCAUUUUUCAUUUUGGGACUGGGCAUCCUUAAUACCUUUGCCGUACUCUCGUGCAAUGAAAAGUGAAUAAACACUCAUCUUGAGAAUAACACAUCUAGCAUGGAAAUAUAUCAGCCACCCUUACCAUUUCGUGAGCAGUACGAGUACACAAAAGAGAAAUUUAUUUUGAAAAUUAGAGAUGGCACAUACAGAUUUGCUUAGAACGGCAAAAUAAUACCGCAUAUAGGUAGGUAUAGUGGACUCAUGUGGCAAAACUGGUGAGGGAGUCCUGGAUUAGGGGGUCUCCAUUGGCCGGACUAUCUCCAUUGGCCGGACUGUUAGACUAUGAAGAUACAAGAUUGAAGACUUCUUCUCGUGUCCGGAUGGGACUCUACUUGGCGUGGAAGGCAAGCUAGGCAAUACGGAUAUGGAUAUCUCCUCCUUUGUAACCGACCUUGUGUAACCCUAACCCUCUCCGGUGUCUAUAUGAACCGAAGGGUUUUAGUCCGUAGGACAACAAUCACAACAUACAAUCAUACCAUAGGCUAACUUCUAGGGUUUAGCCUCUCUGAUCUCGUGGUAGAUCUACUCUUGUACUACCCAUAUCAUCAAUAUUAAUCAAGCAGGACGUAGGGUUUUACCUCCAUCAAGAGGGCCCGAACCUGGGUAAAACUUCGUGUCCCCUGCCUCCUGUUACCAUCCGGCCUAGACGCAUAGUUCGGGACCCCCUACCCGAGAUCCGCCGGUUUUGACACCGACAUUGGUGCUUUCAUUGAGAGUUCCUCUGUGUCGUCGCCGUUAGGCUUGAUGGCUCCUGCUAUCAUCGAUAGCGAUGCGGUCCAGGGUGAGACUUUUCUCCCCGGACAGAUCUUCAUAUUCGGUGGCUUUGCACUGUGGGCUAACUCGCUUGGCCAUCUGGAGCAGAUUGAAAGCUACGCCCCUGGCCAUCAGGUCAGAUUUGGAAGUUUGAACUACACGGCCGACAUCCGCGGAGACUUGAUCUUCGACGAAUUCGAGACACAGCCGGGCGCGCCGCACUGUCGCAAUGGGUAUGACCUAGCUCUGCCGCCGAACAGUACCCCAGAGGCCGCGCCCGCAUCAGCUCCGGCCCUUAGUUCGGAGCCAACUGCACCAAUCGAGGACGGGUGGUUAGACACCUCCUCAGGGGCUGCAGUCUCAACGGCAAUAGAGCCGAACACCAACAUAAUCCUCUGCGCAGCCCGUGACUCCAAGGUGCCGGACUCUUUUUCUGACUCCGAACCGCCCGCGCCCCUGCCAAUCGAAUCCGAUUGGGCGCCGAUCAUGGAAUUCACCGCCGCGGAUAUCUUUCAGCACUCGCCCUUCGGCGACAUUCUGAAUUCACUAAGGUCUCUCUCUUUGUCAGGAGAGCCCUGGCCGGAUUAUGGCCAACAAGAUUGGGAUGCGGACGACGAAGAAAUUUGACACCCACACACCACCCACUUUGUAGCCACUGUCGAUGAUUUAACCGACAUGCUCGACUUCGACUCCGAAGACAUCAACGGUAUGGACGACGAUGUAGGAGACGAACAUGAACCAGCACCUAUAGGGCACUAGAAAGCCACCUCGUCAUAUGACAUAUACAUGGUGGAUACACCCAAAGAAGGCAAUGGCGACGGGAUAGCGGAGGAUGACCCCUCCAAGAAGCAACCCAAACGCCGACGUCAGCGGCGCCGCUCUAAGUCCCGCCAAAGCAAAAGUGGUGAUACCGGCACAGGAGAUAAUAACACUCUGGAUAGUGCUGAAGAAAACAACAAACCCCUCCAGCAAGAUUUAGAGCAGGAGGAUGGAGGAGCCAGCUCUCCUGAGAGAGUGGCAGACGGAGAGGAGGAGGAUGACAAUUACAUCCCCCCUCCGAAGACGAGGCAAGCCUCGGCGACGAUGAGUUCGCCAUCCCAGAGGAUCCCGUCGAAUAAGAGCGCUUCAAGCGCCGGCUUAUGGCCACGGCAAAUAGCCUAAAGAAAAAGCAGAAGCAACUUCAAGCUGAUCAAGAUCUGCUAGCUGAAAAUGGACUGAAGUCCUCGCGGUCGAGGAAUAUAAACUCGAGCGCCCCUCCAAGAGUUACCCAAGGCGCGGGUUACUACCCUGACUGGAGGAAGAAGCGUAUGAUACGCCUGAUCGGCCACCUCGUGGCCACGAUAGAGAGGCAUUCCAUCCAAAAGCUCAGCCUCCACCCCAACGCCAUUCAAAUAAAAAGGCAUGGGGAGAUACACCAGACCUGCGAGACAUAUUGGAGGACAAGGCAAAGCAUUCAAGAUCGAUCUACGGAUCACGAGGGCGCACCACUCUGCGAGACGACAAACGUCACGCUGGAUACAGAAGAAAAUCCGGCCAGGCUGAACACAGCGGGCAAGACGCAUUCGAGCUGCGUCGCGAUAUAGCCCAAUAUAGAGGCGCCGCACACCCCUUAUGCUUCACAGACGAAGUAAUGGAACAUCAAUUCCCAGAAGGUUUCAAACCUGUAAAUAUUGAAUCAUACGACGGCACAACAGAUCCUGCAGUAUGGAUUGAGGGUUUCCUCCUCCACAUCCACAUGGCCUGCGGCGAUGACUUACACGCCAUCAAAUACCUCCCACUAAAGCUCAAAGGACCAGCGCGGCAUCGGCUUAACAGCUUGCCAACGGACUCCAUUAGCUGUUGGGAAGAUCUGGAAGCCGCAUUGCUCGACAACUUUCAGGGCACUUACGUGCGACCACCAGACGCCGAUGAUUUGAGCCACAUAAUUCAGCAGCCAGAAGAAUCAGCCAGGCAAUUUUGGACUCGGUUCCUUACUUAGAAAAAUCAAAUCGUCGAUUGUCCGGAUGCGGAGGCCUUAGCGGCUUUCAAGCACAAUAUCCGAGACGAGUGGCUAGCCCGGCACCUUGGUCAGGAAAAGCCGAAAUCUAUGGCAGCUCUCACAACACUCAUGACCCGCUUUUGUGAGGGAGAAGACAGCUGGCUGGCUCGCAGUAAUAACAUAUCAAAGAACCAUGGUACCUCAGAUACCAAGGACGGCAAUAGCAGGUCACAUCGCAACAAGCAUAAGCGCCGCAUUAACAGCGAAAAUACUGAGGAUACAACAGUCAAUGCCGGAUUCAAAGGCUCUAAACCCGGUCAGCGGAAAAAGCCAUUCAAACAAAGUACACCGGGUCUGUCCAGCUUGGACCAUAUACUCGAUCGCUCGUGUCAAAUACACGGCACCCCAGACAAGCCAGCCAAUCACACCAACAGGGAUUGUUGGGUGUUCAAGCAGGCCGGCAAGCUAAUUGCCAAAAACAAGGACAAGGGGCCGCAUAGCGAUGACGAGGAGGAGCCGGCAGCCGCACACUGGAGGACAGAAGAGGUUUCCCCCGCAAGUGCGGACGGUGAACAUGAUAUACGCAACCCACAUCCCCAAGAGGGAGCGGAAGCGUGCGCUCAGGGACGUAUAUGCGCUGGAGCCAGUCGCCCCAAAGUUCAACCCUUGGUCCUCCUGCCCGAUCACCUUCGAUCGCAGGGACCACCCCACUAGUAUCUGUCAUGGUGGACUCGCCGCACUGGUCCUAGACCCAAUCAUCGACGGAUUUCACCUCACUCGAGUCCUUAUGGACGGCGGCAGCAGCCUGAACCUGCUUUAUCAGGACACGGUGCGCAAAAUGGGUAUAGACCCCUCAAGGAUCAAACCCACAAAAACAACCUUUAAGGGCGUCAUUCCAGGUGUACAGGCCCAUUGCACAGGCUCAGUUACACUGGAAGUGGUCUUGGGAUCCCCGGAUAAUUUCCGAAGCGAAGAGUUAAUCUUCGAUAUAGUCCCGUUCCGCAGUGGUUAUCACGCGCUGCUCGGGCGAACCGCAUUCGCUAGAUUCAAUGCGGUACCGCAUUAUGCAUACCUCAAGCUCAAGAUGCCAGGACCUCGCGGAGUUAUUACAGUCAAUGGAAACAGAGAGCGCUCUCUCCGAACAGAGGAGCACACCGCGGCCCUCGCAGCAGAAGCGCAAAGCAACCUCUCAAGGCAAUCAACCAGUUCGGCGCUUCAAAGCCCGGACACCUUCAAGCGCGCUCGGGGCAAUCGGCAAAUAGAUCGCCUGGUGCGAUCUGAGCUCGCGUAGCAAUACGGCGGCCACCCCAAUCCCAGCCCAGCGGCGAAACUCGUGUUGCGCAUACAUAAUUACGCAUUAAAAAUACCAUGGGCAUAGGUGGGGAGGGGGGCACAACUGCGGCACGCCCCAAAACGUGGCCUAAACCGCACUAGGGACUUCCCAUUUGGUUAUUUUUCUUUUUCUUUCAGGACCUUAAUCUCUGGAAACACUGUCCGGCGUCACUAUUGCUGAACACAUGAUGCAGCAACCAAGGAGGCAGACAGCUACGUUAUACCACGGAAUUCCCAGGUUGAUUACAGUAACGAGUGAAAUAUUCAAUUUAAUAUCAUUCCUCAGCUUGCCCUUGGAAGGGACAUAGUCCUACUCUUUGCUUAUCGCACUAUCUGUAUCACUCUGCUUUAACGCAAUUUUUUAAUAAACAAUGCAUGACAUUACGACUAUUAUUGCAUUCUUGUUAUAUAUAUAUAUGUGUGUGUGUGUGUGUGUGUGUUAAUAUAUGACGCCUUGAAACCGUACACUCUGGUACGACCAAUACACCAGGGGCUUACGUACCCCACAAUGCGGUGUGAAAAGUCCGAACACUUUCACAAGUGCGGCACCCCGAACUUAUAGCAUUAUAUGCAUCAGCUCCAAAUCAUGUCUUUGGUCAAAUGUUGGGUUUGCCCGGCUCCUAUGUUUUGGUACCUUAUGUUCCGCUCUAUCGGCUAAGGUAGCGCUAGGAGAACUACUGCGAUUGUGCCCCGGUUCUGCCGGGCUUAGCACCUCAGUAGAGAAAGCUAAAGCUGACUGUCAUGAUAAGGCGAGAGGCUGGUCGCUGUUCGGCGAGGUUUUUAAAGUCCCUAAAGACUUAUGUCGCUUAGGGCGAGGGGCCGGCCCUGUCCGGCUUACAGGCAUGUAUCGCGCCCCGAAUUCGGCCUUCCGUAUACCAGGGGCUUCGCCGAAAUUUAAAAUUAUAGAAUUCUAUGGCUAAGUGAUAGCGAUAAAGCAUUAUUAGUCCGGUUGCCUUGUUCGUUGUGCUGAGCACCUCCCUCGAAGGACCCAAAUAUGGGAACAAGAGUGCUCAGGUUUAUCCCGAACACCCCAGCACUCGUGGCAUGGGGGCAGAAGCCGAGGACUAGCCAUCUCUCAGAUUGGAUAAACAGCCAAACAUAAGGUAAUAUUUUAAAUUCAAACAAGCGUUGCAUAGCGCAUACGAAACAUGUUUUCAUAAAUACAGGAUAAAACGAGCGAGUUUACUAAAAUAUUACAUCUUUUGAACACUCAUCCGCGAUAAGACGGGCACCCGGCAGAACACCCUCGUAGUACAUCUCGGGGUGGCGGUGCUCCUUGCCCUUCGGCGGCCCCUCCUUGAUCAGCUUCACGGCAUCUAGCUUGACCAACUGCAGUUUCACACGGGUGAAAGCCCGGCGUGCACCUUCAAUGCAGACGGAUCACUUGACGGCCUCCAGCCGUGGGCAGGCAUCCACAAGCCGCCUCACCAAGCCGAAGAAGCUAUUCGAAAGGGCGUCGCCAGGCCACAGCUGGACUAUAAAUCCCUUCAUGGCCUGAUCGGCCGCCUUAUGUAGCUCAACCAUCUGCUUCAGCUGGUCGCUCAUCGGCACCGGAUGUUCGGCCUCAGUAUACUGAGACCAGAACAGCUUCUCCGUCGAGCUUCCGUCCUUGGCCUGGUAAAAUUGUGCGGCAUCGGACACACUGCGUUGCAAAUCUGCGAAUGCUCCUGAAGAGCUCCGAAUCCGGGUAAGUAAUCGGUAAUUUACUUUUACAUGCUUGCUUUGCUUAUAGAAAGCCUUACCCGCCGCUAUCUUCUUCAUUGCGUCGAUCUCCUGGAGGGCCUUCUGGGCCUCGGCCUUGGCACUCUUUGGGCUCUCAAGGGCCGCGACAAGCUUAGACUCUCGCGUCUUCGAGUCAAGCUCCAACGCCUCGUGCUUUGUCACGAGAGCCUGGAGCUCUUGCUGCACCUCGCCCACCCGAGCCUCGUGCUUCUCUCGCUCGGUGCGCUCCUUGGCCGCUCUAUCUUCGGCCUUGGUUAGCGCUUGCUUCAGGGUCGCCACCUCGGUCGUGGCCCCUGACAAACAUACGAUGAUCCUGUCAUUUUGCAAUCAUGUCAUUUUUUACAUAUCUAUAGACAGGGUAUUACUUACCCUUGUUCUCCUCGAGCUGCCUCUUGGCAAGGCCGAGCUCUUUCCUGGACCCCUCGAGGUCCUGCUUCAGUACGGCGACCUCUGCAGUCAGUGCGGCGGACGCCAGUAGCGAAGCCUGCAUACGCAUAUUGACACACCUAUAUUAGACUCCUGCAAUAUUAUUUGAUCCUUUGUUCGGCUUUUCUUUGAGAACACCGAACAAAGCAUCAGGGGCUAUGGUCUAUGCGGUAAUAUUUCUACUACAUUUUAAAACAUUUACCUCAAAGCCUGUUAGAAGGCUGGCACAGGCUUCAGUCAAUCUGCUCUUGGCGGACUGAACCUUCUGGAUCACCGCACUCAUGAUAGUGCGGUGCUCCUCGUCGAUGGAAGCGCCGCAAAGCGCUUCCAGCAGAUUGUCCAGCGCCUCUGGAUGGACAGAGGUCACCAGCAGGCGUCUUGCCCCUCUUAGAAGGAGGCCACCUGCCGGAGCCCGAAACCGCUGGAGGGCCCGGCGCGGUGUUCGACUGAGGGCCGAACUCGGAGCUCUCGGGGGCCCCGUCCCCUCAGCUCCCAGAGUCCGAAAGGUCACCUUGAGGCGCCUCUGGGACUGUCUCCCCUCAAUCCGGUGCCUCUUGAGAGAACACCUCGGCGUCGUCGAUAGGAUGAGGGGAGGUGGCGGUCGGGACUGGAUCGCUAUCCAUGUCCGACAAGCCCAAGGAGCCGUCCGACGAUACAUCGAUACUGGCUCGGGGCGGCCUGCAUAAUUGUGUUCGGCGUUAGGGAAAACAGUGCGACAAAGGAAUCCUAUGGGUUACUUUGGUAUCCGAAUACUUACGAUCUCCCCGGGGGCUUGGCCCUGGGCAACUGUUCGUCUUCUCCUUCGUCGGCGGUGGUGGAGCUGUCCGGAAGGAGAGUCCUUCCCUUCUUGGACCCUCCGGCCUCCCUAGUUGGGGCGGCCUUCCUUUUCUUGUCUCCCCCAGUCGGUGGGGGAGCAUCUUCUUCUUCUUCUUCUUAUUCUUCUUCUUCUUCUUCUUCUUCUUCCUUCUCGUCUUCGGGGGAAGAGUGCGCCGCAGAGUCAUCGGACGGUGAGUCCGACGACGCCUGGCGUCAGGAACUCUUUCGAGUUCCCUUGGCCUUCUUGGUCUUCUCCGGCACCUUAUAAGGGGCCGGAGUCAACAUCUUCACCAGAAGAGCAUCUGCGGGGCCUUCGGGCAAAGGAGCCGGACAGUCGAUCUGUCCGGCCAUCUUCUGCGAGUCCUGUCAAAGGUACGGGAGUUUAGAUCCCGCGUAGAGUCAAUCUAUAUGAAAAAAUAAAGUAUCCUGUGAAAGGUAGAGCAGCUUACCGCACUGGCCUGGCGCUUCGCGCUGAAUCCGUGAUCCUCCAUAAUAGGGGGGGGGGGGCUCGGCACUUUUAAACAGCACGCUCCAGGCGUCUUCAUGAGUCAUGUCGAAGAGCCUGUUCAGAGUUCGGUGCUGUGCCGGAUUGAACUCCGACAAGUUGAACUCCCGUUGUUGGCACGGGAGUAUCCGGCGGAUGAGCAUGACUUGGACUAUGUUGACAAGCUUGAGCUUCUUGUCCACCAUGUUUUGAAUACAUGUUUGGAGUCCGGUCAGCUCUUUUGAAUUACCCCAGGACAGGCCCUUCUCUUUCCAGGAGGUGAGCCACGUGGGGAUGCCAGAUCGGAACUCGGGGGCCGCUGCCCAUGCAGGGUCGCGCGGCUCGGUGAUAUAGAACCACCCCGAUUGCCACCCGUUUAUGGUUUCCACAAAGGAGCCCUCGAGCCAUGUUAUGUUGGGCAUCUUGCCCACCAUGGCGCCUCCGCACUCCGUCUGCGGCCGCCCACCACCUUCGGCUUGAAAUUGAAGGUCUUCAGCCAUAAGCCGAAGUGGGGCUUGAUGCGGAGGAAGGCCUCACACACGACGAUAAGCACUGAGAUGUUGAGGAUGAAGUUUGGGGCUAGAUCAUGGAAAUCCAGGCCGUAAUAAAACAUGAGCCCCCGGACGAAGGUCUGGAGAGGGAAUCCCAGUCCGCGGAGGAAAUGGGUGAGGAAUACUACCCUCUCAUGGGGCCUGGGGGUGGGGAUGAGUUGCCCCUCAUCGGGGAGCCGGUGCCCGAUGUCGUCGGGCAGGUAUCCGGCUCUCCUCAGUUUCUUGAUGUCUCCCUCCGUGACGGAGGAGACCAUCCACUUGCCUCCCACUCCGGACAUGGUUGGAGAGGGUUGAGGCGGAAGUGUGGGCUUGGGCGCUAGAGCUCGAGUGUGCGAAAACGGAUGAGCAAUGGAGGAAGAAGGCGUGGAUAGAAAGGUGAAUCCUUAUCCGGGCGGACGAAGCUAAGCGUCCCCACUUGCCUGGUAAAACUCGCUUAUCCCCCAAGCGCCGCAAUUGAUGGCGCGGUUGGGUUACCCACGCCCGUAUUGAUGAGAAUCCCGUAAUAAGGGGACACGAUCUCUGCUUUGACAAGACGUGUCAAAAAACUGCCUCGCGUUAUGUGCGGGGCUGGUUAAAGGAAAUGGUUCGAAUAAUCACCGGGCCAUGACAUAACGUCAUGCUGCCAAAACAAGCCAUCAAAUUAGAUCUGCGAAAAUAUUAUUUUCUCCAUGGUGGAAUGUGGAACCUAUUUUGCAGGGUCGGACACUAUCCUCGUAUUCAAAUUCUUCUGUGAAGGAACCCGCCUUACAAUGCCGAAGACAAAACUACGCGCCGGACUCAUCGUCAUUGAAGCCUGGUUCAGGGGCUACUGAGGGAGUCCUGGAUUAGGGGGUCUCCGGACAGCCGGACUAUCUCCAUUGGCCGGACUGUUAGACUAUGAAGAUACAAGAUUGAAGACUUCGUCUCGUGUCCGGAUGGGACUCUACUUGGCGUGGAAGGCAAGCUAGGCAAUACAGAUAUGGAUAUAUCCUUCUUUGUAACCGACCUUGUGUAACCCUAACCCUCUCUGGUGUCUAUAUAAACCGAAGGGUUUUAGUCCGUAGGACAACAAUCACAACAUACAAUCAUACCAUAGGCUAGCUUCUAGGGUUUAGCCUCUCUGAUCUCGUGGUAGAUCUACUCUUGUACUACCCAUAUCAUCAAUAUUAAUCAAGUAGGACGUAGGGUUUUACCUCCAUCAAGAGGGCCCAAACCUAGGUAAAACUUCGUGUCCCCUGCCUCCUGUUACCAUCCGGCCUAGGCGCACAGUUCGGGACCCCCUACCCGAGAUCCGCCGGUUUUGACACCGACAACUGGUUUAAGGAUUUUGGAUGCACAUGUAGUGAUCAUACUUAGUGCAAAUGAAGGCUAGCAAAAGAUUGAGAAGCAUCCAACCAAGAAAUAAAAAAUCUCAUAAGCGAGCAUUAAGCAUAACUAACACCGAAUAAUGCACCAUAAGUAGGAUGUAAUUUCAUUGCAUAACUAUUGUCUUUCGUGUUUGCAUAGGGAAUCACAAACCUUAACACCAAUGUUCUUACUAAAGCAUAAUUACUCAUUAACAUGACUCACAUAUUAUAUCAACAUAUUGCAAAACUAUUACAAGGAAUCAAGUUUAUUUUGUCCAAUGAUCUUCAUGAAAGUUUUUAUUAUAUCCCUGUUGAAUAUCUACCACUUUGGGACUAAUUUCAUAAGUUGCUUUGAUAGCUCAAACAAAUCUAAGUAAAGAACAUGAGCAUAAAAAAAUUCUUCUCUCAAGAUAAUUUAGGUGAAGCAUGAGAGAAUUUCUUCAAAAAUUUUACUAACUCUCAAAUAAAUCUAAAUGAAGCAUGAGAGCAUUUAUCCAAAAAUAAUAAAGCAAAACGUGCUCAAAAAGGAUAUAAGUGAAGCACUAGAGCAAUUCCAUAGCUCAAAAAGAUUUAAGUGAAGCAUAGAGAGCAAUUCUAACAAGUCAUAGCAUAAUUUUGGAUGUCUCAAAUAGGUGUUUCCAGCAAGGAUAGAUGACUUAUAUUAGAAAUAAAAACAAGCAAAUGCUCAUAUCAUACAAGAUACUCCAAGCAAAACUCAUGAUGUGGCAAAUAAAAAUAUAGCUCCAAGUAAAAUACCGGUGGUCGUUAGAAGAAAGAGGGGAUGCCACUCGGGGUAUCCCCAAGCUUAGUUGCUUGCUUCUCUUUCUAGAUAAUGGCUUGGGAUGCCAUGGGCAUACCCAAACUUAGUCUCCUCUUACUCCUUAUUCAUUCAUCCAUCGUUAUCUCACCCAAAACUUGAAAAUUUCAUUCACACAAAACUCAACAAAACCUUCGUGAGAUCCGUUACUAUAACAAAGCAAAUCACUACUAUAAGUAUUGUUGCAAACCCAUUCAUAUUUUAUUUUUGAAUUAUAUCUACUAUAUUACAAAUUUGCUAUAGCUUAUACCCUCCAAUACAAACCAUAGAUUCAAAGAAAUAAGCACACAACACAAAGAAAACAGAAUCUGUCAAAGACAGAAUAGUCUGUAGCAAUCUGAAAGCUUCGAAUACUUAUGUAACUCCAAAAAUUCUGAAACAUUAGGACAACAUGGGGAAUUUGUAUAUUAAUCUUCUGCAAAAAGAAUCUGUAUUUUAUCGUGCAUCUGUUAAAAAUGAGAAUUAUUUUUGUGAGCACAAAAGUUUCUGUUUUUCAGCAAGAUCAAAUCAACUAUCACCCAACAUGAUCCCAAAGGCUUUGCUUGGCACAAACACUAAUUAAAACAUAAAGCACAAUCAUAACAGUAGCAUAAUUGUGCAAACACUCAAGAACAGAAAUAAAAACACACAAAUAAAUUUCAUUCAAUGGGUUGCCUCCCAACAAGCGAUAUCGUUUUAUGCCCCUAGCUAGGCAUAAUGCAAAGAUUCAAGUGUUGUCAUCUUUUUUUCUAGAUCCAUAAGAUGCCCUAAUGAUUGAUUCAUAUGGUGGCUUAAUUCUUGUUCUAGGUAAGUGUUCCAUACCAUUCCUUAGUGGAAAUUGAAAUUUAAUAUUGCCUUCUUUCAUAUCAAUCACGGCACCCAUAGUGCGUAAAAAAGGUCUACCAAGAAUAAUUGGACAAGAUGGAUUGCAAUCAAUAUCAAGAACAAUAAAAUCUAUGGGCACAAUUCCUAUUUGAAAGAAUAAGAACAACAUUAAUUAUUCCCAUAGGCUUUUUAGUAGUAGAAUCCACGAAGUGCAAAUUUAAAGAACAUUCUUCAAUAUCGGUAAGACCAAGCACAUCACAUAAAGAUUUCGGAAUUGUAGAAACACCAGCACCCAAGUCACAUAAAGCAAAACACUUAUAAUUUUUAAUCUUGACUUCUAUAGUAGGUUCCCAUUCAUCAUGCAAUUUUCUAGGAAUUGAAAUCUCUAAUUCCAAUUUUUCUUCCAAAGCUUUCAUCAUAGCAUCAACAAUAUGUUUAGUAAAAGCUUUAUUUUGUUCAUAAGCAUGGGGUGAAUUAAUCAUGGAUUGCAAAAAAAGAAAUACAAUCAAUCAAAGAGCAAUUAUCAUAAUUAAAGUCUUUAUAAUCCAAAAGAGUGGGCACAUCACUAGUUAAAGUUUUGACCUCUCCAAACCCACUUUUAUCAAUUUUCUCAACAAGUUCACCCUCCGAAUUAUCGGGACGCCUUCUAGAUAAAUUUGACUCUUAUUCAGUCCCUUUAUUAUCAAUCUUAAUUUUAAUAAACAAGGAAUAAAUAGAAGAGACACUAAUCAUUUUAAGAUCUUCAUCAUUUUUAUGAAAGCAAUCACUAGAAGACACCUUUUCUAAAAAUUCUCUUUUAGCUCUAAGCAUAGCGGCUCUUUUCUUACUGUCACCCAUAGAAACAUAUAAAGCUUUAAUUUAUUCUUCAACCUUAGGCACGAAAUUUUUCAUCUUGAGAUUUUCUACAUCAUGAGAAAUUCUAUCAAUGCUUCUAGACAUAUCAUCAAUCUUACUCAACUUUUCUUCUAUCGUGGUAUUAAAAUUCUUUUGAGCAUUGAUAAAUUCUUUAAUAUUAUUCUAAAGAUCAGAGGUGUUCCUAUUAUUAUUAUAAUAAGAAUUACCACAAUUAUUAGAGGAAUUUCCCAAAAAAGGUCUAGGAUUAAAAUUACCUCUAUAAGCAUUGUUAUUAAAGUUGUUUCGCGAGACAAAAUUCACAUCUACGGCAUCACUAUUUUGCUCAAUUAAAGUAGAAAAAGGAACAUCAUUAAGAUCAAUAGGAGCAUUUUUAUUAGCAACCAACUUCAUAAGAACAUCAACUUUUUCACUCAAAGUAGAAAUUUCUUCAACCGAAUUAACCUUUUUACUAGUAGGAGCUCUUUCGGUAUGCCAUUGUGAACAAUUUGCCAUAAUAUUAUCAAGCAAUUUGGUAGCUUCACCCAAAGUAAUUUCCAUAAAAGUACCACCCGUGGUGGAAUCUAAAAGAUUUCUGGAAACAAAAUUCAAUCCCGCAUAAAAAAAUUGUAUGAUCAUCCAAAGAUUUUAACCAUGAGUGGGACAAUUUCUUAGCAUCAAUUUCAUUCUUUCACAAGAUUGCGCAACAUGUUCAUGCUCAAUUUUCUUAAUAUUCAUGAUUUGUGUCCUAAGGGAAAUAAUUUUCGUGGGCGAAAAAUAUUUAGUAAUAAAAUCAUCUUUGCACUUAUCCCAAGAAUCGAUAAUAUUGCGAGGUAACGAAGAAAACCAAUUUUUUGCACGAUCUUGCAAAGAAAACGGGAAUAAUUUCAACUUCACUAUAUCAUUGUACACAUCUUUUUUCUUUUGCACAUCUCAUAAUUCCGUGAAUGUAUUAAGAUGGGAUGCGUCAUCGUCACUAGGAGUACAGGAAAAUUGAUCUUUCAUGACAAGAUUCAAGAAAGCGGCAUUAGUAUCACAAGACUCCCCACUAGUGGCGGGAGGAGCAAUCGGAGUGCUAAUAAAAUCAUUGUUGUUGGUAUUGGAGAAAUCACAAAACUUGGUGUUCUCUUGAGUCAUAGUGACUACGCAACAAGAUUGCACUCAAAAACAGAUCUGACAAGAAAAUGGCGACCGAAAAAGAGGGCGAAUAAAACAGCAAUUUUUUGUGAAGUGGGGGAGAUGAAAACGAGAGGCAAAUGGAAAAUAAUGUAAAUUUCAAGGAGAUGAGAUUUUUUAUUAGGAACCUAGUAGAUGUUGAUGAUGUCUCCCCGACAAUGGCGCUAGAAAUUCCUUUUGAUCGCGGCUUGAACUACGUCGGUAUUUCCCCAAAGAGGAAGGGAUGAUGCAGCACAGCAACGGUAGGUAUUUCCCUCCGUGAUGAGACCAAGGUUAUCGAACUAGUAGGAGAAUCACGCAACACUACAUAAAUAGUACCUGCACACAAAGAAAAAAUACUUGCAACCCGACGUGUUAAAGGGUUUGUCAAUCCCUUUCGGGUAACGGUGCCAGAAAUUGUCAAGUUGACGGGAUAAAAAUAUGAUAGAUUGGAUAAAUAGAUCUCGAAUAAAUGCAAAAUAAAAUAAAGUGCAACAAGGUAGUUUUGGGGUUUUGGAAAUAUAGAUCUGAAAAUAAAAGAUAAUAAAAAUAGAUCUCGAAGGCAAAUAUAAUAAAGAACAGACCUGUAGGCCGUAGAUUUCACUAGUGGCUUCUCUCGAGAAAAAUAGCAUACGGUGGGUAAACAAAUUACUGUUGGGCAAUUGAUAGAACUUCAAAUAAUUAUGACGAUAUCGAGGCAAUGAUCAUUAUAUAGGCAUCACAUCCAAGAUUAGUAGACCGACUCCUGCCUGCAUCUACUACUAUUACUCCACACAUCGACCACUAGUCAGCAUGCAUCUAGUGAAUUAAGUUCAUGGAGAAAUGGAGUAAUGCAAUAAGAACGAUGACAUGAUGUAGACAGGAUCUAUUUGUGUAGAAAUAGACCCCAUCUUGUUAUCCUUAAUAGCAAUGAUACAUAUGUGUCGGUUCCCCUUCUGUCACUGGGAUCAAGCACCGUAAGAUCGAACCCAUCACAAAGCACCUCUUCCCAUGGCAAGAAAAAUCGAUCUAGUUAGCCUAACUAAACCGAAUAUUCGAAGAAGAAAUACGAGGAUAUAAGUAAUCAUGCAUAUGAGAGAUCAAAAGACUCAAAUAACUUUCAUGGAUAAAAACAUAGAUCUAAUCAUAAACUCAAAGUUCAUCGGAUCCCAACAAACACACCGCAAAAAGAGUUACAUCAAAUAGAUCUCCAAGAGACCAUUGUACUGAGAAUCAAGAGAGAGAGAGGAAGCCAUCUAGCUACUAAUUAUGGACCCGUAGGUCUACAAUCAACUACUCACGCAUCAUCGGAGAGGCACCAAUGAGGAUGAUGAACCCCUCCAUGAUGGUGUCUAGAUUGGAUAUGUGGUUUCUGGAACUUGUGGUGGCUGGAAUUGAUUUUCGUCGACUCCCCUAGGGUUUCUGGAAUAUUGGGGUAUUUAUAGAGCAAAGAGGUGGUGCGGGGGGCACCGAGGUGGGCACAACCCACCAGGGCGUGCCUGGGCUCCCCUUGGAGCAUCCCUCUGGUACUUCUUAGGACCAACAUGUGUCUUCUAGUCUAGAAAAAAUCUCCAAAAAGUUUCGCUUCGUUUGAACUCCGUUUGGUAUUGAUUUUCUGUGAAGUAAAAAAAAGAAAAAAAAACAGCAACUGGCACUGAUGUCUACUACACAACCUUCUUCUUGCAGACGUUGUUGGGCCUCCAAGUGCAGAGGUUUGUAGCACAAUAGCAAAUUUCCCUCAAGUGGAUGACCUAAGGUUUAUCAAUCCGUGGGAGGCGUAGGAUGAAGAUGGUCUCUCUCAAACAAUGCUGCAACCAAAUAACAAAGAGUCUCUUGUGUCCCCAACAGACCCAAUACAAUGGUAAAUUGUAUAGGUGCACUAGUUCGGCGGAGAGAUGGUGAUACAAGUGCAAUAUGGAUGGUAGAUAAUGGUUUUGUAAUCUGAAAAUAUAAAAACAGCAAGGUAGCAAGUGGUAAAAGUGAGCACAAACGGUAUUUCAAUGCUAGGAAACAAGGCCUAGGGUUCAUACUUUCACUAGUGCAAGUUCUCUCAACAAUAAUAACAUGAUUGGAUCAUAUAACUAUCCCUCAACAUGCAACAAAGACUCACUCCAAAGUCACUAAUAGCGCAGAACAAACGGAGAGGUUAUUGUAGGGUACGAAACCACCUCAAAGUUAUCCUUUCUGAUCGAUCUAUUCAAGAGUCCGUAGUAAAAUAACAUGAAGCCAUUCUUUCCGUUCAAUCUAUCAUAGAGCUCGUACUAGAAUAAAACCUUAAGACACAAAUCAACCAAAACCCUAAUGUCACCUAGAUACUCUAAUGUCACCUCAAGUAUCUAUGGGUAUGAUUAUACGAUAUGCAUCACACAAUCUCAGAUUCAUCUAUUCAACCAACACAGAGAACUUCAAAGAGUGCCCCACAGUUUCUACCGGAGAGUCAAGACGAAAACGUGUGCCAACCCCUACGCAUAAGUUCACGAGGUCAUGGAACUCGCAGGUUGAUCACCAAAACAUACAUCAAGUGGUCACAUGAUAUCCCAUUGUCACCACAGAUAAGCACAUGCAAGACAUACAUCAAGUGUUCUCAAAUCCUUAAAGACUCAAUCCGAUAAGAUAACUUCAAAGGGAAAACUCAAUUCAUCACAAGAGAGUAGAGGGGGAGAAACAUCAUAAGAUCCAAAUAUAAUAGCGAAGCUCGCGAUACAUCAAGAUCAUGCCGACUCAAGAACACAAGAGAGAGAUCAAACACAUAGCUACUGGGACAUACCCUCAGCCCCGAGGGUGAACUACUCCCUCCUCGUCAUGGAGAGCAUCGGGAUGAUGAAGAUGGCCACCGGAGAGGGAUUCCCCCCUCCGGCAGGGUGCCGGAACGGGUCUAGAUUAGUUUUCGGUGGCUACAGAGGCUUCUGGCGGCGGAACUCCCGGUCUAGGUUUCUUUCUGGAAGUUUUGGGUUAUAUAAGAGGUGUUGGAGUUGGGAACAAGUCAGGGGGGUCUCCGGGCUAUCCACGAGGCAGGGAGGCGCGCCCCCACCCUCGUGGGCAGCCCGAGACUCUUCUGGCCCAAUUCUUUUACUUCCUGGCCUUCUUCUGGCCCAAAAAUAAGUUCCGUGAAGUUUAAGGUCAAUUGGACUCCGUUUGGUUUUCCUUUUCUGUGAUACUAAAAAACAACGAAAAAACAGAAAUUGGCACUCGGCUCUAGGUUAAUAGGUUAGUCCCAAAAAUCAUAUAAAAUAGCAUAUAAAACAUCCAAGGUUGAUAAUAUAAUAGCAUGGAACAAUCAAAAAUUAUAGAUACGUUGGAGACGUAUCAAGCAUCCCCAAGCUUAAUUCUCGCUCGUCCUCGAGUAGGUAAAUGAUAAAAGCAGAAUUUUUGAUGUGGAAUGCUACCUAACAUAUUUAUCUAUGUAAUUCUCUUUAUUGUGGCAAGAAUAUUCAGAUCCAUAAGAUUCAAGACAAAAGUUUAAUAUUGACAUCAAAAUAAUAAUACUUCAAGCAUACUAACUAAGCAAUUAUGUCUUCUCAAAAUAACAUGGCCAAAGAAAGCUUAUCCCUAAAAAAUCAUAUAGUUUGGCUAUCUUCAUUUUUGUCACACAAAAAUGCUCUCAUCAUGCACAACCUCGAUGACAAGCCAAGCAAUUGUUUCAUACUUUAGUAAUCUCAGACUUUUUUCAACUUUCAUGCAAUACAUGAGCGUGAGCCGUGGACAUAGCACUAUGGGUGGAAUAGAAUAUAAUGAUGGGGGUUGUGUGGAGAAGACAAAAAAGGAGAAAGUCUCACAUUGACGCGGCUAAUCAAUGGGCUAUGGAGAUGCCCUCCAAUUGAUGUCAAUGCGAGGAGUUGGGAUUGCCAUGCAACGGAUGCACUAGAGCUAUAAAUGUAUGAAAGCUCAAUAAAAGAAACUAUGUGGGUGUGCAUCCAACUUGCUUUCUCAAAUUAUGCAUGGUGGCUUUGCCACAAAUAUGAUGUCAACUACAUGAUCAUGGAAGGCAAUAUGACAAUGAUGAUGUGUGUCACGAUGAACGGAACGGUGGAAAGUUGCAUGGCAAUAUAUCUCGGAAUGACUAUGGAAAUUCCAUAAUAGGUAGGUAUGGUGGCUGUUUUGAGGAAGAUAUAAGGCAGUUUAUGUGUGACAGAGCAUAUCAUAUCACGGGGUUUGGAUGCGCCAGCGAAGUUUGCACCAACUCUCGAGGUGAGAAAGGGCAAUGCAUGGUACCGAAGAGGCUAGCAAUGAUGGAAGGUGAGAGUGCGUAUAAUCCAUGGACUCAACAUUAGUCAUAAAGAACUCAUAUACUUAUUGCAAAAAUCUACAAGUCAUCAAAAACAAAGCACUACGCGUAUGCUCCUAGGGGGAUAGAUUGGUAGGAAAAGACCAUUGCUCGUCCCCGACCGCCACUCAUAAGGAAGGCAAUCAAAGAAACACCUCAUGCUUCAAAUUUGUCACACAACGGUUACCAUACGUGCAUGCUACGGGACUUGCAAGCCUCAACACAAGUAUUUCUCAAAUUCACAAUUACUCAACUAGCACAACUCUAAUAUUACCAUCUUCAUAUCUCAAAACAGUUAUCAAGUAUCAAACUUCUCAUAGUAUUCAAUGCACUUAUAUGAAAGUUUUUAUUAUACCCAUCUUGGAUGCCCAUCAUAUUUGGACUAACUUUAUAACCCAAACAAAUUACCAUGAUGUUCUAAAAGACUCUCAAAAUAAUAUAAGUGAAGCAUGCGAGUUCAUCUAUUUAUAUAAAAUAGAACCACCGUCGUGCUCUAAAAGGAUAUAAGUGAAGCACUAGAGCGAAUGACAAACUACUCCGAAAGAUAUAAGUGAAGAUCAAUGAGUAGUUGACUAAUUAUGCAACUAUGUGAAGACUCUAAUAUUUAAGAAUUUCAGAUCUUGGUAUUUUAUUCAAACAGCUAGCAAAACAAAAGAAAGUAAAAUGACGCUCCAAGCAAAACACAUAUCAUGUGGUGAAUAAAAAUAUAGCUCCAAGUAAAGUUACCGAUGAACGAAGACGAAAGUGGGGAUGCCUUCUGGAGCAUCCCCAAGCUUAGGCUCUUGCCACUCAUUGUUCCAUAAUCCAUCAAAUCUUUACCCAAAACUUGAAAACUUCACAACACAAAACUUAAAACAAAAUCUCGUGAGCUCCGUUAGUAAAAGAAAACAAACCACCACUUCAAGGUACUGUAAUAAACUCAUUAUUUAUUUAUAUUGGUGUUAAACCUACUGUAUUCCAACUUUUCUAUGGUUCAUAAACUCUAUUACUAGCCAUAGAUUCAUCAAAAUAAGCAAACAACACACGAAAAACAGAAUCUGUCAAAAACAUAACAGUCUGUAGUAAUCUGUAGGUUUCGAAUACUUCUGGAACCCCAAAAAUUCUAAAAUAAAUUGCUGGACGUGAGGAAUUUAUCUAUUAAUCAUCUGAAAAAAGAAUUAACUAAAUAGCACUCUCCAAUAAAAAAUUGCACCAAAUCUCGUGAGCGCUAAAGUUUCUGUUUUUUACAGCAAGAUCGCAAAGACUUUCCCCAAGUCUUCCCAAAGGUUCUAUGUCGGUGUCAAAACCGGCGGAUCUCGGGUAGGGGGUCCCGAGCUGUGCGUCUAGGCGGAUGGUAACAGGAGGCAGGGGACACGAUGUUUUACCCAGGUUCGGGCCCUCUUGAUGGAGGUAAAAACCUACGUCCUGCUUGAUUAAUAUUGAUGAUAUGGGUAGUACAAGAGUAGAUCUACCACGAGAUCAAGGAGGCUAGCCUAUGGUAUGAUUGUUGUUCUGUCCUACGGACUAAAACCCUCCGGUUUAUAUAGACACCAGGGAGGGAUAGGGUUACACCUAGUCGGUUACAGUGGUAGGAGAUCUACAUAUCCGUAUCGCCAAGCUUGCCUUCCACGCCAAGGAAAGUCCCUUCCGGACACGGGACGAAGUCUUCAAUCUUGUAUCUUCAUAGUCCAGGAGUCCUGCUAUCCGGACACCCCGUAAUCCAGGACUCCCUCAGUAGCCCCUGAACCAGGCUUCAAUGACGACGAGUCCGGCGUGCAGAUUGUCUUCGGCAUUGCAAGGCGGGUUCCUCCUCCAAGUACUUCAUAGAAGAUGUUGAACACAAAGGUAGUGUCCGGCUCUGCAAAAUAAGUUUCCACAUAUUGCCAUAGAGAUAAUACUAUUUACACAAAUCUAAUCUGCUGACGUAUUCCGUAGCGUGACAUCACACCACGGCCAAGUGUUUAUCUGAAUCGUUUUACUGUCCCACCUCAGCGCGUUUAGCGAGGUGGUUUCCUUGGCACAUCUUGUUAAAGCAGAGAUCGUGUCCCCUUAUUCCGGGAUUCUCAUCAAUACGGGCGUGGGUAACCCAACCGUACCUGUUGGUAUGUUUUCUCGAUCAAAGGCGAGUCCCAAAUGGUCACAGGGAGGGCCCUUGGUAUUCAACCUCUUAUAAAGAGACCAAGGCCAUACUCCUUCCUUUCAAUCUCAAACGAGUUCACCCUUCGCCUCGAGUUCCAACACCCAAGGCUCCAGAUUUCAGGCGCUUCGGACCUUCGACAAUGUCCGGUUCCGACCUUCGAGGCCGAUGGAUGCCCUCCUCCGUCACGGAGGAGGACGUGCUGAAGUUGAGAGAGGCCAGGUUCUUGACCGGCGAAAUCUGGCAUAGGCUGCCUGCUCAAGGGCAGGUCAUUCCCACUCCCAAGCCUGGUGAGAGUGUGGUGUUCAUGUCUCACUUCCUUCGGGGGCUAGGCUUCCCAACGGAUCCCUUCGUGAGGGGGCUCAUGUUUUAUUAUGGGCUGGAAUUUCACGACUUAGCUCCAGAGUCCAUCCUCCAUAUUUCCUCAUUCAUCGUCGUGUGUGAAGCCUUCCUCUGUAUUAUGCCUCACUUCAGACUAUGGCUCAAGACCUUCAAAGUAGAGCCGAAGAUGAUCGAGGGACGGCACGCGGAGUGCGGAGGUGCUUUUAUAAGCAAGAAUGCUGGUGCUCCAUGGCCCGAGGGCUCUUUUCAAGAGGAGUACAGCUUAUGGCAACGAGAGUGGUUUUACAUCACAGCUCCCAGGAGCACCAAGUGGGUGGCACUGCCUGCUUUCCGCUCGGGUUCCCCGCCACGACUGGCGUCAUGGGUCAGUAAGGGGCUGGACUGGGGGUCGGCAAAGGACGUGCCCCUGUUGCAGGGCCGCAUCUGAGAUCUCCUAGAAAGAUACAUCAGUCUGGUCGUGGAGACGCAGGUUAUGUUAAUUCGCCGAGUUCUGCCUUGCAAACGUCGCCCCCUCCACCUGUGGGAGUUCAACCCGGAGGGACCACGAGUUCUCCAACAUUUUCUUGGCAUGACGCCCCUGGAGAUGUACAAAUUGUUCUUCGGACCACAAGUAGUGUGUCCGGAUUCUACGGAGGACGCAGGUCUGAGCUGCAAUCAUCUAGAUACUCAAGUAAGUAGCCUUGUGCCCGGACUCGCUAUCCGUAUAUUUAUCAUAAAAUUGCCCCUAAAAGAGCUGUCCUUUAAACGGGAGUGGAUAGCGAAAGCAAAGCUAAUCCGGUGUCCGGCCCCCCUCCCCGAGACCAUGCCGGAUCUCGUGCUAGUCAGGAUGUUGGAGGUUGUGCCUUCGGAGGAAAGCGAGGGAGGGGACAAGGAAGCUACAGCCUCCUCGAAGAAGGUUGUCCAGAAGGGAGGAAUCGAAAAUUCCUCUCCUCAGGGGAAGAAGAGGUCCGCCUCUGAUGACCCGGAGACCAUGGCCUCAAAGCGGGGGAAGAAAUCUUCGUCAGAGGGUCCUGCGCCGGGAGAUACUUCGGCCGAAUUAUGCCCUCAAGGGGAUCAGCCCUCCACCGAGCCGUAAGUAGAGAGGAGUUUUUCUUUUUAAGAAAUGAGAGAAAUCCUUGCGUUAUAUCUGAGAAGAGUAAUCGAAAAUUUACCUUGUAGCUCGGACCUUAGCCCUUCUCAGUAGAGCUCGUCUUCGGGGGAUCUUCUUCCGGAGAUGAUGGAGAGCGGAGCGCCUCCCCCUGCCGUACCGCCUUGCGAGGCGGGUGAUCCUGAGGUAUCGUCGCGGAGGGUUUCUCCAAAUCCGACAGGGCUGGAAGGUUGUCAUAUGGCCCCCCAAAGCCCUCCGCGUCCGGCCUUCGAUAAGGGCCAUUGGACGAGUCCGGCAACGUCUGGUGCGCGGUCGGAGGAGCUGAAGGAUCUGCUAGGGCGAGCGUCUAUCUCAGAGGAGCACCGUGCAUUGAUGGGUACGGUGAUUGAGAGGAUUUCAUCCGCGGAGAGCGGAUUGCACGAGGCCGUCAGGAGUUUACUGACAGGUUUUGAGGUACGCGAAAUAAUGUACCCUUUUUGGACAGUUGCACAUAAAUAAGAUGCACCCUGUGUAGAUAGUAGCCCCUGAGACUCUGUGCGUUGUCAAAAGUGACGGCGCGUAGAGGAUCAUAAUCCCAGGUCUAAUAUGCCGCCUUCAUAUGUAGGUGGCGAAGUGUCCGGUGGCAAGCCGGACUGAUGAAUUUGCCGAGCUAAAGCGGCAACUUGACGUGGCAGAUGCCGACAUCGCGCUUGUCAACGAGCGGCUUGCCGAGGCACAAGGUAUGUAAUUCCUCCGGAGGCACCUGGGAAGAGGAGCUUUAUGCCAGUAUCUUACAAUGUGUGCGCUUGAUGCAGAUGGUGCUGCUGCCAUGGAGAAUCUUCGGGCGGAACUUGCCCGAGCCAAGGAGCAAGCCAGGAAAAGUGAUGUGGCUGCCGGAAAGGCAAUUGAAGAGCUGAAAGCCGAACAGGCUGCUCACUGCCGAAGCAAGAAGGAAAUGGCCGAGAUAGCCGUGAAGCUGAAGAACGUUGCUGACCGUUGCAAGCUUCUUGAAAAAGAAGAUCGGGCAGAACAGACGGACCUAGAGAAGGCCGUUGCCGAUGCCAAGGAUGCUCACUCUGCGAUGAGAGCUAUGAAGGAGGAGCUGCGUCAGGCCGGAGAGAUCGCGGCUGGAAAGCCCUUUAUGCUGCGGAGGAAGUUUUGUGAUCAUAAACAUGCUCCGUUAGACCGGAUGUGGAGUACGGCGAACACCUAUAUGGAUUUGGCAGCGAGUGCCGCAGAUGCGGCCGAACACUUCCGAGAUCAAGAAGAUCGCGAAGUGGAAAAUCUCUUUUGGUCGCAGUUCCACAAUCCGGAGCGUCCACUGUCAUUAACCGAUCAUUUGGCCGAAUGGGCCGAGCUAAAUAGGUUGUCCGGACUCGCCAUGAAGUAUGUCAUGAGUCAUUUGUGGCCAGAGAGGCCAGAGCCGAAAAGUUAUUUCAACUUGGUGCAGCAGUUCCUUGGUACGGCGCCGCAUAUUGAUGCGAUGAAGAGGUCAGCGUGCAUAGAGGGUGCGCGGAUGGCUCUUGCCCGUGUCAAGACAUACUGGAACGAAAUGGUGGCCACCGCUGUUGCAUCCCCAGACUCGGAUGGAAGCCGAGUACCUGCCGAGCACUAUUUUCAGGAAGUUCUGCAAGGCGCUCGUUUAAUAGAGACGCAGUGCUUGAAGGAUACUAUAUUCGAAUAGCAUAUGUUAUUGUAAAACAAUAUUUUGUUAAAUUGUAAAAGCUUUUUAUACUUGUGCCUGCAAGUAUUAUAAUACCUCCUGUGCGGCCGUUUAACAUAUAUGUAUAUAUAAUCUGAAAGAUGGCAGUCGUCGACUUCAGCCCCCACGCACAUAAUGCGGGGGUGUUCGCAGAAGGCGCAUUUUCACACUUGAUCCAAUGUCUUGGUCCUACAAAGGAGGUGAUAGCGCAGCGAACUAGGCAAUCGGACUAUGAUGCUUUAUCACUUUCACUUAGCCAUAGGAGUUUGACAGUGAGGCUACUUAUAUAGCCCCUGGUGGCGCCUGCGCUCGCCUGAACUCGGGGCGCGUAUGUGCCUGGCCGGGAAGCGGCCCUUCGUUAAUACGGAGGAAUCCUAAAGAUUCCGGUAAGUCAUCGAGUGGUUGACCAGUCUCAUGCUAUAUCAUGACAGUCAGUUUUUGGCUUUCUCUACUGAGGUGCUCGCCUGGCCGAACUGGGGCACAAUCGCAGUAGUUCUCCUGGUGCCGCUUAGCCGAUAGAGCGGAACGUAAGGUAGCAAAACACAGGAGCCGGGCAAACCCAACAUUUGACCAAAGACAUGAUUCGGAGCUGAUGCAUAUAAGGCCAAACUCGCGACGCCGAACACUCCCUAAGGUAUUCGGUCUUUAUGAGGGCGGGCGGGAUAACGCCCUUAGUAAUAAGCCCCUAGUGUCCAGGUACGCGCAAAACUCUGACGUAGCCACAUGCCAAAACGCCAGCCUCCUCCUUGGUUAUACCAAGAAACCAGGGGAUGUGUAUCAACAAGAGACAGUAAAAAAGGUUUACGCAGGGUCUUAAUCUGAAAAGAAUCCUUGGAACGGGUCCCUACUGCACGUCUGCCCCUGUGUCUCCGUUGUGCCGUAUCCUGGACGGGCGUAGCACGGUGUUCAUCUGUAAAAGAGAGGAACUUAGUUUAGGAAAGAUCGUGCCAAACAUGAUUUAUACUAAAUAAACGAAGUAUAAAUCGAAAUGGGUAAAAUUAAGCUUUAUUGUCUCUUGUUUUAUAUGCACGGAGCCCCUAGUAUAGGGGUAUACGGCUAUUAAGCCUUUAUCAAUUGUAUGUUUAUGCCGGACUCGUCUAGCCGUGUCCGUGGUCUUGACGACCUGUUUAGGUGCUUUGGCUGGUGAAGCCGCUUUAUUGUGGGGCUGUCAAGGCAGCCGCACUGUCUUCCGCGCGGGAGGAACAUUCAAUGUUUUCCCUUUAAUGAGAUGAUGCCUCGUGGACCGGGCAUCUUAAGCGUAAGAGAUGCAUAAUGUGGUAUUGCGUUAAAGCGGGCGAAAGCUUCGCGUCCCAGCAGUGCUUGAUAGCUACUUGAGAAUGGGGCAAUGUGGAAAGUUAGCUCUUUGCGACAGAAGUUAUCGGGGGAGCCGAACAUAACUUCUAGCCGGAGAGAGCCCAUGCAAUGGGCAUCCGGGCCUGGCGUUACCCCUUGAAAGGAGGUUUUGCUAUGGCGAAUUUUUGUUGGGUCUAUCCCCAUGUUGCGGAUUGUGUCCUGGUAUAACAGGUUUAGACCACUGCCGCCGUCCAUCAGGACAUUUGUAAAGUGGAGUCUGCCGAUUAUUGGAUCUAAUACCAAGGCAGUCCUGAUGGUCGAAGGUUUCAAUGAUGCUCACAUAAAAGAUAAGAAUUGAAAUAUGACUAGCUUGAUGAUUUCAAUGAUGCUCACAUAAAAGAUAAGAAUUGAAAUAUAAAGAGAGCAUCAUGAAGAAUAUGACUAGCACAUUUAAUUAUAACCCACUUCCUAUGCAUAGGGAUUUUGUGAGCAAACAACUUAUGGGAACAAGAAUCAACUUGCAUUGGAAAGCAAAACAAGCAUAACUUCAAGAUUUUAAGCACAUAGAGAGGAAACUUGGUAUUAUUGCAAUUCCUACAAGCAUAUAUUCCUCACUCAUAAUAAUUUUCAGUAGCAUCAUGCAUGAAUUCAACAAUAUAGCUAUCACAUAAAGCAUUAUUUUCAUGAUUCAUAGGCAUAAAAUUUUUAUUACUCUCCACAUAAGCAAAUUUAUUGUCAUGGAUAAUAGUGGGAGCAAACUCAAAAAAAUAACUAUCAUGUGAAGCAUAAUCCAAUUGAAAAUUAAAAUCAAGAUGACAAGUUUCAUGGUUAUCAUUAUUCUUCAUAGUAUACAUGUCAUCACAAUAAUCAUCAUAUGUAGCAACUUUGUUCACAUAAUCAAUUGGAACCUCUUCCAAAAUAGUGGAUUCAUCACUAAAUAAAGUCAUAACCUCCCCAAAUUCACUUUCAUCAAUAUAAUCGUCAUAAAUAGGAGGCAUGCUAUCAUCAUAAUAAAUUUUCUCAUCAAAACUUGGGGAACAAAAAAUAUUAGCAGAGAAGUAAUAAAUCAUAUCCUGGGGACUACGCACACAACCAGGAUCAAGAGAAUUAAACCAUAUCUUAGCAUCACCCUCAGGCCCGGCCCUGAUGGGGGGGGGGCAGGGGGGCGGCCGCCCCGGGCCCCCGAAAUCCAAGGGCCCCUCCCCAGGGGUACAGGUAGCCUACGGGCUUGCGUUAAGAAAACUAUGGGCCGUGGCCACACAUGGAUGACGACGGAUGGUAGCGAUGUCUUCCUACUUGGCGAGAAAUUGAUUCCUUCCUAUUCCAUCAUGUAGCCAUCCCUAAAUCAUGCGCCAUACCAUACGUGAGACAUGAGUACGCCGCCGUCAUGUCCGCUACAAUAAACCUACCGUCCUGCUCUUUUUCUCUUAAUCCCAAUCGCAAGAAUGUCUAGCCAGUAUUCAGUACGCGAGAUUCAGACGAUCGACAAGCACACGCACAUCAUCGCCGAUCUGUCGAGCUCUAAAUCCAGAUGCGAAUAAGUACUCAUCGUUGAACCCCCGAUCACCAAUGCCAACCAAUCGAAGGUAUAUUAUAUUGCCGUUCUCUAAUCCCUACUCCCCAUACGUAGUAUGUUACUACUCCCUCCGGUCCUUUUUACUCUGCACAUUAGAUUUGCCGAAAGUCAAACUUUGCUAAGUUUGACCAAAUUUAUAUUAGAAAUUAUUAGCAUCUAUAAUAUCUAAUAAAUAUAAUAUGAAAAUAUAUUCCAAGAUGAAUCUAAAGAUAUUGGUGUUGUUAUGUGAAUGUCUAUAAUUUUUUAUAUAAACUUGGUCAAAGUUGGAUGAGAUUGACUUCGGACAAACCUAAUAUGCAGAGUAAAAAUGACCGGAGGGAGUACUUACUAGCAUACAUGAUGCCUAGCCGUGGCAUGGUUCAACCAUUGAUGCCAUAGUGCAUCUAACUGUCACAUCGUCUGAAAGAAUCUUUUGAAAGUUUAAAUUCUUGAGGAACUAUUUGAGGUGAACAAUGACUUAUUAUAGAAUUCAAAUGGUUUGGCAACAAUAUGCAUCGAGAAGAAGUUAAUUGAAGAGACUGACUUGGACCCCAUCAUAAGUGACUUUGCGUCAAAAAUGAUAGAAUUGUUUAAGGUAAUGUGUAUAAUUAUUUCAUAUGCAUACUAUUUUUUGAUGCAUUUAAGUGUUUAUAGGUAAUUUUCAUAUAUAAGUAUAUUUAUUAGUAUUAUUUGUUGUUUAUACUAAGGGCCCCGAGUUUUAGUUUUGCCCCGGGCCCCCAAAAUCUCAGGACCGGCCCUGAUCACCCUUUAAUGAGAACGGGAAUAUUUUAAGGAUAUAAAAGUAGCGAGUUCUCUUCUCAUUAGUGAACAGGGUAGCUAUAUCAUUUAAUUUAGUAAGAUGUGCCACAACAGUUUCAGAUUCAUAGCCAUAAAAAGGAUCAGAUUCAACCAAAGUAAUUAUAUCAGGAUCAAUAGAGAAUUCAUAAUCCUUAUCAGCAACAAAGAUAGGUGAAGUAGCAUAAGCAGGAUCAUAUUUCAUUCUAGCAUUCAGAGUUUUUUGUUUAAUCUUAGCUAAUAAUUUCUUAAGAUCACUUCUAUCAUUGCAAGCAAGAAAGUCUCUUUUAGUUUCUUCAUCCAUAACAUAGCCCUCAGGUACAACAUGUAAUUCAUAUUUACUAGGAGAGCCUUCAUAAUCACUUUCCUCAGUAUUAUCAGUUUCAAUAAUUUCAUUCUCUCAAGCCCUAGCACGUUGUUCAUCAAGAAAUUUACCAAGUGGCACAGUUGUAUCAAGCAUAGAAGUACUUUCAUCAUAAGUAUCAUGCAUAGCAGAAGUGGAAUCAUCCAUAAUAUGUGACAUAUCAGAAUUAAUAACAUAAGCAGGUUUAGGUAUCGCAAGCUUACUCAAAACAGAAGGUGAAUCAAGUGCAGAGCUAGAUGGCAGUUCCUUACCUCCCCUCGUAGUUGAGGGAUAAAUCUUGGUUUUUGGAUCUCUCAAGUUCUUCAUAAUGAUAAGCAGAUAUAAAUCCCAAGUGACUCAAAAAUAGAGCUAUGCUCCCCGGCAACGGCGCCAGAAAAUAGUCUUGAUAACCCACAAGUAUAGGGGAUCGCAACAGUUUUCGAGGGUAGAGUAUUCAACCCAAAUUUACAGAUUCGACACAAGGGGAGCCAAAGAAUAUUCUCAAGUAUUAGCAGCUGAGUCGUCAAUUCAUCCACACCGGGAAACUUAGUAUCUGCAGCAAACUGUUUAGUAGCAAAGUAAUAUGAUAGUAGUGGUAAUGGUGGCAAAAGGUAACAGUAGCAAAAAUAAUAUUUUUGGUGUUUUGUAGUGAUGAUAGCAAUAGCAACGGAAAAGUAAAUAAGCGAAGAACAAUAUAUGGAAAGCUCGUAGGCAAUGGAUCGGUGAUAGAGAAUUAUGCCGGAUGUGGUUCAUCAUGUAACAGUCAUAACCUAGGGUGACACAGAACUAGCUCCAAUUCAUCAAUGUAAUGUAGGCAUGUAUUCCGAAUAUAGUCAUACCCGCUUAUGGAAAAGAACUUGCAUGACAUCUUUUGUCCUACCCUCCCGUGGCAGCGGGGUCCUAGCGGAAACUAAGGGAUAUUAAGGCCUCCUUUUAAUAGAGUACCGGACCAAAGCAUUAACACAUAGUGAAUACAUGAACUCCUCAAACUAUGGUCAUCACCGGAAGUGGUCCCGAUUAUUGUCACUUCGGGGUUGCCGGAUCAUAACACAUAGUAGGCGACUAUAGACUUGCAAGAUAGGAUCAAGAACUCUCAUAUAUUCAUGAAAACAUAAUAGGUUCAGAUCUGAAAUCAUGGCACUCGGGCCCUAGUGACAAGCAUUAAGCAUAGCAAAGUCAUAGCAACAUCAAUCUCAUAACAUAGUGGAUACUAGGGAUCAAACCCUAACAAAACUAACUCGAUUACAUGAUAAAUCUCAUCCAACCCAUCACCGACCAGCAAGCCUACGAUGGAAUUACUCACGCACGGCGGUGAGCAUCAUGAAAUUGGUGAUGGAGGAUGGUUGAUGACGAUGGCGACGGAUUCCCCUCUCCGGAGCCCCGAACGGACUCCAGAUCAGCCCUCCCAAGAGAGUUUAGGGCUUGGCGGUGGCUCCAUAUCAUAAAACAGAAUGAAUCUUUCUCUCUGAUUUUUUUCUCCCCGAACAUGAAUAUAUAGAGUUGGAGUUGAGGUCGGAGGAGCUCUAGGGGGGCCCACGAGGUAGGGGGCACGCCCAGGGGGGCAGGCGCGCCCCCCACCCUCGUGGCUAGGGUGUGGGCCCCCCUGGUCUUGAUCUUUUGCCAGUAUUUUUUAUUAUUUCCAAAAAUAGACUCCGUGAAGUUUCAGGUCAUUCCGAGAACUUGUUUCUGCACAUAAAUAACACCAUGGCAAUUCUGCUGAAAACAGUGUCAGUCCAGGUUAGUUCCAUUCAAAUCAUGCAAGUUAGAGUCCAAAACAAGGGCAAAAGUGUUUGGAAAAGUAGAUAUGACGGAGACGUAUCAACUCCCCCAAGCUUAAACCUUUGCUUGUCCUCAAGCAAUUCAGUUGACGAACUGAAAGUGAUAAAGAAAAACUUUUACAAACUUUGUUUGCUCUUGUCGUUGUAAAUAUGUAAAGCCAACAUUCAAGUUUUUAGCAAAGAUUAUAAACUAACCAUAUUCACAAUAACGCGUAGGUCUCAUGUUUACUCAUAUCAGUGGCAUAAUCAACUAGCGAGCAAUAAUAAUAAAUCUCGGGUGACAACACUUUCUCAAAACAAUCAUAAUAUGAUAUAACAAGAUGGUAUCUCGCUAGCCCUUUCUGAGACUGCAAAACAUAAAUGCAGAGCACCUUUAAAGAUCAAGGACUGACUAGACAUUGUAAUUCAUGGUAAAAGAGAUCCAGUCAAGUCAUACUCAAUGUAAACUAACAGUAAUGAAUGCAAAAUGAAAGUGGUGCUCUCCAACUGGUGCUUUUUAAUAAGAGGAUGAUGACUCAACAUGAAAGUAAAAUAGAUAGGCCCCUCGUAGAGGGAAGCAGGGAUUUGUAGAUGUGCCAGAGCUCGGUUUUGAAAUAGAGAUGAAUAAUAUUUUGUGUGGUAUACUUUCAUUGUCAACAUAACAACCAAGAGAUGGCGAUAUCUUCCAUGCUACACACAUUAUAGGCGGUUCCCAAAUAGAAUGGUAAAGUUUAUACUCCCCCUCCACCAAUAAGCAUCAAUCCAUGGCUUGCUCGAAACAACGAGUGCCUCCAACUAACAAGAGUCCCAGGGGGAGUUUUUUUUGCAAUUAUUUUGAUUUGAUUUGCAUAAAGCAUGGGACUGGGCAUCCCGGUGACCAGCCACUUUCUCAUGAGUGAGGAGCGGAGUCCACUCCUCUUUAGAAUAACCCAUCUAACAUGGAAGAUGCGGACCACCCUAGUUGAUACAUGAGCUAUUCGAGCAUACAAAACAGGAUAUUUAUUUGAAGGUUUAGAGUUUGGCACAUACAAAUUUACUUGGAACGGUAGGUAGAUACCGUAUAUAGGUAGGUAUGGUGGACUCAUAUGGAAUAACUUUGGGGUUUAUGGAGUUGGAUGCACAAGCAGUAUUCCCGCUUAGUACAAGUGAAGGCUAGCAAAAGACUGGGAAGCGACCAACUAGAGAGCGACAAAAGCCAUGAACAUGCAUUAAAGUUAAUGAACAUUGAGUGCAAGCAUGAGUAGGAUAUAAUCCACCAUGAACAUAAAUAUCGUGAAGGUUAUGUUGAUUUUGUUUCAACUACAUGCGUGAACAUGUGCCAAGUCAAGUCACUUAAAUCAUUCAGAGGAGGAUACCACCCUAUCAUACCACAUCACAACCAUUUUAAUAGCAUGUUGGCACGCAAGGUAAACCAUUAUAAGCUCCUAGCUAAUUAAGCAUGGCAUAAGAAACUAUGAUCUCUAAUUGUCAUCCCAAACAUGUUUAUUCAUAAUAGGCUGAAUCAGGAAUGAUGAACUAAUCAUAUUUACAAAAACAAGAGAGGUCGAGUUCAUACCAGCUUCUCCCAUCUCAAUCAUUCAAUCAUAUAUCGUCAUAAUUGCCUUUCACUUGCACGACCGAAUGAUGUGAAUAAUAAUAAUAGUGCGCGUGCAUUGGACUAAGCUGGAAUCUGCAAGCAUUCAAUAAACAGGAGAAGACAUGGCAAUAUGGGCUCUUUUGUCAGAUCAACAAUAAUUCAUAUAAGAGCCACUUUAACAAUUUAAUCAUGGUCUUCUCCUAUCGACCCCCAAAGAAAAGAAAAUAAAUAAAACUAUUUACACGGGAAAGCUCCCAACAAGCAAAAGAAGAACAUGAAAUCUUUUUGUGUUUUCUUUUUAAUUACUAUUACAAGCAUGGAAAUUAAAACUAGCUAAAAACUACAACUAUUUUUUUGUUUUUCUUAAGGUUUAUUAAACACACAAGAAGAAAGCAUAAAAAGAGAAAAUAAACUAGCAUGGAUAUUACAAUGAAAAAGUAUGAGCGCCGACAACUAGCAAUGAGUGUGUGAACAUGAAGGUAAUGUCGGUGAGAAAUACGUACUCCCCCAAGCUUAGGCUUUUGGCCUAAGUUGGUCUAUGGCCACGGUUGGCCUGGCGGAUAUCCAUAGUAAUAGUUGGGGUCGUACUGCGAAGAAGAAGACUACGAUUGCCACUCGUUGGCAAUCAUCUCCGGAUCCCACUGUAAUUAGACUGUCAUGGAGGAUCAACUUGUGGUUCCGACUCUGGCUCUGUGGCUGAUGUAGGGUUCUGGUAGGCGUGAAUAGCUUCCAACGGAACAAGGUACUUGCCUGUAGAUAAAUCAAACAAGGAAGGAGCAGGCAGGGUAAUAGUCUCAAGAUGAUGUUUAUCAAAGAACAAUUUGUAUUUGAGCUCGUUUUCCCUAUUCUUAACAAUAAAAUUGUGUGCUACCAUACUCUUAUAAUCUAAAUAAACAGGAGGCAGCAAUUUUUCUUCCUUCUCAUAAUGCCUAAUAGGUAUGUUAAAAUGUGCAGCUAGGCGCGAGGCGAAGAUGCCUCCAAAGACGGGGCCCUUAGUACGGUUAAGAUUUAACCGCUUUGCAAUAAUAGCACCCAUGCUGAAUGUAUCAUCACGAAAUAAGGUGUGGCACAAAAUAACAAUAUCAGGGGCACUCAGGUUUCCACAGUUUCCGCGCCCAAUUAAGCAUCUACUAGCAAAUAUAGCAAAGUAACGUAGAACAGGAAAGUGUAUGCUAGUAGUUCGUGCAUCGGAAACCUUCCUCAUUUCCCCUACAGUGAUGGUAUCAAUAAACCCAUCCACAUCACCGCGAUGUGGUUCCUAUAUGAUGCCCUCGAAAGGGAUCAAACAAACCCGACAAAAAUCACGAAGUGACAUCUCCUUAUGCUCAUCAUAUAAAUAAAACUCAACCGUAGGUGGUGAGCUCCUAGCAUGGAAAUGAAAGUUUUGCACAAAGAUAUUGGUGAGUAAGAGAUACUGUUCGCGCUAGUCGUGGAGGAAGGCGGUGAGGCCUGCAUUCUCAGCCAAUUCAUAGAAAUCAUCAUAAAUCCCGGCUGCUCUCAAGAAAUCAUCACAACGCCAUUCACACGGCCGAACCUCCACGAUGCGAGGCAGAUUAUAUUUGGGCCUCUUUGCUUCUUCAUUUUGCUUUUCCUUCGAGCUUCGGCUCGAUGAGCCCCUCAAAAGUCUCUUCAUUAUUUUAUGAAAAAUUCUGAAAUUUUUAGUAACUUCAAAUAAAAGUGAACCAAACUCAACAAAAUUGAUAGCAACUACUCCUACAAGUGCCUAGAGCCUAUAUCAUGCAUCAAAACUACUUGGAACCACAUAAAUUUGACAUGCAAGCUCAAGAACAGGUCCACCUAAGCAGCAAAAAUAUGCAAUGAAUAAAGCACUAGAACAAAAACUAAUUGGACCAUUGGAGGAGUCACAUACCAAGGAACAAUCCCCCAAUGCAGUUUUGUGAGAGGUGCUUUGAGCAAGGAGAUCCAAAAUCGCAGCAAAAUGAGCUAGAACUCGUGCUUGAGAUGGAUAAUGCUGUUUGUGGGAGGAAUAAGGAGUGUGUGGGUGCAGGAAUAAGUGGAGGAGGGCCACCAUGGGCCCACGAGGCAGGGGGCGCGCCCAGGGGGGUAGGGCGCGCCCUCCACCCUCGUGGCCAGGUGGAUGCCCCCUAUUGUGUUCUUAGUGCCAAAUAUUCACAAAUAUUCCAGAAAAAUUAUAUUUAAAUUUCAGGGCAUUUGGAGAACUUUUAUUUUCUGGGUAUUUUUAUAUUGCACGGAUAAUAAAAAAAUAGACAAAAAUUACUAUUUUUGGUUUAUUUAAUAUAAAUAACAGAAAGUAGAAAGAGGGUAUAGAGAGUUGUGUUUUCUAAAUUCAUCCAUCUCAUGAUCAUCAAAAGGAAUCCAUUAACAAGGUUGAUCAAGUCUUGUUAACAAACUCAUUUCGAAUAACAUGGAACCGGAGAAUUUUAGAAUAACACUAGGUUACCUCAACGGGGAUAUGUGUAACGCCCUCGAUGCGGCUAUAUCUCCCACAUGUCGAAGCACGACUUAGAGGCAUAACCACAUUGAAAGCAAUGUCGCAAGUGAGGUAAUCUUCACACAACCCAUGUAAUAAAUAAUGGAAAGAGAUACGUAGUUGGCUUACAAUCGCCACUUCACGCAAUACAUGAAUAAAGCAUUACAUCAACCAGAUACAAUCAAGGUCCGACUAUGGAACCAAAAUAUAAGAAGACUACCCCAAAUGCUACACAGAUCCCCGAUCGUCCCAACUGGGCUCCACUACUGAUCAACGGGAAACGGAACAACAUAACAAACACGAUCUUCAUCGAGCUCCUCCUUGAGCUCGGUUGCGUCACCUGCACGGUAUCAUCGGCACCUGCAAACUGGUUUUGGAAGUAAUCUGUGAGUCACGGGGACUCAGCAAUCUCACACACUCGCGAUCAAGACUAUUUAAGCUUAUGGGUAAGGUAAUGGUAUGAGGUGGAGUUGCAGCAAGCGACUAGCAUAUUUGGUGGCUAACAUAUGCAAAUGAGAGCGAGAAGAGAAGGCAAAGCACGAUCGAGAAUCUAUGAUCAAGAAGUGAUCCUAGAGCAACCUACGUUAAAGCAUAACUCCAACACCGUGUUCACUUCCCGGACCCCGCCGAGAAGAGACCAUCACGGUUACACACGCGGUUGAUGCAUUUUAAUUAAGUUAAGUUUCGGGAUUUCUACAACCGGACAUUAACAAAUUCCCAUCUGCCCAUAACCGCGGGCACGACUUUCGAAAGAUCAUAACCCUGCAGGGGUGUCCCAACUUAGCCCAUCACAAGCUCUCACGGUCAACGAAGGAUAUUCCUUCUCCCAAGACAAUCCGAUCAGACUCGGAAUGCUGGUUACAAGACAUCUCGACAAUGGUAAAACUAAACCAGCAAAGCUACCCGAAUGUGCCGACAAAUUCCGAUAGGAGCUGCACAUAUCUCGUUCUCAGGGCACACCGGAUUGUCCAAACUUCCGGUAGGCCAGCCCAGAGUUGCCCCUGGUGGCCACCGGCGGCUAACAAGGUGGACCAACACUCAAAGGAGCACUGGCCCGGGGGUUUAAAUAAAGAUGACCCUUGAGUCCGCGGAACCCAAGGGAAAAAGAGGCUAGGUGGCAAAUGGUAAAACCAAUGUUGGGCAUUGCUGGAGGAGUUUUAUUCAAGGCGAACUGUCAAGGGGUUCCCAUUAUACCCAACCAUGUAAGGAACGCAAAAUCAAGGAACAUAACACCGGUAUGACAUAAACUAGGGCGGCAAGAGUGGAACAAAACACCAGGCAUAAGGCCUAGCCUUGCACCCUUUACCAAGUAUAUAGAUGCAUUAAUUAAAUAAGAGAUAUUGUGAUAUCCCAACAAAUAUCCAUGUUCCAACAAGGAACAACUCCAGUCUUCACCUGCAACUAGCAACGCUAUAAGAGGGGCUGAGCAAAGCGGUAACAUAGCCAAACAACGGUUUGCUGGGAAAGGUGGGUUAGAGGCUGGACAUGGCAAUAUGGGAGGCACGAUAAGCAAGUGGUAGGUAUCGCAGCAUAGGCAUAGGAAAAGAGCGAGCAACUAGCAAGCAAAGAUAGAAGUGAUUUCGAGGGUAUGGUCAUCUUGCCUGUAAAGUUCUCAGAGUUGACUUGAUCCUCGUAAGCAUACUCAACGGGCUCCUCGAACACGUACUCAUCUCCUAGCUCUACCCAAAGCAAGACAACAAGCAAAAGAGAGAACAAUCAACCACGUGCAAUGCACAAACAACAUGAUGCAAAACAUGUCAUGAUAUGCGGGAUGCGAUAUGAGAUGCAUAUGCAUGAUUCGAAAAGGAAUGAUUGAACCUGGCCUCAACUUCGAAAACCAAGAGUGCCACUGGAAAUAGGAGUUGAUUUCGGUUGAAAUCGAUAUAAAGAUCACCGGAAUCGGAUGCACGGUUUGGAAAUGACAAGCAAAACAAAUAUGGCACCGGGCUGCGAUUAACAGCACGAGACCAUCUAAAUGCAUCAAGAACAACAUGCUACAGCAUUCCACCAUGACAACAAAAUACAUGGCAGGGAUCGACUCAAGAUGCUUGUCAAAAGAUGAACACUGAGCUACGGCUAAUUCACUCAAUAGCAGGUUCAAACAAGCAUGGCAAUAGUGCAAAAGAUAUCAGGUUACAGACUUAGUGAAAUUAAUAGCAUGUCAGGAAUUUAACAUCAAGAAGCAAUGUUUAGAGCACGAUAACUAUAUGCUACAGGAACAUAUCAAGGCAAAGCAAGACAUGGCAUGAAGCUACUCAAAGCAUACAACAAAAGUCCCUUACUGACCAUAAGCCAAAAGGGAUCAGAAAAUACAAUUACAACCACGUGAAUAUAGCAAUUAUCGUUAACAGAUUCAGACUUAGUGAAAAACUGGAGCAUGGCAAAACAGAUAUCAAGUAGGCAUGUUUACGAGCUCGAUACACUCACCAUAAGGCAUUGCAUGACAAACUAAGCAUAUACCCAGCAAGUAGACAUGGCAUAGAAGCUAGACAUGGCAAGGACAACAACAUAGCAUGCACGAAUCAACUACAACAAGCUCGGCAAAAGUGCUAAACAUGUUAACAAUCUGCCAGGAACAUUUUAUCGCAAAAGUAGAGAUCGAUUGACUCAAGCUAGGGUGCUCCAUAAAUGCAAACAAAGACAUGGAUGGAUAGAGCACCACAAUAGUCUGUAGCAAUCUGAAAGCUUCGAAUACUUAUGUAACUCCAAAAAUUCUGAAACAUUAGGACAACAUGGGGAAUUUGUAUAUUAAUCUUCUGCAAAAAGAAUCUGUAUUUUAUCGUGCAUCUGUUAAAAAUGAGAAUUAUUUUUGUGAGCGCAAAAGUUUCUGUUUUUCAGCAAGAUCAAAUCAACUAUCACCCAACAUGAUCCCAAAGGCUUUGCUUGGCACAAACACUAAUUAAAACAUAAAGCACAAUCAUAACAGUAGCAUAAUUGUGCAAACACUCAAGAACAGAAAUAAAAACACACAAAUAAAUUUCAUUCAAUGGGUUGCCUCCCAACAAGCGAUAUCGUUUUAUGCCCCUAGCUAGGCAUAAUGCAAAGAUUCAAGUGUUGUCAUCUUUUUUUCUAGAUCCAUAAGAUGCCCUAAUGAUUGAUUCAUAUGGUGGCUUAAUUCUUGUUCUAGGUAAGUGUUCCAUACCAUUCCUUAGUGGAAAUUGAAAUUUAAUAUUGCCUUCUUUCAUAUCAAUCACGGCACCCAUAGUGCGUAAAAAAGGUCUACCAAGAAUAAUUGGACAAGAUGGAUUGCAAUCAAUAUCAAGAACAAUAAAAUCUAUGGGCACAAUUCCUAUUUGAAAGAAUAAGAACAACAUUAAUUAUUCCCAUAGGCUUUUUAGUAGUAGAAUCCACGAAGUGCAAAUUUAAAGAACAUUCUUCAAUAUCGGUAAGACCAAGCACAUCACAUAAAGAUUUCGGAAUUGUAGAAACACCAGCACCCAAGUCACAUAAAGCAAAACACUUAUAAUUUUUAAUCUUGACUUCUAUAGUAGGUUCCCAUUCAUCAUGCAAUUUUCUAGGAAUUGAAAUCUCUAAUUCCAAUUUUUCUUCCAAAGCUUUCAUCAUAGCAUCAACAAUAUGUUUAGUAAAAGCUUUAUUUUGUUCAUAAGCAUGGGGUGAAUUAAUCAUGGAUUGCAAAAAAAGAAAUACAAUCAAUCAAAGAGCAAUUAUCAUAAUUAAAGUCUUUAUAAUCCAAAAGAGUGGGCACAUCACUAGUUAAAGUUUUGACCUCUCCAAACCCACUUUUAUCAAUUUUCUCAACAAGUUCACCCUCCGAAUUAUCGGGACGCCUUCUAGAUAAAUUUGACUCUUAUUCAGUCCCUUUAUUAUCAAUCUUAAUUUUAAUAAACAAGGAAUAAAUAGAAGAGACACUAAUCAUUUUAAGAUCUUCAUCAUUUUUAUGAAAGCAAUCACUAGAAGACACCUUUUCUAAAAAUUCUCUUUUAGCUCUAAGCAUAGCGGCUCUUUUCUUACUGUCACCCAUAGAAACAUAUAAAGCUUUAAUUUAUUCUUCAACCUUAGGCACGAAAUUUUUCAUCUUGAGAUUUUCUACAUCAUGAGAAAUUCUAUCAAUGCUUCUAGACAUAUCAUCAAUCUUACUCAACUUUUCUUCUAUCGUGGUAUUAAAAUUCUUUUGAGCAUUGAUAAAUUCUUUAAUAUUAUUCUAAAGAUCAGAGGUGUUCCUAUUAUUAUUAUAANNNNNNNNNNNNNNNNNNNNNNNNNNNNNNNNNNNNNNNNNNNNNNNNNNNNNNNNNNNNNNNNNNNNNNNNNNNNNNNNNNNNNNNNNNNNNNNNNNNNNNNNNNNNNNNNNNNNNNNNNNNNNNNNNNNNNNNNNNNNNNNNNNNNNNNNNNNNNNNNNNNNNNNNNNNNNNNNNNNNNNNNNNNNNNNNNNNNNNNNNNNNNNNNNNNNNNNNNNNNNNNNNNNNNNNNNNNNNNNNNNNNNNNNNNNNNNNNNNNNNNNNNNNNNNNNNNNNNNNNNNNNNNNNNNNNNNNNNNNNNNNNNNNNNNNNNNNNNNNNNNNNNNNNNNNNNNNNNNNNNNNNNNNNNNNNNNNNNNNNNNNNNNNNNNNNNNNNNNNNNNNNNNNNNNNNNNNNNNNNNNNNNNNNNNNNNNNNNNNNNNNNNNNNNNNNNNNNNNNNNNNNNNNNNNNNNNNNNNNNNNNNNNNNNNNNNNNNNNNNNNNNNNNNNNNNNNNNNNNNNNNNNNNNNNNNNNNNNNNNNNNNNNNNNNNNNNNNNNNNNNNNNNNNNNNNNNNNNNNNNNNNNNNNNNNNNNNNNNNNNNNNNNNNNNNNNNNNNNNNNNNNNNNNNNNNNNNAAGAAUUACCACAAUUAUUAGAGGAAUUUCCCAAAAAAGGUCUAGGAUUAAAAUUACCUCUAUAAGCAUUGUUAUUAAAGUUGUUUCGCGAGACAAAAUUCACAUCUACGGCAUCACUAUUUUGCUCAAUUAAAGUAGAAAAAGGAACAUCAUUAAGAUCAAUAGGAGCAUUUUUAUUAGCAACCAACUUCAUAAGAACAUCAACUUUUUCACUCAAAGUAGAAAUUUCUUCAACCGAAUUAACCUUUUUACUAGUAGGAGCUCUUUCGGUAUGCCAUUGUGAACAAUUUGCCAUAAUAUUAUCAAGCAAUUUGGUAGCUUCACCCAAAGUAAUUUCCAUAAAAGUACCACCCGUGGUGGAAUCUAAAAGAUUUCUGGAAACAAAAUUCAAUCCCGCAUAAAAAAAUUGUAUGAUCAUCCAAAGAUUUUAACCAUGAGUGGGACAAUUUCUUAGCAUCAAUUUCAUUCUUUCACAAGAUUGCGCAACAUGUUCAUGCUCAAUUUUCUUAAUAUUCAUGAUUUGUGUCCUAAGGGAAAUAAUUUUCGUGGGCGAAAAAUAUUUAGUAAUAAAAUCAUCUUUGCACUUAUCCCAAGAAUCGAUAAUAUUGCGAGGUAACGAAGAAAACCAAUUUUUUGCACGAUCUUGCAAAGAAAACGGGAAUAAUUUCAACUUCACUAUAUCAUUGUACACAUCUUUUUUCUUUUGCACAUCUCAUAAUUCCGUGAAUGUAUUAAGAUGGGAUGCGUCAUCGUCACUAGGAGUACAGGAAAAUUGAUCUUUCAUGACAAGAUUCAAGAAAGCGGCAUUAGUAUCACAAGACUCCCCACUAGUGGCGGGAGGAGCAAUCGGAGUGCUAAUAAAAUCAUUGUUGUUGGUAUUGGAGAAAUCACAAAACUUGGUGUUCUCUUGAGUCAUAGUGACUACGCAACAAGAUUGCACUCAAAAACAGAUCUGACAAGAAAAUGGCGACCGAAAAAGAGGGCGAAUAAAACAGCAAUUUUUUGUGAAGUGGGGGAGAUGAAAACGAGAGGCAAAUGGAAAAUAAUGUAAAUUUCAAGGAGAUGAGAUUUUUUAUUAGGAACCUAGUAGAUGUUGAUGAUGUCUCCCCGACAAUGGCGCUAGAAAUUCCUUUUGAUCGCGGCUUGAACUACGUCGGUAUUUCCCCAAAGAGGAAGGGAUGAUGCAGCACAGCAACGGUAGGUAUUUCCCUCCGUGAUGAGACCAAGGUUAUCGAACUAGUAGGAGAAUCACGCAACACUACAUAAAUAGUACCUGCACACAAAGAAAAAAUACUUGCAACCCGACGUGUUAAAGGGUUUGUCAAUCCCUUUCGGGUAACGGUGCCAGAAAUUGUCAAGUUGACGGGAUAAAAAUAUGAUAGAUUGGAUAAAUAGAUCUCGAAUAAAUGCAAAAUAAAAUAAAGUGCAACAAGGUAGUUUUGGGGUUUUGGAAAUAUAGAUCUGAAAAUAAAAGAUAAUAAAAAUAGAUCUCGAAGGCAAAUAUAAUAAAGAACAGACCUGUAGGCCGUAGAUUUCACUAGUGGCUUCUCUCGAGAAAAAUAGCAUACGGUGGGUAAACAAAUUACUGUUGGGCAAUUGAUAGAACUUCAAAUAAUUAUGACGAUAUCGAGGCAAUGAUCAUUAUAUAGGCAUCACAUCCAAGAUUAGUAGACCGACUCCUGCCUGCAUCUACUACUAUUACUCCACACAUCGACCACUAGUCAGCAUGCAUCUAGUGAAUUAAGUUCAUGGAGAAAUGGAGUAAUGCAAUAAGAACGAUGACAUGAUGUAGACAGGAUCUAUUUGUGUAGAAAUAGACCCCAUCUUGUUAUCCUUAAUAGCAAUGAUACAUAUGUGUCGGUUCCCCUUCUGUCACUGGGAUCAAGCACCGUAAGAUCGAACCCAUCACAAAGCACCUCUUCCCAUGGCAAGAAAAAUCGAUCUAGUUAGCCUAACUAAACCGAAUAUUCGAAGAAGAAAUACGAGGAUAUAAGUAAUCAUGCAUAUGAGAGAUCAAAAGACUCAAAUAACUUUCAUGGAUAAAAACAUAGAUCUAAUCAUAAACUCAAAGUUCAUCGGAUCCCAACAAACACACCGCAAAAAGAGUUACAUCAAAUAGAUCUCCAAGAGACCAUUGUACUGAGAAUCAAGAGAGAGAGAGGAAGCCAUCUAGCUACUAAUUAUGGACCCGUAGGUCUACAAUCAACUACUCACGCAUCAUCGGAGAGGCACCAAUGAGGAUGAUGAACCCCUCCAUGAUGGUGUCUAGAUUGGAUAUGUGGUUUCUGGAACUUGUGGUGGCUGGAAUUGAUUUUCGUCGACUCCCCUAGGGUUUCUGGAAUAUUGGGGUAUUUAUAGAGCAAAGAGGUGGUGCGGGGGGCACCGAGGUGGGCACAACCCACCAGGGCGUGCCUGGGCUCCCCUUGGAGCAUCCCUCUGGUACUUCUUAGGACCAACAUGUGUCUUCUAGUCUAGAAAAAAUCUCCAAAAAGUUUCGCUUCGUUUGAACUCCGUUUGGUAUUGAUUUUCUGUGAAGUAAAAAAAAGAAAAAAAANNNNNNNNNNAAAAAAAACAGCAACUGGCACUGAUGUCUACUACACAACCUUCUUCUUGCAGACGUUGUUGGGCCUCCAAGUGCAGAGGUUUGUAGCACAAUAGCAAAUUUCCCUCAAGUGGAUGACCUAAGGUUUAUCAAUCCGUGGGAGGCGUAGGAUGAAGAUGGUCUCUCUCAAACAAUGCUGCAACCAAAUAACAAAGAGUCUCUUGUGUCCCCAACAGACCCAAUACAAUGGUAAAUUGUAUAGGUGCACUAGUUCGGCGGAGAGAUGGUGAUACAAGUGCAAUAUGGAUGGUAGAUAAUGGUUUUGUAAUCUGAAAAUAUAAAAACAGCAAGGUAGCAAGUGGUAAAAGUGAGCACAAACGGUAUUUCAAUGCUAGGAAACAAGGCCUAGGGUUCAUACUUUCACUAGUGCAAGUUCUCUCAACAAUAAUAACAUGAUUGGAUCAUAUAACUAUCCCUCAACAUGCAACAAAGACUCACUCCAAAGUCACUAAUAGCGCAGAACAAACGGAGAGGUUAUUGUAGGGUACGAAACCACCUCAAAGUUAUCCUUUCUGAUCGAUCUAUUCAAGAGUCCGUAGUAAAAUAACAUGAAGCCAUUCUUUCCGUUCAAUCUAUCAUAGAGCUCGUACUAGAAUAAAACCUUAAGACACAAAUCAACCAAAACCCUAAUGUCACCUAGAUACUCUAAUGUCACCUCAAGUAUCUAUGGGUAUGAUUAUACGAUAUGCAUCACACAAUCUCAGAUUCAUCUAUUCAACCAACAUAGAGAACUUCAAAGAGUGCCCCACAGUUUCUACCGGAGAGUCAAGACGAAAACGUGUGCCAACCCCUACGCAUAAGUUCACGAGGUCAUGGAACUCGCAGGUUGAUCACCAAAACAUACAUCAAGUGGUCACAUGAUAUCCCAUUGUCACCACAGAUAAGCACAUGCAAGACAUACAUCAAGUGUUCUCAAAUCCUUAAAGACUCAAUCCGAUAAGAUAACUUCAAAGGGAAAACUCAAUUCAUCACAAGAGAGUAGAGGGGGAGAAACAUCAUAAGAUCCAAAUAUAAUAGCGAAGCUCGCGAUACAUCAAGAUCAUGCCGACUCAAGAACACAAGAGAGAGAUCAAACACAUAGCUACUGGGACAUACCCUCAGCCCCGAGGGUGAACUACUCCCUCCUCGUCAUGGAGAGCAUCGGGAUGAUGAAGAUGGCCAUCAGAGAGGGAUUCCCCCCUCCGGCAGGGUGCCGGAACGGGUCUAGAUUAGUUUUCGGUGGCUACAGAGGCUUCUGGCGGCGGAACUCCCGGUCUAGGUUUCUUUCUGGAAGUUUUGGGUUAUAUAAGAGGUGUUGGAGUUGGGAACAAGUCAGGGGGGUCUCCGGGCUAUCCACGAGGCAGGGAGGCGCGCCCCCACCCUCGUGGGCAGCCCGAGACUCUUCUGGCCCAAUUCUUUUACUUCCUGGCCUUCUUCUGGCCCAAAAAUAAGUUCCGUGAAGUUUAAGGUCAAUUGGACUCCGUUUGGUUUUCCUUUUCUAUGAUACUAAAAAACAACGAAAAAACAGAAAUUGGCACUCGGCUCUAGGUUAAUAGGUUAGUCCCAAAAAUCAUAUAAAAUAGCAUAUAAAACAUCCAAGGUUGAUAAUAUAAUAGCAUGGAACAAUCAAAAAUUAUAGAUACGUUGGAGACGUAUCAAGCAUCCCCAAGCUUAAUUCUCGCUCGUCCUCGAGUAGGUAAAUGAUAAAAGCAGAAUUUUUGAUGUGGAAUGCUACCUAACAUAUUUAUCUAUGUAAUUCUCUUUAUUGUGGCAAGAAUAUUCAGAUCCAUAAGAUUCAAGACAAAAGUUUAAUAUUGACAUCAAAAUAAUAAUACUUCAAGCAUACUAACUAAGCAAUUAUGUCUUCUCAAAAUAACAUGGCCAAAGAAAGCUUAUCCCUAAAAAAUCCUAUAGUUUGGCUAUCUUCAUUUUUGUCACACAAAAAUGCUCUCAUCAUGCACAACCUCGAUGACAAGCCAAGCAAUUGUUUCAUACUUUAGUAAUCUCAGACUUUUUUCAACUUUCACGCAAUACAUGAGCGUGAGCCGUGGACAUAGCACUAUGGGUGGAAUAGAAUAUAAUGAUGGGGGUUGUGUGGAGAAGACAAAAAAGGAGAAAGUCUCACAUUGACGCGGCUAAUCAAUGGGCUAUGGAGAUGCCCUCCAAUUGAUGUCAAUGCGAGGAGUUGGGAUUGCCAUGCAACGGAUGCACUAGAGCUAUAAAUGUAUGAAAGCUCAAUAAAAGAAACUAUGUGGGUGUGCAUCCAACUUGCUUUCUCAAAUUAUGCAUGGUGGCUUUGCCACAAAUAUGAUGUCAACUACAUGAUCAUGGAAGGCAAUAUGACAAUGAUGAUGUGUGUCACGAUGAACGGAACGGUGGAAAGUUGCAUGGCAAUAUAUCUCGGAAUGACUAUGGAAAUUCCAUAAUAGGUAGGUAUGGUGGCUGUUUUGAGGAAGAUAUAAGGCAGUUUAUGUGUGACAGAGCAUAUCAUAUCACGGGGUUUGGAUGCGCCAGCGAAGUUUGCACCAACUCUCGAGGUGAGAAAGGGCAAUGCAUGGUACCGAAGAGGCUAGCAAUGAUGGAAGGUGAGAGUGCGUAUAAUCCAUGGACUCAACAUUAGUCAUAAAGAACUCAUAUACUUAUUGCAAAAAUCUACAAGUCAUCAAAAACAAAGCACUACGCGUAUGCUCCUAGGGGGAUAGAUUGGUAGGAAAAGACCAUUGCUCGUCCCCGACCGCCACUCAUAAGGAAGGCAAUCAAAGAAACACCUCAUGCUUCAAAUUUGUCACACAACGGUUACCAUACGUGCAUGCUACGGGACUUGCAAGCCUCAACACAAGUAUUUCUCAAAUUCACAAUUACUCAACUAGCACAACUCUAAUAUUACCAUCUUCAUAUCUCAAAACAGUUAUCAAGUAUCAAACUUCUCAUAGUAUUCAAUGCACUUAUAUGAAAGUUUUUAUUAUACCCAUCUUGGAUGCCCAUCAUAUUUGGACUAACUUUAUAACCCAAACAAAUUACCAUGAUGUUCUAAAAGACUCUCAAAAUAAUAUAAGUGAAGCAUGCGAGUUCAUCUAUUUAUAUAAAAUAGAACCACCGUCGUGCUCUAAAAGGAUAUAAGUGAAGCACUAGAGCGAAUGACAAACUACUCCGAAAGAUAUAAGUGAAGAUCAAUGAGUAGUUGACUAAUUAUGCAACUAUGUGAAGACUCUAAUAUUUAAGAAUUUCAGAUCUUGGUAUUUUAUUAAAACAGCUAGCAAAACAAAAGAAAGUAAAAUGACGCUCCAAGCAAAACACAUAUCAUGUGGUGAAUAAAAAUAUAGCUCCAAGUAAAGUUACCGAUGAACGAAGACGAAAGUGGGGAUGCCUUCUGGGGCAUCCCCAAGCUUAGGCUCUUGCCACUCAUUGUUCCAUAAUCCAUCAAAUCUUUACCCAAAACUUGAAAACUUCACAACACAAAACUUAAAACAAAAUCUCGUGAGCUCCGUUAGUAAAAGAAAACAAACCACCACUUCAAGGUACUGUAAUUAACUCAUUAUUUAUUUAUAUUGGUGUUAAACCUACUGUAUUCCAACUUUUCUAUGGUUCAUAAACUCUAUUACUAGCCAUAGAUUCAUCAAAAUAAGCAAACAACACACGAAAAACAGAAUCUGUCAAAAACAUAACAGUCUGUAGUAAUCUGUAGGUUUCGAAUACUUCUGGAACCCCAAAAAUUCUAAAAUAAAUUGCUGGACGUGAGGAAUUUAUCUAUUAAUCAUCUGAAAAAAGAAUUAACUAAAUAGCACUCUCCAAUAAAAAAUUGCACCAAAUCUCGUGAGCGCUAAAGUUUCUGUUUUUUACAGCAAGAUCGCAAAGACUUUCCCCAAGUCUUCCCAAAGGUUCUAUGUCGGUGUCAAAACCGGCGGAUCUCGGGUAGGGGGUCCCGAGCUGUGCGUCUAGGCGGAUGGUAACAGGAGGCAGGGGACACGAUGUUUUACCCAGGUUCGGGCCCUCUUGAUGGAGGUAAAAACCUACGUCCUGCUUGAUUAAUAUUGAUGAUAUGGGUAGUACAAGAGUAGAUCUACCACGAGAUCAAGGAGGCUAGCCUAUGGUAUGAUUGUUGUUCUGUCCUACGGACUAAAACCCUCCGGUUUAUAUAGACACCAGGGAGGGAUAGGGUUACACCUAGUCGGUUACAGUGGUAGGAGAUCUACAUAUCCGUAUCGCCAAGCUUGCCUUCCACGCCAAGGAAAGUCCCUUCCGGACACGGGACGAAGUCUUCAAUCUUGUAUCUUCAUAGUCCAGGAGUCCUGCUAUCCGGACACCCCGUAAUCCAGGACUCCCUCAGUAGCCCCUGAACCAGGCUUCAAUGACGACGAGUCCGGCGUGCAGAUUGUCUUCGGCAUUGCAAGGCGGGUUCCUCCUCCAAGUACUUCAUAGAAGAUGUUGAACACAAAGGUAGUGUCCGGCUCUGCAAAAUAAGUUUCCACAUAUUGCCAUAGAGAUAAUACUAUUUACACAAAUCUAAUCUGCUGACGUAUUCCGUAGCGUGACAUCACACCACGGCCAAGUGUUUAUCUGAAUCGUUUUACUGUCCCACCUCAGCGCGUUUAGCGAGGUGGUUUCCUUGGCACAUCUUGUUAAAGCAGAGAUCGUGUCCCCUUAUUCCGGGAUUCUCAUCAAUACGGGCGUGGGUAACCCAACCGUACCUGUUGGUAUGUUUUCUCGAUCAAAGGCGAGUCCCAAAUGGUCACAGGGAGGGCCCUUGGUAUUCAACCUCUUAUAAAGAGACCAAGGCCAUACUCCUUCCUUUCAAUCUCAAACGAGUUCACCCUUCGCCUCGAGUUCCAACACCCAAGGCUCCAGAUUUCAGGCGCUUCGGACCUUCGACAAUGUCCGGUUCCGACCUUCGAGGCCGAUGGAUGCCCUCCUCCGUCACGGAGGAGGACGUGCUGAAGUUGAGAGAGGCCAGGUUCUUGACCGGCGAAAUCUGGCAUAGGCUGCCUGCUCAAGGGCAGGUCAUUCCCACUCCCAAGCCUGGUGAGAGUGUGGUGUUCAUGUCUCACUUCCUUCGGGGGCUAGGCUUCCCAACGGAUCCCUUCGUGAGGGGGCUCAUGUUUUAUUAUGGGCUGGAAUUUCACGACUUAGCUCCNNNNNNNNNNGGAUGGUAGCGAUGUCUUCCUACUUGGCGAGAAAUUGAUUCCUUCCUAUUCCAUCAUGUAGCCAUCCCUAAAUCAUGCGCCAUACCAUACGUGAGACAUGAGUACGCCGCCGUCAUGUCCGCUACAAUAAACCUACCGUCCUGCUCUUUUUCUCUUAAUCCCAAUCGCAAGAAUGUCUAGCCAGUAUUCAGUACGCGAGAUUCAGACGAUCGACAAGCACACGCACAUCAUCGCCGAUCUGUCGAGCUCUAAAUCCAGAUGCGAAUAAGUACUCAUCGUUGAACCCCCGAUCACCAAUGCCAACCAAUCGAAGGUAUAUUAUAUUGCCGUUCUCUAAUCCCUACUCCCCAUACGUAGUAUGUUACUACUCCCUCCGGUCCUUUUUACUCUGCACAUUAGAUUUGCCGAAAGUCAAACUUUGCUAAGUUUGACCAAAUUUAUAUUAGAAAUUAUUAGCAUCUAUAAUAUCUAAUAAAUAUAAUAUGAAAAUAUAUUCCAAGAUGAAUCUAAAGAUAUUGGUGUUGUUAUGUGAAUGUCUAUAAUUUUUUAUAUAAACUUGGUCAAAGUUGGAUGAGAUUGACUUCGGACAAACCUAAUAUGCAGAGUAAAAAUGACCGGAGGGAGUACUUACUAGCAUACAUGAUGCCUAGCCGUGGCAUGGUUCAACCAUUGAUGCCAUAGUGCAUCUGACUGUCACAUCGUCUGAGAGAAUCUUUUGAAAGUUUAAAUUCUUGAGGAACUAUUUGAGGUGAACAAUGACUUAUUAUAGAAUUCAAAUGGUUUGGCAACAAUAUGCAUCGAGAAGAAGUUAAUUGAAGAGACUGACUUGGACCCCAUCAUAAGUGACUUUGCGUCAAAAAUGAUAGAAUUGUUUAAGGUAAUGUGUAUAAUUAUUUCAUAUGCAUACUAUUUUUUGAUGCAUUUAAGUGUUUAUAGGUAAUUUUCAUAUAUAAGUAUAUUUAUUAGUAUUAUUUGUUGUUUAUACUAAGGGCCCCGAGUUUUAGUUUCGCCCCGGGCCCCCAAAAUCUCAGGACCGGCCCUGAUCACCCUUUAAUGAGAACGGGAAUAUUUUAAGGAUAUAAAAGUAGCGAGUUCUCUUCUCAUUAGUGAACAGGGUAGCUAUAUCAUUUAAUUUAGUAAGAUGUGCCACAACAGUUUCAGAUUCAUAGCCAUAAAAAGGAUCAGAUUCAACCAAAGUAAUUAUACCAGGAUCAAUAGAGAAUUCAUAAUCCUUAUCAGCAACAAAGAUAGGUGAAGUAGCAUAAGCAGGAUCAUAUUUCAUUCUAGCAUUCAGAGUUUUUUGUUUAAUCUUAGCUAAUAAUUUCUUAAGAUCACUUCUAUCAUUGCAAGCAAGAAAGUCUCUUUUAGUUUCUUCAUCCAUAACAUAGCCCUCAGGUACAACAUGUAAUUCAUAUUUACUAGGAGAGCCUUCAUAAUCACUUUCCUCAGUAUUAUCAGUUUCAAUAAUUUCAUUCUCUCAAGCCCUAGCACGUUGUUCAUCAAGAAAUUUACCAAGUGGCACAGUUGUAUCAAGCAUAGAAGUACUUUCAUCAUAAGUAUCAUGCAUAGCAGAAGUGGAAUCAUCCAUAAUAUGUGACAUAUCAGAAUUAAUAACAUAAGCAGGUUUAGGUAUCGCAAGCUUACUCAAAACAGAAGGUGAAUCAAGUGCAGAGCUAGAUGGCAGUUCCUUACCUCCCCUCGUAGUUGAGGGAUAAAUCUUGGUUUUUGGAUCUCUCAAGUUCUUCAUAAUGAUAAGCAGAUAUAAAUCCCAAGUGACUCAAAAAUAGAGCUAUGCUCCCCGGCAACGGCGCCAGAAAAUAGUCUUGAUAACCCACAAGUAUAGGGGAUCGCAACAGUUUUCGAGGGUAGAGUAUUCAACCCAAAUUUACAGAUUCGACACAAGGGGAGCCAAAGAAUAUUCUCAAGUAUUAGCAGCUGAGUCGUCAAUUCAUCCACACCGGGAAACUUAGUAUCUGCAGCAAACUGUUUAGUAGCAAAGUAAUAUGAUAGUAGUGGUAAUGGUGGCAAAAGGUAANNNNNNNNNNUUUAUGAGGGCGGGCGGGAUAACGCCCUUAGUAAUAAGCCCCUAGUGUCCAGGUACGCGCAAAACUCUGACGUAGCCACAUGCCAAAACGCCAGCCUCCUCCUUGGUUAUACCAAGAAACCAGGGGAUGUGUAUCAACAAGAGACAGUAAAAAAGGUUUACGCAGGGUCUUAAUCUGAAAAGAAUCCUUGGAACGGGUCCCUACUGCACGUCUGCCCCUGUGUCUCCGUUGUGCCGUAUCCUGGACGGGCGUAGCACGGUGUUCAUCUGUAAAAGAGAGGAACUUAGUUUAGGAAAGAUCGUGCCAAACAUGAUUUAUACUAAAUAAACGAAGUAUAAAUCGAAAUGGGUAAAAUUAAGCUUUAUUGUCUCUUGUUUUAUAUGCACGGAGCCCCUAGUAUAGGGGUAUACGGCUAUUAAGCCUUUAUCAAUUGUAUGUUUAUGCCGGACUCGUCUAGCCGUGUCCGUGGUCUUGACGACCUGUUUAGGUGCUUUGGCUGGUGAAGCCGCUUUAUUGUGGGGCUGUCAAGGCAGCCGCACUGUCUUCCGCGCGGGAGGAACAUUCAAUGUUUUCCCUUUAAUGAGAUGAUGCCUCGUGGACCGGGCAUCUUAAGCGUAAGAGAUGCAUAAUGUGGUAUUGCGUUAAAGCGGGCGAAAGCUUCGCGUCCCAGCAGUGCUUGAUAGCUACUUGAGAAUGGGGCGAUGUGGAAAGUUAGCUCUUUGCGACAGAAGUUAUCGGGGGAGCCGAACAUAACUUCUAGCCGGAGAGAGCCCAUGCAAUGGGCAUCCGGGCCUGGCGUUACCCCUUGAAAGGAGGUUUUGCUAUGGCGAAUUUUUGUUGGGUCUAUCCCCAUGUUGCGGAUUGUGUCCUGGUAUAACAGGUUUAGACCACUGCCGCCGUCCAUCAGGACAUUUGUAAAGUGGAGUCUGCCGAUUAUUGGAUCUAAUACCAAGGCAGUCCUGAUGGUCGAAGGUUUCAAUGAUGCUCACAUAAAAGAUAAGAAUUGAAAUAUGACUAGCUUGAUGAUUUCAAUGAUGCUCACAUAAAAGAUAAGAAUUGAAAUAUAAAGAGAGCAUCAUGAAGAAUAUGACUAGCACAUUUAACUAUAACCCACUUCCUAUGCAUAGGGAUUUUGUGAGCAAACAACUUAUGGGAACAAGAAUCAACUUGCAUUGGAAAGCAAAGCAAGCAUAACUUCAAGAUUUUAAGCACAUAGAGAGGAAACUUGGUAUUAUUGCAAUUCCUACAAGCAUAUAUUCCUCACUCAUAAUAAUUUUCAGUAGCAUCAUGCAUGAAUUCAACAAUAUAGCUAUCACAUAAAGCAUUAUUUUCAUGAUUCAUAGGCAUAAAAUUUUUAUUACUCUCCACAUAAGCAAAUUUAUUGUCAUGGAUAAUAGUGGGAGCAAACUCAAAAAAAUAACUAUCAUGUGAAGCAUAAUCCAAUUGAAAAUUAAAAUCAAGAUGACAAGUUUCAUGGUUAUCAUUAUUCUUCAUAGUAUACAUGUCAUCACAAUAAUCAUCAUAUGUAGCAACUUUGUUCACAUAAUCAAUUGGAACCUCUUCCAAAAUAGUGGAUUCAUCACUAAAUAAAGUCAUAACCUCUCCAAAUUCACUUUCAUCAAUAUAAUCGUCAUAAAUAGGAGGCAUGCUAUCAUCAUAAUAAAUUUUCUCAUCAAAACUUGUGGAACAAAAAAUAUUAGCAGAGAAGUAAUAAAUCAUAUCCUGGGGACUACGCACACAACCAGGAUCAAGAGAAUUAAACCAUAUCUUAGCAUCACCCUCAGGCCCGGCCCUGAUGGGGGGGGCAGGGGGGCGGCCGCCCCGGGCCCCCGAAAUCCAAGGGCCCCUCCCCAGGGGUACAGGUAGCCUACGGGCUUGCGUUAAGAAAACUAUGGGCCGUGGCCACACGUGGAUGACGAUGGAUGGUAGCGAUGUCUUCCUACUUGGCGAGAAAUUGAUUCCUUCCUAUUCCAUCAUGUAGCCAUCCCUAAAUCAUGCGCCAUACCAUACGUGAGACAUGAGUACGCCGCCGUCAUGUCCGCUACAAUAAACCUACCGUCCUGCUCUUUUUCUCUUAAUCCCAAUCGCAAGAAUGUCUAGCCAGUAUUCAGUACGCGAGAUUCAGACGAUCGACAAGCACACGCACAUCAUCGCCGAUCUGUCGAGCUCUAAAUCCAGAUGCGAAUAAGUACUCAUCGUUGAACCCCCGAUCACCAAUGCCAACCAAUCGAAGGUAUAUUAUAUUGCCGUUCUCUAAUCCCUACUCCCCAUACGUAGUAUGUUACUACUCCCUCCGGUCCUUUUUACUCUGCACAUUAGAUUUGCCGAAAGUCAAACUUUGCUAAGUUUGACCAAAUUUAUAUUAGAAAUUAUUAGCAUCUAUAAUAUCUAAUAAAUAUAAUAUGAAAAUAUAUUCCAAGAUGAAUCUAAAGAUAUUGGUGUUGUUAUGUGAAUGUCUAUAAUUUUUUAUAUAAACUUGGUCAAAGUUGGAUGAGAUUGACUUCGGACAAACCUAAUAUGCAGAGUAAAAAUGACCGGAGGGAGUACUUACUAGCAUACAUGAUGCCUAGCCGUGGCAUGGUUCAACCAUUGAUGCCAUAGUGCAUCUNNNNNNNNNNNNNNNNNNNNNNNNNNNNNNNNNNNNNNNNNNNNNNNNNNNNNNNNNNNNNNNNNNNNNNNNNNNNNNNNNNNNNNNNNNNNNNNNNNNNNNNNNNNNNNNNNNNNNNNNNNNNNNNNNNNNNNNNNNNNNNNNNNNNNNNNNNNNNNNNNNNNNNNNNNNNNNNNNNNNNNNNNNNNNNNNNNNNNNNNNNNNNNNNNNNNNNNNNNNNNNNNNNNNNNNNNNNNNNNNNNNNNNNNNNNNNNNNNNNNNNNNNNNNNNNNNNNNNNNNNNNNNNNNNNNNNNNNNNNNNNNNNNNNNNNNNNNNNNNNNNNNNNNNNNNNNNNNNNNNNNNNNNNNNNNNNNNNNNNNAGUAGCAAAAAUAAUAUUUUUGGUGUUUUGUAGUGAUGAUAGCAAUAGCAACGGAAAAGUAAAUAAGCGAAGAACAAUAUAUGGAAAGCUCGUAGGCAAUGGAUCGGUGAUAGAGAAUUAUGCCGGAUGUGGUUCAUCAUGUAACAGUCAUAACCUAGGGUGACACAGAACUAGCUCCAAUUCAUCAAUGUAAUGUAGGCAUGUAUUCCGAAUAUAGUCAUACCCGCUUAUGGAAAAGAACUUGCAUGACAUCUUUUGUCCUACCCUCCCGUGGCAGCGGGGUCCUAGCGGAAACUAAGGGAUAUUAAGGCCUCCUUUUAAUAGAGUACCGGACCAAAGCAUUAACACAUAGUGAAUACAUGAACUCCUCAAACUAUGGUCAUCACCGGAAGUGGUCCCGAUUAUUGUCACUUCGGGGUUGCCGGAUCAUAACACAUAGUAGGCGACUAUAGACUUGCAAGAUAGGAUCAAGAACUCUCAUAUAUUCAUGAAAACAUAAUAGGUUCAGAUCUGAAAUCAUGGCACUCGGGCCCUAGUGACAAGCAUUAAGCAUAGCAAAGUCAUAGCAACAUCAAUCUCAUAACAUAGUGGAUACUAGGGAUCAAACCCUAACAAAACUAACUCGAUUACAUGAUAAAUCUCAUCCAACCCAUCACCGACCAGCAAGCCUACGAUGGAAUUACUCACGCACGGCGGUGAGCAUCAUGAAAUUGGUGAUGGAGGAUGGUUGAUGACGAUGGCGACGGAUUCCCCUCUCCGGAGCCCCGAACGGACUCCAGAUCAGCCCUCCCAAGAGAGUUUAGGGCUUGGCGGUGGCUCCAUAUCAUAAAACAGAAUGAAUCUUUCUCUCUGAUUUUUUUCUCCCCGAACAUGAAUAUAUAGAGUUGGAGUUGAGGUCGGAGGAGCUCUAGGGGGGCCCACGAGGUAGGGGGCACGCCCAGGGGGGCAGGCGCGCCCCCCACCCUCGUGGCUAGGGUGUGGGCCCCCCUGGUCUUGAUCUUUUGCCAGUAUUUUUUAUUAUUUCCAAAAAUAGACUCCGUGAAGUUUCAGGUCAUUCCGAGAACUUGUUUCUGCACAUAAAUAACACCAUGGCAAUUCUGCUGAAAACAGUGUCAGUCCAGGUUAGUUCCAUUCAAAUCAUGCAAGUUAGAGUCCAAAACAAGGGCAAAAGUGUUUGGAAAAGUAGAUAUGACGGAGACGUAUCAACUCCCCCAAGCUUAAACCUUUGCUUGUCCUCAAGCAAUUCAGUUGACGAACUGAAAGUGAUAAAGAAAAACUUUUACAAACUUUGUUUGCUCUUGUCGUUGUAAAUAUGUAAAGCCAACAUUCAAGUUUUUAGCAAAGAUUAUAAACUAACCAUGUUCACAAUAACGCGUAGGUCUCAUGUUUACUCAUAUCAGUGGCAUAAUCAACUAGCGAGCAAUAAUAAUAAAUCUCGGGUGACAACACUUUCUCAAAACAAUCAUAAUAUGAUAUAACAAGAUGGUAUCUCGCUAGCCCUUUCUGAGACUGCAAAACAUAAAUGCAGAGCACCUUUAAAGAUCAAGGACUGACUAGACAUUGUAAUUCAUGGUAAAAGAGAUCCAGUCAAGUCAUACUCAAUGUAAACUAACAGUAAUGAAUGCAAAAUGAAAGUGGUGCUCUCCAACUGGUGCUUUUUAAUAAGAGGAUGAUGACUCAACAUGAAAGUAAAAUAGAUAGGCCCCUCGUAGAGGGAAGCAGGGAUUUGUAGAUGUGCCAGAGCUCGGUUUUGAAAUAGAGAUGAAUAAUAUUUUGUGUGGUAUACUUUCAUUGUCAACAUAACAACCAAGAGAUGGCGAUAUCUUCCAUGCUACACACAUUAUAGGCGGUUCCCAAAUAGAAUGGUAAAGUUUAUACUCCCCCUCCAACAAUAAGCAUCAAUCCAUGGCUUGCUCGAAACAACGAGUGCCUCCAACUAACAAGAGUCCCAGGGGGAGUUUUUUUUGCAAUUAUUUUGAUUUGAUUUGCAUAAAGCAUGGGACUGGGCAUCCCGGUGACCAGCCACUUUCUCAUGAGUGAGGAGCGGAGUCCACUCCUCUUUAGAAUAACCCACCUAACAUGGAAGAUGCGGACCACCCUAGUUGAUACAUGAGCUAUUCGAGCAUACAAAACAGGAUAUUUAUUUGAAGGUUUAGAGUUUGGCACAUACAAAUUUACUUGGAACGGUAGGUAGAUACCGUAUAUAGGUAGGUAUGGUGGACUCAUAUGGAAUAACUUUGGGGUUUAUGGAGUUGGAUGCACAAGCAGUAUUCCCGCUUAGUACAAGUGAAGGCUAGCAAAAGACUGGGAAGCGACCAACUAGAGAGCGACAAAAGCCAUGAACAUGCAUUAAAGUUAAUGAACAUUGAGUGCAAGCAUGAGUAGGAUAUAAUCCACCAUGAACAUAAAUAUCGUGAAGGUUAUGUUGAUUUUGUUUCAACUACAUGCGUGAACAUGUGCCAAGUCAAGUCACUUAAAUCAUUCAGAGGAGGAUACCACCCUAUCAUACCACAUCACAACCAUUUUAAUAGCAUGUUGGCACGCAAGGUAAACCAUUAUAAGCUCCUAGCUAAUUAAGCAUGGCAUAAGAAACUAUGAUCUCUAAUUGUCAUCCCAAACAUGUUUAUUCAUAAUAGGCUGAAUCAGGAAUGAUGAACUAAUCAUAUUUACAAAAACAAGAGAGGUCGAGUUCAUACCAGCUUCUCCCAUCUCAAUCAUUCAAUCAUAUAUCGUCAUAAUUGCCUUUCACUUGCACGACCGAAUGAUGUGAAUAAUAAUAAUAGUGCGCGUGCAUUGGACUAAGCUGGAAUCUGCAAGCAUUCAAUAAACAGGAGAAGACAUGGCAAUAUGGGCUCUUUUGUCAGAUCAACAAUAAUUCAUAUAAGAGCCACUUUAACAAUUUAAUCAUGGUCUUCUCCUAUCGACCCCCAAAGAAAAGAAAAUAAAUAAAACUAUUUACACGGGAAAGCUCCCAACAAGCAAAAGAAGAACAUGAAAUCUUUUUGUGUUUUCUUUUUAAUUACUAUUACAAGCAUGGAAAUUAAAACUAGCUAAAAACUACAACUAUUUUUUUGUUUUUCUUAAGGUUUAUUAAACACACAAGAAGAAAGCAUAAAAAGAGAAAAUAAACUAGCAUGGAUAUUACAAUGAAAAAGUAUGAGCGCCGACAACUAGCAAUGAGUGUGUGAACAUGAAGGUAAUGUCGGUGAGAAAUACGUACUCCCCCAAGCUUAGGCUUUUGGCCUAAGUUGGUCUAUGGCCACGGUUGGCCUGGCGGAUAUCCAUAGUAAUAGUUGGGGUCGUACUGCGAAGAAGAAGACUACGAUUGCCACUCGUUGGCAAUCAUCUCCGGAUCCCACUGUAAUUAGACUGUCAUGGAGGAUCAACUUGUGGUUCCGACUCUGGCUCUGUGGCUGAUGUAGGGUUCUGGUAGGCGUGAAUAGCUUCCAACGGAACAAGGUACUUGCCUGUAGAUAAAUCAAACAAGGAAGGAGCAGGCAGGGUAAUAGUCUCAAGAUGAUGUUUAUCAAAGAACAAUUUGUAUUUGAGCUCGUUUUCCCUAUUCUUAACAAUAAAAUUGUGUGCUACCAUACUCUUAUAAUCUAAAUAAACAGGAGGCAGCAAUUUUUCUUCCUUCUCAUAAUGCCUAAUAGGUAUGUUAAAAUGUGCAGCUAGGCGCGAGGCGAAGAUGCCUCCAAAGACGGGGCCCUUAGUACGGUUAAGAUUUAACCGCUUUGCAAUAAUAGCACCCAUGCUGAAUGUAUCAUCACGAAAUAAGGCGUGGCACAAAAUAACAAUAUCAGGGGCACUCAGGUUUCCACAGUUUCCGCGCCCAAUUAAGCAUCUACUAGCAAAUAUAGCAAAGUAACGUAGAACAGGAAAGUGUAUGCUAGUAGUUCGUGCAUCGGAAACCUUCCUCAUUUCCCCUACAGUGAUGGUAUCAAUAAACCCAUCCACAUCACCGCGAUGUGGUUCCUAUAUGAUGCCCUCGAAAGGGAUCAAACAAACCCGACAAAAAUCACGAAGUGACAUCUCCUUAUGCUCAUCAUAUAAAUAAAACUCAACCGUAGGUGGUGAGCUCCUAGCAUGGAAAUGAAAGUUUUGCACAAAGAUAUUGGUGAGUAAGAGAUACUGUUCGCGCUAGUCGUGGAGGAAGGCGGUGAGGCCUGCAUUCUCAGCCAAUUCAUAGAAAUCAUCAUAAAUCCCGGCUGCUCUCAAGAAAUCAUCACAACGCCAUUCACACGGCCGAACCUCCACGAUGCGAGGCAGAUUAUAUUUGGGCCUCUUUGCUUCUUCAUUUUGCUUUUCCUUCGAGCUUCGGCUCGAUGAGCCCCUCAAAAGUCUCUUCAUUAUUUUAUGAAAAAUUCUGAAAUUUUUAGUAACUUCAAAUAAAAGUGAACCAAACUCAACAAAAUUGAUAGCAACUACUCCUACAAGUGCCUAGAGCCUAUAUCAUGCAUCAAAACUACUUGGAACCACAUAAAUUUGACAUGCAAGCUCAAGAACAGGUCCACCUAAGCAGCAAAAAUAUGCAAUGAAUAAAGCACUAGAACAAAAACUAAUUGGACCAUUGGAGGAGUCACAUACCAAGGAACAAUCCCCCAAUGCAGUUUUGUGAGAGGUGCUUUGAGCAAGGAGAUCCAAAAUCGCAGCAAAAUGAGCUAGAACUCGUGCUUGAGAUGGAUAAUGCUGUUUGUGGGAGGAAUAAGGAGUGUGUGGGUGCAGGAAUAAGUGGAGGAGGGCCACCAUGGGCCCACGAGGCAGGGGGCGCGCCCAGGGGGGUAGGGCGCGCCCUCCACCCUCGUGGCCAGGUGGAUGCCCCCUAUUGUGUUCUUAGUGCCAAAUAUUCACAAAUAUUCCAGAAAAAUUAUAUUUAAAUUUCAGGGCAUUUGGAGAACUUUUAUUUUCUGGGUAUUUUUAUAUUGCACGGAUAAUAAAAAAAUAGACAAAAAUUACUAUUUUUGGUUUAUUUAAUAUAAAUAACAGAAAGUAGAAAGAGGGUAUAGAGAGUUGUGUUUUCUAAAUUCAUCCAUCUCAUGAUCAUCAAAAGGAAUCCAUUAACAAGGUUGAUCAAGUCUUGUUAACAAACUCAUUUCGAAUAACAUGGAACCGGAGAAUUUUAGAAUAACACUAGGUUACCUCAACGGGGAUAUGUGUAACGCCCUCGAUGCGGCUAUAUCUCCCACAUGUCGAAGCACGACUUAGAGGCAUAACCACAUUGAAAGCAAUGUCGCAAGUGAGGUAAUCUUCACACAACCCAUGUAAUAAAUAAUGGAAAGAGAUACGUAGUUGGCUUACAAUCGCCACUUCACGCAAUACAUGAAUAAAGCAUUACAUCAACCAGAUACAAUCAAGGUCCGACUAUGGAACCAAAAUAUAAGAAGACUACCCCAAAUGCUACACAGAUCCCCGAUCGUCCCAACUGGGCUCCACUACUGAUCAACGGGAAACGGAACAACAUAACAAACACGAUCUUCAUCGAGCUCCUCCUUGAGCUCAGUUGCGUCACCUGCACGGUAUCAUCGGCACCUGCAAACUGGUUUUGGAAGUAAUCUGUGAGUCACGGGGACUCAGCAAUCUCACACACUCGCGAUCAAGACUAUUUAAGCUUAUGGGUAAGGUAAUGGUAUGAGGUGGAGUUGCAGCAAGCGACUAGCAUAUUUGGUGGCUAACAUAUGCAAAUGAGAGCGAGAAGAGAAGGCAAAGCACGAUCGAGAAUCUAUGAUCAAGAAGUGAUCCUAGAGCAACCUACGUUAAAGCAUAACUCCAACACCGUGUUCACUUCCCGGACCCCGCCGAGAAGAGACCAUCACGGUUACACACGCGGUUGAUGCAUUUUAAUUAAGUUAAGUUUCGGGAUUUCUACAACCGGACAUUAACAAAUUCCCAUCUGCCCAUAACCGCGGGCACGGCUUUCGAAAGAUCAUAACCCUGCAGGGGUGUCCCAACUUAGCCCAUCACAAGCUCUCACGGUCAACGAAGGAUAUUCCUUCUCCCAAGACAAUCCGAUCAGACUCGGAAUGCUGGUUACAAGACAUCUCGACAAUGGUAAAACUAAACCAGCAAAGCUACCCGAAUGUGCCGACAAAUUCCGAUAGGAGCUGCACAUAUCUCGUUCUCAGGGCACACCGGAUUGUCCAAACUUCCGGUAGGCCAGCCCAGAGUUGCCCCUGGUGGCCACCGGCGGCUAACAAGGUGGACCAACACUCAAAGGAGCACUGGCCCGGGGGUUUAAAUAAAGAUGACCCUUGAGUCCGCGGAACCCAAGGGAAAAAGAGGCUAGGUGGCAAAUGGUAAAACCAAUGUUGGGCAUUGCUGGAGGAGUUUUAUUCAAGGCAAACUGUCAAGGGGUUCCCAUUAUACCCAACCAUGUAAGGAACGCAAAAUCAAGGAACAUAACACCGGUAUGACAUAAACUAGGGCGGCAAGAGUGGAACAAAACACCAGGCAUAAGGCCUAGCCUUGCACCCUUUACCAAGUAUAUAGAUGCAUUAAUUAAAUAAGAGAUAUUGUGAUAUCCCAACAAAUAUCCAUGUUCCAACAAGGAACAACUCCAGUCUUCACCUGCAACUAGCAACGCUAUAAGAGGGGCUGAGCAAAGCGGUAACAUAGCCAAACAACGGUUUGCUGGGAAAGGUGGGUUAGAGGCUGGACAUGGCAAUAUGGGAGGCACGAUAAGCAAGUGGUAGGUAUCGCAGCAUAGGCAUAGGAAAAGAGCGAGCAACUAGCAAGCAAAGAUAGAAGUGAUUUCGAGGGUAUGGUCAUCUUGCCUGUAAAGUUCUCAGAGUUGACUUGAUCCUCGUAAGCAUACUCAACGGGCUCCUCGAACACGUACUCAUCUCCUAGCUCUACCCAAAGCAAGACAACAAGCAAAAGAGAGAACAAUCAACCACGUGCAAUGCACAAACAACAUGAUGCAAAACAUGUCAUGAUAUGCGGGAUGCGAUAUGAGAUGCAUAUGCAUGAUUCGAAAAGGAAUGAUUGAACCUGGCCUCAACUUCGAAAACCAAGAGUGCCACUGGAAAUAGGAGUUGAUUUCGGUUGAAAUCGAUAUAAAGAUCACCGGAAUCGGAUGCACGGUUUGGAAAUGACAAGCAAAACAAAUAUGGCACCGGGCUGCGAUUAACAGCACGAGACCAUCUAAAUGCAUCAAGAACAACAUGCUACAGCAUUCCACCAUGACAACAAAAUACAUGGCAGGGAUCGACUCAAGAUGCUUGUCAAAAGAUGAACACUGAGCUACGGCUAAUUCACUCAAUAGCAGGUUCAAACAAGCAUGGCAAUAGUGCAAAAGAUAUCAGGUUACAGACUUAGUGAAAUUAAUAGCAUGUCAGGAAUUUAACAUCAAGAAGCAAUGUUUAGAGCACGAUAACUAUAUGCUACAGGAACAUAUCAAGGCAAAGCAAGACAUGGCAUGAAGCUACUCAAAGCAUACAACAAAAGUCCCUUACUGACCAUAAGCCAAAAGGGAUCAGAAAAUACAAUUACAACCACGUGAAUAUAGCAAUUAUCGUUAACAGAUUCAGACUUAGUGAAAAACUGGAGCAUGGCAAAACAGAUAUCAAGUAGGCAUGUUUACGAGCUCGAUACACUCACCAUAAGGUAUUGCAUGACAAACUAAGCAUAUACCCAGCAAGUAGACAUGGCAUAGAAGCUAGACAUGGCAAGGACAACAACAUAGCAUGCACGAAUCAACUACAACAAGCUCGGCAAAAGUGCUAAACAUGUUAACAAUCUGCCAGGAACAUUUUAUCGCAAAAGUAGAGAUCGAUUGACUCAAGCUAGGGUGCUCCAUAAAUGCAAACAAAGACAUGGAUGGAUAGAGCACCACAAUAUCUACAAAACAUCCUUACUGAUCAUGCUCAAAAGAGGCACGGAUCACUAGGAAACAAUAUGAACACAUGGCAUAAAAAUAAGGACAGGGCAGUGACUUAGAAUAUUUCUAAGUCCCUGAAAUCAGCAACAUUAAGUGACCUACUUUGCAUGCUUGUGCUAGUCACCACAGAGAUCACAAAAAUACAUGGCAUACACCCCUGCAAAGAUGGCAUGGCAUACUUUAAAACACAUAUAGAGCUCAGGAUCAUAGCAUGCACACAUUAAACAUGGCAAAAAUGACAAAAGUGCAUUUGCUGAAACAGAUCUGAAACUAAUCAUCACAUAGCCCUCUUCUAGCAGCAUUUAGGGCAUCAAGAUGAACUCAAAUGAAAAUUAUGCAAUGGGAUGAAAUGAAGUACUCGUCGAGAUGAACAUUUCGAUAUGCUAAACGCACGAAUCGGAGCAACGGUGAUGAAGUUAUGGCAUGUCAAAGUAUGCAUAAAACUAGGGUUUCGAGGAGAAAAGGUCAACCGAGGCAGAAUGGAUCUGGAUCUGGAUCUCGCCGUUACUGUAGCAGUUCGCCGGAGUUGCUCGUCGACACCGGACUUGCCGAGGUGGAGCGAGGAGGAGGUGAGGGAGUCCUGGAUUAGGGGGUGUCCGGAUAGCCGGACUAUACCUUCGGCCGGACUCCUCGACUAUGAAGAUACAAGAUUGAAGACUUCGUCCCGUGUCCGGAAGGGACUUUCCUUGGCGUGGAAGGCAAGCUUGGUGAUACGGAUAUGUAGAUCUCCUACCAUUGUAACCGACUCUGUGUAACCCUAGCCCUCCCCGGUGUCUAUAUAAACCGGAGGGUUUAGUCCGUAGGACAGAACAACAAUCAUACCAUAGGCUAGCUUCUAGGGUUUAGCCUCCUUGAUCUCGUGGUAGAUCUACUCUUGUACUACCCAUAUCAUCAAUAUUAAUCAAGCAGGACGUAGGGUUUUACCUCCAUCAAGACGACCCGAACCUUGGUAAAACAUCAUGUCCCCUGCCUCCUGUUACCAUCCGCCUAGAUGCACAGAUCGGGACCCCCUACCCGAGAUCCACCGGUUUUGACACCGACAUUGGUGCUUUCAUUGAGAGUUCCUCUGUGUCGUCACUUUUAGGCCCGAUGGCUUCUCCGAUCAUCAAUAGCGAUGCGAUCCAGGGUGAGACCUUUCUCCCCGGACGGAUCUUCGUAUUCGGUGGCUUUGCACUGCGGGCCAAUUCGCUUGGCCAUCUGGAGCAGUUCGAAAGCUACGCCCCUGGCCAUCAGGUCAGAUUUGGAAGUUUGAGCUACACGGCUGACCUCCUCGGAGACUUGAUCUUCGACGGAUUCGAGCCGCAGCCGAGCGCGCCGCACUGUCACGAUGGGCAUGAUCUAGCUCUGCCGUCGAACAGUGCCCUGGAGGCUGCACCCGCAUCAGCUCCGACCCUUAAUUCGGAGCCAACUGCGCCAAUCAAGGAUGGGUGGUUGGGCACCGCCUCGGGGGCUGCAAUCUCUACGGCGAUCGAGCCGAACAGCAGCCCUAUUCUCUGCGAAGCUCGUGACUCCAAGGAGCCGGACUCCUCUCCAGACUCCGAGCCCUCCGUGCCCCUACCGAUUGAACCUGACUGGGCGCCAAUCAUGGAGUUCACCGCCGCGGACAUCUUUCAGCACUCGCCCUUCGGCGACAUUCUGAAUUCACUCAGGUCUCUCUCUUUGUCAGGAGAGUCCUGGCCGGACUAUGACCGGGAGGAUUGGGAUGCGGACGACGAAGAAAUUUGAUGCCCACCCACCACCCACUUCGUAGCCACUGUCGAUAAUUUAAACGACGUGCUCGACUUUGAAAUCGAAGACAUCGACGGUAUGGACGACGAUGUAGGAGAUGAACAUGAACCAACGCUUAUAAGGCACUGGACAGCCACCUCAUCUCAUGAUGUAUACAUGGUGGACACACCCAAAGGAAGCGACGACGAGGAACACAGGGAUGCAACGAGGGAUCGUUCACUCGAAAAGCAAUCAAAGCGGCGACGUAAGCGCCGCUCCAAGCCCCGCCUCGACAGAGACAGCAGCCAUACAGACCCAGCCAUAGAGCAGGACGAGCCGGUGGACGAUGAACAUGCCUUCAAGCAACCGUCCGAACAUGGCAACUUGGAUAAACAAAUCGAACAUCCCGUCCCCGGCGAAAACAACAGUCCGGACGACCUUACGCCGGAUAGGCUCAUGGAAGAGAAGAACCUCCACAAAAGGCUCGUCGCCACUUCGCGUAGCCUGAAAAAGCAGAAGCGGAAGCUCAAAACUGUGGAAGAUGCACUCAGAAUUAGAUGGAGCAAAGUACGCAACACCGCAGACAAAUAUGGCGGCAGUCGCCGCACAAAAAGCUAUCCAAAGUGGAAGCUACUGCCUGAAUUCGACGAGGAGGCCUUAGAGCCCCCGCAGUCAAAAAAUAGGAAAGCCACCCGGUCGGAUAGACGACCGCAUGGCCAGCAUGGAGCGGCAAGCGGCGCCGCACACAAGCCGACACGUGAUCCACCAAAGGAUCCGCAUCAAAAAGAUGGCCCAGCCAGAUCUAUCUAUGGGCCAAGAAAGCAAGCUCUAGUAAGCAAUGCAACACAACAAAUAUCCAAACAUCACGGCACACCCAAAUACAGGGGUGCCGCACACCCCCUAUGUUUCACCGAUGAGGUGAUGGACCAUGAAUUUCCAGCGGGAUUCAAGCCCAUAAACAUAGAGGCGUAUGACGGAACAACAGACCCUGGGGUCUGGAUCGAGGAUUAUAUCCUCCACAUACACAUGGCCAGAGGAGAUGACCUCCACGCCAUAAAAUACUUACCCCUCAAGCUUAAAGGGCCAGCCCGGCAUUGGCUUAAAAGCCUUCCCAAAAACACCAUUGGAAGUUGGGAAGAGCUUGAGGAUGCUUUCCAGGCAAAUUUUCAAGGGACCUAUGUCCGCCCUCCGGAUGCAGACGAUCUCAGUCACAUAACUCAACAGCCCGGAGAGUCAGCCCGAAAAUUCUGGAACACAUUUCUUACUAAAAAGAAUCAGAUAGUCGACUAUCCGGACGCCGAAGCCCUAGCAGCUUUUAAGCAUAACGUUCGAGACGAAUGGCUCGCCAGACACCUCGGCCAAGAAAAGCCAAGAACAAUGGCUGCAUUAACAAGCCUCAUGACCCGCUUUUGCAUAGGAGAGGACAGCUGGUUGGCAAGAUGUAGCACCAGCGACCCAAGUACAUCCGAAGUUAGGGAUGGAAACGGAAAACCCCGACGCAGCAAGGAGCAGCGCCGGAAUAAGGGAAACAGCCCAAAGAGCACGGCAGUCAACGCCGGAUUCAAAAGCUCGCGGCAGAAUCAGAGAAAGCCGCACCUCAAGGAUAACAGGGACGAGCUAUCCAACUUAAACAAAAUCUUGGACAAGAUAUGUCAAAUACACAGUACUCCCGGGAAGCCUGCGAACCAUACCCACAGAGAUUGUUGGGUUUUCAAGCAAUCCGACAAACUCAACGCCGAACACAAGGGGCUCGACACACCAAGUGAGGACGACGACGAACCCCACAAGCAGAGCACCAGGAAACAAAAGGAUUUCCCACAAGAAGUCAAAACAGUAAACUUACUUCACGUGACGAACAGAAUGGCGCCAACAGAGAUACGCGCCAUACGGCCUAUCCCAAAGGAGUCUCGCCAAUGGUUGUUAAAACCAAUCACCUUUGACCAUCAGGACUGCCUUGGUAUUAGAUCCAAUAAUCGGCAGACUUCACAUUACAAAUGUCCUGAUGGACGGCGACAGUGGUCUAAACCUGCUAUACCAGGACACAAUCCGCAACAUGUGGAUAGACCCAACAAAAAUUCGCCAUAGCAAAACCUCCUUUCAAGGGGUAACGCCAGGCCCGGAUGCCCGUUGCAUGGGCUCUCUCCGGCUAGAAGUUAUGUUCGGCUCCCCUGAUAACUUCCGUCGCGAACAGCUAACUUUCCACAUCGCCCCAUUCUCAAGUAGCUAUCAAGCACUGCUGGGACGCGAAGCUUUCACCCGCUUUAACGCAAUACCGCAUUAUGCAUCUCUUACACUUAAGAUGCCCGGUCCAUGAGGCAUCAUCUCAUUAAAGGGAAAACAUUGAAUGUUCCUCCCACGCGGAAGACAGUGCGGCUGCCUUGACUGCCCCACAAUAAAGCGGCUUCACCAGCCAAAGCACCUAAACAGGUCGUCAAGACCACGGACACGGCUAGACGAGUCCGGCAUAAACAUACAAUUGAUAAAGGCUUAAUAGUUGUAUACCCCUGUACUAGGGGCUCCGCGCAUAUAAAACAAGAGACAAUAAAGCUCAAUUUUACCCAUUUCGAUUUAUACUUCGUUUAUUUAGUAUAACUCAUGUUCGGCACGAUCUUUCCCAAACUAAGUUCCUUUCUUUUACAGAUGAACACCGUGCUACGCCCGUCCAGGAUACGGCACAACGGAGACACAGGCGCAGACGUGCAGUAGGGACCCGUUCCAAGGAUUCUUUUCAGAUUAAGACCCUGCGUAAACCUUUUUUACUGUCUCUUGUUGAUACACAUCCCCAGGUUUCUUGGUAUAACCAAGGAGGAGGCUGGCAUUUUGGCAUGUGGCCACGUCAGAGUUUUGCGCGUACCUGGACACUAGGGGCUUAUUACUAAGGGCAUUAUCCCGCCCGCCUCAUAAAGACCGAAUACCUUAGGGAGUGUUCGGCGUCGCGAGUUUGGCCUUAUAUGCAUCAGCUCCGAAUCAUGUCUUUGGUCAAAUGUUGGGUUUGCCCGGCUCCUGUGUUUUGCUACCUUAUGUUCCGCUCUAUCUGCUAAGGCGGCACCAGGAGAACUAAUGCGAUUGUGCCCCGGUUCGGCCAGGCGAGCACCUCAGUAGAGAAAGCCGAAAACUGACUGUCAUGAUAUAGCGUGAGACUGGUCAACCACUCGAUGACUUACCAGAAUCUUUAGGAUUCCUCCGCAUUAACGAAGGGCCGCUUCUCGGCCAGGCACAUACGCGCCCCGAGUUCGGGCGAGCGCAGGCGCCACCAGGGGCUAUAUAAGUAGCCUCACUGUCAAACCCCUAUGGCUAAGUGAAAGUGAUAAAGCAUCAUAGUUUGAUUGCCUAGUUCACUGCGCUAUCACCUCCUUUGUAGGACCAAGACGUUGGAUCAAGUGUGAAAAUGCGCCUUCUGCGAACACCCCCGCAUUAUGUGCGCGGGGGCUGAAGCCGACGACUACCAUCUUUCAGAUUAUAUAUACAUAUAUGUUAAACGGCCGCACAGGAGGUAUUAUAAUACUUGCAGGCACAAGUAUAAAAAGCUUCUACAAUUUAUCAAAAUAUUGUUUUACAAUAACAUAUGCUAUUCGAAUAUAGUAUCCUUCGAGCACUGCGUCUCUAUUAAAUGAGCGCCUUGCAGAACUUCCUGAAAAUAGUGCUCGGCAGGUACUCGGCUUCCAUCUGAGUCUGGGGACGCAACAGCGGUGGCCUCCAUUUCGGCCCAGUAUGUCUUGACACGGGCAAGAGCCAUCCGCGCACCCUCUAUGCACGCUGACCUCUUCAUCGCAUCGAUAUGCGGUGCUGCACCAAGGAACUGCUGCACCAAGUUGAAAUAACUUUUCGGCUCUGGCCUCUCUGGCCACAGAUGACUCAUGACAUACUUCAUGGCGAGUCCGGGCAACCUAUUUAGCUCGGCCCAUUCGGCCAAACGAUCGGCUAAUGACAGUGGACGCUCCGGAUUGUGGAACUGCGAGCAAAAGAGCUUUUCCACUUCACGAUCUUCUUGAUCUCGGAAGUGUUUGGCCGCAUCUGCGGCACUCGCUACCAAAUCCAGAUAGGUGUCCGCCGUACUCCACAUCUGGUCUAAUGGAGCAUGUUUAGUAUCACAGAACUUCCUCCGCAGCAUAAAGGGCUUUCCAGCCGCGAUCUCUCCGGCUUGACGCAGCUCCUCCUUCAUAGCUCUCAUCGCAGAGUGAGCAUCCUUGGCAUCGGCAACGGCCUUCUCCAGGUCCGUCUGUUCCACCCGAUCUUCUUUUUCAAGAAGCUUGCAACGGUCAGCAGCGUUCUUCAGCUUCACGGCCAUCUCGGCCAUUUCCUUCUUGCUUCGGCAGUGAGCAGCCUAUUCGGCUUUCAGCUCUUCAAUUGCCUUUUCGGCAGCCGCAUCACUUUUCCUGGCUUGCUCCUUGGCUCGGGCAAGUUCCGCUCGAAGAUUCUCCAUGGCAGCAGCACCAUCUGCAUCAAGCGCACACAUUGUAAGAUACUGGCAUAAAGCUCCUCUUACCAGGUGCCGCCGGAGGAAUUACAUACCUUGUGCCUCGUCAAGCCGCUCAUUGACAAGCGCGAUGUCGGCAUCUGCCACGUCAAGUUGCCGCUUUAGCUCGGCAAAUUCAUCAGUCCGGCUUGCCACCGGACACUUCGCCACCUACGUAUGAAGGCGGCAUAUUAGACCUGGGAUUAUGAUCCUCUGCGCGCCGUCACUUUUCACAAUGCAUAGAGUCUUAGGGGCUACUAUCUACACAGGGCGCAUCUUAUUUAUGCGCAACUGUCCAAAAAGGGUACAUUAUUUCGCGCACCUCAAAACCUGUCAGUAAACUCCUGACGGCCCCGUGCAAUCCACUCUCCGCGGAUGAAAUCCUCUCAAUCACCGUACCCAUCAAUGCACGGUGCUCCUCUGAGAUAGACGCUCGCCCUAGCAGAUCCUUCAGCUCCUCCGACCGCGCACCAGACGGUGCCGGACUCGUCUGAUGGCCCUUUUCAAAGGCCGGACGCGGAGGGCUUUGGGGGGCCAUAUGACUACCUUUCGGCCCUGUCGGAUUCAGAGAAACCCUCUGCGACAAUACCUCAGGAAUGCCCACCUCGCAAGGUGGUAUGGCAGGGGGAGGCGUUCCGCUCUCCAUCAUCUCCGGAAGAAGAUCCCCCGAAGACGAGCUCUACUGAGAAGGGCUAAGGCCCGAGCUACAAGGUAAAUUUUUGAUUACUCUUCUCAGAUAUAACGCAAGGAUUUCUCUCAUUUCUUAAAAAGAAAAACUCCUCUCUACUUACGGCUCGGUGGAGGUCUGAUCCCCUUGAGGGCAUAAUUCGGCCGAAGUAUCUCCCGGCACAGGACUCUCUGACGAAGAUUUCUUCCCCCGCUUUGAGGCCAUGGUCUCCGGGUCGUCAGAGGCGGUCCUCUUCUUCCCCUGAGGAGAGGAAUUUUCGAUUCCUCCCUUCCGGACAACCUUCUUCGAGGAGGCUGUAGCUUCCUUGUCCCCUCCAUCGCUUUCCUCCGAAGGCACAACCUCCAACAUCCUGACUAGCACGGGAUCCGGCGUGGUCUCGGGGAGGGGGGCCGGACACCUGAUUAGCUUUGCUUUCGCUAUCCACUCCUGUUUAAAGGACAUCUCUUUUAGGGGCAAUUUUAUGAUAAAUAUACGAAUAGCGAGUCCGGGCACAAGGCUACUUACUUGAGUAUCCGGACGAUUGCAGCUCAUACCUGCAUCCUCCGUAGAAUCCGGACACACUACUUGUGGUCCAAAGAACAAUUUGUACAUCUCCACGGGCGUCAUGCCAAGAAAAUGUUGGAGAACUCGUGGUCCCUCUGGGUUGAACUCCCAUAGGCGGAGGGGGCGACGUUUGCAGGGCAGAACUCGGUGAAUUAACAUAACCUGUGUCACCACGACCAGACUGAUGUCUCUUUCUAGGAUAUCUCGGUUGCGGCCCUGCAACAGGGGCACAUCCUUUGCCGACCCCCAGUCCAGCCCCUUAUUGACCCAUGAUGCCAGUCGUGGCGGGGGACCCGAGCGGAAAGCAGGCAGCGCCACCCACUUGGUGCUCCUGGGAGCUGUGAUGUAAAACCACGCUCGUUGCCAUAAGCUGGACUCCUCUUGAAAAGAGCCCUCGGGCCAUGGAGCACCAGCAUUCUUGCUUAUAAAAGCACCUCCGCACUCCGUGUGCCGUCCCUCGAUCAUCUUCGGCUCUACUUUGAAGGUCUUGAGCCAUAGUCCGAAGUGAGGAGUCAUACGGAGGAAGGCUUCACACAUGACGAUGAAUGAGGAAAUAUGGAGGAUGGACUCCGGAGUUAAGUCAUGAAAUUCCAGCCCAUAAUAAAACAUGAGCCCCCUCACGAAGGGAUCCAUCGGGAAGCCUAGCCCCCGAAGUAAGUGAGACAUCAACACCAUGUUGGGGAACGUAGUAAUUUCAAAAAAAUCCUAUGCACACGCAAGAUCAUGGUGAUGCAUAGCAAUGAGAGGGGAGAGUGUGAUCUAUGUACCCUUGUAGACCGACAGCGGAAGCGUUAGCACAACGCGGUUGAUGUAGUCGUACGUCUUCACGGCCCGACCGAUCAAGCACCGAAACUAUGGCACCUCCGAGUUCUAGCACACGUUUAGCUCGAUGAUGAUCCCCGGACUCCGAUCCAGCAAAGUGCCGGGGAAGAGUUCCGUCAGCACGACGGCGUGGUGACGAUCUUGAUGUACUGCCGUUGCAGGGCUUCGCCUAAGCACCGCUACAAUAUUAUCGAGGAUUAUGGUGGAAGGGGGCACCGCACACGGCUAAGAAUAUGAUCACGUGGAUCAACUUGUGUCUAGAGGUGCCCCCUGCCCCCGUAUAUAAAGGAGCAAGGGGGAGGAGGCCGGCCCUAGGAGGGGCGCGCCAGGGAGUAGGAUUCCUACUCCUAGUUGGAGUAUGUUUCCUCCUUUCCUAGUCCAACUAGGAGAAGGGGGGAAAGGGGGGAAGAGGGGAAGGAAGGGAGAGAGGGGCCGCGCCCCAAACCCCUUGUCCAAUUCAGACUGGGCUUGGGAGGGGCGCGCGCCACCUCCUGGUCCUUUCCACUAAGGCCCAUUAAGGCCCAUUGCUUCUUCCUCGUAUUCCCGUAACUCCCCGGUACCUCCGAAAAUACCCGAAUCACUCAGAACCUUUCCGAUGUCCGAAUAUAGUCAUCCAAUAUAUCGAUCUUUAUGUCUCGACCAUUUCGAGACUCCUCGUCAUGUCCCCGAUCUCAUCCGGGACUCCGAACUCCUUCGGUACAUCAAAACUCAUAAACUCAUAAUAUAACUGUCAUCGAAACCUUAAGCGUGCGGACCCUACGGGUUCGAGAACAAUGUAGACAUGACCGAGACACGUCUCCGGUCAAUAACCAAUAGCGGAACAUGGAUGCUCAUAUUGGCUCCUACGUAUUCUACGAAGGUCUUUAUCGAUCAGACCGCAUAACAACAUACGUUGUUCCCUUUGUCAUCGGUAUGUUAUUUGCCCGAGAUUCGAUCGUCGGUAUCUCAAUACCUAGUUCAAUCUUGUUACCAGCAAGUCUCUUUACUCGUUUCGUAAUACAUCAUCUCGCAACUAACUCAUUAGUUCCAAUGCUUGCAAGGCUUAGGUGAUGUGCAUUACCGAGAGGGCCCAAAGAUACCUCUCCGACAAUCGGAGUGACAAAUCCUAAUCUCAAAAUAUGCCAACCCAACAUGUACCUUUGGAGACACCUGUAGAGCUCCUUUAUAAUCACCCAGUUACGUUGUGACGUUUGGUAGCACACAAAGUGUUUCUCCGGUAAACGGGAGUUGCAUAAUCUCAUAGUCAUAGGAACAUGUAUAAGUCAUGAAGAAAGCAAUAGCAACAUACUAAACGAUCGAGUGCUAAGCUAACAGAAUGGGUCAAGUCAAUCACAUCAUUCUCCUAAUGAUGUGAUCCCGUUAAUCAAAUAACAACUCUUUGUCUAUGGUUAGGAAACAUAACCAUCUUUGAUUAACGAGCUAGUCAAGUAGAGGCAUACUAGUGACACUCUGUUUGUCUAUGUAUUCACACAUGUAUUAUGUUUCCGGUUAAUACAAUUCUAGCAUGAAUAAUAAACAUUUAUCAUGAAAUAAGGAAAUAAAUAAUAACUUUAUUAUUGCCUCUAGGGCAUAUUUCCUUCAGUCUCCCACUUGCACUAGAGUCAAUAAUCUAGUUCACAUUGCCAUGUGAUUUAACACCAAUAGUUCACAUCAUUAUGUGACCAACACUCAAAGGGUUUACUAUAGUCAAUAAUCUAGUUCACAUCGCUAUGUGAUUAACACCCAAAGAGUACUAAGGUGUGAUCAUGUUUUGCCUGUGAGAGAAGUUUAGUCAACGGGUCUGCCAUAUUCAGAUCCAUAUGUAUUUUGCAAAUUUCUAUGUCAACAAUGCUCUGCACGGAGCUACUCUAGCUAAUUGCUCCCACUUUCAAUAUGCAUCCAGAUUGAGACUAAGAGUCAUCCGGAUCAGUGCCAAAACUUGUAUCGACGUAACCAUUUUAUGACGAACCUUUUGUCACCUCCAUAAUCGAGAAACAUAUCCUUAUUCCACUAAGGAUAAUUUUGACCGCUGUCCAGUGCUCUACUCCUAGAUCACUAUUGUACUCCCUUGCUUAACACAGUGUAGGGUAUACAAUAGAUCUGGUACACAGCAUGGCAUACUUUAUAGAACCUAUGGCUGAGGCAUAGGGAAUGACUUUCAUUCUCUUUCUAUCUUCUGCCGUGGUCGGGCUUUGAGUCUUACUCAAUUUCACACCUUGUAACACAGCCAAGAACUCUUUUCUUUGACUGUUCCAUUUUGAACUACUUCAAAAUAUUGUCAAGGUAUGUACUCAUUGAAAAAACUUAUCAAGCGUCUUGAUCUAUCUCUAUAGAUCUUGAUGCUUAAUAUGUAAGCAGCUUCGCCGAGGUCUUUAUUUGAAAAACUUCUUUUAAACACUCCUUUAUGCUUUGCAGAAUAAUUCUACAUUAUUUCCGAUCAAUAAUAUGUCAUUCACAUAUACUUGUCAGAAAUGUUGUAGUGCUCCCACUCACUUUCUUGUAAAUACAGGCUUCACCACAAGUCUGUAUAAAACUAUAUACUUUGAUCAUCUCAUCAAAGCGCAUAUUCCAACUCCGAGAUGCUUGCACCAGUCCACAGAUGGAUCGCUGGAGAUUGCAUAUUUUGUUAACAUUUUCAGGAUUGACAAAACCUUCGGGUUGCAUCAUAUACAACUCUUCUUUAAGAAAUCCAUUAAGGAACACAGCUUUGUUUAUCCAUUUGCCAGAUUUCAUAAAAUGCGGCAAUUGCUAACAUGAUUCGGACAGACUUAAGAAUAGAUACGAGUGAGAAACUUUCAUCGUACUCAACAUCUUGAACUUGUCGAAAACCUUUUUCCGACAAUUCUAGCUUUGUAGAUAGUAACACUACUACCAGCGUCCGUCUUCCUCUUGAAGAUCCAUUUAUUUUCAAUUGCUUGCCGAUCAUCGGGAAAGUCAACCAAAGUCCAUACUUUGUUUUCAUACAUGGAUCCCAUCUCAGAUUUCAUGGCUUCAAGCCAUUUUGCGGAAUCUGGGCUCACCAACGCUUCUUCAUAGUUCGUAGGUUCAUCAUGAUCUAGUAGCAUGAUUUCCAGAACAAGAUUACCGUACCACUCUGGUGCGGAUCUUACUCUGGUUGAUCUACGAGGUUCAGUAAUAACUUGAUCUGAAGUUUCAUGAUCAUCAUCAUUAACUUCCUCACUAAUUGGUGUAGGUGUCACAAAAACCAUUUUCUGUGAUGAACUACUUUCCAAUAAGGGAGCAGGUACAGUUACCUCAUCAAGUUCUACUUUCCUCCCACUCACUUCUUUCAAGAGAAACUCCUUCUCUAGAAAGGAUCCAUUCUUAGCAACGAAUUUCUUACCUUCGGAUCUGUGAUAGAAGGUGUACCCAACUGUCUUCUUUGGGUAUCCUAUGAAGACACAUUUCUCCGAUUUGGGUUUGAGCUUAUCAGGAUGAAACUUUUUCUUAUAAGCAUUGCAACCCCAAACUUUAAGAAACGACAACUUUGGUUUCUUGCUAAACCAUAGUUCAUACAGUGUCGUCUCAAAGGAUUUAGAUGGUGCCCCUUUUUUCAUGAAUGCAGCUGUCUCUAAUGCAUGAUCCCAAAACGAUAUUAGUAAAUCGGUAAGAAACAUCAUAGAUUGUACUAUAUCCAAUAAAGUACGGUUAUGACGUUCGGACACACCAUUAUGUUGCGGUGUUCCAGGUGGCAUGAGUUUGUGAAACUAUUCCACAUUGUUUUAAUUGAAGACCAAACUCGUAACUCAAAUAUUCGUCUCUGCGAUCAGAUCGUAGAAACUUUAUUUUCUUGUCACGAUGAUUUUCCACUUCACUCUGAAAUACUUUGAACUUUUCAGACUUAUGUUUCAUCAAGUAGGUAUACUCAUAUCUGCUUAAAUCAUCUGUGAAGGUCAGAAAAUAAUGAUACCUGUCGCGAGCCUCAAUAUUCAUCGGACCACAUACAUCAGUAUGUAUGAUUUCCAACAAAUCUAUUGCUCGCUCCAUUGUUCCGAAAAACGGAGUCUUAGUCAUCUUGCCCAUGAGGCAUGGUUCGCAAGCAUCAACUGAUUCAUAAUCAAGUGAUUCCAAAAGCCCAUCAAUAUGGAGUUUCUUCAUGCGCUUUACACCAAUAUGACCUAAACGGCAGUGCCACAAAUAAGUUGCACUAUCAUUAUUAACUUUGCAUCUUUUGGUUUCAAUAUUAUGAAUAUGUGUAUCACUACGAUCGAGAUCCAAUGAACCAUUUUCAUUGGGUGUGUAACCAUAUAAGGUUUUAUUCAUGUAAACAGAACAACAAUUUAUUCUCUUACUUAAAUGAAUAACCGUAUUACAAUAAACAUGAUCAAAUCAUAUUCAUGCUCAACGCAAACACCAAAUAACACUUAUUUAGGUUCAACACUAAUCCCGAAAGUAUGGGGAGUGUCGAUGAUGAUCAUAUCAAUCUUGGAACCACUUCCAACACACAUCGUCACUUCACCCUUAACUAGUCUCUAUUUAUUCUACAACUCCUAUUUCGAGUUACUAAUCUUAGUAACUGAACUAGUAUCAAAUACUAAGGGGUUGCUAUAAACACUAGUAAAGUACACAUCAAUAACAUGUAUAUCAAAUAUACUUAUGUUCACUUUGCCAUCCUUCUUAUCCGCCAAUCACUUGGGGUAGUUCCGCUUCCAGUGACCAGUUCCUUUGCAGUAGAAGCACUUAGUCUCAGGCUUAGGAUCAGACUUGGGCUUCUUCACUUGAGUAGCAACUUGCUUGCCGUUCUUCUUGAAGUUCCCCUUCUUCCCUUUGCCCUUUUUCUUGAAACUAGUGGUCUUGUCAACCAUGAACACUUGAUGCUCUUUCUUGAUUUCUACCUUCAUUGAUUUCAUCAUCAUGAAAAGCUCGGGAGUCGUUUUCGUCAUCCCUUGCAUAAUAUAGUUCAUCAUGAAGUUCUACUAACUUGGUGAUGAUGACUAGAGAAUUCUGUCAAUCACUAUUUUAUCUGGAAGAUUAACUCCCACUUGAUUCAAGCGAUUGUAGUACCCAGAAAAUCUGAGCACAUGCUCACUAGUUGAGCGAUUCUCCUCCAUCUUUUAGCUAUAGAACUUGUUGGAGACUUCAUAUCUCUCAACUUGGGUAUUUGCUUGAAAUAUUAACUUCAACUCCUGGAACAUCUCAUAUGGUCCAUGACGUUCAAAAACGUCUUUGAAGUCCCGAUUCUAAGCCGUUAAGCAUGGUGCACUCAACUAUCAAGUAGUCAUCAUAUUGAGCUAGCCAAACGUUCAUAACGUCUGCAUCUGCUCUUGCAAUAGGUCCGUCACCUAGUGGUGCAUCAAGGACAUAAUUCUUCUGUGCAGCAAUGAGGAUAAACCUCAAAUCACGGAUCCAAUCCGCAUCUUUGCUACUAACAUUUUUCAACACAAUUUUCUCUAGGAACAUAUCAAAAUAAACAUAUGAAAGCAACAACGCGAGCUAUUGAUCUACAACAUAGAUAUGCUAAUACUACCAGGACUAAGUUCAUGAUAAAUUAAAGUUCAAUUAAUCAUAUUACUUAAGAACUCCCACUUAGAUAGACAUCCCUCUAAUCCUCUAAGUGAUUACGUGAUCCAAAUCAACUAAACCAUAUCCGAUCAUCACGUGAGAUGGAGUAGUUUCAUUGGUGAACAUCACUAUGUUGAUCAUAUCUACUAUAUGAUUCACGCUCGACCUUUCGGUCUCCGUGUUCCGAGGCCAUAUCUGUAUAUGCUUGGCUCAUCAAGUAUAACCUGAGUAUUCUGCGUGUGCAACUGUUUUGCACCCGUUGUAUUUGAACGUAGAGCCUAUCACACCCGAUCAUCACGUGGUGUCUCAGCACGAAGAACUUUCGCAAUGGUGCAUACUCAGGGAGAACACUUCUUGAUAAUUAGUGAGAGAUCAUCUUAAAAUUCUACCGUCAAUCAAAGCAAGUUAAGAUGCAUAAAAGAUAAACAUCACAUGCAAUCAAUAUAAGUGAUAUGAUAUGGCCAUCAUCAUCUUGUGCUUGUGAUCUCCAUCUUCGAAGCACCGUCGUGAUCACCAUCGUCACCGGCGUGACACCUUGAUCACCAUUGUAGCAUCAUUGUCUUCUCGCCAAUCUUAUGCUUCCACGACUAUCGCUACCGCUUAGUGAUAAAGUAAAGCAUUACAGCGCAAUUGCAUUGCAUACAAUAAAGCGACAACCAUAUGGCUCCUGCCAGUUGCCGAUAACUUGGUUACAAAACAUGAUCAUCUCAUACAAUAAAAUUUAGCAUCAUGUCUUGACCAUAUCACAUCACAACAUGCCCUGCAAAAACAAGUUAGACGUCCUCUACUUUGUUGUUGCAAGUUUUACGUGGCUGCUACGGGCUUAAGCAAGAACCAAUCUUACGUAGGCAUCAAAACCACAACAAUAGUUUGUCAAGUUGGUGCUGUUUUAACCUUCUAAAGGACCGGGCGUAGCCACACUCGGUUCAACUAAAGUUGGAGAAACUGUCACCCGCUAGCCACCUUUGUGCAAAGCACGUUGGGAGAACCGGUCUCGCGUAAGCGUACGCGUAAUGUCGGUCCGGGCCGCUUCGUCCAACAAUACCGCCGAACCGAAGUAUGACAUGCUGGUAAGCAGUAUGACUUAUAUCGCCCACAACUCACUUGUGUUCUACUCGUGCAUAUAACAUCAACACAUAAAACCUGGCUCAGGUGCCACUGUUGGGGAACGUAGUAAUUUCAAAAAAAUUCCUACGCACACGCAAGAUCAUGGUGAUGCAUAGCAAUGAGAGGGGAGAGUGUGAUCUACGUACCCUUGUAGACCGACAGUGGAAGCGUUAGCACAACGCGGUUGAUGUAGUCGUACGUCUUCACGGCCCGACCGAUCAAGCACCGAAACUACAGCACCUCCGAGUUCUAGCACACGUUCAGCUCGAUGAUGAUCCCCGGACUCCGAUCCAGCAAAGUGUCGGGGAAGAGUUCCGUCAGCACGACGGUGUGGUGACGAUCUUGAUGUACUACCGUUGCAGGGCUUUGCCUAAGCACCGCUACAAUAUUAUCGAGGAUUAUGGUGGAAGGGGGCACCGCACACAGCUAAGAAUAUGAUCACUUGGAUCAACUUGUGUCUAGAGGUGCCUCAUGCCCCCGUAUAUGAAGGAGCAAGGGGGAGGAGGCCGGCCCUAGGAGGGGCGCGCCAGGGAGUAGGAUUCCUACUCCUAGUUGGAGUAGGUUUCCUCCUUUCCUAGUCCAACUAGGAGAAGGGGGGAAAGGGGGGAAGAGGGGAAGGAAGGGAGAGAGGGGCCGUGCCUCAAACCCCUUGUCCAAUUCGGACUGGGCUUGGGAGGGGCGCACGCCACCUCCUGGUCCUUUCCACUAAGGCCCAUUAAGGCCCAUUGCUUCUUCCUCGUAUUCCCGUAACUCCCCGGUACCUCCGAAAAUACCCGAAUCACUCAGAACCUUUCCGAUGUCCGAAUAUAGUCGUCCAAUAUAUCGAUCUUUACAUCUCGACCAUUUCGAGACUCCUCGUCAUGUCCCCGAUCUCAUCAGGGACUCCAAACUCCUUCGGUACAUCAAAACUCAUAAACUCAUAAUAUAACUGUCAUCGAAACCUUAAGCGUGCGGACCCUACGGGUUCGAGAACAAUGUAGACAUGACCGAGACACGUCUCUGGUCAAUAACCAAUAGCGGAACCUGGAUGCUCAUAUUGGCUCCUACAUAUUCUACGAAGGUCUUUAUCGGUCAGACCGCAUAACAACAUACGUUGUUCCCUUUGUCAUCGGUAUGUUACUUGCCCGAGAUUCGAUCAUCGAUAUCUCAAUACCUAGUUCAAUCUCGUUACCGGCAAGUCUCUUUACUCGUUUCGUAAUACAUCAUCUCGCAACUAACUCAUUAGUUGCAAUGCUUGCAAGGCUUAGGUGAUGUGCAUUACCGAGAGGGCCCAGAGAUACCUCUCCGACAAUUGGAGUGACAAAUCCUAAUCUCGAAAUACGCCAACCCAACAUGUACCUUUGGAGACACCUGUAGAGCUCCUUUAUAAUCACCCAGUUACGUUGUGACGUUUAGUAGCACACAAAGUGUACCUCUGGUAAACGGGACUUGCAUAAUCUCAUAGUCAUAGGAACAUGUAUAAGUCAUGAAGAAAGCAAUAGCAACAUACUAAACAAUCGAGUGCUAAGCUAACGGAAUGGGUCAAGUCAAUCACAUCAUUCUCCUAAUGAUGUGAUCCCGUUAAUCAAAUAACAACUCUUUGUCUAUGGUUAGGAAACAUAACCAUCUUUGAUUAACGAGCUAGUCAAGUAGAGGCAUACUAGUGACACUCUGUUUGUCUAUGUAUUCACACAUGUAUUAUGUUUCCGGUUAAUACAAUUCUAGCAUGAAUAAUAAACAUUUAUCAUGAAAUAAGGAAAUAAAUAAUAACUAUUAUUGCCUCUAGGGCAUAUUUCCUUCACACCACACUCUCACCAGGCUUGGGAGUGGGAAUGACUUGCCCUUGAGCAGGCGGCCUAUGCCAGAUUUCGCCGGUCAAGAACCUGGGCUCUCUCAACUUCAGCAUGUCGUCCUCCGUGACAGAGGAGGGCAUCCAUCGGCCUUGAAGGUCGGAACCGGACAUUGUAGAAGGUCUGAAGCGCCUGAAAUCUGGAGCCUUGGGUGUUGGAACUCGAGGCGAAGGGCGAACUCGUUUGAGAUUGAAAGAAAGGAGUAGGGCCUUGGUCUCUUUAUAAGAGGUUGAAUACCAAGGGCCCUCCCCGUGACUGUUUGGGACUCGCCUUUGAUCGAGAAAACAUACCAACGGGUACGGUUGGGUUACCCACGCCCGUAUUGAUGAGAAUCCCGGAAUAAGGGGACACGAUCUCUGCUUUAACAAGAUGUGCCAAGGAAACCGCCUCGCUAAAUGCGCUGAGGUGGGACAAUAAAAUGAUUCGGAUAAAGACUUGGCCGUGGUGUGAUGUCACGCUACGGAAUACGUUAGCAGAUUAGAUUUGUGUAAAUAUUAUUCUCUCUAUGGCAAUAUGUGGAAACUUAUUUUGCAGAGUCGGACACUACCUUUGUGUUCAACAUCUUCUAUGAAGUACUUGGAGGAGGAACCCGCCUUGCAAUGUCGAAGACAAUCUGCGCGCCGGACUCAUUGUCAUUGAAGCCUGGUUCAAGGGCUACUGAGGGAGUCCUGGAUUAGGGGGUGUCCGGAUAGCCGGACUAUACCUUCGGCCGGACUCCUGGACUAUAAAGAUACAAGAUUGAUGACUUCGUCCCGUGUCCGGAAGGGACUUUCCUUGACGUGGAAGGCAAGCUUGGCGAUACAGAUAUGUAGAUCUCCUACCAUUGUAACCGACUCUGUGUAACCCUAGCCCUCCCCGGUGUCUAUAUAAACCGGAGGGUUUUAGUCCAUAGGACAGAACAACAAUCAUACCAUAGGCUAGCUUCUAGGGUUUAGCCUCCUUGAUCUCGUGGUAGAUCUACUCUUGUACUACCCAUAUCAUCAAUAUUAAUCAAGCAGGACGUAGGGUUUUGCCUCCAUCAAGAGGGCCCGAACCUGGGUAAAACAUCGUGUCCCCUGCCUCUUGUUACCAUCCGCCUAGACGCACACUUCAGGACCCCCUACUCGAGAUCCGCCGGUUUUGACACCGACAGGAGGGGUCACCGGGGCCGGCCGGACGGCGAGGGGCGCCGCGGUGGUGGCCUUGGCAACAAGGGGCGUCGCCACCGACGUCGGGCGGUGAGGAUGGACGCGGCGGCCGGCCGGGGUGGCGCGCCGGAGUUGGAGCUCACCGGCAAGAGGCGCGGCGAGGGGGGCGGCCGCCGCGGGCGGCGAGUCCUGGGCGCGAGGAGGGAGACGAGGCCGCGGGCGGCAUGAUUAGAUGGGCGGGGGAGGGCCCGCCCUGGGCUCUCCGGGCCGGCGAUGUGGGGCGGUGGGCGCCACGUGGCAGAACACCACUGGUGCGGGGCGGCGGUGCGAUGUGUCCGGCCGGAAACGGACACGUCCGGCGGCGGCGUGAGUGGAUUUUUUUGGGUUUGGAAAGAGGAGAUCCGGGAUGUCCGAGGAGGGACCUCUUUAUAGAGGCAGAGGGAGCUAGGAAGCUCCAAAUGAGGUGCAGUUUUCGGCCACGCGAUCGUGAUCGAACGAUCUAGAUGAUGGAAGGGGAUUAGAUGGGUUUUGGGUCACUUUGGAGGGGUGUUGGGCUGAAACACACACAAGGCCAUUUCGGUCCCUCGGUUAACCGUUGGAGUAUCAAACGAAGUCCAAAUGGUACGAAACUUGACAGGUGGUCUACCGGUAGUAAACCAAGGCCGCAUGGCAAGUCUCGGUCCAAUCCGAAAAAGUUUAACACCCGCACACGAAAAGAGGUAGAAAGGGACACCGGAGGACAUAGAAGCGCCGGAAUACAAAACGGACAACGGGGAAAAUGCUCGGAUGCAUGAGAUAAACACGUAUGCAAAUGCAAUGCACAUGAUGACAUGAUAUGAGAUGCAUGACAAAGACAAAAGCACACAAAGACAAAAACCCGUCAACGAGGAAAUAGAAUAACUUAGUGCUGAAAAUGGCAAGAGUUGGAAUACAAAUAAGGUAGGUUACAUCCGGGGUGUUACAACACUCCACCACUACGAAAGGAUCUCGUCCCGAGAUCUAGAAUGGCACCAGAGGGAAAAAGAAGAGGAAGAGCAGCGGUAAAACUAAGUUGCUUCUUUGAAAAACGAGUGAGACCGAAGAACCUUGAAAAGGUUAAGUCAUUUUGAGAAAAGAAUACAACGGAGAUGAACGAAGUUGAAAACACUCCGUUAGAAAAAAGGAACAAGGAAGAACAACUUCGGGCAGCACUCCGAUUGAAAAGAAAAGGAAUUGAAUAAGAACUUGAUAAGAUGAGAAGAUACUUGAUGAAAUCACAAAACACUGCCUCCGGAACUAUUGAAUGAAUGGAACAAGGGGUAAGAAAGAUCUCAGACAGCACUCCGGUUGAAAAGAGGUGCAAGGCUUGAUAAGGCGAAAAGAACUUGAGCAAAAGGGCACAACACUCAGGUUAACUGGAUAGGCAUGAAAAGAACACGGUCCUGAUAAGAACAAGAAGAAGGUUUGAAGAGAGCAACAACACAAUGCCUCCAGAAGAAAAGAGAGAAAUGGAAUGGAAUUAAUAGAGGAGAAAACAACAUCUUCUACCUUAAAUGAGCUUGCAAAAGCAUCUUUAGGAGAUGGUUCGAACGAAGUUGUUGGAAAACCAACAACGAAAAGAACAAGGUUUUAGUGGACUUAUGGAAAACAUCUCGAAAUUAUGAGGUGCAAUUCUGCCACUACUGGAAACAAUAUAUUGGAUUGAUAUAAACAAAGAGACUAGACUAUUUCGCCGGGAGGAUAAAUGAAGAACUUGGGAAGGUCUUCAACGAAGCACAGGAAGAAUUUGGGAACAACGAAUGAAUUUAUAUGAUAACAAAGGAAAAGAAAUCUUGAAUGAACCACCGUAAGAAUUGGAAAACGAAAGAAGAUACUUGAGAGAAUUUGGAUACAUGGGUACGAAUAGAUCACGAGCUGAUUGGAGAAUACUUGAGCGAAGCACCGGUCAGAUUUGGAGAAUGAGAGCUGAAAGCUGAGAAUGAAUAACCCAAAAUGAUGGUCUUCGGACAAUCGAACUGAAAAGACUCAUGAAUUUCUCCGGAAAAGGUGAAAAGAAUUUUGACAAUCGAAUACAAUGAUGAGGCAAUAAGCUAGAACCAAGAAAAAAGAGCAAGAUUUAAGAGAAACUCUUCUUCAGUCUACAAAUGCAGAGAAUGACGAUGAGAAACACCACCAUGAAUCGUUGAGAUACUCCGGGAUGAAAAAUUAGAAAUGUUGAACAAAAGAUGAAAAGAAUUUGAGAGAUCUUGGAGGAAAAACACAUUUGACUGAUGAUAAAUUAUACUUACGUCAAACUUUAAGAUGAAUUUGAGGGUAGCUCCGGGAAAUAAGAAGUCAGGUAAGAUCCUGGGAAAAGACAUGUGGGUUAGGGCCCACUCAAAAGAAACACCGUUGAACAAUUGCUUGAAAAGGAGAUAACACCGGUUGAAUUAAACGGCUUGAAUGAGAUAACAACCUCGAGAUAUCUUGGACGAAUGGAUAAAGGAGACACAAAUCUUCUGAGAUAUCUUCAGCACUCCGGAACAAAUGAAUAGCGAGAAGUGGAUGAUUAUGAGGUGCACCGGUCGUGGGAAAGGCAUUUAAAACGAGGAAAAGAUAUGAUCAACAAAGCUUGACUUAAAUCCACCAGAGAAGGAAAAGAAUGAAGAAUGAUGAACUAGUAGAGCAUCUUCAAGAGAACCACCAGGUAAGACCACUGAUUGAAAAGAAUGAAGAGACUUCACAACCAUAAAAUGGAUAUUUGAUAAGAAAAUCUGAGUCCUUAAACGAAAAGGGUGGGAGGGCGGGAAAACAAAGGAAACUUGGGACGGAUGAAACAAACACCGUUGAGAAAGCUGAGAUUGAAUCUUGCGGAUGUUGAAAAUGAACGGAUCCGCUUGAAGAGAAGCACACCGGUUGAAAAAGAAUUAACAUGACAAUCUCGAUGAUCCAGAAGGAUUACUAUUCACAUAGGAAUAUGAGAACACCGUUUAGGAAAGGUAUGGAAUCAACAUUUGACUUCGAAGCGACUCGAAUACCACAACUGAAAACAAAACAAAGGAUUGGCUUGCAGAAAAGCCGGAACAAACAUAUGUUAGAGAUUUCGUUCGAAGUUUUCUUGGUGGGGCCCACACAGGCUCGAUCGUACAGCACCAUCAUGUACAAGGCAGUGCACAUGACAUACGAAGCGUCCCCGUGUCAGCAUAGCCAAGGACUCUUUAAGACACAACGAGACCACUGUAAACUCAACCGUGGAUAGGCGGACCACUAGACGUCGAACCCCAAUCUCAUAUCAUACAUCUGUCAGAAAGAUAUCCUAAAAGCUACUUGAAUUCCCACUUAUAAACUCCCGAAAUUUUCCGGUUAUGCAAUCAGGUGUUGGGGAAACAGGGGAAGCAUAAUAUCUCACCCAAAUCUAGCAAAUCCUACAUCCAGCUGUAUCCAUCCUUCAACACAUAACAAAGAAACCUUCGGAAAGCAUUUACCUCAACCUUCGAAAAGCAUCCGUUAUACGAGUUAUGGCAAUACUCCUGAACUCCCGCCCCAGUACUGGGUGGCGUCGAGGUUAUCUCACCAACAACUGCAUAAAAGAGAUUUUCGAUGUCGGCGAAACUCAGGUAUUCCAGAAUUGCAACGAUAAAAUUGUGCCGACAACACCUCGGAGCUCAACUCCCCGGGACACUGCCACAACCCCUAAAUAUCAGGAGGCACCAAGAACAAUGUUCUCGUCACAAAACCAUCAAAACAAUUCCAAAAUACCCGCGUGAUCCUAAAUUUUUUUUAGUGAAAUUCGAGAAGAUAAGAGUCAAAACUCUACGUCAGGAUGCCUCACAGAGCGACGAAGGGACUGAGGAGUAAAAAGAAUUCUACUCUCCGAUAUAUAUAUAGUCCUAAAUGACUCAAAACUUUUUUUCUAGACUCGACAAUGCCAACAAUUUGAUCAAGCAGGGGGCUCCUAAGUCGGGGAAGGUCUGAUUACCAACUUGUAAUGCCCUCGAUGCGGCUAUAUCUCCCACGUGUCGAAGCACGACUUAGAGGCAUAACCGCAUUGAAAGCAAUGUCGCAAGUGAGGUAAUCUUCACACAACCCAUGUAAUAAAUAAGGGAAAGAGAUACGUAGUUGGCUUACAAUCGCCACUUCACGCAAUAGAUGAAUAAAGCAUUACAUCAACCAGAUACAAUCAAGGUCCGACUACGGAACCAAAAUAUAAGAAGACUACCCCAAAUGCUACACAGAUCCCCGAUCGUCCCAACUGGGCUCCACCACUGAUCAACGGGAAACGGAACAACAUAACGAACACGAUCUUCAUCGAGCUCCUCCUUGAGCUCGGUUGCGUCACCUGCAUGGUAUCAUCGGCACCUGCAAACUAGUUUUGGAAGUAAUCUGUGAGUCACGGGGACUCAGCAAUCUCACACCCUCGCGAUCAAGACUAUUUAAGCUUAUGGGUAAGGUAAUGGUAUGAGGUGGAGUUGCAGCAAGCGACUAGCAUAUUUGGUGGUAACAUACGCAAAUGAGAGCGAGAAGAGAAGGCAAAGCACGGUCGAGAAUCUAUGAUCAAGAAGUGAUCCUAGAGCAACCUACGUUAAAGCAUAACUCCAACACCGUGUUCACUUCCCAGACCCUGCCGAGAAUAGACCAUCAUGGUUACACACGCGGUUGAUGCAUUUUAAUUAAGUUAAGUUUCAGGUUUUCUACAACCGGACAUUAACAAAUUCCCAUCUGCCCAUAACCGCGGGCACGGCUUUCGAAAGAUCAUAACCCUGCAGGGGUGUCCCAACUUAGCCCAUCACAAGCUCUCACGGUCAACGAAGGAUAUUCCUUCUCCCAAGACAAUCCGAUCAGACUCGGAAUCCCGGUUACAAGACAUCUCGACAAUGGUAAAACUAAACCAGCAAAGCCACCCGAAUGUGCCGACAAAUCCCGAUAGGAGCUGCACAUAUCUUGUUCUCAGGGCACACCGGAUUGUCCAAACUUCCGGUAGGCCAGCCCAGAGUUGUCCCUGGUGGCCACCGGCGGCUGACAAGGUGGACCAACACUCAGAGGAGCACUGGCCCAGGGGUUUAAAUAAAGAUGACCCUUGAGUCCGCGGAAGGCAAGAGUGGAACAAAACACCAGGCAUAAGGCCUAGCCUUCCACCCUUUACCAAGUAUAUAGAUGCAUUAAUUAAAUAAGAGAUAUUGUGAUAUCCCAACAAAUAUCCAUGUUCCAACAAGGAACAACUCCAGUCUUCACCUGCAACUAGCAACGCUAUAAGAGGGGCUGAGCAAAGCGGUAACAUAGCCAAAGAACGGUUUGCUAGGAAAGGUGGGUUAGAGGCUGGACAUGGCAAUAUCGGAGGCACGAUAAGCAAGUGGUAGGUAUCGCAGCAUAGGCAUAGGAAAAGAGCGAGCAACUAGCAAGCAAAGAUAGAAGUGAUUUCGAGGGUAUGGUCAUCUUACCUGCAAAGUUCUCAGAGUUGACUUGAUCCUCGUAAGCGUACUCAACGGGCUCCUCGAACACGUACUCGUCUCCCGGCUCUACCCAAAGCAAGACAAUAAGCAAAAGGGAGAACAAUCAACCACGUGCAAUGCACAAACAACAUGAUGCAAAACAUGUCAUGAUAUGCGGGAUGCGAUAUGAGAUGCAUAUGCAUGAUUCGGAAAGGAAUGAUUGAACCUGGCCUCAACUUCGAAAACCAAGAGUGCCACUGGAAAGAGGAGUUGAUUUCAGUUGAAAUCGGUAUAAAGAUCACCGGAAUCGGAUGCACGGUUUGGAAAUGACAAGCAAAACAAAUAUGGCACCGGACUGCGAUUGACAGCACGAGACCAUCUAAAUGCAUCAAGAACAACAUGCUACAGCACUCCAACAUGACAACAAAAUACAUGGCAGGGACCCACUCAAGAUGCUUGUCAAAGAUGAACAUUGAGCUACGGCUAAUUCACUCAAUAGCAGGUUCAAACAAGCAUGGCAAUAGUGCAAAAGAUAUCAGGUUACAGACUUAGUGAAAUUAACAACAUGUCAGGAAUUUAACAUCAGGAAGCAAUGUUUAGAGCACGAUAACUAUGCUACAGGAACAUAUCAAGGCAAAGAAAGACAUGGCAUGAAGCUACUCAAAGCAUACAACAAAAGUCCCUUACUGACCAUAAGCCAAAAGGGAUCAGAAAAUACAAUUGCAACCACGUGAACAUAGCAAUUAUCGUUAACAGAUUCAGACUUAGUGAAAAACUGGAGGAUGGCAAAAUAGAUAUCAAGUAGGCAUGUUUACGAGCUCGAUGCACUUAGCACGAGGCAUUGCAUGAAAAACUAAGCAUACACCCAGCAAGUAUACAUGGCAUAGAAGCUAGAAAUGGCAAGGACAACAACAUAGCAUACACGGAUCAACUACAACAAGCUCGACAAAAGUGCUAAACAUGUUAACAAUCUGCUAGGAACAUUUUAUCGCAAAAGUAGAGCUCGAUUGACUCAAGAUAGGGUGCUCCAUAAAUGCAAACAAAGACAUAGAUGGAUAGAGCACCACAAUAUCUACAAAACAUCCUUACUGAUCAUGCUCAAAAGAGGCACGGAUCACUAGGAAACAACAUGAACACAUGGCAUAAAAUAAGGACAGGGCAGAGACUUAGAAUAUUUCUAAGUCCAUGAAAUCAGCAACAUUGAGUGACCUACUUUGCAUGCUUGUGCUAGUCACCACAGAGAUCACAAAAAUACAUGGCAUACACCCCUGUAAAGAUGGCAUGGCAUACUUCAAAACACAUGUAGAGCUCAGGAUCAUAGCAUGCACACAUUAAACACGGCAAAAAUGACAAAAGUGCAUUUGCUGAAAUAGAUCUGAAACUAAUCAUCACAUAGCCCUCUUCCAACAGCAUUUAGGGCAUCAAGAUGAACUCAAAUGAAAAUGAUGCAAUGGGAUGAAAUGAAGUACUCGUCGAGACGAACAUUUCGAUAUGCUAAACCCACGAAUCGGAGCAACGGUGAUGAAGUUAUGGCAUGUCAAAGUAUGCAUAAAACUAGGGUUUCGAGGAGAAAGUCAACAGAGGCAGAAUGGAUCUGGAUCUGGAUCUCGCCGUUACUGUAGCAGUUCGUUGGAGUUGCUCGUCGACGCCGGACUUGCCGAGGUGGAGCGAGGAGGAGGGGACGCUGGGGCCGGCCGGACGACGAGGGGUGCCGCGAAUGUGGCCUUGGCGAUCAGGGGCGUCGCCACCGGCGUCGGGCGGCGAGGAUGGACGUGGCGGCCGGUCGGGGCGGCGCGCCGGAGUUGGAGCUCGCCGGGGAGAGGCGCGGCGAGGGCGGCGGCCGUCGUGGGCGGCGAGUCCCUGGCGCGAGGAGGGAGACGAGGGUGCGGGCGGGGCGAGGAGAUGGGCCGGGGAGGGCCCGCCCUGGGCUCUCCGGGAUGGCGAUGUGGGGCGGUGGGCGCCACAUGGCGGAACGCCACUGGUGCGGGGCGGCGGCACGACGUGUCCGGCCGGAAACGGAGACGUCCGACGGCGGCGCGAGCGGAUUUUUUUAGGGUUUGGAAAGAAGAGAUCUAGGAUUUUCGGGGAGGGACCUAUUUAUAGAGGUAGAGGGAGCAAGGAAGCUCCAAAUGAGGUGCGGUUUUCGGCCACGCGAUCGUGAUCGAACGAUCUAGAUGAUGGAAGGGGUUUAGAUGGGUUUUGGGCCACUUUGGAGGGGUGUUGGGCAGCAACACACACGAGGCCAUUUCGGUCCCUCGGUUAACCGUUGGAGUAUCAAACGAAGUCCAAAUGGUACGAAACUUGACAGGUGGUCUACCGGUAGUAAACCAAGGCCGCAUGGCAAGUCUCGGUCCAAUCUGAAAACGUUUAACACCCGCACACGAAAAGAGGUAGAAAGGGACACCGGAGGACAUAGAAGCACCGGAAUACAAAAAGGACAACGGGGAAAAUGCUCGGAUGCAUGAGAUGAACACGUAUGCAAAUGCAAUGCACAUGAUGACAUGAUAUGAGAUGCAUGACAAAGACAAAAGCACAUGAAGACAAAAACCCAACAACGAGGAAAUAGAAUAACUUAGUGCCAAAAAUGGCAAGAGUUAGAAUACAAAUACGGUAGGUUACAUCCAGGGUGUUACAAUAUGCACAUCCCCAACAAUAAGAAUAUCAUAUUUCUUCUUGAUAGUAGGAAGAGAAAAUUCAAAACCUCCAAAAAUAAUCAAUGGAAUUUUUCCAAUAGAAUUGAUACUAUGGACUUGAGGUUGUUUCCUCGGAAAGUGUACCGUAUGCUCAUUACCAUUAACAUGAAAAGUGACAUUGCCUUUGGUGCAAUCAAUAACAGCCCCUGCAGUAUUCAAAAAGGGUCUUCCAAGAAUAAUAGACAUACUAUCGUCCUCGGGAAUAUCAAGAAUAACAAACUCCAUUAAAAUAGUAACGUUAUCAACCAUAACAGGCAAAUCCUCACAAAUACCGACAGGUAUAGCAGUUGAUUUAUCAGCCAUUUGGAAAGAUAUUUUAGUUGGUGUCAACUUAUUCAAAUCAAGUCUACGAUAUAAAGAGAGAGGCGUAAUCUUGGGGAACAUAGUAAUUUCAAAAAAAUUCCUACGCACACGCAAGAUCGUGGUGAUGCAUAGCUACGAGAUGGGAGAGUGUUGUCUACGUACCCUCGUAGACCGGCAACGGAAGCGUUGACACAACAUAGAGGAAGUAGUUGUACGUCUUCCCGAUCCGACCGAUCCAAGUACCGAACGUAUGGCACCUUCGAGUUCUGCACACGUUCAACUCGGUGACGUCCCUCGAGCUCCGAUCCAGCCGAGUGUUGAGGGAGAGUUUCGUCAGCACGACUGCGUGAUGACGGUGAUGAUGUUCUACCGAUGCAGGGCUUCGCCUAAGCACUGCUACGAUAUGACCGAGGUGGAAUAUGGUGGAAGGGGCACCACACACGGCUAAGGAACGAUCACGAAGAUCAACUUGUGUGUCCUGGGGUGCUCCCCUGCCCUUGUAUAUAAAGGAGGGAGAGGGGGAGGUGCGGCCGGCCCUAGGGGUGCGCCUGGAGGAGUCCUACUCCCACAGGGAGUAGGACUCCCCCCUCUUGCCUUGUUGGAGAAGGAAAGGGGAAGGGGGAAAGAGGAAAGGGGGGCGCCCCCCCUUCCUGGUCCUAUUUGGACUAGGGCGGGAGGGGGCGCGCGGCCUGCCCUGGCCGGCCCUCCUCUUCUCCCUUAGGGCCCAUGUAGGCCCAUUAACCCCCGGGGGGGUUCCGGUAACCCCCCGGUACUCCGGUAAAAUCCCGAUUUCACCCGGAAUGUUUCCGAUAUCCAAAUAUAGGCUUCCAAUAUAUCAAUCUUUAUGUCUCCACCAUUUCGAGACUCCUCGUCAUUUCUGUGAUCACACCCGGGACUCCGAACAACCUUCGGUACAUCAAAACACAAAAACCCUAAUUACGAUCGUCACCGAACUUUUAGCGUGCAGACCCUAUGGGUUCGAGAACUAUGUAGACAUGACUGAGACACGUCUCCGAUCAAUAACCAAUAGCGGAACCUGGAUGCUCAUAUUGGCUCCUAGAUAUUCUACGAAGAUCUUUAUCGGUCAGAUCGCAUAACAACAUACGUUGUUCCCUUUGUCAUCGGUAUGUUACUUGCCCGAGGUUCUAUCGUCGGUAUCUCAAUACCUAGUUCAAUCUCGUUACCGGCAAGUCUCUUUACUCAUUCCGUAAUACAUCAUCCCGCAACUAACUUAUUAGUUUCAAUGCUAGAAAGGCUUGAGUGAUGUGCAUUACCGAGAGGGCCCAGAGAUACCUCUCCGACAAUCGGAGUGACAAAUCCUAAUCUCGAAAUACGCCAACCCAACAAGUACCUUUGGAGACACCUAUAGAGCACCUUUAUAAUCACCCAGUUACGUUGUGACGUCUGGUAGCACAUAAAGUGUUCCUUCGGUAAACGGGAGUUGCAUAAUCUCAUAGUCAUAGGAACAUGUAUAAGUUAUGAAGAAAGCAAUAGCAACGAACUAAACGAUCAAGUGCUAAGCUAACGGAAUGGGUCAAGUCAAUCACAUCAUUCUCCUAAUGAUGUGAUCCCGUUAAUCAAAUGACAACUCAUGUCUAUGGCUAGGAAACAUAACCAUCUUUGAUCAACGAGCUAGUCAAGUAGAGGCAUACUAGUGACACUCUGUUUGUCUAUGUAUUCACACAUGUAUUAUGUUUCCGGUUAAUACAAUUCUAGCAUGAAUAAUAAACAUUUAUCAUGAUAUAAGGAAAUAAAUAAUAACAUUUAUUAUUGCCUCUAGGGCAUAUUUCCUUCAGUCUCCCACUUGCACUAGAGUCAAUAAUCUAGAUUACACAGUAAUGAUUCUAACACCCAUGGAGCCUUGGUGCUGAUCAUGUUUUGCUCGUGGAAGAGGCUUAGUUAGCGGGUCUGCAACAUUCAGAUCCGUAUGUAUCUUGCAGAUUUCUACGUCUCCCACUUGGACUAAAUCCUGAAUGGAAUUGAAGCGUCUCUUGAUGUGCUUGGUUCUCUUGUGAAAUCUGGAUUCCUUUGCCAAGGCAAUUGCACCAAUAUUGUCACAAAAGAUUUUCAUUGGACCCGAUGCACUAGGUAUGACACCUAGAUCGGAUAUGAACUCCUUCAUCCAGACUCCUUCAUUUGCUGCUUCCGAAGCAGCUAUGUACUCCGCUUCACAUGUAGAUCCCGCCACGACGCUUUGUUUAGAACUGCACCAACUGACAGCUCCACCGUUCAAUGUAAACAUGUAUCCGGUUUGCGAUUUAGAAUUGUCCGGAUCAGUGUCAAAGCUUGCAUCAACGUAACCAUUUACGAUGAGCUCUUUGUCACCUCCAUAUAUGAGAAACAUAUCCUAAGUCCUUUUUGGUACUUCAGGAUGUUCUUGACCGCUGUCCAGUGAUCCACUCCUGGAUUACUUUGGUACCUCCCUGCUAGACUUAUAGCAAGGCACACAUCAAGUCUGGUACACAACAUUGCAUACAUGAUAGAGCCUAUGGCUGAAGCAUAGGGAACAUCUUUCAUUUUCUCUCUAUCUUCUGUGGUGGUCGGACAUUGAGUCUUACUCAACUUCACACCUUGUAACACAAGCAAGAACCCUUUCUUUGCUUGAUCCAUUUUGAACUUCUUCAAAAAUUUGUCAAGGUAUGUGCUUUGUGAAAGUCCAAUUAAGCGUCUUGAUCUAUCUCUAUAAAUCUUAAUGCCCAAUAUGUAAGUAGCUUCACCGAGGUCUUUCAUUGAAAAACUCUUAUUCCAGUAUCCCUUUAUGCUAUCCAGAAAUUCUAUAUUAUUUCCAAUCAAUAAUAUGUCAUUCACAUAUAAUAUCAGAAAUGCUACAGAGCUCUCACUCACUUUCUUGUAAAUACAGGCUUCUCCAAAAGUCUGUACAAAACCAAAUGCUUUGAUCACACUAUCAAAGCGUUUAUUCCAACUCCGAGAGGCUUGCACCAGUCCAUAAAUGGAUCGCUGGAGCUUGCACACUUUGUUAGCUCCCUUUGGAUCGACAAAACCUUCUGGUUGCAUCAUAUACAACUCUUCUUCCAGAAAUCCAUUCAGGAAUGCAGUUUUGACAUCCAUCUGCCAAAUUUCAUAAUCAUAAAAUGCGGCAAUCGCUAACAUGAUUCGGACAGACUUAAGCAUCGCUACGGGUGAGAAGGUCUCGUCGUAGUCAAUCCCUUGAACUUGUCGAAAACCUUUCGCAACAAGUCGAGCUUUGUAGACAAUAACAUUACUGUCAGCGUCAGUCUUCUUCUUGAAGAUCCAUUUAUUCUCAAUUGCUUGCCGAUCAACGGGCAAGUCAACCAAAGUCCACACUUUGUUCUCAUACAUGGAUCCCAUCUCAGAUUUCAUGGCUUCUAGCCAUUUUGCGGAAUCUGGGCUCACCAUCGCUUCUUCAUAGUUCGUAGGUCCAUCAUGAUCUAGUAGCAUGACUUCUAGAACAGGAUUACCGUACCACUCUGGUGAGGAUCUUACUCUGGUUGAUCUACGAGGUUCGGUAGUAACUUGAUCUGAAGUUUCAUGAUCAUUAUCAUUAGCUUCCUCACUAAUUGGUAUAGGUGUCACAAAAACCGGUUUCUAUGAUGUACUACUUUCCAAUAAGGGAGCGGGUACAGUUACCUCAUAUAGUUCUACUUUCCUCCCACUCACUUCUUUCGAGAGAAACUCCUUCUCUAGAAAAAAUCCGAAUUUAGCAACAAAAGUCUUGCCUUCGGAUUUGUGAUAGAAGGUGUACCCAACAGUCUCCUUUGGGUAUCCUAUGAAGACACAUUUCUCCGAUUUGGGUUCGAGCUUAUCAGGUUGAAGCUUUUUCACAUAAGCAUCGCAGGCCCAAACUUUCAGAAACGACAACUUUGGUUUCUUGCCAAACCACAGUUCAUAAGGCGUCGUCUCAACGGAUUUUGAUGGUGCCCUAUUUAACGUGAAUGCGGCCGUCUCUAAAGCAUAACCCCAAAACGAUAGCGGUAAAUCUGUAAGAGACAUCAUAGAUCGCACCAUAUCUAGUAGAGUACGAUUAUGACGUUCGGACACACCAUUACGCUGUGGUGUUCCGGGUGGCGUGAGUUGCGAAACUAUUCCGCUUUGUUUCAAAUGUAGACUAAACUCGUAACUCAAAUAUUCUCCUCCAUGAUCAGAUCGUAGAAACUUUAUUUUCUUGUUACGAUGAUUUUCAACUUCACUCUGAAAUUCUUUGAACUUUUCAAAUGUUUCAGACUUAUGCUUCAUUAAGUAGAUAUACCCAUAUCUGCUUAAAUCAUCUGUAAAGGUGAGAAAAUAACGAUAUCCGCCACGAGCCUCAACAUUCAUUGGGCCACAUACAUCUGUAUGUAUGAUUUCCAACAAAUCUGUUGUUCUCUCCAUAGUAUCGGAGAACGGUGUUUUAGUCAUAUUGCCCAUGAGGCACGGUUCGCAAGUACCAAGUGAUUCAUAAUCAAGUGGUUCCAAAGUCCAUCAAUAUGGAGUUUCUUCAUGCGCUUUCACCGAUAUGACCUAAACGGCAGUGCCACAAAUAAGUUGCACUAUCAUUAUCGACUCUGCAUCUUUUGGUUUCAACAUUAUGAAUAUGUGUAUCACUAUUAUCGAGAUUCAUAAAAAAUAGACCACUCUUCAUGGGUGCAUGACCAUAAAAGAUAUUACUCAUAUAAAUAGAACAACCAUUAUUCUAUGAUUUAAAUGAAUAACUGUCUCGCAUCAAACAAGAUCCAGAUAUAAUGUUCAUGCUCAACGCUGGCACCAAAUAACAAUUAUUUAGGUGUAAUACUAAUCCCGAAGGUAGAUGUAGAGGUAGCGUGCCAACCACGAUCACAUCGACUUUGGAACCAUUUCCCACGUGCAUCGUCACCUCGUCCUUAGCCAAUCUUCGCUUAAUCCGUAGCCCUUGUUUCGAGUUGCAAAUGUUAGCAACAGAACCAGUAUCAAAUACCCAGGUGCUACUGCGAGCAUUAGUAAGGUACACAUCAAUAACAUGUAUAUCACAUAUACCUUUGUUCACUUUUCCAUCCUUCUUAUCCGCCAAAUACUUGGGGCAGUUUCGCUUCCAGUGACCAGUCUGCUUGCAGUAGAAGCACUCAGUCUCAGGCUUAGGUCCAGACUUGGGUUUCUUCUCCUGAGCAGCAACUUGUUUGCUGUUCUUCUUGAAGUUCCCCUUCUUCUUCCCUUUGCCCUUUUUCUUGAAACUGGUGGUCUUAUAGACCAUCAACACUUGAUGCUCCUUCUUGAUUUCUACCUCCACGGCUUUUAGCAUCGCGAAGAGCUUGGGAAUAGUCUUAUUCAUCCCUUGCAUAUUAUAGUUCAUCAUGAAGCUUUUGUAGCUUGGUGGCAGUGAUUGAAGAACUCUGUCAAUGACACUAUCAACAGGAAGAUUAACUCCCAGCUGAGUCAAAUGAUUAUGAUACCCAGACAUUUUGAGUAUAUGUUCACUGACAAAACUAUUCUCCUCCAUCUUGCAGCUAUAGAACUUAUUGGAGACUUCAUAUCUCUCAAUCCGGGCAUUUGCUUGAAAUAUUAACUUCAACUCUUGAAACAUCUCAUAUGCUACAUGACGUUCAAAACAUCGUUGAAGACCUGGUUCCAAGCCGUAAAGCAUGGCACACUGAACUAUCGAGUAGUCAUCAGCUUUGCUCUGCCAGACGUUCAUAACAUAUGGUGUUGCUCCUGCAGCAGGCUUGGCACUUAGCAGUGCUUCCAUGACGUAAUUCUUCUGUGCAGCAAUGAGGAUAAUCCUCAAGUUACGGACCCAGUCCGUGUAAUUGCUACCAUCAUCUUUCAACUUUGCUUUCUGAAGGAACGCAUUAAAAUUCAACGGAACAACAGCACGGGCCAUCUAUCUACAAUCAAACAUAAACAAUCAAGAUACUAUCAGGUACUAAGUUCAUGAUAAAUUUAAGUUCAAUUAAUCAUAUUACUUAAGAACUCCCACUUAGAAAGAUAUACCUCUAAUCCUCUAAGUGAUCACGUGAUCCAAAUCAACUAAACCAUGUCCGAUCAUCACGUGAGAUGGAGUAGUAUCAAUGGUGAACAUCACUAUGUUGAUCAUAUCUACUAUAUGAUUCACGCUCGACCUUUCGGUCUCCGUGUUCCGAGGCCAUAUCUGUUAUAUGCUAGGCUCGUCAAAUUUUUAACCUGAGUAUUCCGCGUGUGCAACUGUUUUGCAUCCGUUGUAUUUAAAUGUAGAGCCUAUCACACCCGAUCAUCACGUGGUGUCUCAGCACGAAGAACUUUCGCAACGGUGCAUACUCAGGGAGAACACUUACUUUGAUAAUUUAGUGAGGGAUCAUCUUAUAAUGCUACUGUCAAUCAAAGCAAGAUAAGAUGCAUAAAAGAUAAACAUCACAUGCAAUCAAUAUAAGUGAUAUGAUAUGGCCUUCAUCAUCUUGUACUUGUGAUCUCCAUCUCCGAAGUACCGUCAUGAUCACCAUCAUCACCGGCGCGACACCUUGAUCUCCAUCGUAGCACCGUUGUCGUCUCGCCAAUCUUAUGCUUCCACGACUAUCGCUACCGCUUAGUGAUAAAGUAAAGCAUUACAGCGUGAUUGCAUUACAUACAAUAAAGCGACAACCAUAUGGCUCAUGCCAGUUGCCGAUAACUCGGUUACAAAACAUGAUCAUCUCAUACAAUAAAAUUUAGCAUCAUGUCUUGACCAUAUCACAUCACUACAUGCCCUGCAAAAACAAGUUAGACGUCCUCUACUUUGUUUUUGCAAGUUUUAUGUGGCUGCUACAGGCUUAGCAAGAACCGUUCUUACCUACGCAUCAAAACCACAACGAUAGUUUGUCAAGUUGGUGUUGUUUUAACCUUCGCAAGGACCGGGGGUAGCCACACUCGGUUCAACUAAAGUUGGAGAAACUAACACCCGCCAGCCACCUGUGUGCAAAGCACGUCGGUAGAACCAGUCUCGCGUAAGCGUACGCGUAAUGUCGGUCCAGGCCGCUUCAUCCAACAAUACCGCCGAACCAAAGUAUGACAUGCUGGUAAGCAGUAUGACUUAUAUCGCCCACAACUCACUUGUGUUCUACUCGUGCAUAACAUCAACGCAUAAAACCUGGCUCGGAUGCCACUGUUGGGGAACGUAGUAAUUUCAAAAAAAUUCCUACGCACACGCAAGAUCAUGGUGAUACAUAGCAACGAGAUGGGAGAGUGUUGUCUACGCACCCUCGUAGACCGGCAACGGAAGCGUUGACACAACAUAGAGGAAGUAGUUGUACGUCUUCCCGAUCCGACCGAUCCAAGUACCGAACGUACGUCACCUCCAAGUUUUGCACACGUUCAACUCGGUGACGUCCCUCGAGCUCCGAUCCAGCCGAGAGUUGAGGGAGAGUUUCGUCAGCACGACGGCGUGAUGACGGUGAUGAUGUUCUACCGAUGCAGGGCUUCGCCUAAGCACCGCUACGAUAUGACCGAGGUGGAAUAUGGUGGAAGGGGGCACCGCACACGGCUAAGGAACGAUCAUGAAGAUCAACUUGUGUGUCCUGGGGUGCUCCCCUGCCCCUGUAUAUAAAGGAGGGAGAGGGGGAGGUGCGGCCGGCCCUAGGGGUGCGCCUGGAGGAGUCCUACUCCCACCGGGAGUAGGACUCCCCCCUCUUGCCUUGUUGGAGAAGCAAAGGGGAAGGGGGGAAGAGGAAAGGGGGGCGCCGCCGCCCCCCUUCCUUGUCCUAUUCGGACUAGGGGGAGGGGGCGUGCGGCCUGCCCUGGUCGGCCCUCCUCUUCUCCCUUAGGGCCCAUGUAGCCCNNNNNNNNNNNNNNNNNNNNNNNNNNNNNNNNNNNNNNNNNNNNNNNNNNNNNNNNNNNNNNNNNNNNNNNNNNNNNNNNNNNNNNNNNNNNNNNNNNNNNNNNNNNNNNNNNNNNNNNNNNNNNNNNNNNNNNNNNNNNNNNNNNNNNNNNNNNNNNNNNNNNNNNNNNNNNNNNNNNNNNNNNNNNNNNNNNNNNNNNNNNNNNNNNNNNNNNNNNNNNNNNNNNNNNNNNNNNNNNNNNNNNNNNNNNNNNNNNNNNNNNNNNNNNNNNNNNNNNNNNNNNNNNNNNNNNNNNNNNNNNNNNNNNNNNNNNNNNNNNNNNNNNNNNNNNNCCCGGAAUGUUUCCGAUAUCCAAAUAUAGGCUUCCAAUAUAUCAAUCUUUAUGUCUCGACCAUUUCGAGACUCCUCAUCAUGUCCGUGAUCACAUCCAGGACUCCGAACAACCUUCGGUACAUCAAAACACAAAAACCCUAAUUACGACCGUCACCGAACUUUAAGCGUGCGCACCCUACGGGUUCGAGAACAAUGUAGACAUGACCGAGACACGUCUCCGGUCAAUAACCAAUAGCGGAACCUGGAUGCUCAUAUUGGCUCCUUCAUAUUCUACAAAGAUCUUUAUCGUUCAGACCGCAUAACAACAUACAUUGUUCCCUUUGUCAUCGGUAUGUUACUUGCCCGAGAUUCGAUCGUCGGUAUCUCAAUACCUAGUUCAAUCUUGUUACCGGCAAGUCUCUUUACUCGUUCUAUAAUACAUCAUCCCGCAACUAACUUAUUAGUUGCAAUGCUUGCAAGGCUUGAGUAAUGUGCAUUACCGAGAGGGCCCAGAGAUACCUCUCCGACAAUCGGAGUGACAAAUCCUAAUCUCGAAAUACGCCAACCCAACAAGUACCUUUGGAGACACCUGUAGAGCACCUUUAUAAUCAACCAGUUACGUUGUGAUGUUGGGUAGCACACAAAGUGUUCCUCCGGUAAACGGGAGUUGCAUAAUCUCAUAGUCAUAGGAACAUGUAUAAGUUAUGAAGAAAGCAAUAGCAACUAACUAAACAAUCAAGUGCUAAGCUAACGGAAUGGGUCAAGUCAAUCACAUCACUCUCCUAAUGAUGUGAUCCCGUUAAUCAAAUGACAACUCAUGUCUAUGGCUAGGAAACAUAAUCAUCUUUGAUCAACGAGCUAGUCAAGUAGAGGCAUACUAGUGACACUCUGUUUGUCUUUGUAUUCACACAUGUAUUAUGUUUCCGGUUAAUACAAUUCUAGCAUGAAUAAUAAACAUUUAUCAUGAUAUAAGGAAAUAAAUAAUAACUUUUAUUAUUGCCUCUAGGGCAUAUUUCCUUCACAUAACACUAACACUGGCUCAAGAUCACAUAAAGCAGUUUUAACAUAGUUUGUUUUAAUGGAGCAUGGUAUAGUGGGUACUCCUGGAUCUCCAAGUUUCUUUGGUAUUCCACCUUUAAAAGUAUAAUUAGCAAGCAUGGUGGAAAUUUCAGAUUCCGGUAUCUUUCUUUUAUUAGUAACACUAUCUUUCAUAUACUUAGCAUAAGGAUUCAUUUUGAGCAUAUCAGUUAAUCGCAUACGCAAAAAGAUAGGUCUAAUCAUUUCAGCAAAGCGCUCAAAAUCCUCAUCAUCCUUUUUCUUGGAUGGCUUGGGAGGAAAAGGCAUGGGUUUUUGAACCCAAGGCUCUCUUUCCUUACCGUGUUUCCUAGCAACAAAGUCUUUCUUAUCAUAACGUUGAUUCUUUGAUUAUGGGUUAUCAAGAUCAACAACAGGUUCAAUUUCUAUAUCAUUAUCAUUACUAGGUUGAGCAUCAAUAUGAACAUUAUCAUUUACAUUAUCACUAGUUUCAUGUUCAUUACCAGAUUGUGUUUCAGUAUCAGAAAUAGAAAUAUCAUUUGGAUUCUUAGGUGUUUCAGCAAUAGAUUCACUAGAAGCAUGCAAAGUCUUGUCAUUUUUCUUUUUCUUCCUUUUAGAAGGGCUAGGUGCAUCUGUAUUAUUUCUAUGAGAAUCUUGCUCAAUUCUCUUAGGGUGGCCUUCAGGAUACAAAGGUUCCUGAGUCAUUUUACUAGUUCUAGUAGCCACUCUAAUAGCAUAGUCCUUAUUCUUACUUGAGUGGUAACCAUAGAAGCAUGUUUACUAAUAAGUUUAAGUUCACCUUUGACAUUAGCCAUAUAAUCACCCAAGUGUUCAAGCAUAUCAGCACUACAUUUUAAUUCUCUACCAAAAUAAGCAUUGAAGUCUUCUUGCUUAACCAUAAAUUUAUCAAACUCAUCUAAGCAUGGGCUAGCAAACUUAGUAAAUGGGAUUUCAGCUUUAUCAUAUCUAUAGAGAGAAUUUACCUUUACUACCUAUGUCGGGUUAUCAAGACCAUGUGUUUCUUCAAUAGGUGAUGGAUUAAAACCAUAUAUUUCUUCAACAAGCAGUAAAUUAAGACCAUGUAUUUCUUCAAUAAGAGGUAAAUUCUUAACAUCUUCAGCUUUAAUACCCUUUUCUUUCAUGGAUUUCUUUGCCUCUUGCAUAUCUUCAGGACUGAGAAAUAGAACACCCCUUUUCUUCGGAGUUGGUUUAGGAAUAGGCUCAGGAGUUGGCUCAGGAAGUGUCCAAUUAUUUUCAUUUGUCAACAUAUUAUUCAAUAGAAUUUCAGCUUCAUCCAGUGUUCUUUCCCUGAAAACAGAACCAUCACAACUAUCCAGGUAAUCUCUGGAAGCAUCGGUUAGUCCAUUAUAAAAGAUAUCAAGUAUUUCAUUUUUCUUAAGAGGGUGAUCAGGAAAAGCAUUAAGUAAUUGGAGAAGCCGCCCCCAAGCUUGUGGGAGACUCUCUUCUUCAAUUUGCACAAAAUUAUAUAUAUCCCUUAAGGCAGCUUGUUUCUUAUGAGCAGGGAAAUAUUUAGCAGAGAAGUAAUAAAGCAUAUCCUGGGGACUACGCACACAACCAGGAUCAAGAGAAUUAAACCAUAUCUUAGCAUCACCCUUUAUGAGAAUAGGAAUAUUUUAAGGAUAUAAAAGUAGCGAGUCCUCUUAUCAUUAGUGAUUAGUGAACAGGGUAGCUAUAUCAUUUAAUUUAGUAAGAUGUGCCACAACAGUUUCAGAUUCAUAGCCAUAAAAAGGAUCAGAUUCAACCAAAGUAAUUAUAUCAGGAUCAAUAGAGAAUUCAUAAUCCUUAUCAGUAACAAAGAUAGGUGAAGUAGCAUAAGCAGGACCAUAUUUCAUUCUAGCAUUCAGAGUUUUUUGUUUAAGCUUAGCUAAUAAUUUCUUAAGAUCACUUCUAUCAUUGCAAGCAAGAAAGUCUCUUUUAGUUUCUUCAUCCAUAACAUAGCCCUCAGGCACAACAUGUAUUUCAUAUUUAUUAGGAGAGCCUUCAUAAUCACUUUCAUCAGUAUUAUCAGUUUCAAUAAUUUCAUUCUCUCUAGCCCUAGCAAGUUGUUCAUCAAGAAAUUCACCAAGUGGCACAGUUGUAUCAAGCAUAGAAGUACUUUCAUCAUAAGUAUCAUGCAUAGCAGAAGUGGCAUCAUCAAUAAUAUGCAACAUAUCGGAAUUAAUAAUAGAAGCAGGUUUAGGUGUCGCAAGCUUACUCAAAACAGAAGGUGAAUCAAGUAUUAGAAGUGGCAUCAUCAACCCAAAUUUAUUGAUUCGACACAAGGGGAGCCAAAGAAUAUUAUCAAGUAUUAGAAGCUGAGUUGUCAAUUCAACCACACCUAGAAACUUAGUAUCUACAGCAAAGUGUUUAGUAGCAAAGUAAUAUGAUAGUAGUGGUAACGGUGGCAAAAGGUAAUGGUAGAAAAAAUAAUAUUUUUGGUGUUUUGUAGUGAUGAUAGCAAUAGCAACGGAAAAGUAAAUAAGCGAAGAACAAUAUAUGGAAAGCUCGUAGGCAAUGGAUCGGUGAUAGAGAAUUAUGCCGGAUGUGGUUCAUCAUGUAACAGUCAUAACCUAGGGUGACACAGAACUAGCUCCAAUUCAUCAAUGUAAUGUAGGCAUGUAUUCCGAAUAUAGUCAUACGCGCUUAUGGAAAAGAACUUGCAUGACAUCUUUUGUCCUACCCUCCCGUGGCAGUGGGGUCCUAGUGGAAACUAAGGGAUAUUAAGGCAUCCUUUUAAUAGAGUACCGGACCAAAGCAUUAACACAUAGUGAAUACAUGAACUCCUCAAACUACGGUCAUCAGCGGAAGUGGUCCUGAUUAUUGUCACUUCGGGGUUGCCGGAUCAUAACACAUCGUAGGUGACUAUAAACUUGCAAGAUAGGAUCAAGAACUCUCAUAUAUUCAUGAAAACAUAAUAGGUUCAGAUCUGAAAUCAUGGCACUCGGCCCUAGUGCCAAGCAUUAAGCAUAGCAAAGUCAUAGCAACAUCAAUCUGAGAACAUAGUGGAUACUAGGGAUCAAACCCUAACAAAACUAACUCGAUUACAUGAUAAAUCUCAUCCAACCCAUCACCGUCCAGCAAGCCUACAAUGGAAUUACUCGUGCACGGCGGUGAGCAUCAUGAAAUUGGUGAUGGAGGAUGGUUGAUGAUGACGAUGGCGACGGAUUCCCCUCUCCGGAGCCCCGAACAAACUCAAGAUCAGCCCUCUCGAGAGAGUUUAGGGCUUAGUGGCUGCUCUGUAUUGUAAAACAAGAUGAAUCUUUCUCUCUGAUUUUUUCUCUCCGAACACGAAUAUAUAGAGUUGGAGUUGAGGUCGGAGGAGCUCCAGGGGGCCCACGAGGUAGGGGGCGCGCCCCCCACCCUCGUGGCUAGGGUGUGGGCCCCCUAGUCUUGAUCUUUUGCCAGUAUUUUUUAUUAUUUCCAAAAAUAGACUCCGUGAAGUUUCAGGUCAUUCCGAGAACUUUUGUUUCUGCACAUAAUAACACCAUGGCAAUUCUGCUGAAAACAGCGCCAGUCCAGGUUAGUUCCAUUCAAAUCAUGCAAGUUAGAGUCCAAAACAAGGGCAAAAGUGUUUGGAAAAGUAUAUACGACGGAGACGUAUCAUAGGGGUGGCCAAUAUUUUUCAAUGCUAGAUGUGUUAUUCUCAAGAUGAGUGUUUAUUCACUUGUCAUUGCAUGAGAGUACGGCGUUAAUAGGGAUGCCCAGUGCUGAAAUGAAAAGAAAAUUUACUUUAUGUUGUCAAAUAAUAAAUUCCUUGGGAAGUGUUGGUAUGGAAGGCACCCGUGGAUACGACUAGCCAUGGAUUGUGAAAGAAUGGUGCAAAAAGGAAUAAACUUUAUUUUAUGUUUGGGAACCUCCUAUGAUGUAUCUAGCAUGGAAAGUAUUGGGAACUACUCGGUCUUGUCGUUGACAGGAAAAUCAUGCCUCUCAAAAAAUUAUCUCUCAAUUUAAGCUUUGAGCUCUAGCACCUCUAAAAAUCUCUGCUUCCCUCUGCGAAGGGCCUAACUAUUUACUUUAUACAAUUUUUAUUUUUAUUUGAGUCUCCAUCUUCUCUUAUAAAGCGCCAACUAGGGAGCACUAUGAUCAUACUUGAGCAUUGUAUGUAGCUAAUAUGCGGGUGUGUUUCGUGAAUGGAUCAAUGAUUGAGCAUGAUGGGCUAGGGAUAACUUUCUUUGGUGUUGAUAUUUUGAAAGACAUGGUUGCUUUGUGAUAUGCUUGCGUAUUGAAAUCUUCAUGUCAAAACUAUACUAUUUCUUUGAACCAUAUGAAAGUCCAAAUGUCCAUGCUACAAAAAGAAAAUAAUAUGUAAUGAACUUGUUAGGCAGCAUUCCACAUCAAAAAUUCGGUUUUUAUCAUUUACCUACUCGAGGACGAGCAGGAAUUAAGAUUGGGGAUGUUGAUACGCCUCCAACCUAUCUAUAAUUUUUUAUUGUUCCAUGUUGUUAUACUAUCAUUCUUGAUGUUUUGUCGUCAUUUUAUAGCUACUUUAUAUCAUUUUCUGGGACUAACCUAUUGACAUAGGAGAGAAUUCCUUAUUUAACACUGUCUAAAAAAUUUGUUCCUUAUUUGACACUGAAAAAAUAUUUCUUCCCUAUCUAACACAACCUUUAAAUUUUAUUCCCAAUAUAACACUUCCAUCCAUUUUUGUGCAAAUAGUGUUAAAUGGCACGUGAAAUGACAAUUCUGCCCCCAAACAUCUAUUCAAUCAUUUUCUUUAUAUUAGACUUAGGUUUUCUAGUUCUAAUCAAGUCUCUGAUAGUGCAUAGACAUGCUUACUGUCAAGACUGCUUUGUGCUUACCGUCAAGACUGCUUUGUACAACAGGAAAAAAGAUUGAGAAGUGUAAAAAAAUGCAGGAGCGACAUGACCAACAAAUCUCUUCGACCUGUUUGUUCUACUCACCAAGCUAACGCAAGCAAGACUCAACGCUCAAGUACGUACGUACAUACGCGGCUAGAGACAAGCACGUUCUGCAUCUAGGAAAAAAUUAAUCAAGCUGCAUGUAUUUCUGAGCUAGCAUUGCACGUACGUGCGCUGCUUGGGUGAAUCGACUUGGCAUUCUAAAACUGACACUUCACCACAGGCUCACGCAACACUCGUCCGCUCCUGUCUGCUGCGCCUUCGACGUCCCCACCACCAUGUCUUGAGAAGUUUUUCAGCCAUAACCAGGGGUAAACUUGUCAUUUCACGUGUCAUUAAACACCGUUAGGUCAAAAAAUGGACGAAAGUGUUAUAUUAGGAACAAAAUUUAAAGUUGGUGUUAGAUAGGGAAGAAAUAUUUCUUCAGUGUUAAAUAGGGAAACAAAAUUUAAAAUAGUGUUAAAUAAGGAAUUCUUUCUUGACAUAGUGCCCAGUGUCAUUUGCCUGUUUUUUACUUCGCAUAAUAUCAGAACCAAACGGAGUCCAAAUACAGUGAAACUUUUGGAAAUUUUUUUGGACCAGAAGACAACUUGGGAGCUAAGGAAGCACCAGAGGGGAGGCUCAUGGGGCCCAUGAGACACCAGGGCGCGCUAGAGGCCCCUAACGCGCCUUGAUUGGUUGUGGGGCCCACGGGGGUCACCUCCACCGCCUCUCAGCUCUAUAAAUACCCAAAUAUUCCAGAACCCUAGGGAGUUGAAGAAACACAAUUCCAGCCGCCGCAAGUUGCAGAACCACAAGAUCUAAUCUAGAGCCCUAUUCUGGCACUCUGCUGGAGGGGAAUACGAUCACGGAGGGGUUCAUCAUCCUCAUUGGUGCCCCUCCGAUGAUGCGUGAGUAAUUCACCAUAGACCUACGGGUCCGUAGGUGCUACCUCUUGAGCACUGCGUUGGUUUUCCCUUGAAGAGGAAAGGGUGAUGCAGCAAAGUAGCGUAAGUAUUUCCCUCAGUUUUUGAGAACCAAGGUAUCAAUCCAGUAGGAAACUACACGCAAGUCCCUCGUACCUACACAAACAAAUAAGAACCUCGCAACCAACACGAUAAAGGGGUUGUCAAUCCCUUCACGGUCACUUACGAGAGUGAGAUCUGAUAGAGAUAAUAAGAUAAUUUUUUUUGGUAUUUUUAUGAUAUAGAUUGGAAAAUAAAUAUUGCAAAAUAAAAUAGAUUGGAAACUUAUAUGAUGGAAAAUAGACCCGGGGGCCAUAGGUUUCACUAGUGGCUUCUCUCAAGAUAGCAUAAGUAUUACGGUAGGUGAACAAUUUAUUGUCAAGCAAUUGAUAGAAAAAUGCAUAAUUAUGAGAAUAUCUAGGCAUGAUCAUGUAUAUAUGCAUCACGUCCGUGACAAGUAGACCGAAACGAUUCUGCAUCUACUACUAUUACUCCACACAUCGACCGCUAUCCAGCAUGCAUCUAGAGUAUUAAGUUGAUAAGAACAGAGUAACGCAUUAGGCAAGAUGACAUGAUGUAGAGGGAUAAACUCAAGCAAUAUGAUAUAAACCCCAUCUUUUUAUCCUCGAUGGCAACAAUACAAUACGUGCCUUGUUGCCCCUACUAUCACUGAGAAAGGACACUACAAGAUUGAACCCAAAGCUAAGCACUUCUCCCAUUGCAAGAAAGAUCAAUCUAGUAGGCCAAACCAAACUGAUAAUUCGAAGAGACUUGCAAAGAUAACAAAUCAUACAUAAAAGAUUUCAGAGAAGAAUCAAAUAUUGUUCAUAGAUAAACUUGAUCAUAAACCCACAAUUCAUUGGAUCUCGACAAACACACCGCAAGAAGAAUUACAUCGAAUAGAUCUCCAAGAAUAUCCAGGAGAACUUUGUAUUGAGACCCAAGGAGAGAGAAGAAGUCAUCUAGCUAAUAACUAUGGACCCGCAGGUCUGAGGUAAACUACUCACACAGCAUCGGAGAGGCUAUGGUGUUGAUGUAGAAGCCCUCCGUGAUCGAUCCCCCCUUCGGUGGAGCUCCGGAAAAGGCCCCAAGAUGGGAUCUCUUGGCUACAGAAGGUUGCGGCGGUGGGAAUAGAGUUUCAGGGUGCUCCUGGAUGUUGUUGGGGUAUAUGGAUAUAUAUAUAUAUAGGAGGAAGAAAUAGGUCGGUGGAGCUGUGAGGGGCCCACGAGUGUGGGGGGCACGCCCAGGGGGCACGCGCGCCUCCCUGCCUCGUGGCCUCCUCGCUUCUUUCUUGACGUCUACUCCAAGUCCCCUGGAUCACGUUUGUUCCAAAAAUAACUCUCCUGAAGGUUUCAUUCCGUUUGAUAUUCCUUUUCUGUGAAACACUGAAAUAGGCAAAAAAAACAGCAAUUUGCACUAGGCCUUGGGUUAGUAGGUUAGUCCCAAAAAUAAUAUAAAAGUGUAUAAUAAAGCCCAUUAAACAUCCAAAACAUAUAAUAUAAUAGCAUGGAACAAUAAAAAAUUAUAGAUACGUUGGAAACGUAUCAAGCAUCCCCAAGCUUAAUUCUUGCUCGUCCUCGAGUAGGUAAAUGAUAAAAACAGAAUUUUUGAUGUGGAAUGCUACCUAGCAUAAUUCUCAAUGUAAUUUUCUUUAUUGUGGCAUGAAUACUCAGAUCCGAAAGAUUCAAGACAAAAGUUCAAUAUUGACAUAAAAACAAUAAUACUUCAAGCAUACUAACUAAGCAAUCAUGUCUUCUCAAAAUAACAUGGCCAAAGAAUGUUCAUCCCUACAAAAUCAUAUAGUUUGGUGAUGCUUCAUUUUCGUCACACAAGAAUGCUCUCAUCAUGCACAACCCCAAUGACAAGCCAAGCAAUUGUUUCAUACUUUAGUAAUCUCAAACUUUUUUCAACUUUCAAGCAAUACAUGAGCGUGAGCCAUGGAUAUAACACUAUGGGUGGAAUAGAAUAUAAUGAUAGGGGUUAUGUGGAGAAGACAAAAAGGAGAAAGUAUCACAUUGACGUGGCUAAUCAAUGGGCUAGGGAGAUGCCCAUCAAUUGAUGUCAAUGCAAGGAGUAGGGAUUGUCAUGCAAUGGAUGCACUAGAGCUAUAAAUGUAUGAAAGCUCAACAAAAGAAACGAAGUGGGUGUGCACCCAACUUGCUUGCUCACGAAGACCUAGGGCAUUUGAGGAAGCCCAUUGUUGGAAUAUACAAGCCAAGUUCUAUAAUGAAAAAUUCCCACUAGUAUAUGAAAGCGACAAAACAAGAGACUCUCUAUCAUAAAGAUCAUGGUGCUACUUUGAAGCACAAGUGUGGAAAAAGGAUAGUAGCAUUGUCCCUUUUUAUUUCUUUUUUUAUUUGGGACAAUGCUCUAUUAAUGAUGAUCAUCACACUUCUAUUUAUUUACAACUCAAUGAUUACAACUCGAUACUAGAACAAAAUAUGACUCUAUAUGAAUGCCUCCGACGGUGUACCGGGAAGGGCAAUGAAUCAAGAGUGACAUGUAUGAUAAAUUAUGCAUGGUGGCUUUGCCACAAAUACGAUGUCAAUUACAUGAUCAUGCAAGGCAAUAUGACAAUGAUGAAGCGUGUCAUAAAUGAGACGGUGGAAAGUUGCAUGGCAAUAUAUCUCGGAAUGGCUAUGGAAAUGCCAUAAUAUGUAGGUAUGGUGGCUGUUUUGAGGAAGAUAUAAGGAGGUUUAUGUGUGAUAGAGCAUAUCAUGUCACGGGGUUUAGAUGCACCGGCAAAGUUUGCACCAACUCUCAAGGUGAGAAAGGGCAAUGCACGGUACUGAAGAGGCUAGCAAUGAUGGAAAGGUGAGAGUGCGUAUAAUCCAUGGACUCAACAUUAGUCAUAAAGAACUCACAUACCUAUUGCAAAAAUCUACAAGUCAUCAAAAACCAAGCAUUAUGCGCAUGCUCCUAGGGGGGUAGAUUGGUAGGAAAAGACCAUUGCUCGUCCCCGACCGCCACUCAUAAGGAAGACAAUCAAAGAACACCUCAUGUUUCAAAUUUGUUACACAACGGUUACCAUACGUGCAUGCUACAGGACUUGCAAUCUUCAACACAAGUAUUUCUAAAAUUCACAACUACUCAACUAGCACAACUCUAAUAUCAGCAUCUUUAUAUCUCAAAACAAUUAUCAAGUAUCAAACUUCUCAUAGUAUUCAAUGCACCUUUUUAUGCAAGUUUUUAUUAUAUCAAUCUUGGAUGCCUGUCAUAUUAGGAUCAAUUUUAUAGCCAAAGUAAAUUACCAUGCUGUUCUAAAGGACUCUCAAAAUAAUAUAAGUGAAGCAUGAGAGAUCAAUAAUUUCUAUAAAAUAAAACCACCACCGUGCUCUAAAAGAUAUAAGUGAAGCACUAGAGCAAAAUUGUCUAGCUCAAAAAUAUAUAAGUGAAGCACAUAGAGUAUUCUAAUAAAUUUCGAUUCAUGUGUGUCUCUCUCAAAAGGUGUGUACAGCAAGGAUGAUUGUGUUAAACUAAGAAGCAAAGACUCAAAUCAUACAAGACGCUCCAAGAAAAACACAUAUCAUGUGAUGAAUAAAAAUAUAGCCUCAAGUAAAGUUACCGAUGGACGAAGAUGAAAGAGGGGAUGUGUUGGGGAUAUUACUAUCAGCUGAGACCCGCCCAGGAGGGGCCGGGUUAGCUUCAAUGGUGGGUUACGCAAGAAGUUCAGUAAACAUCCAAGUUUGUAGUUUAUUAAGUCUUAUAGAAGGCCCAAAGGUCAGGGGCCGGCUUAAGGCCCGAUAUUGUAAAACGCUACAUGUAAGGAAAUACUUGUACAGAAAGACAUAUAAAGAAAGUCACCGAGCCGGACACGAUUAUGAGCCGGCCGGGACUCUGUAGGCCACCUGGCGUCAACCCGUGUAUAUAAGGGGACGACCCGAUGGCGGUUUAGGGUAAGAAACAACAAGUCGAUAACCAAGCCGGCGAGUUAAGCCUCUUGGUGAUCGAAACCCCAGCAAUACCAAACCCAACUAGACGUAGGCUUUUACCUUCAUCGUAAGGGGCUGAACUAGUAUAAAACUCUCUCAUGUCCUUUGUCCCGAUUAACCCCUUUAAGCUUCCUAGUGCGAUGGCCCUAUGACUAAGUCCUUGCUCUAGGACAUCUGCCGUGACAAUUCCACGACAGUUGGCGCCCACCGUGGGGCCAGCGCAUGGUGGAUUUGAGUUCUUGAAGGGCAACUUCGAAGGGCUCAAGGGAUACGCUGUGGGCCGGAUGACCAAGACUCAUCGCGGCAAGAUCUACAUCGACGACGAAGGCUGGGGCCCCGAGGCUAGCUCAAUUGAGUACGGGUACUGGGUCCCCUUCGGCGGAAUCCACGUCUUCAUCGGCCGGAUCGGUGAGUCAGGCCCUGAGCCGGGUGUCCACACCGACCUCAUCGAAACGGCUCAGCGUGCCGGGUCCGCCCGUGUUCAAUCUGUCGUGAAGCAUGCCUUCGUAGGCUGCGUCCAUGGCGGUGAAUACUCCGAAGGAUCGAUGGAAGGCGGGGAGACGGCCAUCUGCUCUGAUGCUGCAUCUUCAACGGGUGAGAUGGACUCAUUGUACCAACUGCAAGACGGCAUGCUCGGGGGCUGUUCCGAUGGCAGCAGUAUUCUGGACCCCCUUGAGCCGCCAAAUUGGGUCGGAGUCUUCAUGGAAGGGACGCAACCCGGGCAGAACUCCACCGCAGCGACAGCAGCCGCCACCGGGUCGGCAGCUGCCGGGUCAGGAGACCCCGUGCGCCCCCCGGCUCAGGUUCUCUUGGACCUCAUGGAUAAACUGACGACUCUGUUAACCGCUGCGGUAGAGCCGGCGGAUAAAGCCCAGCAUGACGCAGAAGUGGCACGCGUGCGGGAGGAGAUGGUGCAAGCUAAGGAAAUUUUGGCUAUGGAGGAAACCCGGAUGGCAGCAGAACGAGCAGCCUUGGAUGCUCGUGCUCAGCAGCUUCAAGCAGAAACCUUCCGGCUCUCCGUGGAUCUUAAUGCGUCAAACGAAGUCAUGAGGAGGAGGCGUCAGAAAACUCAGUUGCGUCUGCCUCUAACACUGGAUCCGAGGAAUCUGUUCCAUACACCCGGAGCUGGAGGGAGCAACCCGCCGGAGGUAAACCGGGUCGGGACGCCCAGAGCACCAGUUCAGCCACGCAGGAUGGAGCCGCCGCGCAUGAAUACAGCUCCUCCCUGUUAUAUAUCAACACCCUCGGGUCACUUCUCCAACCCCAUGGAGAACCUCAUUGCGGCGUCAGCUCGUUUGGCAGCUCUCCCGAUGGAAGGUGACUCGCCAGCAGCAAUUGAAACCCGGAGGGUAAGAGAACUGCUUCAGACAGCUUUGGCCUAGCAAGAUGCAUACUCCUACAGUCGAGACAGGAUUCAUUCAACUCCUCGCCCAAGCCGGAGCCCAAGUUACAGUAGGCACAUGGAAUCUGCAGAGAUGUCAAGUAACGCUCAACGCCACAACCGGCCAUAUAGGCAUGAGCCGGUGCGGGCUGGAGCCCUCAACUUGGCGGAUCAGGAGAGAAUUCAUCAAGAGGCGGAACGGACGGCUUAGAUAGCAGCGGAGCAGGUGGCUCACCAGACUUUUCCAGCUUACCCAGCGACUUCGGUGGAGGCAGGUGUAGUUAUGAGAACCGGAGGCGUACCUUGCCUGGUCCCAGCCAUACGCAAUGAAUGGUUGCCCAAGGAUUUCAAGGGGCCUCGUAAGGUACCAAACUACACGGCUGACUUACAGCCAGGGGCUUGGAUUGAGAGUUAUGAGAUGGCUAUGGAGCUGUUGGAGGUUAGUGAUGCUCCAAUGGCCAAGUACUUUACCAUGAUGUUGGAUGGAACGGCUCGGACCUGGCUGAAAGGAUUGCCACCCAAUUCCAUCGGCUCAUGGGCAGAGUUAAAGGCACGGUUCAUCCAGAACUUUAAAGACACGUGUAAGCAGCCAAUGUCAAUUGUGGACCUGACCAAUUGCAAGCAAGAGGAUGGAGAAUCUACGACUCAUUGGGUGCACCGGGUCAAGGAAAUAAUACAUUCGUCUGAUAAAAUGGACGCCAGUUUAGCAGUUUUGAUGUUGGAGAAGAAUUGCCGUUUUGAGCCCCUGAAGUAGAAGUUGGGGCGGCUUAAACGAGACUAUAAUGACAUGGGAACGUUGAUGGCGGCUCUUGUCAAGUAUGCCGAUUCUGAUACCACCAAAGACUCUACGUCUGAUGAGGAAAAAGCAACAAAUGGAAAGAAGAACGGCAAUGGCAAGGGUCACCAGCAUAACCCGGCAAAUCAAGGAGGUAAUAAGUGUAAGGCUGAUGAGUUUGUUGCUAAUACUAAUGCACAGGGCGGUAAUCAGCGGCGCAAGGGCAGACAGCCCCCUCGAUCGGGCGGGUCAGGUCCCACCCUUGAGCAGCUGUUGAAUGAACCUUGUCCUAGACAUGGCACCAGGGAGAAGCCAGCUACCCGCUUGUGGAAGGAUUGUACGAUCAUGAAGGCAUUUAAAAAUUCAAACGCGUUUGAUGGGGGUCAUGGUCCGGGUGGCGGCUCAGGAGGCUUUCAGGGCCCGGGCGCCAGUUCAAAUGGAGGAGGUUUUCAUGGUCAUCCUGGUCAUCAGGGGGGAUAUAAUCAGCAACACAACCAAGGGAAUCAACAGCAGCAACAAUCCGGCUAUCAGAGCAACCUGAAGUAGUUGAGUAGCGGAUAGUAUCAUGUCUUUACUACCAGUUUAUGUAAGAGAGACCAGAAACUCCAGAAGAGGGUCGUCAAUGUCGUUGAACCGGCAAUCCCACGUUAUCUACGUUGGUCGGAGAAGCCUAUUGUGUGGAGCAGAGAGGAUCACCCGCCCCGGGUUGAUAAUCCGGGUCACUUGGCUUUGGUAGUGGCACCUCAGGUUGGUGGGUACAAGUUUACUAAGGUACUCAUGGAUGGAGGCAGCAGCAUCAACAUCCUUUACUAUGAGACGUUCCGCCGGAUGGGAUUGACGGAUAAAAAUCUUAAACAAUCCAACACUGUUUUUCAUGGUGUAGUACCCGGUAAGUCGGCAUACCCCAUUGGUAAGAUCGAGCUGGAGGUAGCCUUUGGGGAUGAGUAUGACUCCAGGGCAGAAAAAUUAACCUUUGAAGUGGUUAAGAUCAAAAGCCCAUAUCAUGCUCUGUUUGGGCGACCGGCUUAUGCCAAGUUCAUGGCUCGGCCGUGUUACGUGUAUUUACAGCUCAAGAUGCCGGGUCACAAGGGCACCAUUACAGUCCAUGGGAGCCGAAAGAUCUCCUUGGAAUGUGAAGAGGGGGAUGCUGCCUAUGCUGAAUCUGUUUUUGUGACAGAGGAGUUGAAAUUCAAGGAUCAGGUUGACCCGGCGGACAUGACGUCAUUAAAGAAACCAACCACAGAGCAUGAGCCGGAGUUGAAGUUCAGGUCAGCUGGCGAAUCACCCAACCAGUUCAUCAUCAGCGCAAACUUGGAUCCGAAUUAGGAAAGCGCGCUCAUCGAGUUCAUCCAUGAGAACCGGGACAUCUUUGCAUGGAAACCUUCAGACAUGUUGGGUGUCCUGAGGGAACUCGCUGAGCACACUCUUAAUAUCGAUCCAAAGUUCAAGCCUGUCAGACAGUUUCUUCGGCAGUUCAAUGAAGAAAGGCGUAAGGCCAUUGGAGAAGAGGUGGCCCGGCUCUUCGUGGCCGGGUUCAUUGUGGAGGUCUUUCACCCAGAAUGGUUAGCUAACCCGGUGCUCGUGCUCAAAAAGAAUGGCACCUGGCAUAUGUGUGUGGAUUACACAGAUUUAAACAAGGCCUGUCCGGCUGAUCCUUUUGCUCUUACCCGUAUUGAUCAGAUUAUUGAUGCUACGGCGGGUUGUGCACGUUUGAGUUUUUAGAUGCUUACUCUGGGUAUCAUCAGAUUAAGAUGGCAAUCAAGGAUCAAGAGAAAAUAGCGUUCAUAACACCUUUUGGGGCUUUCUGCUAUGUGUCUAUGCCUUUUCGGCUCAAAAGUGCUUAGGCGACUUACCAACGGUGUGUGCAGAAUUGUCUUCGUGAUCAAAUUGGGCGCAAUGUUCAUGCCUAUGUGGAUGAUAUAGUAGUGAAAUCCAGGGAAGAGGAAACCUUGGUCACAGACUUGAAAUAGACUUUUGAUAAUCUUCGGGUGUACACGAUGAUGCUUAACCCAGCCAAACGUGUUUUUGGAGUGCCAGCCAGCAAGCUUUUGGGUUUUCUGGUGUCUAACUGAGGCAUUGAAGCUAACCCGGAGAAGAUCAAAGCAAUUACAUCCCUGGCCAAACCAACCUACAUCAAUGGUGUUCAACGACUGGCGGGUCGUGUGGCUGCUUUGAGCCGGUUCAUAAGCCGGUUAGGGGAAAAGGCUAUGCCUCUGUAUCAGUUGAUGAAGAAAACAGAUGUGUUUGUUUGGAGUGAUGCUGCGAACGCCGCUUUUGAAGAUCUGAAGGCACAACUAGCUGAGCCGCCGGUCCUAGCUGCUCGAAUUGAGAAAGAGCCGCUAUUGUUAUAUGUAGCUGCCAAAUCACAGGCUGUUAGUGUGGCUAUGGUGGUAGAGCGCAAGGAGGAUGGCAAAGAGCAUCCGGUUCAACGGCCGGUUUAUUAUGUCAGUGAAGUGCUAAUUGAGUCUAAGCAACGAUAUCCACAUUGGCAGAAGCUUGUUUAUGGGGUGUUCAUGGCAAGCCGGAAGCUUAAGCAUUACUUUCAGGGACAUCCAAUCACUAUGGUUAGCUCUGCUCCUUUGGGAGACAUUAUUCAAAACAGAGAAGCUACAGGGCGAGUUGCCAAGUGGGCAAUUGAGCUUGGGUCUCAUGGGUUGAAGUAUGUUCCACGCACUGCAAUUAAGUCUCAAGCCCUGGUUGGCUUCAUCAAUGACUGGACAGAGAUGCAGAUGCCAGAAGAAAAGCCGGACAGCACAUAUUGGACUAUUCAUUUUGAUGGGUCCAGGCAAUUGGAGGGCUCGGGGGCUGGAGUUGUAUUAACUUCCCCACGAGGUGAUAAAUUUUGUUAUGUGUUACGAUUGAUGUUUCCAUGCACUAACAACACAGCAGAGUAUGAAGCAUUGCUCCAUGGUCUUCGAGUGGCAAAGGAGAUGAGCUUGAGCUGGGUCAGAUGUCUUGGUGAUUUGGAUCUAGUGGUUCAGCAGGUGUCUGGCAAGUGGGAUUCCAAAGACCCUCUCAUGGCGGCUUAUCGCCGAGAGGUCGAUGCUGUUGCAGGAUAUUUUAAAGGCUAUCAGGUGGAACACAUUGACCGUCGAAAGAAUGAAGCAGUUGAUGCUUUGAGUCGGCUGGGGUCUCAACGUAAGCCGGUACGACCCAACACCUUUUUAGAUGUUUUGCAUAACCCCUCUGUCAAAUUGCCCACAGAAGAAGAUUUAGCUGUUCCUGACCCGGAGGCGCAGUUGGUGGCGACCCUUCAUGUCAUCUCAUAUUGGACGGUGCCGUUCUUGGAUUACAUGAUCCGGGGAGAAUUGCCAGCGGAUGAGACCCUGGCUCGACAGAUAACCCGGCGGUCUAACUCCAUGACGAUUUCGGAUGGAGAGUUAUUUCAUCGCAGUGUUUCUGGAGCGUUUCAAUGGUGUGUUUCCCCCGAAGAAGGUCAAGAAAUCCUUCGUGAGAUCCAUGAAGGUGAUUGUGGUCAUCACGCCGGGUCAAAAUCUUUGGUGGCCAAGGUGUUUCGUCAUGGUUUUUACUGGCUGACGGCUCAUGUUGAUGCGGAGGAUCUAGUUAGUAGAUGUGACGGAUGUCAGAAAUUCGCACGACGGGCGCAUGUGCCGGCUCAAGAGCUCUGGAUGAUUCCAAUCACUUGGCCGUUUGUAGUCUGGGGGCUUGACAUGGUGGGACCUUUCAAAAGGUCUAAGGACAAGAAGACACAUCUCCUGGUGGCUGUUGAUAAGUUCACUAAAUGGGUUGAGGCAGAGCCUGUGAGUAAGUGUGAUGCAGCCACGGCGGUUCAGUUCAUGAAGAAAAUAAUCUUCCGUUUCAGUUUUCCACACAGUAUUAUCACGGACAAUGGCACCAAUCUAUCCCAAGGGGCUAUGGAAGAGUUUUGUCAGCGAGAGCACAUCCGGCUUGAUGUUUCUUCUGUAGCUCAUCCUCAAUCCAAUGGUCAAGCUGAGAGAGCCAAUCAGGAAAUUCUGAAAGGGCUAAAACCCCGGCUUAUGGUUCCUUUACAGCGAACGCCGGGUUGUUGGGUAGAGGAGUUGCCUUCAGUGUUAUGGAGUAUCAAUACUACACCCAACAGGUCUACGGGUUACACGCCCUUCUUCAUGGUUUAUGGGGCAGAAGCGGUAUUGCCCAGUGACAUCCAUCAUGACUCGCCCCGUGUGGCGGCUUAUGUUGAAGCUAACAAUGAAAAAGCCAGACAGGAUGCGCUUGACUUGUUGGAUGAAGAAAGAGACUUAGUAGCAGCGCGAUCGGCAAUCUAUCAACAGGACCUGCGUCGUUAUCACAGCCGACGGGUUAAGACCAGAACUUUUCAGGAAGGCGACUUGGUGCUCCGGCUCAUUCAAGAUCUUUCAGAUGCACACAAGUUAUCCCCACCUUGGGAAGGACCCUUUGUGGUCAGUAAAAAUUUAAACAAUGGGUCUUACUACCUCAUUGACGUUCGAGAGCAUGUAGACUCACGUAAGCCGGAAGAGGAGACCCGCCGGCCGUGGAACAUUGCUCAACUUCGGCCGUACUAUACCUGAGCCACCGGCUCUCAUCAUGUACAUACGUUCAUCCUGUAUAUACGAUGAUAAGCAAUAAAGUAAGACCAUCGGCCUCUUUUCUUUUCAAAGAUUAUGCAUCUUUAUUACUUUUUCACAAAUGACUAUUAAGGAGCUGAUCAUAUUUGAAUCAAGUUUAACCUUUUUCUAGUCCGGCUUAUGAUCGUAUUCGAAUCUAGCUGUAAAUAUCAUGGUCACUUGGGAGCUUCCUGUUCAGACAUAGGUCGUAUUCGAACCAAAGAGAACAUAGCUGUCGUAACCCUUUUGAUCGGCUCAAGGCCAAACUCACUUGGGGGCUUCUUGAUCGUAUCUGAAUCAUAGCUUAACCCAUUUUGAGCCGACUUAGAUCGUAUUCGAAUCAGGGUCGUUAAAAACCUCUCAAGGUCAUUUGGGAGCUUCCUAUUCAAACAUAGGUCGUAUUCGAACCAAAGAGAACAUAGCUGUCGGUACCCUCUUGAUCGGCGCAACGCCAAAGCCACUGGGGGCUAUAUGGUCACAUUUGAACCUUAGCUUAACCCCUUUGGUCCGGUUUACUGGUCGUAUUCGAAUCAGAAGCCCCCAAUCUUUUAAAUACAGAGUUAAAAUUAUGUUUUUUAUCUGUUGCUUGCCUUUGAGUUUUUGUUGCUUCAAUAUUACAAAUGAGAUGGCCUGAUUCUCUUCGCCGGCUCAAUUAUUGGACAACACAGCCGCCCGGGUUAUCCAAGCCGGUGGUCUAAGGAUCCAAAGGUAUGAGCUACUAAGGUAUGAUGAUUAUUGAAUGUUCAAGGAGUCUCAACUUUUAUAUUGAAUUCUCAAACUCAUCACCCGGUUUAUUUAAACCGGCGAUCUAAGGAUCACCAAGGACAAGGUAUGGUUUUUACUUACACGCGCUUAUCGGCUGCGUUAACUUCAGAGUUGAUAUUAAACCUUAUCCUUUAUUUAUAUUUGUCUCUAUUUUUUGAGGUGGAAAUAUGGGCUGUAAAAGAGGUGUUUAAACCCAGUUGUUUCUAAACCGCCUUGCCAGGUCUUUCCUUUUUCCUUGUGUUCACAGGAACAGAGUUUAAACAUUGCAGAGACAAGUGUUAAACAAGGCAUAAGAACAGCAUUAAAACAUUGGCACCCGGAAGCACAGAUUCACAUAGAAGCGUUUUAUGCGCGAUGGCAUAAGCAAACAUGCGGUGUUUUUAACAGCUAAAGCUAUUACAAGGCUUUCUAAAGCCCAUGAAGAUGAUCAUUGUCCUUCCCUCACCGGCUCAACAUCUUGAAUCUGCUAGAAGUUGGGUUUUGACCAGUCAUAGCCGUUCAUGGCAACAAAUUCAGCUUCAUCAUCAAUCAGGCCGACCGGAUCAACCUCCGGGGCAAAUGUGUCUUCUCUCACCGAUGGGAUCAAGUCGGUUACUUUAUAGGAAGGAGGGGCCAUCUUCUUAUUUUCACUGUCAAAACCCGGUUGAUACUUGUCCACAUUGGUGGCAUCUCCAAGGCUAGUCGCCUGAGGCCGGACUUCACGGGCGCAGGCUAUAAAGUCAUCCUGAUCAAAAGGAGACCCGUCCUCCUUCACAGUAGGAUAACCCCUUGCCACGUCUGUCGGGUCUAGAUCUGGUACCCAAGCCUUGGAGCGGCUUAGGGCAAUCAAAGCUCCGGCUCGCGCGCAGGAGCGUUUCACCUCUUGGAAUCUGGCAGGGAGAAUGGACAACCUCUUCAGGACGUCACUGAUCCAGUUAGACCCUUGAUUAGUAGGAGAGAUGGCUUCCAGAGCUCGUUGUGCGCCGAUAUACAAUUGUGCAGUUAAAGUGUAUACGGCUUUCAUCUUAAUCAACGGGUCUUGGUCUAGAUUCUUACUUCGCGGACCUACACGCAUUUUUCAUAGAGUCAGUUAACGGAUCAUAUUCCUGCUUGACAGGAAACACAUAUCAAAGAUCAAAUCAGGAAGCUUACCAAAGAUAGCAGCGACCAUCUGAGACACCCGGCCUUUUAAACUAUUCAGUUCGGUUGAAAUUUCCUUCAGAGUUGUUUCGGCUGUCCCAGCUCGCCGGGUCAGAAGUAUCUUCUCACAUGACCACGUUUUUUCUUUGACAGCAAAGUCAGUCUUCAACUUCUCCGUUUCAGAAAGACUUAUUUGCAGUUGGAGGUGGAAGAUUUAAUUUCUGAUUCCUGGUUCGCUAGCCGGGUCUUUGUAUCAGUCAGUUGGGAGUUCAGUUCAGAUAAUGCAUUCUAUGAACACAUUCAGAUAAAUCAAGACUUGGCCUCAAAUUCCAGUAUCCAAUUUCAAAGAUUCAAGUCUCAAAUACUUUAUGAAUAAACCACUUGACACUUGGGGGCUAAUGUAUGUCAAAUCAAAUUUUUAUGACUCUACCAACAUAUUUGAAUCCCAAGUCCUUUACAAAGUAACAGCACUUGGCACUUGGGGGCUAAUGCACGCAGUUCGGCAAGUUUUUCAAGUUUAAAUCGGAAUAUUAAGUAUUUUACAUAUGGCAUUCAAUUCUGAAGUACCGAUUCAUUAAUGAUUAAAUAAACCGGUCCUUGGGGACUAUGGGUGAAGUCUUGUUCUACUAAUAUCAAGCAAAGAUUCAGAGGUAAAAGUAUCAGUCUAUAUUGUAAGUCUAUAGGUUAUUCUAUUUCUCUCAUAAUCUACAGACUUGGGGGCUGAAGGAAUGUUGAUAAACCAGAAAUUACAUACCUCAUACUUCAAUUGAAGCUGCUUGACCAUCUCCAUCUAAGAAUCACGACUGGAGUGUACAUGACUCAGAUAGCCGGAUAAGAUAUCACUGGCAUUAAGACGGUCAUAAUUGGCAACAUCAAGACGAACCUUCCGCCUCUCCAAAGCUUCUUGCUUAGCGGUGCACCGUGCCAAAACCGUUGGGUUCCCCGACUCAACAUAGCGGCUCCCAGUAAUUUGAACAUCUUGAACACGGGGAGACGGUGGGCCGGUUGAGCUUGAUGGACCAGCUGCAGAAGAGUUAAUAGUGUUCUUGACAAGGGAUGGCUCUGGAGGAUUUGCUUCAUGAAGAAUAGGCGGGUCUUCUGGGGCGACAAUCAAUGGAGAAGGUGUCCUAGCAGGCUCAGAUGCCAGUACUGGCGGAUCUUCCAUUGGUUUUGUUGCCUUCGCUUUUUUGGACUUAGCUUGACCACUGAAGAAAAAUAUUUCAGAAUAAUCAGCAUUAAGAUAACAAUUGAUCAAACUCGAAAGAAAAGAGGGUUUUUAAUUACCUAGGAGCAGUCUUGGAAGCCGAAAAUUGUGUUUGUGAUGAGUCACCCGAAGAACGAGACACCUCCUGAAAAGGUAAAUGAAAGGAGUUAAAGAAAAUACAAGGAGCAGGAUUCAUCAAAACAGGUUAAAGACAGUAAUAAUUAAACCUCGUUCGGGCGUUUCCAAGGAGUCUGUUGAAGGACAACAGCCAGUUCAUCCUCAAUUCCAACUUCACGGCGGCUUUCAUGUUGCUGUUUUUUCAAAUGAAAGUUGGGAUCCAAGUGAGCUAAAGGGUUAUAAAACCUUACUUUACGGAUCACUCGACGAACUUUGUGUCUUGGUAAGGGCUCUGAGUCGGAGGAAAUAAUAGUUACCUCUACUUCCUCAGCCUGACUGGCCCCAGUGUCAUCCUGGUAAGGAUCAGUGUCAAUAAGAGUGUUAAAAAAUUGGCCAAGGGAGUCAAGGACUACCUCCGAGUCAGACGAGUCAUCAAGCUUCAUUAAAUCUUCAGCGGUGGUUUUCUUCUUCUUCUUCUUGGAUUUCCGGGCUGUUUUCUUGGCGUUCAUGGCGGCGAGUUUCGCCUUCUUGGCAGCUUCGUGAUCAUAUUUCACCUUCCAGAAGUCAGAAUUGGCCUGUAAAGACAAGAAGAAAGAUCAGUAUUAAGUACUAAUAGCCGGGCAAAACACAAAGAAAAAAAUAGAUCGGAAUGUACUUACUUCUGGCAUCGGAUUAAUCUUGCAGAAGGGACUUAACCCAACAAUACUGCAAUCUUCGUACUUCCCAUUUACCAAAAGGGUCGACAUCGAAACAAUGUCUUCUUCGGUGAGUUCAAUUUGGCUGUGACGAAGAGGGUGGUUCGGGCUACCGUCAUAUUCAUACAUCAGUUGAGAUCGAUGACUUAAUGGGAUAACCCGCCAUGAGAUCCAGCAACGGGUCAGAUCUACUCCGGUUAGACCAUUACCCAAUAAGUCGUUCAUUCUUCUAAUGGAGGGAAGAAGCUUCCUACGUUCAGCGACGGUAAGCUUAUCCGGAAGGGUGAACUUGGAGUCAAGACGGUUAGGGCGAUAACCCAGCAAAGGCUUCUCGUUUGCUGGAGAAGUAUCCUGACAAUAAAACCAAGUUUGGUUCCAAUCUUUUGGGUGGCUCAGUAAGACGAUGAGAGGAAAACUGCACCCUGACGGCGCUGAAUUGAAAUGCCUCCAAGUUCUAAGCUAGAACCGUUGGUGCAUUCAUUUUGGCGAUUCAGAUAAAAAGUACUCUCUAAACAAUUCUACAGUGGGCUCUUGCUGAAGAUACGCCUCACAAAGCACUUGGAAGUUACAAAUAUUGGAAAUAGAGUUGGGUCCAAGGUCUUGAGGAUGGAGUUUGAAAAAAUGAAGGACCUCUCUGAAGAAUUUUGAACCGGGUGGUGAAAAUCCCCGGUUCAUGUGGUUAGUAAAGAUAAUCACUUCUCCAUCUUUCGGAUUGGGACAUUCUUCCUCCAGGUCAGGAGCACGAUAAGACAUGACAUUCUUUGAAGGCAGAAACCCAACGAUGAAGAAUUCUUUUAACCGUUCCUCAGUUAUGGAAGAAGGGAUCCAGUUACAGACGGUCGGUGACUUCGACGGCAUGAUGAGUAACGAACUGAAAAAUAAAUAACAAUAUGGCGGUUCAGUCUAUGGUCAAUUAUAAAGCAAGUAAUGGCGGUUUAACUAAGGGCUAAUGGUAUAUAAGGAAAAGAAAGCCGGAGUGGUAAGCCACCAUGACUACAGAUUUUCUCAGAAGGCAGAAUUCAGUUAAGUGUUGGCAUUAACAAGUUUCACCAAGUUCUUAUUAUCAUUUUGGAUCAAAAGGCUGUUUCAAAAAGGGAAAUAUUCUAGACCUAAAAAACAUAGUACAGAGGAGUUCGUCGACUAUAACGAAGCAUCUGUACAGGCAAAAGGGAUCUACUGAUAUCAAAAAUGAAUGCCAAACAGCUACCGUGCAAGUUAUCUCUCUUUACUGGAUCAAAAUAAGUUGCGGAGAAGAUCUACAAGAUGGCCCGUGAUGAACAGAUGAAGAACACUGAAGAACUCGUGAAACCUAGAAAUGGAUCUAGGUACGGGAGAGAGAGGAAAGCUUACAGGAAGCAGGCCUACCGCGAAAAGUCGCCGCGUUCUCUGGAUGAACUCAGGGUGAUGCAGUGGCCAAGCUUGAUGACGACGAUGCUAGUCGCGGCAGUGGCGGAGCUCGAGCAGCGAUGGAGGUUGCGAGAGGAAGAAGAUGAGGAAGAAAGGAGAAUGGGAAGGACCGGUCGUGUGCCUAUUUAUAAGGGCAGAUGCGAACAGGCGGGCGCGAAAAUCAAGGAGACCCAAUAAUAAUUGUCCAACUGAACAGACGCCUCGAUUCUCGGAAGGCAUUAAAAAAUGAAAGAUCUGUUGUAAGAUGACGUCAUGAAGGUUUUUUGUGUUUUCAAAAGAUGACGUCACGGCGGGUUACAGAAGUUUUUAGACAGAGGAUGGAUUCUGACUAAGUGUUGAAGAUUGACAAAGAACAAAGUUCAGAGUCAACCUGGGGCCUAAUGUUGGGGAUAUUACUAUCAGCCGAGACCCGCCCAGGAGGGGCCAGGUCAGCUUCAAUGGCGGGUUACGCAAGAAGUUCAGUAAACAUCCAAGUUUGUAGUUUAUUAAGUCUUAUAGAAGGCCCAAAGGUCAGGGGCCGGCUUAAGGCCCGAUAUUGUAAAACACCACAUGUAAGGAAAUACUUGUACAGAAAGACAUAUAAAGAAAGUCACCGAGCCAGACACGAUUAUGAGCCGGCCGGGACUCUGUAGGCCACCUGGCGUCAACCUGUGUAUAUAAGGGGAUGACCCGGUGGCGGUUUAGGGUAAGAAACAACAAGUCAAUAACCAAGCCGGCGAGUUAAGCCUCUUGGCGAUCGAAACCCCAGCAAUACCAAACCCAACUAGACGUAGGCUUUUACCUUCAUCGUAAGGGGCCGAACUAGUAUAAAACUCUCUCGUGUCCUUUGUCCCGAUUAAUCCCUUUAAGCUUCCUAGUGUGAUGGCCCUACGACUAAGUCCUUGCUCUAGUACAUCUGCCAUGACAAUUCCACGACAGGAUGCCUUCCGGAGCAUCCCCAAGCUUAGGCUUUUGGUUGUCCUUGAAUUUACCUUGGGUUGCCUUGGGCAUCCCCAAGCUUAGGCUCUUCCCACUCCUUAUUCCAUCAUCCAUCAAAUCUUUACCCAAAAAUUGAAAAGUUCACAACACAAAACUCAACAGAAAAUCUCAUGAGCUCCAUUAGUAUAAGAAAACAAACCACCACUUAAGGUACUGUAAUGAAUUCAUUCUUUAUUUAUAUUGGUGUUAAACCUACUGUAUUCCAACUUGUCUAUGGUUCAUACCCUCCGAUAAUAGCCAUAGAUUCAUCAAAAUAAGCAAACAACACACGAAAAACAGAAUAUGUCAAAAACAGAACAGUCUGUAGUAAUCCGUAGGUUUCGAAUACUUCUGUAACCCCAAAAAUUCCUAAAUAAACUGGUGGACGUGAGGAAUUUUCUAUUAAUCAUCUACAAAAAUAAUCAACCUAAUCGCAAUCUUCAGUAAAAAAAAUGGCAGCAAAUCUCGUAAGCGCUAAAGUUUCUGUUUUUACAGCAAGAUCGCAAAAACUCCCCCCAGGUCUUCCCAAAGGUUCGACUUGGCACAAGCACUAAUUAAAAGCAUAAAACCACAUCUAAACAGAGGCUAGAUGAAUUAUUUAUUACUAAACAGAACCAAAAAGCAAGAAACAAAAAUAAAAAUGGGUUGCCUCCCAACAAGCGCUAUCGUUUAACGCCCCUAGCUAGGCAUAAAAGCAAGAAUAGAUCUAGGUAUUAUCAUCUUUAGUUUUAAUUUUUUUUAGUGGAGUCAUGCUCGAAUCCGGGAGGUUCUUUAUGUUUCCCUUCAUGUUCGGAAAUCUUUAGAUCUAAAGAAUCCAACCGCUUAUUGCAAAGGGUAAUUAAGAUAUUCAUGCGGUGAAGGUUUCCGCUAACACUCUUAACUGGUUCAAGAGACUUUUGUAAAAAAAUUGUUACUUCGCAAAUCUUCUCAAAAACUUGUGUUGCUUCCUGGGUAUGAUGUGACCCCUUUUGUUGAGGUAGUAUUCCCACUAUUCCCUGUAUGAUUUCAUGAGCAAAACUUGGAUCAGUUUCAAUAAAAAUUCCUUUGGCAACGCAAUCCAAGAGUUGUCUAUGGGACAUACUUAAUCCAACAUAAAAAUUGCGAAGUAAAAUUCUAAAAUUCACCUCUAAGGUGCAAUUACGAUAAGAUUCCAUCAUCCUAAACCAAGCAUCUUUUAAAUUUUCUCCUUGUCUUUGUUUGAAGUGAAGAACUUCAAACUCGGGAGACGAAGGGGCGGAUAAGGGACUAGCCAUGACGGCGAAGCAAACGAAAAAGAGGCGAACAGAAAAGAGGGCGAAUAAAACGGCAAGGGUGAAGUGGGGGAGAGGAAAACGAGAGGCAAAUGGCAAAUAAUGUAAUGCGAGGAAUAAGAGUUUGUGAUGGGUGCUUGGUAUGUCUUGACUUGUGCGUAGAUCUCCCCGGCAACGGCGCCAGAAAUCCUUCUUGCUACCUCUUGAGCACUGUGUUGGUUUUCCCUUGAAGAGGAAAGGGUGAUGCAGCAAAGUAGCGUAAGUAUUUCUCUCAGUUUUUGAGAAUCAAGGUAUCAAUCCAGUAGGAGACUACACGUAAGUCCCUCAUACCUACACAAACAAAUAAGAACCUCGCAACCAACGCGAUAAAGGGGUUGUCAAUCCCUUCACGGUAACUUACGAGAGUGAGAUCUAAUAGAGAUAAUAAGAUAAAUAUUUUUGGUAUUUUUAUGAUAUAGAUUGGAAAAUAAAGAUUGCAAAAUAAAAUAGAUUGGAAACUUAUAUGAUGGAAAAUAGACCCGGGGGCCAUAGGUUUCACUAGUGGCUUCUCUCAAGAUAGCAUAAGUAUUACGGUGGGUGAAAAAAUUACUAUCGUGCAAUUGAUAGAAAAGUGCAUAAUUAUGAGAAUAUCUAGGAAUGAUCAUGUAUAUAUGCAUCACGUCCGCGACAAGUAGACCAAAACGAUUCUGCAUCUACUACUAUUACUCCACACAUCGACCGCUAUCCAGCAUGCAUCUAGAGUAUUAAGUUCAUAAGAACAGAGUAACGCAUUAGGGGCAGCAAGAUGAUAUGAUGUAGAGGGAUAAACUCAAGCAAUAUGAUAUAAACCCCAUCUUUUUAUCCUCGGUGGCAACAAUACAAUACGUGCCUUGCUGCCCCUGGUGUCACUGGGAAAGGACACCGCAAGAUUGAACCCAAAGCUAAGCACUUCUCCCAUUGCAAGAAAGAUCAAUCUAGUAGGCCAAACCAAACUGAUAAUUUGAAGAGACUUGCAAAGAUAACAAAUCAUACAUAAAAGAUUUCAGAGAAGAAUCAAAUAUUGUUCAUAGAUAAACUUGAUCAUAAACCCACAAUUCAUCAGAUCUCGACAAACGCACUGCAAAAAGAAUUACAUCGAAUAGAUCUCCAAGAAGAUCCAGGAGAACUUUGUAUUGAGAUCCAAAGAGGGAGAAGAAGCCAUCUAGCUAAUAACUAUGGACCCGAAUGUCUGAGGUAAACUACUCACACAUCAUCGGAGAGGCUAUGGUGUUGAUGUAGAAGCCCUCCAUGAUUGAUUCCCCCUCCGGCGGAGCUCCGAAAAAGGCCCCAAGAUGGGAUCUCUUGGGUACAGAAGGUUGCGGCGGUGGAAAUAGGGUUUCGUGGUGCUCCUUGAUGUUUUUGGGGUAUAUGGAUGUAUAUAGGAGGAAGAAGUAGGUCGGUGGAGCUGCGAGGGCCCCACAAGGGUGGGGGCCCGCCUCCCUGCCUCGUGGCCUCCUCGCUUCUUUAUUGACGUCUACUCCAAGUCACGUGGAUCACGUUUGUUCCAAAAAUAACUCUCCCGAAGGUUUCAUUCCGUUUGAUAUUCCUUUUCUGCAAAACACAGAAAUAGGCAAAAAAACAGCAAUUUGCACUGGGCCUUGGGUUAGUAGGUUAGUCCCAAAAAUAAUAUAUAUAAUAAUGCCCAUUAAACAUCCAAAACAGGUAAUAUAAUAGCAUGGAACAAUAAAAAAAUUAUAGAUACGUUGGAGACGCAUCAGUAGGCAGUAGCUAGAUGGCUUCUUCUCUCUUUUUGAUUCUUAAUACAAUGUUCUCCUUGUUGCUCUUGGAGAUCUAUUUGAUGUAAUGACUUUUUGCGGUGCGUUUGUUGGGAUCCGAUGAAGUUCGAGUUUAUGAUCAGAUCUAUAUCCAUGAAUAUUAUUUGAGUUUUCUUUGAUCUCUUAUAUGCCUGAUUAUUUAUAGCCUUGUAUUUCUUCUCCGAAUCUUUGGUUUAGUUAGGCUGACUAGAUCGAUUUUUCUUGCAAUGGGAAGAGGUGCUUUACGAUGGGUUCGAUCUUAUGGUGUCCUCACCCAGUGAUAGAAGGGGUAGCGAGGCACGUACGUAUCGUUGCCAUUAAGGAUAAAAGGAUGGGUCUAUUCCUACAUGAAUAGAUCUUGUCUACAUCAUGUCAUCAUUCUUAUUGCAUUACUCCAUUUCUCCUUGAACUUAAUACACUAGAUGCAUGCUGGAUAGCGGUCGAUGUGUGGAGUAAUAGUAGUAGAUGCAGGCAGGAGUCGGUCUACUAAUCUUGGAUGUGAUGCCUAUAUAAUGAUCAUUUCCUGGAUAUCAUCAUAAUUAUUUGAAGUUCUAUCAGUUGUCAACAGUAAUUUGUUUACCCACCGUAUGCUAUUUUCUCGAGGGAAGCCACUAGUGAAAUCUACAGCCCCUGGGUCUAUCUUUUAUCAUAUUGUUUUUAGAUCUAUAAUUCCAAAAACCCAAAAAUAUCUUGUUGUACUUUUUCUUUACUUAUUUUAUUUUGUGUUCUUGCUAGAUCUAUUUGUCAAAUCUUAUAAAAAACAAUUUAUCUUUUAGCAUGGAGAGAUUGACAACCCCUCUUACGCGUCGGGUUGCAAGUAUUUGUUCUUUGUGUGCAGGUAUCGUUUACAUAGUGUUGCUUGGUUCUCCUACUAGAUUGAUAACCUUGUUUUCAUAACUGAGGGAAAUACCUACCGUAGUUGUACUGCAUCAUCCCUUCCUCUUUGGGGAAAUACCGACGUAGUUUCAAGCCGCAUCAUAGAUGCAGAAUCGUUCCGAUCUACUGAUACAUCUCCAAUGUAUCUAUAUUUUUUUAUUGUUCCAUGCUACUAUAUUAUCUGUUUUGGAUGUUUAAUGGGCUUUAAUAUGCUCUUUUAUAUUAUUUUUGGGACUAACCUAUUAACCAGAGGCCUAGUGCCAGUUUCUGUUUUUUUUCCUAUUUUAGAGUGUCGCAGAAAAGGAAUACCAAACGGAAUCCAAACGGAAUGAAACCUUCGUGGUGAUCUUUCUUGGACCAAAAGCAAACCAGAAGACUUGGAGUUGAAGUCUGGAACACCACGAGGCGGCCACGAGGCAGGAGGGUGCGCCUAGGGGGUAGGCGCGCCCCCACCCUCGUGGGCCCCUCGUAGCUCCACCGAUGUACUUCUUCCGCCUAUAUAUACUCUUAUACCCUAGAUCGAUCGCAGAGAGCCACUAAACCACUUUUCCACCGUCGCAACCUUCUGUACCCAUGAGAUCCCAUCUUGGGGCCUCUUCCGGCGAUCUGCCGGAGGGGGAAUCGAUCAUGGAGGGCUUCUACAUCAACACCAUAGCCUCUCCCAUGAAGCGUUAGUAGUUUACCACAGACCUUCGGGUCCAUAGUUAUUAGCUAGAUGGCUUCUUCUCUCUUCGAUUCUCAAUACAAAGUUUUCCUUGAUGUUCUUGGAGAUCUAUUCGAUGUAAUACUCUUUUGCGAUGUGUUUGCCGAGAUCCGAUGAAUUGUGGAUUUAUGAACAAGAUUAUCUAUGAAUAUUAUUUGGUUCUUCUCUGAAUUCUUAUAUGCAUGAUUUGAUAUAUUUGUGAGUCUCUUCGAAUUAUCGGUUUAGUUUGGCCUACUAGAUUGAUCUUUCUUGCAGUGGGAGAAGUGCUUAGCUUUGGGUUCAAUCUUGCGGUGUCCUUUCCCAGUGGUAGUAGGGCAGCAAGGCACGUAUUGUAUUGUUGCCAUCGAGGAUGAAAAUAUGGGGUUUAUAUCAUAUUGUUUGAGUUUAUCCCUCUACAUCAUGUCAUCUUGCUUAAAGCAUUACUCUGUUCUUAUGAACUUAAUACUCUAGAUGCAUGCUGGAUAGCGGUCGAUGUGUGGAGUAAUAGUAGUAGAUGCAGAAUCGUUUUGAUCUACUUGACAUGGAUGUGAUGCCUAUAUUCAUGAUCAUUGCCUUAGAUUCUCAUAACUAUGCACUUUUCUAUCAAUUACUCGGCAGUAAUUUGCUCACCGACCGUAAUACAUGCUAUCUUGAGAGAAGCCACUAGUGAAACCUAUGACCCCCGUGGUCUAUUUCUUAUUAUAUUGCAUCUCUUUUAUUUACAUCGCAUCCCAUUUACUAUUUUGCAAUCUAUACAACAAAAAUACCAAAAAUAUUUACUUUACUAUCUUUAUCAGAUCUCACUUUUGCGAGUGACCGUAAAGGGAUUGACAACCCCUUUAUCACGUUGGUUGCAAGGUUCUUGAUUGUUUGUGCAGGUACUAGGUGACUUGUGCGUUGUCUCCUACUGGAUUGAUACCUUGGUUCUCAAAAACUGAGGGAAAUACUUAUGCUACUUUGCUGCAUCACCCUUUCCUCUUCAAGGGAAAACCAACGCAUGCUCAAGGGGUAGCAUCUACUAAUUUUGGACGUGAUGCCUAUAUACAUGAUCAUUGCCUUGGAUAUCAUCAUGAUUAUUCGCUUUUCUAUCAAUUGCCCAACAGUAAUUUGUUUACCCACUGUAUGAUAUUUUCUUGAGAGAAGACACUAGUGAAAACUACGGCCCCCGGGUCUAUUUCCCACUACUAGGGAAAAGGUUAUACACGGAACUUUAGCAGUAGCGCUUGUUAAAAGAGCACGCUACUGCUAGACAGCAGUAGCGCGUGCAAAAUAAGCACGCUGCAAAUGGACAUAUAUCAUUAGCGCGUCUCACCAAAAACUCGCUACUACUUAAAUUCCAAUCACUUAGCCGAUGGGCUACACAUAGUAGUAGCGAUCUUCCAAAAACCGCGCUACCGCUAAUAAACUUAUAGCAGCGCGUUUAUGCUUAAAUCGCUACUGCUAACGAAAAGAAAAUAAAAUGAAAAAUGAAUAGAGAAGUAAAUGAAAAUGAAAGAAAUAGAAAAAGGAGAAAGGAAAAAUAUAAAAUGUAAAGAAAAAUAAAUGAAAAAGGGGAAAUUGAUGAAGACAUAGCAGUAGCGCGCUUUCUGAAAUGCGUUAUAGCUAACUUAGCUAUAGCGCGUUUUCUGUAACGCGCUACCGUUACUUUUGACUUAACCAAAAACGGUUUCCCCCGGCCACCACUUCUCCCCCAAAUUGAUCCCUCGCCCCACUUCGCCGCUGUCUCCCCCACUUCGGCGUCUCCCUCACUUCGCCGCCGUCUCUUGUCGGCGUCGACGCCACGCUCAUCCUCAUGGCCGCGGCCCGAGGCCGCCCAGCCUCACCGCCGCCGCCUCUCGGGACGCCCUCGACCUCACCGUCGCCGCCCUCGACCUCACCGCCCCCGAGCCCCAGGACCGCCGUGUCCAGAUCCUGAGCCCGCCCAUGCCGCCCCUACCUCCGUCGCCGAGCACCUCCCCGCCACCGCAUCUCCCCUCUUUGUGAGCCUCCCCCAUCCUUUUUAGUUAAUAGAUGUUAAUGUUAAGUAGUAGAUAAUGUUGAUGUUUUUUAGUUAGGGUAAUAAUAGACGAUGUUAAGUAGUAGAUAAUGUAGAUGUUAAUUAGUUCAGUAGGGUUUAGUUUUUGAGUUGAGUUUGUUUAACUAGAUGUUAAUUAGGGCAGUAGGGUUUAGUUUAGAGUCAAGUUUAGUUCAGUAGUUAACUAAAUAUAAUCUACAUUUGGUUUUUGAAUUGAGUUUGAGAGAGCAUGAGAUUUGUGUAGAUUUUCUUGAAGUGUCAAACGCUAGGACAUGCAAAUUUGAAGUGGUCAGGAUAUAUGCAAAUUCCUCAAUUGUGUUUGCCCAUGUUUCGAUUGUGCCCAAGUGGCCUUUUGUUGUUUCCAGGGAAUGAAGCUGAGUGGCCUAUGUUUUGCCGGAAUGUUGAUUCAUUUCCGUUCCGGCAAAUUUCAGGUUCUCGAUUUGUCCACUUUUUAGCAAAGGUCAUGCCGAAAUUUUUCGUGAAUUUCGGCAUGACUUGUGCUACAAACUAGGACAUAUUGAGUGCCCGGGAUUUGCCGCACCAGGAAGGAGUCAAUGUUCCUGCAAAACAUAGGCCUUUGUAUGUCAUUAUUCAUUUUAUUAGGUCUAGAAUUAAUUUACUAGAUUUAAUCGUAGGAAACAUGGCUAGCAACGAUGAAGGACAUGGUUCUGGUGAUUGCGACGACGUCUACUUGGCGGCAGACGAAUUUUUGAGCCUUGCCGAUGAUCAACCGAUGUUGUUGCCGGGCCCACCGGUCGCAUCGGGGACUGAGACCGACACGCAGACCGGCGCUGAGACUCAGACCGGCAUCGAGACCGGCGCUGAGACUGAGACCGGCGCUACCUCGGGAGCGGAGCUGGUAUAGAACCGAAAGCAAAGAGGUGAUGGCUUCCUAACAAGCUCAGGACUACUAGACUGGUGGUCACAGAGGUGGACGACGGCAAUUUGGAGCCAAACGCGCCCGAGGAAGCGCGCGUGUGCUACAGCAAUCAAAUUGGCUGCAUCAUACGGACAACCGCCACCAUCAACGACGAGAAACUAAACAAGUUAGAUAACAUGAGGCCCUCCCUCCUAAAGAAGCCGCACCAGAUAUUCUUGUUCCCGGGACGGAAUGAAAAGGAUUAUGAAGAUCCAGAUAAGGACCUGGCAAUGAAGAAGAUAAACAAACACGCCAUGAGCAAGUUUAGCGACACGUCGGCUGCCUGGAAAGCAAGGGUGAAAUAUCGGAUCUUCAACGAAAAGGAACCCUACUCCGAGAUUGUAAAGGAUAAUCCGAUAAUCACGGCAGAGCACUUUGAAAUAUUCAAGGCGGCUUGCGAGGCCGAAGAUGCCAAAAAAAUCAGAGUACAUGAAGGGGCUUCAACAGAAGAACAUUGGGUGCCACCAACUCGGAAGCCGUGGUUACGGCGGGAAGAGGUCCAUAUGGGCCAAGGAGGACGCGGAAACCACGAGUCUGGGCAUCCCAAACCCCUUGGCGGAGUUCACUGUCCCACAGGAGCAUGACGUCCUCAGGGCCUGGCACCGUUGGGACCCAGUGAAGAAGGUUUUCGAGAAGAACGUUGCUACCUCUUGAGCUUGCGUUGGAUUUCCCCGAAGAUGAAGGAAUGAUGCAGCAGAGUAGCAUAAGUAUUUCUCUCAGUUUUUGAGAACCAAGGUAUCAAUCCAGUAGGAGGCCACGCUCAACUCCCUCGUACCUGCACAAAAUGAUAGCUACUCGCAACCAUCAAUUAGGGGUUGUCAAUCCCUUCACGGUCACUUACGAGAGUGAGAUCUGAUAGAUAUAAUAUUUUUGGUAUUUUUGGUAUAGAGAUGCAAAGUGAAAAGUAAAAGGCAAAAUAAAAAGCAAAGCAAGAUUAAAGUGAUGGAGAUUGAUAUGAUGAGAAUAGACCCGGGGGCCAUAGGUUUCACUAGUGGCUACUCUCAAGAGCAUAAGUAUUCUACGGUGGGUGAACAAAUUACUGUUGAGCAAUUGACAGAAUUGAGCAUAGUUAUGAGAAUAUCUAGGCAUGAUCAUGUAUAUAGGCAUCAUGUUCGUGACAAGUAGACCGAAACGAGUCUGCAUCUACUACUAUUACUCCACUCAUCGACCGCUAUCCAGCAUGCAUCUAGAGUAUUAAGUUAAAAACAGAGUAACGCCUUAAGCAAGAUGACAUGAUGUAGAGAGAUAAAUUCAUGCAAUAUGAAAUAAACCUCAUCUUGUUAUCCUCGAUGGCAACGAUGCAAUACGUGCCUUGUUGCCCCUUCUAUCACUGGGAAAGGACACCGCAAGAUCGAACCCAAAGCUAAGCACUUCUCCCAUGGCAAGAACUACCAAUCUAGUUGGCCAAACCAAACGGAUAAUUCGAAGAGACUUGCAAAGAUAACCAAUCAUACAUAAAAGAAUUCAGAGAAGAUUCAAAUAUUAUUCAUAGAUAGACUUGAUCAUAAACCCACAAUUCAUCGAUCUCAACAAACACACCGCAAAAAGAAGAUUACAUCGAAUAGAUCUCCACAAGAGAGGGGGAGAACUUUGUAUUGAGAUCCAAAAAGAGAGAAGAAGCCAUCUAGCUACUAACUAUGGACCCGAAGGUCUGAGGUAAACUACUCACACUUCAUCGGAGAGGCUAUGAUGAUGUAGAAGCCCUCUGUGAUGACGGACCUCUUCGGUGGAGCUCCGGAACAGGCCCCAAGAUGGGAUCUCAUGGAUACAGAAAGUUGCGGCGGUGGAAUUAGGUUUUUGGCUCCUUUUCUGAUCGUUUGGGGGUAGAUAGGUAUAUAUAGGAGGAAGGAGUACGUCGGUGGAGCUCCGAGGGGGCCACAAGGCAGGGGGCGCGCCCCCCACCCUCGUGACCACCUCUCUGAUGCCUUGGCAUAGGGUCCAAGUCUCCUGGAUCACGUUCGGUGAGAAAAUCACGUUCCCGAAGGUUUCAUUCCGUUUGGACUCCGUUUGAUAUUCUGUUUCUUCGAAACACUGAAAUAGGCAAAAAAACAACAAUUCUGGGCUGGGCCUCCAGUUAAUAGAUUAGUCCCAAAAAUAAUAUAAAAGUGGAAAAUAAAGCCCAAUAUAGUCCAAAACAGUAGAUAAUAUAGCAUGGAGCAAUCAAAAAUUAUAGAUACGUUGGAGACGUAUCAGGCAUCCCCAAGCUUAAUUCCUGCUCGUCCUCGAGUAGGUAAAUGAUAAAAAGAGAAUUUUUGAUGCGGAGUGCUACUUGGCAUGAUUUCAAUGCAAAUCUUCUUAAUUGUGAUAUGAAUAUUCAGAUUCGAAAUAUUCAAGACAAAAGUUUAUAUUGACAUAAAAAUAAUAAUACUUCAAGCAUACUAACAAAGCAAUUAUGUCUUCUCAAAAUAUCAUGGCCAAAGAAAGUUAUCCCUACAAAAUCAUAUAGUCUGGCUAUGCUCUAUCUUCACCACACAAAGUAUUUAAAUCAUGCACAACCCCGAUGACAAGCCAAGCAAUUGUUUCAUACUCUAACUUUUUCAAAACUUUUUCAAUCUUCACACAAUACAUGAGCGUGAGCCAUGGAUAUAGCACUAUAGGUGGAAUAGAAUGGUGGUUGUGGAGAAGACAAAAAGGAGAAGAUAGUCUCACAUCAACUAGGCGUAUCAACAGGCUAUGGAGAUGCCCAUCAAUAGAUAUCAAUGUGAGUGAGUAGGGAUUGCCAUGCAAUGGAUGCACUAGAGCUAUAAGUAUAUGAAAGCUCAAAAAGAAACUAAGUGGGUGUGCAUCCAACUUGCUUGCUCAUGAAGACCUAGGGCAAUUUGAGGAAGCCCGUCAUUGGAAUAUACAAGCCAAGUUCUAUAAUGAAAGAUUCCCACUGGUAUAUGAAAGUGAUAACAUAGAGACUCUCUACUAUGAAGAUCAUGGUGCUACUUUGAAGAACAAGUGUGGUAAAAGGAUAGUAACAUUGUCCCUUCUCUCUUUUUCUCUCAUUUUUUAUAUUUUUUUAUUUGGGCCUUUUCUCCUUUUUUAUGGCCUCUUUUUAUUUGGGCUUCUUUGGCCUCUUUUAUUUAUUUUUUGUCCGGAGUCUCAUUCCGACUUAUGGGGGAAUCAUAGUCUCCAUCAUUCUUUCCUCACUUGGGACAAUGCUCUAAUAAUGAUGAUCAUCACACUUUUAUUUUUCUUACAACUCAACAAUUACAACUCGAUACUUAGACCAAAAUAUGACUCUAUAUGAAUGCCUCCGGUGGUGUACCGGGAUAUGCAAUAUGACAAUGAUGAAUGUGUCAUGAACGGAAUGGUGGAAAAUUGCAUGGCAAUAUAUCUCGGAAUGGCUAUGGAAAUGCCAUGAUAGGUAGGUAUGGUGGCUGUUUUGAGGAAGGUAUAUGGUAGGUGUAUGAUACCGGCGAAAAGUGUGCGGUAUUAGAGAGGCUAGCAAAGGUGGAAGGGUGAGAGUGCGUAUAAUCCAUGGACUCAACAUUAGUCAUAAAGAACUCAUAUACUUAUUGCAAAAAUCUAGAAGUUAUCAAAGCAAAGUAUUACGCGCAUGCUCCUAGGGGGAUAGAUUGGUAGGAAAAGACCAUCGCUCGUCCCCAACUGCCACUCAUAAGGAAGGCAAUCAAUAAAUAAAUCAUGCUCCGACUUCAUCACAUAACGGUUCACCAUACGUGCAUGCUACGGGAAUCACAAACUUUAACACAAGUAUUCUUUAAAUUCACAACUACUCAACUAGCAUGACUCUAAUAUUAUCACCUCCAUAUCUCAAAACAAUUAUCAUGCUUCAAUCUUUUCUUAGUAUUCAACACACUCAAAAGAAAGUUUCACAAAUCUUGAAUACCAAGCAUAUUAUUAUUAAGCAAAUUACCAUGCUAUUAAGAGACUCUCAAAAUAAUUUAAGUGAAGCAUGAGAGAUCAAUAGUUUCUUUAAAACAAAUCCACCACCGUGCUCUAAAAGAUCUAAGUGAAGCACAUAGAGCAAAAUUAUAACGCUCAAAAGAUAUAAGUGAAGCACAUAGAGCAAAACUACAUAGCUCAAAAAGAUAUAAGUGAAGCACAUAGAGCAAAACUACUUAGCUCAAAAAGAUAUAAGUGAAGCACAUAGAGCAAAAUUAUAAUGCUCAAAAGAUAUAAGUGAAGCACAUAGAGUAUUCUAUCAAAUUUUAGUUCAUGUAUGGCUCUCUCAAAAGGUGUGUACAGCAAGGAUGAUUGUGGCAUACUAAAACACAAAGACACAAAUAGUACAAGACGCUCCAAGCAAAACACAUAUCAUGUUGGUGAAUAAAAAUAUAGCUCCAAGUAAAUUACCGAUGGAAGUGGACGAAAGAGGGGAUGCCUUCCGGGGCAUCCCCAAGCUUUGACUUUUUGGUGUCCUUGGAUUAUAUUGGGGGUGCCAUGGUCAUCCCCAAGCUUAGGCUCUUGCCACUCCUUGUUCCAUAAUCCAUCACAAGAAUUCACCCAAAACUUGAAAACUUCACAACACAAAACUUAAAGUAGAAAACUCGUGAGCUCCGUUAGCGAAAGAAAACAAAAGACCGCUUCAAGGUACUGUAAUGAACUCAUUCUUUAUUUAUAUUGGUGUUAAAACUACUGUAUUACAACUUCUCUAUGGAUUAUAAACUAUUUUACUAACCAUAGAUUCAUCAAAAUAAGCAAACAACACAUGAAAAACAGAAUCUGUCAAAAACAGAACAGUCUGUAGUAAUCUGUAGCUAGUGCAAGAUCUGGAACCCCAAAAAUUCUAAAAUAAAUUUCUGGACGUGAGGAAUUUAUCUAUUAAUCAUCUGAAAAAAUAAUUAACUAAAUAUCACUCUUCAAAUAAAAAUGACAGCAGUUCUCGUGAGCGCUCAAAUUUCUGUUUUUACAGCAAGUUCAACAAGACUUUCCCCAAGUCUUCCCAACGGUUCUACUUGGCACAAACACUAAUUAAACACAAAAAACACAACCAAAACAGAGGCUAAAUAAUUUAUUUAUUACUAAACAGGAGCAAAAGGCAAGGAAUAAAAAUAAAAUUGGGUUGCCUCCCAACAAGCACUAUCGUUUAACGCCCCUAGUUAGGCAUAAAAGCGAGGAUAGAUCUAGGUAUUGCCGUAGUAAUAAGAUAGAUCGGUGAAACUCAUUUCAUAUUCUCUACGUUCAGCAGCAAGUUUUUUUUGAGGCAGGCAAAAGUAAUCAAAAGGGCUAAAUUUAAUAGGACAGAAGUCCCCAAGAUCAAUUUUAGGAGGUAUAGGUUCCUCUUUCGGCCCUUCGUAUUGUACAACCAAUUCAUCAUUAUAAGCAUUCUUUUGACAGAACCUUGUGAGCCUAAACUCAAGAGAGCAUCCUAGCUCAUUAUUUCGAAUAGCCAAAUCAUCAUUAAGUUCAGAGAUUCUAUCAACUAAAAUAUUGAUUGGCACCUUUUUCUGAGGUUUUCAUUAAAAGCAACAUAGUCAAGAGAUUGAAAGCGCACAAUUUCUUCUUGAUCGAAGAGGAUAGAUUCUAUGGGAGGACGGCCAGCAUCCACCCUAUAGUGCGCAAAGAUUUCUUUGGCUUAUUUUAUUAUAAAUCUGAAUUCAUGAGCCAAAAAGAUAGUAGCGGCAUGCUUAACAGAGGAAUGCUCGAUAUUAGAAAAUUCUAGGAAAACUCUUUGUAUAGAUGGGUGCAUAUGCAUAAAUUGCCUUUCAAGUUCAACGAUAAGCAUGGCAAUAGCGUCCGCAAGACUACUAGUUCUAUGGAGAAUAGAACCGCCCAUAGAGGGCAAAGCACCAGCACAAGUAAAGAAAUCUUGAAUAACUCCUUUUCCAAUAAUAUUACCACUGCCGAUUCGAAAUCUUUUUGUAUGGUAGGUAGGGGGUUCUUCAGCAGGAGCAUCAGAAUUUUCCAUGAUAUUGUUAUUGUUGGGGAACGUAGUAAUUUCAAAAAUUUCCUACGCACACACAAGAUCAUGGUGAUGCAUAGCAAUGAGAGGGAAGAGUGUUGUCUACGUACCCUCUUAGACCGUUCGCGGAAGCGUUAUAUCAACGCGGUUGAUGUAGUCGUACGUCUUCACGAUCCGACCGAUCCAAGUACCGAAAGCACGGCACCUCCGAGUUCUGCACACGUUCGGCUCGGUGAUGUCCUCGCCUUCUCGAUCCAGCAAGAGGGGCGAAGUAGUAGAUGAGUUCCGACAGCACGACGGCAUGGUGACGGUGUUGGUGAAGAACAAUCUCCGCAGGGCUUCGCCUAAGCACUAUGAAAACUAGGACGGAGGAUAAACUAGAGGAGACGGGGUUGCCGGCACACGGCUUGGUGUUUCUUGAUGUGUCUUUGGUGCUAGCCCUGCCCCUCUAUUUAUAUGUUGAGCCCUGGGGUCGAAACUUGGAGCAAAAGCCUCCUCAAAGUCGGUUUUGCCCGAAAGGCAAGAGUCCCACUCAGACUCCAGGACCAAACGCCACAAUCCUUGGCGUCUGGCCCAAACGCCAUGGGCCUCGGCGUCUGGCCCAGGGCCAGACGCCAGGGUCUCCGGUGUUUGGCCCCCUGGCCUCCGCAAAACUCCUUUUGCACCGACUUAUAGCCCCAUGGGCCUGACCCCUUGGCCAAACCAUAUCAACCAAUAUAUGAAUCUUUACCUCCGGACCAUUCCGGAGCUCCUCGUCAUGUCCAUGAUCUCAUCCGGGACUCCGAACAACAUUCGGUCACCAACAUACAUAACUCAUAUAAUACUAUAUCGUCAACGAACGUUAAGCGUGCGGACCCUACGGGUUCGAGAACUAUGUAGACAUGACCGAGACACCUCUCUGGUCAAUAACCAAUAGCGGGACCUGGAUGCCCAUAUUGGCUCCUACAUAUUCUAUGAAGAUCUUUAUCGGUCAGACCGCAUAACAACAUACGUUGUUCCCUUUGUCAUAUGUAUGUUACUUGCCCGAGAUUCGAUCGUCGGUAUUUCAAUACCUAGUUCAAUCUCGUUACCGACAAGUCUCUUUACUCGUUCCGUAAUACAUCAUCCCGCAACUAACUCAUUAGUUGCAAUGCUUGCAAGGCUUAAGUGAUGUGCAUUACCGAGAGGGCCCAGAGAUACCUCUCCGACAAUCGGAGUGACAAAUCCUAAUCUCGAAAUACGCCAACCCAACAAGUACCUUCGGAGACACCUGUAGAGCACCUUUAUAAUCACCCAGUUACGUUGUGACAUUUGGUAGCACACAAAGUGUUCCUCCGGUAAACGGGAGUUGCAUAAUCUCAUAGUCAUAGGAACAUGUAUAAGUCAUGAAGAAAGCAAUAGCAACAAACUAAACGAUCAAGUGCUAUGCUAACGGAAUGGGUCAAGUCAAUCACAUCAUUCUCCUAAUGAUGUGAUCCCGUUAAUCAAAUGACAACUCAUGUCUAUGGUUAGGAAACAUAACCAUCUUUGAUCAACGAGCUAGUCAAGUAGAGGCACACUAGUGACACUCUGUUUGUCUAUGUAUUCACACAUGUAUUAUGUUUCCGGUUAAUACAAUUCUAGCAUGAAUAAUAAACAUUUAUCAUGAUAUAAGGAAAUAAAUAAUAACUUUAUUAUUGCCUCUAGGGCAUAUUUCCUUCAGUUAUAGCCCAUAUUGGCAAUAACUUCCCCAAUUUCAGACAUAACGACAAGCAAGCAAACUAGCACACGAGCAAACAAGAGCAAACGGGCAAAAGAGAGGGAGGAUAGAGAGAGGGGGCGAAUAAAACGGCAAGGGUGAAGUGGGGGAGAGGAAAACAAGAGGCAAAUGGCAAAUAAUGUAAUGCGAGAGAUAGGGAUUGUGAUGGGUACUUGGUAUGUGGACUUUUUGCGUAGACUCCCCGGCAACGGCACCAAAAAUCCUUCUUGCUACCUCUUCAGCUUGCGUUGGAUUUCCCCAAAGAGGAAGCGAUGAUGCAGCAGAGUAGCGUAAGUAUUUCCCUCGGUUUUUGAGAACCAAGGUAUCAAUCCAGUAGGAGGCCACGCUCAAGUCCCUUGUACCUGCACAAAACGACAGGUACUCGCAACCAACGCGAUUAGGGGUUGUCAAUCCCUUCACGGUCACUUACGAGAGUGAGAUCUGAUAGAUAUAAUAUUUUUGGUAUUUUUGGUAUAGAGAUGCAAAGUUAAAAGUAAAAGGCAAAAUAAAAAGCAAAGCAAGAUUAAAGUGAUGGAGAUUGAUAUGAUGAGAAUAGACCCGGGGGCCAUAGGUUUCAGUAGUGGCUUCUCUCAAGAGCAUAAGUAUUCUACGGUGGGUGAACAAAUUACUAUUGAGCAAGACAAAAUUGAGCAUAGUUAUGAGAAUAUCUAGGCAUGAUCAUGUAUAUAGGCAUCACGUCCGUGACAAGUAGACCGAAACGAUUCUGCAUCUACUACUAUUACUCCACUCAUCGACCGCUAUCCAGCAUGCAUCUAGAGUAUUAAGUUAAAAACAGAGUAACGCCUUAAGCAAGAUGACAUGAUGUAGAGAGAUAAAUUCAUGCAAUAUGAAAUAAACCCCAUAUUGUUAUCCUCGAUGCAACGAUGCAAUACCUGCCUUGCUGCCCCUUUUGUCACUGGGAAAGGACACCGCAAGAUCGAACCCAAAGCUAAGCACUUCUCCCAUGGCAAGAACUACCAAUCUAGUUGGCCAAACCAAACGGAUAAUUCGAAGAGACUUGCAAAUAUAACCAAUCAUACAUAAAAGAAUUCAGAGAAGAUUCAAAUAUUAUUCAUAGAUAGACUUGAUCAUAAACCCACAAUUCAUCGGUCUCAACAAACACACCGCAAAAAGAAGAUUACAUUGAAUAGAUCUCCACAAGAGAGGGGGAGAACUUUGUAUUGAGAUCCAAAAAGAUAGAAGAAGCCAUCUAGCUACUAACUUUGGACCCGAAGGUCUGAGGUAAACUACUCACACUUCAUCGGAGAGGCUAUGAUGAUGUAGAAGCCCUCCGUGAUGACGGCCCUCUCCGGCGGAGCUCCGGAACAGGCCCCAAGAUGGAAUCUCGUGGAUACAGAAAGUUGCGGCGGUGGAAUUAGGUUUUUGGCUCCUGUUCUGAUCGUUUGGGGGUACGUAGGUAUAUAUAGGAGGAAGGAGUACGUCGGUGGAGCUCCGAGGGGCCCACAAGGUAGGGGGGCACGCCCCCCACCCUCAUGACCACCUCUCUGAUGCCUUGGCGUAGGGUCCAAGUCUCCUGGAUCACGUUCGGUGAGAAAAUCACGUUCCCGAAGGUUUCAUUCCGUUUGGACUCCGUUUGAUAUUCCGUUUCUUUGAAACACUGAAAUAGGCAAAAAAACAACAAUUCUGGGCUGGGCCUCCAGUUAAUCGGUUAGUCCCAAAAAUAAUAUAAAAGUGGAAAAUAAAGCCCAAUAUAGUCCAAAACAGUAGAUAAUAUAGCAUGGAGCAAUCAAAAAUUAUAGAUACGUUGGAGACGUAUCAGGCAUCCCCAAGCUUAAUUCCUGCUCGUCCUCGAGUAGGUAAAUGAUAAAAAGAGAAUUUUGAUGUGGAGUGCUACUUGGCAUGAUUUCAAUUCAAAUCUUCUUAAUUAUGAUAUGAAUAUUCAGAUUUGAAAGAUUCAAGACAAAAGUUUAUAUUGACAUAAAAAUAAUAAUACUUCAAGCAUACUAACAAAGCAAUUAUGUCUUCUCAAAAUAUCAUGGCCAACGAAAGUUAUCCCUACAAAAUCAUAUAGUCUGGCUAUGCUCUAUCUUCACCGCACAAAGUAUUUAAAUCAUGCACAACCCCGAUGACAAGCCAAGCAAUUGUUUCAUACUCUAACUUUUUCAAAACUUUUUCAAUCUUCACGCAAUACAUGAGCGUGAGCCAUGGAUAUAGCACUAUAGGUGGAAUAGAAUGGUGGUUGUGGAGAAGACAAAAAGGAGAAGAUAGUCUCACAUCAACUAGGCGUAUCAACGGGCUAUGGAGAUGCCCAUCAAUAGAUAUCAAUGUGAGUGAGUAGGGAUUGCCAUGCAACGGAUGCACUAGAGCUAUAAGUAUAUGAAAGCUCAAAAAGAAACUAUGUGGGUGUGCAUCCAACUUGCUUGCUCAUGAAGACCUAGGGCAAUUUGAGGAAGCCCAUCAUUGGAAUAUACAAGCCAAGUUCUAUAAUGAAAGAUUCCCACUGGUAUAUGAAAGUGAUAACAUAGAGACUCUCUACUAUGAAGAUCAUGGUGCUACUUUGAAGAACAAGUGUGGUAAAAGGAUAGUAACAUUGUCCCUUCUCUCUUUUUCUCUCAUUUUUUAUAUUUUUUAUUUUGGCCUUUUCUCCUUUUUAUGGCCUCUUUUUAUUUGUAGGACAGUAGCAAAUUUCCCUCAAGUGGAUGACCUAAGGUUUAUCAAUCCGUGGGAGGCGUAGGAUGAAGAUGGUCUCUGUCAAGCAACCCUGCAACCAAAUAACAAAGAGUCUCUUGUGUCCCCAACACACCCAAUACAAUGGUAAAUUGUAUAGGUGCACUAGUUCGAUGAAGAGAUGGUGAUACAAGUGCAAUAUGGAUAAUAGAUAAUAGUUUUUGUAAUCUGAAAAUAUAAAAACAGCAAGGUAACAAAUGAUAAAAGUGAGUAAGGCCUAGGGUUCAUACUUUCACUAGUGCAAGUCCUCUCAACAAUACUAACAUAAUUGGAUCACAUAACUAUCCCUCAACAUGCAACAAAGAGUCACUCCAAAGUCACUAAUAGCGGAGAACGAACGAAGAGAUUAUGAUAGGGUACGAAACCACCUCAAAGUUAUUCUUUCCAAUCAAUCCGUUGGGCUAUUCCUAUAAGUGUCACAAACAGCCCUAUAGUUCAUACUAGAAUAACACCUUAAGACACAAAUCAACCAAAACCCUAAUGUCACCUAGAUACUCCAAUGUCACCUCAAGUAUCCGUGGGUAUGAUUAUACGAUAUGCAUCACACAAUCUCAGAUUCAUCUAUUCAACCAACACAUAGAACCUCAAAGAGUGCCCCAAAGUUCUACCGGAUAAUCACGACGAAAACAUGUGCCAACCCCUAUGCAUAGGUUCAUGGGCGGAACCUGCAAGUUGAUCACCAAAACAUACAUCAAGUGAAUCACGUGGUAUCCCAUUGUCACCACAGAUACGCACGGCAAGACAUACAUCAAGUGUUCUCAAAUCUUUAAAGACUCAAUCCGAUAAGAUUACUUCAAAGGGGAAACUCAAUUCAUUACAAGAGAGUAGAGGGGGGAGAAAACAUCAUAGGAUCCAACUAUAAUAGCAAAGCUCGCGAUACAUCAAGAUCGUAUCACCUCAAGAACACAAAGAGAGAGAGAGAGAGAGAUCAAACACAUAGCUACUGGUACAUACCCUUAGCCCCGAGGGAGAACUACUCCCUCCUCGUCAUGGAGAGCACCGGGAUGAUGAAGAUGGCCACCGGAGAAGGAUUCCCCCCUCCGGCAGGGUGCCGGAAUGGGUCUAGAUUGGUUUUCGGUGGCUACGGAGGCUUCUGGCGGCGGAACUCUCGAUCUAUUGUGCUCAUGGAUGUUUUUAGGGUAUAUGGAGAUAUAUAGGCGGAAGAAGUACGUCAGGGGGGGGGCACGAGGGGCUCACGAGGGUGGAGGGCGUGCCCCCUGCCUCGUGACCUCCUCGCAGAUCCCCCGACGUGCACUCCAAGUCUUCUGGGCUUCUUUCCUUCCAAAAAUGAGUUCCAUGAAGUUUCAGGUCAAUUGGACUCCGUUUGGUUUUCCUUUUCUUCGAAACCCUAAAACAGGGUAAAAACAGAAACUGGCACUGGGCUCUGGGUUAAUAGGUUAGUCCCAAAAUGAUAUAAAAGUGUAUAAUAAAGCCCAUAAACAUUCAAAACAGUAAAUAAUAUAGCAUGGAGCAAUCAAAUAUUAUAGAUACGUUGGAGACGUAUCAGCAUCCCCAAACUUAAUUCCUGCUCGUCCUCGAGUAGGUAAAUGAUAAAAACAGAAUUUUUGAUGUGGAGUGCUACUUGGCAUAAUUUCAAUGUGAUUCUCCUUAAUUGUGGUAUGAAUAUUCAGAUCCGAAAGAUUAAAGACAAAAGUUCAUAUUGACAGAAAAAUGAUAAUACUUCAAGCAUACUAACAAAGCAAUUAUGUCUUCUCAAAAUAACAUGGCCAAAGAAAGUUCAUCCCUACAAAAUCAUAUAGUUUAGUCGUGUUUCAUUUUCGUCACACAAGAAUGCUCUCAUCAUGCACAACCCCGAUGACAAACCUGUUGGAAAUAUGCCCUAGAGGCAAUAAAAAAUUGGUUAUUAUUAUAUUUCCUUGUUCAUGAUAAUCGUUUAUUAUCCAUGCUAGAAUUGUAUUGAUAGGAAACUCAGAUACAUGUGUGGAUACAUAGACAACACCAUGUCCCUAGUAAGCCUCUAGUUGACUAGCUCGUUGAUCAAUAGAUGGUUACGGUUUCCUGACCAUGGACAUUGGAUGUCGUUGAUAACGGGAUCACAUCAUUAGGAGAAUGAUGUGAUGGACAAGACCCAAUCCUAAGCCUAGCACAAGAUCAUGUAGUUCGUAUGCUAAAGCUUUUCUAAUGUCAAGUAUCAUUUCCUUAGACCAUGAGAUUGUGCAACUCCCGGAUACCGUAGGAGUGCUUUGGGUGUGCCAAACAUCACAACAUAACUGGGUGGCUAUAAAGGUACACUACAGGUAUCUCCGAAAGUGUCUGUUGGGUUGGCACAAAUCGAGACUGGGAUUUGUCAGUCCGUGUAAACGGAGAGGUAUCACUGGGCCCACUUGGUAGGACAUCAUCAUAAUGUGCACAAUGUGAUCAAGGAGUUGAUCACGGGAUGAUGUGUUACGGAACGAGUAAAGAGACUUGCCGGUAACGAUAUUGAACAAGGUAUCGGGAUACCGACGAUCGAAUCUCGGGCAAGUAUCGUACCGCUAGACAAAGGGAAUUGUAUACGGGAUUGAUUAAGUCCUUAACAUCGUGCUUCAUCCGAUGAGAUCAUCGUGGAGCAUGUGGGAGCCAACAUGGGUAUCCAGAUCCCGCUGUUGGUUAUUGACUGGAGAGGUGUCUCGAUCAUGUCUACAUGUUUUCCGAACCCGUAGGGUCUACACACUUAAGGUUCGAUGACGCUAGGGUUAUAGGGAAAGUAUGUACGCGGUUACCGAAUGUUGUUCGGAGUCCCGGAUGAGAUCCCGGACGUCACGAGGAGUUCCGGAAUGGUCCGGAGGUAAAGAUUGAUAUAUAGGAAGUAUGGUUUUGACCACCGGAAGUGUUCCGGGCAUCACCGGUAGUGUACCGGGACCACCGGAGGGGUCCGGGGGUCCACCAGGUGGGGCCACCAGCCCCGGAGGCCUACAUGGGCCAAUAGUGGGAAGGGACCAGCCCCUAGGUGGGCUGGGGCGCCUCCCACCAAGGCCCAAGGCGCCUCCAAGAGGGGAGGGGGGCAAACCCUAGGGCAGAUGCGCCCUAAGGCCCACCCCAGGUGCGCCUCCCCGUCUCCCCCUUGUGGCCGCCACCCAGAUGGGAUCUGGGGGCUGCCGCCACCCCUAGGGAGGGAACCCUAGGUGGGGGCGCAGCCCCUCCCCUUCCCGUAUAUAUACUUGAGGUAUUGGAGGCUGCAAGACACACGAGAUCCUCUCCCUCUUGGCGCAGCCCUACCUCCCUUCCUCCUCGUCUCUCGUAGUGCUUGGCGAAGCCCUGCUGGAGUACCGCUCUCCUCCACCACCACCACGCCGUCGUGCUGUUGCUGGAUGGAGUCUUCCCCAGCCUCUCCUUCUCCCCUUGCUAGAUCAAGGCGUAGGAGACGUCAUCGGGCUGUACGUGUGUUGAACACGGAGGUGACGUCCGUUCGGCACUAGGAUCAUCGGUGAUUUGGAUCACGACGAGUACGACUCCAUCAACCCCGUUCACUUGAACACUUCCGCUUAGCGAUCCAUAAGGGUAUGUAGAUGCACUCUCCUUCCCUCGUUGCUAGAUUACUCCAUAGAUUGAUCUUGGUGAUGCGUAGAAAAUUUUGAAUUUCUGCUACAUUCCCCAAUAGUGGCAUCAUGAGCCAGGUCUAUGCGUAGUUUCUAUGCACGAGUAGAACACAAAGUAGUUGUGGGCAUUGAUUUUGUUCAAUAUGCUUACCGUUACUAGUCCAGUCUUGAUUCGGCGGCAUUGUGGGAUGAAGCGGCCCGGACCGACCUUACACGUACUCUUACGUGAGACUGGUUCCACCGACUGACAUGCACUAGUUUCAUAAGGUGGCUAGCGGGUGUCUGUCUUUCCCACUUUAGUCGGAUCGGAUUCGAUGAAAAGGGUCCUUAUGAAGGGUAAAUAGCAAUUGGCAUAUCAUGUUGUGGUUUUUGCGUAGGUAAGAAACGUUCUUGCUAGAAACUCAUAGCAGCCACGUAAAACAUGCAAACAACAAUUAGAGGACGUCUACUUGUUUUUGUAGGGUAUGCUAUGUGAUGUGAUAUGGCCAAAGGAUGUGAUGAAUGAUAUAUGUGAUGUAUGAGAUGAUCAUGUUCUUGUAAUAGGAAUCACGACUUGCAUGGCGAUGAGUAUGACAGCCGGCAGGAGCCAUAGGAGUUGUCUUAAUUUAUUGUAUGACCUGCGUGUCAUUGAACAACACCAUGUAAUUACUUUACUUUAUUGCUAACCGGUAGCCAUAGUAGUAGAAGUAAUAGUUGGCGAGCAACUUCAUGGAGACACGAUGAUGGAGAUCAUGAUGAUGGAGAUCAUGGUGUCAUGCCGGUGACAAGAUGAUCAUGGAGCCCCAAGAUGGAGAUCAAAGGAGCUAUAUGAUAUUGGCCAUAUCAUGUCACUAUUAUUUGAUUGCAUGUGAUGUUUAUCAUGUUUUUGCAUCUUGUUUACUUAGAACGACGGUAGUAAAUAAGAUGAUCCCUCAUAAUAAUUUCAAGAAAGUGUUCCCCCUAACUGUGCACCGUUGCCACAGUUCAUUGUUUCGAAGCACCACGUGAUGAUCGGGUGUGAUAGAUUCCAACGUUCACAUACAACGGGUGUAAGACAGAUUUACACAUGCAAACACUUAGGUUGACUUGACGAGCCUAGCAUGUACAGACAUGGCCUGAACACAGAAGACCAAAAGGUCGAACAUGAGUCGUAUAGAAGAUACGAUCAACAUGAAGAUGUUCACCGAUGUUGACUAGUCCGUCUCACGUGAUGAUCGGACACGGCCUAGUUGACUCGGAUCAUGUAAUCACUUAGAUGACUAGAGGGAUGUCUAUCUAAGUUGGAGUUCAUAAGUUGAACUUAAUUAUCCUGAACAUAGUCAAAAGGUCUUCGCAAAUUAUGUCAUGGCUCGCGCUUCAGUUCUACUAUUUAGAUAUGUUCCUAGAGAAAAUUUAGUUGAAAGUUGAUAGUAGCAAUUAUGCGGACUAGGUCCGUAAACUGAGGAUUUUCCUCAUUGCUUCAUAGAAGGCUUAUGCCCUUAAUGCACCGCUCAGUGUGCUGAACCUCAAACGUCGUCUGUGGAUGUUGCGAACAUCUGACAUACACAUUUUGAUAACUACGUGAUAGUUCAGUUAAACGGUUUAGAAUUGAGGCACCAAAGACGUUUUGAAAUGUCGCGAAAUAUAUGAGAUGUUUCGAGGGCUGAAAUUGGGAUUUCAGGCUCGUGCCCACGUCAAGAGGUAUAAGACCUCCGACGAUUUUCUUAGCCCACAAACUAAGGGAGAAAAGCUCAAUUGUUGAGCUUGUGCUCGGAUUGUCUGAGUACAACAAUCGCUUGAAUCGAGUGGGAGUUGAUCUUCCAGAUGAAAUAGUGAUGGUUCUCCAAAGUCACUGCCACCAAGCUACUAGAGCUUCGUGAUGAUCUAUAACAUAUCAAGGAUAGAUAUGAUCCUUGAGCUAUUCGCGACACCGCAAAAAGUAGAAAUCAAAAGGGAGCAUCAAUCGUUGAUGGUUAGUAAAACCACUAGUUUCAAGAAGGGCAAGGGAAAGAAAGGGAUACUUCAUGGAACAACAAAUUAGUUGCUGUUCUAGUGAAGAAACCCAAAGUUGAACCCAAGCCCGAGACUAAGUGCUUCUGUAAUAAGGGGAACAGUCACUGAAGCAGAACCACCCUAGAUACUUGGUAGAUGAGAAGGCUAGCAAGGUCGACAGAAGUAUAUUGGAUAUGCAUUAUAAUGUGUACUUUACUAGUACUCCUAGUAGCACCAGGGUAUUAGAUACCGGUUCGGUUGCUAAGUGUUAGUAACUCGAAACAAAAGGCUACGGAAUAAACGGAGACUAGCUAAAAGGUGAGAUGACGAUAUGUGUUGGAAGUAUUUCCAAGGUUGAUCAAAUAUCGUACGCUCCCUCUACCAUCGAGAUUGGUAUUAAAACCUAAAUAAUUGUUAUUUGGUGUUUGCGUUGAGCAUAGACAUGAUUGGAUUGUGUCUAUCGCGAUACGGUUAUUCAUUUAAGGAGAAUAAUGGUUACUCUGUUUAUUUGAAUAAUACCAUCCCGAGUAGUGAUACACAUUUUCAUGCCAAAGGUAUAAGAUAGUAAUGAUAGUACCACACAAAUGUGGCACUGCAAUUUGAGUCAUAUUGGUAUAAAAUGCAUGAAGAAGCUCCAUGUUGAUGGAUCUUUGGACUCACUCAUUUUUGAAAGGAUUGAGACAUGCGAACCAUGUUUGUUGGUAGAUAUGCAUGAAGAAACUCUAUACAGAUGGAUCGUUUGGACUCACUUGAUUUUGAAUCACUUGAGACAUGCAAAUCAUACCACAUGGGCAAGAUGACUGAAAAGCCUCGUUUUCAGUAAGAUGGAACAAGAAAGCAACUCGUUGGAAGUAAUACAUUUUGAUGUGUGCAGUCCAAUGAGUGCUGAGGCAUAUAGUGGAUAUCGUUAUGUUCUUACUUCACAGAUGAUUUGAGUAGAUGCUAAAGUAUAUAUACUUGAUGGAUCAUGAGUCUGAAAUUAUUGAAAGGUUCAAUUAAUUUCAGAGUGAAGUUGAAGAUCGUCGUGACAAGAGGAUAAAAUGUCUAUGAUAUGAUCAUAGAGAUUCAUAUCUAAAUUACGAGUUUGGCACAGAAUUAAGACAUUGUGGAAAUUGUUUCACAACUAAUACCGCCUGGAACACCAUAGUGUGAUGAUGUGUCCGAACAUCAUAGUUGCACCCUAUUGGAUAUGGUGCGUACCAUGAUGUCCCUUAUCGAAUUACCACUAUCGUUCAUGGGUUAGGCAUUAGAGACAACCACAUUCACUUUAAAUAGGGCACCACGUAAUUCCGAUGAGAUGACACCGUAUGAACUAUGGUUUAGAGAAACCUAAGCUGCAAUUUCUUAAAAGUUUGGGGUUGCGACGCUUAUGUGAAAAAGUUUCAAGCUGAUAAGCUUGAACCCAAAGUGGAUAAAUGCAUCUUCAUAGGACACCCAAAACAGUUGGGUAUACCUCCUGUGUCAGAUCCGAAAGCAAUAAGGGAUUGUUUCUAGAAUCGGGUCCUUUCUCGAGGAAAAGUUUCUCUCGAAAUAAUUGAGUGGGAGGAUGGUGGAGACUUGAUGAGGUUAUUGAACCGUCUCUUCAACUAGUGUCUGGCAGGGCACAGGAAGUUGUUCCUGUGGCACCUACACCAAUUGAAGUGGAAGCUUAUGAUAGUGAUCAUGAAACUUCAGAUCAAGUCACUACCAAACCUCGUGGGAUGACAAGGAUGCGUACUACUUCAGAAUGGUACGUAAUCCUGUCUUGGAAGUCAUGUUGCUAGACAACAAUGAACCUACAAGCUAUGGAGGUGCGAUGGUGGGCCUGGAUUCCAAAAUGGCUCGAGGCCAUAUAAUCCGAGAGAGGAUCCAUAUAUGAAAACAAAGUGUAGACUUUGGAAGAACUACUUGAUGGUCGUAAGGCUGUUAGGUACAUAUGGAUUUUAAAAGGAAGACGGACAAUGAUGGUAAGUAUCACCAUUAAGAAAGCUCGACUUGUCGUUAAGAUGUUUUCCGACAAGUUCAAGGAGUUGACUACAAUGAGACUUUCUCACUCGUAGCGAUGCUAAGAGUCUGUUGGAAUUAUAUUAGCGAUUACUACAUUAUUUAUGAAAUCUUGCAGAUAGGAUGUCAAAAACAUUGUUUCCUCGACGAUUUUCUUGAGGAAAGGUUGUAUGUGAUACAACCAGAAGGUUUUGUCAAUCCUGAAAGAUGCUAACAAGUAUGCAAAGCUCCAGCAAUCCUUCUAAGGACUGGAGUAAGCAUCUCGGAGUUGGAAUGUAUGCUUUGAUGAGAUGAUCAAAGAUUUUGGGUGUAUACAAAGUUUAUGAGAAACUUGUAAUUCCAAAGAAGUGAGUGGGAGCACUAUAGAAUUUCUGAUGAGUAUAUGUUGUUGACAUAUUGUUGAUCAGAAAUGACGUAGAAUUCCUGGAAAGCAUAUAGGGUUAUUUGGAAAGUGUUUUUCAAUGGAAAGCCUGGAUUAAGCUACUUGAACAUUGAGCAUCAAGAUCUAUAAGGAUAGAUCAAAACGCUUAAUGGUACUUUCAAAUGAGCACAUACCUUGACAUGAUCUUGAAGGUGUUCAAGAUGGAUCAGUCAAAGAAGGAGUUCUUGCCUGAGUUGUAAGGUAUGAAGUUAAGACUUAAAGCUCGACCACGGCAGAAGAAAGAGGAAGGACGAAGGUCGUCCCCUAUGCUUUUGUCAUAGGCUCCAUACGGUAUGCCAUGCUGAGUACCACACCUGAUGUGUGCCUUGCCACAUAUUUGGCAAGAGGGUACAAAGGUGAUCUAGGAGUAGAUCACCAGAUAGCGGUCUAAAUUAUCCUUAGAGGAAUAAGGAUAUGUUUCUCGGUUAUGGAGGUGAUAAAGAGUUCGACGUAAAGAGUUACGUCGAUGCAAGCUUAACACCUAUCCGGAUAGCUCUGAGUAGAGAUACCGGAUACGUAUAAUGGAGCAACAAUUUAGAAUAGCUCCAAGUAGAACAGUUAUUUGAAAUGGCUCCAAAUGUAGCGUGGUAGUUGCAUCUACAAGAUGACAUAGAAAUUUGCAAAGUACAUACGGAUCUGAAUGCUGCAGACCCGUUGACUGAAACCUCUCUCACAAGCAUAACAUGAUCAAACCCAGAACUCUUUGGGUGUUAGUCACAUGGGGAUGUGACCUUGAGUGUUAAUCACAUAUCGAUGUGAACUGGAUUAUUGACUCUAGUGCAAGUGGGAGACUGUUGGAAAUAUGCCCUAGAGGCAAUAAUAAAUUGGUUAUUAUUAUAUUUCCUUGUUCAUGAUAAUCGUUUAUUAUCCAUGCUAGAAUUGUAUUGAUAGGAAACUCGGAUACAUGUGUGGAUACAUAGACAACACCAUGUCCCUAGUAAGCCUCUAGUUGACUAGCUCGUUGAUCAAUAGAUGGUUACGGUUUCCUGACCAUGGACAUUGGAUGUCGUUGAUAACGGGAUCACAUCAUUAGGAGAAUGAUGUGAUGGACAAGACCCAAUCCUAAGCCUAGCACAAGAUCAUGUAGUUCGUAUGCUAAAGCUUUUCUAAUGUCAAGUAUCAUUUCCUUAGACCAUGAGAUUGUGCAACUCCCGGAUACCGUAGGAGUGCUUUGGGUGUGCCAAACGUCACAACGUAACUGGGUGGCUACAAAGGUACACUACAGGUAUCUCCGAAAGUGUCUGUUGGGUUGGCACGAAUCGAGACUGGGAUUUGUCACUCCGUGUAAACGGAGAGGUAUCUCUGGGCCCACUCGGUAGGACAUCAUCAUAAUGUGCACAAUGUGAUCAAGGAGUUGAUCACGGGAUGAUGUGUUACAGAACGAGUAAAGAGACUUGCCGGUAACGAUAUUGAACAAGGUAUCGGGAUACCGAUGAUCGAAUCUCGGGCAAGUAUCGUACCGCUAGACAAAGGGAAUUGUAUACGGGAUUGAUUAAGUCCUUGACAUCAUGGUUCAUCCGAUGAGAUCAUCGUGGAGCAUGUGGGAGCCAACAUGGGUAUCCAGAUCCCAUUGUUUGUUAUUGACCGGAGAGGUGUCUCGGUCAUGUCUACAUGUUUCCCGAACCCGUAGGGUCUACACACUUAAGGUUCGAUGACGCUAGGGUUAUAGGGAAAGUAUGUACGCGGUUACCGAAUGUUGUUCGGAGUCCCGGAUGAGAUCCCGGACGUCACUAGGAGUUCCGGAAUGGUCCGGAGGUAAAGAUUGAUAUAUAGGAAGUAUGGUUUUGGCCACCAGAAGUGUUCCGGGCAUCACCGGUAGUGUACCGGGACCACCGAAGGGGUCCGGGGGUCCACCAGGUGGGGCCACCAGCCCCGGAGGCCUACAUGGGCCAAUAGUGGGAAGGGACCAGCCCCUAGGUGGGCUGGGCGCCUCCCACCAAGGCCCAAGGCGCCUCCAAGAGGGGAGGGGGCAAACCCUAGGGCAAAUGGGCCCUAAGGCCCUCCCUAGGUGUGCCUCCCCCUCUCCCCCUUGUGGCCGCCACCCAGAUGGGAUCUGGGGGCUGCCGCCACCCCUAGGGAGGGAACCCUAGGUGGGGGCGCAGCCCCUCCCCUUCCCCUAUAUAUACUUGAGGUAUUGGAGGCUGCAAGACACACGAGAUCCUCUCCCUCUUGGCGCAGCCCUACCUCUCUUCCUCCUCAUCUCUCGUAGUGCUUGGCGAAGCCCUGCUGGAGUCCCGCGCUCCUCCACCACCACCACGCCGUCGUGCUGCUGCUGGAUGGAGUCUUCCCCAACCUCUCCUUCUCCCCUUGCUGGAUCAAGGCGUAGGAGACGUCACCCGGCUGUACGUGUGUUGAACACGGAGGUGCCGUCCAUUCGGCACUAGGAUCAUCGGUGAUUUGGAUCACUACGAGUACGACUCCAUCAAUCCCGUUCACUUGAACGCUUCUGCUUAGCGAUCUACAAGGGUAUGUAGAUGCACUCUCCUUCCCUCGUUGCUAGAUUACUCCAUAGAUUGAUCUUGGUGAUGCGUAGAAAAUUUUGAAUUUCUGCUACGUUCCCCAACAAAGCCAAGCAAUUGUUUCAUACUUUAGUAAUCUCAAACCUAUAAACUUUCAUGCAAUACAUGAGCGUGAUCCAUGGAUAUAGCAUUAUGGGUGUAAUAGAAUAUAAUGAGGGGGGUUAUGUGGAGAAGACAAAAAGGAGAAAGUCUCACAUCAACGAGGCUAACCAAUGGGCUAUGGAGAUGCCCACCGAUUGAUGUUAAUGCAAGGAGUAGGGAUUGCCAUGCAACGGAAGCACUAGAGCUAUAAAUGUAUGAAAGCUCAACAAAAGAAAUUAGUGGGUGUGCAUCCAACUUGCUUGCUCACAAAGACCUAGGGCACUUGAGGAGGCCCAUUGUUGGAAUAUACAAGCCAAGUUAUAUAAUGAAAAAUUCCCACUAGUGUAUGAAAGUGAUAACAUGAGAUACUCUCUACUAUGAAGAUCAUGGUGCUACUUUGUAGCACAAGUGUGGUAAAAGGAUAGUAACAUUGUCCCUUCUCUCUUUUUCUCUCAUUUUUUGGGCCUUCUCUUUUUUAUGGCCUUUCCCUUCUUUUUUUUAUUCCUCACUUGGGACAAUUCUCUAAUAAUGAUGAUCAUCACACUUAUAUUUAUUUACAACUCAAUGAUUACAACUCGAUACUAGAACAAAGAUGACUCUAUAUGAAUGCCUCCGGCGGUGUACCGGGAUAUGCAAUGAACCAAGAGUGACAUGUAUGAAAGAAUUAUGAACGGUGGCUUUGCCACAAAUACUAUGUCAACUACAUGAUCAUGCUAAGCAAUAUGACAAUGAUGAAUGUGUCAUGAUAAACGGAACGGUGGAAAGUUGCAUGACAAUAUAUCUCGAAAUGGCUAUGGAAAUGCCAUAAUAGGUAGGUAUGGUGGCUGUUUUUAGGAAGAUAUAAGGAGGUUUAUGUGUGAAAUAGCGUAUCAUAUCACGGGGUUAGGAUGCACCGGCGAAGUUUGCGCCAACUCUCAAUGUGAGAAAGGGCAAUGCACGGUACCAAAGGGGCUAGCAAGGAUGGAAGGGUGAGAGUGUGUAUAAUCCAUGGACUCAACAUUAGUCAUAAAGAACUCACAUACUUAUUGCAAAAAUCUACAAGUCGUCAAAAACCUCGGCACUAUGCGCAUGCUCCUAGGGGGAUAGAUUGGUAGGAAAAGACCAUCGCUCGUCCCCGACCACCACUCAUAAGGAGGACAAUCAAAUAACACCUCAUGUUUCAAAUUUGUUACACAACGUUUACCAUACGUGCAUGCUACGGGACUUGCAAACUUCAACACAAGUAUUCCUCAAAUUCACAACUACUCAACUAGCACGACUUUGAUAUUAUUACCUCCAUAUCUCAAAACAAUCAUCAAGCAUCAAACUUCUCUUAGUAUUCAAUACUCUCUAUGAAAGUUUUUACUAAUCUUGAAUACCUAGCAUAUUAGGAUUUAAGCAAAUUACCAUGCUAUUUAAUACUCUCAAGAUAACCUAAGUGAAGCAUGAGAGUCCAUCUAUUUCUUAUAAAAUAAAACCACCACCGUGCUCUAAAAAGAUAUAAGUGAAGCACUAGAGCAAAUAACAAACUACUCCGAAAGAUGUAAGUGAAGAUCAAUGAGUAGUUGAAUAAUUAUGCAACUAUGUGAAGACUCUCUAACAUUAAAUAAUUUCAGAUCUUUGUAUUUUAUUCAAACAACAAGCAAAGCAAAAGAAAAUGGCAUUCUAAGAAUAGCAAACAUCAUGUGAAGAAGCAAAAACUUAGGAUCAACCGAAACUAACCGAUAGUUGUUGAAGAAGAAAGGUGGGAUGCCAACCGGGGCAUCCCCAAGCUUAGAUGCUUGAGACUUCUUGAAAUAUUAUAUUGGGGUGCCUUGGGCAUCCCCAAGCUUGAGCUUUCGGACGGUCUCCCUAAAUCUCAAAAGCUUCAUCCACACAAAACUCAACAAGGACUCGUGAGAUAAGUUAGUAUAAACCAUUGCCAAAACCUUAUCAUACUCUACUAUAGAAAAUCACUAAAACUAUUAUUCAACAUUUCAUACUAAAUGCCUCUGCAUAUUUAAUAGUCCUAUCCUCAAAUAGAAUCAUUAAAGAAGCAAACAUAUGCAAACAAUGCAAACAUAACAGCAAUCUGCCUAAACAGGACAGUCUGUAAAGAAUGCAGCAACAUCCAUACUUCCCUAGCUCCAAAAAUUAUGAAAGAAAAUUCCCACUGUAGUAAAUUUAUCAGAGCUUAAUAUGCAAAAGGUUUCAACAUUUUAUCACAUUCUGAUUUUUCUAGGGAAUUAUUGCAACAGCGGUAAACUUUCUGUUUUCAAACAGCAACAUGUGGACUUCUAAAAUAGGCAUAGUAAAGGCUAUCAAUGCCACUUUUAUUGAAAUAAAAGAUGCAAAACAUUGUUCUAAAUGACAGCAAGAAAAUUCUAACAAAACAAAUUGACGUUCCAAGCAAAACACAUAUCAUGUGGUGAAUAAAAAUAUAGCUCCAAGUAAAGUUACCGAUGAACGAAGACAAAAGAGGGGAUGCCUUCCGGGGCAUCCCCAAGCUUAGGCUCUUGGUUGUCCUUGAUUUUUUCCUUGGGGUGCCAUGGGCAUCCCCAAGCUUAGGCUCUUGCCACUCCUUAUUCCAUAGUCCAUCGAAUCCUUACCCAAAACUUGAAAACUUCACAACACAAAACUUAACAGAAAACUCGUAAGCUCCGUUAGUACAAGAAAAUAAAUCACCACUUCAAGGUACUGUAAUGAAAUCAUUCUUUAUUUAUAUUGUUGUUAAACCUAAUGUAUUCCAACUUCUCUCUGGUUUAUAAACUCUUUUACUAGCCAUAGAUUCAUCAAAAUAAGUAAACAACACAUGAAAAACAGAAUCUGUCAAAAACAGAAUCUGUCAAAAACAGAACAGUCUGUAGUAAUCUGGGUCAAACGUAUACUUAUGGCACUUAUAAAAUUCUAAACUAAAUUUCUGGACCUGAGAAAUUUUUCUAUUAAUCAUCUGCAAAAAUAAUUAAGUAAAUAGCACUUUCCAAAUAAAAAUGGCAGCAAUUCUCGUGAGCGCUAAAGUUUCUGUUUUUUACAGCAUGAUCAACAAGACUUUCCCCAAGUCUUCCCAAAGGUUCUACUUGGCACAAACACUAAUUAAAGACAUAAAACCACAUCUAAACAGAGGAUAUAUGAAUUAUUUAUUACUAAACAGGAACAAAAAUAAAAUUGGGUUGCCUCCCAACAAGCGCUAUCGUUUAACGCCCCUAGCUAGGCAUGAUGAUUUCAACGAUGCUCACAUAAAAGAUAAGAAUUGAAACAUAAAGAGAGCAUCAUGAAGAAUAUGACUAGCACAUUUAAGUCUAACCCACUUCCUAUGCAUAGGGAUUUUGUGAGCAAAAAACUUGUGGAAACAAUAAUCAACUAGCAUAGGAGGGUAAAACAAACAUAACUUUAAAACUUUAAGCACAUAGAGAGGAAACUUGAUAUUAUUGCAAUUCCUACAAGCAUAUAUUACUCCCUCAUAAUAAUUUUCAGUAGCAUCAUGAAUGAAUUCAACAAUAAAACCAGCACCUAAAGCAUUCUUUUCAUGAUCUACAAGCAUAGAAAUUUUAUUGCUCUCCACAUAAGCAAAAUUCUUCUUAUUCAGGAUAGUUGGAGUAUCAUAAAAGACUCGAAUACUAUAAAUUGUUUCCACAUUAAAAGAGUAAUGUUCAGAGAAGGGGUAAUCAUAAUCAUGACAAGUUUUAUAAAUAUAAUCACUUCUUUUUAUAGCAUAAGUAUCAUCACAAUAAUCAUCAUAAGUAGGAGGCAUGCUAUCAUCAUUAUAAAUUUGCAUAUCAAAACUUGGGAGACUAAAAAUACCAUCUUCAUUAAUCAUAGCUUCCUCAAGCUUGGGACAAACAUUAAUUGCAGCAAAUAUAUUCUCAUAAACAUCAUCUUCAUCAGACAUAGCAUCCCCAAGCUUGGGCCUUUUCAUAUCAUAAGCAUAAUCACUCUCAUAAUUAAUAGUAUGGAUAGCACCAAUAGUAUAGCAAUUAUCAUAUUCUUCCAAGCAAGUGCCAAAAAGAUUUUCAAGAUCAUAAGAAGUAUCAUUAUCUUCCACAAUUAUAUUUUCAUGAGGCACAAUAGUAAUAGGAGCAGCAUUAUUUGGGAGAGAUAUCUUCUUACGUCUCUUCCUUUUUCUUUUCUUCUUCUUCACCACAUGAUGUGUGGGUUCAAUCCUCUUUUUGGAGCUCCUUAUUAAUGAGAUUGGUUGAAUAGGAGGCUCCUCCUCGUUACCUGAUUCAUCAUAAGAAAUAAUAGGAGGGUAUUGGGAAGCCUCUUCCCUUUCAUUAGUAUUCUCUUCAUCUUCUAUUUGUUUUCUUUUCUUUAUGUAGUUGGCAAUGUAAGGAUUUUCAAUGCAAUUCACCGCACAAUACAUAUAAAUUUUCUCUAGAUCAAAAUGAAGAACUUUAUCAAGGGCAAAUUUUGGAAUAUCCUUAGUUAUACGUUUCAUUUUUUCGUAGCCCAUAAGAAAACUAAGUUCAUUAUAAUGUGCAAGGGAAAUCAAGUCAUCACAAUUUUUGGACACGAUUAGAUCAUGAAACAAUUUGCAUCGGAUAAGUAAAUGACCACGUUCAUUACAAAGCUCACAAGUAUGGCCAAGAAAAUUUAAAUUUUCAGCACAAUCAUCUAGCUCUUCUUGCAACAAUUUAGUUUCUAAGUACUUAUGCUUCUUGCAAUAUCUAUCUUCUCUAUUUGGUGUGUACUUACAAACCCAAUGCACUCCACAAAAAUUGACAUGUUUAUAGGAGACAUUUUCAUCAUAACUAGUGCAAUCAUCAUUAGUGUCAUGGAUAUUCAAAGAAUUCGUACUAACAACAUUGCAAUCAUGCUCAUCUUUCAAAUAUUUAGUUCCAAACAUUCUAAUGCAUUCUUCUUCUAGUACUUGAGCACAAUUUUCCUUUCCAUCAUACUCACGAAAGAUAUUAAAAAGAUGAAGCAUAUGAGGCAAACUUAAUUCCAUUUUUUUGUAAUUUUAUUUUAUAAACUAAACUAGUGAUAAAACAAGAAACUAAAAGACUCGAUUGCAAGAUCUAAAGAUAUACCUUCAAGCGCUAACCUCCCCGGCAACGGCGCCAGAAAAGAGCUUGAUGUCUACUACACAACCUUCUUCUUGUAGACUUUGUUGUGCCUCCAAGUGCAGAGGUUUGUAGGACAGUAGCAAAUUUCCCUCAAGUGGAUGACCUAAGGUUUAUCAAUCCGUGGGAGGUGUAGGAUGAAGAUGGUCUCUCUCAAGCAACCCUGCAACCAAAUAACAAAGAGUCUCUUGUGUCCCCAACACACCCAAUACAUUGGUAAAUUGUAUGGGUGCACUAGUUCGGCGAAGAGAUGGUGAUACAAGUGCAAUAUGGAUAAAGAUAAUAGUUUUUGUAAUCUGAAAAUAUAAAAACAGCAAGGUAACAAAUGAUAAAAGUGAGUAAGGCCUAGGGUUCAUACUUUCACUAGUGCAAGUCCUCUCAACAAUACUAACAUAAUUGGAUCACAUAACUAUCCCUCAACAUGCAACAAAGAGUCACUCCAAAGUCACUAAUAGCGGAGAACGAACGAAGAGAUUAUGAUAGGGUACGAAACCACCUCAAAGUUAUUCUUUCCAAUCAAUCCAUUGGGCUAUUCCUAUAAGUGUCACAAACAGCCCUAUAGUUCGUACUAGAAUAACACCUUAAGACACAAAUCAACCAAAACCCUAAUGUAACCUAGAUACUCCAAUGUCACCUCAAGUAUCCGUGGGUAUGAUUAUACGAUAUGCAUCACACAAUCUCAGAUUCAUCUAUUCAACCAACACAUAGAACCUCAAAGUGUGCCCCAAAGUUCUACCGGAGAAUCACGACGAAAACGUGUGCCAACCCCUAUGCAUAGGUUCAUGGGAGGAACCCGCAAGUUGAUCACCAAAACAUACAUCAAGUGAAUCACGUGGUAUCCCAUUGUCACCACAGAUACGCACGGCAAGACAUACAUCAAGUGUUCUCAAAUCUUUAAAGACUCAAUCCGAUAAGAUUACUUCAAAGGGGAAACUCAAUUCAUUACAAGAGAGUAGAGGGGGGAGAAAACAUCAUAGGAUCCAACUAUAAUAGCAAAGCUCGCGAUACAUCAAGAUCGUAUCAGCUCAAGAACACGAGAGAGAGAGAGAGAGAGAGAUCAAACACAUAGCUACUGGUACAUACCCUCAGCCCCGAGGGAGAACUCACAAUUCGUGCAUCGGAUUAAAAUGUUUUAUAUAUGAAACUUGCUCAGAAUUUUGUCUAGUUUAAUAAUAUGUCACUUUCAUCCAUGUUUAAAAUGUCUAAAUGAUGUUUGUUUAAAUUUGCUCCUAUGCCAUGCUAAAAUGGUUUAAUUCAUAACUAUAUGACUGUAGCUCCGUUUUUAACAAACUUUAUAUGUAAAUGGGGUAGAAUUUUGCCUAGUUUAACAUGGUAGCAUCAUCUUGCAUAUUUAAUAACUAUAAAAUAUGGUUUAGGGCAGAACAGGACCAAACCUAAUAUAUGCUCAUGAGGAGUUUCCGGAAAUGUUGUUCGUUGCUUCCGGCCUUUUUUAAACUUGCCUAGAUAGGUAGUUUUGUUGUGCUUCACCCCUUGCCAUGUUAAUCAACAUUUAAUAUUGUUGGGGUACAUAAACGAGAGAGAACUAAAUAAUUGAUGUGGUGUUCCGUCAAUAUGCAACCCGUUGCAUAUUGAGCUCCACUUAACUUCUAGUGUUGGUUGUUGCACUUUGCCAUGCCAUGCCCUCUUUAAACCGGACAUGCAUCAUACUUGUUUGCGCAUCAUGCCAUGUCUUUGUGUUGGUUGUUUACUAUGUUGUGUGCUUCUUUCCUGUGUUGCUUCUUCGGGUUGGUUCCGAUAAUGUCGCGUUUGUGAGGAUCCGUUCGUCUACGUCCAUUUGUCUUCUUCAUGGACUCGUUCUUCUUCCUUGCGGGAUUUCAGGCAAGAUGACCAUACCCUCGAAAUCACUUCUAUCUUUGGUUGCCUAGUUUCUCGCUCUUUUGCUAUGCCUAUGCUGCGAUACCUACCACUUGCUUAUCAUGCCUCCUAUAUUGUUGAACCAAGCCUCUAACCCACCUUGUCCUAGCAAAUCGUUGAUUGGCUAUGUUACCGCUUCGCUCAGCCCCUCUUAUAGCGUUGUUAGUUGCAGGUGAAGAUUGAAGUUUGUUCCUUGUUGGAACAUGGAGAUGUUGUUCCUUGUUGGAACAUGUUUACUUGUUUGGGAUAUCACAAUAUAUCUUAUUUAAUUGAUGCAUCUAUAUACUUGGUAAAGGGUGGAAGGCUCGGCCUUAUGCCUGGUGUUUUGUUCCACUCUUGCCGCCCUAGUUUCCGUCAUAUCGGUGUUACGUUCCCGCAUUUUGCGUUCCUUACGCGGUUGGGUAAUAAUGGGAACCCCUUGACAGUUCGCCUUGAGUAAAACUCUUCCAGCAAUGCCCAACAUUGGUUUUACCAUUCGCCACCCAGCCUUUUUCUUUUCCCUUGGGGGUCGCACGCCCAAGGGUCAUCAUUAUUUUAAACCUCCGGGCCAGUGCUCCUCUGAGUGUUGGUCCAAUUUGUCAGCCGCCGGUGGCCACCAGGGGCAACUCUGGGCUGGCCUACCAGAAGUUUAGGCAGUCCGGUGUGCCCUGAGAAAGAGAUAUGUGCAGCUCCUAUCGGGAUUUGUCGGCACAUUCGGGCGGUGUUGCUGGAUUUGUUUUAACUUGUCGAAGUUUCUUGAAGAACCGGGAUACCGAUUCUGAUCGGAAUGUCUCGGGAGGAGGUCUAUUCCUUCGUUGACCGUGAGAGCUUGUCAUGGGCUAAGUUGGGACACCCCUGCAGGGUUUUGAACUUUCGAAAGUCGUGCCCGCGGUUAUGGGCAGAUGGGAAUUUGUUAAUGUCCGGUUGUAGAAAACCUGAACUUGACCUUAAUUAAAAUGAAUCAACAGCGUGUGUUACCGUGAUGGUCUUGUUGGAAAUAUGCCCUAGAGGCAAUAAUAAAAGUGUUAUUAUUAUAUUUCUUUGUUCAUGAUAAUAGUCUUUUAUUCAUGCUAUAACUGUAUUAUCCGGAAAUCGUAAUACACGUGUGAAUACAUAGACCACAAUAUGUCCCUAGUAAGCCUCUAGUUGACUAGCUCGUUGUGAUCAACAGAUAGUCAUGGUUUCCUGGCUAUGGACAUUGGAUGUCGUUGAUAACGGGAUCACAUCAUUAGGAGAAUGAUGUGAUGGACAAGACCCAAUCCUAAGCAUAGCACAAAGGUCGGUUAGUUCGUUUGCUAGAGCUUUUCCAAUGUCAAGUAUCUCUUCCUUCGACCAUGAGAUCGUGUAACUCCUGGAUACCGUAGGAAUGCUUUGGGUGUAUCAAACGUCACAACGUAACUGGGUGACUAUAAAGGUGCACUACAGGUAUCUCCGAAAGUGUCUAUUGGGUUGACAUGGAUCGAGACUGGGAUUUGUCACUCCGUAUGACGGAGAGGUAUCUCUGGGCCCACUCGGUAAUGCAUCAUCAUAACGAGCUCAAGGUGACCAAGGUGUUGGCCAUGGGAUCAUGCAUUACGGUACGAGUAAAGUGACUUGCCGGUAACGAGACUGAACAAGGUGUUGGGAUACCGACGAUCGAGUCUCGGGCAAGUAACGUACCGAUUGACAAAGGGAAUUGUAUACGGGGUUUGAUCGAAUCCUCGACAUCAUGGUUCAUCCGAUGACUUCAUCGAGGAGCAUGUGGGAGCCAACAUGGGUAUCCAGAUCCCGCUGUUGGUUAUUGACCGGAGAGUCUCGGUCAUGUCUGCAUGUCUCCCGAACCCGUAGGGUCUACACACUUAAGGUUCGGUGACGCUAGGGUUAUCAGGAAGACAAGUAUGUGAUUACCGAAUGUUGUUCGGAGUCCCGGAUGAGAUCCCGGACGUCACGAGGAGUUUCGGAAUGGUCCGGAGGUAAAGUUUUAUAUAUGGGAAGUUGUUAAACGGGCACCGGAAAGUUUCGGGGUCAUACCGGUAUUGUACCGGGACCACCGAAAAGGUUCCGGGGGUCCACCGGGAGGGACCACCCCUCCCGGGGGGCCACUUGGGCUGCGUAGGGAUAGCAGCCAGCCCCUAGUGGGCUUGGCGCGCCCCCCUUGGGCCCAUGCGCCUAGGGUUGGGGGGAAACCCUAAAGGGGGCGCACCCCCCUUGCUUGGGGGGCAAGCCCCCCACCCCUUGGCCGCCGCCCCCCCCUAGGGUUUUCCCUAGAGGGCCGCCCCCCCUUGCCCUUUCCCCUAUAUAUAGAGGGGUGAGGGGAGGGCUGCAAUACACCACAACUCAAGGCGCAGCCCCUCCCCUCCCCAACACCUCUCCUCCUCCGUACGUGCUUGGCGAAGCUCUGUCGGAGUACUGCUGCACCAACUACACCACGCCGUCGUGCUGCCGUUGGAGCUGCCUUCCUCAACCUCUCCUUCCUCCUUGCUGGAUCAAGACGGAGGAGACGUCUCCCGUCCCGUAUGUGUGUUGAACGCGGAGGUGCUGUCCGUUCAGCACUUGGACAUCGGUGAUCCGAAUCACUUUUCGAGUACGACUCCAUCAUCACCAUCCCCUUGACAAGCUUCCGCUCGUGAUCUACAAGUGGUAUGUAGAUGCAAACUCUCUCCCUUGACUCGUUGCUUAGAUGAACUCAUAGAUGGAUCUUGGUGAAACCGUAGGAAAAUUUUUAAUUUUCUGCAACGUUCCCCAAUAGUGGCAUCAUGAGCUAGGUCUAUGCGUAGUUUUCUUUGCACGAGUAGAACACAAUUUUGUUGUGGGCGUGGAUCUUGUCAACUUGCUUGCCUCUACUAGUCUUUUCUUGCUUCAGCGGUAUUGUGGGAUGAAGCGGCCCGAACCAACCUUACACGUACGCUUACGUGAGACCGGUUCCACCGAUUAACAUGCACUAGUUGCAUAAGGUGGCUGGUGGGUGUCUGUCUCUCCCACUUUAGUUGUAGCGGAUUCGAUGAAAAGGGCCCUUAUGAAGGGUAAAUAGAAGUUGACAAAAUCACAUUGUGGUUAUUCGUAGGUAAGAAAACGUUCUUGCUAGAACCCAACUGCAGCCACGUAAAAGAUGCAACAACAAUUAGAGGACGUCUAACUUGUUUUUGUAGCGAUUGAUCAUGUGAUGUGAUAUGGCCAGAAGUUGUGAUGAAUGAUGAAUUGUGAUGUAUGAGAUCAUGUUCUUGUAAUAGGAUUCACGACUUGCAUGUCGAUGAGUAUGACAACCGGCACGAGCCAUAGGAGUUGUCUUUAUUUUUGUAUGACCUGCGUGUCAUUGAAGAACGCCAUGUAACUUACUUUACUUUAUUGCUAAACGCGUUAGUCAUAGAAGUAGAAGUAGUCGUUGGCGUGACAACUUCAUGAAGACACGAUGAUGGAGAUCAUGAUGAUGGAGAUCAUGGUGUCAUGCCGGUGACAAGAUGAUCAUGGAGCCCCGAAGAUGGAGAUCAAAGGAGCUAUAUGAUAUUGGCCAUAUCAUGUCACUACUUUAUAUAAUUGCAUGUGAUGUUUAUUAUGUUUUAUGCAUCUUGUUUACUUAGGACGACGGUAGUAAAUAAGAUGAUCCCUUACAAAAUUUCAAGAAGUGUUCUCCCCUAACUGUGCACCGUUGCUACAGUUCGUCGCUUCUAAGCACCACGUGAUGAUCGGGUGUGAUGGAUUCUUACGUUCACAUACAACGGGUGUAAGACAGUUUUACACAGCAAAAACACUUAGGGUUAACUUGACGAGCCUAGGAUGUGCAGACAUGGCCUCGGAACACGGAGACCGAAAGGUCGAAAACGAGUCGUAUGGAAGAUACGAUCAACAUGAAGAUGUUCACCGACGAUGACUAGUCCGUCUCACGUGAUGAUCGGACACGGGCUAGUCGACUCGGAUCGUGUAACACUUAGAUGACUAGAGGGAUGUCUAAUCUAAGUGGGAGUUCAUAAUUUGAUUAGAACUUAAUUAUCAUGAACUUAGUCUAAAACCUUUGCAAAUAUGUCUUGUAGAUCAAAUGGCCAACGCUCAUGUCAACAUGAACUUCAACGCGUUCCUAGAGAAAACCAAGCUGAAAGAUGAUGGCAGCAACUAUACGGACUGGGUCUGGAACCUGAGGAUCAUCCUCAUAGCUGCCAGGAAACAAUAUGUCCUAGAAGGACCGCUAGGUGACGCUCCCGUCCCAGAGAACCAAGACAUUAUGAAUGCUUGGCAGUCUCGUGCUGAUGAUUACUCCCUCGUUCAGUGUGGCAUGCUUUACAGCUUAGAACCGGGGCUCCAAAAGCGUUUUGAGCAUCACGGAGCAUAUGAGAUGUUCGAAGAGCUGAAACUAGUUUUUCAAGCUCACGCCCGGGUCGAGAGAUAUGACAUCUCCGACAAGUUCUAUAGUUGUAAGAUGGAGGAAAAUAGUUCUGUCAGUGAGCACAUACUCAAGAUGUCUGGGUUGCACAACCGAAUGACCCAGCUGAAUAUUAACCUCCCUGAUGAGGCAGUCAUUGACAGAAUCCUUCAGUCGCUCCCACCAAGCUACAAGAGCUCUGUGAUGAACUACAAUAUGCAGGGGAUGGUAAAGACCAUUCCUGAAGUAUUUUCUAUGCUGAAGUCAGCAGAGGUUGAAAUCAAGAAAGAACAUCAAGUGUUGAUGGUCAAUAAGACCACUAAGUUCAAGAAGGGAAAGGGUAAAAAGAACUUCAAGAAGGACGGCAAAGAGGUUGCCGCUCCCGGUAAGCCAGUUGCCGGGAAGAAGUCAAAGAAUGGACCCAAGCCUGAGACUAAGUGCUUUUAUUGCAAGGGGAAGGGUCACUGGAAGCGGAACUGCCCCAAAUACUUAGCGGAUAAGAAGGCCGGCAACACCAAAGGUACAUUUGAUAUACAUGUAAUUGAUGUGUACCUUACCAGUACUCGUAGUAACUCCUGGGUAUUUGAUACUGGUGCCGUUGCUCAUAUUUGUAACUCAUAGCAGGAGCUGCGGAAUAAACGGAGACUGGCGAAGGACGAGGUGACGAUGCGCGUCGGGAAUGGUUCCAGAGUCGAUGUGAUCGCCGUCGGCACGCUGCCUCUACAUUUACCUACGGGAUUAGUUUUGAACCUUAAUAAUUGUUAUUUAGUGCCAAGUUUGAGCAUGAACAUUGUAUCUGGAUCUCGUUUAAUACGAGAUGGCUACUCAUUUAAGUCUGAGAAUAAUGGUUGUUCGAUUUAUAUGAGAGAUAUGUUUUAUGGUCAUGCUCCGAUGGUCAAUGGUUUAUUCUUAAUGAAUCUCGAGCGUAAUAUUACACAUGUUCAUAGUGUAGAUGCCAAAAGAUGUAAAGUUGAUAACGAUAGUCCCACAUACUUGUGGCACUGCCGCCUUGGUCACAUUGGUGUGAAGCGCAUGAAGAAGCUCCAUGCUGAUGGACUUUUGGAGUCUCUUGAUUAUGAAUCAUUUGACACAUGCGAACCAUGCCUCAUGGGAAAAAUGACCAAGACUCCGUUCUCCGGAACAAUGGAGCGAGCAACCAACUUGUUGGAAAUCAUACAUACCGAUGUGUGCGGUCCAAUGAGCGUUGAGGCUCGCGGAGGAUAUCGUUAUGUUCUCACUCUCACUGAUGACUUAAGUAGAUAUGGGUAUGUCUACUUAAUGAAACACAAAUCUGAGACCUUUGAAAAGUUCAAGGAAUUUCAGAAUGAGGUGGAGAAUCAACGUGACCGAAAGAUAAAGUUCCUACGAUCAGAUCGUGGAGGAGAAUAUUUAAGUCACGAAUUUGGCACACACUUAAGGAAAUGUGGAAUCGUCUCACAACUCACGCCGCCUGGAACACCUCAGCGAAACAGUGUGUCCGAACGUCGUAAUCGCACUCUAUUGGAUAUGGUGCGGUCUAUGAUGUCUCUUACCGAUUUACCGCUAUCAUUUUGGGGAUACGCUCUAGAGACAGCUACAUUCACUUUAAAUAGGGCACCGUCUAAAUCCGUUGAGACGACACCGUAUGAAUUAUGGUUUGGGAAGAAACCUAAGCUGUCGUUUCUAAAAGUUUGGGGAUGCGAUGCUUAUGUCAAGAAACUUCAACCUGAAAAGCUCGAACCCAAGUCAGAAAAAUGCGUCUUCAUAGGAUACCCUAAGGAAACUGUAGGGUAUACCUUCUACUUAAGAUCCGAGGGCAAGAUCUUUGUUGCCAAGAAUGGAUGCUUUCUGGAAAAAGAAUUUCUCUCGAAAGAAGUAAGUGGGAGGAAAGUAGAACUCGAUGAAGUACUACCUCUCGAACGGGAAAGUGGUGCAGCUCAGGAAAAUGUUCCUGUGAUGCCCACACCAACUGAAGAGGAAACCAAUGAUGAUGAUCAAGGUACUUUGGAUCAAGUUGCUACUGAACUUCGUAGGUCCACAAGGACACGUUCCGCACCAGAGUGGUACGGCAACCCUGUCCUGGAAAUCAUGUUGUUAGACAACGGUGAACCUUCGAACUAUGAAGAAGCGAUGGCGGGCCCAGAUUCCAACAAAUGGCUAGAAGCCAUGAAAUCCGAGAUAGAAUCCAUGUAUGAAAACAAAGUAUGGACUUUGACUGACUUGCCCGAUGAUCGGCGAGCGAUAGAAAACAAAUGGAUCUUUAAGAAGAAGACAGACGCAGAUGGUAAUGUCACCAUCUAUAAAGCUCGACUUGUCGCUAAGGGUUAUCGACAAGUUCAAGGGAUUGACUACGACGAGACAUUCUCUCCCGUAGCGAAGCUUAAGUCCGUCCGAAUCAUGUUAGCAAUUGCCGCAUACUAUGAUUAUGAGAUAUGGCAGAUGGACGUCAAAACGGCAUUCCUUAACGGGCAUCUUAAGGAAGAGCUGUAUAUGAUGCAGCCGGAAGGUUUUGUCGAUCCUAAGAAUGCUAACAAAGUAUGCAAGCUCCAGCGAUCCAUUUAUGGGCUGGUGCAAGCAUCUCGGAGUUGGAAUAUUCGCUUUGAUGAGAUGAUCAAAGCAUUUGGGUUUAUGCAGACUUAUGGAGAAGCCUGCGUUUACAAGAAAGUGAGUGGGAGCUCUGUAGCAUUUCUCAUAUUAUAUGUGGAUGACAUACUCUUGAUGGGAAAUAAUAUAGAAUUUCUGGACAGCAUUAAGGCCUACUUGAACAAAUGUUUUUCAAUGAAGGACCUUGGAGAAGCUGCUUAUAUAUUAGGCAUCAAGAUCUAUAGAGAUAGAUCGAGACGCCUCAUAGGUCUUUCACAAAGCACAUACCUUGAUAAGAUUUUGAAAAAGUUCAAAAUGGAUGAGUCCAAGAAAGGGUUCUUGCCUAUGUUACAAGGUGUGAGAUUGAGCUCAGCUCAGUGACCGACCACGGCAAAAGAUAAAGAAGAGAUGAGUGUCAUCCCCUAUGCUUCAGCCAUAGGAUCUAUUAUGUAUGCCAUGCUGUGUACCAGACCUGAUGUAAACCUUGCCGUAAGUUUGGUAGCAAGAUACCAGAGUAAUCCCGGCAAGGAACACUGGACAUCGGUCAAGAAUAUCCUGAAGUACCUGAAAAGGACAAAGGACAUGUUUCUCGUUUAUAGAGGUGACGAAGAGCUCGUCGUAAAGGGUUACGUCGACGCUAGCUUCGACACAGAUCUGGAUGACUCUAAGUCACAAACCGGAUACGUGUAUAUGUUGAAUGGUGGAGCAGUAAGCUGGUGCAGCUGCAAGUAGAGCGUCGUGGCGGGAUCUACAUGUGAAGCGGAGUACAUGGCAGCCUCGGAGGCAGCGCAUGAAGCUAUUUGGGUGAAGGAGUUCAUCACCGACCUAGGAGUCAUACCCAAUGCGUCGGGGCCAAUCAAACUCUUUUGUGACAACACUGGAGCUAUUGCCCUUGCCAAGGAGCCCAGGUUUCACAAGAAGACCAGGCACAUCAAGCGUCGUUUCAACUCCAUCCGUGAAAAUGUUCAAGAUGGAGACAUAGAAAUUUGCAAAGUACAUACGGAUCUGAAUGUCGCAGAUCCGUUGACUAAACCUCUCUCGCGAGCAAAACAUGAUCAACACCAGAACUCUAUGGGUGUUCGAUUCAUCACAAUGUAACUAGAUUAGUGACUCUAGUGCAAGUGGGAGACUGUUGGAAAUAUGCCCUAGAGGCAAUAAUAAAAGUGUUAUUAUUAUAUUUCUUUGUUCAUGAUGAUCGUCUUUUAUUCAUGCUAUAACUGUAUUAUCCGGAAAUCGUAAUACACGUGUGAAUACAUAGACCACAAUAUGUCCCUAGUAAGCCUCUAGUUGACUAGCUCGUUGUGAUCAACAGAUAGUCAUGGUUUCCUGGCUAUGGACAUUGGAUGUCGUUGAUAACGGGAUCACAUCAUUAGGAGAAUGAUGUGAUGGACAAGACCCAAUCCUAAGCAUAGCACAAAGGUCGGUUAGUUCGUUUGCUAGAGCUUUUCCAAUGUCAAGUAUCUCUUCCUUCGACCAUGAGAUCGUGUAACUCCUGGAUACCGUAGGAAUGCUUUGGGUGUAUCAAACGUCACAACUUAACUGGGUGACUAUAAAGGUGCACUACAGGUAUCUCCAAAAGUGUCUAUUGGGUUGACACGGAUCGAGACUGGGAUUUGUCACUCCGUAUGACGGAGAGGUAUCUCUGGACCCACUCGGUAAUGCAUCAUCAUAGUGAGCUCAAGGUGACCAAGGUGUUUGCCACGGGAUCAUGCAUUACGGUACGAGUAAAGUGACUUGCCGGUAACGAGACUGAACAAGGUAUUGGGAUACCGACGAUCGAGUCUCGGGCAAGUAACGUACCGAUUGACAAAGGGAAUUGUAUACGGGGUUUGAUCGAAUCCUCGACAUCAUGGUUCAUCCGAUGACUUCAUCGAGGAGCAUGUGGGAGCCAACAUGGGUAUCCAGAUCCCGCUGUUGGUUAUUGACCGGAGAGUCUCGGUCAUGUCUGCAUGUCUCCCGAACCCGUAGGGUCUACACACUUAAGGUUCGGUGACGCUAGGGUUAUCAGGAAGACAAGUAUGUGAUUACCAAAUGUUGUUCGGAGUCCCGGAUGAGAUCCCGGACGUCACGAGGAGUUCCGGAAUGGUCCGGAGGUAAAGUUUUAUAUAUGGGAAGUUGUUAAACGGGCACCGGAAAGUUUCGGGGUCAUACCGGUAUUGUACCGGGACCACCGGAAAGGUUCCGGGGGUCCACCGGGAGGGACCACCCCUCCCGGGGGGGCACUUGGGCUGCGUAGGGAUAGCAGCAAGCCCCUAGUGGGAUUGGCGCCCCCCCCCCCUCCUUGGGCCCAUGCGCCUAGGGUUGGGGGGGGAACCCUAAAGGGGGCGCACCCCCCUUGCUUGGGGGGCAAGCCCCCCACCCCUUGGCCGCCGCCCCCCCUAGGGUUUUCCCUAGAGGGCCGGCCCCCCCUUGCCCUUUCCCCUAUAUAUAGAGGGGUGAGGGGAGGGCUGCAAUACACCACAACUCAAGGUGCAGCCCCUCCCCUCCCCAACACCUCUCCUCCUCCGUACGUGCUUGGCGAAGCUCUGUCGGAGUACUGCUGCACCAACUACACCACGCCGUCGUGCUGCCGUUGGAGCUGCCUUCCUCAACCUCUCCUUCCUCCUUGCUGGAUCAAGACGGAGGAGACGUCUCCCGUCCCGUACGUGUGUUGAACGCGGAGGUGCUGUCCGUUCAGCACUUGGACAUCGGUGAUCCGAAUCACGUUUCGAGUACGACUCCAUCAUCACCAUCCCCUUGACAAGCUUCCGCUCGUGAUCUACAAGUGGUAUGUAGAUGCAAACUCUCUCCCUUGACUCGUUGCUUAUAUGAACUCAUAGAUGGAUCUUGGUGAAACCGUAGGAAAAAUUUUAAUUUUCUGCAACGUUCCCCAACAGGUCUCUUUCAGGCGGAGUCCGGGAAGUGAACACGGUGUUGGAGUUAUGCUUGACGUAGGUUGUUUAGGAUCACUUCUUGAUCAUACUUUCUCGAACGUGUUUGCCUUCUCUUCUCGCUCCCAUUUGCGUAUGCUAGCCACCAUAUACGCUAGUCGCUUGCUGCAGCUCCACCUCAUACCUUUACCUUACCCAUAAGCUUAAAUAGUCUUGAUCGCGAGGGUGUGAGAUUGUUGAGUCCCCGUGGCUCACAGAUACUUCCAAAACCAGCUUGCAGGUGCCGAUGAGACCGUGCAGAUGACACAACCAAGCUCAGGAGGAGCUCGAUGAAGAUCUUGUCCUUUGUGUUGCUUCGUUCUAGUUGAUCAGUAGUGGAGGCUAGUUGGGGUCGAUCGGGGACCAUGUCGCAUCUGGGGUUCUUCUUUUAUUUUGGCUCCGUAGUCGGACCUUGAUUGUAUUUGGAUGUUGUAAUGCUUUAUUCAUUUAAUUGUGUGAAGUGGCGAUUGUAAGCCAACUAUGUAUCUCUGCCCCUUAUGUAUUGCAUGGGUUGUGUGAAGAUUACCUCACUUGCGACAUUGCUUUCAAUGCGGUUAUGCCUCUAAGUCGUGCUUCGACACGUGGGAGAUAUAGCCGCAUCCUGGGCGUUACAAGUUGGUAAUCAGAGCCUUCCCCGACCUUAGGAGCCCCAUUGCUUAAUCGUUUUUAGCGGCCGAGAUGUGUCUAGAAAAAAUGUUUUGAGUCAUUUAGGAAUUAUAUAUCAGAGAGUUUAGGACUUCUUUUUACUUCCCAGUCUCCUCAUCGCUCUGGUAAGGCAUCCCGACGUAGAGUUUUGACUCUUCUCUUCUCAAAUUUCACUAAAAAAAAUUUAGGAUCACGCAGGUAUCUUGGAAUCGUUCCGAUGUUUUUAUGACGAGAACAUUGUCUUGGUGCCUCCUGUCAGGGGUUUUGUGGAAGUGUCCCGGGGAGUUGAGCUCUGAGGUGUUGUCGUCAUAAUUUUAUCGUUGCAGUUCUGGAAUACCUGAAUUUAGUACGCCGACACCGAAAAUCUCUUUUAUGCAGUUCGUUGGUGAGAUAACCUCGACGCCACCCAGUACUGGGGCGGGAGUUCAGGAGUAUUACCAUAACUCGUAUAACGGAUGCUUUUCGAAGGUUGAGGUAGAUGAUUUCCGAAGGUUUCUUGGUUAUGUGUUGAAGGAUGGAUACAGCUGGAUGUAGGAUUGCUAGAUUUGGGUGAGAUAUUAUGCUUCCCCUGUAUCCCCAACACCUGAUUGCAUAACCGGAAAAUUUCGGGAGUUUCAUAGGUGGGAAUUCAAGUAGCUCUUAGGAUAUCUUUCCGAUAGAUGUAUGAUACGAAAUUGGGGUUCGACGUCUAGUGGUCCGCCUAUUCACGGUUGGUUUUACAGUGGUCUCGUUGUGUCUUAAAGAGUCCUUGGCUAUGCCGACUCGGGGACGCUUCGUAUGUCAUGUGCACUACCUUGUACAUGAUGGUGAUGUACGAUCGAGCCCGUGUAGGUCCCACCACGAAAACUUCGGACGAAAUCUCUAUCAUAUGUUUGUUUCGGCUUAUUCUGCAAGCCAAUCCUUUGUUUUUGUUUGGAGUUGUGGUAUUCGAGUUGCUUCGAAGUCAAAUGUUGAUUCCAUACCUUCCCCAAAUGGUGUUCUCAUGUUUCCAUGUGAAUACUAAUCCUUCUUGAUAAUCGAUAUUGUCAUGUCAAUCCUUUUCAACCGGUAUGCUUCUCUUCAAGCGGAUCCGUCCAUUUUCAACAUCCGCAAGAUCCAAUCUCAGCUUUCUCAACGGUGUCGUUUUCUUCCAUCCCAAGUUGCCUUUGUUUUCCCACCCACCCACCCUUUUUCUUCGAGGACUCGGAUUUCUUUAUCAAAUAUCCAUUUUAUUAUGGAAGUCUCUCCAUUCUUCUUCCUUCAUGUUCGUACCCGGUGAUGCUCAUGAAGAUUUUAAUGAAGUUUCUAGUUCACCAUUAUCCAUUCUUUUUCUUCUCCGGUGGAACCAAUUCAAGCUUUCGGUGUUGAUCAUAUUCUUUUCCGAAUUUCAAUGUUUUCUCAUGCCGGUGCAAUUCUUAAUCGUUCACCUCUCGCUAUUCUAUUGUUCCGGAGUGCUCAAGAUAUCUCGAAGAUUCGUGUUUUCCACUCUGCUUUCGUUCAAGCUCUUUCGAGGAUGUUAUCUCAUUCAAGCCAUUUAAUUCAACCGGUGCAUUCUCCUUUUUCAAGUAAUUGUUCAACGGUGUUUCUUUUGAGUGGGACCUAACCCACAGGUUUUUUCCCAGGAUCUUACCUGACUCUUCUUAUUUCCCGGAGAUAUCCUCAAAUUUCUCGUCAAAGUUUGACGUAAGAAUAAAUUAUCACCAGUCAAAUGUCCUUCUCCAAGAUCUUUCAAAUUCAUUUCAUCGUUGAUUCAACUUUUAUAUUCUUCUUUAUUCCGGUGCCUCAACAAUUCAUGCUGGUGUUUCUCGUCGUAAUUCUCAGAUUUUGGAGACCGAAGAAGAGUUUCUCUUUAAUCUUGCUCCAUUCUCUUCAAGAUUCGUGAUUCUAGCUUGUUGCCAUCCUCUCGUAAUUGUUUUGAUCGUGAGAAUUAUUUUCACCCAUCCGGAGCAUUUCAAGGGUAUUUUCAGUUCGAUUAUCCGGAGUCCAUCAUUUCAGAGGACUUGUUCAUUCUCAACUUUCAGCUCUCGUUCCCCAAAUCUCAUCGGUGCAUCAUUCGAUAUUCUCUAAUCAGCUCAUGAUCUUUUGUUCUCGUGGAUCUAAUUUCCAUCAAGUAUUUUAAUUCGUUCUCUAAUUCCUUUCCGGUGAUUCGUUAUCUUUUAUUCGUUCAUUUGCAAUUCCUAUGGUGGUUCGUUCAAGAUUCUUCUUCCUUCGUGUAUCAUAUCAAUUUAUUGGUUGUUUCAAUUCUACAAGUGGUUCGUUAAAGACCUUCCCAAGUUUGACGCUAUAUCUCUCUUAAUCUUUUUUUACGAGAAUAAGUAAUAUGUCGAAUCUGUUGAUUGUCAUCAAUUUAAUUGGUGAAGGAUAAGCAUAAUGUAAUUCUUAUUCUUAUUUCAUCGAGAGAAUUCAAUUCCUUAUUCCGGAGGUUCAUCAAAUUCGCGGUUUCACUUGAUUCAUCUUUCUUUUCCCGGAGUUCCAAGUUCUCUCAUUUAUUUCACCACGAAGAUCCUUCUAAAUCAUUACAAGGUUUCACCUUGUGUUUUCAACUUCUUUUGCAUUUAUCGUCAUUUUGUUUACCGGAGUUCCUCAUGGAUGUCCUACAUGAUGGUUCAUCGAGGUUUUAUUUCCUUCUCGAAGCGUUCAUCAACAUUCUUUUCAGUGGAGUUCAAGCAUUCUUCUUCUUGUAAUCCGGAGUGCAUUUCUUUCUACCGUAUCUUUGGAGGUGGUAUUAUGCCAUUCUUGAUAAUUUGAGUUCAUGUUUCAUAAUUCACAUGUUAUUAAGAAUGAGGUAUUUUAAAUGCAUCAAUCUCGUCAUUGGAGUUACCUUGGGUUAUAUUUCACCUAAAGCUCUUCCCUAAGGAUCGUGCUAUUUAGGGUGCUCAUAAAGGACCCAAGUUCUUCUUUAUCCUCCCGGUGAAAUACUUUCUUAUCUCCUUGUUCAUAUCAAUACAAUUCUUUCCCGUGAGUGGCAGGUUGUCACCUCAUAAUUUUGAGAUGUAUUUCAUAAGACCAUAUCAAGAUUAUUCUUUUUCGUUGUUGGUUUUCAUUUGCAGUCGGAGUGCUAUCCAAAUUAUAUCAUUCUUAAUCCUUUUCUAUCUUGUUUUAACCGGAGUGGUUUCAAUAUUUAUCUUGCCCUUCAACCUCAAGGUUUUUCGCAAUGUUCUUUGUUUCUCUUUUCUAAAGGAGUGUUUUCGACCUUAUUCACCUUCGUUGUGUUCUUUCUCGAAUUUUUUCAAUCUUGUAAGGUUCCUUGUUUUCACUCGUUUGUCAAAGAAGCAACUUAGUUUUACCUCUUCUCUUUCUCUUCCGUUUUUCCCUCCGGUGCCAUUCUAGAUCUCGGGACGAGAUCCUCUCGUAGUGGUGGAGUGUUGUGACGCCCCGAGACCGAUGUGCCAGGUGUCUUCCAGUUAUUCGCUGUCGUUGCCAUGUCAUUUGCUUGCGUAUUGCAUCUUAUCAUGUCAUCAUGUGCAUUGCACCAUCAUGUUUUCAAAACUUGCAUCCGUCCCGGCCUCCUCGUUCUCUCCGUUGUCCGUUCUGAGCCCAGACACACUUGCACGCGCCCGCAGCAUGUCCGAAAUAGCAUUUUAUAAGUGGCCGGAAAAAUGUUCUCGGAAUGGGUUGAAAGUUGGCGUGCGGUCUUAUUAUAGUGUAGAUAGACCGCCUGUCAAGUUUCAUCGCAUUCAGAGUUCGUUUGAUAGCCCAACCGUUAAACUAUAGCGACGAUAUAGUCGGUCUAACGUCGGACGUUUUCGGUCUCCGAAAACUGUUGCUGGGUUUUCCCUCUCUUUCCUCUCUAGCCCAUCUACACAGCCCACCUAGGCCCAGACUACUCCUCCUCGUUCCUGGAGCCGUCCGAUCGUGAUCCGAGGGUCCGAAAACGGAUGAAACCCCCUAACCCUGGCCAUCCCUGCCUAUAUAUGGACAACCCCCCUUCCAAAUUUGGGCAGCCUAGCCCUUCCCCUACCUCCCUGCCGCCUCCCUCCUCAAAUUCCGUGCCACCAGCCGCCUUUCCCCUCCAAAUCCGGCGCCAGCCACCUCACUAGCGCCACUUGGCGAGCCCCCAUUAGCCUGCGCCGCUGCAACCACCGCAUCUGGCCAUCCAGGGCAUGCCACGUGGCCCCCCUGCCCCGCUCCUAUCGCCCCGCGCCGCCAGGCCCGCUCCAGGCCCGCCCGGGCCCCAAUCUGGGCUCUGAGGCCCGCACCGCGCCGCCCCUGCUCCCCGAGCUCCAGAUCGGGAGAGGGAGAUCCCGAUCCGAGCUCCUCCGCCGCUCUGCCCCGUCACCCCGCGGACCUCGCCGGACUUGCUCCUGCCGACGAGUACUAGGCCGGACCCCGCCGCCCCGCUCUUACUUCCCUGUCUAUCUCCUUCUCCUCCCUCCUCCCACGUCUCCCUCUCUCCCGUUCUACAGGAGCCACCGCCGCCAUGGAUGAACGCGAGCCGAGCUCGCCGUCGCCGGAUCUUCACCACCGCGGCCGGAAACGGACGGAUCCCGUCCGGAUCCGCACCUCAGGGGCCUCCUCUGCUCCUCCCCGACGUCAAGCCUUGCGCCGCCUUGCCCAACGUCGCCGGUGGCCGGGUAUAGCUGUGCCUCGUCCCUAGCUUCGGGCUGGGAGGCGCUCGAUGGUGCCCGUUGACCCAGCCGGCCCACGUCCGUCCAGCGCCAAGGCCGGCCCAGCACCAAGAAGCCAAGGCCCGGUUCCCUAAAGCCCAACGUGAGGAAGCCCACCUCCUGUUUGCUCCUGUGCAGCCUAGUUCGGGCCAGAUUCGGCCCAGUUCCUGUUUUUUUUCAGAUCUGCGUUUUAGCCAUUUAUCCUGAGACUGUAGUUUUACAGAAAAGACCCUCAUGUUCAUGCAUAUAAUAACUCACAAUUCGUGCAUCGGAUUAAAAUGUUUUAUAUAUGAAACUUGCUCAGAAUUUUGUCUAGUUUAAUAAUAUGUCACUUUCAUCCAUGUUUAAAAUGUCUAAAUGAUGUUUGUUUAAAUUUGCUCCUAUGCCAUGCUAAAAUGGUUUAAUUCAUAACUAUAUAACCGUAGCUCCAUUUUUAACAAACUUUAUAUGUAAAUGGGGUAGAAUUUUGCCUAGUUUAACAUGGUGGCAUCAUCUUGCAUGUUUAAUAACUAUAAAAUAUGGUUUAGGGCAGAACAGGACCAAACCUAAUAUAUGCUCAUGAGGAGUUUCCGGAAAUGUUGUUCGUUGCUUCCGGCCUCUUUUAAACUUGCCUAGAUAGGUAGUUUUGUUGUGCUUCACCCCUUGCCAUGUUAAUCAACAUUUAAUAUUGUUGGGGUACAUAAACAAGAGAGAACUAAAUAAUUGAUGUGGUGUUCCGUCAAUAUGCAACCCGUUGCAUAUUGAGCUCCACUUAACUUGUAGUGUUGGUUGUUGCACUUUGCCAUGCCAUGCCCUCUUUAAACCGGACAUGCAUCAUACUUGUUUGCGCAUCAUGCCAUGUCUUUGUGUUGGUUGUUUACUAUGUUGUGUGCUUCUUUCCGGUGUUGCUUCUUCGGGUUGGUUCCGAUAACAUCGCGUUUGUGAGGAUCCGUUCGUCUACGUCCGUUUGUCUUCUUCAUGGACUCGUUCUUCUUCCUUGCGGGAUUUCAGGCAAGAUGACCAUACCCUCGAAAUCACUUCUAUCUUUGCUUGCCUAGUUGCUCGCUCUUUUGCUAUGCCUAUGCUGCGAUACCUACCACUUGCUUAUCAUGCCUCCUAUAUUGUUGAACCAAGCCUCUAACCCACCUUGUCCUAGCAAACCAUUGAUUGGCUAUGUUACCGCUUCGCUCAGCCCCUCUUAUAGCGUUGUUAGUUGCAGGUGAAGAUUGAAGUUUGUUCCUUGUUGGAACAUGGAGAUGUUGUUCCUUGUUGGAACAUGUUUACUUGUUUGGGAUAUCACAAUAUAUCUUAUUUAAUUGAUGCAUCUAUAUACUUGGUAAAGGGUGGAAGGCUCGGCCUUAUGCCUGGUGUUUUGUUCCACUCUUGCCGCCCUAGUUUCCGUCAUAUCGGUGUUAUGUUCCCGGAUUUUGCGUUCCUUACGCGGUUGGGUAAUAAUGGGAACCCCUUGACAGUUCGCCUUGAGUAAAACUCUUCCAGCAAUGCCCAACAUUGGUUUUACCAUUCGCCACCCAGCCUUUUUCUUUUCCCUUGGGGGUCGCGCGCCCAAGGGUCAUCAUUAUUUUAAACCCCCGGGCCAGUGCUCCUUUGAGUGUUGGUCCAACUUGUCAGCCGCCGGUGGCCACCAGGGGCAACUCUGGGCUGGCCUACCGGAAGUUUAGACAAUCCGGUGUGCCCUGAGAAAGAGAUAUGUGCAGCUCCUAUCAGGAUUUGUCGGCACAUUCGGGCGGUGUUGCUGAAUUUGUUUUAACUUGUCGAAGUGUCUUGAAGAACCGAGAUACCGAGUCUGAUCGGAAUGUCUCGGGAGGAGGUCUAUUCCUUCGUUGACCGUGAGAGCUUGUCAUGGGCUAAGUUGGGACACCCCUGCAGGGUUUUGAACUUUCGAAAGCCGUGCCCGCGGUUAUGGGCAGAUGGGAAUUUGUUAAUGUCCGGUUGUAGAAAACCUGAACUUGACCUUAAUUAAAAUGAAUCAACGGCGUGUGUUACCGUGAUGGUCUCUUUCCGGCGGAGUCCGGGAAGUGAACACGGUGUUGUAGUUAUGCUUGACGUAGGUUGUUUAGGAUCACUUCUUGAUCAUACUUUCUCGAACGUGCUUUGCCUUCUCUUCUCGCUCUCAUUUGCGUAUGCUAGCCACCAUAUACGCUAGUCGCUUGCUGCAGCUCCACCUCAUACCUUUACCUUACCCAUAAGCUUAAAUAGUCUUGAUCGCGAGGGUGUGAGAUUGCUGAGUCCCCGUGGCUCAUAGAUACUUCCAAAACCAGCUUGCAGGUGCCGAUGAGACCGUGCAGAUGACGCAACCAAGCUCAGGAGGAGCUCGAUGAAGAUCUUGUCCUUUGUGUUGCUUCGUUCUAGUUGAUCAGUAGUGGAGGCCAGUUGGGGUCGAUCGGGGACCGUGUCGCAUCUGGGGUUCUUCUUUUAUUUUGGUUCCGUAGACAGCCCUUGAUUGUAUUUCGAUGUUGUAAUGAUUUAUUCAUUUAAUUGUGUGAAGUGGCGAUUGUAAGCCAACUAUGUAUCUCUGCCCCUUAUGUAUUACAUGGGUUGUGUGAAGAUUACCUCACUUGCGACAUUGCUUUCAAUGCGGUUAUGCCUCUAAGUCGUGCUUCGACACGUGGGAGAUAUAGCCGCAUCCAGGGCGUUACAAUAAUAAAGCCCAAUAAUGUCCAAAACAUAAUAUAAUAUAGCAUGGAACAAUCAAAAAUUAUAGAUACGUUGGAGACGUAUCAAGCAUCCCCAAGCUUAAUUUCUACUCGUCCUUGAGUAGGUAAAUGAUAAAAACAGAAUUUUUGAUGUGGAAUGCUACUUGGCAUAAUUUCAAUGUAAUUCUUAUUAAUUGUGGUAUGAAUAUUCAGAUCCGAAAGAUUCAAGAUAAAAGUUCAAUAUUGACAUAAAAAUAAUAAUACUUCAAGCAUACUAACUAAGCAAUUAUGUCCUCUCAAAAUAACAUGGCCAAAGAAAGUUCAUCCCUACAAAAUCAUAUAGUUUAGUCAUGCUCCAUUUUCGUCACACAAGAAUGCUCUCAUCAUGCACAACCCCGAUGACAAGCCAAGCAAUUGUUUCAUACUUUAGUAAUCUCAAACUUUUUCAACCUUCACGCAAUACAUGAGCGUGAGCCAUGGAUAUAGCACUAUGGGUGGAAUAGAAUAUAAUGAUGGGGGUUAUGUGGAGAAGACAAAAAAGGGAGAAAGUCUCACAUCAACGAGGCUAAUCAAUGAGCUAUGGAGAUGCCCAUCAAUUGAUGGUAAUGCAAGGAGUAGGGAUUGCCAUGCAACGGAUGCACUAGAGCUAUAAUUAUAUGAAAGCUCAAUAAAAGAAACUAAGUGGGUGUGCAUCCAACUUGCUUGCUCACGAAGACCUAGGGCAUUUGAGGAAGCCCAUUGUUGGAAUAUACAAGGCAAGUUCUAUAAUGAAACGUUCCUAGUAGUAUAUGAAAGUGACAAAACAAAAGACUCUCUAUCAUGAAGAUUAUGGUGCUACUUUGAAGCACAAGUAUGGUAAAAAGGAUAGUAACAUUGUCCCUUCUCUCUUUUUCUCUCAUUUUUGGGGCCUUCUCUUUUUUUAUGGCCUUUCUGCUCUUUUUUUCCUCACUUGGGACAAUGCUCUAGAAAAUGAUGAUCAUCACACUUCUAUUUAUUUACAACUCAGUGAUUACAACUCGAUACUAGAACAAAGUAUGACUAUAUAUGAAUGCCUCCAGCGGUGUACCGGGAUAUGCAAUGAACCGAGAGUGACAUGUAUGAAAGGAUUAUGAAUGGUGGCUUUUCCACAAAUACUAUGUCAACUACAUGAUCAUGAAAAGCAAUAUGACAAUGAUGAACGUGUCAUGAUAAACGGAACGGUGGAAAGUUGCAUGGCAAUAUAUCUCGGAAUGGCUACGGGAAUGCCAUAAUAGGUAGGUAUGGUGGCUGUUUUGAGGAAGAUAUAAGGAGGUUUAUGUGUGAAAGAGUGUAUCAUAUCACAGGGUUUGGAUGCACCGGCGAAGUUUGCGCCAACUCUCAAUGUGAGAAAGGGCAAUGCACGGUACCGAAGAGGCUAGCAAUGAUGGAAAGGUGAGAGUGCGUAUAAUCCAUGGACUCAACAUUAGUCAUAAAGAACUCACAUACUUAUUGCAUAAAUCUACAAGUCAUCAAAAACCAAGCACUACGCGCAUGCUCCUAGGGGGGUAGAUUGGUAGGAAAAGACCAUCGCUCGUCCUCGACCGCCACUCAUAAGGAGGACAAUCAAAGAACACCUCAUGUUUCAAAUUUGUUACAUAACGUUUACCAUACAUGCAUGCUACGGGACUUGCAAACUUCAACACAAGUAUUUUUAAAAUUCACAACUACUCAACUAGUACAACUUUGAUAUCACUACCUCCAUGUCUCAAAACAAUCAUCAAGCAUCAAACUUCUCUUAGUAUUCAACACACUCAUAAGAAAGUUUUUACUAGUCUUGAAUACCUAGCAUAUUAGGAUUAUUUAAGUAAAUUACCAUGCUAUUUAAGACUCUCAAAAUAAUCUAAGUGAAGCAUGAGAGAAUAAUAGCUUCUAUAAAACAAAACCACCACCGUGCUCUAAAAUAUAUAAGUGAAGUACUAAAGCAAAAACUAUAUAUCUCAAAAGAUAUAAGUGAAGCACAUAGAGUAUUCUAAUAAUUUCGAAUCAUGUGUGUCUCUCUCAAAAGGUAUGUAAAGCAAGGAUGAUUGUGGUAAACUAAAAAGCAAAGAAUAAAAUCAUACAAGAUGCUCCAAGCAAAACACAGAUCAUGUGGUGAAUAAAAAUAUAGCUCCAAGUAAAGUUACCGAUGGAAGUAGGCGAAAGAGGGGAUGCCUUCCGGGGCAUACCCAAGCUUUGGAUUUUAGGUGUCCUUAGAUUAUCUUGGUGUGACAUGGGCAUCCCCAAGCUUAGGCUCUUGCCACUCCUUGUUCCAUAAUCCAUCAAAUCUUUCACCCAAAACUUGAAAACUUCACAACACAAAACUUAAAGUAGAAAAUCUCGUGAGCUCCAUUAGCGAAAGAAAAGAAAACACCACUUCAAGGUACUGUAAUUAACUCAUUAUUUAUUUAUAUUGGUGUUAAACCUACUUUAUUCCAACUUAUCUAUGGUUUAUAAACUAUUUACUAGCCAUAGAUUCAUUAAAAUAAGCAAACAACACACGAAAAACAGAAUCUGUCAAAAACAGAAUAGUCUGUAGUAAUAUGUAGCUAACACAAUAUCUGGAACCCCAAAAAUUCUAAAAUAAAUUGCUGGAAGUGAGGAAUUUAUCUAUUAAUCAUCUUCAAAAAGAAUUAACUAAAUAGCACUUUCCAAAUAAAAAUGGCAGCAAUUCUCGUGAGCGCUAAAGUUUCUGUUUUUACAGCAAGAUUAAAAAGACUUUCCCCAAGUCUUCCCAAUGGUUUUACUUGGCACAAACACUAAUUAAACACAAAAAACACAACCAAAACAGAGGCUAGAUAAAUUAUUUAUUACUAAACAGGAGCAAAAAGCAAGGAAUAAAAAUAAAAUUGGGUUGCCUCCCAACAAGCGCUAUCGUUUAACGCCCCUAGCUAGGCAUAAAAAGCAAGGAUAGAUCAUUAAAACUCAUUUCGUAUUCUCUACGCUCAGCAGCAAGUUUUCUUUGAGGCAAGCACAGGUAAUCAAAAGUGCUAAAUUUAAUGGGACAAAAGUCCCCAAGAUCAACUUUAAGAGGUAUAGGUUCCUCCUUCGGCCCUUCGUAUUGCACAACCAAUUCAUCAUUAUAAGCAUUCUUUUGACAGAACUUUGUGAGCCUAUACUCAAGAGAAUAUCCUAGCUCAUUAUUUCGAAUAGAAAAAUCAUUAUUAAGUUCAGAAAGUCUAUCAACUAGAACAUUGGUGGGAACCUUUUUUUCUAAGGUUUUCAUUAAAAGCAACAUAAUCUAGAGAUUGAAAACACAUUAUUUCCUCUUGAUCAAAUAGGAUAGUUUCUAUGGGAGGACGACCAGUGUCCACCCUAUAAUGCGCAAAGAUUUCUUUGGCCUCUUUUAUUAUAAAUCUGAAUUCAUGAGCCAAAAAGAUAGUAGCGGCACGUUUAAUAGAAGAAUGCUCAAUAUUAGAAAAUUCUAGGAAAAUCCUUUGUAUGCAAGGGUGCAUGUGCAUAAAUUGCCUUUCAAGUUCAACUACAAGCAUGGCAAUAGCGUCCGCAAGAUUACUAGUUUUAUGAAGAAUAGAACUACCCAUAGAAGGCAAAGCACCGACACAAGUAAAGAAAUCUUGAAUAACCCCUUUUCCAAUAAUAUUAUCACUACCAAUUCAGAAUUUUUUUUGUAUGUAAGGUAGGGGGUUCUUCAGCAGGAGCAUCAGAAUUUUCCAUGUUAUUACUAUUGUCCAUAUCGACAAUAGUUUCCCCAAUUUCAGACAUAACGGCAGAAAGUGCGAGGAGUAAGAAGAAAGAGGGAGACGAAUAAAAGGGCAAGGGUGAAGUGGGGGAGAGGAAAAUGAGAGGCAAAUGGCAAAUAAUGUAAUGCGGAAGAUAAGGGUUUGUGAUGGGUACUUGGUGUGUUGACUUUUGCGUAACCUCCCCGGCAACGGCGCCAGAAAUCCUUCUUGCUACCUCUUGAGCAUUGCGUUGGUCUUCCCUUGAAGAGGAAAGGGUGAUGCAGCAAAGUAGAGUAAGUAUUUCCCUCGGUUUUUGAGAACCAAGGUAUCAAUCCAGUAGGAGGCCACGCACGAGUCCCUCGCACAUACACAAACAAAUAAAUCCUCGCAACCAACGCGAUAAGGGGUUGUCAAUCCCUACACGGUCACUUACGAGAGUGAGAUCUGAUAGAUAUGAUAAGAUAAUAGUUUUGGUAUUUUUUAUGAUAAAUAUGCAAAGUAAAAUAAAAGGCAAUAAAAAUAACUAAGUGUUGGAAGAUUAAUAUGAUGGAAAAUAGACCCGGGGGCCAUAGGUUUCACUAGUGGCUUCUCUCAAGAGCAUAAGUAUUCACCGUGGGUAAACAAAUUACUGUUGAGCAAUUGACAGAAUUGAGCAUAGUUAUGAGAAUAUCUAGGUAUGAUCAUGUAUAUAGGCAUCACGUCUGAGACAAGUAGACCGACUCCUGCCUGCAUCUACUACUAUUACUCCACACAUCGACUGCUAUCCAGCAUGCAUCUAGAGUAUUAAGUUCAUAAGAACAGAGUAAUGCUUUAAGCAAGAUGACAUGAUGUAGAGGGAUAAACUCAUGCAAUAUGAUAUAAACCCCAUCUUGUUAUCCUCGAUGGCAACAAUACAAUGCGUGCCUUGCUGCUCCUACUGUCACUGGGAAAGGACACCGCAAGAUUGAACCCAAAGCUAAGCACUUCUCCCAUUGCAAGAAAGAUCAAUCUAGUAGGCCAGACCAAACUGAUAAUUCGAAGAGACUUGCAAAGAUAACCAAUCAUACAUAAAAGAAUUCAAAGAAGAUUCAAAUAUUGUUCAUAGAUAAACUUGAUCAUAAACCCACAAUUCAUCGGUCUCAACAAACACACCACAAAAGAAGAUUACAUCGAAUAGAUCUCCACAAGAGAGGGGAGAACUUUGUAUUGAGAUCCAAAAAGAGAGAAGAAGCCAUCUAGCUAGUAAAUAUGGACCCGAAGGUCUGAGGUAAACUACUCACACUUCAUCGGAGGGGCUAUGGUGUUGACGUAGAAGCCCUCCGCACUCGAUGCCCCCCUCCGGUGGAGCUCCAAAAAAGGCCCCAAGAUGGGAUCUCAUGGAUACAGAAAGUUACGGCGGUGGAAUUAGGGUUUUGGCUCCGUAUCUGGUAGUUUGGGGGUACGUAGGUAUAUAUAGGAGGAAGGAGUACGUCGGUGGAGCAACAUGGGCCCCACGAGGGUGGAGGGCGCGCCCAGGGGGGUAGGCGCGCCCCCCUACCUCGUGGCCUCCUGGUUGAUGUCUUGACGUAGGGUCCAAGUCCUCUGAAUCACGUUCGUUCCAAAAAUCACGUUCCCGAAGGUUUCAUUCCGUUUGGACUCCGUUUGAUAUUCUUUUUCUACGAAACUCUGAAAUAGGCAAAAAAACAGCAAUUCUGGGUUGGGCCUCCAGUUAAUAUGUUAGUCCCAAAAAUAAUAUAAAAGUGUAUAAUAAAGCCCAAUAAUGUCCAAAACAGAAUAUAAUAUAGCAUGGAACAAUAAAAAAUUAUAGACACGUUGGAGACGUAUCACUGCACCUGCUCCCGCACCGGCUUCCGCACCUGCUCCGGCACUGGCCCCGGCACCGGACGUGCUCGGCGGUGCCUCAUCUUUGGCUGAGCUCGAUGCCCUCACGGUAUCUGUCACACCAGCCCCCUUCAAUAAAUGUAUAAUCUCCCGUUUUCGUUGCCUUUCGGAUGUCUCAUGUUGCAGACUUUUCUUUGCAGGCCGAUGAAACCCCGUGCACCAUAUUGUACACCAUCGGCGACCAGAAGGUGUACGUGGGGAAGGCGACGGUAAUGGAGCCGAAGGAACCAUUGUUCCACAACCGGCCGAUCCCCUCGGAAGUCUUCAAGGUUUCCGUGGCCAGUGUCAAACCGGGCCACGAGAACUUUGCUCCUCCGGUACUAGUGGGGGAUGACGUUGAGACCCCACGGCGGCUUGGUGAUUGUUGCAAUGGGUGGGUCCUGUUGUGGCCAUCUGGACGCGGCCGAGAGCACACCCACGAGCACGCAGUUAGGUAUGAACAUCAACACCUUGCCUACUCCAUUAGCCGCUAGUGACGUCGCCAUAGAUGAGGAUGAGGAUGAGGAUGACACUCAAUAGUAUGUCAAUACUGGCGCCUACUUAGGGUUUGAGCGUCAUGAGUCGGUGCCUGAAUUGCCGCCUCCAGAGUCUGAACGUAUUAUGGACAACCUUCCAGUAGUAAAGAAGUCUAGGAAGAGACCGAGGAAAGGCAAAAAAGCUGCUUCUGUGAUCCAGCCACCUCAGCAGCCUCGGGUUCAAGACCGUAUAGAUAUCCCCGGUGCGGCAAAAUGGCAUAUCCCCGGUCAACCAAUCCUACUUGAAGCAGCGCUGCGGGCCAGAUUCAGCGAUUUAAGGAGACUUCAUGACGAUGUGCUGCGGAUAGAGAAAGGCCUCAUCGCCUCAAAAAAUCUAGGAUACCCACUCUACGUGGUUAACAUGCCGCGGGGAUUGUCGUACGUCAACACAUUCCCCGCAGAGAAGUUCUUCCUUUGAUUCGAUUACAUCUUCGACAUGUUUCACUUGAAGAAGCUGGAUUUUGCGUUUGUCCACCUUUAUGCUUUGCACAUGAACUACCUCAUCAGGGUUGAGCAGAUACCUUAUAUCUGUGUCGCUGACCUGUACUUCAUGCACGAGGCCUUCUUGAGAGUCUGUGCAAAGCACUGUGAAUACGCGAGGAAAUACAUCGUCAAUUUCAUGCUCGCCAAUAAGGACAAGGAGGCGAUUCGCGUGCCUUAUCAUCCCAUGUAAGUCAUCUGCGCGGAUAUCCUUCCUUUGAUUUCAAUCAUUCAUUUGCACGGUGGAGGCUAAUUAAUUUGAGGUGUACUUAUUUUGCGCAGCGGCGGGCGCACCGUCCUCAUCAUCCUCUCCCCCCGAUACUCCCACGCUCUUUACUUGGACUCGUCGAAGAACAUUAACAAAAAGGAUUACACCCACAUCAAGUCUGUUCUCAACAGUGCUAUGUUUUACUACGGCGCACGGGGUGGAGAGGUCAAGGACAAGAAGAAAAAGGACGGUAGGCCCGCCUUCAGCCAUAAGACCGACUUCUGCUGCAUCCAGCAACCGAGUAAUUCUCUUAAUGAUGGAUUCUAUGUCUGAUGUCUACUACACAACCUUCUUCUUGUAGAUGUUGGUGGGCCUCCAAGUGCAGAGGUUUGUAGGACAGUAGCAAAUUUCCCUCAAGUGGAUGACCUAAGGUUUAUCAAUCCGUAGGAUGCGUAGGAUGAAGAUGGUCUCUCUCAAGCAACCCUGCAACCAAAUAACAAAGAGUCUCUUGUGUCCCCAACACACCCAAUACAAUGGUAAAUUGUAUAGGUGCACUAGUUCGGCGAAGAGAUGGUGAUACAAGUGGUAUAUGGAUGGUAGAUAAAGGUUUUUGUAAUCUGAAAUUAUAAAAACAGCAUGGUAACUAAUGAUAAAAGUGAGCAUAAACAGUAUUGCAAUGCGUUGAAACAAGACCUAGGGUUCAUACUUUUGCUAGUGCAAGUUCCCUCAACAAUAAUAACAUAAUUGGAUCAUAUAAUUAUCCCUCAACAUGCAACAAAGGGUCACUCCAAAGUCACUAAUAGCGGAGAAUGAACGAAGAGAUUAUGGUAGGGUACGAAACCACCUCAAAGUUAUUCUUUCCAAUCAAUCCGUUGGGCUAUUCCUAUAAGUGUCACAAACAGCCCUAGAGUUCAUACUAGAAUAACACCUUAAGACACAAAUCAACCAAAGCCCUAAUGUCACCUAGAUACUCCAAUGUCACCUCAAGUAUCCGUGGGUAUGAUUACACGAUAUGCAUCACACCUCAAAGAGUGCCCCAAAGUUUCUACUGGAGAAUCAUGACGAAAACGUGUGCCAACCCCUAUGCAUAGGUUCAUGGGAGGAACCCGCAAGUUGAUCACCAAAACAUACAUCAAGUGAAUCACGUGGUAUCCAUUGUCACCACAGAUACGCACGGCAAGACAUACAUCAAGUGUUCUCAAAUAUUUAAAGACUCAAUCCCAUAAGAUAACUUCAAAGGGGAAACUCAAUCCAUUACAAGAGAGUAGAGGGGGAGGAGAAACAUAAGAUCCAACUAUAAUAGCAAAGCUCGCGAUACAUCAAGAUCGUAUCACCUCAAGAACACGAGAGAGAGAGAGAGAGAGAUCAAACACAUAGCUACUGGUACAUACCCUCAGCCCCGAGGGAGAACUACUCCCUCCUCAUCAUGGAGAGCACCGGGAUGAUGAAGAUGGCCACCGGACAGGGAUUGCCCCCUCCGGUAGGGUGCCGGAACGGGUCUAGAUUGGUUUUCGGUGGCUACGGAGGCUUCUGGCGGCGGAACUCCCGAUCUAUUGUGCUACCCGAUCGUUUUAGGGUAUAUGGAGAUAUAUAGGAGGAAGAAGUGCGUUAGGGGGGCCACGAGGGGCCCACGAGGCUGGAGGGCGCGCCCAGGGGGUGGGCGCGCCCCCCUGCCUUGUGGCUUCCUCGUUGAUCCCCUGACGUGCACUCCAAGUUUUCCGGGCUUCUUCUGAUCCAAAAAUAAGUUCCGUGAAGUUUCAGGUCAAUUGGACUCCGUUUGAUUUUCCUUUUUUGCGAUAUUCUAAAACAAGGAAAAAACAGAAACUGGCACUUGGCUCUGGGUUAAUAGGUUAGUCCCAAAAAUAAUAUAAAAGUGCAUAAUAAAUGUAUAUAAAACGUCCAAGGUUGAUAAUAUAAUAGCAUGGAACAACCAAAAAUUAUAGAUACGUUGGAGACGUAUCAGCAUCCCCAAGCUUAAUUCCUGCUCGUCCUCGAGUAGGUAAAUGAUAAAAACAGAAUUUUUGAUGUGGAAUGCUACCUAACAUAUUUAUCCAUGUAGUUCUCUUUAUUGUAGCAAGAAUAUUCAGAUCCAUAAGAUUCAAGACAAAAGUUUAAUAUUAACAUAAAAAUAAUAAUACUUCAAGCAUACUAACUAAGCAAUUAUGUCUCUUCAAAAUAACAUGGCCAAAGAAAGUUAUCCCUACAAAAUCAUAUAGUUUGGCUAUGCUCCAUCUUCACCACACAAAAUAUUUAAAUCAUGCACAACCCCGAUGACAAGCCAAGCAAUUGUUUCAUACUUUUGAUGUUCUCAAACUUUUUCAAUCUUCACGCAAUACAUGAGCGUGAGCCAUAGACAUAGCACUUUAGGUGGAAUAGAAUGGUGGUUGUGGAGAAGACAAAAAGGAGAAGAUAGUCUCACAUCAACUAGGUGUAUCAACAGGCUAUGGAGAUGCCCAUCAAUAGAUAUCAAUGUGAGUGAGUAGGGAUUGCCAUGCAAUGGAUGCACUAGAGCAAUAAAUGUAUGAAAGCUCAACAAAAGAAACUAGUGGGUGCGCAUCCAACUCGCUUGCUCACGAAGACCUAGGGCAUUUUGAGGAAUCCCAUCACUGGAAUAUACAAGCCAAGUUCUAUAAUGAAAUAUUCCCACUAGUAUAUGAAAGUGACAACAUAGGAGACUCUCCAUCAUGAAGAUCAUGGUGCUACUUUGAAGCACAAGUGUGGUAAAAGGAUAGUAGCAUUGCCCCUUCUCUCCUUUUCUCUCAUUUAUUUUUUAUUUUAUUUUUGUUUGGGCCUUCUCUUUUUUAUGGCCUCUUUUCUCUUUCCCUUUUUUUAUUUGGGAUUCUUUGGCCUCUUUUAUUUAUUUAUUUUCGUCCGGAGUCUCAUCCCGACUUGUGGGGGAAUCAUAGUCUCCAUCAUCCUUUCCUCACUGGGACAAUGCUCUAAUAAUGAUCAUCACACUUUUAUUUACUUACAACUCAACAAUUACAAAUCGAUACUUAGAACAAAAUAUGACUCUAUAUGAAUGCCUCCGGCGGUGUACCGGGAUGUGCAAUGACUCAUGAGUGACAUGUAUGAAAGAAUUAUGAACGGUGGCUUUGCCACAAAUACGAUGUCAACUACAUGAUCAUGCAAAGCAAUAUGGCAAUGAUGAAGCGUGUCAUAAUAACAGAACGAUGGAAAGUUGCAUGGCAAUAUAUCUCAGAAUGGAUAUGGAAAUGCCAUAAUAGGUAGGUAUGGUGGCUGUUUUGAGGAAGGUAUAUGGUGGGUUUAUGGUACCGGCGAAAGUUGCACGGUACUAGAGAGGCUAGCAAUGGUGGAAGGGUGAGAGUGCGUAUAAUCCAUGGACACAACAUUAGUCAUAAAGAACUCACAUACUUAUUGCAAAAAUCUAUUAGUUAUCGAAACAAAGUACUACGUGCAUGCUCCUAGGGGGAUAGAUUGGUAGGAAAAGACCAUCGCUCGUCCCCGACCGCCACUCAUAAGGAAGACAAUCAAUAAAUAAAUCAUGCUCCGACUUCAUCACAUAACGGUUCACCAUACGUGCAUGCUACGGGAAUCACAAACUUUAACACAAGUAUUUCUCAAAUUCACAACUAAUCAACUAGCAUGACUCUAAUAUUACCAUCUCCAUAUCUCAAAACAAUCAUCAAGUAUCAAACUUCUCUUAGUAUUCAAUGCACUUUAUAUGAAAGUUUUUAUUAUAUCCCUCUUGGAUGCCCAUCAUAUUAGGACUAGUUUCAUAACCAAAGCAAACUACCAUGCUGUUCUAAAGACUCUCAAAAUGAUAUAAGUGAAGCAUGAGAGUUCAUCUAUUUCUACAAAAUAAAUCCACCACCGUGCUCUAAAAAGAUAUAAGUGAAGCACUAGAGCAAAUGACAAACUACUCCAAAAGAUAUAAGUGAAGAUCAAUGAGUAGUUGAAUAAUUAUGCAACUAUGUGAAGACUCUCUAACAUUUAAGAAUUUAAGAUCUUGGUACUUUAUUCAAACAGCAAGCAAAACAAAAUAAAAUAAAUUGACGCUCCAAGCAAAACACAUAUCACGUGGCGAAUAAAAAUAUAGCUCCAAGUAAAGUUACCGAUGAACGAAGACGAAAGAGGGGAUGCCUUCCGGGGCAUCCCCAAGCUUAGGCUCUUUCCACUUCUUAUUCCAUAGUCCAUCGAAUCCUUACCCAAAACUUGAAAACUUCACAACACAAAACUUAGCAGAAAACUCGUAAGCUCCGUUAACGAAAGAAAACAAAACACCACUUCAAGGUACUGUAAUGAAGUCAUUCUUUAUAUAUAUUGGUGUUACACCUACUGUAUUCCAACUUCUCUAUGGUUUAUAAACUAUUUUACUAGCCAUAGAUUCAUCAAAAUAAGCAAACAACACACGAAAAACAGAAUCUGUCAAAAACAGAACAGUCUGUAGUAAUCUGGAUCAAAUGUAUACUUCUGGAACCCCAAAAUUCUAAAAUAAAUUGCUGGACCUGAGGAAUUUAUCUAUUAAUCAUCUGCAAAAAUAAUUAACUAAAUAGCACUCUCCAAAUAAAAAUGGCAACAAUUCUUGUGAGCGCUAAAGUUUCUAUUUUUUACAGCAUGAUCAUAAAGACUUCACCCAAGUCUUCCCAAAGGUUCUGCUUGGCACAAACACUAACUAAAACACAAACAACUCAAUCGUAACAGAGGCUAGAUAAAUUAUUUAUUGCUAAACAGGAACAAAAAGCAAGGAACAAAAAUAAAAUUGGGUUGCCUCCCAACAAGCGCUAUCGUUUAACGCCCCUAGCUAGGCAUGAUGAUUUCAAUGAUGCUCACAUAAAAGAUAAGAAUUGAAACAUAAAGAGAGCAUCAUAAAGAAUAUGACUAGCAAAUUUAAGUCUAACAUACUUCCUAUGCAUAGGGAUUUUGUGAGCAAACAACUUAUGGAAACAAUAAUCAACUAGCAUAGGAAGGUAAAACAAGCAUAACUUCAAAACUUUAAGCACAUAGAGAGGAAACUUGAUAUUAUUGCAAUUCCUACAAGCAUAUGUUCCUUCAUCAUAAUAAUUUUCAGUAGCAUCAUGAGUGAAUUCAACAAUAUAACCAGCACCUAAAGCAUUCUUUUCAUGAUCUACAAGCAUAGAAAUUUUAUUACUCUCUACAUAAGCAAAUUUCUUCUCAUGAAUAGUAGUGGGAGCAAACUCAACAAAAUAAUUAUCAUGUGAGGCAUAAUCCAAUUGAAAACUAAAUCAUGAUGACAAGUUUCAUGGAUAUCAUUAUUCUUUAUAGCAUACAAGUCAUCACAAUAAUCAUCAUAGAUAGCAACUUUGUUCUCAUAAUCAAUUGGAACCUCUUCCGGAAUAGUGGAUUCAUCACAAAAUAAAGUCAUGACCUCUCCAAAUCCACUUUCAUCAAUAUAAUCAUCAUAAAUAGGAGGCAUGCUUUCAUCAUAAUAAAUUUUCUCAUCAAAACUUGGGGGACAAAAAAUAUCAUCUUCAUCAAACAUAGCUUCCCCAAGCUUGUGGCUUUGCAUAUCAUUAGCAUCAUGGAUAUUCAAGGAAUUCAUACUAACAACAUUGCAAUCAUGCUCAUCAUUCAAAUAUUUAGUGCCAAACAUUUUAAUGCAUUCUUCUUCUAACACUUCGGCACAAUUUUCCUUUCCAUCAUACUCAUGAAAGAUAUUAAAAAGAUGAAGCGUAUGAGGCAAACUUAAUUACAUUUUUUUGUAAUUUUCUUUUAUAAACUAAACUAGUGAUAAAACAAGAAACUAAAAGACACGAUUGCAAGAUCUAAAGAUAUACCUUCAAACACUAACCUCCCCGGUAACGGCGCCAGAAAAGAGCUUGAUGUCUACUACACAAACUUCUUCUUGUAGACGUUGUUGGGCCUCCAAGUGCAGAGGUUUGUAGGACAGUAGCAAAUUUCCCUCAAGUGGAUGACCUAAGGUUUAUCAAUCCGUGGGAGGCAUAGGAUGAAGAUGGUCUCUCUCAAGCAACCCUGCAACCAAAUAACAAAGACUCUCUUGUGUCCCCAACACACCCAAUACAAUGUUAAAUUGUAUAGGUGCACUAGUUCGGCGAAGAGAUGGUGAUACAAGUGGUAUAUGGAUGGUAGAUAAAGGUUUUUGUAAUCUGAAAUUAUAAAAACAGCAAGGUAACUAAUGAUAAAAGUGAGCGUAGACGGUAUUGCAAUGCGUUGAAACAAGGCCUAGGGUUCAUACUUUCGCUAGUGCAAGUUCCCUUAACAAUAAUAACAUAAUUGGAUCAUAUAAUUAUCCCUCAACAUGCAACAAAGAGUCACUCCAAAGUCACUAAUAGCGGAGAACGAACGAAGAGAUUAUGGUAGGGUACGAAACAACCUCAAAGUUAUUCUUUUCAAUCAAUCCGUUGGGCUAUUCAUGUAAGUGUCACAAACAACCCUAGAGUUCGUACUAGAAUAACACCUUAAGACAAAUCAACCAAAACCCUAAUGUCACCUAGAUACUCCAAUGUCACCUCAAGUAUCCGUGGGUAUGAUUAUACGAUAUGCAUCACACAAUCUCAGAUUCAUCUAUUCAACCAACACAUAGAACCUCAAAGAGUGCCCCAAGUUUCUACUGGAGAAUCACGACGAAAACGUGUGCCAACCCCUAUGCAUAGGUUCAUAGGCGGAACCCGCAAGUUGAUCACCAAAACAUACAUCAAGUGAAUCACGUGGUAUCCCAUUGUCACCACAGAUACACACGGCAAGACAUACAUCAAGUGUUCUCAAAUCUUUAAAGACUCAAUCCGAUAAGAUAACUUCAAAGGGGAAACUCAAUCCAUUACAAGAGAGUAGAGGGGGAGGAGAAACAUAAGAUCCAACUAUAAUAGCAAAGCUCGCGAUAUAUCAAGAUCGUAUCACCUCAAGAACACGAGAAAGAGAAAGAGAGAGAGAGAGAGAGAGCGAGCGAGAGAGAGAGAGAUCAAACACAUAGCUACUGGUACAUACCCUCAGCCCCGAGGGAGAACUACUCCCUCCUCGUCAUGGAGAGCACCGGGAUGAUGAAGAUGGCCACCGGAGAGGGAUUGCCCCCUCCGACAAGGUGCCGGAACGGGUCUAGAUUGGUUUUCGGUGGCUACGAAGGCUUCUGGCGGCGAAAUUCCCGAUCUAUUGUGCUCCCGAUCGUUUUAGGGUAUAUGGAGAUAUAUAGGAGGAAGAAGUGCGUCAGGAGGCCCACGAGGGUGAAGGGCGCGCCCCCCUGCCUCGUGGUUUCCUCGUUGAUCCCCUGACGUGCACUCCUAGUCUUUUGGGCUUCUUCUAAUCCAAAAGUAAGUUCCGUGAAGUUUCAGGUCAAUUGGACUCCGUUUGAAUUUUCUUUUCUGCGAUAUUCUAAAACAAGGAAAAAAAGAAACUGGCACUGGGCUCUAGGUUAAUAGGUUAGUCCCAAAAAUGAUAUAAAAGUGCAUAAUAAAUGCAUAUAAAACAUCCAAGGUUGAUAAUAUAAUAGCAUGGAACAAUCAAAAAUUAUAGAUACGUUGGAGACGUAUCAAUGUCCUACACCAGAUGCUGGAGUACAGACGGGAUCACCAGAACCUUCGCAUGUCACCUACAUCUGGCGAUGCCCAUAUUCUGCGAUGGGCAAAGAACUUAGGAAAUAUCGAGGAUCAUUGACUUCAAGCUGAGUUCUAUCACAUCCAGCGCGAACUUGCCCAAAUCAUCAUGAAGGAGGUCGUCGAAAAAACAGGGAUGUUCUACGAAGAAGGACAAAUGUCGCGGGAAGACGUCCGAACACGCGUAGCCGCUCAAUGUCUCGACCUGAAGCCUUUCACUAAGCUAGGGGACUAUCUCCCUGGCUUGGAUGGAUGGCACGACAUGGAGUGAUUGUCGAUAUAUGACAAUGUGUCCGUUUAGUACAUACUAUCAGUAUGACGAAACUUUGAAUUAUGCACGACGAAACUUUAUUUGUGAUGUAGUUAAACCGUCCUCCUCGACUAGCGAAGAUCACUCUAGUUAGGGCAUUUUGGGUACGAUGAACUUUAAUUUGUUAUUUAUGCUUAUGAUAUGUUGCUUCUAUUUUUUGCCAAGUCUGUCUCUUUCUGUUGCUCAACUAUAUAUGUUGCAUAUUAUCGACUCAUGUGACGAUGCAGGUGUAUAGAUUAUCGAUGGCGAAGAAGUGCUACGCCAGGAGUAUACGACGAGUGGCCAGAAUGUCAGGCCCAGGUGUACCGGUUUCCGGUUUUCGAGCGACAGCCAGUAGUUAGUUUAGGUUCACGCAAAGUGAUAGCUUUUCUCGCGUAUAUCAUUGUUUAGAUGGAUGAUGAUGUAGUUGCAAGUAAUCGAGAUUUGUAUCGCUAUUUUCGAGAUGAUGACAAGAGACCGCUUUGUGUUGGAUGAUGAUUAUGAUGAUGACAUGAUUUGAUGAGACUAUUUGUAUGUAUAUGCUAUGAUUACAUUUCUAUGUGUAUCGUAUGCUAAAGAUUAUUGUAUAAAGCCUAUUCAAAUACAAAACAAAUAUGCAGAAAAAACUACUAAAAUUAGCAGUAGCGAGUGGAGAAAAGUUAGCAGAAGCGUCACAGUAGCAGUAGCGCGUCCAGGCAAAGCGCGCUAGAGCUAUUAGCAGUAGUGAGCUUCCACGAAGCGCGCUGCUGCUACACUUGUAUAGCAGUAGCGCGGGUGUGCACGUGCUAUUGCUAUGGGUUAGCUGUAGCGCCUUAUUAGUAGCGCCGGUCCCCGCGCUACUGAUAUACCUAGAACCCGCUCUGCUGCUAGCCUUUUCCCUAGUAGUAUCCUAUCAUAUUAAAUCUAAAGAUACCUUGCUGCACCUUUUCUUUAUUUUAUUUUGUGUUUUAGUUAGAUCUAUUUAUGAAAACCUAUACAAUUUAAUCUACCUCAAAACUGAGGAGGGAUUGACAGCCCCUCUUACGCGUUGGCUUGCAAGUAUUUGUUGUUUGUGUGCAGGUGUUGUUUACAUAGUGUUGCUUGGUUCUCCUACUGGAUUGAUAACCUUGAUUUCAUAACUGAGGAAAAUACUUACCUUUGAUGUGCUGCAUCAUCCUCUCCACUCCGGGGAAUUACCAACGCAGAUAUAAGCAAUCACUUUGCUGAACUCUUUUAUGCAUGAUUGUUAUAGCCUCGUAUUUCUUCUCCGAUUUAUUGGUUUGGUUUGGCCAACUAGAUUGAUUUAUCUUUCCAUAGGAAGAGGUGCUUUAUGAUGGGUUCGAUCUUGUGGUGCUCAAUCUCAGUGACAGAAAGAGACAUGACACGCAUGCAAUCGUUGCUAUUAAGGGUAACAAGAUGGGGUUUCAUACGUGAGUUCAUCUUGUCUACAUCAUGACAUCAUUCUUAUUGCAUUACUCCAUUUUUCCAUGAACUUAAUACACUAGAUGCAUGCUGGAUAGUGGUCGAUGUGUGGAUCAAUAGUAGUAGAUGCAGAAUCGUUUCGUUCUACUAAUUUUGGAUGUGAUGCCUAUAUACAUGAUCAUUGCCUUGGAUAUCGUCAUAAUUAUUCGUUUUUCUAUCAAUUUCCCAAUAGUAAUUUGUUUACCCAUCGUAUGCUAUUUUCUUGGGAGAAGCCUCUAGUGAAAACUAUGGCCCCCGGGUCUAUUUCCUAUCAUAUUAAAACCAAAAAUAUCUCGCUACAAUUUUCUUUUACUUAUUUUAUUUUGUGUUUUAGUUAGAUCUGUUUAUCAAAUCUCAUACAAUUUAAUCUAUCUCAAUACCGUUGAGGGAUUGACAACCCCUUCACGCGUUGGAUUGCAAGUAUUUAUUGUUUGUGUGCAGGUGUUGUUUACAUAGUGUUGCUUGGUUCUCCUACUGGAUUGAUAACCUUGGUUUCAUAACUGAGCGAAAUACUUACCUUUGUUGUGCUGCAUCAUCCUCUCCUCUUCGGGGAAAUACCAACGCAGAGUACAAGUAAUCACGACCAUUUGAGUUUUCAGCCUCUCAAUCUCUUGAGCCCGCCACCCGUUUUCGGCCUUGAGCUUAUUGUUGUCAUCCCUACUUCGGGAUAACACACAAUGGUCGGCCUAUUCUUGAGAUUCCGCAUAUCGUCGGUCCUCUCGGGCCUGCUUCAGGUCCCUCUCUAGUUGACCAAUGGUUUCUACCGCUACAGAUAUAAAGCCCCAUUAAGGAUGGCCUCAAAUUCUCGAAAAUAAAAACCAUAUGAUCAAACACACUUACCGUGUGCUUCUCUGGUGAAUUUCUUAAUAUGCUCCACCUCAGCCUGUGCGACAUCCUGCUUCGCCUUGGUCUAGGUUAGCCCUUCGGAGAGGCCCUCAUUUUUAUCUUGAGCAACCUGUCAAAUUAAGACAUGGUUACAUAUAUUCGAUCCUUAACAUGGCCACUUGUGUCUGAAUUAAGCCUCGGUGGCUACUAGGUUUCGCGCUCAGUCAAGAUUACCACCACUAAUACACUAGUCUGAUAACUCAUCCAACAAGUGUCUUAGGGGCUACUGCCAUAUACGACAGACCUUCACACCUUUCAAAGUCCUAUCGGAAAAGCUAAAAAGUAGCCUUGAGCUCUGAUGGACUGUUUCUAUUUAAAAGGGACUAGCGUCGGUCCAUCUAGGGACUAUUGAGGCCAUAUAUUGUUAAAGUAAACAAGGGAGAAAGGUUUUUACAUGCAAACCCUUGGAUAAAACAUCCACCGUCUUCUCAAAGUCGGAGCGAACCACGCCAAGAUAGGCAUCCACCGAACUGAGGGCAUUGAAUUAUUGGCUGGAGAAGAUAGGAUUCCUUAAAGAGGCCUUUCUCCGCCGAUGAUUUAUGGCACUGUCAACCUCAGAGUUGGUGGUAGAACAAGUCUAUGAGGUUUCUGAUUGAGCCACUUCGGGAAUAUCCCGUGGGGCGGGUAUUGGCUCGACACCAGUCUUUGGCAUUGAAGCAUCCAUAGCGCCUGCCUCCUCAGUUGUCGAUGCAUGGAUGAGUUGCCUACAUAAAAGCUCGAGCGAUAAGACAGAUAAUGCCAUGGCAAUUUUUUGAGCUUGCUAUUAAUAAAACUUACCUGUCUCGGGAGGUGUGACUUUCUCUACUGCCACAGUGGCUGGUUCCUGAGCGGCACCUUGGUCGCCUGGUGGUUGGCACCCUUGAGAGGCUGAAUCAGUCAGCGGAUGCUUUGAGUGGCGACCCUUUGGAGGAGAAGUCAGGGUGCUCGGGGUCUUUCAGGCAGAAGAUCUCUUUCGAAGAAGGCUUGAGGGGACCCUACCAUAGAGAACGUUAGAACCCCUGGCAAGUCAGGAAUGACGGAUACUUUGGAGCCAUCAAGGCUCUCUUGAUAGAAGAUCCCCUCCGUGAAAAUAAUGGAUAGAUCCUCAUCCUCAUGGAAGUCGGGGUCAUCAUCACGAGAAUAUACCCCCGGCUUAGGCACUAGGUAGCUUAGGGGUACCUAUUGGGUAGCCGGUCCCGACCAUCCAGUUUGCAAGGCAGUGCCUUAACCCAUUGCCUUAUUGAAUUACUCACACAUGGCAAUCGGAUCGCAAGAUGAACUCAUUGAAGAAGACACAAAGAUGAAUGCUUUACUGAUGAUGUGUCUUACAGUAGUUGCCAAGUGUGAUACAUGAGUACAAGUAUGACUAACAUGGAGAGAGGAUUGUUGUGGUGAUGAUGGUGGCUACAACUAUGGAAAUAAGAUGGGAAAAUGGUGGCAUCUAGGGUUGGAAGAUGGUUAUGGUGCCCUGUUUCAUGAAUGGUGUUCUCUCUCUAUUGCGAUUCUGGUGUAGGCCCUUUUAUAAAGGUUGGGUGGUUGGACCUCCUGAAGUCGACGACGACUGGUAUGAGCGCGUGCGCUCGUACCAAAGGUCGUCUUGCACUCUGGUGCAUUUCCCGCACCUUCAAUUCCUUCAUUUCUUCCUCUAUUCUUCUUGUUUCCUCCUAAGUGAUGAUUCCUUUCCAUACUUAGGCCCUUCUUUUUUGCGGAAGCAUAUUAAAAACAAGGAUUUCACGAUCUCUCACAUUCAUUAGUCAUGUCGGAGUGCUUUUCUCGAAAAUUUUGGGAUUAUUCGGUUUAAACAAUGGUAUAAUAAGCGCAAAAAUACCACUCAUCACUUGGAACUUGGAAGGUGCACAAACGUGCUUCUAUGGCAUGCGGACAAUGUUGUAAUUGCUGACGGCGAGCCAACGAUAGCAUAUGGGUGGAUUGCUGGAACUAGUGAGCUACAAUGCUUGAACUCUGAGUCGAUGAUGUUGCAAACAUGACUGGCGGGUGCUACGCGGUCGGUUGUGACAGUGUUACCACGAGACAUGACGACGAUCGAUACUGCCAGGGGACAUGAUGAUGCUGCGAGCAGCCGAAAGUGACAACGCUGCAAGACGAUAUGUGACGACAAGACGGGGGAGCGCGUGCUGCAACUCCGGCCACCAGAUGCUACGAGCAGCGCCGAUGUGACUAACGAUGAGGACAAUGUUGCAAGCACCUAGGGAUGGCGGCAACACGACAGAUCAUGGGUCGUCGGCCGUGGGUUGUGAUCGGUGGCGCGCCACACUAAAACCGACUAUGGCGAGGUUGCGACCGGUGGCAGGUCAUGCUGCAACCGAUGACGGCUUAUCUGGCGAACGUCGAGCGACACAGCCAUGAGCACGACGGGAAGCGGGGACGCAGACAUUACAAGCAUGGAUAACGCUGCGGCGCGCGAGACACGCGCGUUUUUCCGUGCUAGCGGGUGGAGUGGAACCAGGAUAUGCUAGGGCAACCAGGACCACCUAGGAGCCAGCGCCGAGAUCCAACGGCUGUGGUUGGCCUAAUCCUACUUUGCCGAAGCUGACCGAUUGGUGGCUCGCGCCAGAGAGCGUCGCCCAAAUAUUUCGAGGCAUUGGCAUUUUUUUGGCUUCGCUCUUCUUCCCCCCUUUCUCCUCUUUCCCCACAACCCCGCCGCCGCCGCCGCCGCCGCCGCUCCACUCCAGCCGGCGCACCCCGCCGGCGACCGGCACCGCAGCUCGCGCAUGCCCGCCAGACGGCGGAUCCACUAACUGGUAGCAAGAAUCUGCUCCUUUUCUGAUCGAUUUCCCCGCCUAUUGGGCUGGUCACCGUCUCCCUCUGAAACCCUAGCCACACGGCCAUGGGUUCCAGUCCUGCUGCGCGUUCCAAUCCCAGCAGGACCGGAAAGCGGGGGGAUGCCGUGGGCGGUGGCAAUCCACCAAGCAGAUCUGCCAAGAAGUCCUCUGCUCUUCUCCCGAAGGGCUGGGUACGAACUCCUCUGCUCUGCUUUACUCAUUCAGUUCAUUCAUAUUACAUCCGCGUCUCCUCAGCUGAAUCCGCCCAUGCCUUGCAGAGCGGGACGGCGUCGUACAGAUGUUCCCCGCACCUCAUCCCGCAGAUUGUGGGGCUUCUCAGCGAGGAGCAGAAGGGCUUCGUCAGAAAAAUCGGGUUUGGGAGCCUGCUGUCCAUGGCAGACUUCGAGAUUAACAAGGCCCUUACCUUGUGGCUGGUUGGCAGGUUCAGUUGUGAGACCGAGGCGCUCGAGUUUGAAGGCGGCGUGUCGAUUCCGGUCAGGCCGCUCGUCAAGUCUAUCCUUGGGAUCCCUUCAGGCCCCAUCCCAGUCGUGCAGUCUCCCUACAGUCACUUCUCUUCUACUAAAGUGAGGAAGGCAAAGGAACUGGCCGAAGAAAUGUGUGGCAUAACCGAGGAGGAACCCUUCUGUACAGCCUUCAUGAUGGUGAUACUCGCGAUUUAUCUAGCGCCAAAUACAACCAUGCUUGUCAACCGGUCCUUGCUCGGAGCUGCUCAGAAGGUUGGUAACCUCAAACAGAUGGACUGGUGCGGUUUCGUUGCUGACUAUCUCCUCAAAGGACUCAUGGAGUUCAAGGAAUCCGAUGCACCCUUUGUUCUUCUCAAGGGCUGUGUGCACAUUCUGAGCGUAAGAAACAUUCCGACCGCACUUAUGGAAAUUACAAACUGUUUGAAUGUGCUGAUGUUGCUUGUUUAUUUAUAAAUUUAUUUCCUUGAAAUGCAGGUCAUUUUCAUUGAUCAUGUGAAACAUGCUGAAUUCCAAGUACCAAACGGCUUUCCACGCUUGCGCGUUGUCAGUACAGCGCAUAACAAAUGGGUAGCUUCGCAUCCCUUUGGUAGCUUGCUGGUAAUUACCCAUGCACUAAAUUCUGCAAUCAAAUUGUGAUACACUAUUUAUUUGAAACACACCAUUCAUUAUUUUGGGUUUCAAGAUCUGAUGGGUUUUAACUCUAGCCUACCCCAACUUGUUUGGGACUGAAAGGCUUUGUUGUUGUUGUGCACUAUUCGUUAUUAUGUGACAUAUGCCUUGUUCAAAAUAACGGCAUGCUCUAUGCUGCUACAAGCAUUACCAGUCUUGUAACCCACAUCCAUCCAAUGAGUAGCAUUUAUUCACCAAAUUUUGACCGGUCAAGUUUAUUACUUACACGCAAUUACAUUUGAGUGACCUCUUUCAGAAGUAUUUUUCUUUUUUUAAGUUGCAUAUAAUGAUUGCUACAGUCAGUAACUUUACGCGUAUUCUCAUUCAUAUAGGUACGUCGUCUAGAAGAGUCUGUCUAUGCUCCUGUGCUUAAUAAUGGAAAUGGUAACAUUGUUGAAGGCGGAGAAUGUGCUGAUUCUGAUACAAAUACUGAUGCUCUAGCCAAUCUGCCUGCUACCGACAAUGAUCAAAAUAACCAGCAUCCGGUUUCAGCAGGUCCUGCCAGCUUGUCCAUUGUUGUAGCGUUAGAGACAUCAGCUCAAUCUGCAGGUACAAACCAUCUUCACGGGGCCAUGGGUUCCAAUCCUGCUGCGCAUGCUAAUCCCAGCAGUAACGGAAAGCAGGGGAGUGCCAUGGAUGGUGGUAGUCCACCAAGUAGAUCUGCCAAGAGGCCCCGGAAGGUACGAUCCCGGAAUCCCUCCACUCCUCUGCUCUGCGUUUUUCAGUUUACAUUACGCCUGAAUCUCCUUAGUUGAUCCACUCAUACCUUGUAGAGCGGGAGCGCGGUGUACAGAUGUUCCCCUCGCCUCAUUCCGCAGAUUGUGGAGCUUCUCAGUGAGGAGCAGAAGGGCUUCGUCAGAAAAAUCGGGUUUGGGAGCCUGCUGUCCAUGGCGGAUUUCGAGAUGAACAAGGCCCUUACCCUCUGGUUGGUUGGUAAGUUCAGUUGUGACACCAAUGCGCUUGAGUUUGGAGGCGGCUUAUCGAUUCCGGUGAGGCCACUCGUCAAGUCUGUCCUUGGGAUCCCUUCGGGCCCCAUCCAAGUCGUGCAGGGUCUCCAUGUUGACUAUGGUCUCUUCAGUCAGUACUGCUCUGUUAAAUUCAAGAACGCCAGGAAAUUGGCCGAGGAAAUGUGCAGCAUAACCGAGGAGGAACCCUUCUGUAUAGCCUUCAUGAUGACGAUACUCGCGAUUUAUCUAGCACCAAAUACAACCGUGCUUGUCAACAGGUCCUUUCUUGGAGCUGCUCAACAGGUCAGUAGCCUCAAACAGAUGGAUUGGUGCGGUUUCGUUGCUGACUAUCUUUUCAAAGGAAUCAGGGAGUUCAAGGAAUCAGAUGCACCCUUUGGUUGUCUAAAGGGCUGUGUGCACAUUCUGAGCGUAAGAAACAUUCCAACUGCACUUACGGAAAUUACAAACUGUUUGAAUGUGCUGAUGUUGCUUGUUCAUUUAGAAAUUUAUUUCCAUUCACUGUCCUUGAAAUGCAGGUCAUUUUCAUUGAUCUUGUGAAACAUGCUGCAUUCGAAGUACCAAACCGCUUUCCACGCUUGGGCUUUGUCACUACAGAGCAUAACAAAUGGGUAGCUUCACAUCCCUUUGGUAGCUUGCUGGUAAUUACUCAUGCACUGAAUUCUGCAAUCAAACUGUGAUACGCUAUUUAUUUGAAACACACCAUUCAUUAUUAUGGGUUUCGAGAUCUUGUGGGUUUGAACUCUAGCCCACCCUAACUUGUUUGGGACUGAAAGGCUUUGUUGUUGUUGUACACUAUUUGUUAUUAUGUGACAUGCCUUGUUCAAAAUAAUGGCAUGCUCUAUGCUGCUACAAGCAUUACCAGUCUUAUAACCCACACCCAUCCAAUGAGUAGCAUUUAUUUACCAAAUCUUGACCAAUCAAGUUUAUUACUUACACGGAAUUACAUUUGAGUGACCUCUUUCAGAAGUAAUUUUCUUUUUCUUAAGUUGCAUAUAAUGAUUGCUACAAUCAGUAACUUUACGCGUAUUCUCAUUCUAGGUACGUCGUCUAGAAGAGUCUGUCUAUGCUCCUGUGCUUAAUAAUGGAAAUGGUAACAUUGUUGAAGGCGGAGAAUGUGCUGAUUCUGAUACAGAUACUGAUGCUCUGUCCAAUCAGUCUGCUACCGACAAUGAUCAAAAUAACCAGCAUCCGGUUUCACCAGGUCCUGGCAGCUUGCUCAUUGUUACAGGGUUAGAGACAUCAGCUCGAUCUGCAGGUACAAACCAUUAUAACUGACUCCUAUUACAUUGUCUAUAGCCAGGUUAUAAAAGAUAUUACACGAGCAUUUUCAACCAUUAAUUGACAUGUCAUGUAUGUAACAUGCUAUAAAUUAUGUAUUGUAUUCUCCUGACUCUGUUAUCCUUGUACAAAUCUCUACAUUCAGAAGCUUGCCUAAAAGAUGUAAAACACAUAGCCAUUAAUCGAAAACAAUUCUUUUUCUUCAACAUUGGUUAUAUGUAUCUGAGACAAAAUUCUUCCAUGUAUUGAUGUAACUUUUGCAGAACACAUUAUUUUUCCAAGAAGUGGCGAGCAAUUGCAGUCUGCUGGGCCUUCUUCUGAACCGUAUUCUGCACAAGUUUGUCGACGCCAUAUUCUUUGAAUUGCGCAGAAGAAACAUCUGUAGAUUGUGGGUACCAAUUCAUGAUGUGAUGUUUUUCCUUUGCAGAUUCCAAACGGGCUGGAGGUUCUUGCGGCUGCUGCCGAGAGCAGGAACAGGGAUUCACCGUCGACGAUGGAGAAGCAUGAUCGGAGCGCCAAAAGGGCAAGGGUGGAGCCGCCCAAUAGUGGGCAAAUGGUGCGAGCUGGAGAAGCCACCAUAAGGAUGGACAUGAGUUUGUUUAGUUGCCGCGUCUGCUCCCACCCCGUCAAGCCCCCUGUCUUCCAGGUUAAUUUCUUUCUCAAAGAAUGCUCGAAUAAUUUUCUGUUCCAUUCAGCUGAGGUCUGAGGAUGGCAGUAUCUGAUACAAUUUUGUGCAGUGCAAUGUCGGGCAUUUAGCUUGCGGCAGAUGCCUUGCGGAGCUCCCCGACGAACAGUGCCAGAUGUGUGAGCACGGCGGUGACUUUAGCCGCUGUCCAGUGAUGGACGACGUCGUCCUGUCGAGCACGAUGAAGUGCUCCCACGAAGGCUGCCACAUUUACGUCCCCUACCACGAGCUCGACGACCACCAGAGCACGUGCCCACACGGGCCCUGCUUCUGCACGGAGACCGGCUGCAGCUUCGCCGGCGCACCGGCGGCGCUCCUCGGCCAUCUCGCCGCCCUGCACUCAAUGCCAGUGCACAAGGUCCACUACGGCAGUGUCCAUCAGCUCCGGGUGUCGGAGCCACGGUUCCUGCUCCACGCGGAAGAGGACGACAGCGCGUUCCUCCUGGCCGUGGGCGUGCUCGGCAUGGCCACCGUCGCGUCCGUGGUGUGCCUCAGAGCGGGAGCAUACCCAGAGCCGCGAUACGCGGUCAAGCUCUGGGCGAACGGUCCGCCGCUACCGAGCAGCGCGGCGGGCAGCAUUCUGCUGGACAUGCAGGCGGUGACGAGCAUCGCCAGGCCCGGCGAGGUGGCGGUGGAGGAGCUGCCGUCGUUCCUGAUGGUGCCGCCGGCAUACCUGGUUGACUGUGGGGCGUACAAGGAGGUGUCCCUCGACGUUCGCAUUGACAGGAUGUGACAUGGCCCAGUGCUGAUGCAAGUAGUAGUAUUUUUCAUCAUUUCUUCAUGGGAUGUAAUCGCUGCUUAGAUGCGACUGCUGAUGGAAGUAGGUGACACUAAUUAAACUUCCUAGCCUGUAGUAGGUGACUUGUCUGGUUUCCCAAUGCAUCAACAAAAAAUGUUGAUGCCUUGUGCUGGAAAGUGAGAGGCCUGAAUUGUUCUGACCAUUGUUAGUGCCACCCAAUGUCAAAUAGAAUAGUGCCUCUUCCACCAGCUUAAGCGCACGCCUUUGUCCCUUCUCUCUUGGAACAAGAAUCUUUUGUCUAAUGCUAAUAGCAUCUACAGCCGGAUACACCUAAUGUGUGGCCCCUCAAACGUUCACAUUUCAAAUUUUGCUAAUUAGUAAACCUCAAGUCCAUAUAAACACAUGCGACAUGAACUAUCUCUACGAUGCAACAACAAUCGUUUGGCUACUACAUCAGCACGUGCCUUUGGAAUUGGAUUACCUACGUACUAGCUAUGGACAAAGAUUAUAGACGUCUGCCCUUGCCGUCUUUCUCGCGGAAGCAGCGCUCGAAAACGCAAAAUGGAUCAAGCCGGAUCUGCUCAUUGCCGAAGCUGUCCGACACAUCGCUGUUCUCCUUCUCUUUCAGGUAGCCUGUGUUGGAAAUAUGACCUAGUAGCAAAUAAUAAAUUUUAUUAUUCAUUUCCAUGUUCAUAGGUAUGUUUAUGUUCGUGUUAUAAUUGCGAUUGUCCUUAAGUCUGUAUAUUGAAGAGGCUCAUAGAAAACCCUAUGUGCAUGUGUGAAUAAUAAACGGUAAUAUAGAUUCCUAGUCAUGCCUUUAAGACUAGCUCAAGUGUUACAUGAUGAUUACGUUUUCCUGGCCGACUAAAUUAUUGUCAUACUAUGAGAUCCUUUCGUCAAUGGUUUAUAAGACAUAGAAAGUUAGACGUUUGCAUAUUCCUUAAACCACCGAAUUUCUUCAUACUUGCUUCGUGAACUUUGAGGUUUGUUAUAUGUCAUUUGUAAUUGGGUUGCUAUUACGGCGGCUUACAAGUUCACGAAAAAGUAUGACAAGGGACUAGAUAGGUUAAAAUUUUGAUUUGCUCCUCCGACGAUGAUGAUAUAUUCUUGGGGUCCUCUCGGUGUCACGGUAUACAUCAUCGGCUAGCCAGACACAUCGUGAUUUGAUCACGUGGAUGCUAGAACAUGGAAUGAGAAAAGAGAACAAAACCAAUAACGAGAAAACUUGCAUAGUGAACAAAUUGUCGAUUCACAGGGAUGCUGAUAAAUCUCACCUCACGUUUUUGUAGCAUAUUGCUAAGCAACAGGAAUAGCACACGAUAACUAAAGGUUCAUUCAAAUAUAUAUUUGUGUGAGUAUAGAGGUCAAUAUAGAUGUCCACAGUUCCACUAUUGAUCGUCUAUCAAAAAGUUUCGCUCGUAUCUAUAUUUUACCGUACCUAUAGGAUCACACGCUUAAGGCCUGUUCGGGACAGAGAAAAAAACGUAGGAAAACCAAAGGAAAGCCAUUCCUAAGGAACUGCUCCCUUUUCUACCGUUCAGAACAAAGGAAUCUUUUGUUACCGAUCCGCAAGAAAGUUUUCUGGGCCAGCCAAUUUUUUCGCGCAGGCCCGAGACAGUGGAAGGAAAAGGGCACCGAACCAUGCAUCACAUCGGCUAUAAAAAUUGUUGAUCUGUACACAUCGAGGCCACACAGGCAGCAUGCAUCAAACAUUUAAAAAUCUAUGCAGGGGACCGACAUCUGUUGAUUUCGUGGGUUUCUUGUCCUACAAAGUUUUAUUUUCCCCUGUUUUGCAUCUCACUUCCUUUCCAUUUCCCCUAUUUUUGUUCCAAACCUGUGUUUUCAAUCCCUUUGAUCCGAACACAGCCUCAAGUGUCAUAUAUCUGCUGAGUACUAGAAAAGGAGUCUUGAGAGAAAGUCCAGAAAGUCAACGGAAAAGUUUUGAAGACACCGAAAAUGUUUCAGAGGGAAAACCAAAAAUUGCUCCAGAGUAAACCAUCAAGCCAGAAAAGUUUUGAAAUGCGUCCGGAAUUUUCAGAGGGGUGCCAAAAAAGUUCUGGAACCUCCCGAAAUAUUCCUGGAGGGGACACUCGCGCCAAAACACAAUUGUUCCUAAAAGGGGGAGAAGGUUCCCCUUUUCGUGUGGGGGCUUAGUUUUGGGUGGCGCGCGCAGCCCCAUUUUGGUGGAAGCUUGUUGGCCCCAUGGUUCUCUAAAACCAAGAUAUUUCAUGGUGAAUUUCCCUUGCACCGACGGUGAAAAGAUAACACCUCCACUCGGCAAGUUCAGUGCAUAUCUUCCAUCAGGAGUGGCAUCUAGCAGCAAUUACAUUACACCAGUGUAUUUUCCAUGAAGAAAUUAUGCCCCAGAUCACACCCUGUCAAUGCGAACGUCGAGGGACACCUCGGACGCCUCAGAUCCAACCAGAUAUGUAGGCGGCACCAUCAAGAAAGACGGCAGCUCCUCCACGGCCACCUCGCCGGGCCUGUUGCUGUUCGUCACCGCCUUCAAGUCCAACAAAAUGCUGCCCGCUGC
rnacentral:lncRNA from 1 species